rnacentral:lncRNA from 1 species
GUAGCUCUUUACCUACGAGCGGGGUAGCUCUUGACCUAUGAGUUUGAGUUAGAGUCGGGGCGAAGAGCGGGGUAGCUCUUGCCCUUAGGCAUUUGAGUCAUGAGUUGGGCGAGGAGCGGGGUAGCUCUUCACCUAUAGGACUUGAGAUCUGAGUCGGGUAAGAGCGGGGUAGCUCUUUACCUAUAGUGUUAGAGUUGUGGGACGGGUGAAACAAGGGCGGGGUAGUCCUUCACCUAUGUGAUUUGAGACAAGGGCGGGGUAGCCUAGUGGAUUGGUUAAAGACAUGAAUUGCAUAAGUGGAUCCGCAUUCAUACCAUGAUUAGACAUAGUACACUGCAUAACUAUGUUGUAGUUGUAUAUAUUUCAUUGUUAAAGCAUACUAGCAGGAUAAAUGAUGUUGCAUGCAUUCCUUGCAUUUGGUGGCAUAGUAGAUAUAGUAGCAGCUUAUUUUUAUAUAUCUCUCUAUCUAUCUAUCUGUGCCAGCUUGGACCUAGUGGGAAGAUCGGCGGAGUCGGCGGCCGAACCCACUGGGAACUAUAUUUUUAUAGUUCUCACCCCGUGUGGUUUUGGGGUACAGGUACACACGUGAGCGGACCGGCAGGUGAUCGCGGUAAGGGCGUAGCGCCCUAGCUAGCUAGUAGAGCUUUCCUAUUGUACUAGAGCACCCUCGUGUGCAUGGUUAUAGAUGACAUGUUGUAUUUUGAAUAGCUAGCAUUAUGUAUAUGUGAUAUGAUUAUGUAUUCAUUUUGGAAGCUUAAAUGUAAUCAAGUUGUAUUAAAGGUUGAAUGGAUGUAAAUGUUGAAGGUCAAAUGUGAUGUAAUAGAUAGUUAUAUCUCUCUUUUAUUCACUUGUUUAUACUUGUGAUGCUUGCUCUUGUAAUGUUCGGCACUGGUUGUGCCCUCGCUAUUGUUUUGAUCAUGUAUGUAUUCAAGUUGAUUUCCUGGGCACUUGUUGUACAUGAUCCUGUUGUUUAGCCUUGGGCGGACAGGGGAGGUGCUGUCCGUCCGGCGUCUGUUCGACGCGCCCGGAUCGGACCAAAUUGGUAGCGGUCUCGGGGCGUGACAUAUGUGGUUCACGAGGCGUCUGCAAAUACUGAGCAACAGAGUUGACAGCAUACGAAAUUUUCAGUCUCGUGAGGGUGAGAUACUGGAGAGCAUCGACAAGCUGACGAUAGACAUAAGGAUCGUCAAGAAGACGGCCCUCAUGAGACGAGAGGCAAAAGGCCGGAGAAAGAGGACUAGAGACAGGCUUACAAUCAAGAAAGCCAUGGCGUUGAAGUAGUUGAUGCGCAUAUUUAUGCGGAGUCAGAUGAAGACUAGAAGAAGACGGAGUAACCUCAAUGCCCAAGAAAUAAUGGAGCGGCCCGAGAUUCUUCAUAGCAAAUUCACAUUGUAGGGUGACAAUAAGAGCCUCCAAAAGAGAGGAGCUGCCAGUGAUAAUAAUAUCAUCAACGUAUAAAAGAAGAACGAGAGUGCCAGAAGAGGAAUGAGAAAUAAACAUCGAGGGAUCUGCAGUACUGCUGACAAAACCAAGUUUAGAAAGAAAUAAAGUGAACCGCUGAAACCAAGCCCGAGGGGCCUGCUUAAGACCAUAGAUUGCCUUGCGGAGACAACAAACGUGAUGAGGAAGAGAGAGGUCCACAAAACCCAGUGGUUGUGCCAUAUAAACCUCUUCAGAGAGAAUUCCAUGAAGAAACGCAUUCUUCACAUCAAGUUGUCGAAGAGACCAACCAGAGGAUAAAGCCACGGAGAGAACAGUACGAAUAGUGGUCGCCUGGACAACGGGAGAAAAAGUCUUAUCAAAAUCAACACCUCGUUGUUGUUUGUAAUCCUGAGCAACAAGUCGAGCCUUGAGACACUCAAGAGAACCAUCCGCCUUAUGCUUACCUUGUAUACCCAUUUACAUCCAAUGAGAUUAACGGAAGAAGGAGGAACGAGAUCCCAAGUAGCAUUAGUCAGUAAGGCAUCAAAUUCCUCAGCAAUGGCAACACGCCAACCUACAUCCUGAAAAGCCUCAUGAAAAGAAGUAGGCUCAGUAGGAAGAGUAGAAUGGACAGAAGCGAGUAAGGAAGUAAACCCUGUGGAAUCCUUAGUCAGGGAGUGAGUGAGCAUAAAAUGGGUACGGGCAGGUAGCGGAGCCACAGAAGAUGAAGGAGAUGAGACAGUAGCAGGCUGAGGAGGUGGAUUAUCAGAGAAGGUAGUUGGCACAUCAGUAGCGGAUGGAGAAGCAGCAGCAGGCCGGCUGGCGUGUCGUCUAGUACAGGCCCGGAGCUCAGAUGGACCAACAACAGUGGCAACAUUCUCAGGACCAACCUGUGGAGCAUCAGAAUGCAAGCUAGAAGGAAAUAUUGAUAAGUCCUCAGACGUUGAAACCGAUGUGUGUGAACCAAUAUCAGGAGGAAUGCAACUAGGCUUUACCUGUCUGAGUAAUAUCAAGUAAAUUUCCAUUACCAACAAGAACUUUUUCAUACUCUUUAUAAGGUUUAGAGGUUGAGAGAAUACCAAAAGUUGCGGUCAUAUGAUUAAAUGCUCCGGUGUCAGGAUACCACACUUCCUCACCAGGUUCAUGAAGGUUUAUAGCAGCAAAGGUUUGAGGAAGAUCAUCUGCAACAAAGGAAUGAUUGAAGCGUUGUCUGCACUUAAGAGCCGAAUGAUUAAACUUGCCGCAGAUCUAAUAUUGUUUGUCAGAUUUCGAAAUGUAAGGUUGAUAGGUCGGAGUAUAGGGUUCAGAAUUAUUAGGUUGAGAAUGCGAAUGGGCUCCAGGGGAUCCACGACCAGGAUAUGAAUUGAAUCUACCGCGUUGUCCCCGACCAUCGCGAUAUCUACCUCCACGACCCCCACGGCUUCAGCGUCACGAUUUGCAUAAAGAGCUUCGCCAUCGAUAGUGGGAGUGGCUGGUGAUGUCGUCAAACUAGUACGACGUUGAACUUCAGUUUCUUCUUGCAUUAGAAGUGGACGAAGUUGUUCAAAAAUAGGCUUAUGUCGAUGUGUAUUAAGGGCACUGACAAACCCCUAUAUGCUUCUAGGAACCCAAGAAGAACUGUCAUGACCAAGUUAUGAUCUGAUUCAGAUUCACUGAUCGCUUGUAGAGCAUCACCAAUUGAUUUAAUCUUUUGCAUGUAAUCGCUCAUGUUCAUUGAACCUUUCUUGAUGUUUCGCAAUUCGGACUUUAGAGAAAAAGCCGUGGAAGCAGUUUUAUCAAGAAAAUAUGCUUCAAUAGUUUUCCAAGCAUCAUAUGCAGUUUUAGGAGAACUAGAAAAGACCAUCUGUAAUAUGCUAAGAGAAAGGGUGGCAUUAGUCCAUGAGAGUACAGUGGUGUCUUUCUUUUUCCAAUUUUGAUAUUCUGGAUUUGCACUUGUUUUCUUAUCAGAAGUUUCAAUAGUUUGAAGCGGUAUAGUACCAGUACCGUCCACAUGCGAUGUAACACCAAAACUCUCCAAAACAUUAAGAAAAAUUUAUUUCCACACCAAAUAUGUGGAAUCCACAAGUUCAAGUGGUAUGAGAGUUUUGAUGUUAACCACUGGCAGGUUUGAAGAGGAAGACACGUUACCACCAAAAAAAAAAAGAAAAAGAAAAAAAGAUCCACCACGAGAGAGACAAAUCCGAAAAAUAGACCAAGUAAUCACAGAUCUAGAGGAGAGAGGAAAGAGAGUCAGAGUUGAACCCGGGAUGAACUGACGGUACUUGAGAUCAAUCAGGCGACACCAGUAAGCAGCACCAACGAGAUAAGAAGAAACUCCAAGAGGCUGAAAUUACUGCAGUAAAACACUGUAGCAUUGAUACUGUAGCGGCAGUACUGUAGCGCCGGUGCCGUAGUAGUACUGUAGCGCAGUACUGUAGCAGUACCGGGGAGAUAAACAUUCAGGUAUCGUUUGGUUCGGGGAUAAGCAAAAAGUGGGUAUUCCAGGGAUAGGUAUAAAUUGAGGUAUAAGCGGGGAUUAGAUCAAUUUUGCGUUUGGAUGAAAAUUGGAUUAUUCCUAGGAAUAAGAAAAAUAACGUUUGGUUAGGUAAGAUAGAAUAAGAUUUAAAGUGGGUAGUUAUAAAUAAAAAUUAAUAAUAUUAUCACUUUUUUUAUUUAUAUUAGAAUUUAAAUUUUUAUAUUUUAUAUUUAUAUUUUAAAAUUUAAAUUUUAACUUUUAAAUUUCAAAUUUUGAAAUUAAAAUUUAAAAUUUAAAAUCUCAAAUUUUAAAUUCAAAAUUUAAAUUUUAAAUUUCUAACUUUAAAUUUAAGAUCAAAUUUAAAUUUGAAAAAAAAUAAAUUCAAAUUUAAAAUUUCAAAAAUUUAAAAUUUUAAAAUUUAAAUUUAAAAUUUAAAAUGUGGAAUUUAAAAUUAUAAACUUUAAUUUUGAGAUUACAAAUUUUAAAUUUUAAAUAUAAUUUAUUAUAAUAUUUUAAAUUUUAAAUUUAUUUAAAUUUUAAAUUUUAAUUUAUUUUAAUAUUUAAAUAUAAUUUAUUAUAAAAUUUAUUAUAAUAUUUAAAUAUAAAUAAUAUGUAUUAAUAUAGCACAAUUAAUAAUUUUAUAAUAAAAAUAAUGUAUUAUAAUAUAUAAUAUAUUAUAUUUAUAUAAUUUAGUUUUAAUUUAUUUUAUAAUUUUAAUUAAGUUUGAAAUUAAGCAUGGGAAUAGCACUAUUCCACCAAAAUGGUGGAAUAGUAAAAAGCUUGCUAUUCCGGAAUAACCGGGAAUAGCAAGCUUUGACCGGAAUAAAAUAUUCCGGUAAAAAAUGAUCCCGUUUGGCGGAAUAGUGGGGAUAACUUUCGUUAUCCCCGCUUAUCCCCCUAACCAAACGGGGCCUCAAGGAUUAUAGGAGAUAGAACACCAAAAGAAAAAGGCACCUAUGGAAGAAUGUGAGAUUUGUGGUGGAUGGUGGCUAUGGAUCGAUAUCCCCAAAUUAGGGUUCCCGCUCUAAUACCAUGAAAGAAGGGUAAAAGAGUAUACCCUCAUGAAUUCUAUUGAUGAUGUUAUAUAGUACAAGAGAUGAGUCUAAUAUAGUAACAAUGCCUAAUAUAGUAACAAUAUAACUAGGCAUCUCAUAUCAUGUAAUCCUACUCUAAAUAUGUCGAGAUAUAUAGCAUCCUCAUAUAGCAUGAGAUACUAAAUAUGUCGUAACACAUGGAGGCAAUGGUAAGGCAUGAGCUAGUUAAGGUUGGAAAGAUGAAGAAAGAUUACAACAAUGCCGUAGAAUGGAGAUGGAAAAGAACAAGAAGGUUGUGGUGGUGAAGGUUUAAAGAAAAAGGUAAUGUUGUUAUCCUCGCCUCAUAACUCAUGGUGUAUUCUCUUGAAGAGUGUUCAUAAUAUAUUGCAGAUAAAAAGUAGAAUUUGACAGCUCAGUGGUGAAGUAGAAAUUGUGAUACAUACAAGAAUUUAUUCUGUAUUUUAGGGCCUGUUUCGUUCCUCAGAAAUUUCCCUAGAAAACUUUUUUCAAGUUGGAAAAAGUUUUUUCUGUGUUUGGUUCACAGGAAGAACAGAUUUUUUAGAAAAUUAUUUUCCAUAUUUCACGGAAAACUUUCCUUUUUGUUCUCCAAAUUUUUUUAGAAAAAUGAAAAAAAUUUUCUUACGAACAUUUUAAGGAUUUAAAAAGGGAAAAUCUCUUUGCUAAUACAGUAUACAUUUACUACCCAAUCGUCAUCUCAACCAUCUCCCACUGUCAGCUCUAUCUCCCCAAAUUAUAUAUAUAUACACGGUAUAAUUAUCUCCAUCUCCUAUCGGUCAUAUCAAUCACCUCCAUCUCUUUUGUUAAACUAUUUAUUUACACCAAAAUAUACUUAAAAUUUAUUUUUAUUUAAUUAUUUAUUAUUUAUAUUGUAAACAAUUUGUGAGUAUUAUGUUAAAUUUAAAAAUAAAAGGUUGGUAAUCUCACCAUCCUUUUAUAGAAGGUAUUUAUAUACCAAAAUUUUCAACCAAAAAAACAAGUGAAAUCGAAAUAAAAAAAUUAUUUUUUAUUUUUUUCUUACCACCCAAACACGCAUACAUGGAAAACUAAUUUUCUUUUCCGUCGAACCAAAUGAUAGAAACUAAAAAAAAAAUUUUCACAAAAAACUUUUUUCCUCAAAAAAUAGUUUUCUACUAUUUUCCAAGGAAUCAAUCAGGCCCUUAGCCUAAAAUAGAAAUGUAAAAAUGCCUUAUAUAUGUUAAUAUAUAUUCCUAGGCCCAUAUCUUACAAGACAAUCUUUUGGGUAACAUGGUAUCUGAGCCAAAUUCUAAACUCCUGUCUGUGAGAUCAAAGGUUUGAUCACCACCUUCAAUUUCUAGCGGAUUAAAUUUCCACAUCAUAUUUCCCUCACCUAUCAAAUCCAUAUGGCUUUCAUACCUGUCAUGCACAUUAAGUAUGGGGUGUUAAUAUAUAUUCUUGGGCCUAUAUCUUACUAGAUUGAUCUCUUGGAUAACAAUAUAAUUUUAAGAUACUUGUUUGUUACUUCAAAAGAGGGGGCUCUGACAUUAAUUUGUGACAAACAAGGUUGUAAAUAGCGGAUAGCAAGUACAUAGCAGUUGGAGGGUCCCAUAGCGGACAGUAGAUAACGGGUGCUAUAGUGGGCGCGCUAUGAACCCAUAGCAGGUUUCAUAAAAACUUGCCUAAUAUGUUCAUGUUCCUCGUAAAAGAUACAUAUAAUAUUGAAGAUAAGACAACUAAUCAUUUCUGUUUUUAGCAUUGCAAGCCUAUACAAAUUUAAUGUCAUUAUCUAUUAAGAUUAACUUUAAAAUAUUACAAUUUAGCAAACCAAAAAAGCCAAAAAACUCGAAAAAUCUAUAAUCCAUUAACAAUCUAAAUUUACAAUUUGUAAAUGAAUGUCAAAAAGGAUAUCUUGGGUAAAUGAAUAAAAUAUUAUUCAUCAGGAAGACAUUCUUCUUCUUCUUCUUAUUCACUAGAGGUAUUCUGGUCAUCCAUCUCAACAUUUGUUUCUUCAUCUCCUUCCGAUUCCGACGACUCAUACUCCAUAUCAUCAACAGUUCUAGUAUUUGCUCUCUAUGUCUAUGUUGUGGCUUUCCUUCUUGCAUUCCUCCUUGUCUGUGACUCAAACUUUUUAAGUUUUAGGCUCAUAGCGCCCGCUUUCCGGCAGCUUUAUAGUGGCCGCAUUAGCGGGCCCUAUGCCGUUAAAGCAGCCACUAUGAACCCAAUCCACUAAAUUCCAUUUUAGAGAAUAUAGCAUAGCGAUACCACAUAAAAGCUGCUAUAGCGGCCUGUCACGGACUUAAGCUAAAUCGCUCGUUUAGCCCGUGCGGCGCUCACCUUCCUUCGCGAAGUGAGCAAGUCUACCUCUCUACUUGCUAAGUUAGGACCUACUCGCAGAGAGAGAGUUUGAGUAAUGUUGAGUGUUGAUAAAAGUUGAGAAUACAACUGAUUUCCUAAGAAGGGGGUGGAGGCACAACCUUAUAUAGGCCACUCGCCACCCAGACUACAAAUGAAAAGACGCCAAGUGGUGCAUACUUAAAAGGCAAAAAGGGAGGCUACAAGCUCCCAAGAGACUACAAUUAUUGCCUACCUAGAAAUCCUAAAGGACUGUUGACCCUUCAGCAUCCGUACCAUCAGUCCUGAGAUCCAUGUAGAAGCUUCUAGAACGUCCCAGCAAAACCUCCAACAAAACGCUCCUUCGGAGAUUGGGCCACUGUCAAGGAGAAGUCAGUAGAAAACAUUUUGUCCGUGACAACCUCCCCCACCUAACGCGCAGACGCCCUCGUCGCGCGCCGAGCUGCUCACGGUCCGCGUAGCCUUCAAGGCAGUCUGUCGUACCUUCGCGCCCGAUCGGCCCCGUGCCUUGUUACCACAGUCUACCCGCACCAGCUCCUAGUGCCUUGCCUCUCUGAGCAUGUACACCAGCGAACCCGCUGUGCGAAGAAUCCACCAAGUGUGUACACACGCACACUCCGCCAAGCCGCAAAACGCCUCUUGGUCCCCUCGGACUCCUGCUAGACAGAAUGAGUUGAACCUUGAUUGGGCGCUAGCUGCUUCAACGCCUCAUAAGACUUGACAAGCUCGCUGCUGCUCAGGUCCUCGAGUUCCUCAACCUUCCCGCACUUCACCUCCUCGUAAAGUUGCAGGGCUGUCAGAGUUCGGUCAUUCGUCGGCUCGCCCCAACACAUCGGAACCAUGCAUGAUGCUGACUCGUCCAGGAAACUCAGCACCCACAAGUGUGCCAUGGGUGCUGCCGCCUUCGACGAAAUAAGGAAGUCUAUCCCGAGAAUCACUCCAAAGUCAUCGAGUGGCCCAACAGUGAGAUUAGCCUUGCCCCUUCACGGGCCGAUGGCUAUCUCCACACCUUUGGCAACUCUCACGAUCGGCCACGACUCAAAGUUGACCACCUUGAUGCGGCUCGCAUCCUUCUCGAGUGUGAGGCCCAACCGCUUGGCCUCCGCCUCCGCAACAAAGUUGUGCGUCGUCGAUGUCGAUCAUCGCUCACGUGGUCCUCCCGUUGAGGAUCAAAUCGACGAACAUGAGCUCCCUCCUGUGGAGCUUGGUGCUGCUUGGUUGACCGCAAAUUGCGCUGACGAGCCUUAGCGCACCCAUCCUCGACAGCUUGACCACGUCUUCGCCCUCAGUUUGGACCCCAGCAACUUGCUUUCCUUCAUGGUUGCCCCUUUUUAGGCAGUCCCGCGGCCAAUGAUUCUCAUCGCAAACAUAGCAAAAGAUCUUUGCAGGCGGUGAGGCGGGAUUCUGUUGUCGCCUCCUCAUUCAUGGUUUGGCUUGUGCCCCCUCGCGCCCCCUGGCUCAUAGUGCCCUCCCCCACCUUUGGCCUCGCUCCCGUUUGGUGGUUCACCUCGAUCGCCCUCGAUUCGCUCCCGCUCGAGCAACUUCUCUGCUAAAGCGAUCACGGAGUUCAAGUCCUUCAUGUCUCGCGCCACAAGCUCCUUGUUCGCCCACGGCUCAAGGCCAUCUAGGAAGAAGAAUAGUCGAUCCUUAUUGGCAAUGUUGGAGAUCGCCAACAUGAGUUUUGAAUACUCUUGGUCAUACUCCUUGAGUGUACCCCGAUGUUUGAGCCGUCGAAGCUGCCUCCACACAAGAUAUUCGACAUGCGCGGGAUGGAACUAUGCCUUCAACUCGCGCACGAAGCCCUCCCAAGUCUUUAGCUCGCAUUGGCCCCUCACGGCCUCUACAGAACACCGUCACCACCAUAGCAUUGCGUUGUCGGCGAGGUACAUGGAAGCGGUUUUGACCAUGUCGUCCCCGUCCUCCAACCACAGCACCUUCAGAUAGGACUCUAUGUGCCAUACGAAAUUGCCUAUCUCCUUCUCAUCACACAUGCCCUUGAAGCAUUGGGGUUCAAGGAUGCAAAUCUUUGAGGUGUACUUCUUUCGCACAUCGACGCCGCGAGGCACCUUCUCAAGAAUGGUCACCUGCAUCUUGAGGUCCUCAACCUCGUCGACCGUGGUGACAUAAGUCCUCCACCAGCACCUUCCACUCGUCCUCGCGAUAAGCGAGGUCUAUCGCGAGGUCCCUGCAAAACUCCUCGAGCUAAUGGCCAAAAAUCGUCAUAGCAGUCGCGAUGCUGUCCUCGAUAGCAUCAUGUAACAUAUCACUUCCCCGUAAAUCGUGCCGAGUUCCGUCUAAAUGUGCGGAACGCGGAGUGGAACAAGUCGGUAUGGGUCCUAAGUGUAUUGGAACCCAUAUAUAUAGUAAAGGGACCCGAGAGAGUGAAAAUUGCAAUUCUGGCUAAGUUCCAGAAUUUUAGACUCUCGGGGACCGAUCCCUGCAGGGAGAGACCGGUCCCAGUAUGCGUAGCCUGCCCAGAAAGCUGAAAAAUCGGCUAAGUCCUGGAAGACUAGGCUACGGGAACUGGUCCCUGCGAGGAGAGACCGGUCCCCGUAGGUGAAAAAGUUAGGAAAUGGCUAAGUCAGGAAAUAUUGCUCUCGGGAACAGGUCCCUGCGGGGAGAGACCGGUCCCUGUGCGCUCAGUCAACCCGAAAAGAGUGAAAAUUUGGCUAAGUCCUGAGAGGUGUACUCUCAGGGACCAGUCCCUGUAGGGAGAGACCGGUCCCCGUAUGCGAAAAUUGCCCAGUUAGGCUGAAGUGAAAAAUAGAAAGUUGAGGGACUUGUGGGCAAUUGUGACAUGAGAUGGGUGUAUAUGUGAGAGAGCAUAGUGUUAGGGCUCAUUUGCUCCCACACCAAGCAUAAUAUCUCUUUCUCUCUCUCUCUAAAACCUUCUCUUCUCUCCUUCUCUCUCUCUAGGGUUGAUCAAGAGAGGCUUUUGGAGAGGUCUUGGUGGAGAAGAAGAUCAAGAUAGAGGUGUUGCUUGCUAUUGAGCAAGUGUACAAGGAAGAGCUUGAACCAAAGGUGAGGUUUCUUGGUUUUAAGCUAGGUUUUGGGUUCGUUUCCGUCUAGCAUGCUAGAGGUUUUUCCCCCAUAGUAUCCAUGCUAGGGACUAGUUUUGGGGAAGAUGACAUUAUAUAAGGACCUAUACUUAGGGUUUUGUAAUAAUGAGGUCGAAGCUUGGGUUUGAUCUCAUUUUAACCUAAUUGGUUGGUCAACGAACGCGUUGGUGCGCUCGGUUCGGCGAUACGACGAGCAUGCGCGGAGAUAUUGAAGAAACUGGUUAAAUCGGUACAGAUCGCCGUAGCUCCCGGCGAAAGCAUCUGAAAAUCAUGAAAAUUGGACCACGGCAUCCUAGUAGCACUGAAAGGUGGGGGGUGUUGUCCGGAAACACCGGAUCUCUUUCUAUAUCUAUGUCACUUCAUUUGAGCAUAUUGAUGUUAGCAUUUAUGCAUGUAGGGUAGCUUACUAUGUGUUCUUGGUCGAAUUGCAUUUAGAUGCUUAAGGAAUAUGUGAAAUGAUAAAGAACCAGGUGAACCAGGUAUGAAAGAACCCUAUGUGUAUGUGAAUGCGAGAACGGACUAUGACAAUAGUGAACAAAGGUGACAUUGACAUUAGUGACCAGAUUGGCACCGAGAAGGUAAAUGACUAAACAAGGUUUAGCUUAUUAUUGGCAUCCGGACCAUUGUGGCUUUGUGUAUUGAGACAGGUUUGGCAAGACUUCCUCAAAUUGAGGAUUGGAUCGUACUCACACUAGCUAUGGCUUGAGGACGGUAGCUCCUCCUCAAGUGGUGUACUCCGGAGUGUAGACACCACGGGGAGAGGCCCCGUCAUCGUUCUCUCGGGUGGUAGUGCUAGUAGCCUCCCCCGGUAGACGGGAAUCGUGGUUUGUGAGUUUCGGGUGAACCAAGAGUACCCCAGGGUGAUUGGGUAAGGGCCAAAAGAAAAGAAAAUAAACGAGAAAGGACAUACAUGCAUAAUUAUCAUGUACUGGUAUAUCUAUCUAUCUGUGGAUUGCUUUCUUGCAGGCAUUGUAAUAGUUUUGCAUUAGUUGGUUUGCAAUCUAUCGUUUCUUGAAUUACAUAUGCCUGAAAUAGGCCUAGUGGGCGAAUCGGCGCGGUCGGCGGGCGAACCCAUUGGGAACUUCGUUCUAGUUCUCAUUACCACUAACCCUGCAGAUCCGUGUGCGAGCGGGGCGGCGAAGGAUCGAGGCAAGGGUAUUGCACCGUAGCUAGCGGCCUCGGAGUAUAGGCAUACCCUACAUUUUGAGUAUUCAACUUUUGUAUGUUGAACCAGUAAGGAUAAUGAUGUAAUUCAUGUAUUUUGGGUUAAAGACCAAUGUGAUGUAAAUGAAUGAAUGUAAAUAUAAUAGUUUACUUGUGUUUGAUUCAAAGGUAAUCAAAUGACAUGUAGGUGGAUGAAUGAUUAAUUAGUAUCGAUGCUUUCACGUGUAUGUUGUUGUUUGCUCUCGUGCAAACCUUGUAUAUCUUGCAAUCUCUUUGUUGACUUGUUUGUAAUAUACAUGUUGAUUGAGCCUUGGGCGGACAGGGGAGGUGUUGUCCGUUCGGCGUCUGUUCGCGUGCCCGAACUGACCAAAUUGGCGGCCCCGGAGCAUGACAAUGCAGCCUAUCCUCUAUUAUCCCCACAUAUUGGGAGAAGACGGAAUAGUGCUCCUCCGCUUUCACGGCAGAGUCCUCCAGCAUGCUCAUGCAGUGCUCGAGCAAGACAGACUCUCUUGCCAGAGUCCGCGGCUCCUUGCUCUUGCCGCACUAGGUCGCCCUGGGCUCAGUCACAACGUCACCGAUGGCAGCUUCCAACGUAGACAUGGCUUCCCAGCAACAAACUCUCUCUGAUAUCAAUCGUCACAGACUUAAGCUAAAUUGCUUGUUUAGCCCGUGCGGCGCUCACCUUCCUUCAUAAAGUGAGCAAGCCUACCUCUCUACUUGUAACGUAUCGUAUCCCCGUCGAGCUGUACCGAACUUUCGUCAAAACGACCGAAGUGCGGAGUCGGACGAGUUGGAACGGUCCGCAAUGUAUUCCAAAUGCUUUGGAAUUGCUUGUGAAGGGUCUAUGGACAUAGGAGAGCAAGCUGGGAAAGUUGCAGCUCGAAAACUCCAAUUUUUGCUCUCGGGGUCCGGACCCUGCACACGGUCCGGACCUCGUAGCCGAAAACGGCUAGGGCUGAGUUGCCCUGUUUUGUGUAUUCGAGAGGGGGUUAUGUGUGAUUGUGUUUGUGUGUAUAUAUGGGAUGGUUAGGGUUUUGGCCUCAUUUCUUCACACUCAACACCAAAAGGAGUCCCCUUUCUCUCUCUAAAAACCUCUCUCUCUCUCCUUCUCACUCUCUCACUAGGGUUGUGCAAGAGAGGCUUUGGGUGGAGAAGAAGCUUGCUUGAGGUGGAAGAUAGCUAGUGCAAGGGGCUUAGAGGAAAGCUUGGAAACCUAAGGUAGGUUUUCAUGAUUAUUAGCUAGGGUUUAAUUACUUCCUUCUAGUAUAUGUUUCUAGGAGUUGAAAUGGUGGAUUUGGUCAUGCUUCUCCAUGUUUAGAGGACUUAUUUGGAGAACAUGAUAAAAUCUAGGGUUAUAUUAGGGUUAUGCAGAAUAUGGGAUCUAAGUUGGAAUUGAUCUCUUGUAGCCCUAAUUGGCGGAUAAUCUGACGCGUUGGUGGACUCGGUUCGGAAUUCCGACAAGUCUACGCGACGAUUUUGGGGAAAAAGCCUAUUUUGGCUUCGUUUCGCCGCAGUCGAGAGAAAUCGGCGUCUAUAAAUCCGAGACUUGAACUGUAGCUUCUCGACAUCCCUACAAGGUGGGUGGUGCUAUCCGAAAUCACUGAAUUUCUCAUUAUGUCUAUGUCGCCUUUUUUUGAGCAUGUAUGUGUUGUAGCAUUCAUGCAUGAUAGGGUAGUGUGAUAUGUGAUUAUGAUUGGGAUUCAAUUGUAUGGUUCUAUGUAGGUGAACAUAUAAAUUGAUAAGGAACCAUGUAUGUUGGAACCCUAUACUUGUAUGAAUGAGAUGUUGGACUAUGACAAUAGUAAACAAAGGUGACAUUGACAUUAGCGGGCAUGAAUUGGCACCAAGGAAAUGAUUUGCUAGACGAGGUAUAAACCUUUGAGCAUUGUGGCAAGUGUGGCCAAGUAUAUGAUAUACUAGACAAGGUAACAUCCUUUUGAGCAUUGUGGCAAGUGUGGCCUUGGGCAUUGUGGCUUAUAGCAAGUUUGGCUAUGCGUCCUCAAAAUUGAGGGGGAUCAUACUCACAUAGGGUCUUGGCUUGAGGGCGGUAGCUCCCCCUCAAGCGGUGUGCUUCGGAGUUGUCACCACUGGGUGUAGCAGAAUUCUCCCCAGAAGACAGUCCCUCACGUUGUAGCAGCAGAGUCUCCCCGAUCGACAGGGAUUAUGGUUGUGAGUUAUUGGGGUUAACCAAGUGUUAACCGAGUUAAUUGGGUGAAAGCCAAGGUGAAUGAAAAGGGGUCUGCGGCCGAACCCACUGGAAACUUCUUUUAGUUCUCACACCACUAACCCUGCAGAUCCUAGUGCGAGCGGGGCAGACGAGGAUCGAGGCAAGGGUAUUGCGCCGUAGAUAGCGGCCACCGGAGUUUAGUCGUACCUGUGUAUACUCAACUUUUGUAUGUUGAACAAAUGAUGUAUAAAUGUAUAAAGAGAUGUAAUCCAUAUGUUUUGGUUGGAUGAAUCAUGUGAUGUAAGUACAUGUAUGAAAAGAAAGGAAAUGGAUAUAAUAGGUAUAGUUCACUUGUAUUUGGUUUACAUGUAAUCAAAUGACAUGUGUGGAUGAAUGGUUUAGUUUAGUACUUAUUGUUGUUGUUUGCCCUCGUGCAAACCGUGUAUACUUGCAUUCUUCUUGUAUUGAAUUGCUAUUGUUAUACAUUAGUUGGUCGAGCCUAGGGCGGACAGGGGAGGUGCUGUCCGUUCGGCGUCUAUUGACGUGCCCGAACCGACCAAAUUGGCGGUCGCGGAGCGUGACACUACUUACUUAGGACCUACUCUCCUAGAUUAAGAACGAAAGAGAGAGCGUUUGAGGAAUGUUGUGUAUUGAUAAAAGUUGACAGUACAGCUGAUUUCCUAAGGAGAGGGGGUAGAGGCCACAACCUUAUAGAGGCUACUCGUCACCUAGGCUACAAAUGAAAAGAUGCCAAGUGGCGCAUAAUGACAAGGCAAAGAGAAAGGCUACAAGGUCCCAGGAGACUACAAUUAUUGCCCACCUAGAAACUCUAAGGACUCUUGACCCUUCGGCAUCCGCACCAUUAGUCUUGAGAUCCGCGUAGAAGCUUCUAGAAUGCCCCAGCAAAACCUCUGACAGAAUGCUCCUUCGGAGAUUGGGCCACUGUCAAGGAGAAAGUAACAUCUAGUUCUUCUUAGAGAUGCUUAGUGAUUUACAAUUGUAGAUUGCAAUAGCAAUUCAUGAAUUAAAUGAAGACAAGCAUGUAAAAUUGUAUUAGCUCACAUAGGCACGCAAAUAUAAAUAAAUAUGUUAUUUAUUUGUUUAUUCAUGAAAAAAAAAGGAAUUACUAUUUGGAUAAAAUUUAAUAAAUGCUACACAAUUUCCAAAUUCAAGUCCAACUAGCAAUACGUUUAUCUCCUAACAAAAUAGAUCAGAAGAUAAAGACUUCAAUGUUCUCAAAUUGAAUAAGAUGAAAUCCAAUUGACCUAAAAAGUGAUUCUCGCCAUGACUUCUUCAAAUACAAAGCAUAUGACAGAUCAAGAUCCUUCAGAGUGGUACUUUCACAAAUGUUCUCCUUGUUUGUUGACCUUCCUUGAAGAGAUCCCUUCAAGUCAUACCUGUGGUGAAUGCGCAACUCAGUGCAGAACAUAUUUCCCAUCACCACAAAACGGACCUGCAUAGGGGAAGUGUAGAAUAGCAGACAGCAUCAAGUAUUUACAAAGUCAGAGGAACAUAUUGACAUAUAUUAAAAAGUUACCUUCUGUCCACGUCUUAUUGUUAUCCUAUGCAGACCAAAGAACUUUGUUAUAAGGGUGUUGUCAUGAGCUCCUACAUGAUUGUAAUACCGAGGAAGCAUUUUCAAAAGAAUCUGCAGCAAAAAGUUACAUAAUUGCAAGAAAUAAUGUCAUAUCCAAUGUUACUGCUGAACAAAAUAUUAAUAAUCAUUAGUUAUUAUGAGAUAUGCAGUAGGUGGAAAAUGUUCUUGAAGCUUGAGCGGUGGACCCAUCGUGUUACCUCAGACUAGAUUGAUGCUCACUUUGUACGUUGUACAUGACAUUCAUUUUCACUAUAUACAUGACUUGAUUUCAAUGUGGCGGUCUGACCUACUAAUUAUACAUUCAUUUUCACUAUAUACAUAUAUACAUGACUUGAUUUCACUAUACACUACUUUAAUCUUGGCAUUACAUUCACUAUCAUGCUUGCUAUAAUUGCUUAAUAUGUUACUAACUUACUACGAACGUUCACUCUAACAACUGGGCACUGUUGUGUUAAUUACAUUAUUCUCCACAAAAGAGUGUUUUAGUGAACAAUUUAAUAUAAGAAACUGCCCUAGACUAUGACCUGGGAGCAAAGAUUUAAGUGCCCAUCGGCACGGGCCAUAUCAAUUAUGCCAUAUCGUGCCAACAAGAUAUCGGCACCAUAUAGCCCCCCGUGCCAAUGGCACAUCUCAAAACCCCUUAUUCUUUAAAUUAACAAGUAAUUUUUUCAAUGAAGUUCAAAAGAUUUGAUAAAAAAAUAUAAUAAAUAGUUAGAAUAUUUUGUUGCUAAAGAAAAUAAAUAUUUCAUGCCAUUAUGUGUCGGCACACAUAUUUUUUGUGAUCGGCACGCAUUGGCACCGCCCAAAAAAGCACGGACGAUGUCGUACCGUGCCAACAAAUUUCCAACACAACCCUGUGCCACGGCACUUAAAUCCUUGCCUGGGAGUAGGGAUGUCAAUGAUUAUAGAUACUCGAACCCGAAUGGGGCUGGUUUACCCAAUGCUAAACCAAUAUUGUAUGGGUUAUGAAUAUAAAAAAUAAAAACCAAUCGGAUUCAAGUUUGGGUAGAUAUUGUCUGUACACGACCUGGUCCUAAACACUUGUUUAAACCUAAUUACAACAUUUGGUAUUCAUGUUCACACGCCUGUACACUUGUUUUAUCUCAAACUUAUGAAUUUGUUUCAUUUCUGUGUAAAACCUCUUUGUUCAUUUUCAAUCAUUUAGUUUUCUCUCUGAUGCACACGAUACUUUGCCUCACUUUACAAGUGAUGCAAACCGGGAGGUUGCCAAAAUUGAAUUUUCAAGUUUGCUUUUGUUUAAAGGUAUUUCUUGAAAUAAACUACAUUCAAUUUAUCGAUUCCGACAAACUUCCUAUAAUUAAAGCAAGGAAGCAAAAAUUUCAGCAAGACAAAUUAAAAUCGAAUUGAAGCAAUACAAAGAGGAUAAUAAACUUUCAAUAUAUGAGUUAAUAACAACCAACUGAUAAUACAUAUAAUAGUUCCAAAAGGUAAAUUCGGCUUUAUCGGACUUAAAAAGUUCUUACAUUUGGUUGUUUGGCAAAUAUGAUUGGUAAUGGUGGAGGGCUAGAUUGAAAGGGAUAAUAGAAUAUCAGGGGAUGAGAGAUACAAAAAGUGCAUCGUUCACACGAUUGCGGGGGAUCCACGAUCGACGAGGGCAGUACACCAUGGAUAGAACUUCGGCAACGGGGAAGAAGAAGAAGAGGCACGAAUCCGAAAGAAGAUGAGGGGUAGAAAUAAAAGCCGAUCUUGUCAUGAGGAAGAAGCGACAAAGAUCAAGUUAAAGAAGAAGACGAUCUCGGCGUGAGGAAGAAGUGUCAAUGAUCUCACAAGUAGAACAUCGAGGAUAAAGAAAAAGAGUAGAAACUUCUAUUCAUCAAAAUAUGUCCCUUAAGGCAUCAAGAACUAUGUAUUUAUAAUGUUGAGAGCCCUCCUAUGAUAAAUUAUUGUCCUUCUAUUUUCAACACAACACAGCCACCCAAGGAUCAUGCACAGAAGACGAAGCAAUUUUGGAAAUUCCAAAGGUCCUUUUGAAGAAUGCCAAAGGUCUUUUUGGAAUUGUUUCUUUGUUUAUUGGCUAAAUUACUGAAAACUCCCCCGUCAAAACGCGAUUUUUCACUUUCCCCCCCUGUCAUUUAAAAACCUACACUUUGCCUCCUUGUAAAAUAAAAAAUGUGCACUUUGCCCCCUACCGUUAGUGAUCCGUUAGGGUUCCGUUAUAAAAUAUUUUUUUAUACCAAAAAUACCUCUCCGCCUCCUUCCCUGUUGCUUCGCCGCCUCGCCUCCUCCACUGCUUUACCUUCACCCACGCCCACAUCCCCGUCCGCGCCCGCAAACAUCCCUUCGCCCUCCUCCGCCGCCUCGCCUUCGCCCUCGUUGCCGUUACCCACCUCUCCAUCCACCCCGACCUCGAUUUCCACCCUACUGUCGCCGAAAUCGAGGGGCGGCGAGGGUGCAAGAGAAAAGGGGAGCAAGUGGAUAAGAAAAUGGAGAGAAACUGCAGUUGAUUGAGGCGUAAACCGUGGCCGAUCGAGGCUGCUGUUGAGGAAGAUGAGGGAGGAGACGACAAUGGUGAGAGGGGCAAAAUGGUCAUUUUACCAUCACAAUACACACCGUACCCCUCCUGUGAACAUUUUUUAUUUUACAAGGGGGCAAAGUGUAGGUUUUUAAAUGACAGGAGGGGAAAGUGAAAAAUCGCGUUUUGACAGGAGGGUUUUAUGUAAUUUAGCCUUGUUUAUUGGAGAAAAGCGUUAGGGUUAGCCAAAUCAACUAAAACUAAAUGAUUUAAGUCCGAAUCAAACACGAACCUACAAAAUAAAAGAAAUUGCAUCAGAAAAUAAAAUGAGGUUUAUUUGUUGCAUCAAUUGUAAGGACUGAGAAUUUGACUGUACAGCUAUACUCUCUGUUGACAAUAUUUUUGUGUGUAUUUUAAUUACAAAAGCACCCGUCAAGUUUCGGGAGAAAACGAGCUAGAAUGGAGAUUUUACGCGAUCUUUACUUUUCACUUAAAGUGAAUACUAACUCGGGUUUCCGAAGAGGCCAAUGAGUAGAGAUGGCUUCUGGCGCGUAUCGGACUCCGUUCAUAGCAAUCCAAUAGCUCGUUUUCAAUGGUCCGACUCAAGGUAUUAGGUACCGCCUCGUGUCGUACGGCACGGGGCGUGCCGUACCUUGCCCCCAAGAAGGGGGCACAGUACAGGGGGGGUAUCGCACCCCCCCGAGUCUCGCGGCACGCCUUUGGGUGCCGCUCGAGACAAAGCGGCACGCUGGUGCGUGCCGCCCUUUUUUUUUUUGGCUUUUUGGUUUUUUUUUUUUUUUUUGUUCUCUAGGAUCCCCCCUCCCAAGGCCAUCUAUAUUGCAUUUUUUUUUCACUUUUCUUUUGUUUUUUUGACAUCGUGAUGUCUUUUUGUCAACUUUUUUUUUUGCUUUUUAUCUGAUGCCUUUUUUUUUCCUUUUUUUUUCUUUUAUUAAAUUAAAAUUUUAUAAUUUAACUUCUUAUUUAUCAAUAUAGAAACAAAUUUUUAGUUGACAUAUCAGAUCCAUACCAUAGGCUCGGGCCGACUUCCACCACAAACAUUCAUUUUUUCUUCACAAAAUAUUUUGUCAAAAUUUGUCGCACCGCGAAACUUUCUGUGAAUCAGGGGAACAAUAAUCGAUCUCCUAAACAAAUUUUGAUCAAAAUUUUUUUAAAAGAAUAAAAAAGAAAAAAAAAUGAAUAUAAUUGCGGUACUAUUCUGGUUGUUCUAGUCAUUAUAGACUUCCUAAUUGAAUCAAUAUAUAGAUCUUGAAAUGUUUUUAGAAAAAAUAAAAAUUUCUAUCAUUUUAUCUGUAAUAAUUUUUUAAUUCUAAAAAAAUAAAAACACAAGAAUUUUCAAAUGUUACAGUAUGUAUAGUUGUAUUUUUCAAAUAAAAACAAAAAUAUAAAAACAAAAGAAUUUUAACUUCUAUUCUACAUCAGGUAUAGUUGUACUUUAUAUUCAAAAUAAUUACAUGCAUGUUAAUUGAUGAGUAUAUUGUAAGCUAUACCUAGCAAAUAUUAAUAAUUAUGUCUAAAUCUUUCAAAAUAACAUAAUAAAAACUUAUUGGAAUAAAAAAAACUUAAAUAAGUCCUUGCCAAAGCGUGCCAGUAGGAGGUCAUGUGUAUCCAUCGGCACGCACGCGUACCACAUGUCGGCACGGAAGCGUGCCCGUGCCGUACCGUGCCAGGGAAAGAGCGGCACGCCCCCAUGCCACGGCACUUUAAACCUUGGUCAAACUAUUCUAAAGCCAUUGGCGCUAACGGAUUUCAAAUCUGAUGCACGGUUUUCGAGGAAACUGUAGAUACAUGUAUUCUAUGUAUUUGUGUGCGGAUUUUGCCUAUUGUUGAGAGGAUGAGUUUCGUCGCAAAUCGGUGAUCAAAUCUGACAAAACAAAAUUAUAGAUUCGAUGCCUCAGUCGUGCUGAACGCACUGGCGCGAUCCGAUCAAAAAUCCGACGGACGGAUCUCCAGGAAUCGCAUAAUAUUCGCUGAGGGCUCGAAAUUGGCAAAACAGAAAAUCUGUGAAAAGCCCAAUAUUUUAUGUACCAUUUUGAGUGAUUUCGAACGUCGAGCUGCGCACGCGCGAAACACGCACUGCAAGGGACUGGGCUGAAAAUAGUCAGUUUUGGAGGACUUUUCUGCAAUAUUACAUCAUAUACAUAUGUUGGUGCCCUAACCCUAGCGGACCAGCUACCUCAGCUGUGCCCCAACCGUCACCAGCCACCUCCCAGCCCCUCGCCGCUUGCACCCCGACCGCCGGCGAUCGUUUCCGACCGCCGGAAAGGCCGGCAUUGCCUUUCUCUCUACCUUGUCUCCACCAUAUCGGCCGUCGACCUCGAGGAAUCAACCACACACGCCGGGCCCUCUCCCUCGGCCGAGACCCGACAUCCGGCGUCGUCCCCGCCUGCCCGUGCGCGCCGUCCCCACCGGCCCCCGCCGUCCGCGCGCGCCGUGUGCGCCGCCUCGGCGAUCCACGGCCACCCGCAGGCAGCUCAAGCCGAGCUUGAGCCAGCUCGUCGGGGUUGGCCGUGCCGCGCCGCCCUCCUGGGCCUCCGGAAAAACCCCCGUCGCCGUCGCCACCGUCCCUGCAGGCCCCCGGACGCCGCAUGAACUCCCUGCGGCCACCCUGUGCAGGUUCAGGCCGAGCCAGGGCCAUCCUGGUCCCUGCGCGCCGCUAGCGCCCACCCUCGGCCUCCAGCGACUGGUCGCCGUCGCCCCGGCACUCCCCCCGCCGCCGCCCGGCCGUCGUUGCCCGAGCUGCGUGGGCUCGUACCGCUCCACCGGCCUCCUCCUACCGCCGGCCAGCGCGUGCUCGUACCCCCUCCGACCGGCCGCAACCGCCUCCUGUCGGCACGCCCGCCGUCUGACCGCCGCCGGCCAGCCCAUGCUCCUAUUGGUUCCGGUAAGUUUACUUGCAUGUUUCUGCGCACUAUUUCGGGUUCGGGUUGCUGUUCCGGCGAUCCGAUGGCACCCUGACGCUCUCGGAAGUGAGCAUGACGAUCCCUGAUCUGUGCCGAUCAUCGUGCUCACCUUCUUUGGGGUCAGCGAAGCCUCGGUUUGUGUGCUAAACACUGUUUAGGCACUGCGCGCUAUUUGCAGAAUUUCGCGUCGCUCCCGCGCUCUCCACAGUGCUCGGCCAUGCUCCGAAGCAUGAGCACAGUUUCCGGCACGUCGAGACCUAUCAGCGGGUGUCUCGAGCAGGGUCGAAAGUUCUCGGUUCGUGUUGUCGGGCAGUAAAACCCCAAAAAUUACAUAAAAUGAUGUGAUUUUAUAUAGUCGCGGGGGCUUAUAAGCAAAUUUACAUUUCGUGGUUGCUGUAGGCAGCGUGCGGGCUGCAGGUGACAUCUGGACUGGUUGUCCAAGGCCCCAGGCCUUUUCGAAAAUCGGAUGUCGAUUUUUCGUGUGCUUUUCAGCGAAAUCCGCCGACGGAACGCGAUUUCAGUUUGGAAUUCUUCCGACGGUGCCUCAUGGUAAAUUAUGUCGUCGCUGAGUCUUGUUGGCUGGUCACUCGCGUCAUUUCGAAGGUUCGGAAAUGACGGGUGAGCGACGAUGGGUUCCUGUGUCGAAAUUGACACUUCUGGGAACUCGGAUCGACGAUAAUCGUUUCGAUGUGGGGAGAUGUGUUUGCUGCCAGGUCACACAAAUUAUUGUGUUUAGUGGCAGCAGGUGACUCGUGGUACGAGUCAGUGAGUUCCGGGACAGUUCGUCAGUCCCGGCGAAGUCCCAGUGCGAUUUUUGGGACUUCCGGCGAGUUACAAUAAUCGAUUUUGGGAAACCAACUUCCAUGGGUUUACAGGUGGGGAUUGUGAAUUAGUGGUUCUCAUUAGUGGGUUGAAUUCUAACCCGAUGGACCCUUCGUAGAUCCGAUUGAUAUUCUUCCGCAGUCGGGAGACUAGUUCUAAGUACGUACAGGUGGGUAUUUCGACCGGAAGUCGGUACAGUGGUGCAUGCUCGGUGACAUCUUCUUCCUCCCUCUUUUCUUUUAUUACCCGGCAUAUAUAUGUUGAGCCUAGCACCCUUAUUAUCUAUUUAUCGCUCUACCUGGUUGUUUACAUAUCUAGCAUCAUGAGUAGAAGUAGAGAAGGUUUGUGAUUACAUGUGAGAUCUGUGACCAAGUCGGUCGAUUCUUGUAUCUCGUACUGUGACCUAUUCGGUCGGUUCACUGCAUCUGUUAUUGUGAUCUACUUGGUCGGUUGGACUACUUGGUGACCUACACGAUCAGUACACCCUAAGGGGUAGGGUUGUCGGCUAGUUGCUGAUGGUUGUUUAUUGAGCAUAUUAGCAUCGAUCGCCACUACUCGUACGCAUUUCACGAACACCAGCGGUCUGAUCCACCGCAAAGGGUGUUCUUUAACGAAAAAGUGGUUGAAAAUGCUAGUCCGUGAGCCCAAGAGCUUAUGCUGGGGUUAUAUGCUUUCAGACCCAAGAGCUUAUGUUGGGAUCAUAUACCUUUCCGACCCAAUAGCUUAUGCUGGGGUCAUAUACAGGUUAGAGCACUUCUGGCACAGGUCUGAGGUGUGCGAACCAACAUGGCAGGUUUCUGAUUGUGUUACUUUUGGACUUGUCGUCCGGUUGAUGCAUGCAUACAGUAGCAGUAGUGAUUCAUACAUAUAUAUCUCGUCUCUUGUUUAUCAUUGCUAUUGUAUUACCAUUAUCUAUACUUUUGUUUAUCCUCCUUGACUGGUGAGUACCUCUCGCCCUCGUGGGCUUGCGAUACCCACUGGGAGGGGAGACAUGUGUACAUGUUCUCACCUCCCCACCCCCCUUUCAGGUGACAUCGCUGGUUCGAGUCGGGACGGUAUGUGAGGUGCGCAUCUUAGCGAGCGAUAGAGCUAUCGGCCCGCCGUUUUGGUUAAACUCCUAAACCUAUCUGUUUAAAUAAUUGACUUAGUAUUUAUAGUUCAGUUGGUUUAACAUUAUUUGGAUAAAUGAGGUUUUGUGAAUGGAAUAAAGAACUUAUGGUUUUCGUUUGAGAUGAAAACGGCUUUCUACCCCUCGUGGUAACGUGUUUUAAAAGAAAAAGGUUUCUGUGUGAGAAACGGUUUUAAAAAAAAGUUUUUCUUGGUUUCAUGACUUAGUGUUUCAAAAUGAGUUUCAGAGUAGGAAACAUUUUUAAACUAAUAGUUGUGGAUUUACGGAUAUCUCUGAUGAAAUGAAUGUAAAUGUGAAUGGUGAAUGUAUGUGUAAGGAAUUGAAUUCUCGAUACGUGAAUCCGAAAUUCGAUCGAAAUUGAUCGAAGGCGAGUUCGGGACGCUUCGGAAAGGCCGAACGCGUCGAAAACGGCUUUUAGAGGGUUGUAGAGGACCUUGGAGAGUUGGUAGUGCAAAUCUACACUUUUGCAGAAAUUACCUCUCUCGGGGUCCGAACCAUAGCUUCUGGGUCCGGACCCGAUAGCCCGAUUUCGCCCAGUGCGGGCUGUGCAGAAAACUGAUAGUUAAGGGGGUUUCUUGCAAUUUUGCUAUGAGAGGAGUUAAAGGCUUUUAGAGGCUGAUCUCCUAUACACUGGAGUGAUGUUGGCGAACGUGCGGUAUUAGGCCCCGAUGUCUUGCGGGAGGCGGAAGAGAAGGUCCACCUUGCUCGCCAAAGAUUGGUUACGGCGAAAUCAAGACAAAAGAACUAUGCGAACAAGCGCCAUCGAGAUUUGGAGUUCGCGGUGGGAGACCGCGUCUUUUUGAAGGUUUCACCCAUGAGGGAUGUGAAGCGGUUUAGAGUGCGGGGAAAGUUGAGCCCCCGGUACAUUGGACCUUACGAGGUGUUAGAGUGGAUUGGUGCGGUAGCCUAUCGGCUUGCGUUGCCGCCCAAGCUCGCGGACGUUCACAACGUGUUUUACGUUUCCAACCUUCGCAAGUAUAUCCAUAAUCCCGAGCACGCUUUGUUGUAUGAGCUACCGAAACUUUAAGAAGAUAUGUCUUAUGAAGAGUUCCCGGUGUCAAUUAUUGCUCGGGAAGUGCGAAAGUUGAGAAACCGCGAUAUCCCCUACGUCAAGGUUCGGUGGAGCAAUCACGACAAUCGCGAAACCACGUGGGAACUCGAGGACAUGAUGAAAGCGCAUCAUCCUCAUCUCUUCGAGGAGUUGAGUUGAAGUAUGAGUUUAUGUUUAGGUUGAGUUAGUUUCGAGGACGAAACUCCUUUUAAGGAGGAAAGGAUGUAAGGAAUUAAAUUCUCGAUACGUGAAUCCGAAAUUCAAUUGAAAUUGAUGGAAGGCGAGUUCGGGACGCUUCGGAAAGGCCGAACGCGUCGAAAACAGCUUUUAGAGGGUUGUAGAGGACCUUGGAGAGUUGGCAGUGCAAAUCUGCACUUUUGCAGAAAUUACCAUUCUCGGGGUACGAACCCUAGCUUCAAGGUUCGGACCCCGUAGGCUGUGCAGAAAACUGAUAGUUAAGAGGGUUUCUUGCAAUUCUGCCAUGAGGGGAGUUAAAUGAGGGAUUGUCUCGCUCAUUUCUCUUAUUUACUCCCAAACCUAACCCUAAACACACUCCCUCUCUCUCUAAAGCUCUCUUUCUCUCUCUCUUCAAGGUGGGAUUCAAGAGGAGAGAUUGGUGGAGAAGCAAGCUUGGAAGUUGAUCUUCAUCUUCUUCAUCUUCUUCCUCACCAUUGGAGCAAGCUUUGGAGGUAAGCUUGAUGCCGUUUAAUGGUAGAUCUUUAGGACUUGAAUCUUUUGCUCUAAGAAUGGUUUUAGAUGAACCCUAGGAUGCUAAGAAAAAGGUUAUUGCUUGAAUCAUGGGGUCAUAUGAUGAUUUUUGCAAUAGUAGCAUAUUAGGGCUCCAAAUAGGGUUUUGUAAGAUAUAAGAGUUUGAUCUAAAUUGGACCUAUGUAAACCUAAUUGCUAGGUAUUCUAACGCGCUGGUGAAGUCGGUUCGGCGAUUCGUCGAGCCUACGCGAAGAUAUUGGGAAAAAGGACCAUUUGAGCUUCGUUUUCGCCUGGAAGGCCAAGGCAACGUCCAAAAAUCACGAAACCGGAUUCCUAGCAUCGUGACGUCAUUUAGAGGUAGGGGGUGUCACCCGAAGCAACUGAGCUCCCUUCUGUGUCUAAGAUUGCAUUGUGACCUUGCAUUUCUCAUAUUGUAAAGCAUAGUAGGAUUGUAGUUUGUUGCAUUUCCAUUCCUUAUAUGAUUUCCUAGUCGAUAUCGUAUUGUGGGACGAACACAUGACAUAGUGGAUAUGUAAGGAAAUGGGACUUGACAUUGAAAUCCUAUGAUGCUAAAACAGGUAGAGAACUUGAUAUGUGUAGUGGCAUAACGAGUGGCAUUUAAAUAAUGUUUGAUGACAUAGAUAUUAAGUGGCAUGAUGAAUAUAGUGUAGAUGAAACACUUGAACAUUAGGGAUAGAGGAAUUUCCCAAGUAAUGAUAUGUUGCAUGUGAACUUAGUGUAGUGGGAACACUUAAACACGAACAUUAGGGAUAGUCGAGUUCCCGCAUUGUUGAUUAGCCCUAGAUGGUAGGGUAUCCUCAGUUGGCGAGGAUUGGAUCAUACUCAUAUAGUCUAUUUUCGCUAGGCGUGGUCGCUCCACCCAAAUAGUGAGCUCCGGAGUCAUCACGUGAUGAACUAACGUACAUGUCCAGCAGACGGUCUCGGGUUUGCGAGCAGGAGGGUCACCUUACCUAUGGGAUUGCACUGUGAGUCAUGGGCAAACCUUCGGGUUAGCCAAGUGAUUGGGUGAACAUAUGAAUGACAAGUUUAUUGAACAUAGUAGCAUGAUAGUUGACAUCAUUACUAUAUAGUUCUUGCAUGCAUUCAUAAUGAUUGAGGCAUAGUAGUUCAUUUGUGGAUUUCGUUAUUAUAUAGCAGUUGAUUGCAAAUUUAUCUAUCUACUUAUGCCUGCUUAGACCUAGUGGGCAGAUCGGCGGAGUCGGUGGCCGAACCCACUGGGAACUAUUCGUAGUUCUCACCCCACUUUGUUGCAGGGCCGAGUUCGAGUACACCGGGCGAGGAUCGCGGUAAGGGCAUAGCGCCCUAGUAGCUAGCAGCUUCCAUUUUGCAUUAGAGUACCCUCGUGUACACGGUUGACAUGUGAUGUAGAUGUAUUUUGGGAGUUACUUAGGUAUCUAGAUGAUGAACUUGUAAAUCUUAUGUAUACAUUUUGGGAGAUGGAAAUGAAAACUGAUGUAAAUGGUUGAAUGAAAUAUAAUAGUUAGUACACUCUCUCUCUUUUGCUCUCUUGUAUGCUUGUUUAGCUACUUGCUUGGAUCAUGUACAUUGUUUAAGUUUUCUGGGCAACUUAUUGUACUUGAUUGUCAUUGUUAGCCUUGGGCGGACAGGGGAGGUGCUGUCCGUCCGGCGUCUGUUCGACGUGCCCGAACCGACCAAAUUGUCGGUUGCGGGGUGUGACAGUAUGUGUAUGCUUAUACGGUUGUGGUUGUAUAUUGUACUUGUGCGACGCCGUGCAAAUAGAGAGGAGACUCUGUCCGUGUGAACAGUGAACAUCCUGUAUUUGUGGCUGAUCUGACAUACUUUGGGGUCAAGGUUUUCAAAAAAAAAAAAAAUUGGGCACGGGCAUUUCCGCAUUGGCUUUUAAACCCAAUAGGGAGCCCGGGGCGUAACAUCUCGAUUCCGUCGAGAUGUCAUCAUGAUAGCUCUGGUAUAAGUUCUCUCGAAGUUGGCGCGACUCCGCCUCAGAAAUCCAACUACUAUCGGGCAAUGGUCAUCCACGCCAACACACCAAGUAUCAGCGAUGAGUACUACCUCGCGUCGCAGACUCGCGCACAUCCAGAAUAUCCUCCACGCUAUCUGAUGGAGUUUCAAUGUCGGAGCGAGAUGUCAAGCCGUCAAUAUCAACAGUAGAUAGGGUUUCUCCAGUCCAUAGUACUCGUACUGUCGUACAGCUCGCUGACACUGAAGAUCGGGAAGGUCAGUACUUCCUAGGGUCGAUCAAUUAGAUAAUCGUUUUUCCCCAAUUUUUUCAGAAUUUUGAAUGGCUCAUACUUUUUCCUGUUCAACUUGCUAUAGCCUCCAGCUGGGGAACCUUUCUUUCCUAAAAUAGAUUAAGACAUUAUCUCCUUCAUUAAAAGUCAUACCUCAGCGAUGUUUAUCAGCUGACUUCUUAUACUUGACAGUGGAAUCCCGCAACAUCCAAUGAACCUGUUGUUGCACCUCUUGAAUCUGUUUUAGGUAAUAGUCGGCAUCUGCACUAACUCUACCAGGGUAAGGUAUUGGUGCUCGGUCAAGAACGUGGGCUAUAGCUGGCCAUAUAAAGCUUCAAAAGGAGAUUUUCCAAUGCUUCGGUUUAUGGAAUUGUUAUCCGCAAAUUUAGCUUGAGGUAAAAUUAAAUCUCACUAUGUUGGCUUUUCUCAAGCUAAACAUCUUAAGAGAUUACCCGAAGAUUGAUUAACUAUUUCCGUCUGCCCGUUAGUUUGUGGAUGGUAUGGGCUACUGAAAUUCAAUUUGCUUAUUGCUUUUGACAUUAAAGUCCUCCAAAAAUGACUAACAAAUUUUGUAUCUCAAUUAGAGGUAAUUGAUUUAGGAAUGCCAUGUAAACGUACAAUUUCAUUAAAAAAUAAUUUUUGCAAUAUGUGAUGCAUCAGAAGUUUUCUCACAAGGAAUAAAAUAAGCCAUUUUCGUAAAACGAUCAACCACAAAAACUAAAUCAACUUGGCGUGCAGUCUUGGGUAGGCCUAGGACAAAGUCCAUGGUAAUAUCCUCCUAGGGCAUAGUGGGAAUGUGCAGGGGAGUAUACAAGCCAGUAUUUUGAGUUUGUCUUUUAAAUGAUUGACAAGUUUUACACCGCUGAACAAACCUUACAAAGUCCUUACUUAUUUUAGGCCAAUAAUACCGCUCUUGAACUAAUCCCAAAGUCUUGUCUCUCCCGAAAUGUCCCCCUAGCCCACUACUAUGCAGAUUCUGAAUCAAGGACUCUCUUAACGAUCCUCAGGGAAUGCACAACUUGGACUUUCUAAAAAGAUACCCGUCGUCCAAACAGUAAUCAAAAGAUGAAUCAUUGUCAGAAGAUAGGCACUUUUCUAGGAUAGUACUGAAUUUAGGGUCAUUUUGAUAUUGGUCCUUAACUACCUCAAAUUCUACCAUCUGUAAGAAGUGAUAAGCAAAUGGUUUCAACGGUUGAGUGGAUCAGCGACUCGAUUAGCAAUGCCUUGUUUAUGCCGCAAAUGAAAAGUGUAUUCUUGCAGGAAUGCAGUCCACUUGGCAUGUCUUUUGUUCAAGUUCUUAUGAGAAUUUAAAUAUCGCAAUGCUUCAUGAUCCGAAUUAAAAAUAAACUCUCGAUGAAUAAGUAGGGCCGCCAAUGUUUCAAAGCCUGCACAAUCGCGUAAAAUUCAAGAUCAUAAGUGGAGUAACGCGCUCGUGCAUCGUUCAAUUUUUCAUUAAAGAAGGCUAUAGGACGUUCCUCUUGAGACAGUACACCUCCAAUUCCGAUGUGUGAAGCAUCACAAUCAAUCUCAAACACUUUUUCUAUAGUGUACUGGAUUUUAAUAUGAAAGUAAGUGUAAAUAAAAAUGGUGGGAGGUACUAUUUUUAUUGGACUUAGAAAAAUAAAGUAUAAGUCGGAAAUGACUUGUGCUGAAAUUGAAAUGAAAACAGAAAAUUUAGAAUUUUCUGUAAAAAACGGAGCUUAUUUUUUAGCAAAAAAUUCACAGUGCCAGAAAAUUAUGAAAAUUUGAGAAUAUGUCGGAAUUAUUUUUCUGAGGCUAGAUUUAAAGUUUCAUAUCAUUCCGACACCCAGAAAGUGGAAACGGAACAUAAUAGCAAUUUGAUAGAGAUUUUAUUUGGUAGACUUUUCGGUGACCAAAAAUGGUUCGAAACUGAAAAAUUAAAAUAACGUUAUUCUGAUUGAUUUUAACAGAGCCUGACUGUCAAAUUUGAAUGCAAAUGGACAUUCAGAAGGGCUCCGACGAAAAGUAUCAGAUUUAAACUGAGCUGGAGAUGUAAUUUCUAAUAAGUGCAGGGGGUUCCUGCGAAUUUGGCUAGCCUUCUUCUUCUUCUUCUCCAACUUGAAGAUUUUGGUGGAGAUUGAGCUCGGGAUGCUUGGAGGAAUGGAGUGGAGAAUCGAGCUCUCGGGCACUUGGUGAAUCAGAGCGCUUUCGACUUGAGGUUCGUUUUUGGGUUAAGAGAUUAAGGAUUUGGAUUUUAAUUUGGAAAGUAGAUUUUGGUGAACCCUAGGCUAGUCUAAGCUCCGAAUUGGUAGAGAUUAGUAUGAGAUUGGAGGAUUUUCUUGAAUUGUGAGAAUCUAGGGUUUAGAAAGGAGCUUUUGCAAUUAUAGGAUUUUGAUCUAAAUUGAUCCUGUAAUCCUUUAAUUAAAGGUUAUGGAUGGAUGCCUAGUAGCUUCGAUUCAAAUAAUAACAAUAUUUCGGCGAUCAAUUGGAGGAAACGAGCCGAUUCAUGAAGAUUUGGGUUUGUUGGGCUUAAAGCGCGGCAAAUCGUCAUUGGGAGCCUAAUUGCAAGUGUCUACAAGCAAUUAGGAAGCGUGUGAGGUGCGUUGUGCUUCACCGAAGUGAUUAGAUCACUUCCACGUCGAAAAAGUAAAGUUUAAUAUUGUUUUACUUGAUGCAUGUAUUAGUAGUUUAAUUGGUAAUUGUGCAUUUAUAGAGCAUGUGAUUCUAAAUGAGGAACUACUAUUGUACAAGAUUUAAUUAUGUGCAUAGACCAAGAUAUACAUAAUUGUAAUUAUGCAUGUUAGGGUUCAAGUUAUGUAUUGUUAUUAUUAUUUGCAUGUUUCCUAAAUUAGAAGUAGACAACUAUUGUUGAGAACUCUAAAACUCAGGAUGCACGAAUAUAGUGCCAUGUGAACCCUAGAGAUGCAAUGAACUAGUAGAGUAAACUAGUUGUAUGGACAUAGGUUGAAAAACAUAGUGGUAGGAUGACCACUUGGAUUGGAAUGUCAUUGAACCUAUAGUCGAGUGAACCUAUGUGGGAAAGACAUAGGACCUAGUGUUGUUAAACCUAGGUAUGAAAAUAUAGUGGUAGGAUGACCACUUAGACAAGAGAACAUAAACCUAGAGAGGUUGACAAUUUAGGGUAAAUGAUGAACCCUUGAGACUUGGAAUGGAAAAUGAUGUGCACAUCUAAUGAGUUUGGUAUGUGAGUCAUCGUUCGGCGUGUGCAGCGAUUUCGCCGCCAGAUGGAUUUUGGUGCGACGAUUUCGCCGCGGAAGGCUGGAUACCCGAGGUGUGUGCGACGAUUUCACUGCCUAGGGACUUGAGCCAUUGUUCGACGUAUGAGACGAUUUCGCCACCAGAUGGCUAAGUCAAGUAAAGGAUUACACCACCCGGCGACUUAAGCCAUUGUUCGGCGUGUGCGACGAUUUCACUAUCAUAUGGCUAAGUCAAGUAAAUGCGGUAAGCUGUGGAUGAUUGAGUUAAGACCGAGUCGGGUGAUAUAGCUUGGCUAAGGUAAGAGAACCUUAGGAACGGAUUGGAACUGAGAUAGAUAGUGAAAUAGAAAAGUAGAAAAGGAAUACCUUUUUGCAUGGAUUUCAUUAUUGCAUUUAGUUGAGGCAUAAGCAUGUUUUAUUACUUGCAUAUAGUUGAGUUAUAUGUUUAUAUACUGGACUAACUUAUGUUGCCUCCUUUGGACCUGGUGGGUCGAGUUCUUUCCUUGGGUGGCCGUACCCACUGGGAACGAUGUUUAUUGUUCUCACCCCCAUGUUUUUUGGGUCCUCAUGUGAGCGGUGCGGCGACGCAGGGAAAGGUCGUAGCUCAGUAGAUAGUGCCCUACCACUUGUGACCAGAGAUAGAUGUACCCUCGGUCAGCAUAGCGUAGGGUAUGGAAAGAAAAGAAAGAAACAAAAUUGUAAUAAAGUUGAUUGCAUUUGGAAAAAUGUAAAUGUAAUGUAAAGUGAAUGCUUGUAAUAGCGUAGUUGUUUAUGUUUUUGAUACCUCUUUAUGCAAUCUAUGUAUGCAUUCUGUUCUUGGUCGGAACAUCGUGAAUUGUACUGAUUGUGACAACUUGGACGUACAAGAAAAACUCUGUCCGUUCGGCGAUCUGUGUGAGUGCCCGAACCGACCAAAGAGGCGGUCUCGAGGCGUCACAUUUUCAACGUCAGGCAAGGCAAGUACUGGAGCCUUUGCAAGUUUGUCCUUAACCAAUUGAAAACUUAUUUCAGCUUCAAAUGUCCAAGUAAAUUUACCCCCUUUUAGGCAAUCAGUUAUUGGCGCAAUUAAUGAACUGAAAUUUCGAAUGAAACGCCGAUAAAACGACGCAAGUCCAUGGAAACUUCGGAUUUCAGUUAUGGUCUUUGGGGUUGGCUAACUUUGAAUUGCUUCUAUCUUAACAGGAUCAACUUUAAUUCCCUCGAUGGACACGACAUAGCCUAAGAAGGUAAGGCUAUCGGUCAGGAAUGUACACUUCUUAAGAUUCAGGGAUAAGCUGUUAUCUCUUAAAGUUUGAAGCAAUUGUCUUAAAUCAUCUACAUGAGUUUCAAUACUUGUGUUAUGAAUCAGAAUGUCGUUGAAGUAAACUACAACAAAUUUUCCAAUGAAUGGUCGUAAGACUUGGUUCACAGAGCGCAUUAAAGUAUUAGGGGCAUUGGAUAACCCAAACAGCAUAACCAGCCACUUGUAUAAUCCUUCUUUGGUUUUAAAUGCUAUUUUCCAUUCAUCUCCAGGUCGAAUAUGAUAUCCGCUCUUAAGGUCAAUCUUAGGCUACAUUUGGUUGGAGGGAUAUCCCAAAACAAGGUGGGAUAUCCCCCCAUCAAUACCCAAACAGAAAAAAAAAGAGAGGGGGAUUUGUUGUUCCGGGCUUAAUAGGUUGUUCUAAGAAAUAAUUCCAAGAACAACCCGUUAAGCCUGUUCUCCCCAGAUGAGAGAAUUAGGGGGAACAACUUGGGGGCUAUGUUUGUUUACCAUUUUGCCCUUUAACCCUUCAGGAUGUGUUUAGGAAUUUUUUUGGAAAUUUUUUUAAUUUAUAAGAGCCACACUAUUUUGACUUAUUAAUAUUUAAUUUAGUAAAUUAAAAGAAAUAGAUUGAAUGAUUAAUUUAAUUUAAUAAGUGCUAUUCCAUUUUAGAUAUUUAUAUUUUAAAUUAGUUUUGAAAAAAAUAAAAAAAUAUUUAAAUUGAAUAGUACUAAAUUAAUAUUUUCAAAUUAAUAUACAAAUAUACUUAGUUUGUAAAUUAAUUUAUUUUAAUACUUAAUUUAUUAAAUCAUAUUUGAUUAUUAUAUUCAAGGGCAAAUUUGUCAUUUUAUUUAAUUUUUAUCUUUCCAACACCUUAUUUCAACAUAAACAUCCAAACACUAUCAAGAAUAUUCUCUAGGAACAAACAAACAACAUCCAAACGUAAUUUACAAUUUGUUCUAGCUUAUACCGGAAUAUCCCCUGUUCUCGGGAACAACAAAAGUUGUUCUCCAAAUUUAGUUCUUUAGCCAAACGCAGCCUUAGAGAAUAUCUUCAGACCUCAUAACAUGUCAAGCAUAUCAUCAAUCCUAGGAAUAGGAAACCGAUACUUGAUGGUAAUUUUGUUAACUGCUCGACUGUCAACACAUUCGCCACGUUCCGUCCUUUUUGGUGUAAGGAGGGCAGGCAUCGCGACAAGGCUCAUACUUUCUUUAAUGUAACCUUUUUGCAGAAGUUUAAAAACCUGCCUGUGUAACUCUUCAUGUUUUGUGGGACUCAUCCUGUAAUAGGCUAAGUGUAGAAGACUAGCACAAAGUACAAAAUCAAUGCAGUGUUGGAUGUCUCUUAUAGAUGGAAGGCCAUCAUGGAGUUCCUCAGGCAUGACAUCAGAAAAUUCAUUCAACAAUGGUUGAACAGCUUGAGAAACUCUAGUGUUCUUCAAUAUUUCUUUUGCCAAAAGAAUAUAUACCACUGGAGACUUUGCUAGAUCUUUCGAGAAUUGGUUUUUGUUCAAAACCAUAAUUUUCUAUUCAUUAUUGGAGGGUUGCUUUUGGGACUCACUCGAUUUAGACUUUAGUUCGGGUAAGUAAUUUAUGGGAACCAAUCUAACUUUCUUAAUUGUCUUUUGUGACAAUGUAAGUGUUCUCCCUACCAUCAUGUAUAGUACUACGAUCAAACUGGCAAGGUCUACCCCACAAUAAGUGACUCACAUCCAUAGGAAUAACAUCACACCAGAGUACCAGACUUUAUAUGUUAUUCCAACUGAAAAUUCAACAAAACAUCUUUCGGUUAUAGGAAACUCAUCCUUAUCCUUAAACCAAGCUAUUUUGUAAGGUUGAACAAGUUUUUCAGUUUUCGGUUUAAGUUUAUCAACCAUUUCUCUAGAAACAAAGUUUUCAGUACUUUCACUAUCAAUGACCAAAGAGCAAAACUUGCCUCCCACGCUACAGAUGGUUCUGAAAAGGCUACGACGCUUCUAAUCAUCUUGGGUAGACUUAGAGGCUGAUAGGACUCGAUGGAUCAUACUAUUUAGUCUGAAAAGGCUACGACGCUUCUAAUUGGUUUCGAUUAGAUUUAUGUAAGAAAUCUGAACCCUAUGUAAUUUAACCCGAUUUUAUUUAUUCUAGUAAAUAUAAUACAAAAACAACCAUACUAUUUAGUCUAAUUUAAUCUAAUCUACUAUAUUGUAGUAUAUUUAUAUCCUCCGCCUCUUAUGUGACAAAAGGGUCAUCGUAACGCCAAAUGGUCUCCAAAGCUAAAUGCUAGACCUACAUUUCCUUGAUGGUGAAAUGAGUAAGUUGGGUACCAUUUUUCAACUGAAGCAAAUGUAUACUUUGUUAACAUAACUACUGCUUUCUAAUAGAAAUGUUUCUCUGUAUUGUUCAUCUAUGUAGUAACUGUUACAUCCUCAGGCUGCAGUCAACAUCUUUCAAAAAACGUUUCUAACUGUCAAUGUGCUUGAUGUAAAUGUUGAAGAAGUAUAUCCCUGUUUUCAAUUUGCCAAGUCAUUACGAUAAUCAUGGUACUAAUCAUGUAUAGGGUUCACUAAACAAGUUCCAUGAGAAAUAUACUUUAAAUAAGAGAGUAAGAAAAGUAUAUCAACCAACAUCCUAGUUCUAGGGUAAAAUAAUUAUCUUCAUCUUUUUUAGACGCUUAGAUUGCCAAUUCUCCUACAUUUUACGGAGAUGAUUUAAACAAGAAUAAUUUAAUCUUCAUUUUAACAAUUUAUAUCUUAGCAUGCACGUGCAAUUCAUAGAUGACAUGAAAUUUUUAUUUUCUUUUGCACCAAUAUAUUCUAAUUGUUUAUUACAUAACUAAUGCCAAAUCUUUCACACUUUAUUGAAGUAACUACAUACUAAUUUCCAAAAAAAAAAAAAAAGCCGUUUGAGUCAUGCCAUCAACAUGGAGGUCGUAUCAUGCCAAUACCUUGUCGACAUGGUACGGCUUGAUGGACAGAGUCUGUGCCAAUGGACACUUAAAUCCUUAGUGGAUACUCUUUCUACCAAAUCAAUACCAUGUUGGCAAAGCAAUAUAGUGCGGCACUCAAAACACAAUGAACCAUUUCCUGUGUUCACAUGUACGUAGGGAAAGGGAUUUCUAGUUUUCUACACAUAAAGAGAUUUUGAAGGCGGGCCAAGGAUUUAUAUGGACAUUGAGCAUUUCUCAACACAAUCAAUUAUCACCAUGUUUUUAACAUCGUGAGUGAUUCACCAUUUUCAGCAGAUAUUCAAUACCUCCCUUUCAGUGCCAACAUAGUUUGGAUGUGGUAAAAGACUAAAAGCGAGUUCCACAAGCAGUUUUUAUGUGGGAUUAUUUUAUGAAAGAACAAUAAACUACAUACGAGCACCAUAUAUCUGACUUGAUAUGGUAUCUUUUAAGUUAUAACUAAAUAAUAGAAGAGAAAAUUGACUACUUAAGUACAAAAAUAGAAAUACAUGGUGAAAUUCAAUUGUGCAUAAAACAAAUAUUAUUGCUAAAAUCAAGUGCUAAAUUCAUUUAAAAACCAUAAAUCAACUUACUGAAAACAAAGAAUCUAGGAUAGAAGGUAAACCUUGAGUUCAUAUUUUCUCAAUGUCUUAAUGACAAAUCUUUCAUCCUGUGAAAGAUAGAAUAUGCUCCCACUUUUCCCUGGAGAAGAAAGCUCCUUUAAACCAUCACCCCCACAUAUGGACAUCAUGUAAUCUGCAGCAUCAAUCUUAAACAUUUCCCGAAGGUUCCUGAAAAUAUAGUUUGAUAGAAAGAUCAAUUAGAUGAAGAUAUUGUCAAAUGUCACUUGAUCCAGAAACUUGUAGUGAAGAGUUGGGUGCCAUCGCAGUAUAUCAAGUUACUUCUACCGUCCAACAGGUAGAGAUCAGCUGUAUAAGCAGAGUAGAAAUCCCUUGCAAUAGUUGUAGAAUCUUAUUGCAAUUGUCCAUUUUCAGAAAGCUGGCAUAUCAUUGAUCAAUAGAUGAAAAAUAGCAUAAAAUGUAUGGAUAGACCAUGUACUAUCCUGCUAUUGCAAUUUAGUCCUUGGAACUUUUUAUUCAGACACUUCAGCACUGCACUUUCUCAUAUACUCCUGGCCAUUAAUGCCUUUGUGCUAUGAAACGACCUUUUAUGGGUACACAGAAACCAAAGAAGUCAUUUUAUAAAAGGAGAAUUCAUUGGAAAAAAGAAAAAGCUAAAUUACAUAAAACCCUCCCGUCAAAACCCAAUUUUUUACUUUCCCCCCCUGUCAUUUAAAGACCUACACUUUGCCCCCUUAUAAAAUAAAAAACGUUCACUGGGGGGUACAGUGUGAAAUGUGAUGACAAAAUGACCAUUUUAACCCUCACUAUUUUCGUCUCCUCCUCAUCUUGCUCAUUCACUGCCUUGAUCGGCCGCGAUUCCUCUCCAUUUUUUUUUCCACCUACUCCCCUUCCCCUCCUGCACUCUCGUCACCUCUCCAUUUUGGCGACAGUAGGGAGGAAAUCGAGAUGAGCGUGGAUGGAAAGGUGGGCAAAGGCAACGAAGGCGAAGGUGAGGCGGCGGAGGAGGGCGAGAGGGUGUUUAUGGGCGCAGACGGAGACGUGGGCGAGGGAGAGGCAGUGAAGAAGGGCGAGGUGGCGAGGCGGAUGACGACAAAGCACAGUAGAGGGCGGAGGGUAUUUUUGGCAUAAAAAAUAUUUUAUAACGGAGCCCUAACAGAUCACUAACGGUAGGAGGUGAAGUGAACAUUUUUCAUUUUACAAGGAGGCAAAGUGUAGGUUUUUAAAUAAUAGGGAGGGAAAGUGAAAAAUGGGGUUUUGACAGGGAGGUUUUCUGUAAUUUAGCCAAAAGAAAAUGAUAUUUUUAAUGUUUAUAGAUGAAUUAGAAUAUUUUAAAACACUCAGCGAAUAGUGUUUAAAUACAGGAACUAAGUCGCAAUAUUGGGAUAGUAUAGGAACUAUCUAAACAUUUUAUGCCAACGAAUAUAACAUAUUAAAACAUACCUAAAGACCAUAGGGCAGUAGUCCUUCCAAAAGAAACUGAUAGAGUUAUGUGAAGGUGUAUAUUGCGAACCAUCCUUAGGGAAAUACAUUCUUAUUCUUGCUCGAGGACCAAAAUCAGAAGAACGAACCUCGCGCACAGGGACAGGUGUAAUUUUUCCAACUGUAUACCUGAACAAUCACAUCAAUUACAUAGUUACUCUAAUCAUGUAAUUGCACAAAGCUAAUAGCACAACAUAAUAUUUACAUUCAUACAGAGACCAUUGAGCAGGAAAUAUAACUACACUAUGAAAACUCAAUAACUAACAGAUAUGUUCAUCAUUGAGAUUCUCAUCAUCUAAAGGGUUGUUUGAUUGGUAGCAUUUCAAUGUACAUUGCGAGUGCAACUACAAACAAGAACAAAAGAUUUGUUUGUUUUCUUGUAGUUGCGACUGCAAAUUGUAAAACGGACCUACAAACAUCCAACUACAGCAUUUCGACCAAUACCCAAUCAGAUAUAGUUGAAAACGUAGAAAUCGGAGAGAGAAAUUUUACAAUCCAAACAAGAGUAAUCUUACAUUACCACUCACCUGUUAAAUAACCAAAAAAACAAAGACCAAUUUCUAUCAUUAGAUAGUAAUCUCACCAUCUCACAUAAAAUAACCAAAUUUAUAAAUGCAGCUUUGAAUUACAGGUAACCAAUCAAAGAAAAUAUGUAGAUGCAUAACUCUCAACCACAUACCGCCAAAGGGCCUAGAUGCAAAUAUAACUACUGCAUCUCCAACUACAUGCAUCAAUAAUUACACUGUAUCCAAAAUAUCAAGCCAUAUUUCAACUCAGAGUAAGACUACAAUUAAGGCUUGUAUAUAAAAACACAAAACAGUCAAACUAUAACUUCAGAAUUUUUAUUUCUCCUUUUUCUUCUGAAGAACCUAGUAAACACAUGCCAAGAAUAGAAGAGCAUAAGUAAUCCCACUGAACCAGUCCUUGCCAUAAAUAAUUAUUUAUAGCAAAAUUUCCAUUAACUUAAUGCAAUUUAGUUACUCAUUCAGAUUUUUAUUUCAUUAACCAAAAUCUGAAUUAGGGGGGAAAAAACAUGAGGAUUCAACCAAGAUACUGUGGCAUAGGGUCGUGCCGGAAACUUGCCGGCACGGUACGGUACAAUGCGUGCCGGGUCGUGCCGAUGCGUGCCGAUCAUAAAAAAUUCAUGUGUGCCAACACAUAAUAGCAUGAAAUAUUUAUUUUCAUUAGCAACAAAAUAUUCUAAUUGUUCAUUAUGUAUUUUUUAUCAAAUCUUUUGAACUUUAUUGAGAAAAUUACUUACUAAUUUAAAGAAUAGAAAGUAUUGAGCUAUGUCGUUGGCAUGGGACUGUCUCAUGCCGAUAUCUUAUUGGCAUGAUAUGGUACGAUAGAUAGGGCCCAUGCCGAUUGGCACUUAAAUCCUUGGAUUCAACCUUAACCUGUCAAAUUUUGACUAACCAAAACCUGAAUUGAAAACCAGCCCUUACGGUUUUAUUUGAAGAAAAGAAAAGCCCUACAUCCUAAUCAUAAUAAGAUUUAAUCCAUGCAAACCCAAUACUUGCACACUCAAAUCAACUAGAAUAAAGGGUAUUUGGCCCUACUUCUGAAAAGUGAUUCUGAGCCCUUUUGGGCUCAGUAGAGUGUUUGGUAACAAGUGCUCAAAAAUCUGAUUCUGCUUUUUACAAUCAGAAAAAUGAUUUUGAAGGCCCCAAAAUUAGAAACAAAAAAAAAAUGCUUCUUAAAAUCUUAUUCUGAUUUUGUACUCAAUUCAAUUUUUAUUUUAAUUUUAUAUUCAAACUUUGAAUUUAAAUUUAAUUCUAAUUUUUAAAUUUUAAAUUCAUAUUUGAAUUUUUAAAUUUCAACUUUUGUAUAAUUUCAGUUUUAAGUUUUAAAUCUCAAAUCUCAAAUUUUAAAUAUCAAAUAUCAAAUCUCAAAUCUCAAAUUUUAAAUUUCAAAAAUUUCAAAUUUCAAAUUUCAAAUUUAAGAUAAAAUUUAAAAUUUGACAUUUUAGAUUUUAAAAUUUAAAUAUAAAAAUUUAAAAUUUUAAAAUUUAAAAUUACAAGUUUUAAUAUUCAAGUUAUAAAUUUCAAAUUUCAAAAUUAAAAUUUUAAAUUUUUAAAAUUCAAAUUCUAAAUUUUUAAAAUUCAAAUUUUAACAUUCAAAUUUGAAAAUUUAUAUUUAAAAUUUAAAUUUUAAAAUUUGAUUUUUUUUUAAAUUUGAUUUAAAAAGUCAAAUUUUAAAUUUUAAAUUUUCCAAUUUUAAAUUUAUUUUUUAAAUUAAAAUAUCAAAUUUUAAAUUAAUUUACAAAUUUUAAAUUUUAAUUUUAAUUUUAAAUUAUUUAAAAUAAAAUUUAGUUAAAAUAUUAAUAUAUGUAAACAACAAAAAAAUUUUGCCAAACAGCUUUACAAAAUCACUUCAGAAAAAUCACUUUUAUCUAAACUCAGCCAAACGCUUUACAGCUCUUAACCAAAAUCAAUUCUCCAAACCAAAAUCAAUUCUGCAGAAAUCACUUUUCAAGAAUCUAGGCUCAACGGGCCCUAAAAUCAUAAUAGGACUCAAAUCCAUCAAUAGCCCAAAGACUCAAUUAAUUACUAGUAAAGACACCGGCACAUUGCAGUGGUUCAUUUCCAUACAAAUAAAUAAAGCUAAAAAAAUAAGAAACAAAAAAAAGAGUCAAAGAACAAAAAAGAAUACAAAUAAAAAAAAAAAAUUGAAGAAGAAGUAGCAGCAGUUGUAGUAAAGUAUAAGAAUAAAAAUAUAAUGAGGAUAAAAAAAAUAAGAGAAAAUUUAUAAGAAUAAUAAAUUAUAUUUAUAACAGCAGUGAAAGUUGAGGAUUUAAAAUGUCAUAUCCCUCGUAGUUCAAGCCAAAAAUUGCAACUAAUUAAAGUAUGAGCUCUAAAUUGUCAUGUGCCUCAUAGUUUAAGCUAAGAAAAUAUAAUCCAUUAAAAUUCGAGGACUAAAGUGUUACGCGUCUUAUAGUUUGAGGACCAAAAGUGUAAUUUACCCUUUUUAUAUUUUAAUUUUAUUUCAGAUGAAUUCAGAGUUUAUCAUCGAUUAGUUUUGUUCAAUCAGUAAUUUUAUUCGAGGAAAGAAUACGUUAAACUAUCUAAUAAAUUUUAAAAUGCCUAAUCGUUAAAAUUAAAAGUCGACCAAUUAUAUUUUGAAUAUUCCAAAAUAUUUUAAAUGUGAGAUUGAUCACUUAUCAAAUUAUAAAUAUCGCAUUAAAGUUUGAUAUUAAGAUCAAAAUAAAAUCGUAUUAAAUUUUUCUGAAAUACAAACCAUUUUGAAUCAGCUAUACGACCUUUUAAAAUUUUUUUUUUUACUAUCCAACUUUUUUAUAUAUUAGAUUUGAGUCAGUCCACAAUACUUUGACUUCAAAAUUUGAAUGCAUCAUUUAGCUUUACUGAUUUAUACUUCAUGUAAUUUUUGCAACUAAAUUUAUUAAAAUAACUAAUUAAUUUAAACUUCAUCAAUCUCUCUUUUACUUUUUGUUGUACAAUCUAUAUCUAAUUGAUUAAUAUUAUAAAACUAAAAUUUAUAUUUAAUACACACAAUCUUAACUAUUUAAAAGUCAUGUAUAAAUAAUUAUAUAUUUUAAAUUUUUAUAAUGAGAGAGAAAAAUUAGAUUACAUUAAAAAAAUGAGCCCAUUUCAGUCUCAAUCAGUGGAGAGAAAAAAAUUAAAUAAAAAACUUUUUAAAAAAAAAGAACUUGGCCACCCGUACCCCCACCCCCCUCAGGUGGGCCCUACACCAACCCCCAACCCCAGCCCUCCCGCUUCCCCUCCCUGCGACCUGGAUCCCAACUCCGGAUUCAUAUAUUUAUAUGGAUAUGAUUAAGCCCAAAUUAAUUAAUAAUCUUGUAGACUCUCAAUUUGCACCAUUGACGACCUCCCUUGAUGCCAAAGGAGAGAAUUUUGAAUCCUUACACCGAUAUGAAUGAUCCCCUUAAACCCACUCUCCUCAAACUAUCCAAUGAAACUGGUUUAGAAUAAAACAUAUCAAAGCCCUAUGCAUACAAAAAUCAACACAUCUGUUGCAUGUAUCUUUGAGCAGUUUAUAUCUUACUGCUGCUAUGAAUAUGCACAAAAGCACGCAGCAUAUGCAUAACAGUUAGGAGGGCAUGGUGUAUCGCGGACUUUAUGAACCCAAUGCGGAUUUCAAACAUUUGUUAUUAUCUAGGUGGCCAGAAACUCAAUCUACAAGUCAUGAAAUUCAUGCAGAAAGUAAAUUUUCCUAACUAAAAAUCAUAAAAAAUAAACUAUAUAUAAUUGGGAUAAUCAAAAUAUCAAUAAAGAAAGAAUUCAUAAUCUCAUAAAUCAUCAAAAACCCUUAAACAUAUACUGCUUCACUCUAUUCCGUUUUUCUCUCUUUCUACUUGUGACAUCAUUUCCCUCUCUUGUAUUCUAACACAGAAAGAGUGCAAACCAGUACCUUCUAUGAUGAAACACCUAUAUACCCAAAUUCAAAAUCUGGGUUCAAAGUACUUGCGAUACUACCAGCCAUAUUAGCAAACAAAGUGAACUAAGAAUCGCACUAUUACCUGUCAUUAUCCUAAACUCAUAUGUCUCCAACACUCAUGGCAUGACAAUUAGACUGAAUAAUGAAUAUCCAUCAACGACGGAUGCUUUCUACUUUUCUAGACCACACUGUUGCUAACUUGCUAUUAACCAUCAUUAAAUCAUAGAUAUACAUUUUAACUACUGCAAGAAGCUGCACGCACUAAAUCACAAAAAGUAAAUUCUUCUAAUCUAUUUCUUGUAGCUGUUAAUAUCAUGGCUGCUAUUAUCAGCAAUUUCAAUGAAUAAUUUCUUGGCUCUCAUCAACAAUUUGUAAUUUAUAUUCUCUGACAUGUUACAUGGGAUUGCUCCUAGGAAUACACAAAAUAUUUUGUCAAGAAGGUUACUCAAAUUGGUCAUUUCGUUAUUUCAAAUUGAUAGCUACAUAGAAUAUUUACUUCCAAUAGGAAAACAAAAUAAGUGAUCGAGGAGGAAUAGUUAUAAUUGAAAAACUUCACCAUACAUUGUGGCAUAAGAAGUCCCAUAGCAACAACACAGAAAACAAAUAGAGAGCAAUACACCAUUCAAAGCAAUAUUAAAGACAAAAGGUAAAAUAAAGUGCUUCAUGAUACUAGGACAAUUUAGCCAACUCUGAUAUAAAAACUGAAAAUAUACCUGAUUCCUAGUUGCAAGUUUAGCAUGAGAUAGUAGCUCUUGUGACCUUUGUAAAUUGUUUCACCUGGGCUUCUUACUCGUUUCUUUCGGAGUUUAUGUUGCCACAUACUUCUCGUUGAUGCCUUUGAAUCAUAGUGCCUUCUUCUUUCCUUUAUCAAGACACCUUGAACAUAUUCUCUUUCAUAGACAAAAAAUUGGUCAUCUUGAAAUUCAUUUGAACCAUCACAUGAACUGGACGUGUAGUUACUCUCCUGUGACAAAGUACUUCGAGAAUUAUCGUCAAGGUCUGAAACCCCCUCAACUGAGACAGUUGUAUUUGAUAUCCGCCCACGCCCUCGAAGAAACCUCCCUAUAUUCCACCUACCCAAGAUGUUUCUUUCUGAAAUCAAUGUAUUCUGCUUAAUCUCUCCAGAAUUCAUUAAUGACGCAAGAAGAGGACUCUGAGAGCUAUUAUCAUAUGCAGAAUAUUCAGAGAACUUGUGGUACUGAGGAAGUUUGGUCCCAACAGGAGAGAAAGUUCCUUGGCCAUCCUUUAGCCCCUUACUCCAUGUCCCAAAGUAAUAUGACCCAUCAGCAUACUUCAAACAACCUGCGCCAUGUAUUAAUCCAUCUAACCAAGACCCCUCAAACAAAUCACCAUUUGCCCACUUCAUAAUUCCUCUCCCACUCAUUUUACCAGCCUUCCAGCUUCCAACAUAAGUGUUCCCAUUGAUCCAUGUAUACUUACCAACCCCUUCUUGCAAUCCUUCUUUCCAAAAGCCAUCAUAAAUAUCUGAAUUAGAAUAUGUUUUUAUUCCCAUCCCAUGUUGCAUACUCAUCCUCCAAGAGCCUUUAUAACUUGAACCAUCAAUCCUACAGAAAGUGCCCGACCCAUGAAGGAAGCCCCCGCUGAAAUCACCUUCAUAUGUAGCUCCUGAUGACCAACGAACCUGUCCGUGGCCAGUCAUUUGGCUUUUGUCCCACUUACCAAUGUAAAUUGUCCCAUCAGACCACAUAUAUUUUCCUUCUCCGUGAGGAAUCAAUCCAUCAAAGUCUCCAAUAUAGACGUCUCCAUUGGAGAGGACUUCUCUGCUCCAGGCAAUCAAAUCAAUCACUACCCUAAUUAAGAGAAGAGUUUGGAGACAAAUAUACAAAAGAGAAGAAGCAUGUAGGGAAAAAAAAUGUAGAAGUUCACCUUACACUACCCUCAUAGCUCAUCUCUCAUACCAGCCUUUUUAAUUUAUUCUCUGACUUCCUUUUGUAACUUUAAAGGGAAAAGAAGAGAAGAAACUCUUUGGUCACAGAGAACAAACGCAGAACUGCAAGCUUCAACAAUACAAAACAUAAGAAUCAUGAGCGAUGUAAAUAUAAAGAGAUAGGCAAAUAUCAAACUAUAAUCUUACCAAAUCUUAAUCCAUUUGCAUUUUUUUCAUAAAACUAUGAAUUUCAUUAUCCAUGACCAUGUAGAUUGGUUUUUUUUGUUGUCUAAAAGUGAAACAUAGGAAAGUGGUAUUGUAAGAACAAGAGCUUCAAAAAGUAGGUACAUCAAAUCAAGACGAAAAACCAAUGAAGGAACAAAAGGAGCCAACAUUAGUCUUACAUAAUUAGAUAAUAUUUAUUAGUUAUGACUUCCCCGUGCGAAGUUCCCACAACGAAAUUUGAAACAAGAUAAACAAAGAACCAAAAUGUACUAAACGUUAUAACAAUUUCACAUAUAGCAUCAAGCUACUUAACUAGUCAUUGCAUGGGGUGGCCGAUAUGUUUCAUGAAAGCUCUUCUACAAAUUCUAUAGCCUUUUAAGCUGUCCUGAUGAGAAUAACCAUUUCACCUUGUCAGUUUUCAAUUCAAUUGAUGCUUCAUUCAAGGAUUUAAGCGUCAUGCCACAGGGUCGUGCCGGAAACUUGUCGGGACGGUACGGCACGGUGCGUGCCAGGUUGUACCUAUGCGUGUCGGUCACAAAAAAUACAUAUGUGCCGACCAUAAUGGUAUGAAAUAUUUAUUUUCUUUAGCAACAAAUAUUCUAACUGUUUAUUAUGUAUCUUUAUCAAAUCUUUUGAAUUUUAUUGAGAAAUAUUACAUACUAAUUUAAAGAAUAAAGCGUUUUGAGUUGUACCAUCGGCAUGGGGCCUGUAUCGUGCCGAUAUCUUGUUGACACGAUACGGCAUAGUGGACACGGCCCGUGCCGAUGGGCACUUAAAUCCUUGGCUUCAUUCCAUUCAUUAAGAAAAAAAGAAAAAGGUAUUACUUAAGCAACUGCACUAAGGUAGGUAAGAUACCGCUUGUUAAUUUCGAUACCCUGAAAUUAACUUACAUUGAUUAGCAUACCAUAGUCUGCAUCAAUGAAGACAAAAGAGAUCUAGCCCUAUGUCCCAAAACGCAAAUACUCACUAUUAAUCUAAACUUCAAUUAUUUUAGCUUGCUUCAAUCUAAUUUUUGAAAUUGAUACAUAGGUUCCUGAAUUUGUGAUUAAAGAUGUACGGGGUGUUUGGCCAAGCUUUUUAAAAGUGAUUCUAAGCCCAAAAGUGAUUUUGAUUUUUGGGCUCAAUAGAGCGUUUGGCAAUGGAAAUUUUAAAAUCUGAUACUGCUUCUCAAAAUCAGAAAACUGAUUUUUCAACCUCCAGAAGCAGAAGCAAAAAAAAGCUGCUUCUCAAAACUGAUUCCCGCAAAAGCAGUUUUCUGAUUUAAAAAAUUUUAUAAAAAUACCGAAACUACUCCUAAACAAACAAUAUAAUUCUACUCUAACCUUUUAUUCAAUUACUACUUCCAACAACCCUCCUCUCUCUCCCAUUUACCAUAGCCAAUCUCUCUCUCCAACAGAAAAAAAAAUUUCCACUUUCCACUCUUCUCUCCUCCAUCUCCCUCCCUUCUUCCUCUCCGGCGACACCUUUCUCUCCGGCGAAACCUUUCUCUCCGGCGAAUCUUUUCUUACCGGCGAACCUUCUCUCCGGCGAACCUCCAAAGAAGAUACUUUAUUCUCUCUUUUUUUUUACAGCUUUCUCUCUCUCCCUCUCUAUCUUCCCUCAUCACUCGCAGGUCCGACUGGAUCAGCGCCGGCAGGAUCCAUAUUUGUCGGAUCCAGCAAGAUCUACGAUCGUAUGGAUCACUAUUUGCCGGAUUCAACCCCAGAUCCGGCAAGUAAAAUAUCUUUUUUUUCUAAGCAUAAAAGUUUCAGUUAUAUGCAACAAAUCCGAUGUGGGUCCGGCUAGCCGGGGCUGGAUCCGGCAAAGACGGAUCCCGCCGGAUCCAAGCCGACGGGAUCUGUCCUUGUUAGAUCCGGGAUCCGCACUGGAUCCACGUCAGCAAAUCCAGCAAAGACGCCUUGCCGGAUCCAGCCGAAUCCGCGCUGGUUACAUCAAGGAUGGAUCUAUUUAGUUUUUAUCUCCUCAUGGAAGCCAUGAGCACAAAAUACCACUAGCCUGAGUUCAAUUUAUCUUUUCAAUUACUUUCAUAAAAAUCAAGUUGCAAGAAGACCAAGCAUUGUUGUAACCUUUUUUGAUGUUUAAACUUAGCAUGUGUGUUUGAUUGUUUGAUUAGUUUGUAGUGUGAAAUUUUUUAAAAUUUUAUUCAAUUUGUAGUAUUGUGUAGUUUGUAUGCAAUGUUUCGAUUAUUUGUUUAGCAUGUGUGUUGCUUGUAUUUUUUAACACAUAAUUUGUUUACUAGAAAGUUGAAAGAUGAAUCCAUCACAAGGAAAACCAUCUACCCAGAAAGAAAGAAAAAUUAAAGCUACGUGGGAUGCACAAUUGCUCAAAAUUUUUUGCGAAAUAUGUGUUGAAGAGGUUAAUGUCGAGAACGGACCUAAUACUCAUUUUAAUAGAACUGGAUGGCAAAGAAGAAGAAGAAGAUCAUCUUCUUCCCUCUCUCCUUCAAGCUAGAGCAAGCUUGGAGCUUGGUUUAGAGGUAAACCUCAAACCCAUCCAUGGUAGAUUUCUUGAGAUUGGGUUUUAUUGCUUAGAAAUGGUUUGAAUGGAACCUAUGGAAGCUAGGGUGAUGGUUCGGGCUCGCAAUUGAAGCUCGCACCACGGAUUUCCUCACCGUUGCUAACCUAGGGCACGGAAUCGGGAUUUUUGGAAAUCUAGGGUUUUGAUCUAUUUUAAUAGGUCGUAAACCAAAUUGCUAGGUCACGGAACGCGUCGGCGAAGACGGUUCGUCGAUACGACGAGCGGGUGCGAAGAUAUCGCCGAAUCAAGUGUUUAAAGGUUCGGAUCGACCCGAGAAGUCGAGGCGUCGACCAAGGACUACGAAGUUGAGUUUUCUACUAGCGCGGCAUCACCAAGAGGUGGGUGGUGAUCAUCCCGAAGCAAUCGGGCUCCCUUUUAUGUCUUAGUAUUUUGAGGCCUUGCAUCCUGUGUUCACAUGCAUUGUAGGAUAAUUGUGCAUUGCCUUUCCUUAUGCUUGCCUAGCUGAUAUCAUAUUAUGCAUUAGUUGCUGGAUAUAGGGGAUUGAUGAGGAUUGGGUUGAGACUUGUAAUCUUAUAGUGUAGUGGUGAAAGAAUGAUGCAAUAGUUGAAAUCAAAGAACGAGUGGCAUCUAGCUGUUAAUUAAACAAGAACGAGUGGCACAUGUGAGUUGUAGCGUAUAUGAAACCAAUUGACUAUGGUGGCAGUAACCCUAGUGAACAGGAUACCCUUGAGGUGGGAGAAUUGGAUCAUACUCAUUGUCUGUUCACGACUUGUGGUGGUCGCUCCACACAAGUCGUGCGCUUCGGAGUCAGUCGCGAGGGAUGGCCUAUUUGGGGUCCCGUGGGAUAGAGAUGGCCUAUUUGGGGUCCCGAGGGAUGGCCUAUGUGGAGUCCCGCAGACGGUCUCGGAUUCGAAGUAUCGAGAUGGCUAUGUGAGUAGUAGGUGGAUCCUUGAAUGAACCACGAGAUUAAUGAAUAAGUAAACAGCCUUACUUCUUGGACAUAUGAAGAGCUAGUUGAGUAUCCAUUUCAUUGCGCAUGCAUCUUCAUAUAUAUGAUUCGGGCACGGUAGCGUAGCUUGCUAUUCUGUUAUUACAGCUUUCCAUAUCUAUCUAUCUGUUUAUCUACUUGUGCCCACUUGGACCUAGUGGGGAGACCGGCGGAGUCGGCGGCCGAACCCACUGGAAACUAUGGAAGAUAGUUCUCACCCCACUCUUUUCAGGUUCGAGCUCAGGUGUCCCCGGCGAGCGCGAGGAUCGUGGUAAGGGCUUAGCGCCCUAGUUGCAUUAGCUGUCCACCCAUUUUGCAUUAGCUCUACCCUGUAUUUAUGUUUGAGAGUAGAUGUUGUAUAGGGUAAGGUUUGAGAGUGCUUGUACACAUGUUUUGGAUGAAUGUAAAAGAUGGAAUUAAAUGUAUUAAGUUGAAUGAAUGUAAUAGAUAGAACUUUCUCUCUUUAUUUACUUGUAUGUCUCAUACUUGUAUCUUGCUCUUGUUUUGGUUGGCACUGGUGGUGCUACUCGUGAUCGUGUAUUCAUGAAUUGAUUCCUGGGUAAAUUCUUAUACAUGAUCAGUUGGUUAGCCUUGGGCGGACAUGGGAGAUCCUGUCCGUUCGGCGUCUGUUCGACGCGCCCGGACCGGACCAAAUUGGUAGCGGUCUCGGGGCGUGACACCAAGCCUAAUAUGCCGCAUUACAAGGGAGCAUGCAAGAAUAGUAAAAGUAACUACUAGACACCCUAUCAUGCACAAUACUACACAAGGACUAUGAUCAACAUUAAGAUACUUAGACAUAGGAAGAAGCCCAGUUGCUUCGGGAUGGACACCCCCCACCUCUUGGGUAAUGUCGCGAUGCUAGGUACUCGAUCUCGCGAUCCUUGAUCGCCGCUUUUGCUCUUCAGGUCAACACGAAGCCCCGAACACUUGUUUCGGCUAUAUCUUCGCACCCGCUCGACGAAUGCUCAAUCCGUCGCUUCCUACGCGUUUAGACACCUAGCAAUUAGGUUAAUACAUGAUCAAUUUAGAUCAAAACCUUCCUUUUCCAAAAACCUCAAUUUUGGAGCUCUAGGUUUGCCCAAUGCAAAAAUCCCCUUCUAGCUUCAAGGUUCAAGCAUAAAGCUUUUCUUUGGCAUCAAAAAGAUCCAAUGAAACCAAUUCUAGAAGAUAAAAACCCAUCUAGAAGGAUCUACCAUGAAAGCUCUCAUGAGCUUACCUCUAUAGCAAGCUCCAAGGGUGGAGAGGAAGAAGAAGAUCCUACUAAUCCUUUCCUUGGUCUUAAUCUCCACCAAAAUCUCCUCCUUCUUCGCCUUCUAGAGAGAAAGAAAAAGAGUUUAAAGAGAGAGAGGGAGCUAGGGUUUGUGUUUGGGAGAGAAAUAAAGGAGAGAGAGCUCAUUCCUCUCUAUAUCCCUCAACUCACGUAACAAUUGCUAAUAAACCCCUCCACUUUGCCUCUCUUGGCAUGCCCAAACUGGGCAUUUUUCGUGCUCGGGGACUGGUCUGUCCCUAUAGGGACCGGUCCCCGUAAGCACCUCUCGCGGAUAGAAGCUAUCUGCUAAUUUCCACGCGCACGGGGACCGAUCUGUCCACCAAAGACCGGUCCCCGAGAGCAAAUAUCGCACGCAGAGACUUCUCUGCCGCAACCAAGCUUACGGGAACCGUCCCUCACACCAGGGACCGGUCCCCGAGAGCAAAACCUGCAACUUAGCAGAUUUUCACAAUCUUGCUCUCCGAGGUCCGUUGCAAUGCACUUUUCGCAUUUUUAACUUCUUCGGCUUCUCCGAAGCACAUCCACUCGACAAUCAGUCGAUUCUGAACGAAGUCCAACUCUCGGAUUUUGAGAAUUCACUUCCUUACAACUUUAAUGUCAAAGGCAGGAAGCAAAUUGAAUUUCAGCAGCCCAUACCAUCCACAAACUGACGGGCAGACGAAAAUAGUAAAUCGAUCUUUGGGUAAUCUCUAAGAUGUUUAGCUGGAGAAACACCAACACAAUGGGAUUUAAUUUUACCUCAAGUUGAAUUUGCUUAUAACAGUUCCAUAAACGGAACCAUUGGAAAAUCUUCUUUUGAAGCUUUAUAUGGCCGUCCUAUUGCCCACUUUCUUGACCGAGCACCAAUACCUUACCCUGGUAGAGUUAGUGUAGAUGCCGACUAUUACCUAAAACAGAUUCAAAAGGUGCAACAACAGGUUCAUCAGAGGUUGCGGGAUCCACUGUCAAGUACAAGGAGUCAGCGAAUAAACAUCGCCGAGGUAUGACAUUUAAUGAAGGAGAUAAUGUCUUGAUCUAUUUUAGGAAAGAAAGGUUCCCAGCUGGAGGCUAUAGCAAGUUGAACAGGAAAAAGUACGGACCAUUCAAAAUUCUGAAGAAGUUAGGGGAAAAUGCUUAUCUAAUUGAUCUACCUCCGGAAGUAUCGACGUCCCCGAUCUUCAAUGUUAGCGAGCUGUACGAGUAUCAUGGAGAGGCUACCUCUACUGUCAAUAUUGAUGGCUUGACAUCUCACUCCGACAUUGAAACUCCAGUAGAUGGUGUGGAGGAUAUUCUGGAUGUGCGCGAGUCUGCGACGCGACGUGGUACUCAUUACCGAUACUUGGUGCGUUGGCGUGGACGACCAUUGUCCAAUAGUAGUUGGAUUUCUGAGGCAGAGUUGUGCCAACUUCGAGAGGACUUAUACCAGAGCUAUCAGGAUGCCAUCUCGACGGAGUCGAGAUUUCCCCAACUCGAGGGGAACUAAUGCAACAAAUAAACCUCAUUUUAUUUUUGAAUGCAAUUUUCUUUUAUUUUGUAGGUUCGUGUUUGAUUCGGACUUAAAUCAUUUAGUUUUAGUUGAUUUGGCUAAUCCAAACACUUUUCUCCAAUAAAUAAGGAAACAAUCCCAAAAAAGACCUUUGGAAUUCCCCAAAAUAAGACCUUUGAAGUUCCCAAAAUUGCUUCGUUUUCUAUGCAUGACUCUUAGGUGACCGUAUUAUGUUGAAAACGAAAAGACAAUAAUUUAUUAUAGAAGGGCACUCAACACUAUAAAUACAUGGUUCUUGAAGCCUUAAGGAAGAUAUAUUUGGAUGAAUAGAAAAUUCUACUCUCACUCUUUAUCCUUGGUGUUCUACUUCCUGGUGAGAUCAUCGACGCUUCUUCCUCGUGACAAAAUCGGCUUCUACUUCUACCCCUCCUCUUCUUCCGAGUCACUACCUCAUCUUCUUCUUCCCCGUUGCCGAAGUUCUACCCGUGGUGUACCGCCCUCUCGUCGAUCGUGGAUCCCCCGCAAUCGUGUGAACGGUGCACUUUUUGUAUCUCUCAUCUCCUGAUACCCUAUUAUCCCCUUUUAAUCUAGCCUUCCACCAUUACCAACAAUAUUUGCCAAACAACGAAACCUAAAGUAUUAAGUCCGAUAAAGCCGAAUUUACCUUUUGGAACUAUUAUAUGUAUUUUCAGUUGGUUGUUAUUAUCUCAUAUAUUGAAGGUUUAUCAUCAUCUUAGUAUUACUUCAAUUCGAUUUUAAUUUUUGUCUUGCUGAAAUUUUUGCUUCCUUGCUUAAAGUUCAUCGGAAUUGAUAAAUUGAACCUAGUUUUAUCUUUAAACAAAAGCAAACUUGAAAAUUCAAUUUUGGCAACCUCUCGGUUUGCAUCAGCAUGUGUAGUCAUAGUGAACAUGAUACAAAAGGGUGUACAAAUUUAGUAGUUGCCAGAUAGACACUUUCGAGAGCUUAGUACCAGUAGCAUAACAUUAUCUAUACCUUGUGAAUUACACUGUACGGUGAAAACUUGAGAUUACUGGACAUGGGCCAGUAUAACUUGUAAACUUGUAUUGCCAUGUGGCAAGUGACACGUAAGAAAAUGUGAAAGUGCCAACGGGCAUGUAAACUAUGAAAAAGACAACGAAAUGUGAUAUGGAAGUGCCAAAGUGCAAUUAAACAGUGUGAGUUAUGAAAAGGUAAUGUGAGUUGUCUUAUUUCUCAUUGCAUUUGACUCCAUGGUCCCAAGCCGUUUUCGAUGAUGGAGUUUCUGAAUCGACGAUCAGCUCCGUUAGACUUGAUCUAGCAUAUUUAAACUAUUUAGAAAAUAAAUUUUGCGAUUUUUCGGUAUCAUUUACCUACCGAUCGAAAGGGUUCAAAAUCAACAAUUUUUAAUGGUUGAUGUAUAGCGUUUAUAAGUUUAACAGUGUAGAAGUAUUCAAAUUAGAUGAAAUUUUGAUAGAAAAUUCUUUACACUAUUGACAGCAAGAUCAAUUUCUCUGAUCGAAAAUUUUAAUGCUAUAUCACCACUUUUUGUGAGAUUUUUAUUUUCGGCAUUGAUUUUGAACCCUUUGGAUCGCUAGGUAAAUGAUAUCGAAAAAUCGCAAAAUUUAUUUUCUAGAUACUUACAAAUACGCUAGAUAAGUCUAACGAAACCGAUCGCCAAUUUAGAAGCUCCAUCAUCGAAAAUGGCUUAAGAGCACUGAGGCCUUCAUGCUCCUAAUAGCAUACAAGACCUACUCAUAUAUAUAAAUUUAUUAUAUAUAUAUAUAUAUAUAUAGUAUAUAUAUAUAUAUAUAUAUAUAUAUAUUAUAUAUAUAAUUUGGGCUGGAAUACUAUAAAUAGCAUUUGGGCUCUUUUGCUAUCGGUUUUAACUCUUAGAUGAAAAAUUGUAGGGUUAUGAUGAUAGUGGUCCCUAGGGUUUAGUGGUGGUCCACCUAGGGUUUAGUGGUGGUCCCCCUAGGGUUGAGUGGAUGGUUGGUUAAAUAGUAUGAUCUAAAGAGUGAAAUUGAUUACGGCUAAAAUUGAUAGCAAAAGUGUAAGGUACCGAACUUCUGUUGUAAGGUACCGAACUUCUAAAAUUAUUGCAGUUACGGUGGAUGUAGUAUGCUGGGAUUUUUAAUAUAAAAAUAAUAUAAAUAAAAAUAGUGUGAGAUACUAUUUUUAUUGGAUUUAGGGUGUAAAGUAUAAGUUGGAAAUGACAUGUGCUGAAAUCGGAGCGAAAACAGAAGAUUUAGAAUUUUCUGUGGAGACGGGCAGAUAAAUUAGCGAAAAUGCAGUGUCAGAAAAUUCUGAAAACUGGAGGAUAAGCCAGAAUUAUUUUUAUAGGCUAGAUUUAAAGUUUCAUAUCAUUCUGAUACUCAAAAGGUGAAAAUAAAUCGAUAGUGAUCUGAUAAAGAUUACAAGUUCGGUACAGCUUUCGGUGACAACGGGGUCGAAACUGAAGAUUAAAAUUUCUUUCGUUAAGUUAAGCAAAACCAACAUAACUGUCAAAUUUGAACUUAAACGGAUAUUCAGAGGGCUCCGGCGAAAAGAUAUUAGAUUUCGUACUACCUGAAGGAAUAGUGUAUGCUACUAUUGGGAUGUUGACUAUAAGUAGAAGCUUCUAGUCUUCUUCUUCUUCACAGCCACCACCACCCCACAACACCACAGCUUCAUGGUGGUGGUGAAGAGAAAUCCUCACUUUCUCUCUCUAAAUAACUCUCUCAUCUCUCUAGAUCUUUCGCCCAAAUUCACGGCGUUGGCGGAGAACGAGCUUGCGAACGCGUUGGGAGCGACGGAUCGAGCUUUCGUGCGCCCGUUGGAGCGGCGUGCUUCCGUCUCGGCGUUCACAUUUUGGUAAACUUUUGGGAUUUUUGACUUAAUCCUUAACCUUAGGUGUUCUAGUAGCCUCUAAUGAGCAUUCGUAGCAUGUUGCUCCAUUUAAUUUGGAUUAUUUGGAGGUAAUUGCAUGUUAGGGCUCAAAAAUAGGAUUUUGCAAUAUGUGAGGGUUUGAUCUAAAUUGAUCAUGUAUAAACCUAAUUGCUAGGUUUUCUGACGCGUCGGCGAAGUCGGUUUGGCGAUACGACGAGGCUGCGUGAAGAUAUUAAAGAACGAAGCCAUUAAGGUACAGAUUGCCGCAGCUCGUGGCGAAAGCUUCCAAAAAUCACGAAAUCGGAACCCUAGCCUCAUGAUAGCGAUAAAAGGUGGGGGGUGUCCAUCCGAAGAAAUCGGGCUUCCUUCUAUGUCCGAGUUAGAUUUUUGGUCAUAUUGCACAUAUGGUUCUUAUGCAUUAUAGGAUGUAUGUAUAGUUGCAUUUCUAUUUCCUUGCAUGCAUGUCUAGUUGUGUAGCAUUAUGGACUUGACACUUAAAUCUAGAAUGCAUGAGGAUUAGGGUUUGUGACAUGAGAUCCUAUAGUGAUAAGAAAAUAGUGAACUCGGACUUGAUGAUGAAAACUAGUGACAUGCGAACUAGUGUAUAGAAAACACUAUGACUUGGACGAGUGGCAUGUAAACAAUGUUAGUUAACAACAUGACGAGUGGCAUUGGAAUUUAGUGUAAUAAAAACACUUGUGGCAUUGAGCAUUAGGGAAUAGGUGAGUUUCCCUAGUCAUGGCAUAUUGCAUGAGAAUUAGCGUACUUGAGACACUAUGGCAUCAAACAUAGGGAUAGUUCAAUUCCCUAGUGUAAGUUGAUUAGUGUGGUUGAGACACUUGACAUGGACCUAGGGAUAGGUGGAUUUUCGAGUAUUUGUUAACCUAGUUGACAGGGUAUCCUCAGUUGGCGAGGAUUGGAUCAUACUCACAUAGUCUGUUUUGAGCUUGUGGUGGUCGCUCCACACAAGCAGUGCACUCCGGAGUUGUCACACGAGCUGGGUAGCUCACGAGCUGGGUAGCUCACGAGCGGGGUAGCUCACCGGGUGGGAUACGAGCGGGGUAACUCCUCACCCAUUGGACUGGGAAGUGAGUUCGGGCGAAUGGCGGGGUAGCCCUUCCCCUAUGAGGAUUGAGCGGGGUAGCUCAUUACUUAUGAGAAUUGAGCGGGGUAGCUCAUUACCUAUGAGAUUAGAGCGGGGUAGCUCUUCAUCUAUGACCUUUGAGAUAUGAGACGGGUGAGAAAAGAGCGGGGUAGCUCCUCACCUAUGAGAUUUGAGAUAUCAGUCAGGGCGAAAAGCGGGGUAGCUCUUCACCUCUUCACCUACUAGAUUGUGGUGUGAGUACCUAUGAGAUUUGAGAUCUUAAGCGGGGUAGCCUAGUGGAUUGGGUAAUGAUAUGAAUAGCAUAAGUGGAUUGCAUAACUAUGUUGUAUUUGUAUUCAUUACAUUGUUGAACAUAUUAUCAUGAUAGUAGGCUUAUUGCUAGACAAUAUUUCAUGAAUUGCUUGCAUUUGAUGGCACAAUAGAUCAUAGUUGCAAUUCAAUAUCUAUCUAUCUCUCUAUCUAUCUAUUUGUGCCAGCUUAGGCCUAGUGGGAAGAUCGGCGGAGUCGGCGGCCGAACCCACUGGGAACUAUAUUUAUAUAGUUCUCACCCCGUGUGGUUUUGGGGUACAGGUACACAUGUGAGCGGACCGGCAGGUGAUCGCGGUAAGGGCAUAGCGCCCUAGCUAGCUAGUAGAGCUUUCCUAUUGUACUAGAGCACCCUCGUGUGCAUGGUUAUAGAUGACAUGAUGUAUUUUGGAUAGCUAGCAUUAUAUAUAUGUGAGAUGAUUAUGUAUUCAUUUUGGGUGAUGAUGAAAAUGUAAAUGUAAUCAAAGAUGUAAAAGUGGAAUGUGAUGUAAUAGCUAGAUGUAUCUCUCUUUUUGCACUUGUAUGUAUACUUGUGUUACUUGCUCUUGUUGUAUUGCACUCUUUGUGCUUCCCUCCUCGUUGGAUCGUGUAUGUAUUGAAUUAUCCCUGGGCAAAUUCUUUGUACAUGAUCCUGUGUUGAGCCUUGGGCGGACAGGGGAGGUGCUGUCCAUUCGGCGUCCGUCCGGCGCGCUCGAACCGGACCAAGUUGGUAGCGGUCUCGGGGCGGGGCGUGACAAAAAGGGCCCAAAUACUAUUAAUAGUAUUCCAGUUCAACUCUCUCUCUCUUGCCCCCCAACAAAUUUGAGUUUUAGUUGCGAUUAUUUUAAAAUUUCCGGCAAUUAUAAUUGUCACCAAAUAGUUUCAUGGCAAUUAUGACAAUUGCCACUAUUGGUAGGGUCCGUAAAAAUUAUUGUGGCAUUUGUUCCAGCUGUUGAUAAAAGUCUAAAUAAAUACGGCUAAAUACUACACAAUAGCAACUAUUAUAAAUGCCACUAUAAUUAAUUAUAACGGCCACAAAAAGCAUCUAAAUGAUUGCUAAAUAAAACUUAUAGCGGCAAUUAUAAUUAAUAUUAAAAUAGUUGAACCGCAACUAAAUACUCAAAUGAAUUAAAAUAUUAAAAAAUAGUAAUAACCAAAGAGCAUUAAUAAUUUGUACAACUAAUAGUCUUUACUCUCAAAUUACAAUCUCAAUAUUCAAAUUAAAUUUUGGGCAUGAGUUCUAAUAAUAAAAUACUUGUUCAAAAUUUAGCUUUGAACUCGAUUCCACAACUAACUCAAACUACUAGACUUUAUAUUUAAUCAUCUCCACUACAAGAGAAAUUAUACAAUACCAUAUAUUAAUUUUCGAGUUUCUGCGAUUCAGGUGAAAGAAAAAAAAGAAAAUUGUCUAUGUUCAGCAAAAGCCAAAUUAGAAAAUAUGCCAAAGCAAAAUAGCAGGUGCUGAUGUGAAAAUGACUUGUUGUAGAAAAGGAGGAGAAAUUACCAUCAAAAGCAUCAUUGGAAGUUGCUGUUUGAGUGCUGCAAUCGAUCCAAAAUUGAAGCCUCUCUUCGGCAAUAUCCUCCUCCACACCGUGAUUUUUGGCUCUUCUCCAGAAAUAUAUCAGCCAUGCCUAAAGAAGAUUAGAUAAAGUUAGCAAAAUUGUGCAACAGGAACAUAGUCCCCGAAAUCUUUGAUCUGAAAAAAAAAGUGGCUGCUUGACAAUACCAUAUAUUGCACUUUCACGAAGCAAAAGACAAAUCAAAGCUGUACAAGAAAGAUAAAAGGCAGCCUUGAGGUAGUCUUCCCUAAAUUUAGAGCUCCAAAAUGUUAGCAGUUCGGUCUGUAUACUUUGCUUUGCGAAAAUAUUAAUAAUGGAAAAUAAAAUACCUUUUUGUUUUUCUUUUACCAUUUUGGUUAGUGGCAAUAUUCAUGCUAAGAGUAUCCAUAUCAUGAUGGAAUGAGACUAGUUGUUACUAAAAGAAUCAGAGAGUAACCAAAACCAACAAUCAUGAUUCCUUUAUCUGAAUAUGAUAUAUUGUCCUAACCUAAGAAUGAAAUUUUAGAUGGUCUUUCAUGUAUAAAAGAACAAUAAGGAAAUAGUAUUCUAACAAAAUGGAGAAGUUAGGGGUAAAAUGGAUGGGAUCUAUGCUGAAAUGGUCAUUGAAGAAAGAAAGAUGUUAAGCUACUCCCAAAAUUGUUCAUUAGUUACAUACAGUUAACAUCAUAGCGCAUAGCAAGCUUAGAGCGCUUUCACCAAAUUUACAAAACCAAUCCUUCUAAUUCCAGUCUAACAAACUUAAGCUAGAAGCAACUAACUACAACGGUAUGUUUACAAAACCAUAGUGACGAGGUGAAAUGCAUAAAAAGAAGUAGAAUUGAAAGUCCCUCACAAAACAUGAAAACAAUGCAUGUUUUGGAAAGAAAAUCUUGGCUUGAAAACUACAAAGGGAAAUUGUUCCAAAGCUUGAAAAUAGCAAAUAUGAUUAAGUCAUAAGAGUCAGAAUAAAAGAGUGAGAACACCAAUUUAGAGUGCAAGGUACAAUUAAAAGAAAUUGCACAAAUAAGACUCUGAUUCUCUAGCAUAUAUGAAGGUGUUCAAUUAAAUGUACAUUAAUUGUGUAAAUAUCUAGUAUGUCCAUUAGCAUCAUAUUUAUGUUUAUGUCUUAAAUAACUGGCAACUAGUGCACAAAAUGAAUUAACAAAAAUAUUAAGUUCAUAGUUCAUGUGAAUGAGAACUAAGAACUGAAAUUAAUCAGUCGAACACAAUCGAAUAUACGGAAAAACCAUAUAGAUAAAUACAAAAAUAUAAACUUAGCAACCGAACAUCAGUAAAAUACAGGCAAAUACAUCAGACUUCAUUGUUCUUUUUUUUUGUCUUUUUUAAUCUUUUUUUUUUCCUUCUCUAUUUUUGAAGCUCAUAUUUUGUUUUCUGUUGAUAUGAACAUGGGAACUACUGUAUACUUCAAAUUUAAUAGGCAAAAGCAAACUACUUACAGUAAAUGAACAAUGCGUCUUCUGAUGUAAGCUUGGAGCAGCUUCCUAGAUCCAGGACUUCUUCAGGAACCUAGACCACAAGAACCAAGUAAGGUGCUCCAUUGGAAAUUUAGAAAACAAAGUAAAAUAAAGACAUGGCACACAAUAAGUUAUAACUACAAUAGGUAGUGAUGAGAAUUACUUACGAGACUUGUUUGUAUCUGCUAUAGUGCUACUACAAACUAGGGGUGUCAACGAGCCGAACACGAGCUGGCUCAUGAACAACAAGUUUAAAAAAAUUAUGAGGAAUACGUAUAGAAAAUAAAUUUAUAAGAUCUUACCUAUUUGACUUUAAUCUAAUAGUUGAAACUUUACAUAUAAAUGACUUCUAUAUAUUUGAGUUGGCCUUUAUAUUUAGGUUAAGCUAAAAAUCAAUUAUUUAUAUAUAUAAAUAUAAAAUAUAUGUAUUCGAGCUGUUAUCGAGCCGAACACGAGUGAACUGACCCCAGCUUGUGUUCGGCUCAUUUAUUAAACGAGCUGAAAAAUUCAGCUCGUGUUUGGCUCAUUUAUUAAAUGAGCAAUUCGAUCUCGAGCUCAUUUCGAGCCGAACACGAGCUAGCUCGGGAACAACGAGCUAGAUUGCCACCCCUACUACAAACAUCAUUAACCUUUAGCAAAAAGCAACUAGUAUGUGUGAAUGGCUAAAAAGUGCAUAUAUAUCUUUCAGUGGAGAAUAACAACAAGAACGUAACUACAAACAUCACGGUAAAAUAUUUAUUCAUUUUCUGUGAUUCCUAGAAGAAUGGGACUCCCCAAGUCAAAGUUAUCACUUCGCUCUCCAAAACUUUUGGCUAAUGAGCUGCUUGAGCACAAGCUGCAAAACUUGCAUAUAUUUCCAAUUCACAAAAUUCAACUCAAGUGGUCUUAGCUUCCAUGCCCUUUUCAUGGCUUUUGCAUUUAGAGUUUAAGUUGCCUUCUUAUCUUAAGCAUUUUCUUUUUUGUAACACACAAAGUUCCUCGGAGCUCUCUAGUGCCAAACAUUCCAAAGAACUCAUUAUGACAUCAUGUUUUAGCAACAAUAAAUUAUUUCGUAGGUUGUAAAAUGACUUAUAAAUUACUUUAUCUAGACAAUAAGAAUUAAAACAACACAACCGAGCUUGACUAUGCUAGAUAAACAGGACAAAGAAUCUCCAAGUAAUCAAGCGAACUUAAUCACAUCACUUCACUUCCAUGUUCCGUUGCAGAAAGCUUGCCCUUAACACGCCAAAGUCAUAGAUGAUUAGUUAUGCAUACCAACUAGUAUAGAAAAAGCUUCAUUUGCACAGAGAAUAAAGCACUUUCUUCUAUUGUCGGCUUCGCCGAAAAAGAAUGCAAUCCACAUAUAUAUCAUAUAGCGUGAGUAAUCUUGCAACAAAAGAUCGCAAAAAAGGGAGAUCGUUUCUCCAAUCAAUUUAUCAGGACGAGCCCAGAAAACGCCAUUAGAGACCACCGUUUGAGGAAUCGGCUUCCUCAAAAAAGGAUUAUCUGCUGACCUACCGCCAUAAUUCUAAAUCGAGCUUUUUGGUACCUGUUGGAGUGGAGUAUAUCCUUGGCGAGGGCGAUGAUAGGCUCGAUGACGCUGAGGAUCUCGGCUUCCUUAUCCUUCCACCGGCGAAACCCGGGCUUGUCAGCCCAGGCCCUGGAGAGGGAGGGGGGAGCGGGGAGCGGGGAGCGGGAAGCGGGGCCCUUGGCGCCGAGAGGAGCGCCUACCCCACCGUUGGCGUGUGGCGGCGGCGGAGGGAGGUCGUCGGCGGUGGAGAGCACCGAAAGGUGACGGCGCGCCUCCACGAGCACGGCUGCACCGGCGGCGGCGCGGGGGAGCGCGCCCUCCGAAGGAGGAGGCCAAGGGCGAUGCCGGCGGCGGCGGAUAUCCUCAAAGCACGUGUUGCCGAGAAGGUCGGGGAGAAGUGAGGGCGAUUUGGGGAUGAGAUCGGAGCUCGCAAAGGAUGCGGAGGAAAAGGAAGGAGGGGAUGAGUAGAGGUGAAAGAGAGGGGGAGUGCUCAAGCUCGGACUCACGGAGAGGGUCGGGUGGUCCUGGGAUCGGGGGAGGGGAGAGAGAUAGGGGUGUAACGUGGGACUUGCUGGUUGUCAUGGCCCACAUUAGUCGGGCAGAAACGGGUCACAGGGUGGCCGGGCCCGGCCAGUCGUCAAAUCCGGGUCGGGCCAUACUAUGCCAGAGCUAAUCAGUUCCCAGCCCAGCACGGCCCUUCGGCCUGGAAGUCACAGGCCGUCCCAUGCCGAGCCGGGCCGUGCUCCGGGCCGGUCCUUUAUUUGUUUUAAUUUUUAAAAAAAACAUAAAAUUUAAAAAUAAUAAUAAUAAAUUAUUUUUAUUUAAAUUAGUAUUUUGAUUAAAAAAAUUAAAAUUUUUUAUUUUAAAUAUUGUUUAUUAAUUGUGAUUUAUCUGGUAUAUUAUAAGUAUUUGCUUUUGUAUUAUCAUUUAACCGUUUAUAAUUUAUUAUUAUUCUAGUUUUUUCUCUUACUAUCUCAGAAUGUUUCAUUACUAUAAAAGCAGCAAACCUAUGUUUUGAGUUUUACCAUUUUAUUACUUCUAAAUUUAAUAGUUCGUUUAUAUGCAUCUUAAAUUAUUCUUUUUCCUCGUUAGAGACUUCUAGCGAGGCUGUCUUAAUUAUGUAUUCAGGAUUAAUAGUAUCUACUUUACAAUAUAACUUAUUUUUAUCCCAGUACUUAACAGGAUUUUGUCUAAUUUCUCUAGUAUCUUAUCUAUAUCUGCUUGAUCUCUAAUAAAUCCUAUAUUUAAUAGCAUUUUUUUCCAAUUCAUAUAGUCUGGUUCGUAAUCAAAUGCUAAAUAAUUUUGUUCUAAAAGUUUUUCAUAAUUAUAAUUAAAAUCAAAAUCAUCUAAUUCUAUUAAAUCUAAUUCGUUUUCAACUUCUUGUUUCUCAAUUAUUUUAUCGUAAUCUAUUAGUCCAUUAGUUUGUAAGUUUUGGCAACAUACUUUCCCCUGUGUACAAUUAUCACAACAUUUUUUUCUUUUAGGUUCUGAUUCUGUUCUAGUUUUUAUAUGGUUAAUAUGUACUGGAGUUUGAGUAAUCUUUUUAUAAAAGUGAACAGUCCUUAUUUAGACUUAAAUCUCCUAAUUGAUUUAGGAUAAAGUUUAAUCAUAAAACAAAAUCAGUGUUGAUAUUUAGUAGUCUUAACCAUAUUUUUGGCAAGGCAUUGUGGUAUCCCUGGUGUUCACCAGUUGAGACUUGCCGACAGCUCUGGAGAGUGUCGAGACAAGUCCGAGUCGCGUUGGUAUGAAAUACACGCAAAACGGACUCAGCAGGGACGCGAGAGUAGGACUUGGCAUUGGAAUCUGCAAACAGCAGAUUUUCUGCUUGUUGUACCGGUACAACCAUUAAGGCGUACCGGUACACUUUCUGUACCGGUACAACAUUGGGGGUGUACCGGUACACUUCGACAGAUUUUGCGCAGCUGCUCUCGGGUUGCCAUUUGUACCAGUACACUUGCUCGUGUACCGGUACACCAGGGUAGGUGAGAUGGCAUUUUGGUAAUUUCUCACCUCGUUCGUGUCACCCACUCCUCUCUAUCGCUUAUAUGUACGUAGAGGGUUAGAGAGAUAGAUUUUUACUGCAUUCCUCCUCUCUUUCCCUAGCAUUGGUCGAGCAAGAAGGAGUUCGGGUGGAGUUGCCGUGGAGCUCGGACCGACGUCGACGUCACACCGCGGUGCCGUUCGAGCGAGUGUUUGUUGUCGUAGCAUUGCGAGGAGACCGGCCGAGGGUGCGAUUCAGCCGUUCUCGACGUCGCGCCGAAUUGGAUUUAGUGUUUGAGGUGGGUUAAUAAUCGGUUUGUCUUCUAAGUAUAUAAAUAUGGUCGGCAUGUGUAGUUCUAGCUUGUUGCAUAUCCGGUUUGCUCAAUUCAUGGAGUUUAGACAUAUGUAUAUGUAGAAUAUGAAUUUGGAGCUUAAUGUUGUGACUAGAUAUUGACACAUGUUGGACUUGGAUUUGACUUAGGAGAAAACCGCAAAUAUAACUUGUCAUAUACUUACACUACCUGAUUUAGCUCUAGGAGUCGUUAUCAUUUUGUAUCGCUGCAGUAUCGGUGUGGUGGAUACUCCAGGUAGUGUAGUGUACUAUUACGCUCGUGCUGGGAUGCCGAACCUUUUUUUACAGUAGCUUUCAAAUUGUUCCGGACUAUUGGGUGCCGUUGGGACUGACGGUGGACCCGGAUUGCCGUUUUGACAUUAGAUUGUGCUGAGGGCACGUGACUAUUUGGUUGGUAGACCAGUUAGACCCAGUGUACUUGACUAUAGCCUGCGAGAGCCUGAUUGAGCUCGACAGAGAUACGCUUGCAUACUCGGUUGGGUAGCGCCCACGAGUGCCACUCUGGAGUCGGGCCUAGUGCUGUUGCAUUGGUGUUGUUGUGUCCUGGUUGGACUUGCUCUCCACUAACUACCUUGCGGGGGUGGUUGUUAAUGUUGCUUCGACAUGCAGGACGGGUGUAUCACAGUCCCUGAAUAGAUUGGGUCAGCAUUGAUAUUUUUUACUGCAGAUGAUUAGAGUAUAGCAUGAUAGUGUAGUGAUAUUUAGCUAUAGAUGUUUUCCAGCUUUCCUACUAUCCCAGCUCCUUUCUGUAGACUUAGUGGGUAGACCGAUGAUUGUUGAGGGCGACACCCACCGAGGACUACUUAUUUUUACAAUAGUUCUCACGCCCAGUUGUUACCCCUCUUUUGUAGAGCUUGCUGUUCCGGUUGCUGCUUCCUCUGAGACCGAUCGUGGCAAGGGCGUUGCCGGUUAGAGCCCUUCCCAGUUGUGGCAGUUCGAGAGGAUACCAGAUUCAGGUAGUGGUUUUGUUUCCUUUACAGUUCAUGUACAUGCAUCUUUCGUAACUCGCCGGAGCGAGUCUUUUGUAUCAGGAUGUUUCGUAUGUAUACAGAACUGGCUUUUGUUUACCAGCUUUAUUUAUGCAGCUCUAUACUACUAUUUGUAGUAUUGUAUGUUUAUACAGGUACAGCUAUCGCUUCGUAUACAGAGAAAAUUUCUUUGUACACGGCGGAUUUGUUGGCGUGCCCGGGGAACGAGACAUCCGGGGUGUGAUAGAUUAAGUUGGUAUCAGAGCUCAGUUGUAGGUCGUUGGGACCUAGGUAACCUAAGUGGACAAACCUUAGAAAGGCAAAACGCGAGAGCCGUGAUUAAUGCGAAAGUCAAUGAUUAAUUGUUCUAACUCAUCCUAGAGCGGAGUGAGUGAUUGAAGGAGUUUCUGUUUUGGCCUGAGAAAUUAUGUUGGCUGCAGACGACAUAAUUUUGGAGGAAAAUAGGGACUGCCUUCCAGACUUUCAUUGAUUGGGUCGAGAGUGUUUGUAUUGUAUCUGACCCCGUUCCGUUUUCUACAGUUAUGUAUCGUCGCCGAGGUCGACCGUCCUUGCGGGAGCGUGCCCAGUUGACGCAGGAUCAUGCGGGACCUUCCGAGAUGCCAGAGCAGACGGAGCGCAGUACGCGACAGGAGGCGAGUGCACCCCCUGUUGUGGAGCCGAGUGCGCGACCUGAGGUGUAAUACACUGGACUUUCGCAAAUGGCAGAGUUCGAGUGUGUGGAAGGAAGUGUGGAACUAUCCUACAUGUUCUAAAUGACUUGGACAAGUUUUUGAACAAGUUAGAGAGUGAUUGGAGGGUUAAAAGUAAGAAAUUGCAUCAAACUGGCGAAAAUCAGCAUUUUCUGCUUGCUGUACCGGUACAGCCAUCACCUUGUACCGGUACAAGCUGGCAGAUUCGUGGCAGCAAGGCUAGUUUGGUAAUUUCACACUUGAUCCCUACCUAUUUGAUCCCAGCACGACUCUGGGACUUCAGUAGAGUAUGCAAGAGCUCUGAGAAAGCUUCUUUUCCCUUCUUCUCUCUCUCUCUCUAGGNCUCGGGCUACGGCCGAGGGUGAUGUCCCUUUGUAUAGAGAGACUACCAUUGUACCUAUUUUGGUAUACCCCGUGAUGUAUAUGUACUCUUUGGACAGUCACUAUAGUCAUGUUACUUUCUCUUUUAGUUGAGAUUUUGGUUUAUGUACUCUUUGCCCUCUUGUUGAUAGUCUUUGUGACUUGUACUUUGCUCUGAUAUCAGGAUAGAAUUUUCUAUGAUCUCCUUCCUAUCGACUUGCUUGUUUGUAGACGCCUUAUAUACUGCAGGUGUAUGGCGGGUCUGUUCACGUACCGGAUAUGCUUCCGCUGGUACCCGGGGGUGACAUGAGGCUAGCGCGUCCCCUGAUCUGAGUGCACAGUUAGCUGCCUUGACUGAGGUGACAAGGCGGCAGGGGGAGUUGUUGGAGAGGAUGUGUGAGAGGCUAGUUCCACCCCCGAGUUCAACACCGAGGGCACCAGAGGCAUCAGCUCCACCUCCUACUACUUCAGCAGCAGUACGAGUCGCAGCUGUACCCCCACCAGUGGAGGUUCCGGUGGCGCUAGUUGUGCCUUCUAGAGGGCCAGUGCAGAUGACUGAGGCCGAGCAGGAGUGGAUGACAGAGAGGUUUGCUCGUUUUCGCCGUUUUGACCCGCCGAUCUUUGAUGGCAGCUGCACAGAGGCGUGGAUUGUUGAGGGCUGGGUCAGUGCGCUGGAGAAGCUCUUUGAGGAUCUGUUCAAUCCAGAGAGGGAGCAGGUACAUCUUGGAGUUUACUGUUUGUCGGGUGAUGCUCACGCCUGGUGGAGGAGGGUGAAGCAAGACUAUGGGCUAGUGGCACUAGAGAUGCGGUGGGACGAGUUCUGUAGAAUGCUGUUUGGGAUGUAUUUUUCCAACAGUGUGAAACAGAAGCUCGAGGAGGACCUAAAGAAGAUCGAGCAGGGGGAUCGAACAGUUCAGGAGUACAUCCAGGAGUUCACUCGGCUCCUGAACUGCGUCUCUUUUGUAGCUCGAGACGAGGCACACCAGGUAUACCUUUUUGAGUAGGGUUUGAGGCCCGAGAUCUUCAGAUUUGUCCAUGCGCAGAGGUUGAGGACCUUGGAUGCGUCUAUGGAGCAGGCACUUUAGGUUGAGAGAGGUGAUGCUUUGAUCCGGGAGAGGACCCAGUUGCAGGGGCAGAGUUAGGACAGGAAGCGCCCAGCCACAGAUGACGGAGGACGGUCAAGCAGCAGGCGUCCGCCGAGGCCUACACGAGCACGUUCUCAGGGUCGUGGGUUUUCGGGGCAUCAGCGUUCUAGGGGACUUCGUCAGCAGAGGCAGUUUCAGGGGCCACAGUAGUGUGUGAUUUGUGUGGGACCACACGGGGCCCGGCAGUGUGAGCAGCGUGAGGGCCGGUGUUUUGGGUAUGGGCAGCCAGGACAUAUGAGGUCAGCGUGUUCCCGAGCAGCAUCACCAGCACCAUCGACAGCUUCAGCCCGACCAGCAACUCAGAAGUCGUAUGGAGCAGCACCGAGUUACCGCCAGGAGGAUAGGUCGUCUGUGCCGCGGCAGAGUGAGCGGCAACAGCAGGCUUCAAGUGGCAGGGUGUAUGUAGCCCAGGUGGAGGACUCUACAGAAGCCGACAGGGUGGUAGCAGGUAUCACUUUGAUUUCUGGCAUUAGAGGUCGGACUCUUUUUGAUACCGGAGCAUCUCAUUCUUUUGUUAGCCGAGUAUUUGCAUUAUUGCAUGGUCUAGAGUUAGAGACAUUAUCACAAGCACGAGAGGUGCAGAUCCCAGACCAUGUUUUGCAGGUUGUCGAGUGUUGCUAGUCGUGUUCGGUGCAGUUGGAUUCAUGGAUCAUGCCCGCAGACCUGUUGGUGUUAGGGCAGCUGCAGGACUUCAACGUUAUGCUCGGUAUGGAUUGGCUGGCGCGCUACUAUCGAUUGUGGAGUGAGGACGGUGACGUUCCGCGAGCCAGGCCAGGAGGAGUUCACUUUUAGAGGCUGCAGGAGUACGUUGUUCGCCACUUGGAUAUCUUCGGCGAGGGCUCGACAGAUGAUGAGCAGAGGAUGUGUUGCUUUUCUGGCCACAAUUGUAGAGGUACCUAUGGCGGCGCCGGGACUCGAGGAUAUCCCUGUAGUCUGCGAGUUUCCGAAUGUGUUUCCCCCGGAGUUGACGACUAUGCCGCCGGAGAGAGAGAUUGAGUUUGUAAUUGAUAUAGUUCCUGGAACUGCACCAAUCUCGAAUGUACCUUAUCGGAUGGCACCGGCUGAGCUUAGAGAGCUAAAGGCACAGCUUUAGGAUUUGAUGGAUAAGGGGUUUGUGAGACCCAUUGUGUCGCCUUGGGGAGCGCCGGUGUUAUUUGUAAAGAAAAUGAUGGUUCACUUAGGUUGUGCGUGGAUUACCGGAAGCCGAAUAAAGUGACCAUCAAGAACAAGUAUCCUUUGCCGCGCAUUGAUGAUUUGUUUGAUCAGCUGCAGGGAUCUUGUGUCUUCUCGAAGAUUGAUCUCCAGUCAGGUUACCACCAGUUGAGGGUGAGAGCCGAGGAUGUUCCUAAGACGGCUUUUCGGACUCGGUACGGGCAUUAUGAGUUCACAGUGAUGCCUUUUGGAUUGACGAAUGCCCCUGCCGCAUUCAUGGAACUGAUGAACAGAGUGUUCAAGCCGUUCUUGGAUAAAUUUGUAGUAGUCUUCAUCGAUGACAUUUUGAUAUACUCCCGGAGCGAUGUCGAGCGCGAGGCGCACUUGAGGAUUGUGCUACAGCUUCUGCGAGAGAAAAAGUUGUAUGCCAAGUUAAAGAAGUGCAAGUUCUGGUUACGAGAGGUUGCUUUCUUGGACCAUGUGAUUUCUGCAGAGGGAGUAGCAAUGGACCCGAAGAAGAUUGAUUCUAUUCGGGAUUGGCCCAGACCGACGACGGUGACUGAGGUGAGGAGUUUUCUGGGACUGGCAGGAUAUCACCGUCGGUUUGUGGAAGGUUUUGCGAAGCUUACCACACCCCUCACCCACUUGACGUGGAAGGGGAUUCGCUUUGUCUGGAGUGACGACUGUCAGAGAAGCUUUGAUCAGUUGAGACAGAGGUUGACGUCAGCUCCUAUCCUUGCCCUUCCUGUGAUGGGGGAAGGAUUUGUGAUCUAUAGUGAUGCAUCGCACAGUGGAGUGGGUUGUGUGCUGAUGCAGCAUGGUAGGAUAAUUGCUUAUGCUUAACGGUAGUUAAAGGAUUAUGAGAAAAAUUACCCUAUGCAUGACUUGGAGCUUGCCGCGGUAGUCUUUGCCUUGAAGCUGUGGCGGCAUUACUUGUAUGGUGAGCACUGUGAGAUUUUUACUGAUCACAAGAGUCUCAAGUAUCUGUUCACUCAAAAGGAAUUGAAUAUGAGGCAGCGUCGGUGGUUGGAGUUACUGAAGGACUAUGAUCUUAGUAUUCAGUAUCAUCCCGGCAAGGCGAAUGUAGUGGCAGAUGCGUUGAGCAGGAAGGUAGUGCAGAGUUGGAGUAUGUUGAUUACUCAGCAGAGGCCGUUGCUCAAGGAGUUGCAGCGGCUGAGAAUUGAGAUAGUGUCCCCUAGGUCUACUGCGAGACUGAUGUUUCUGGUUUUGCAGCCCACUCUAUUGGAUAGGAUCCGAGAGAAACAGAGUGGAGAUCCGUAUCUGUUGAGGAUUCGAGAGCAAUUAGACAGGGGACAGGCUGAGGGUUUUGCUGUGGACAGCUCGGGAGUACUACUGUACAGGGACCGACAGUGUGUGCCUGUGGAUUCAGGGAUCCGAGAGGAUAUUUUGAGAGAGGCUUAUUGUUCUUCUUAUAAGGUUCACCCAGGUGGAACCAAGAUGUAUAAGGACUUAAAGGUACAGUUUUGGUUGAAUGGAAUGAAAAGGGACAUUAGCAGGUGUAAGGAAGUGAAUUCUCGAAAUCCGAGGAUUGUACCUCAUCCAGGAUCGACUAACUGUCGAGAGUAUACCCUUUGUGGGAGUUGGAGAUGUCCAAAACACCAAAAAGUGCUUUGGAGUUGAGUCCGCGAGAGCAAAUAGGCAAAAUCUGGAUUCAGCAGAUUUUUGCUCUCGGGGACCGGUCCCUGGAGGGAAGGACCGAUCCCCGUAGCUGAUGGUCGCGGGGGAGGUUGAUGCGACCGGUCCCUGGCUGAGGGGACCGGUCCUCGUGCGCGACACCCGCGGGAGAAAGCCAAAAUUUGGCUAAGUCCUGAAGGUUCCCCGUUUGGAAACCGGUCUCUUAGGAGAGACCGGUUUCCCAGGGACCGGUCCCUCAGGUGAGGACCGGUUCCCGAACGCGAAAACUCCCCAGACAGCAGGGAGAGCUCUCGGGGACCGGUCUCCCCGAUCAGGGACCGGUUCCUCUGGGCGAAAACUGCUCAGUGAGGGCUGUGCAAUGGAUGAAAAGUUGAGGGGCUAAAGUGGAUUUUGUUACAAUAGAAGGGCUCAACAGCCCACUCCCCCUAUCAUUCUCUCAUUUCACCCUCUCUCUCUCUUUCUCUCUCUCUCUCUAAGAAAGAAAGAACAAAAGAGAAGGAGAAGAAGAAAGAGAAGAAGAAGAAGGAGGAGAAGAAGAAGAAGAAGGAGGAGAACAAGCUAGAGAGGGCUUGGAGCAUCUUCCUCUCUUUCUCUCCUUUCCAUUGGUGUAGCUCAAGAGGUAAGCUACAAACCCUAGCUUGUAGAACUUGGGGUUUUUGGGUUUUGAUGCUUUGGAAUGGGUCAAAUGGACCCUAAACUUGCUUCUAAAUAGAUCAAUCCCAAGAAUCUAGGGAUUUAUUGGUGGUUUGCUAUAGGUGCAAACCUAGGGCUCCAAAAUGGGGUUUUUGUGAAAGUAUGAGAUUGAUCUCAUUUGAAGCCCUGGAAAUCCUAUUGGUAGGUUACAAAACGUGGGGGCGAAGUCGAUUUGCAUUCGGCGAGCAGGCGUGAAGUUCUCGGCAAAAUAGGGCCGGGAUAGCUUGGAUUUGGGCAAAAAAGGCUAAAGCCUUUUGGUAGCGUUCGCCGCGGACCAUUUAUUAAGCCUCGACAUCGGUAAAAGGUGGGGGGUGCUAUCCCGAAGCUUUCGAACUCCUUUCUAUGUCUUAGAUUGCAUUUAAUCUCAUCUCUUCAUGUUCCAUUGUAGGAUUGCAUAGUAGCUCCGUUCCUUAUGCUUUCUAAUUGAUAACCUAGUGUACUUGGAACGCUUGGUGACUUAGAUAGGUGAGGAUUGGGUUGGAACGUGGAUCCUAUGAUGCAAGAGAAAAGAGAUGAACCCGAUGGGGGUGUUGAUGACAUAGAAAGUAGUAUUAAUGUCAAAGAACUAACGAGUGGCAUCCAAGCGUUAAAUGAUGACGAGUGGCAUUAAUGUAGUGUAAAUAACACUAGAGGUUUGAGAACCUAGGGAUAGGUGGAUCCCUUAGAAAAUGCCUUGUGGACAAGAACUUAGUAAACCUAAGUAACCUCACAUGGAGAGGUCGUCGAUGAGUCGAUUGAGACAGUGACCCUAGUUGUAGGGCAUCCUCACUUGGAGAGGAUUUGAUUGAGUUGUGGACCCUAGUGGUAGUGCUCCCUCACUUGGAGAGGAUUUGAUUGGGUAUUGACCCUAGAUGUAGGGCAUCCUCACUUGGAGAGGAUAGAUCUAGCUCACAGCCUGCGUUUGGGAUGGUAUAGCCAUCCAAUCCCCACAUGGAGGGGAUUGUCGUCGAGUACUCCGGAGUGUCGCGCGACUAGGACCACUUGGAGGUCUGGACCACAUUGAGGUCCGCAGAUGGUCCCGGGCUUGGGUGCACUUGGAGCUCCCUCCCUACUUUGGGAUUGAAGGGUGAGUUAUAGGCGAGCCCUAGGGCCUCUCCACAGAUUGGGUAAAUGGAAAGUUAAAGGUUUAAUAAUGUCAUUGAACAUUGCUAUUCGAACAUGGAUCGAAUUCGUUAGCAUGGUAGCAAAUCUUUAUUAUAUGAUGCAUACAUUCAUAUUCAUGAUUAUGGGCAUAGUAGCAUAGUUUUCCUACUAUCGCAUUUACAGUUUUCAGAUACAUAUCUAUCUAUCUAUCUGUUGUUACUUGUGCCCACUUGGACCUAUUGGGGAGAUCGGCAGAGUCGGCGGCCGAGCCCACUGGGAACUAUGGAAGAUAGUUCUCACCCCACUCUAAUUCCAGUGGUAGGUACAGGACUGCCCAGGGACGACCGCGGCAAGGGCAUCGCACCAGAUCAGUGAGACCGUGGUAGUAUAGCAGCUUUCCUUUUUGCAUUAGCACACCUAUGUAUUGAGAGAGAUUCAUUGUAGGUGAGGAUUUGGAGAGCUAUGUAUUUUGGAUGAAAAAUGUAUUCGUUUAAAGAAAAUGAAAAUGAGGGAACUAUUGUAAUAGUUAGUAAAGUACUCUCUUUAUUUCACAUGCUUUAUCUUGUGGAUUGCUUGCUCUUUGUAUUGUUGGCACUGUUUGUGCCCUUGUGAAUGUGUAUAUUUAGAAUUUAAUUUUCUGGGUAAAUUCUUGUACACAUUCCUGUUGUUGAGCCUUGGGCGGACAGAGGAGGUGCUGUCCGUUCGGCGGCCCGCCGCCGCUGCCGAACCGUGCCAAAUUGGUAGUGGUUUCGGGGCGGGACGUGACAGCAGGUAUGUGGCUAAGUGUUUCACUUGCCAACAGGUAAAGGCCAAGCAUCAAGUGCCUGCUGGCAAGCUUCAGAAUCUGCUAGUCCCCGAGUGGAAGUGGGAGCAGAUUCCCAUGGACUUUGUUGUGGGAUUGUCUAGUGCACAGGGUGGUUUUGAUGCGAUUUGGGUGAUAGUGGACAGACUGACCAAGUCUGCUCACUUCCUACCGGUUCAGACCACCUGGUCCAGAGAGUGGCUCGCGCAGCUAUACCUGGAUGAGAUUCUCAGGCUACACGGCGUGCCAGUGUCGAUUGUAUCAGACAGAGACCCUAGGUUUGUGUCCCAGUUUUGGAGGAGUCUUCAGACAGCCUUGGGCACUCAGCUACAUUUCAGCACGGCGUUCCACCUACAGACAGAUGGUCAGUCAGAGAGGACCAUUUAGACUCUAGAGGAUAUGCUGAGGGCAUGCGUCCUGGAUUUUGGAGGAGGGUGGUAUUGACAUUUCAGACUGGUUGAGUUUGCGUACAACAACAGCUAUCAAAUGAGUAUCCAGAUGGCUCCGUUUGAGGCGUUGUAUGGACGCAGAUGUCGAUCCCCUUUAUUUUGGAGCGAUGUGGGUUAGAGGAGGACACUAGGGCCUGAGAUCUUGCUAGAGGCUGAGGAAAAUGUGAGAGUUGUUCGACGUCACCUUUUAACAGCUCAGAGCCGCCAGAAGAGCUAUGCUGAUAUCCGGAAGCGAGACUUAGAGUUUCAGGUUGGAGAUCAUGUAUUUCUCAAAGUCUCGCCGUCUAGAGGGAUUCGCCGAUUUGGAGUACGUGGAAAGCUUAGUCCACGUUUCGUUGGCCCUUUUGAGGUAUUGGGACGAGUGGUACUAGUUGCAUACGGGAUUGCUCUACCCCCGCGACUAGCUCGCAUUCACGAUGUCUUCCACGUCUCAGCAUUGAGGAGAUAUGUUUUCGAUCCUUCUCACGUGAUUGACUUCACUCCACUUGACAUUAGCGAGGAUCUAGGAUACGAGGAGCGACCGUUGCGGAUUCUUGCUCGGGAGUCGAAAGAAUUGCACAACCGGGUCAUCCCGUAUGUAAAGGUGUAGUGGAGUAAUCACGAGGAGCGGGAGGCGACUUCGGAGCCUGAGGCGGUGAUGAGGGAGACCUAUUCCUAUCUGUUCGAUGCCUAGAGCUGAGGUAUGUUUAAGUUUCGAGGACAAAACUUUUCGUAGUGGGGGAGGAUGUGGUAUCCCUGGUGUUCAUCAGUUGAGGCUUACCGACAGCUUUGGCGAGUGUCGGGACAAGUCCGAGCCGCGUUGGUGUGAAAUACACGCAAAACGGACUCAGCAGGGAUGCGAGAGCAGGACUUGGCAUUGGAAUAUGCAAACAACAGAUUUUCUACUUGUUGUACCGGUAGAACCAUCAAGGCGUACUGGUAAACUUUCUGUACCGGUACAACAUCGGGGGUGUACCGGUACACUUCGACAGAUUUUGUGCAGCUGCUCUCGGGUUGCCAUUUGUACCGGUACACUUGCUCGUGUACCGGUACACCAGGGUAGGUGAGAUGGCAUUUUGGUAAUUUCUAACCUCAUUUGUGUCACCCACUCCUCUCCACCGCUUAUAUGUACGUAGAGGGUUAGAGAGAGAUGGAUUUUUACUGCUUUCCUCCUCUCUUUCCCUAGCAUCGACCGAACAAGAAAGAGCUCGGGUGGAGUUGCCGUGGAGCUCGGACCGACGUCGACGUCGCGCCGCGGUGCCGUUCGAGCGGGUGUUUGUCGUCGUAGCAUCGCGAGGAGGCCGGGCGAGGGUGCGAUUCCGCCGUUCUCGACGUCGUGCCGGAUUGGAUUUAGCGUUCGAGGUUGGUUAAUCAUCGGUUUGUCUUCUAAGUAUAUAAAUAUGGUCGGCAUGUGUAGUUCUAGCUUGUUGCAUAUCCGGUUUGCUCAAUUCAUGGAGUUUAGACAUAUGUAUAUGUAGAAUAUGAAUUUGGAGCUUAAUGUUGUGACUAGAUAUUGACACAUGUUGGACUUAGAUUUGAGAAAACCGCAAAUAUAACUUGUCAUAUGCUUACACUACCUGCUUUAGCUUUAGGAGCCGUUAUCAUUUUGUAUCGCCGCAGUAUCGGUGUGGUGGAUACCCCAGGUAGUAUAGUGUACUGUUACGCUCGUGCUAGGAUGCUGAGCCUAUUUUUACAGUAGCUUUCAGACUGUUCCGGACUGUUGGGUGCCGUUGGGACUUACGGUGUUCCCGGAUUGCCGUUUUGGCAUUAGAUUGUGCUGAGGGCACGUGACUGUUUGGUUGGUAGACCAGUUAGACCCAGUGUACUUGACUAUAGCCUGCGAGAGCCUGAUUGAGCUCGACAGAGAUACGCUUGCAUACUCGGUUGGGUAGCGCCCGAGUGCCACUCCGGAGUUGGGCCUAGUGCUGUUGUGUUGGUGUCGUUGUGUCCUCAUUGGACUUGCUCUCCACUAACUACCCUGCGGGGGUGGUUGUUAGUGUUGCUUCGGCAGGCGGGACGGGUGUAUCACAGUCCCUGGAUAGAUUGGGUCAGCAUUGAUAUUUUUUACUACAGAUGAUUAGAGCAUGAUAGUGUCAUGAUAUUUAGCUGUAGAUGUUUUUCCAGCUUUCCUACUAUCCCAGCUCCUUUCUGUAGACUUAGUGGGUGGACCGAUGAUUGUUGAGGGCGGCACCCACUGAGAACUACUUGUUUUUACAGUAGUUCUCACACCUAGUUGUUACCCCUCUUUUGCAAUGCUUGCUGUUCCGGUUGCUGCUUCCUCUGAGACCGAUCGUGGCAAGGCGUUGUCGGUUAGUGCCCUUUCUAGUUGCGGCAGUUCGAGAGGUACCAGAUUCAGGUAGUGGUUUUGUUUCCUUUGCAGUUCAUGUACAUACAGCUUUCGUAACUCGCCGGAGCGAGUCUUUUGUAUCAGGAUAUUUCGCAUGUAUAUAGAACCGGCUUUCGUUUACCAGCUUUAUUUAAGCAGCUCUAUACUACUAUUUGUAGUAUUGUAUGUUUAUACAGGUACGGCUAUCGCUUCGUAUACAGAAAAAAUUUCUUUGUACAUGGCGGAUUUGUCGGCGUGCCCGGGGAACGAGACAUCUGGGGCGUGACAGGCAUAGUAUUCACUAUGAGCGACACAUGUGUCUAAGAAACUAAUUUUACAAUUUUCAAUAUAAUGUGUAUAUAAAUGCACGGUUUCAGAGCCUUCCGCGGCGGGGGAGGCUAGGGUUCGUGGCAAGGGGUUAGCGACUAGCUAGACCCUCCUCGAUGUUGCUGUAGAUGGAUCCGUAGAAUUCCUUCUUUCAUUUUAGUUCAAGAAUGUAUAAUUGUACUUUAUUUGAGAUUUCGAGUAUUCAUGUUGUACCCCUUGAUUAGAUUAUUGUAAUCUUGAGAUGUAUUAGUUUUGGAAUUUUGUAUCUAGUAGAUUUAAGAUCUUGUUCUGACUACAAUGUUUAGAAAUGUUUUACACUUCUUCCUUUAUGAUUGUUGUUGUAAGAUACUAGAUCCUCGGUACGUGCGAAUCCGAACUUUAGUUGGAAUUGACCAAAGUGCGGAGUUGUUAGCUUCGAAAUGCUUCGGAAGAGCCCGAACGCGUUGAAACGGCUUUUAGAGGAUUGUAGGACCUUGGUGAGCACUUGAGGUGUGAAGCUAGAAUUUUUCGUAGUUGAAGUGCUUACGGGGUCCGGACCCUAUGAAGGGUUCGGAUCCCAUAGCCGAAAACUGCCCAACCCGGGUAGUGAGCAACUUGCAUUGUUUGAGGGGUUUUAUGCAAUUUGGCCAUGAGUUGAGUGUAUAUAAGAGGUUAGGGCUUAUUUCUUCUCAUCUCUCUCACACAUGCAACCCAAGUGACCUCCCUCUCUCUGUAGCACACUGCAAAUUGUGAGGUUCGAGUGCUUGAUGUGUACUCCGAACUUUUUCACACUUGGUGGAAGGCCGUAGAUGGUAUUCUGGCCUAAAAGUUCGAUCUCUAGAGUUUUGGCGAGUCCUGAGAGUUUUCACUCUCGGGGAUCGGUCCCUGAUAUGAGAGACCGGUCCCCUCAGAACAGUGCUGCGGCAGGGCUUGAGGCAACCGGUCCCUGGCUGGGAGAAACCGGUUCCCGAACGCGUGUUUUGCGUGAAGAGUCCGAGAGAUCGGUUCCUGGCGGGGAGAGACCAGUUCCCGAAUGUUGGUUUUGCGGGACGAACUGAGAGACCGGUCCCAGGUGUCGGGGAGAUCGGUCCCUCAACGCGAAAACUGCCCAGACCGGGUAAUGCACAGGGUAAUUCUUUGAGGGGCUUAUAUGGAUUUUGUUGCUCCUAAGGGCCUUAAGGCCAUUUCCACCCUCUCACUCUCUCAUUUCUCACCCUCCUUACACUUCUAGAGAGAGAAGAAGGAGGAGAAGAAGAAGAAGAAAUUGGAGGAGAGCAAGAUCUUGAGGCUUGGAGCAUCUUCCGCUCCCUUUUGCUCACAAUUGGAGGCUUGGGGCUUAGGCUAGGAGCUCAAUAGAGGAUCAAUCUACAACCCUAGAGCAUUUGGAGCUUGGUUUGGAUCUCCUUUUAAGGUUAGUUGCUUAUUUCUCCCAUCUAGACCUAUUUUUGGUAGAUUUUGGGAGAUGAAACCCUAGAUUUGAAUUUUAGGGUUUAUUUUGGGAAUUUUUGAUUUGAGGGCUUGGAGACCUAAUUGAUCGGUUUAGAACCUUCCUCUAGGUUGGGUUGGAAAGGUUAUUGCUCUCUUUGGAAGCUUGGGAAGGAAUUUCAUCACAAGAGGUGAGUUAUGCCCUCUAUGCUUAGAUGGUUAAGAUUAAGCUUUCCGAUGUUCGUUUCGAUUGUGUAACUCUUGUUCCUACAUCUUUAGUGUGCUACGAGACUUGUGGACACCUCCGUUCGGCGAAACGAAGUGUUUUGAUUCUUGGUGGGUUUCACUUCAUAAAAUUGGGGCAAAAUGGCCCCUAUGCAUUACAUACUCGUUGUAAAGUCUGUUUGAAUGUAAAUUCCUGCUAAAUAGGAUUUAUAAGAAUUUUAGAAUCCUUGAAAUGCAUGUGCUAUGUGUAAGAUGAAUAUCACUCUAUAUAGUAGAGCUAUAUGUGUAGACUGCAUGCAUGUGAAAGGUGUGCAUCUUUUCAAGUUGAGAACAUGUCUCUUAUGCUAGAAAUGGUUAGAAUUAUGUAUUCAUGAACAUAAUUAUCAUGCUUGGACUCGUUGAACAAAAGUGUUAUAAAGGGGCACUUGAAACUAAUAAACUAUGAAAAUGCAACAUAGAGACAUAGUGAUAGGCCAUUGGAUAUCGACUAUAUUCCAUGUUAGAGACAUGAUGACAUAGUGAUAGGCCUUUGUGACAUUCGAUAUAUUCCAUGUUCUUAGGCAUGAGGACUUGAGACUUGAGACUUGAGACAGACUUAUACACAUGCUUGCCAUUGUGCUCAUUCACACAUGCUUGUGAGGGUCGCUCCCUACAAGCCGGCACUCCGGAGUUAACCGUCGCGAUACAUAUUCGUCGUGCGGAAUUGGGCGCCGAAGUGGAUUGCCGUGGGAAAGGCUCAUCCCUAAGAGUGGGGAUGUUGACUACCAUGGAGACAUUAGGCACGGCACCGGCCAGACAGCCUACGGGUGGGUCUUACAGGCCAGACAGCCUUCGGGUAGGUCUUCAUGCUAGACAGCCUUCGGGUGGGUCUUAUAAGAUUAAACUUUUAACAGUUAAGUGACAAGUGGACAUUGACUAGAAUAAUAAAUAAUGACAUCGUUACUAUUUGCAUCAAGGACAUCGUGUUGGUUGCAUACUCAUGCUUAUACAGGUUAAUCACAUUCAUGACCAUACUCGUUGUAGUUGCUUUAUUUCUCAUGCAGUUCAUACUAAGUAGAGAUAUCAUGGUAGAAUAGUACUCAUGGUUCCAUACUUGUUCAUUAUUUAGCUUUCGUUUAUACUUGUACUGACCCUCUUUUGUAGCUUUUGGGCCUAGUGGCGCAUUUCACUGAAGUCAGUAAUUGCCCACUGGGAACUAUUAUUUAAUAGUUCUCACGCCCUCUGUUUUAUGAUUUUAUUUCAGAGCCUUCGGUACCGGCGGAGGCACAGCAUCGCGGCAAAGAAGUCACGUAGCUAGUUAGCGGGGAGCUACUUUUGAGCUUAGGUGGUUUACUCUUUCUUUUAUUGUAUUAAAGAGUAAGAGAGACUUUGAGUACCAUGUGUAGAGACCACCUGUGUAUUUGUUUGGCUUUUGUUUUGGGAUUCUUAUUGUAUUACUUUGUGUUUCUUCUAGUGAAUUUUGGUAUAUGGUUCGUUCCCUCUUUUGUAGCAACUAGAUAUACUUGCUCUGAUACUCCUAGUUGUUCCCUUUUUAUUGCUUCAUUUAUCGCUUUAUUUAGACGACUUGUAUGUUUUAGACAUAUGGCGGGUCUCGGCACGCAUCGGGCGGGCUUCCGCUCGGUCCCGGGGCGUGACAGAUUAGUUUGAUAUCAGAGCCUAGGGUUGAGUCUUAGUGGACCUAACAAACCUUAGGUCGGUUGGACUAUAGGAAAUAGGCUCGUGAGAGACGAGGUCUAUUUGACUUGUAAGCGAAAGUAUCGUGAUUCGGUAUCUUGAUAACUCUAGAAAGUGGAGUUAAAUUGAAGUGUACAGCUCCUAACUUUGCGGAGGGUUACGUUGGCAGUCGACAACGUAACAUCGGUAGUUAGUAGUGAUGCACACUUCAUUACUUUCGCAUGAUUUGGGGCAUUACCUUCUUGAGUGGGGAUUCGAUGGCGUGAGUUUACCAACUUACGCUUUUAUGAUAUUGUAGUGUGAUGCCGAUUACACACUCUCAAUCUGCCGAAGCGGAUAACGCGGCAAAUCUGGAGGAGGUUGAGACUUCCGCUACCGCCGGAUCCGGCGAGGUCCGAGAGUUGAGAGGCUAGCUUGCGGCUCUCACUGAUAUGGUGGCACAGCAGACUGAGGCGGCUCGCCGACAGGAGGCGCGGAUGAAGCAUCUGGAGGAUCUCCUACUGCAGCAGGCGGAGGCUCGGGAGGCUCAGGUUCCUACACCACCCGCGCCAGUGGAGGUAGUUGCACCCCGAGGAUCGUCCCCUACACUCGACACAUCUCGGACGAUGCCUGCGGUAGCGCCCCGGGAGGAGGUGAUUGCGGCACCACCUGUGCAGAGGCCUCCGGUUGGAGCGAUUUUCCCCGUGAUAGCCGAGGGAGCAGAGCAGGACAGGCUGAUGGAGCGCCUCAAUGAGUUCAGAAGGUGCAGCCCCAGGAUUUUCAACGAAGAGAGGGUCGACCACUGGAUUGUGGAAAAGUGGUUGAUGCAUAUGGAGAAGCUCUUCCCGGACAUCUUCGUGGAGAAGAAAGAUCGAGUUUGGCUCGCCACUCACCAUCUGGACGGUGAGGCUUAUCGCUGGUGGUUGGAUCUUCAGGAGAACCCCAAUACCGACUUUGCGGCUAUUACAUGGAAGAAGUUCAAGGAGCUUCUACUGGCGCACUACUUCCCGCUGAGCGUCAAGAGGAAGAUGGAGCAGGAUCUGCACAACUUGCACCAAGGUGAUCGGACUGUGGCCGAGUACGAGUGGGAGUUUUUUCGGCUUCUUCACUGCGUGCCUUUCGUCGUGCGGGACGACGAGGACAAGGCCCGCAUCUUCGAGCGAGCGUUGCGAUCGUCGAUCUUCCGGUUUGUGCAAUCCUCUAACCUCCAAACCUACCGGGAGGUGGUGGAUCGCGUGCUCAUAGUGGAGAGCGGCGCGGCCGACGUUCAGGAGCGACGAGAGGCGAUGGACAAAGGUAAGGCCAAGAGGCCUGCAGCAGAGGGUGCGAGCCAGACGCACUCUAGGAGGCCGCCGAAGCAUCCUAGGAGCCAGCAACGAGGACGCGGCUCAGCGGCGCAUCGAGGAGGACCUGAUCGUCGCCGGCCCUCCAAGUGUGUGAUUUGCUGUGGCCCUCAUCACCCACCGCAGUGUUUGCAGCGGGUGGGCAGGUGCUACUAGUGUGGCCAGCAGGGCCACAUCCGUACUGAGUGCCCGAGAGGUUCUUCACCGGCACCGUCGACUGCAUCGGCACCGGCUCUACCAGCCGUCAGCCACGGGACUCCAUUGACACAGUACCAGCCUGGGCGGCCACCCGUCCAGCGUCAGAGCGAGGGAUCUCGACAGGCCCUGAGUGGGCGUUUGUAUGCCGCUCAGACUAAGGAGGCGGUAGCAGCCGAGGAUGUGGUUGCAGAUAUCAUUUUACUUGAUGGCAUUAGAGUUCGUGCUUUAUUUGAUACCGGUGCAUCGCAUUCAUUUAUAGAUCGGCUGUUUGCCGAGUUGCAUGUCAUCCCUUUGGUUUUUUUGUUGCAUCCGGGACUUGUUGUAGUACUCGACCAGCUAGUUUCUUGCUAAGCCUAAGGGCAGUCCCUCCUGACCUUAACACACUCUGGAUAUUAGAGAGUAUUGCCCUAGUUGCCCUAUUCGGGUAGGAGAUUGGAUCAUGCCCGUAGAUUUGCUAGCUCUGCGCAAGCUAGGAAAUUUCGAUGUGGUCUUGGAUAUGGAUUGGCUAACCAAGUAUUAUGUCAUGAUUGAUUGUAAGAAUUGCACGGUUACAUUUAGAGAACCGGGACAGACUGAGGUUGUGUUUAGAGGAUGCCGGAGUUCGCUUUUUGCGAUGUCAAUCAGCUCGUCUCGAGCUAGGCAGCUGAUCAGCCGAGGAUGUGUAGCCUACUUGGCUAGUGUUGUGUUAAGGGGCGAGGAUGACACCCCUAGGAUUGAGGAUAUCCCGAUGGUACGGGAGUUCCAGGACGUGUUUCCAGCUGAGCUACCGGGUAUGCCACCCGAUAGGGAGAUCGAGUUUGUGGUAGAUCUCGUCCCUGGGACUACUCCAAUCUCGAAGGCACCCUAUAGGAUGGCACAUAAGCAGAAAACAUUCUAAGCAGAAACAAGCAAACCAUAUUAGCAAACGAUUUUCCGUCUUGGAUGGUAUCAAGCAGUUGACUAACUUUUGAGACUUGUAACUUUUUUUUUCCAUUCAUUCUUUAUAACUUUGUCCUUUCAUUCUGAGAGGUGACUGGGUAGAAACCUAGUUGCCACAUUAUAUACUUGCAUAUUGGAAGAUGAUAUGGCUGUGCUUGGCAUGUGAGAAUGAGAAUUCCUAAAGAUCAGUAGCUUGAACCCAGCAUCUAGACCUUCAAGGCCCUUACAUUAUGAUUUUUGAGCUAUACAAUCAUGUCAGAACCUGUGAAUCCUUGGGAAUGCCAGUAAUAAAUUGGGGUUAUGCAUUGUCACGCCCUGGAUUCAGCGGAAGCUCACUAGUCGCGUGCACAGACCCGCCGUGUACACCACAACUCAAGUAUACACCAGGCGCCUACAAUCAAUAUAGUAAAAGCAUUUGCUUUUAACAAGGUAAUCAGAACAAAACUUAAAAGUUUAAACUUAUACAACUCAACAUCUUAUUACAACAGGUAAGAACAACUAUAAUUUACAUAAUCUCACUAUAAAAUACAGUACUGAACUAGAAAAGCUGAAGUGGUUCCAUCUAUCUAACAUCGAGGAAGCUCUAGCUAGCCGCUGACCCCUCGCCAAGAACCCUAGCCUUUCCCGCUGUGGAAGGCUCUGUAAAAACAAUAACAAAGAGGGUGUGAGAACUAUUAAACAAUAGUUCCCAGUGGAUAAGUCGCCGGGAGUGGCGAAGUACACCACUAGGUCAACUGUGGCAAGAGUAAACAGUAGUAAAUAAGCAAGUAAAUACAACAGGUAUUGAAAUAAAUCAAUCAUGCUAUUUACUCAAAAUAAAUAUAUAAACGCACCAAUCAACAGGUUGUAGGUACUCGUUUAUCAUGAUAUGUUCUAUUAUUCAUAUUAGUUGACAAUUUAACUAGCCAUAUGCCCAAUGGUAUGUAAGACAAUUCAUUAUUGCUGAAAUAACUGAUGAUAUCAUGGAAAUACUUCCUACACCAGUAAAAGUGUAACACAUUGUCACUAUGUCACUAUCGUCAAGAUGUCAACUUUCUAGCUUGUUCAUCAAUAAGUUCACUUGUCAUUUAACUACUCGAUGUUUAAAUCUUGUAAGACCCACCCAAAGGCUGUCUGGCAUGAAGACCCACCCGAAGGCUGUCUGGCAUGAAGACCCACCUGAAGGCUGUCUGACAUGUGCUUGACCUAAUGGCCCCGUGGCAGUUAACACUACCCACGGCAAUCUAUUUUGGCGCUCACUUCGUACAUAAAGGAGCAAUCUGUCGCUAAGCCACUCUUGAGUGCUGGCUCGGGGGGCGUGACCCCCACAAGCAUGUGCAAAAGAGCAUAAUGGCAUGCAAGCUGUAAUCCAUAGCACAAGUAUCACAACGUCAUCAUGUCUCUGACAAGUGAACUUGUGGUUCUCUAAGAUUAUGUCCAAUGACUUGUGGCGCAUAUUCUAUAGUUCAACAUCAUCCUUUACUACUUGGGGUAAAUAAUAACAUGCUAUUACUUUUACUUGAUCAUACAAGUAAAUCAUUACAUCCAUUUCUAGUCAUUUACUAGACUAUCUUUAACAAAAUAACAGUCAUGUUAUAUUACAAUGCCCAAUUCCAAUUGCUAACUAAAUCAUAUAUAUAUAUAUAUAUAUAUAUAUAUAUAUACAUAUAUUAUUAUUAUAUUAUAUAUAUAAUAUAUAUCUACCAAACAAUGCUAUCACUAUUUGGUGAAAACAAUGACCAUUUGAUAACACACGUAUGCGUAGCAUUCUCAAUUGUACUCUUGGCAUGAUUUCAUAAAAUUACAUAAGCAGGUACUUCACUAUACUUGAUAUGCUAAGAGUUCUAUUAACCUGUCUACAACCUAAACUGUAGAAAUUUAACUCAAAGAUACAUCAUUCACUUUAUUGUCCAACUAACCAAAAGUCAUGUUCUAGGCGUUACCGCAAUCCCGUAUUGAAUGAUGUUCUACUCAAAUUGUUCACACAAUUAUACGAAGAAUGUCUGUAAUAUAUCGAAAAUUCGAAAAAUAAAUAUCGAACUUUAGUCAAAUUGACCAAAGUACGAGGACGGUACACUUCGAAAAGUCCGAAGGUGCUAAAAUGAUCGAAAGUGAGUUGUGGAAGGUUUUCGAGAGCUAAAGAAUCAAAUUCUGCAAAACUGCAGAUUUUCAGCUCUCGGGGACCGGUCCCUAAAGGGAGAGACCGGUCCCCGAACACGUAUGAAAUGAGACAGCCGAAAAAUCGGCUAAGUCCUGGAAGGAUAGCUCUCGGGAACCGGUCUCUGCCUGAGAGACCGGUCCCCCAGAGACCGGUCCCAUAAGGAGAGACCGGUUGCACUGCGUGCAGCAGCUCUGGCUGCGCAGGGUGGACGUUCGGGAACCGGUCCCUGCUCGGGGAGACCGGUCUCUGCCUGCGCGGAAUGCCCAGUUCGGGCAGUGUAUUAAAGUGAAAGUUGAGGGGUUUAUUUGCAUUUUGGCAACCCAUUGAGCUAUGUUAGGGGGGCUGAGGGGUUUUUCUCUCAUUUCUCACCCUCUCACACUCUCUUCUCUCCCUCUCUCUCUCUAGAAGACAAAGGAGAAGAAGAAGAAAGGAAGAAAAGAAGGAAAAGAAGGAGAAGAAAGUGAAGAAGAAGAUCAAGGAGCAAAGGAGCCUCAUCUUCUUCCUCUCUAGGGCAAGAAAGGAAAGCUUACAAGGUAAGCUUUGAUCUAUAUUGUAGAAAAACCCUAGAAUGAGUUUUGAAUAACCUAGAAAUGAGUUUUAAAGGGAUAUUUGAAGAGUUUUGAAGCUUUCUUUUGCUUCUUUAGAGAUCAAGUCCAUGGUUGAGCUCAAGGUGAGCUUCAACCCACCUCUAAUGGUGAAAUCCAAACUAGGGUUUGGAGUGAGUUAAGAAUGGUUCUUAUGGACUAAUUAGAGUGUAAUGAAGCUACUUUUGCUUCUCUUUGAGAUCAAACCCUAGGUUUGAUACAUGUGUUGGAGCUAGGGCACCAAAUUGGGGCUUUUGCUCAUGAGGAUUGCUAAGUGCAAUUGACCCUCUAAAAACCUAAUUGGGGGUAUUUCCGACGCGUUGGUGCGCUCGGAAUAGCAUUUCGAAAAGUGUAUGAAAGGUUAUGGGCAAAAUGGCCUAAUAAGGGUUCGUUUUGCCGCAGGUAAAGAACGAAGCAUCUAAAAAUCCCAAGGAAAAUCAUCGGAGCACCUUUGGAAGCCUACGAGGUGGGUGGUGCUUCUCAAACUCAUUGAAAUUCUCUCUAUGCCUAAUGUGUCAUUCUUUGAGCAUAUGUUAUAUGCAUUGUUGCAUGCAUUUUAGGGUAAAGUAAUGAAAGGAAUGUAAUGAUGCAUGAUUGUGAGUACAACUUGCAUAAUGUGAUGGUUAAGAACCUUAUGAAAGUUAAAACCCUAUAUGUAUGCAUGAGAGAAAAGUGAGCACCCAAAGUGAGCAAAAGAACAGAGUGGCACAAUGACAUAGAUCGAGUGGCAUUCGAUAAAGCUAAUGUGAAAUGACACUAGAGUUAGUGUGAUGUAAAGAAUUAAAGUGAUGUAAAGAAUGAUGAAAAUGACGACGAGUAAAGCUAAAGUAAAGUGGGCAAUAAGAACAAGAAUGCUAGAGUUAGCAAAAGUAAAAGAAAUGCAAAGAACAAUGAUUGCUAGAGUUAGCAAGAGUAAUGAGAAUGUAAAGAAUGUGAUUGCAUGAGUUUGCAACAUAAAGUGAUGUAAAGAACACUAGAGCUAGUGUAAAGUCAAGAUUGAACUUAUAAUCCUUUGAGUUAAGGAUAUGAUCAUACUUGCUAUUGAGUUCCGUGCUCGAGGGCGGUCGCUCCCCCUCGGGCGAUGCGCUCCGGAGUUAUGCAUCCGGGUUGGAGUAGACCCGUAAGGACGGUCCUAGCUGGUGAGUACCUGCGAUGAUGGACUUAACGUGAGGCAAGUUAAUGUGGCGAAACCCCCGGGUUAGCCUUAAUGAUUAAAGAGCAAAGAACAAAGAAUAAAGAACAAAGAGUAAAGUGAAAAGAACUAAAGAACAUGCAUAAUCUGCAUCUAUUAAUGUUGAGCAUAUUCCUUGCUUUUGUUCAGGCAUAUUAGCAUCAUGUUAUAGAUUGGUUACCAUAUUUCAGCUUAUCCUUUCUAUUAUGCCUGAGUUAGUCCUAGUGGGAAAGUCGGUGAUGUUGAGGCCGAACCCACUGGGAACUUUGUUGUAGUUCUCACCCCACUAUUUCCACAGAGCCGGGACCGAGCGAGCCGGCGAGCGACCGAGGUAAAGGUAUCGCGCCUUAGUCAGAGGCCACCAGAGUUGGGUUACAUUUUGUUAGUAGACACCCUUUUAUCAUCUUUUGUACUUGAUGAUUAGUGAUGUAAAGAAAAGAAUGCAAAGCUUAUUUUGAGGUAAAUGUGUUGUAAGAAAGAAAUGAUGAGAUUAUGUAAGAACAGCAAAGAAUCUUAAAUGUAAAAGAUGGAUGCAAUGUAUAUGAUCUAAAAUGAAUCAUAUUACUUGUGAAUGUUUAGUUUUCCUUUCUUUCACUGAUGGCUAUUGCUUACCCUCGCGUAAGCCGUUUGUGUAUGUUUCCGCUAGUGCUUUUCUCUAUUGAUGAAAAUGUACAUGUGAUGAGCCUUGGGCGGAUAGGGGAAACUCUGUCCGUCCGGCGUCUGUUUGACGUGCUCGGGUCGGGCCAAGUUGGCAGCGGUCCCGGGGCGUGACAAUGUCAAUACAUGUUAACCAAGCAAGCAGUUAUAUAAUCCAGGCAAUUUCAUAACCCUUCCUCUGCCAUAUAGAUGUUCCCUUAUGUAUGAACUAAUAUGCAUUUGAUGCAUGUUUCAGUUUACUCAAAUAUCCAUAUCUACAAGUGAACAUGCCACUAUUCCAAUUCAUAAUGUCAAAGAAGAUAUAGAGGGAAUUCACCCAUUUCGGGAAGGUCCAACCCACCAGUUAAUCGACGACUUUCGUUAAUUCUGCAACCGAGAGCAAUCCAAAUUCUCCAAGUUCCCUAAUACACAUUCUAAAAUCAGCUUGAAGUUGAAUUCAAACUUUCACAUAUAACCCUCAUGUAAGCAUCGAAUUUGGGCGAGAAUCUUACCUAACAUGUAUCUAAGCUCAAUUCCCCUCUUUAGUUCAGUUUAGAACAUCAAAACCAGUCUCCGCAAGCUCCCAAAGCUUAGCCAAAAAGGUCUCAUACCCUGCUGAAAUUCUGUUGUGAACAAUAUCAAAACUGCAUUAAUAUCACUACCUACACAUCCAACUCGAAAGGAGUUAGGUUACUCACCUUGUACAGCUUUAGCUGAAGUUAAAGCACACUAAACCAGUCCAGCUGAUCUCAAAGGAGCAAGAAACAAGCUCAAUUCACUACUAUAGUAUCAAUUGGAAAGAAAAAUUUAGUUAAUCAUCUUGUAUAGCUCCAAUUCAAGUGGAAGCAUCUCAAAUCCACUCUAGCAGGUUCUUAUAACUCUUCCAAGAGAGUUUCCUAACCCUGCUGUGAGCCAAUCUCAAAAAUACCACUAAUACCACUAAUACCACUAUUUCUUACCUCAAACAAGAGAAUAAUGGCUUUACUCACCAUCCAAAGCUUUAAGGUCAGUCAAACCUGAACCAGGGUUGAAGUUAGCACUACAAAGACUCUCCUUCUCCUCUUUCGCAGCUCCCUCAUAACCUCCAAUCUCAGCUAACAAGAAGAGGGAGAAGAGAAAAGGCUAAUUCCAUUAGCUUCUACUUCAAAUAGAGAGAGAACUCUUAGAGAGAGAAAGAGAGAAGCCCUUACCCUGUUCUUAGAGCUCCAGCACACUCUAAGCUGCUGUAGGGAUCGAUCUGGGUACUAAAAGGAUAAGCUCAAAGGUGAUAUGACCAAAACAGCCUCAAUCCACGCAGCUGCUAUGAUGUGUACCGGUACACAGGCAAUGUUGUACCGGCACACUAUGUAAAUUUCUGCAAUUUCGAAUUCCAAUGCACUUUCGAUCUUUUGACGGUUCGAUCACUCUGUUAACUUGUCAAAAACCUUUCCACCACUCUCUAAAAGGUGUGGGUUAGCUCUCAUUACCAACCCUACUCAUCAAACCUCAUAAUUGACCAACUUCGGAAUACUACAUUUGAGUAGUACCUUUGCAAUGCACUUUUCCAUUUCCAGUUAUCUACUUGCUUCAGUAAUUUGCUGAAACUUCUCGACAAUCUUUCACAAGUUGUAGAAUAGUUCCAAUUUCUAUUCCAACACUCGAACUUCACAAUUUGUCAAAGUUCAUAGUACUACAUGCAUUUUAUAGCAUGUUGCCAAAUUAUUGUUUAAUCAAGGUUCUAAAAUUUGUUAGCUAGUUGGGUCUUACACUAUCAGACAUUAUUAUGUGUUAUGUAUAAUGAUAUUAUAAUGAAAUUGCUAUGCUCCUAUUCUAUCGUAAUUUUAUACAUUGGCUCAUGUUGUUCAGCCACGCCCCCGCCCCGAAACCCCUACCAAUUUGGCACGGUUCGAACGUGUAAGGUACUGGACUUCUAAAAUCAUGAAGUUACGGUGUACAUUUGGUUGGAAAGCCAUUUGAAUGGUUCCGAUGAAGUUCGGUGAAGUUCGGAAGCAUUCGGGCAUUUCGGUGCGCGUAGGUGCGGAAAAGGACCCGAAAGGCUAUGUUGCGCCGUGAACUAAAUCCGGCAUUAGCGUGGAUGAAAAGAUAAUGAAAACACGCUUAAAAACGUAUUUGGAGAGUUUCGAUUUGAUUUGAAAAGAAUCGGAGGUCAAACGAGCGAAAACGGAGCAAAAACGGACGAAGGCUGAAAUUUGGCUAAGUCUGGGCUGGAGGUCCCUCGCGGACCGGUCCCAGGUUGAGAGACCGGUCUCUAAGGGACCGGUCCCUCAUGCAAAGACUGGUCCCCGAACCCCGAAAAUGCCCAGUUUGGGCUAUUGCGAGAAAUGCAUUGUUGAGGAUUUUUUAUGCAAUUUUGCACUCAUGUGAGUGUAUAGAAGAGAGAAAUGGGUCUUUUCUCUCUUCCCUCUCAUCCUUGCAACCCUAAACUCUCCCUCUCUCUCUCUAGAAAGAAAAAAAAGUGUCACGCCCCGGGACCCAGCAGAAGCCCGUCGGGCACGUGCCCAGACCCGCCAUAUGUCUAAAACAUCUAAGGCAUCUAAAACAAAACGACAAUAAUGCAGUAGAACGAGGAAGUCUAAAGAUAUCAGAGCAAAAUAUAACUAGGUUCUACAAUAAGGAGCAAACAUGAAACAGAAAAUCCACUAAGUAAAAGUAUAAGAUAAUACAAUAAAAAAAAAAUCCCAUAACAAGUGCUAAACCGAAUACAUGGGUGGUCUCUCUAUACAUGGUACCAAAACUCUCCCUCUCACAAAACCAAAAAGAUGAGAGUGACCACCUAGGAGUAAUAGCAAGCUCCGCUAUCUAGCUAUGCGACCCCCUUGCCGCGAUCCCGUGCCUCCGCCGGUGCCAAAGGCUCUGGAAUAAAACUAUAAAACAAAGGGCGUGAGAACUAUUAAAUAAUAGUUCCCAGUAGACAAUUACUGACUUCAGUUAGGUGCUCCACUAGGCCCAAACGAAAUAGGUAAGUACCGGUAAAUAAACGAAAGCGAUAAGUACAACUUACGAAGAGUUUAAUUGAGGCAUCGAGUUGAGACUAAGGGAAUGACCUUAGUGGAUUGAGGGUGUUACUGAGCUUUGGUCCAUGACCAUAUUUAUAGUAGAGGAUUUGAGAGUACUACCCGAGCGGUGAAAGUGAGAUUGAUGUGGAGUCAUUGUGGUACAAUGCUGAUUGAGGAAUUAAGUAAUCACCUUUGGUGAGCAAAUUUGGAUGAUUAGUCGGUUUCCGUUGCUAUCGGAAGGAUUGAUGCCGUGGAUGUUGAUUGUAGAGGCGUUCGGGCCAAGCAAUUUGGAAUGGUAGCUAUGUGGAGAUUACACCAUACUUAAUUAUGGAAUAGAGUGGCACCCAGUUGUGCAAUCUCGUGACGGGAUUUGAUUUUGAGUUGUAAGAUCAUCGUUCGGAUUAAGUCGACGAUUGAAUGUUGCAUCGCCUCUCUUUGGUGAUUGAUACCAUGUGAGUACUCCGGUGAAGUUUUGAUGGAUUGGGUGACGGGUGUAACCCCCGGAUUCUUGCUAUGGACAGCGUCGUUGAAUCUGCCUCAGAAGGAUAUAUGAUGGAAUUCUAUAUAUAAGAGUAAAGCGUACUCAACCUGGAUAAGGAAGUGAGAGCUGGAAUUUAGCUUUUGGGAGCACUUGGUUUUGUGAGGACCAACUGAUGGGCUUGUUGACAAGUGCGGAUUUGAGAUGGAACUUUCCGAUGAAGACUUGAGUUCGAGGAGCUUUUGUGGGUUUGGCUUGCGAUAUGCCAAAUUCUUGGAGUCGCGGGAUUUUGUUGUGUUGUGCCUUGGAGCAAUCCGACAUGCUUGAGACCUUCGUGGUCUGGUUGGUACGCUGUUGGAGCGUCCCUUCCAUCCUCUUCGGAUGAGUCUGUUCCGUGGUUGACUGGCAGUUUUGCGGACGAAACUCCUUUUUAGGAGGGGAGAAUGUAACACACUGGACUUUUGCAAAUUGCAAGGUUCGAGUGUUUGAUUUGUGUUUCGAGCUUUUUCACAUUUUCUGGAGGGUCGUAGACAGUGUUCCGACCUAUGGCUCGCAUCCCAAGAAUUGAGGUUUAAAACUUUGCACUAAAACCCAAAAAGAUGGAUUUUUGGUCUACUCUUGGGUUUGCCUCAGCAAGGCUGUAUACCGAUACAAGUUGAUGGUUGUACCGGAACAACAGGUUGUAUCGGUACAGGUUGAUGGCUGUACCGGUACAGAGGGGUGUUACCUGCCAACCCGAGGCUUAGGUUUGUGCGCACAGUGUUUUGUACCGGUACACUUUUCCGUGUACCGGUACACAGUGCAGAAUGCAGUGUGAUUGGGUUUGAGGGGUGUUUUUGGGAUUGUAGCAAAUCUACAAAUAACCCCACGCCCUUGGCUGUGCUCCCUGAGCUUGGACACAGCAGCGAUCAAAGUAGAGAGCCCUCCACUUCUUCUCCUUUGAUUUCCUUACCUUUUUGCUUGGGUUUCUAGAGAUUAAACUUCUUCUUUUGCUUCUUUUAUACUAUUGGUGGCAUUUCCACCAUGGGAGAAUGCUUGAAGCUUGGAGUUGAGCUUGUUGGAGGAGAGAUCUUCAACCCUAGUGUAAUUUGAGCCUUGUUUGAAGCUUCUCUUGAGGUUGGUAAUAUGAUUCUACUUCUAGAUUCAUGUUUUGAUGGUUUCUUUGAGAUGAAACCCUAGAUUGAGGAAUUAGGGUUUGAUUUGGGGAUUUUUAAUUUAGGGCUUUUGGAGCUCAAUUGUUUGGAUUAGAACCUUACCCUAGGUUGGAUUGAAAGGGUUUUAGCUUCCAUUUGGAGCUUGGGAAGGUUUUGCUACACUAUAGGUGAGUUUUGGCCCUUUUGUUGAGUUGGUUAAUGUUUAACCAUUGGAUUGUUCGUAACGUUCGUUUAACUCUCCUUUUAUUACCUUUAGGGUGCUAGGAGGAUAGUGGGCAACUUCAUUUGGCGAAACGAAAGAGUUCGAAGUGUUUCCGGUGGGUUUGAUCUCACCGAAAUGGGUGAACUCCCCCUAAAACCCCUCUUUGGUUUUAAGAUCCAAUUAAAUGCUUUUUCAUGCUCAAAAUGACAUGCUAUAAUUUAUGAGAACACAUUACAUAUAUGUUAUGUAAAGUUAAUUUGAUGCUUUAUGAAGUAGAGGCUCUUAUGUGAACCUGCGCAUGAAUUAGCUAGUUGGUGAAUUCUCUUUUAUGCAACCUUAGAAGGCAUGUUAGAGCAUGAUUGACGGUGUGACCCUUGGGGGAUCUCGACUUAUGGGUUUAGUAAAGUGAUCAUCUUACAUGUUAAACAAGAUACUUGUGUAGACAAGGAAAUAGGGCUUUGUGACCUAGUAAUUAACAAGGUGUUGACCUUGAAGAUUAUAGCAUAUCUAUAUGACUUGGAUAUGUGCAUGAAUGAGACUUAGCAAAUAUUUGCAUGAUAUACCACACUUGUUGUAGACAAGUAGUUGUGACAGGGUGACAUAGUACAUGUAAGAUCCAUAAGAAACCAAGUUGGAACAUUCAUUCUAGUUGAAUAUAUGCAUGUGGCAUUAUUGAAUGAAAGCACUCGCAUGAUUGUUAUUACUUUAUAAGGUGGAGGCAUGGGUAGAAAGAUAAAUGUGCAUGGCUUGCAUCAUGAGCAUUGUAAAUAAUUUGUGGUAACUAUGCAUACACCAUAAGAAAGUGACUUCCUUAGCUAUAGUGUAAUAGACUAAGUGUGAACUCUUAUUGAGACUUGGGCAAUAGUGAACUAUCCUAAAUAGGAUAAUGGCAAGGGUUGUGUGUAUUUGAACUAGUGACUGUUACUUGACAUAAUAAAUAUGAACGUCAUGUAGUUGGGUUAGUAAAUGACAACCUAGACACUUGAUACUAUAUUGAGACCUUUGGGGUUGUGCUACAUAUUCCAUACUUUAGGCAUGAUGACCGAGAGCUGGAUACUAUUGAUCAUGCUUGCUUGCUAUUGUGCUCAUUCGCACAUGCUUGUGAGGUUCGCUCCCCACAAGCCGGCACUCUGGAGAUAGCCUACGGGACACAAGCUCGCCCGUGCGGGAUUGGGUGCCAAAAUGGGAUGCCGUGGGGGAGGCUCAUUCCUAGAAUGGGGAUGUUGACUACAACAUUGCCAUUUUUGGCACGGCACAAGCCAGACUACAUACGUGUAGAUCCAUGACGAGAAUUGAACUAUGAUACCAAAAGUAUAAUGAGAAAACUACUACUAGAAAGUGCAUCUUAGUUGGAUUUGUAGAUAUGCAUGAUGGUGCAUAAUGUGAACUUAUGUUAAUCAUUCUUAGCAUUGACAUUCUAGUGGUAGUAUAUUACACCUUUGUUGAUUGGCAUAUUAUAUGGUUAGAGCAUUGUAUGGUUUGAAUCCAUCUCUAAUUCCUUUUUGAGAAGUACCAAAAUCAACCCAAUAAAUUAGAUUCCGCAAUGAUCCAAGUCCACGUUAAACGUUUUCUAAGUCCCUAAGGUCUCCAAUCCUAAGGUCCCUAAGUCCAUUCUAGACUUUUGCUUUCAUCACGUCUCUGAUACCAUUAUAUCUGUCACGCCCCGCUCCCCGCCAAUUUGGUAGGAUUCGGGCCACGUCAACAGACGCCGAACGGACGCAUCUCCCCUGUCCGCCCAAGGCUCUAGCAAUAAGUAUAAUUAGGCAAUGAAGCAGAGAGAUUUGCAAUUAUAUAAGGCUUGCAUGAGGGCAAGCAACAACAUGAAUGAAAGCUCUAAACUACACAAGUAUCCACAUACAAAUAUUUGAUUUCAUUUUAACCAAAUACAAGUAAACUAUAACUAUUACAUUCAUUUUUCUUUCAUUCAUACAUUCUUUUACAUCUUAAUCAUUCACUCAAAAUACAUGAUUGUUUACAACUUUACAAUUUUAAAUCAACAAAAGAAAGUUGAUACAUGAACAAAAUGGUAAUGACUAAAAUGCAAGUACUCCGGUGGCCACUAGCUAUGGCACAAGACCCUUGCGUCGAUCCUCCGCCGCCCCGCUCGCACACGGAUUUGUAGGGUUAGUGGUGUGAGAACUAGAACGAAGUUCCCAGUGGGUUUGGCAACCGACCCCGCCGACUUUCCAUUUUUUUCUUUUUUACCUUGCCUUUUACCCAAUUCAACCGGUUAACAUUUGUUAACCAAACAACUCACGACUAUAAAUCCUGUCUACCGGGGGAGGCUCCAAGCACUACCAACCGAGGAACCAAUGACGGGGCACUCUCCCCGUGGUGUCUACACUUCGGAGUACACCGCUUGAGGAGGAGCUGUCAUGACCCGCGACCACCCGCUUAUUUGGCCGAGGUCGCGGCGCCGCCGACAGACCGCCGAACGGACAGAGUCUCCCCUGUAUGUCCUAGGCGUCGCAAUCAAAACAAGUACAAGAAGUUCCAACCAGGAACAUUAUUCAAGCAAGAUUGCAUAAGGAAGGUAUCAAACAACAUAACACAUCCUAUGUUAUUACAAGCAUUUCCAUUAGAUUCAUUUUUACAUCACAUUAGCAUUAUUACAUUACAUUUUCUUCCAAAUACAAUUAAUGAUCGCAACAUUAUUACAAGUUUGCUCUUUUUUUUUCUUUUCCCUCUACCCAUAGGCUAUGCCUGUCAUGCCCCGCCCCGAAACCACUACCAAGUUGGCACGGUUCGGCCGCGGCGGUGGGCCGCCGAACGGACAGCACAUCCCCUGUCCGCCUAAGGCUCAACAACAGGAAUGUGUACAAGAAUUUACCCAGGAAAUUAAAUUCUAAAUAUACACAUUCACAAGGGCACAAACAGUGCCAACAAUACAAAGAGCAAGCAAUCCACAAGAUAAAACAAGUGAAAUAAAGAGAGUACUUUACUAACUAUUACAAUAGUUCCAUCAUUUUCAUUUACAUCAUUUUCUUUAAAUGAAUACAUUUUUCAUCUCCAAAAUACAUAGCUCUCCAAGUCCUCACCUACAAUGAAUCUCUCUCAAUACAUAGGUGUGCUAAUGCAAAAAGGAAAGCUGCUACACUACCACGGUCUCACUGAUCGGGCGCGAUGCCCUUGCCGCGGUCGUCCCUGGGCAGUCCUGUACCUACCACUGGAAUUAGAGUGGGGUGAGAACUAUCUUCCAUAGUUCCCAGUGGGCUCGGCCGCCGACUCUGCCGAUCUCCCCAAUAGGUCCAAGUGGGCACAAGUAACAACAGAUAGAUAGAUAGAUAUGUAUCUGAAAACUGUAAAUGCGAUAGUAGGAAAACUAUGCUACUAUGCCCAUAAUCAUGAAUAUGAAUGUAUGCAUCAUAUAAUAAAGGUUUGCUACCAUGCUAACGAAUUCGAUCCAUGUUCGAAUAGCAAUGUUCAAUGACAUUAUUAAACCUUUAACUUUCCAUUUACCCAAUCUGUGGAGAGGCCCUAGGGCUCGCCUAUAACUCACCCUUCAAUCCCAAAGUGGGGAGGGAGCUCUAAGUGCACCCAAGCCCGGGACCAUCUGCGGACCUCAAUGUGGUCCGGACCUCCAAGUAGUCCUAGUCGCGCGACACUCCGGAGUACUCGACGAUAAUCCCCUCCAUGUGGGGAUUGGAUGGCUAUACCAUCCCAAACGCAGACUGAGCUAGAUCUAUCCUCUCUAAGUGAGGAUGCCCUACCUCUAGGGUCAACAACUCAAUCAAGUCCUCUCCAAGUGAGGAUGAUAUAUCACUAGGGUCCACAACCCAAUCAAAUCCUCUCCAAGUGAGGAUGCCCUACAACUAGGGUCAACAUCUCUCGCGGUAUCAUUUGUUCCCGAUAUUCAUGCAAUGCUAUUUAGCUUUUCUAAAUUCAUUGUUCACAAGGCAUUUUCUAAGGGAUUCGCCUAUCCCUAGGUCCAUCGACCUCUAGUGUCAUUUACACUACAUUAAUGCCACUCGUCAUCAAUUAACAUUUGGAUGCCACUCGUUUGUUCUUUAACAAUAACACUACUUUCUAGGUCAUCAACACCCCCAUCGGGUUCAUCUCUAUCUUUAGCAUCAUAGGAUCAACGUUCCGAUCCAAUCCUCACCUAUCUAAGUUACCAAGCGUUCCAAGUACACUAGGUUAUCAUUUAGAAAGCAUAAGAAAUGGUGCUACUAUGCAAUCCUACAAUGCAACAUGAAGAGAUGAGAUUAAAUGCAAUCUAAGACAUAGAAAGGAGUUCGAAAGCUUCGGGAUGGCACCCCCCACCUUUUAUCUAUGUAGAGGAUUUAGAAACGCUCCUCGGCGAACCUUACGACGAGGUCUCGGCCUUCUUGGUCCAAAGCAAGGCUAAAUCGGCCGUAUUUCGCCGAUAGCUCCCAAUCCACUAGCCGAAUCGUGAAAUCGACUUCGCCCCCGCAUUUUGUGACCUAACAGUAGGGUUUCCAAGGCUUCAAAGGAGAUCAAUCUCAUACUUUCACAAAAAAUCCCAUUUUGGAGCCCUAGGUUUGCACCUAUAGCAAACCACUCAAUAAAUCCCUAGAUUCUUGGGAUUGAUCUAUUUAGAAGCAUGCUUAGGGUCCAAUUGACCCAUUCCAAAGCAUAAAAACCCAAAAAUCCUAAGUUAUUGUCAUGCCCCGAGAACCGGCAUAGGCCUGCCCGGUGCGUGCCUAGACCCGCCAUAUGCCUGCACAUAUAAGGCGUCUACAACAAAAGCGAAUAAAAGAACAAUAAAUAGAGAAUAUCUAAAGAUAUCAGAGCAAGUAUAUAGCUAGGUUCUAUUAACCAGUAGAAACCACAGAAGCUAGACUGCUAAAGUAAAAUGUAAAGUAGUACAUCAUAAGUCUCAAAAUACAAAUAGUGGGUGGUCUCUACAAAAUGGUGCAAGUCUCUCAACCUCUCUAAAAGAAACAAAAGAGCGGUAGAUCACCGAUCAACCAAUCCCUCGCUAGCUAACUCGAGGCGAUUCUUUUCCCGCGAUCCCGAGCCUCUCCCGGAGUGGAAGGCUCUGAAAGAAAACAUAAAUAAUGGGGCGUGAGAACUAUAAUUUAUAGUUCCCAGUGGGCAAUUACUGACCUUCGCAAAAUGCACCACUAGGCCGAAAUCAAGAGCAGAUAUAGAUAACGAAAUAACAACUGCGGAAAUAUAAGCAUAUAUUGAAAUGCUAUUCUACUAUGCCACAAGUAUACAUGAUAUGAACGUGGAGUACAUCUACUCUAUCAUGAAUCCAAUAUGCCGAUGCAUAACAGGUAUGCCCUACCAUGGCUACCCAAAAGCUGUGAUGCAACAAGUAAUACUACGAAGUAUACUAUCGUGGCAAUUAAGGAUACCACAAUUCCCAAUGUCAACAGAAUCCAACCACGAUACACAAUCAAAUAGUGUUUAUCACUUAUUGUUUACUGUUCUAGUCAAUGUCCACAUGGCACUUUAACUAUUUAAAGUUCAACUCUGAUAAGACCCACCCGAAGGCUGUCUGGUGUGAGACCCACCCGAAGGCUGUCUGGUAUGAGACCCAUCCGAAGGCUGUCUUGUGUGAGACCCACCCGAAGACUGUCUGGUAUGAGACCCACCCGAAGGCUAUCUGAAGUAUCAAGUCCUCAUGUCUAAAACAUGAAAUUACUCACUAGCAACCCAUAGGUCUAGUCUAUGCCUCAAGUGAAGGUUUACUAUGUCAAUGAUUCCAAUGUCCUAUGUGACCUUAGAUUUACUAAGUCCAUACGUACUCCAAGCCUAAUGCCUCUUUAUGUCAUUAGCUUACUACCCCAAUUCCAAGCCCAAUGUCUCUUUAUGACAUUAGCUUAAUAUACCAAUAAUAGGUUAAUACGCAUGCUCUCUAGCAUGAUCUUACAUUGCUAAUAUGUAUCUAGCAUGUAUUCCUCAAUGCAUAUAAAUAUUAAUAUGCAUCUAUCCACUAGCAUAUGGUUUCAAAGCGUCCGUAUGCAACUAUCAACUUAGCAUAGUUUUCAUAAUGCUACAUGCAUAAACUCUACAAUGCAACUACCAACUUAGCAUAAUUCUCAUAAUAUUAACAUGCACAUGCAAUUCACAUAUCAUUCAAGUCUAUGCUUCCUUAAGGCAUUACUUUGCUAGGCUCAUUCAUAGCUCGAACCCGAUGUCGCAUUACGACAUUAGCUCCCUAACUCACAAGCUAUUCAAGUCCAAAGCCACUUUAUGGCCUAAUGCAUUCUCCUAUGUCCAAUGAGAUUUAUGUCUAAGACAUAUUACAUUUGUCAUGUCUACUAUAUGAAGCAUGAUUCCAAGUCCCAAUUAGAGUGCUAAACCAAUGCAUAAGUCUCACUUGCAAGCUCUCUACUACAUAGAGGUCCGAAAAUGCAUUGUAUAUAACAUAAGCAUUUCAAGCAUUCUAAAAUUCACAAAUAAUGCAUCUAUCAUGAAAAUGCGUGAUUUUUUAUUUUACGAUACUUAAAUCCACAUAAAUGAGAUUUUCUCAUUUGUAGCGAGGUCAAACCCACCGAUAGCUCCACGCGAUCCUUUGUGUCCCCGACUCUCUUAGCUCCAAGACUUUAGGUGAUGUCACGAUGCUACGAUUCCGGUUUCGUGAUUUUUGGAAGCUUACGCCGCGAGCUGCGACAAUCUGUACCGAAAUCGGCCUUUUCUUCAAUAUCUUCGCGUAGCCUCGUCGUAUCGCCGAACCGACUUCGCCAGCGUGUUCGUAUACCUAACAAUUAGGUUCGCAUAGGUUCAAUUUAGAUCAAACCUCUACAAUAUGCAAAACCCCAAUUUGAGCCUUAACAUGCUACUAUUGCAAGAAAUCACCAAAUUGGAACUUGAUUCAUGCAAUUAGCAUGUUAUUAGCAUCUAGGGAGUUCUCUAAACCCAUUCCUAGAGCAUACGAAUCAUUCCUUAGCAAUCUACCAUAAUUACUACCAAAGCUUACCCCCAAAGCUUUCUCUAAUAGUGAGGAAGAAGAUGAAAGCUUGAGCUCCAAGCUACUCUCCAACUUUCAAGGAUUCUACUCCAACUUCUUCUCCAAUUAAUCCUCUUUUGUGGAGAGAUUAGAAGAGAAAAGGAGUGAGGGGUGAGAACUAGAGAGAAAGAGAGAAAAAGAGAAAAGAAACUUGCUCUCCAAGCCUCUCUCGGGUUGGGCACAAAUGAGAAAAAAGAGUGCAAGUUCACAUAUAUAUAUACUCCCAAAACUCUAUUCACAUCAGUUUGUAGUUCAGGUACAGAUAUUUUUCGUCUGCCCUUCUGAACGUCCGAUUGAGAUCAAAUUUGGCAGUCAUGAUCAGUUUUACCUAACUUAAUGAAAGAAAUUUUAAUCUUUCAGUUUCGACUCCGUUUGGUCACCGAAAGCUAUUUCGAACAGUAAUCUUAAGCAGAUAGCAAUCAGAUUUUAUUCUCCACCCUCUGGGUGUCAGAAUGGUAUGAAACUUUAAAUCUAGCCUCAUAAAAAUAAUCCUAACAUAUUCAAAAAUUUUCGAAAUUUUCUGACACUGUGCAUUUUCUGCUAAAAUAUCAGCCCCGUUUCUCACAGAAAAUUCUCAAUCUUCUAUUUUCACUCCGAUUUUCGCACGAGUCAAUCCUGACAUAUAAUUUACUUGUCUAAAUCCAAUAAAAAUAGUAUUUCACACUAUUUUUAUUUGUAUUCACUUUUACUAAAAAAAAAUCCGGUAUGCUACAUUCUCCACCUCUUAAAAAGAGUUUCGUCCUUGAAACUUCAAUCACACCUCAACUCGACCUAUCGAGCCAUUGAGGACAUUAGCAUACUUCUCCCAAGAGAACACACUGCGAUUCGAUCACCAGCAUUGCUUAGAAGCAAUAUUGCAGGUGCAUUGCCCUGAGUGCUCUAAUUCUACAUGGACUUUAGCUCUGCCGUGAGAUGGCACACUCCGGCACAUCUCCACCUUCAGUCCUCCAAAGAGCAUUAUCCUCAGAUUCCACGUGGCUAUCCAAGAUCCAAUACAUGGCAUUCUAUGCUCCCCGGUCUAAGCUCGAACUACUGUCCUGACCAAACUCUGCCCCACCCGUAGGUACCGGGUCGCUAUCACACACAGCUGACUGCGCCUGCCCAAAGGGCCCAGGCUCCACAGUCCACAAACGGUCCAGGCACGGUCGUCUCCAAGCAACACUCGACGUCGUUGUCCAACACGACAUGCUCUAACGAGCCAUAAAUACUAUCCUCCCCAGAAAUUACCCGAUUUUAGGUAAGGGGACAAUCAACACAAUCAGCGAAAAUAAAUCCUCAAACCGCACUAUUUCGUGCACAAAAAAAAAAAUCUCAAGGCGAGUCAAGUCAGCUCGCAAUCCAAGAGUACUAGAUACCCACAACAACUCCAACAUCAAACAAGGCCAAUCCAUUUGUCGGCACACAAAACCAUCUCACGUGGUAGGGUGUUCGAGACGACACACUUGAUCAACAGAUCAUCCUACAAGCGUCGAAAAAGUUCAACGCUAACAAAAUCCUCGGGUUGGGUCACCACACACUCGGUGUAUCCUUGAUCUCACGAUCCAACGCGUGGCAUUCCACGCUCCAAAGUCAAAGCUCGGACUACCGUCCUGACCAAACUCUGUCCCACCCGUAGGUAUCGGGUCGCUGUCACACACAGCUGACUGCGCCUGCCCAAAGGGCCCAGGCUCCACAGUCCACAAACGGUCCAGGCACGGUCGCCUCCAAGCACCAUUCGGCGAACAGCCGAUCACGGAAUGCAACUAAUGCAAUCAUCGUGAGAUUCACAAGGCAUAGGAAAACAUGCCACCCACAACCCGCAAAUCAACAGCCUAGCUCAAGAGAGCUGAAAGUCAUCGCAACAGCGAGCUCUGGCAUCCUCGGUACACAACCUCCUCUUGUCCCAAAUAGGGCGACAGGGCAGACUCUCUGAUGUCCAAGGAGUAGUCGGAGAAACACGCGUCUCGUAAGCAACAGAUCUAAUAAGAUGCUAUGCAACUCGGCAAACAGUCAAUCGAAGGACGCAAACGAUGCAACGAUAACCAACAAUGCACAAUUCGGAUGUCACAAAAACAACUGAUACCUGUAGCCACAAACUCGGCUGCCGCCGCCUCCGCGGUCUGAGCGGCGUACAUGCGCCCACUCGGGGCCUGACGAGAUCCCUCGCUCAGACGUUGGACGGGUAGCCGCCCAGGUUGGUACGGUGUCGACGUAGUCCCUUGGCUAGCGACUGGUAGAGCCGGUGCCGAUGCAGUCGACGGUGCCGGUGAAGAACCUCUCGGGCACUCGGUACGCACGUGGCCCUCCUGGCCACACCGGAAGCACCUGCCCGCCCACUGCGAACACUGCGGUCGGAAAUGAGGACCACCGCAAAUCACACACGGAGAAGGCCGGCGACGGUCAGAACCUCCUCGCUGCGCCGCUAAGUCGUGUCCACGCUGCUGGCUCCUAGGAUGCUUCGGCGGUCUCCUAGAGUGCGUCGGACUCGUACCCUCAGCCGCAGGCCUCUUGGCCUUUCCCUUAUCCAUGGCCUCUCGCCGCUCCUGUACCUCUGUCGCGCCGCUCUCCACGAUUAGCGCGCGAUCCACCACCUCCCGGUAGGUUUGGAGGUUAGAGGAUUGCACGAACCGAAAAAUCGACGGUCGCAACCCUUGCUUGAAAAUGCGGGCCUUAUCCUCGUCGUCCCGCACGACGAAGGGCACGCAAUGCAGAAGCCGAGAAUACUCCCGCUCGUACUCGGCUACAGUCCGUUCUCCCUGGCGCAGGUUGCGCAAAUUCUGCUCCAUCUUCCGCUUGACACUAGUCGGGAAGUAGUGCGCCAAUAGAAGCUCCUUGAACUUCUUCCAUGAAAUCGCCGCCAAGUCCAUGCUGGGGUUCUCCUGGAGAUCCAACCACCAGCGGUAGGCCUCGCCGUCCAGGUGAUGUGUGGCGAGCCAAACUCGAUCUCUCUCCUCUACGAAGGUGUCGCGGAAGAGCUUCUCCAUAUGCAUCAACCACUUUUCCACGACCCAGUGGUCGACCUUCUCGCCGUCAAAGAUCCGGGGACCGUACCUCCUGAACUCGUUGAGGCGCUCCAUCAGUCGGUCCCGCUCUGCCUCUUCAAUCAUCACGGAGAAAACAGCUCCAGUCGGGGGUGCCUGAACAGGUGGCGCAGCAAUAACCCCCUCCUGGGGCGCGGCCACGGGCGCUGCGCGCAAAGAACUGGGCGCGGGGGACGGCACUCUCGGUGCAACGUCUACAAAUGGUGCGUGCGGUGGAGGGGCCUGAGUCUUCCUAGAGGCUGCCGCCUGCUGCAACAGUAGGUCCUCCGGGCGCUUCAUUCGUGCAUCCUGUCGGCGCGCCGCCUCCGUCUGCUGCGCAACUAAGUCGGUGAGGGCCGCAAGCUGGCCUCUCAACUCACGGACCUCGCCAGAUCCAGAAGUAGCGGAGGUCUCCACCUCCUCAAAGUGUGCCGCGUCAUCCGCUCCGACAGACUGGGAGCGUGUAAUCGGCAUCGCACUACAACAUCAUAAAAGCGCAAGUUAAUGAAAUCCACGCUAUCGCAUCCCCGCUCAAAGAUAAUACCCAAAUCAGGCGAAAGUAAGAAAGUGUGCUUCACUACUAACUCCCGAUGUUACAUUUUUGGCCGCCAAUCGUAACCCUCCGUGAAGUUAGAGGCUAUACACUUCAAUUUAACUCCACUUUCUAGAGCUGUUCCAAGAUACCUAAUCGAGAUACUUUCGCUUACAUGUCAAAUAGACCUCGUCUCUCACGAGCCUAUUUCCUAUAGUCCAACCAGCCUAAGGUUUGCUAGGUCCCCUAAGACUCAACCCUAGGCUCUGAUACCAAACUAAUCUGUCACGCCUUGAGAAUCGGCAUAGGCCUGCCCGGUGCGUGCCCAGACCCGCCAUAUGCCUGCACAUAUAAGGCGUCUACAACAAAAGCGAAUAAAAGAACAAUAAAUAGAGAAUAUCUAGAGAUAUCAGAGCAAGUAUAUAGCUAGGUUCUAUUAACCAGUAGAAACCACAGAAGUUAGACUGCUAAAGUAAAAUGUAAAGUAGUACAUCAUAAGUCUCAAAAUACAAAUAGUGGGUGGUCUCUACAAAAUGGUACAAGUCUCUUAACCUCUCUAAAAGAAACAAAAGAGCGGUAGACCACCGAUCAACCAAUCCCUCGCUAGCUAACUCGAGGUGAUUCCUUUCCCGCGAUUCCGAGCCUCUCCCGGAGUGGAAGGCUCUGAAAGAAAACAUAAACAAUGGGACGUGAGAACUAUAAUUUAUAGUUCCCAGUGGGCAAUUACUGACCUUCGCAAAAUGCACAACUAGGCCCAAAUCAAGAGCAGAUAUAGAUAACGAAAUAACAACUGCGGAAAUAUAUGCAUAUAUUGAAAUGCUAUUCUACUAUGCCACAAGUAUACAUGAUAUGAACGUGGAGUACAUCUACUCUAUCAUGAAUCCGAUNAAAUAACAACUGCGGAAAUAUAUGCAUAUAUUGAAAUGCUAUUCUACUAUGCCACAAGUAUACAUGAUAUGAACAUGGAGUACAUCUACUCUAUCAUGAAUCCAAUAUGCUGAUGCAUAACAGGUAUGCCCUACUGUCACGCCCCGGGACCGAUACCAAUUUGGCCCGACCCGAGCAUGUCAAACAGACGCCGAACGGGCAGAGUUUCCCCUAUCCGUCCAAGGCUCAUCACAUGUACAUUUUCAUCAAUAGAGAAAAGUACUAGCGGAAACAUACAUAAACGACUUACACGAGGGUAAGCAAUAGCCAUUAGUGAAAGAAAAAGGAAACUAAAUGUUAAGUCGUGUGUGUUGGCAAGUUUCGUGAAGUGAGUCGGAGUCUUGAAGAAUCGGUGCGUGUUGUCGAAGAUCGAAGAAUUCAAGAUUUCGAAGAAGUUGGAAAAUAACUCACACCGUGAAUCACGAUGUCCAGGUAAAGUGUUAAUUCAUGAUUAUGGUGAUUCAUACUUAGUUGUAGACAUUAGAAUCAUAAUAUCAUUGUCUAACGGAUUAGAAAGUGCAUUGGAACUUUGCAAAACCCGAAAUGGCGAAAAUUUACAAAGUGUACCGGUACAGCAUCAGAAGUGUACCGGUACAAAUUGUGUACCGGUACGACCAUCAAGGGUGUAACCGGUUUCACUGUUUCGUCUGGUUUUUCGUUCCGUCAUCGUGUAACCGGUGACAGCCUAAAGUGUACUGGUACACAGUGUAAAAUCGUGAAAACUUUCUAAUCCGACUCCAAUUGAUUCUAAAGUCUAUAAAUAAGCUAUUGGACUUCUCUAAUAUAUCAAGCAUCACGAAAAUACAUAUUUGAGAAACCCUAGAGGCUCGGAUUUCAUCUAAAACCUAUUUUCUACAAAAAGCCUCUUUUAGAUCAAAUCGAGAUAUUGAAAUUUGAUAUUAAUAUGUCGAUUUGAUCUCCGCUUCGCUUGGAGUUCUUUUCCCUGGUUUUCUACGAUACUCCAAAGCGAAGGAUCACCAUAUUCAUGAUCCUCUUCAUGAUGGCGUCGUGGAUUCGGCGGAUUUGACGGCGGUUCGUGGAUUCGGAUCGUGGGCUCGUGGAUUCGAGUGGCGUCGUGGAUUCGGCGUGAUUGAAGCUUCGUGGAUUCGAAGUGGAGGCUUUCGUGGAUUCGAACGUGAGGGCGUGGACAACCCGGAGGGUAGCGCGAAGAUUCAUAGGAGGUUAAGAGAGGUUAAGUCCGUGGAGUCGGUAAUCACCUUGUAAUCUUUUCUCUUAGUGAAUUGUUUUUUCGCGUGUUGGUCCCGUGGGUUUUUCUCCAAGUUGGAGUUUUCCCACGUAAAUCUCGGUUUGCUUUUUAUUUUCCGCAUUUAUUUUUAUUGCAUCGAGAAUUGUGGUUUUUGGCCGUUCACCUAUUCACCCCCCUCUAGGUGAUAGAUACAAUCUAGAUAGAUCCUUGGGCUCCUCAAAACUUACAAUUGGUAUCAGAGCGGGAUCUAGAUAUAUUGUUAUCUAAUGGCCGAAGGUGGUAACAUUAAUCGACCUCCGCUCUUCGACGGCACGAAUUAUGCCUAUUGGAAAGUUCGCAUGAGAGCUUUUCUAAUCGCAAUCGAUGAGCGGGUAUGGAAAGCCAUUGAAUUCGGAUGGAAACAUCCUACCGAAGUUAUCGAUGGUGCUACCGUCCCGAAACCACGAAACAAGUGGACUAAAGAUGAAAACGAGCCAUCUUCGUUUAAUGGUAAAGGAAUUAAUGCUUUAUUCAACGCUUUAUCACAAACGGAGUUUACUCGGGUUUCGGCAUGCGAAACGGCAAAAGAAAUUUGGGAUACUCUACAAGUUACGCAUGAAGGAACAAGCUUAGUAAAGGUCCAAAAAUUGCAAAUGCUCACUAGCAAGUUUGAUUCAAUCUCUAUGGACGAAAAUGAGACCUUUACCGAGUACUAUACACGUCUACAAGAUGUUGUGAAUACAUGUGCUAAUUUGGGAGAGAAAAUUCCGGAUUCAAAGGUUGUUAGGAAAAUCCUUCGAACUCUUCCGGAACGCUUUGGGGCAAAGGUCGCCGCGAUUGAAACGGUCAAGCAUCCGGACGAGAUGAAAGUAGAAGAAUUAGUAGGAGCUUUACAAACGUAUGAAAUGACUUUUCCUACUAAUCAAUCUUCUUCCAAGUCUUCUUCUAAAAGCACAGGUGUUGCAUUGAAAUCUACAAAGGAGAAGGACGAAGACUCGAGUUCCGACGACGACUUAUCAAUUGCGGAUUUUGAACAACAAUUGGCGCUUCUCACGAAGAAGUUUCGUCGAAAUUUCCGGAACAAGAAUAGAUUGGCCAAGGCUUCAUCGUCCAAGCGACAAUCUUUUUCUAAAUCUUCUACAUCUAAAGAGAAGAAGCAUGCAAAGGCUUUGAAAGAAAAAGAUGUAUUUGAAGGCGAGAUUCAAUGCUUCAAGUGCAAAGGCUACGGCCACAUUGCGACGGAUUGUCCUUCAAAGAAGACGUAUAGACAAAAGGCUAUGCAAGCAAAGACGUGGGAUGAUUCAACAUCAAGUGAAUCAUCGUCAAGUGACGAAGAAAAGAAUGAUCAAAUUGCUCUAUUUGCUAAUACUCCCUCGUCGAAUGUUGUGUGUUUAUCCUCUAUUGCUACUAACUCCAAUAUUUCUCUUUCUUCACAUGAUUCAUCGAGCAACAAUGGCGAAAGUGAAGAGGAAUCAAACGACGACGACAUAGCGGAAGCGUACAAUCAACUUCUCAUUGAAUCUAAGAAGAUGGCUAAACUCAACAAGAAGUUGAGACGUCGUUUGUUGGAACUUGAGGAGGAGAACAACAACGUAAAGAGUUUGAAUAAGGCUCUUGAGGAGGAAAACAACAACAUGAAGACUUUGAUUAAAGCUCUCGAGGAGGAAAGAGAAUCAAAUUUGAAAAAUAAUUCAAUCCUCCAAGAGAAGCUAGAUGAAGCGGAAUCAACGAUCAAAUCUUCUAACGACAAGAUUGGAUUUUUGGAGCAUCAAUUUCAUGAAUCGCACAAGUCCAAUCAAGUCUUGACCGAUCAAGUUCGUCAACUCCAAUCCGAUCUUCAACAAUUUUCUUCGGGAUCAAAGAAAUUGGACAAAAUGCUUGGAUUGGGUCAAACUAGCAAAUUGGGCCUUGGAUAUGAACGGACAUAUGUUGAGAAGGAUCAAACGGCAACAUCUAAAGUCUCAUCAACUUUAAAAGGCAAAGUGUGUCAUCGAUGUGGAGUUAAAGGUCACAUCAAAAGGAAUUGCCCGGUGAAAGAUAAGAAGAAUAAUUCGGCAACUUCUAAAGCUCAAUCGACAUCAUCUACAACUCGAGUAUCUCAAAAGAACCGGUUUUCUAGCGCACAACGUCAACGUCAAGUUUCUGCAAAUCAGAUGUCUAAACCUAAAGGAAAAAUUCAACCAAAGCCUCAACCGAAGAAACCACCAACGGUUGAUCAAAAGUCUAAACAAACAGCACCUAACGUCGACAAGCCGAGAAAACCAACGAUCCGACAAGUUUGGAUCCGGAAAGGUGAUAUCUUUCCUUGCUCCUCGUCUUAGUCAUUUUGAUCUUUAGUGUAAUGCUUUGAUAGGUGCUUGUUGCUUAAUUUUAUUCAUUGCAUUAUAUGUUUACAUGAUUUUUGGUGCUUUGAAUUUUGUUUUGUUAAAAAUCAUUUUGAGGAAAGGUAUUUGGGAAUUCAAAUUUUUGAGAAAGGAGAUGAUUGAGAAUCAUUAUUUUGAGAAGAGAAAUUUCUUUAAUGUUGCGUAAACGAUAUUUAACUUCACAAUCAUAUUAAGUUAAAUUCAUAUUAAUUAUCGUUUUUACUCCACUUUUUAUUAUUUUGACGAUAAAUUAAUAUAUGAUUUCUUAAUGCAUAAAUUCAUCAAAAUUUUGAAAUCAAAUUUGAUUUUUUGAUGAUUAAUUCAUCUUGGUUGUGAGUGUUGGAUAUGAUGAAUGGAUAUUCUCUAAUUGACUAAAAUUCGUCAAAAUUAUUUUCAAUUGUGAGAUUGCCUAAUUAAGGGGGAGUUUUAAAUUUAAAAAGGAGGAGAAAAAGAAACUCCUAUGUUUAAAAGAUGUGGAAAGAGUUACAUCCAAAAGGAGUGUGAAAACUACCACCACAUGUAGGAAAGAGCUACCACCCCAGUCGUCCGGCAAGUGUGUGAAGCUACCACAUGAAGAUUAAAUUGGAUUAGCCGAAAAAAAAAGGUUGAAAAAAAAAUGAAUAUUCUAGAGUUUUUCGGAGUAAUAAGGUGUUAGUUUGAAAAAGAUGGCUCCAAAGAGCGCACCCCGGUAAUCAUAUUUGUAAAUUCGUCUAUAUGAAACAUGUUUAAAACAAAUUGGUGUUCCAAUUUAUUGAAUUUCGAUAAAAUUAUUUUAUGCAACUUACAUCUGAAUGGUUUUGAAUAUAAUGCAUUUUGAUAAUGAAACUUUGAUGGUUUGAUGAUUUUGAAAAUUUUAAUAUAAAAUUAAUUUCAUUAUAAAUGAUUUUGAGUAAAAUCUUUAAUUAUGAAAUUUAAUUAAAUGAUGGAUUUUUAAAUCAAUUUUCGAAUCUGGCAAAGUUACUGGUACAAAAUCCGCGGACGCGGUAUGAAAUCACUGUACCGCGGAAUAUAACCGUUAACAGAGAUUAAUUGCUCAACUCUAAAUCUAAACCAAAUUUCGGCUCUUUCUCUCUCUAAAAUUUCUGGCUUCUCUCCAGAUUCGCACGUUCGCCCAAAUCUGUGAGUUUUUCAUUUGGAUAUAAUCGUUUCAUCGCAGUUCAUGNNNNNNNNNNNNNNNNNNNNNNNNNNNNNNNNNNNNNNNNNNNNNNNNNNNNNNNNNNNNNNNNNNNNNNNNNNNNNNNNNNNNNNNNNNNNNNNNNNNNCCAUGGUUUGUGCGAACUAAAUUGAUUCGCCUUGGAACUUUGAACAUUAUGCAAUGCAUCUUGAAGGGUUAACCUCGUUGAUUGUGAGAAUGGUCAUUUUACCUAAAUUAGGUAAUUAUAGAAAGGUUGGAGCCUAAGUGGCUGAUACUGUUAAAUUGUAAGAACCCUCAAAGUGAAGGGUAGUUCUUGAGUAGUGGUUGUGCUAUUCCUAAACAAGUCACAAAUUGUGAACUUGAUGAAUAGAGAAUGUUUUAUGCCUAGGGCUUCAUUUUGGUGAAGUAAUUUCACUUGUGGUGAGAUUAGAUAAGCUAUUCGACUAUGUGUCGACUAUGUGUCGAAUAUCGUGAUUUCAAUUAGAAAGACAAUUAGUGGAUGGAUUAAGUCAAGAUCUGAUGAUCUUUUGAUCAGCCUUUAGUAUUGGAUGCAUGUUAUAGAUUGAGUAGCAAUCUGAGGAAGCUGCAGUCUUCUAUGAUAGAAAAAAAAAAAAAAGGUUAUGAAGGAUUUAUCCCGUUGUUUGUUCGGUGAAUCCUGCAAGGCAGAUAAUGACUGAACAGGAAGAUGAAUUAAAAGGAUUGAGAUGAGACUCUCCUAAUGGAACUAAGCAUCUUGGAAUAUUUAGAAAAAGAUUACCUAGCUACUUGUUUCUUUCUCGUAUGAUUUUGGUUUAUGAAUAUUGGAACUAAGCUUCAUAAUGAUCAUAUCAGGGUGAACCCAGUAUAAUGGGAAGUAAAUGAUGAUGCUCUAAUUGUGGGCUAACGAAAGGCUUUGUUCAGAUUUCUUCCCUGCUUAUGGAAAAAUAUGUAGAAUAAUAGCAAUAGAGAACUUAUGGGUAAAGUAUAAACUAAUUUCCCUUUAUUGCCUAAAUUGAGUUUGGGACAAUGAAUACGUUGAGCAUCAUACUCUCAAAAUAGUAUCAAGAAAGUUUAUCUGAAUUGAUCUACUUACAGGAGCAGAUAGUGAUGUCACAAGUGCUUUUGGUAGAAGCAAACUCCAACUUAAGCUUGCAUAAAAUGCUUUGAGUAUAUGAGGAAAAUUUCCCAGUGAUGAAAUGGUCAUGCUUUACUGGAUGAUUGGUGUAAAGGAAAUAGCAAAGCUAUAGAAACAACAUUAAUGGAAUUUGUCUGAGAAUAUGCAUGAACAUGGAGCAACAUCCAUUAAUGUGACUUUGUCGCCUAGUCUCUAUCUUUAGAGAAAGGAUAAUCAAUUUCAAUUUGCUAUCGAAAGGGUAUUACCAGGGAUUAUCAAGCUAGUUAUGAUUGAAAGGUUGCUAUAUGAGAGAGAUAUGACUACGGGAUGAUGCAAGUUAAUCAUCGGUGUGAUCAUUUUGUAAAGCACAAGGUGUACAUCAGAGGUAAUCUAAGAAGCCGGUUAAAGAAUGGUUACGCAAUCAAGACGGGACGAGUUGGGCUUCAGCCUCAACCUAAUUGAGAAUAUAGGAAAUGAAUUCAUCUUGGAAUAGAAUUGCACUGGGAGUGCAAUCUUUUAAAGAGUUUUGACUUUUGAGAAUCAGUGGAUGAUCGAGAAUUCCACUGCUAAUAUAUGAUAAUUCUUUGGAACUCAAGAUAGGUACCAAAUGUAACUACUAAGCACUAUUGAAAAAGGGUACCCUUGGAAUUCUUCUUAUCGAAUGAAUGAUUAGACCCCUGCAGAUGAGCAUGAUGAGAAGGGUUGGAUUUUACGCUCGAAUUAUUGAAAAAGUUGAAAUGGAAUUCAUGGAUUCUAUGGAUGAAAGAAGAGCUUUUUAUUGCGAGACAGUGAUAUGAACUCAUAAAUAACGAUGGAAUGGAUUUCCCAUCCUUUUUAGAUGAUUUCGAAUGAAGAUUCAGUUCUAGUUUCGCGGACGAAACUUCUAUUUAGGAGGGGUGAAUGUAAUAUACUGAAUCUGGGCCUAUUGACAAGUUCAAGGGUUGGAAUGGCCUUUGGACCUGAUCUACGAUGUUUGAUAGACCUUAGAAGAGUUUUGACAAGUUACUGGAGUAAGAANCUCUUCGCCCUUUCCCCCCACCCUCCGAGGGCAUUUUGGUCAAUGUAGGCCCCUGUGCAUGGUAUACGCUUUUUUUUUAUUCUAAGGCAAACAGGAUGGAGCCAGGCAAUGUUGAUGAGGCGAAGAGCUCUUCGUAUGGUGGGAUAUUUGUAGGUAUAUACGGGUAUAUACGGUUUGGUAUACGGAUCUACUACGGUCUAUGCUGGGUGUAUUCUUAGAUUGCGUAUGUUUAGGGGAUGAGGGGUUUUUGAAGUGAUCAAAUGGGUACUCUCACCAAAUUGGUUAAAAAUGGCGUUUUUUUGGAUUUUUGAAGUGGGUUUUUUGGAUAUGCCUGGUAGGUAUUUGUUGUUUUUCCCGUGAGAAGUGAUGAGGAAUACUUGUUGCGCCAUUGACCAUUUCUCUUACUUGGUUUCUUUUUUAAGGAUUUAAUGUAUUUGGUUCAAAUUUGCAGUCGCCAAAUUGGUUAAAAAUGGCGUAUUUGGAUUAUUUGAAGUAUGAGGAAUUCUUGUUGCUCCAGAACCCAUUUCUCUAAUUUGUUUCCCUUUUGAGGCAAUUAAUGUGGUUGGUUUUUGAAACGAUCAAAUGGGUACUCACCAUAUUUCCUUUUGAGGAUUUUUUUUUUUUUUUGGAUUUUUGAGGUGGUUAUGCUUGGUAGGUGUUUGUUUGUUUGCCUGUGAGAUUAUUUGUUCAUUUUACUUGCUGCUCCAUUCUUUUGCUAACUUGUUUCUUCAAUUUGGUUUCAUAUUUUGGGAAUUAAUGUGUUGGUCUUUGGAAAUUAUUAAAUGGGUAUUCACUAAAAGUAAUUAUAUUUUGUGGAAACUUGGCAUCAUUAUGUCUAAGUCUAAGUGAUGAGGAAUAGUUGUAGCCCCAUGAAUCCUUGUUCUAACCCAUUUCUCUGAUUUGGGCUCAUUUUUUUUGGAAAUUAAUGUGGUUGCGAUGUAAAAAUGAUCAAAUGGGUACUCAUAAAUUGGCUCAAAUGGCAUAUUUUUAAGCUUUUGAGGUGGGUUUUUGGAUAUACUUAGUAGGUGAUUGUUGUUUGCCUUUGAGAUUAUUUAGUAGAUAAAUGUGGCCUAAUUUGCAAAUGUUAUUAUUAUUGUGUGAUUUUUGUGUGCAUAUUGUGUUGGCCUUCUUAGGUAUGGCGCUUUUCAUUCUUUUGUGAAUGGCUAAAAGUUGUUGCUCAUGAACAUGACAAGGAGUUGCUUUUAUGUAUACUAUUUCGCUUUUGAUUGUUUGUGUCUUGAAACAUGAUUCAUUGGUAGUUGUUUAGAAUAAUUAGUUAUCUACUGUUAACCAGAAGAUCAAAGUGAUUGGAAACAAUUCAAGAGUAGUCUUAAACUCUCCUGCUGAGUAUUCACAGUAGAGAUUAGGUGUAUCAUGCCACUUGCAUUGACAGGAGAGAUGGUGCAAGAGGUAAAGGAAGGGGAUUAACCUAUAAAAGGGGAAGUUGGCAAUUGACCCGCAACCUCAUGGAGUUGAGGGGCUUAGGAUUGACUCUGAUACCAUGUAAAGAAAGAUCGAUCUAAUGAAAUGUCCAAGAAUAAUCUUAACAUUUCCUCGUUAUUUGCUUGAACAUCUGCCUUUUGCUCUUUACCAUUUUUCUUUUCCCCAGUUGCCGACCAAAUUAGAUUCUCAAUUACCUUCUUCUUAAUGAAAUUGUAUUUUACCUCUAUAUAAGUGGCAUGAUGUGAGUUGAAUUAUCUACUUUAUUUCUAAAUGAAUUUAACUGCAACUAAAUUGUAGCAAUCUUAUACUUAGAAGAUAGUUUUACUCUCUUCCUGCUUAGAUGGUAGCAGUUCUUGUCAUUGAUUUAAUAAAGAUUCAACGGGUUUAACAUCUUAGAAGGAUCUCAUUGUGUUUCUUUUUCUACUUGAACCCUUUAUGGCUUUCUGCUUCUAAAUUGUCAAAGUUUGUCUUUUCAGUUAAAAUGUUUUGGUUUUGGUUGAAACUAAGUGCAAUCUCUGUGAGUCAGGAGCUUUGGAAUCUUUUUAUGACAUUGAUAGUUUCCCUGUUUGAAAAAUGGCAAGUUUUGCAUAUACAAGUCUAAUAUGAGCAUAAUUUUGGCCCGUUAAUUUGAUCCAUCAGGGGAAAUUUGUGUUCUUAAGAUUAAAUUCUUUAUUUGUACUAGGGUUAAGGUUUGUAUAUUACUCGUUUUCAUGUCCUUAAAAACAUGCUUUAGUACGAGGUAUUGCAAGUUCCUUCCUUCAUUUUCUACUAAGUAACGUGCUUCUUUCAUGCUGUAAUAAUAACUUAUCUUCAAUCAAAGUCAUCCAUGCUGUAGGUUUUUUACUACAAACUUGCAAUUAUAUUUGGUCACAUUGCAUAUUCAGCAAUGUAACAUCCUUUGAAGUGAUUUAAAUAUGUCAAUGUGGAAAAGACACAUAUGCCUUCUGCCUUUUGCUAUGGACUCUUUUAUGUUUCACAUUCCUUGGAAAGACUUCAGGAGAAACAAAACACAAGCACAGAGGGGGAAAAAAAAAAGUAAUCUUGGUUUUGUAGGUUGUCUUUAUUUCUAGGGUUUGUUUUUUCCAACUGUUGGGACAUUUUGGCUAAAAACUCACAACUUGAAACUAAAAUUGAAACUCUAUAGGUUCGUGUGACUUUGGAGCUAAUUAAUACUCCUUGUGGAUGUUGGAAAUUUGUGAGGAACCUUUUCUAUGUUUAGAAGGUAAUGAAUGAUAUUGUACUUAACAACCAUUUGAUUUCUAUAUAGCAAUCUUUUCUUACGGUGUAUAACUCUUUGAUCAUAGGCAUUUGAUGACAGGAGGAAGGAGAUAUAAGCAAUAUAUUGAUGUCCAGCAUUGUCUGAUAUUUUGAUUUUCUCAUUCUGCGGAAAGUGCCCUUUCUUAACCUAUUCUUUGCUUUCCGUCCUUACUGAAUCCAAACACUCAGACCAGAACUCGAGCCCUUUAAGUUUCUUUCCCUUCUUACAUACUCUGUCUAGAUUUUGUUUUUUUUCAAUGCUUCAGUUUCUAUCUCAUAAAUUCUCAUUCAAUUAUCUCUUACUGGUUAUUUCUCCUCUUUCCCCGUUGUGACUCUUUCGGCAUUCUCUCCUUUUCCUCAUAAAUGAAGAUCUCGACCCAAAAAAAAAAGAAGAGAUGUAAUAAGUUAUGCUUGGGUUAGUGCUUUUACUGUGUGUUGGUUACUGCUGAGUAGUUACAUAACUACUAAUGCAAGCCCAUUCUAUCAAAUGAUGUUUCUUUCUUCUAUCACUGCAUGAAUCAUUGCGUGAGAAAAUUGAGAAACAUGUACAAAACAGUAAAUUAAACAUGUGCUAGUAUUUAUAACAAAAAAAGGCAAUAAAUGCAUAGAAUUAGGGUUUGGAAUUAUUAUAUGGUGUUCUUUUUGGUCUGCUGAUGUUGAAUUUAUGGAUUCCAACUUUAGUAACUUGUGUGUACUUUAGUUUUUGUGAUUUUCUUAUGCUCUUACAUGUUUAUUAUUUCUCAAUUUGUAAUGAGUUGAUUUAACUGUGUCUAAAAUUUUGUAAGACAAGAUUGAGAACCUUUAUAAUUUCUUUGAAUCCAUGAACUAUGAGAAAUGUUUAUUUUGUUGCAACCUAUCUUGUAGAUAAAUAAUUGAAAUCGUUUAAUUGUGAGUUAGUGAUGCUUGAUUUCCUGGAUCUCAUUGUUUUAAAGGUUGGCCAAAUCGCGAAAUGCAUUGCUUAACCUGUGCCAUUGAGAGUGAUUGUUUAUUGCUGCCCUAAUUUAACUAAUAAAUCUUAUUUUAUCUUGCUUUGAGAUAUGAAAGGUGGGGAAAUUAAACUGGGUAUGGGCUGAAAGGAAUUUGCGUGUUGUUUAAAUUUGAAAAUUUCUGUUAUAAUUCAAUUGAAUACUCAAUAAGCUAUAUGGAUUUUAAAAUAGCCUCUGUUAUUACUCUAUUCUAGAUGAUUGUAUAUAAUUAUUUGGUAAUGGUAAUUUCUCUUUGAAGUUAUUUCCGAAAUAUGUCGCAAAAGGGUAUGUUCAUGAAGCUAUUUUUGCUGAGUUUGAAUCUUAUGUUAGAAGCUUCAAAUUUUCCAGCUUGUUUUUGUUAAUUUUUGACUGUGGAAUUGUUGCAUGUUACCAUUAUUUGAGUUUCAUCAACUAAUUGUUUUCCUUUUAGUUAUAAAGCUUGUUGUAGAACACCCUUAUCCUACUAUUAGAGCACAUAAAUGUUUUUGGCAAUGAUUUUUUCUUCUUGGUAUUGUAUAUGUCAUUGAUGUUGUGAAUUUUAAUGUGUUGCUCUUAUGAAGUUGAAUGUAUUUAUGCCCUUUAUUUUUGAAGUAACUUAAUUACUUCUUUUUUUUUUAAACUCUUAGAUAGAGCACUUGAAGUGACGAUCGAGACCGUUAAAUAUGAUGUACAGUUCUGAAACUAUUUGAAUAUAAAUUUGUGUUAAUUUUUGACAAUAUUUAUCUAGCAAUUAAAGAGUCACAAAAUUAAUAAUUUUAAUGGCCGAUGUAGCGCGAUUGUUCUUGUAAUGGUGUAGAAGAGGCCUCCAUUUUAUCUGCAUCUUGUCAAAGUUCCUCAUCUGCUGCCAAAAAAAACUGUCUCAUUUGAAAAGGGCUUCUUGUCAAACAAACCCUUCCCUGGAGCAAGUAUUUAUUUUCUUUUUUCUCAAGCAUCAGUUGCUUACUUGCUUGAGGGGAAAACCUAAAAUAAAAUAAAAUAAAAUAAAAUGUCAAAGGAGAAUCCAAAUUCCUUGUCAACUAGAAACAAAAGAGAGAGAGAGAGAGAGAGUGGAUAAUUGGCUUUUUAAAGAGUAGUGAAAAAGAUUAAAAUGAAAUUUAAUUUUAGAAUUUAAAUUAAUUAUAAUUUAAAAAGAAUAUAAGCCAAUUCUUUGUCAAUAAAAAAGCAAAAGAGAGAGUGAAUAAUUUUAAAGUUUCAAUAAUUUAGAUCAAAUUUAAUAAUGCUAAUUACCGAUUCAGAAGUCUCAUCGUCAAAUAUGACGGUGUGAAAGUAAAAGUCUCAUUACUUUUAGUAGAAUUUUACCUUUUACUCUUAUAUCGUAUUUCUCAUCGUGAUUCUAAAUUCAAGCCCUAGUAUCUAAUAGCCAUUAAAAUGUAAAUGUUGUUGCAUUCGAUUCUAAAUCCAAACCUGAAACUAAGGGGCUGUUUGAUUGCAUAUAGUUAUAAUUGCACUGCAGUUAUAAUUAUAUAUAAAUUCAAAUUCGGUGUUUAAUUUGAUGCAUCUGAAUUCAACUACUGUAGCUGGAAUUGUAUGAGAAGAUUCAACUCUAAUAGUUGAAGUUAUGCUCAAAUUGGAGAGAGUAAUUUUGAACAAAAGAUAAGUUUAUAUCUCUAAUCACUUUUUAAAUCGAAGAUAUCUUUUUCUAUAUUAAAAGAGUAAUCUUACUAUCACAUAUUAAAUGAUAAAAUUUUACAAAUACACUACUCAACUACAUUGCAGCACUUUCUACCGUGUCGAUCCAAACAUGAUAUAUAUAUUUAUGACUGCUAUUUCUAGCUAUAUAUUUCUAACUGCAUGUAUCUUCAACUAUACUUAUUUUUAAUUAUAUUCAACUAAUCAGCCCCAAGCGCUUGAUUGAUUAAUUAAAAAUGUAGAAAAAAAAUUAUUAUUUAGAAAGUGAGCGAUCACUUUUUGUUGUUUAGUUUGUCUAAUAAGUGUUUAACAGAUUUUUAAAAUUUCUCGCUUCUUAUGUUUGGUUGCUUAUAAAUUAUUGGAUAAUAAAAAUCAAUUUUUAUAUGCUGAUAACAAAUAUUGCCUAUAUUAAAUUUUAUUCUGAAAACAACAUGCGAUGUGUGCGGAUAUGUGAUGGGGUGUUGGGGUAGACAAAGAAUAUGGAUAAGAUGGAAAGGUGGAAAAAGUCCUUGUUAUCCCUUUUUUUGGCCAAUUUGCAUAAAAAAUUCACUUAUUUUGGACUUUUGUAAAAACGGACCACCUUUUUCAUUUUUGCAAAUUCGGUCCGAAUUUUCAGCAAACUGACCAAAAUACCCAUAUUAUUUUUUCUCUUUCCUAUUUCUCUCUCCUCUUCGUUUUUCUCGUUCUUUUUUUUUUUCUCUCGCCGAAAAAAGUAGUGAAGGUAGAGGCGGAGGCAGAAAUGGUCCGUCUCGCCUCUCACCCUCAUGCUCUCGCCCUUGCCCUUGCCCUCGCCCUCGCCCUCGCCCUCACCCACGCAUCCCCCACCUUCCUUGCCUCCGAUCCUGCCCAGGCCGUGCCACGACUUUUUUUUUUUUCUUUUCUUCUCCGACUCUCCUCCACCGUCUCCGACGACGACGUCUCUCUCGCCCUUCCCCGCACUUCUCGUCCCCGGCUCCGAGGCUGCAGCGCCGUAGUGACCUCCACGGUGUCGACGUCGGCGCCAGCGAAGAUGCAUGUCGUCGAAGGCGGCAGAGAAGGAGGGAGAAGGAGAGACGAGAAGGGCGGGAAAGGGCGAGAGAGACGUCGUCAUCGGAGACGGUGGAGGAGCGGCAGGAUCGGAGGCAAGGAAGGUGGGGGAUGCGUGGGCGAGGGCGAGGGCGAGGGCGAGGGCGAGGGCAAGGGUGAGGACGAGAGCAUGAGGGUGAGAGGUAAGGCGGACCAUUUCCGCCUUCGCCUCUACCUUCACUACUUUUUUCGGCGAGAGAAAAAAAGAAAGAACGAGAGAAACGAAGAGGAGAGAGAAAGAGGAGAGAGAAAAAAUAAUAUGGGUAUUUUGGUCAGUUUGCUGAAAAUUGGGACCGAAUCUGCAAAAAUGAAAAAGGUAGCCCGAUUUUGCAAAAGCCCAAAAUAAGUGGAUUUUUUAUGCAAAUUGGCCCUUUUUUAUGACUUUUAUUUUAUCAGAUGAAAUGUUUAUAAAAUAAGAUCUCAUUUUUUUGAAAAUGUAAAAUACGAUCAAUAUCUUUUAAUCAAACUAUUGCAAUUGGAUUUGUUUACAUUGGUCGGUUCUAAUUCAGCCCGAUCUAAGAAGGCGAGAUAUGUGUGGGAGAAGACGAGAUACAUGGAAGAUCGAAAGUAUCAAGAAAAGAAGAUUCAAAAACACUAAUAAAUAAUUAACUCGAUCUGAUUUUAAUUUCUGAAUACGUUUUUCGCUGCCCUCCGAUUCCAACUCAAACAAUCAUAAAACUAUAAUUCCUAAAAAUUUUACUUUUUAUUUUUUUACUUUUCAUCUACCAAACAUGCCUUAAGUGAAAAUGUUGCCCUAGCCAACUUUCAUUGGCUCCUUUUAUCCCACAACAAAAAAAAAAAAAAAAUCUCCAAUGAGUGGGAGAAGGAUUGAUCCCAUUUCCAGAAAAGGGAAGAGAAAGCAAAGUUCCCUCCCAUGGUAUUUUCCAAUUUUGCCCCCAGCUAAAAGCAUAACAAGGAAAGAGAGCUGUGUAAAGAUCAGGGUCAUAAAGGGUCAACAAGUGGAAAUCUGACCUUGGGAAUCCACAAACCCAACCCCUUACACCACACACAAACACAAUAUUUAUAUAAAAAAAGAAACAAUUGUUGUUAUUAUUUACAAUUUAUUAAUCUUAUUCCUCUUCCUUUGAAUCUUUUGGUUAAAAAUUUACUAAGAACCCCUCAAUUUCAUAGAAUUUUGUAAUGGGACCUUCAACAAUAUUAUUUCUUUAUUGGCAUUUAUAUGAGUUAUUCUAAUUAGUUAAGGAGGUGUUUGGUUUCUGAAAAAAUUUAAAAAAUUAUUUUUUAAAAAACUAUUUGUAAAAAUUAUUAUUUUUUACAUUAUUUAUUUAUUUGAUAAAAACUCUAAAAUAGAAUACAUUACUUUUUCAUAAGAUCUAAACAAUAAAGAAAAAUAAAAAAAAAAAACUAUAUUUUCAAGAAAUCAAACAGACAGAAAAUAUUUUUUCAGACAAACAACUAUUUUCUUCGCUAUUUUUUUUUUGGAAAAACAAACACCGUCUAAGCUAAUGUUUUUAAUAACUUUGUUUGCUACCACUUAUUAACUAUUUCAAUUUUAUUUUAAAAUUAAUUAAACUUAUUAAAUCUAACCAAAGUGUCUGUAGAUUAAACAACAAUUUUAAUUUAAUUGAUUGAUAGCACUCAAAAAUUCAAUUAUAGCACUAAAAAAAACUAUGAAGCGAAUAAUUACUCUAAAAACUUAAGCCGUUAGCAAAUAAUAAUUUAAUAUUUUAUAUUUAAUAUCGUCCCUUAUAUUCCCUUGAGAUUGUAAUAGGUCGGGGCUAAUGCCACUCAAAGUUACAAACAUUUAUUUUCUCUAAAAUUUAGCGUUCGUUCGUUUGGUACUGAGAUUCAUAUAACAUUAAUAAUAUAAAAUAGAGUUAGGAAAAAAAUAUUGAGAAAAAAAUGCUUCAAUAUUUUUUUUUAGUGAGAGGGUAUGAAAUGUAUCAUAACCAACUUAUUGCGCUGUGCAAAAUCACAGUAUUACAGAUGAAAAUAAAUACUGUAAAAUUACACCACUAAAUUAAAGAGGGGGAAUUUCAGAACGGGCUACAAUCGACGGAUCUUCGUACAUUUGUUCUAAAUCUUUUCUACACCUCUUCUUCAUCUUCCAUUUGUAUACCUUACUUUGUGCCAAAAAAAAAAAAAAAAAAAAAAAAAGUUGCUUCUCCUCAAUAGAGUCCAUUAAAUGCACACGCAAAAUCCGCUUGGUGAAUAAGCUAUUACAAGGAGCUUCUUUUGGCUUUUGCACCACGCAGAGUUAGCUUAAGCCCUAAGUCUUUUACUUACAUACAUAUCUCGUGAGGACUAAAUAAUAAAUAAAUAAAAGAUGUGGGGCGCUUAAAAAUUUGUAACCGCCGCAAAGAAGGGUCCCCAAAGAAACCGCUAUUAAAAGAGUCGGUUCAUGGGGAGGGGUGGUUGGCGUGAAAUGACAGUUUUGCCCCUUACGUGGCCGCCACAUGCAAUGUGAAAUGACCAAAAUGGCCUUGUGGGAUUAUACUUGUAGAUAAUGUAAAGUAAUAAAAUGUCUAGAGAGAGGUGCUCUUUAAUUUGUUUUGAUGAUCUAAUGCGCAAUUUAUGGUAAAAUUUAAAAAAAUAUAAAUGUGUGUUUAGGUUCUUUAGUGAUGGUUAAUUUAUUAGUUAAACUUUCUCUUUCUUAAUCUAAUAAUUUAAUUAGGAUAUAAGCAAGUGUGGAUUGCAAUUACUAACUAAUUAUUUAAAAAAUAUGUGCUAAUAAGAAGGACGCGCUCAUCGCACUUAAGAGUCCAACUACAAUACUUAUAUAUAUAUAGAGUACGGCUGGGAUACUAUUGAUAGCACCAAGCGUUUGGUGCUAUCAAGUUUUCUGCUGUUAAAUUUAAUCUUUUGAUUAUUUUCAUCCGUUAGAUUAUACUAUUAAACCAAUAACGUACUCAAUCCUAGAGGGCCCACACAUCCUAAUCGUACAUUUUUUCAUCCGAGAGUCAAAAAUCUAAUAGCACCAAUAACGUGGUGUUAUUGAUAAUAUUACAACCUAGUUAUAUAUAUAUAUAUAAAAAUAUAAUAUGUUUCGAUUUGACUUAAUCCACAUGUACAUUGGAUCUACUAUUGAAUCUCCUACAAUUAGAUUUAUAGCGGGCAGUAGUCUUAGUAAAUUAGAUUCAACCGAACUAAUUUUAUUAGUUUCCUGGUCUUGUCACAGGACAAAAAGUUAGGCCUAUUUCAAACAGCAUUCCCUCUUCGAAAUAUCUACACCAUUAAUACAGCAUGUGAAAAUCGAAUCCAUACCACUAGCUCUAAUAUCACUUAUGGAUAUCGUAAGUACUAACCAACUAUACUAAAAAUAUAUGCUAAUAGAAAGGGCGCACCUAUUAUGCUUAAGGGCUUAGUUACAGCGUUUACGAAUUUCGAUCUAACUCAACUUACAAAGACGUUGGUCUAUUGUUGGAUUUUUCACCACAUUAGGUUUAUUACAUACUGCAAAAGUUGGAUUUUGUACCUUUAUUAUAUUUUUUGGAUUUAUUAAUUAUCAGGUGUAGUAAAAGAAAGAAAGCAGAGGUAGCACCAAUGAGACAGAAAACAUUAAAAUGGGUGUAUUGCAUUAUUUAGUCAUGGAAGUUUAAGACAAUGUUUAUUUAGAUUACAAGAGUUCAAUUUACUUUACUUGGGACACUGAACUUCAAUUUCUUUUUAUACUGUGUCACUUUCUUAAUUAGCUCCAUAUAAAUUUUCAAAUAAAGCAACAAAAUUAUAGCUAAUGCAAUUACCAUUUAUAUAUAUCACUACUAUAUAAUUUAUCUCAAUGAGACGAUAUAUGUAGCUACUAAUUUAGUUAUCAAAUUAUUUUUUGGAUGCAAUGUAAUAAUUAAACUAUUUUUUUAUGAUGAUUUGAUAGCUUGAACCAACCAACAAUUAUUGCCACAUUAUUUUGAAUUGUCAGAUUUUUUUAUUUCGAAAAUAAAUAGAAAGUUUGAGUACCAGUGACAAAAUUGAACUUGCAAAUCAAACUAAAUUCAGUGGCAAAAUUUAAAUUUCAUUGUAAGUUAAGCAACAUAUAUGAUAUAAACUGUCCAAAUAAAAUAAAAUACAAAUUCUCCUCUGAAAUUUUAUUUGAAAAAUAUUAUUUUUGAAAAAUUUAGAUAUCUUCUAACUUGUUCACGAAAUUUCUUAUCCCCCAAUCAACCUGUGGAGUCAAACAUCAUCCUUUCCCUCAUUAAAUAAUAAUAUUAAAUAGAGAUGCACACGUGUCACAAUAUCAGCCGUCCAUACGAUUUAAGAAUUUAAUUUCGAAACGUAACGCACAUUCAAAGUCAAAACCAAUUUUAAUUGCCACCCAAGAAACGUACAAACGCGAGGGCAAUUUCGUAAAUUCAACAAGUAUCCCCCGCCGGGGCAUUUUCGUAAUUUUACCCCGUGCACCGACCUUGUCCUUAGAAAGGGUCGGUUCACGGUGUCAAACUAUAAAUGCGCGAAAAAUUCAAAAGCGCUUCUCCUACUAGCCGUUUACUUUGAAUGCGUCCCCAUUGCGCAUAAAUCCCCUGUUCUCUCGUCCCCUUCCGCAAAACCCUAGCGCCAUGAAUCCAAUUCGAGCCGAGCUUCGCAUGUCCGCGGCGGGGGAAGCGGCUCCGACGACCGAGUCCGCGGCGGAGAUCGCCCCGAUGCUGUUGCGGACUCGGAGCUCAGCGGUGGGCGCCAAAGAUCGCGCCUUUGAGGUGCCCCUCGCCCCCGGAUCGGAUCUUGCUUCUGGGUUCUCGUCGUUGAGCGAUUUGGUUCGGGGAUUUAGGGUUUUCAGGCGGAGCGCCGCCCCCGCGAGGUUCCUCUGCUUCUCCGGCGGCGGGUGGGUCGACAUCGCCCGCCAUGUGUUCGACGUAUUGCGUCAGGGGUUUGUUCGCGGGAGAACGUCGGUCGAAGCUUCGGUUGAUGGGAAGCUGUGUGUGUUCGAUUUCCUCAGGAUGGUUCGGGUCGAAUUGGAGACCGGUGAGGCGAAUUCGAUCGCGUGGAUUGAUGUUGACGGGAAGUGCUUCUUCCCGAGGACGGUGUUGGAUGAUCAGCGGAAAGAUGCCUCCUUUCCCAAGCUAGAGAUUGCAAUAAGAAUCGCCGGUGAUUCUUCAUCGUCGUCGUCGGAUUGUAAUUCCAAGAAGAAGCGAGAUUUUGCAGCGAAUUCCACUCAAGAAUGGUCCGACGAGAGUCCCGAGGCGUCCGCCAUGCUUACCUCAGAAAGAGUAACAAGAUGGACCAAUUUGGAAGCUCUUGAUGGUGGGGAUAGAUACUACAAGGUUGUGGAGAAACUGUUUCUCGCCGGGAUGCGGAGACACGCGCCGAACACCGUCGUGACGUCGAUACGGAAAUGCUCACAUGCCAGCCGCUCGACAAAUUGCCGAUUGAGAGCCUUUCAGUUGCAGACGCAGAUGAUGGGGGCUGUGAGGGGUGAUGGCAAUGUGAAGUUUGGGUGGUUCGGCGGGUCCGCGAGUGAUGUGGCCGCUAUCGCGGCUCACGGGUUCGGAAAGCCAAACAAUGGUUCACUCGGCCCCGAGGCCCAUGGGGUUGGUGUCCACCUAACGCCACCGCAUUCUCCGUAUCGGAGGUAAGAUGUUUCAUAGUUCGUAGAGAUAGUCCUUUGACUUUUGAUGAAUUGUAAUUUGGGCUCUAAAUUUUUCGGUUUAAUGGAUUAGUUCUCGACUUUUAUGUAGGAAUAUGAAAUUGCGAGGCAAGAUGCUUCAUAGUUCAUAGAGAGAAUCCCUGGACUUCUGAUGAAUUGUGAUUUGGGGCUCUAAAUUUUUUGUUUGAACGGAUUAGUUCUCGACUUCUAUGUAGGAAUACAAAAUUGCGACUAAAAGAUUUAUGAUUUUACUCAUGAUUUUUUAGAUGGUGAUUCACUUCUGUGAUAAUCAAAUUUCUUGUUACUGAAAAAAUGCACCUAUUGCUAAUAUCGCAAAAAUCAGAUACUAGUAUUAACUGAUAGUGAAAAAAUUAUUGAAGUUUAGGAUUAUUAGUACCUAUAACCAUCUAUAACCAUCUAGCAAGAUCAAUUUUUGAUCACUCUCUUGUUUGCUUUCAGCGCCUUGUUAUCAGAAGCUGACGAGAAAGGCGAGCAGCACAUCGUGCUGUGCCGUGUCCUUAUGGGGAGAACCGAGCAAGUUUCAGAAGGUUCGUCGCAGUUCCAUCCUAGCAGCGACGAGUACGAUAGCGGGGUCGACGACCUUAAAAACCCUAGAUGGUAUAUUGUUUGGAGCACUCACAUGAACACUCACAUACUCCCUGAGUAUGUUGUGACCUAUAGGUCAUCAAACAAACAACAAAGUAUGUUCUCAAUCUUCUCUUUUUUUCACUACAGGAAAACAUAUUAAAAAAAAGUUGUUAGAUGUUCUCUGUUUUUGGUUGUGAUGUACUGUUUGAAUUUGUAGGUUCACAGAGGAUAGCAACUACUGAGAGAAAACCUCUUGUGGUUGGUCUUUGCUUCCCUAAGCUAUUUUCAGAGAUUGGGAGUAUUCUUCCAUCAUCAGGAGCACAAAAUUUAGAGAUUUGGUACAAGGAUUUCAAGGUAAAUUAUAAAUGCUAACUCGACACUUCAUCCCCAACAUCUGUUCAAGGCUCUAUAUAUUUGCCUGGCUGGUGCUUUUGUGAAGAUGUUGCUCGAGUAUAACUCUUUGAAGAAGCAUGAAUGUUUUUUGUUACACGUGUUAAAGUAUCCUAUACAACUACUCAUUGCAGAAGAAGCAAAAGCUUUAAAUUGGUGUAUUUGCUCAUUGUGAUUGAAAGCUUAUCUUUAGCUACUCGCAACAAGACACUUGGAACCUUCUUCUUUUUUUUUUAACUUGUUAACAAAAAGACCAGUUUCUUUAAGCUUCUGCUUUUGGAGUAGACAAUCUGUUCCAGAAAUCAGAAUUUUUAAGUCUCAAACAUAUACUUGUAACUGCAGGAAGGGAAGAUGAGGAAGGACGUGUUCAUCAAAUCCUUGAGGGCCCUCGUCGGCGACAAAGCAUUAGCUUCAUUAAUCAAGAAAAUUCGGGGAUACUAACGAAUAUCUGUUCGAAGGUGAUGCUGUGAUUGCUGUCGCUUCAUUGCACAAGCGGACAGAAAAUUAUAUGUGAAUCUAUUAUCUUCUUCUUGGGGUGUCGUUGUUUUCCUUAUGAAAAAAGGACAAGUGAUCUUCACUUGGAUGAAAUCCAGAAAUUUUGAGUUUCAGCGAAUCAAUUGUCCCUUCUACAUCCCUGAUAGAAGGGUGCAAGAAUUACAAUUACAAGUAGUUGAACUUUAUACAAUGUAAGAAGUGAUGUUGUAUUACAAACGCAGCAAAUUGUAACUCAUGGCCAUUUUGUUGGUUCCAUAAAUGGAUUUAUACGUCGAACAACUCGAGUCGCAUUUAGUUUGCAUUUGAGCCAACUGAGAGAGCUGUUCAUCUUCCAAAAGCUCACAGGGUUAAAAAGUAGGGUGCUGGUGAUAGCUGCAUCUUUGCUUAAACCAUGCAGAGAAUUUGGCUUUGAAUAGUGUUUGGCGACAGUGAACUACGACAAUGAGAUGGAUGAUCUAUUACAGGUAAAUUGAAAUGGUUACACACAAGUGGUACCGACUCGUAAAGUGGAUUAAUAUCCCUGUGAGGAAUCAUUUCUCCAAUUGACUAGUUGGACCAUUAAGCAUAAGUUGUGCUGUUGAUUACUGUGAGCAUUAUUGUAAGUGAGAUUCCAACACUACUGCAAUGCUGGGAGAAUAGAUUCAGCAAUUUGAAACCACUCAGAUUAUUCUUUGUGGAGCUGAGCAGUGUUAAAGCAAGCAUAAGAAUCUGUUGAAGCUUGAUGAUGCAGCAAAAGUUAUCUCCAAAAGAAUAAAGCUGAGAGUUGUUGAGAUUUGAGUGGCAGGACAUGAAUCACCUUAUUCAGCAAUUAUGUGUAGUAGUAAUCUUCAUGCAUACAUGUGUUUAGCUAUGAGAUUGUCACAUAUGGAUAUUUCUUGAAUAAUGUAGUGAAGUAAAUGGAACUUCAACUAAAAGCUUGAAGAUGCAAUUAAAAUUCCAUUUUACGACGUGUUUAGCUUGCAUAGUACUUCUAUCGAACAACAGCGGGUGAAAAGUAUCUAGCGAUAUGCUUCUCAGUUAUAUAGUCAUGCAACUGUAUUUCCUCGUAACUGCUUAGAUCUGGUCGAGACCAUGUUAUUAUGCGGCGAUUCUAAAUCCAAAGUUCUCUCAAAUUUCUGAAAUUUUGCACCUGAACUUAGAAACUCCAAAAAAAAAAAAAAAAAAAAAAACAGAAAUUGAAGAAGUUAGGCCUCUUUUGGAUGCUACCUUUUUUUUCCUUUUUUCUUUUUUCCUUUCAUGUUCUUGUUGUUUUACUAAAGUUAUCUAUAAGAUAUUAUCCAAAAAUGUAAGUUUUGAUAGUAAACAUUUUUUGUACGUUACUAAUUGAAAGAGGCAACUCUAUCUCUCUUUAAUAGAACAUUCUAGAAUGCUCUAUCCCUUUCCAAUUCUCUACUAGCUAAUGGAGCACUCUAGAAAACUCUAGGAACAAAGUGCUCCCUACUUGCUAAUAGAGCACUUUAGUGAGUUCUAGAAGUAAGUACUCUAGAAUAUUCUAGAGUACUCAUGUAUGUAGGUUGGAGCCUAUAAAUAGGUGUGAGGCCUCCACACCAAGUGUGCAAGAGUGUGAGAGUGAAGAGUGUGAGUGAGGUAGUAGUGAAGAAAGGGUGUGAGUGGUGGUGUGAGGUAAGGAAGUUUUGUGAGGUGUAGUGUUAGUAGUGAAGUAGUGUGUGAGGUUUGUAGUCUUUUGGGUGUAUGUGAAUGAGAGUUAUUUUGUGUGUAUAAUAAAGAGAGUUUUAUUAUUAGUCUCGUACGCCAAUACUCUACAAUUUGGUAUCAAAGCCAGAUUGUGGAAAAUAUUCUGCUAGUUAAGUCUGUGAUAUUCUGCCAGUCCAGGCAGUUAAAUACCGAUAUAAGCAGAGAUUCUGCUGGUGCACAGUCUGGGACUGUGAAGUUGGUUGGUCUGGGACGAGACUUACUUGGUUGACUGCUGGGCAAUCACCAAGUCACUAUGACAGAUCUUGUUGGUACAACUAGCAGAAUUAAGAAACUAAAUAACCAUAAUUAUGGUUAUUAGCAAACCUGCACUGAGUCCUACCUAUAAGGGCAGGACUUGUGGGAGGUAAUCGGUGGUGCUGAAACAACUCCACUACCGAAGGAGAAUGCAGAAGUGUUCAGAAAAUGGCGUAUCAAGGCAGGGAAGGCAAUGUUCGUUCUGAAGACAUCAAUUGAAGAAGAGCUGCUGGAGCAUAUCAAAGAAGCAGAUACACCCAAGGCUGCAUGGGACACUCCCGCCUCGUUAUUUUCAAAGAAGAACGAUGCUCAACUUCAACUUCUGGAGAAUGAGCUGAUGACGAUAUCUCAGGGCAGCAUGACGAUUAGCCAGUACUUCAUGAAGGUAAGAUCUCUCUGCCGUGAAAUUUCCCAAUUAGAUCCACAGUCAAAAAUUAGUGACCAGCGGAUGAAGAGAAUUAUUAUUCACGGCCUAAAACCCGAAUAUAACGGGUUCAUUACUGCUAUUCGAGGCUGGCCCACUCAACCAACGUUGGUGGAACUAGAAAAUUUACUGGCUAAUCAGGAGACUCUAGCCAAACAGAUGGCUGGAGUCUCACUGAAAACUGAAGAGGAGGCACUCUUCAGCAGUAGAAGAAAAGGUCGAGCAACAGGAGAGCCAAGAAAUGUGAAACCGCUGAAGGAGUUCAGUGGGUCAAAACAAAGGUUGGAAGAGAGCCACCUGACAGGGGGAGUCCACAACCAGAAAGAGCAAAAUACCUGGCAGUUUAAAGGCGACAAACGGCGAAGCGGAAAGUGUUACAACUGCGGCAAGAAAGGACACUUCGCCCGAGACUGUUGGCACAUGAAGAAACAAGCACAAGGCAAUAUGGCAACAUUAGGUGACCACCAAGUAGCAUACAACAGUGAAGAAGAGUGGGAUGCUGAAGCCUCCUUCGCCAUCAUAAAGCCAGAAGAAGACCGUCACUCAGACAAGGAGGAGGCUCUCAAAGAACAAAGGUUGAAAGACACUGCUGCAGAGGAGAAGACGGCGUCAGGGCAAGAAGAAAGUGGUCAACCUUCUACGGAGUCAACCAGUGACGAGUAUCAACUCCAGAAGUCUCUGGAAUCUUGGCGAACUGGCAUGCAUUAUCAAACCCUAGAAGAAGAUCGACUAAGCCAACUUGAAGAUACAGGUACGCAGUUACGAAGAUCUUCUAGGCAAAGAAAAUUUAAUCCUAAGUAUGCAAAUGCUGCUCUCGCCGAAGAAGAAGAGACUCCAAAAGAGCCAAACUCCUACGAAGAAGCAGUUACAAGUAAAGAGUGGAAGAACGCGAUGGACGAAGAGAUCCAGGCACUGAAGCAGAAUCAAACUUGGGAGCUGGUACCAAAGCCAAAGGAUGUGAAGCCUAUAUCAUGUCGAUGGGUAUAUAAAGUAAAGACUCGUCCAGAUGGAUCAGUAGAGAGGUACAAAGCUAGACUAGUUGCUCAAGGAUUCUCACAGCAAUAUAGACUGGACUAUGACGAGACAUUCAGUCCGGUGGCUAAGAUCACAACCGUACGAGUGUUGAUAGCACUUCCCGCCAGCAAAUCAUGGAAGCUAUGGUAAAUGGACGUGAAUAAUGCAUUCUUACAUGGGGAGGUCGAUCGAGACAUAUACAUGGAGCAACCAAAAGGCUUCGAAAGUAAAACUCAUCCUCAGUACGUGUGUAAGUUAAGGAAAGCCGUCCACGGACUAAAACAGGCACUAAGAGCAUGGUAUGACAAAAUAGGUGAGUUCCUAGUGCAAAGCGGAUAUCAAGUUACACCUGCAGAUUCAAGCUUAUUCGUCAAGAAGCAACAGGAGAAGAUAUCCAUCGUGCUGGUCUACGUGGAUGACCUAAUCAUUACUAGAGAUGAUGAAGAGGAGAUUAAUAGCAUAAGAGAGAAUCUAUCUAUACGCUUUCAAAUGAAGGAGCUCGGAGAACUGCGACACUUUCUUGGGCUCGAGGUGGAGCGCAUUCCUAUGUCAACAAAAGUACGCAAAGGAUAUUCUCCAAAGGUAUGGCAUGUUAAACUGUAAGCCUAUCUCUACACCUAUGGAGCCAAAUAUCAGAUUAUGUGCAGAAGAAGGGAAGGAAUUGGCUAACUCAACUAUGUAUCGACAACUGGUCGGUAAUUUAAUAUAUCUAACUAUGACCCGACUAGACAUAGCUUAUGCAGUUGGAGUAGUUAGUCGAUACAUGCAACGGCCAAAGAAACCCUAUCUAGAAGCAGUUCGACGUAUUCUAAGGUAUAUAAAAGGGACUAUCGACUACGGCCUCCUGUAUAGAAAAGGAGAGGCUUGUGAGCUCAGAGGCUACUGUGAUGCUGACUAUGCUGGAGAUCAUGAUACAAGACGAUCAACUACUAGAUAUGCAUUCAACCUUGGUUCAGCAGUAGUCUCUUGGUGCAGUAAAAGACAACCGACUGUGUCGUUUUCUACAACUGAAGCUGAGUACAGGUCAGUAGCAAUGGCGGUACAAGAGAGCACAUGGUUGAUGCAGUUGAUGAAUAACCUACAUCAACCUACAGAUUAUGGAGUGGAUCUCUACUGCGACAACCAAUAAGCUAUACGCCUCGCAGAGAAUCCAGUCUUCCAUGCAAGAACAAAGCACAUAGAGAUACAUCAUCACUUCAUAAGAGAGAAGGUGCUGCAAGGAGAAAUAAACAUAGAACCAAUCAAAACAAAAGAGCAAAUAGCCGACAUAUUCACCAAAGGGCUAAGCACCGCAAAGUUCGAAGAAUUCCGGAAGCAAUUAGAAAUGCUUAGCAAAGUAGCAUUAAGAGAGAGUUAGAGUUGAGGGGGAGAAUUGAAAGAGGCAACUCUCUCUCUCUCUUUAAUAGAACAUUCUAGAAUGCUCUAUCCUUUUCCAAUUCUCUACUAGCUAAUGGAGCACUCUAGAAAACUCUAGGAACAAAGUACUCUCUACUUGCUAAUAUAGCACUUUAGUGAGUUCUAGAAGCAAGUACUCUAUAAUAUUCUAGAGUACUCAUGUAUAUAGGUUGGAGCCUAUAAAUAGGUGUGAGGCUCCACACCAAGUGUGCAAGAGUGUGAGAGUGAAGAGUGUGAGUGAGGUAGUAGUGAAGAAAGGGUGUGAGUGGUGAUGUGAGUAAGGAAGUUUUGUGAGGUGUAGUGUAAGUAGUGAAGUAGUGUGCGAGGUUUGUAGUCUUUUGGGUGUAUGCGAAUGAGAGUUAUUUUGUGUGUGUAAUAAAGAGAGUUUUAUUAUUAGUCUGGUACGUCAAUACUCUACACUAAUAACAAUAAAAAUUGAGAAGUCCUUUUUUGGCGCAUCCUUUAAGGUCCUAUUCAGAUGCACGAAUGUCUUAUUUUAGAUAUACCUUGGUUUGCUAAAUAAGUUAUUAUAUUUGCUAAAUAAAAAAAAUAUGAUCAAUCGUUUAGAAUGGAGUAGCUAUUUCACUUUCUUCUUUUUUUUUGAAUAAGAUAAAUCAUCUUAUAAGUAAAAUAUAGUCCUGCCAAAUUAUGAAAUAACAAGACCUUUCUAGAAGUAAAAAAUUAAACUUUCUGUCUCUAAUCACACCAAAAAGACGUUAUACCGAAUAAAAUUAUUCAAGAAUAGCUAAAUUCAAUGUUCAAACAGGAUCUAAAAAGGAGUAGCUAAAAGGAAAGUGAACCAAACACGCCCUAAGUUUAUUUUGUUUUCGCUCGAGUUUUCGAGUAACACAUGCUAUGUCCUAGUUGAAGUUUUUUUUGGGCUUCUUUGUGGGCCAAACUUUGGACAAGCAAUGCUACUUUUUUACACUAGCUUUAAGGCUUAAUUACUUUCCUACUUAGUGUACUUUAGAGUCUUUUUCAUUUGGCCUACUAUACUUUUUUUUUUUUUUUUUUCAAAUACUAUAUUGAACUACUUAGCAUUUAAAAAUGAAAAGAAAGUACUGGGUCAAAUGAAAAGAGUUCUAAAAUACAGUAUGUAUGAAUAUAAUUAAACCUACUACAAAUUAAAAGGAAUUAUCUAUAUUUGUGGACGGUGAAAGAGUAAAAUAUACACCCAAAAAGGGUAUGUCUAACGCAGCAUACAUUUUAUUGAAAAAUGUUACAUACACACGCCAUGUAGAGGUAGGGAUCCAAAUAAGCCUGGGUUAGUGGAGCUCCUACCCUGGAGUAACAAGUUGGGGGACAAAAUUAAGAAAAAAAAAUAAUAAUUUAUCUCGAAUCCGUCCUAAUCUAUUACUAUAAUCUAUUACUAUAUAUUAAAGUAGAACCUUUUAUGAACCCUUUGUGAAAAACUGACACAUGGCGUUCCAUAUGCUUGCCACGUAUCAAACUCAAAUAUAGAAUAGCGAUUUAUUAGAAAACUCAAAUAUAGAAUAGCGAUUAAAAAUCAUAUAAAAUCAAAUUAAUUCAUAUAAAAAUCGUGAUUAAGUCACUAUUAAAAAUCAAAUUAAUUCUAUAAAAAUUAAGUCACGUGUCAAAUUAAUUCAUAUAAAAAUCAUAAGUCGCUAUUUAAAAAUCACUUCACUUCACUAUUACUAUAUACUAAAAUAGAACCCUUUAUAAACCCUUUGUGAAAAACUGACACGUGGCGCUCCAUAUGCUUGCCACGUGUCAAACUCAAAUAUAGAAUAGCGAUUUAUUAGAAAACUCAAAUAUAGAAUAGCAAUUGAAAAUUAUAUAAAAUCAAAUUAAUUCAUAUAAAAAUCAUGAUUAAGUUACUAUUAAAAAUCAAAUUAAUUCUAUAAAAAUUAAGUCACGUGUCAAAUUAAUUCAUAUAAAAAUCAUAAGUCGCUAUUUAAAAAUCACUAUUAAAAAUCAAAACUCAAAUAUAGAAUAGCGAUUAAAAAUCAUAUAAAAAUCAAAUUAAUUCAUAUAAAAAUCACUAUUAAGUCACUAUUAAAAAUCAAAUUAAUUCUAUAAAAAUUAAGUUACGUGUCAAAUUAAUUCAUAUAAAAAUCAAAUUAAGUCACUAUUUAAAAAUCACUAUUAAAAAUCAAAUUAAUUAUAUAAAAAUUAAGCCACGUGUCAAAUUAAUUCAUAUAAAAAUCAAAUUAAGUCACUAUUAAAAAUCACUAUUAAAAAUCAAAUUAAAUCAAAUUAAUUAUAAAAUUAAUUCAAAUUAAUUCAAAUUAAGUCAAAUUAUACCAAUUAAAUAAUUAACUAGAAUUUGAUUAGGAAACACUAUUAAACACUAUUAUUAUAAUUAUACUCAAAUAUAGAAUAAUAAUUUUAUUAAAAAACACUAUUAAAUCAGAUUAAAUCAAAUUAUACCAAUCCUAUUUUCAUAUUGAGACCGGGUAAGACAGUAAAAAAUAUAUAAUAACAUAUUGAUUGCCAUAUAUAUAUAUAUUACGUAUUAAAAUUAAAAAAAAAAAAUUUACCGUAUAUUCUUAUUUUACAUAUCAGAAAUACCCGACCAAGUCAUUUAAAAACCAAAACCGACCCGACCCGGGACCCGGGACCCGACCCGUUAGAAGCCUCUAGUUAAUUCUACAAAGCUCCGCAGGAACAACUCACCGCACCCGCAAAUUAGGACAAAAACCCUCGCCCCCACCAUCGCUUCUCCCUCUCCCCUACAUAAACCCUAGCGGAGACGCUCGCGUCUCCCCCGAUCGAAGGAAAAUCCCCCAAAAUCGCUCCCACCAUCGCUUCUCCCUCUCCCCUACAUAAACCCUAGCGAAGACCCUCGCAGACGCCUCCUCUCGAUCGAAGGAAAAUCCCCAAAAAUCGCCCGAAAAUGGUAAGAAAUUCUCCUCCGCCCCCUCGUUCCCGAUCUUCUCGUCAUCUUUUCUUCGUUUUCGAUCGCUGUGUGAGCUUUUUCGAUUCGAUCGCAGAGCCAGGAGCAGGUGAAUCCCAAGGCGUACCCUCUCGCCGAUGCGCAGCUCACGAUCACGAUCCUCGAUCUCAUCCAACAAGCCGCGAACUAUAAGCAGCUCAAGAAGGGGGCCAACGAAGGUUCCCCCCUUCGAUUUGAUGAGAAAUUUGCGUCUAUUUUUUUGGCGUUUGUUUUGAUCUUGAUUUGAUGUUCGUUUUUGGGGUGGGGGCUUUGGAUGUUUUGUUGUGCAGCGACGAAGACGCUGAAUCGGGGGAUAUCGGAGUUCGUCGUGAUGGCGGCGGAUACGGAGCCCCUCGAGAUCCUUCUCCAUCUCCCAUUGUUAGCAGAGGACAAGGUAACGAGUUUGUUGUUAACUAAGGUUUAGUAUGUUUGAUUAAUUGUUAGUACGUUAUGUGUUGAUCCUAGAGCAUUGUUAUUCGGAAACCCUAGUGUACACCCCAAACACUUAUCUAUGUGUGAAUUGAUGAAAUGUUUAUGUGUAAUGAAUAAUCUGUAAAUGUUCAAUGAACUAUGAUUUGUGUUUUCGCAUAAAUAGUAAGGUUGUGCUACUGAUCAAUUUUAUGUAUUAACUUGCUUAUUUCAAAUUGGACUUAGACAGUUGUUUGACAUGGUUAAUUUGUAGGUAAAUAUAUAUAUAUAUAUAAACCAAGCCUUAUUUGAAUUAUAGCACAAUAUCGGAUUGCCGUUUCGAAAUAGAUAUAUAUGAUAUAUAUGAAACCGAAACCUACCAUAUUGAAUUAAUAUUGCACAAUCUAAUCGAAUGUAUUGUUACUCGAGGGAUAUUCCUUGAAAUAUGAUCCGAACAUUUGGUAGUUGGAUUGUAAAACCAAAGCUCCGAAUUCACCUAUUUCAACAAUACUGUAAGAUCAAGCUGUAAAAUCAAAACCACUAAAAGUUCAACUACCUUUAUCAAAACGCUAGUUACUUCAGGGGUAACAUAUAUAAACAAGACGCUGUUAAUUUUACCUUGGAAAUUUAGCUAUCGUGGCUUACUGUAGUUCUAAGUUUCAUGAUACCUGUUUAAUGUACAUUUCGAAAUUUUUGAAGUUUAUGCACUCUUCGGACUUUGUACCACCUAUGUCAAAAGUUGAUUUGUCUUAUCUUAUUCUUGGAAUGAUCAGGAUAUUUUUUUCUGUGAUAUACAACAAUCAUCCUCUUUUACCAAAAAAUUUAUUUGUUAUUACAAGUUUAAAUUGGAAACACAUUAUUGGCUUUUAGAAGUAAUUUCCUUGUUGUAUCCUUGUUGUAGAACUAUUCCAUUCCUUAGUUAUUUGGAAAAAAGAAGCACCCUCAUCUCAUUAUCAAAAGGCCUAGUACUGUUCUUCUUUUGGUGAAGUUCUUCGAAUUAAAAGUGAAUUGUGCAUUUAGUGGUGUAUGCUUAUUUUUCUGCUCUCAUAUCAUUCGUCAGUGUCGAAGUUCCCACUAGAAUAUAGCAGGCUACUGUAAAUACUAUGAUGUAGUAUAGAACUAAGAAUCAAUAUAGAGUGCUUUUGGAAGGACCAACCAUUUUUUAUUUCUUUUUUGUGUUGUCAAUACGUCGGUCAACUCGGUCUCUGGCUUUUUUUUCUUUACACAAAUGAAAUAAUAUUUGGAAAUCUCAUAAUUUCUCAUACCAGAUUUUAGUUUUUCCUAUUUACUAUGCUCGGAUGGGUGCUCAAUUAAGUUACAUAUGUUGCUGUAUUCUGGUUGUAACUGGUUGUACCACUCGUUUUUAGAGUUUACUGUACUGAAAUUCAAUUAUUUGCUGAACAGAAUGUGCCGUAUGUAUUUGUGCCCUCGAAGCAAGCUCUGGGCCGAGCAUGCGGUGUCACGAGGCCUGUCAUCGCAUGCUCUGUGACUAGCAAUGAAGGAAGCCAGUUGAAGUCCCAAAUUCAGCAACUCAAGGUGAUCUCUCUCUCUCUCUCUCUCUCUCUCUCUCUCUCUCUCUCUCUCUCUCUCUGAGUUUCUGAUCUUCAGCUAGAACUUGCAAGUUCAGCAUUUUAAUAGUUCAGUAAAGUUAAAAAAAAAAAGUUCAGUAUCUGGUAAUCUAACUUGGUCAAUUUUGAAAAGAAAAAGAUGGCAAUAGUUGGGCGCAAAAUUCUUAUGUAGCCAUUAUAUAUGUUUUUCAUAGUACGAUAACAAUAGUUAAAAUAAUGGAUAAUUCAUUUGGUGAUGAACCAAAGCACUUGAUAAAGUAAAUAAAUGCAAAUGUUAUCCUCUCUAUGAUUUUUUUUUUGGGUUCAAUAUUUACAUGUGAGUGAAUAAUUCUGAGAAAUAUUCUGCCAAUCAAAUUUUUGAAAAAAACUGGAGAAUGUUCUGACUACGAAGUCAAAUACAAUAUUUGGCUAUUAGACAACUAAUAAAUUUUCUCAGGUCGAAUAAUAUCUUAUUCUUGUGCUCAAAAGCACGGUUAUAAUAAUAUCUAAAGAGUAUAACAUUCAUUCAUCCUAAUGAAUUGCAGGAUGCAAUUGAGAAGCUCCUCAUCUAAGUAAUCUCGAAGGAAACCUUUCAGCAUGAAGGGCCCGGUUAGAGGGGGCUACAGCUUCUUCAGGGGCUUGGACUGAUGAUUGUCUAAUGUUACGCAGAGUUAGUAUUUAUCGCCGUCUUUGUUUUUUAUUAUUUAUCUUUGUUUUGUUCCAUCGGCGAUGUUUCGGGAGUUGAAUGUUACCUUGUGUUUGCCAGGUGAGGAUUGUUUGCUAUGAAUCAAAUGAUUUUAAGUAUGAAUGAAUGGACAUGCUAAGCUUAGUAAUCUAUAUAUNUCUGCGGCUAGCUAGAGCCUUUUGGACGUGUACUAGACGACCUCCACCAGUUUAUGUAGUUUAGUCCAGAGAUGUAUAUUAAGUGUUUUUGUAAAUUGUACUUUAUUUUUCUUUCAUGUAUUAAGGUUUAGAUUGUAUAAGUUUAAAAGUCGUGCUCUGAUUACCUGGUUAGAAUUAUAUGCUUUCAUUAUAUGGUUUGUAGACGCCUUGUGUAUACUUGAGUGGUGGUGUACACGGCGAGUCUGUGCACGCGACCGGAUAUGCUUCCGCUGGUACCCGGGCGUGACAACAGUCGGAAAUAAGCCAUUGAUAAAUUCGCAACUCAAGAUAAGCGUGAUUUCAUCUAUGUGCAAGAAACUCACAGCUUUUUUUCGAGCACCACCACCAAAGAAAGCAACAGAUUCAAACGGCCACUAUUACUAUUAUAAUUGCCGCUAAAAUAAUCUUCAACAUAAUCUGGCAGGGAAUGGGAAUUUACAGACACCUGAUGACAGAAGCAGGGCUUCAAAGUAUAUGUGAGCUCUUUGCUGCUUUUCUUAGCUCCAUCCGACGGAGCGACUCCAUGUUGACUUUCUUGGUACAUCUAGCGACCAUGGCAAUGGACAACCCACCUGUUUCCCCAUAAAAGAAAAUUUUUCGGAAGCAGGGCUUCAGAGUAAGAAAGUUUCCUAGUCUCUUGCUUUCAACGUAAUGCACAUUUUAUAAUCAACCUAGUUGAAAUAAAGCAUCAAGACAAAACCAUCACUAUUUUAUGCCCUAAACUAGAUCACAAGCAGUUACUAUAAAAUUAACAUCAGGAUAUGCCAAAAUAUUUUGAUUAGGCAGUCUUCUCUUCUUUGUACUUAACAAACAUCAUCCCCCUUUCAUCUACCAUUUGAUUAAUUCACAAAUAUUAAUUCAAAUGGAAGUAGAUGGAGAUUGUAGGCCUAAUCCUCCUGAGUAACUCAAUCAACUCAUAUCAAUCACAAAUUAGAACCAAAUGAAAAGGAAGCGCACGUCAGAUCUUAAAAUCUACACAAAUCAUUAGCCUAGUAACCUAAAUCAGAGUGUGAAUCGCCUAUUUAAAUUCACAACAAACUCUCGAAAUGAUGCCUAUCAUCCUGUUCCUUUAACAUUUAUCUCCAUCUCUGAGGCAUAACUAAAAUAGAGAAUAAAACAAAUUUAUUCUUAAUAGAUGCUCUAAAAAAUAGAAGGGCGAACUGUUCUAAAAAACAGUGCAUGAACUUUUAGAUGUGGAUGUAUCCCUCUUAAUAGCCUUUGCAUAAACUGCAUUGGCCUGUUGCAUUGGAGUCACGUAAUAUCAUGCUUUAUUCCAUACAGAAAUUGCAAGUACAAAGUUCAAUCACCACAGAAUACCUUACCAGUUUGUUUCGGAAGUAAGCCAGCGCUCUCAGCUGAGACAAGUAGAACAGUUAUUGGCCCACAUUCGUCUCCAACUUUCUCUGUAUUUUCACCGCCUGUUGAAGUUUUCAACUUAAUAGCUUGGACUUCAGCUAUCCUAGCAUAUGCCACUGUUUGGCUGUGAAGAUCGGAAGGAACCGUACUUGUUGAAUUCAUAUCCUGGGGGACUCAAAAAAGGAAGAGCGCAAGUUGAUAUCCAGAAAGGCCACCAAAAACUUGAGAGAAUUUAACAAAUACCGAUGCAAAGUUUUCUCUAGCUUUCUUUUACUUCCGCACUUGAAUUAUUAGAUGACUCCCCAACUUCCUAUCAAAAUUCAGAUUUUGACUAGGCUAUUAAAUAAAUAGAUGAUUUGGAGGGGUAUAUAUAUGUGAAAGUCCCAUAGCUUAGUUCUCUUCAGAAAAGGAUGAAAAGAUGACUUCACAGACCUUAUCGUUAGUCACUGUCGGGCCAAUCUCUCCAUCGGGUUUCUCAGCUACAUCAGUCUGCUGAUAUCCUAAAAAUGGCUUAAUUAGUUAAGCAAUUCAUAGAGAAAGAGGCCGGACAAUUUAAAAUAACAAGACAUUGAAAGAGCUUUUUUGAUACCCUUAGUCUGUGUAGGGUCGGUGGCGUCCAGCCUCCUUGUGAAUGGACCUGGGUUCAUGAUUGAUAUACUUCGGAUUUCGUAACGAAAUGCCUCUAACUGAGCAAUAGUGUCUUGAAGUUCCUUGUGGACCUAUAACAAAAUAAAUAACUCCAUAAUCAAUAUGUGGUUAAAUGAACUUCAAACCAUAUUUGUAGGGCCUCUGCUAACUUCAAUAUUAUCAACAAGUUCAAAAUAAAAGAGUAUGCUCCCACCAUGUAUCCAAGUCACUAAAUAAGAACAAAAAAGCCAGGAGAACUAUACUAAACAGUACAUCUUGAUACUGGCCUUUUUUUUAUCUAAUUAAACGAUUCUUUUGUAGACAACGGAUCAUUUAUUUUGGAAUUUGUCACCACCAUAACAAAAAAAGAUACCAACUUCUAUGCAGUGAAAUAUCUAACAUCCAUUUGGUUGGAAGGUCCAAAUUAAAAGCCGCUUAUUUUUAUUUCCUUUUUCUCAUCUGACAACAAAAACCAGUGGCAUAUAACUUAUCGUAUAGAGGAAACUAGACUGGAAAGGAAGUAGGAAGAAGCACCUUGCUCGCUUGUGAUUGCUAAUCUCCCAACAGUUCUUGCAAUUUUCGGCAGGUCCUUCGGCCCUAGAUAAAAUGGAUCACGCAAUAGAUAAUUCACCAUAUAAAAGUUUAUGAACUAUAAAAGAUAGGAAACAGUUGGUUCAUCAAUGAUGGAAGAGAAAAAGAAAAGACUAGUAUAACAAAUAUAAUAAGCUACAAAUUUCUGCAACAGUCAUUUCAAAUACCAAAGCCUAUAGCUCAGUAUUUAUGGUCCACCAUGAUAGAUCAUAUUAUUCGAUUCACCCACAUUGCAUGAAAUUCAAUAUAUAAGAACACAUAAAAAAUUGCCAUUCUUUAGAAAUUUAGAUCAAAAAAUUAAUUAAAUUAGAGGGGGUAAGAGGGGAAAGGAGGGAUGCAUACUUGAUGCAACGGAUCUCCUCGAAGAACUGGAGAUCGUAGACCUUGUCGGCGACGACGAAGUGGACAACGCCGGCGAUGUGGUUGCGCUCGACUGAGGUGGUCAACAGCGACGUUGCGCCGGCGCACACAGGGCCGAGAAGAUCGAGGGCCGAGAAGAUCGGGGCGAAUGCGAGGGCGAUUUGGGACUGGGAUCGAAGCUUGGAGAGGACGCGAAGGAAGAUGGAGAAGAGGAUGAGUAGAGGUGAAGGAGAGAGCUCGAGCUCGAGCUCGAGCUCGCGCGAAGGGGGAGAGCUCGAGCUCGGAGAGGAGGGGGUGAGGGAGAGAAGGGGUCGACGCAGGGAACGGGUGCGGGGGAGUGGGAUCGUGUUGGGUUCGGGUGAGGGUGAGGGUGAAGGUUAGGGUUAGGGUUGUAUUAGGGCUUAAAAUAAAUAUAUUUAAUAAUAUUAGCCGGUAAAGAUAUUUAGUUUAAAAUAAUUGCCGCUAAAGUAUAAUUAAAUAAUAAGUAAUAGUGGUUGUUCAAUAAUCGCCACUAUUAAAUUGUCGCUAAAAGGCAAUUUUCUUAUAGUGUAAGUUUAGCUUCAUGUCGAUCUUAAUAUGCAUUUAAAUGCUAAGUCUCAUUUACCUUGUCUAUAACAAGUAUACAUCAAUAUGCAACUAAUUGCUACAUCUCAUUUAUUCCACAAUCCAAUUAGGGUUCACAAGAUAGGUCCCUAUUCAUCUCUAACAUGCUUUCUAUCAAGCAUACAUAUGUCAUGUAGAAUGCAAGUUCACAUUGUACCUCUACUAUAUAGAGUAUAAAUUUCUACAUACAACACAUAUGUAUUAUGUACUCUAAAAUUCUAUCAUGUCCUAAUAAACAUGAAUAUACGUCCAUCUAAGUCUUAUAACCAGAGGGAAGACAUAAAGUGAGUUCACCCAUUUCAGUGAGAUCAAACCCACCGGAUACUCUUCGAACCCUUUCGUUCCUUCGAACGAAAUUGUCCACGAAGCUUCUAGCACCCUACAAGAAUUUCUAAGAGGAUUACAAGUUUCGAACGAACAUCACACAAAAUUCACCAAAAAUCAUAUGAAAAGGAGGUGAAAUUACCUUUGACCAAGCAAAACUUGUCCAAAGCACAAAUCAACCCAAUGGAGCUUCAAAUUCAACCUAAAAGAGAGUUCUACACUCAUCAAUUAGGUUCCAAAGUCUUAAAUCAAGAAACCCCAAAAUAAACCCUAAUUCUUCAAAAACUAGGUUUUUAUGUACAAAUCUUGCCAAAAUCACAAAUAGAUGAUGCAAAAUAUAAGUACUAACCUUCAAGAAAGCUCCAAAUCAAGCUAUCUUGAGUUGAUCCACCAAGAAGCUCAUCUCUUCACAUCCAAGCUUCCUUCAAGGUCCACAAGCUCCUCUCUUCACAAAUAAUUUUUCCUUUUAUACCAAGGUUAUGUUUCGUUCCAUGUAAAAAUAGGUGAACAUAAUUUUUCAGUUGAAAAAUAGUUUUCCAAGUGUUUGGUUGGGUGUAAAAAAAUGUUUUGGUGAAACCUAUUUUUACAUAUUUGGAGAAAAUCCUCCAUUUCGUUUUUCACGGGCGAGCGACGGAAAAUGAAAAAGGCAAAGGAAAAAGCACUACGUUUGGCGCGGAGAGAAGCAACGGGCGCGCGCGGUCCACAAGGCCACUUCAGCCUCGUGGAUCGCAUGAGAGGGAGGUCCACAGUGGACCUUCCUCUCAUUAUAUAUAUAUAUAGAGAGUCCAGCUGCUAUACUAUCGGUAGCACGGGGCCUCCCGUGCUACCAAGUUGUUUUCGAUGAUGCGGUUUUCAAAUCGACGAUCAACUCCGUUAGACUUGAUCUACACUAUUAAAAGUAUUUUUAGAAACUAAAUUUCAUAAUUUUUUGACAUCAUUUGACUAGUGAUCAAAAGAUCUCAAAAUUGACCAUUUUAACGGCUGAUGUGGCGUGUUUGUGAGUUUAACAGUGUAAAACAAUCCAAAUCCGAUAAAAAUUUUAUAGAAAAUUCUUUUCACUGUUUAGAGUAAGAUUAGUAUAUCUGAUCUUGAAUUUAAAUCUUUUAUCAUCAUUUUUUAUGAGAUUUUUAUUUUCAGCCGUUCAAUUUUAGACUAUUUGUUUGAUAGGUAAAUAAUAUCAAAAAAUUAUGAAAUUUAGUUUCCAAAUACUUUUAAUAGUGUAGAUCAAGUCUAACGGAGCCAAUCGUCUAUUUGGAAGUCGCAUCAUCGAAAACAACUUGGUAGCACGGGAGGCCCCAUGCUACCGAUAGUAUAGUAGCCGGACUCUCUCUCUCUCUCUCUCUCUCUCUCUCUCUAUAUAUAUAUAUAUAUAUAUAUAUAUUGAUAUAUAGGCUGGGACUACUAUACUCUUGUGAGUAUAGACCUCUUUAUAUUCAUAAAUUUUUAACUGUUGAUUGAUGGGAUGUGUGGUUAGGAUGACGGUGGUUCUCACUUAGAAUGAUAGUGGUCCCCUAGGGUUGAGUGGAUAGUUGGUUGAAUAACAUAAUCUAACGGAUAAAAAUGGCCAAUGAAAUAAAUCUAAGGAUCGAAAAUUUAUGAGUAUAAGAGAGGCAAUACUCAUAAAAGUAUAGUAGCCGCACUAUAUAUAUAAAUAUAUAUAUAUAUAUUAGCGUGUGGGUGUCAACAACGAUCCAUUGGCACUUAUGAUAGAAUAGGUACAUUUAACACAAUCGUGGGAAUUUGAAUAAUAACACACUGUUAGGUGANNNNNNNNNNNNNNNNNNNNNNNNNNNNNNNNNNNNNNNNNNNNNNNNNNNNNNNNNNNNNNNNNNNNNNNNNNNNNNNNNNNNNNNNNNNNNNNNNNNNNNNNNNNNNNNNNNNNNNNNNNNNNNNNNNNNNNNNNNNNNNNNNNNNNNNNNNNNNNNNNNNNNNNNNNNNNNNNNNNNNNNNNNNNNNNNNNNNNNNNNNNNNNNNNNNNNNNNNNNNNNNNNNNNNNNNNNNNNNNNNNNNNNNNNNNNNNNNNNNNNNNNNNNNNNNNNNNNNNNNNNNNNNNNNNNNNNNNNNNNNNNNNNNNNNNNNNNNNNNNNNNNNNNNNNNNNNNNNNNNNNNNNNNNNNNNNNNNNNNNNNNNNNNNNNNNNNNNAACCACCCAUCAAGUUUGAUUGAUGGUUAGAAAGUUAAGAGCACAAGAACUGCUGUACUCCUAAUAGCAUAGUAGCCCUACUCUCUCUCUCUCUCUCUCUCUCUCUCUCUCUCUCUCUCUCUCUCUCUAUAUAUAUAUAUAUGUAACACACUGGACCUGUGCAAAUUGCAAGGUUCGAGUGUUUGAUAUGGAUUCCGAACUUUUUCACACUUGGUGGAAGGUCGUAGAUGGUAUUCCAACCUAAAAGUUCGAUUUCUUGAAUUUUGACUAAGUCCUGAGAGUAUUCACUCUCGGGGAUCGAUCCCUGGUAGGAGAGACCGGUCCCCCCGGAAUAGUAUUGCGGCAAGACUUGAGGCAACCGGUCCUUGGCAGGGAGAAACCGGUUCCCGAACAUGUGUUUUGCAGGUGGGUCCGAGAGACCGGUCCCAGGUGUGGGGAGACCGGUCCCUCAGCCCGAAAACUGCCCAGUCAAGGUAGUGCACAGGUUGCAUUGUUGAGGGGCCUAAGUGGAUUUUGUUGCUUAUGAGAGCUUAUAGGCCACUUCCUCUCCCUGUCACCCUCAUUUCUCUCCCUCACACUCUCUCUACACUCUAUAGAAAGAGAAGAAGAAGGAGAAGAAGGAGUAGAAGGAGAGCAAGCUUGGAGGCUUUGGAGCAUCUUCCUCUCCCUCGUUUCGCACCUUUGGUGGCUUGGAGCUUGUGAUUGGAGCUUUGUGGAGGAUCAAUCUUCAACCCUUAAGGAUUUUGAGCUUGGUUUGGAGCAUCCUAGAGGUAAGUGGCUAGUUUUCUUCCUCUAGAUCCUAGUUUUGGAGCUUUAAACUAGAUGAAACCCUAUACUUAGAUUUUAGAGUUUACUUUGGGGAUUUUCGAUUUGAGGGCUUUGAGACCCAAUUGAUUGGCUUAGAACCUUUGUUUAGGUUGGAUUUGAAGGACUCUAACUCCCAUUUGGAGAUCGAGAGAGCUUCCUUCACACUUGGUGAGUUUUUCUCCACCAUAGCUUGAGAUGGUUAAUGAUUGAGCCUUGUAUUGUUCAUAAGAUCCGUUUGACUCUUGUUCCUACAUCUUUAGGGUGCUAGGAGACUAGUGGGCAUCUCAAGCUAUGGUGGAGAAAAACUCACCGAGUGUGAAGGAAGCUCAAUCAUUAACCAUCUCAAGCUAUGGUGGAGAAAAACUCACCAAGUGUGAAGGAAGCUCUCUCGAUCUCCAAAUGGGAGUUAGNUCACACUUGUACCUUGGGAUACUUCCAUACCUGAUAUCGUUAUCAUUUGAACCACUGUAAGUUGAUCUCUAAACCAAUCGUAGCUUUCUACCUUAACACUUUGAUCAUAUUUCUUGAUCGAUCUCAUUUCACACUGUCACAAACAGUCAACUUAGGAGAUUUUCCCCCUAGUCUAGUAUGAGUGUAAACAAACCAAGUUCACCCCAGCGAGGGGGAACCUGCUACUCGAGGCCUCAUCAGUAGAAAUGACCUGGUCCUCCAACGCAGAGGGGGUCAACUGUCAGGGCAGCCCACGUCCAACGCAGAGGGGCUAUAAACCCUAUCACAGUCACUCACUAACAAUUGGUUUUCCCAAUUGGUUACUUAACUCAUUUAAGUCAUUUUUCGUACGUACGUAUAAAUGUCAAAAGGAUAUAACGAAAGAAAGUCGAACAUGUCCGUAACAUCAUCAAUGUACAUGUCAACCAAUGAUAGACACAAUGAAAAGAACGGAUGUAUACGGACUUAUCUGGAUCACCCACUCAGCCGCUCCAGCCACCGGCUUGGGUGACCCUUGAAAGAACAUCAAGAGUGUGGUGAUUGGUAUGUCCAAGGUCACGCUCACAACACCGGUACCUAGCGCCGUUCCCGGGGCGUCGAAUCGAUCGAUUGUGGUCUCAAGAUCAUCAAAUGAUAAAACCGAAGUACAUAGUAGAUCAAACUACAUGUCUCUGUACAUUUACUUACAUCUAUUUCGUACAUAUAUUGAUUUACAAAGUCAAUGUUCAAGUCAACACAUUUUAAAUUUAAUGUCACUUAAAGUAACAUAUCAAUCAAAUGAUAGUGAACACAAACAAGGAACGGAAGCACGUUCGGUACAUAUAACUUUACACCAGGACCCUUAAUAAAUAAAGAAAUAUGUACAUCAGCAACAACAACUCGGAACCCGCUUGUCUCCUCCCCGACAAGCAAGCCGCAGACACAUGCCCGGGCCUAGCUGGUUUAACCGCUAUCGCCCUGCACUGUCUAUCUCACCAUAGUCUCGUUCACUAUCACUUUCAGAUCCUACUGGAUCCCCUGAAUCCUUACCUUUGGAUCCUUGGUCCUUGCGCUCACCGCACUUAGAUUACUAUCGCUUUCGGUUUGUUAACCCAAUCAACAAUCGUUCAGAGAUUACAAUUAAUCCCCGACUAGGCUCACAAUAAAUAUACGUUGAUUUUUCUCAAUACAACUUACCGGUGUUGUAUUUCGAUUCCCAACUCAUAUUUACGUGAACUUAACGAAAGCGGACUAACCAAAACAAAAUGAUUACACUUACCAAGCAAAGUCCUCUUUACGGUGGCGCUGCACACUGCUCUAGGUGAGGCCGUAGUGGAAAACUCCACGGUCUCGUCAGACCCAGACUACUCCAAGUCCUCAACGCACGAGUCCACUCGCGCAAUCAUCCCCGAUACGUCUCCGUCCUCCUCUUGUAUUUCUCCAACGUCCUAAACCACAGCGUUGUCCGCUGCUGUCAUCGAAGACCCUCAGUCCUACAUGGAUAGGGCCUAGGCGGUCACCAUCAUGGGGGAGGAGGUCACUAAUAAGGUGGUCACCAGAGACCUGGAAGAUCAAGACUAAGCCGACGCUGUUUCCGGCUCGUGCUCGCUAGGAAUAGUCAUGACUGCCGCAAGUACGCCAAAUUAGGCGGCUACAAACUGCCCUUUCUUCGGCUAGGAACCCAUAACCUCUGCACCAAGUGUAGCUACCUUCGGAACAAACUCCUAUAUAUAUGGGAUCUUUUCCUAUUCCAAGUAAAUCGUCGCGUGACAAAACUCUUCCUACGGGUCUAGACCACCGUUUUCCGGUUCUUUUCGGCUCCAGAUUUGUGAAGUAGCGAAUGGACCCUCCUCAAAUCUCUCUAACAUAAGUACCUCAUGAAGGGUCUAUCGCUGUCUUCUUUCUACUUCCUUCUAAAAUCCUUCAACUCUGUCCCCUUGGCAAGCCAUGCCCUCAUGCUUGCCCUCAAAUGAGUAAACCACUUGACACAUGGUCCGUACCAAGUAUGACUAUCUCUAGCUCGUCUAAUGAAGCUCGCCCCCAAUGCCGGACUUUAUAAAUUCUAUUAAUCACGAGAUUUCAAUUUCAGUAAACUCCUCCAAGACCUAGCUCGCGAAACCCACCUCGCGCCUUUACGCUAACGCGCACUCCUUGCGCUCAGCAAACUAUCUCUUUUCCCUUUCUUCGCCUGAUGAUCACCGCGGCCCCCUGUUAGCUCGAGAUUUGCUGGGGGAGCCAUAGGUGCCGGUGUCGUCUCCAUAGUCCCUGGGGGCCCUACACACUAAACGCCGCCCUUAGUAGUUCGCCAUCGAACAAGUGUUUUCCUACCAUUUAUAAAAUUCACACCUGUCGGCCCUGUGUAAUCAGCACUAACGGGCUCUCCUCGUAGUAGACGAGUCGGAUGUCGAAGUCAAGUCAGCGGACGCUCCGUCGCACGCCCAAGGGGUGGGCGAUACAGUCGACCUGUAUGAAAACACGGCGCAGCCAUGCUCGGUGGGGCUGGACGUGGCUCACCAGCACAGAAACGUCGAGUCCACCUCCUAGGACGGCACCAGCUGCUACAGCACCGUCCAUAACAAAAUGAAAUAUCAUGAUCUAGCGCAUAUAAUAACUGUGAUCACGUAACGUAAGUAAGUAAUCAUCGAGUAAACGAUCUUGCGUACUGUAACUCUUCAGCCUACUAUAAGGCUCCCUAACGCAUUGCCAUGACCGCAGUGACAACCCUCCAGCAAUCUACUAGCGGACCAAAACCGCUCAAUUAACUCAACAUGGAGUUUAGCUAACUCCUUUAAACACAAUACAUAAUAUCAGUAUCCGAUUCAACGGAUUGCUCGUGAUCUCCUCACGAUAGAUCGCUCUCUGCGCUAGCACAACCUGUGAACUCAAUCAACAGGCAUCUAACACCUAACACUUAGUCGGACUUCCCACUUAACCGUCAUCGUGAAAUCGUCCCGAUUCACACUUCGCCCGGUACCUAGUGAGAAUCCCGACAACCGAGCGUGAUCCACGAAUUCUCGGCAAUCUCACCCAUCGAGACAUCUCGUACAGCACGUCCUGCUGCAACCGCCCAUCACGAACCCCUGCUAGGCACGGACCUGGAAAAAACCUGACACCUCGGACCCGGGUAACCCGUCCGCGUCAGUCGACGCUCUCCGUUGCCGGGCCAUGGAUGCCCAUCCCGUCUCUCAAAACCAGUCCUGCCAUCAGGCUCGAACCUGGGCUCAUGCACCUUACGGUGCACAAUCUAGCACUCUAGCUCUUGUGUGUCCCACACAUCGCUGGGUUGGGCUCUUAAACCGCACCAAAUCCCAGAGCCAACGAGGGUCAACCUCGUCCAUACGCUACAGAGUUAACUCUUGAAACGAAGCACUAUUAACCCAAAUGCGAACGCUCGCUCUCCGUAAUACAGCACAGUGCCAACUCAAUCCGUUAGCCGGAUAUCGCCUAGCCAUUGAAUACUUGGCUUAACACCAUAACCAAAUGAGCAAGUAUGACUUUCGCUCACAUCACCUGGGUAAGGUCACCGAACACUCUCAUCCCGGCACUUUCGCUUCCGAAUCAGGAUACCUACUUAAUUAGUCUGAACGAUGCUAUUCGUAGCUAUUGCUCGCCUCUUACCUUUGCGCUUGUUUCACAAACAUCUCUGACUACACCUUUUUAGUCAUAUCAUACCUUACUUUAACUCUUUGAAACCUUAUCGUAAACCUUUCAAUAGAGGUAGGCAAUUCGUUAUUCCCCAUGAUACCUAGAUUCAAAGCGCCUGCUUUGAAAACAAUUGCCCUCCUCUUACAUUGUAUGCCUUUGAACCUCAGCGCUACAGUUGAAACUGCUAAGUUCACAUUUUCUCAACAUUGAUAAACAUUCACAUAUUCAAAUAUCACUUUCAUAAUAUCACUACCCUGUGAUGCAUGAAUACAAGUAAUAUGCUCAAUGGAAAACCAUAGACAUAAAAGGUGAUUCAAAGACUUCGGAUAGCACCACCCACCUGUAGUGGUGUCAAUCAACUAGAAUCCACGUCUCGGAAAGCGUCGACGACUAUCUCUCGCGACUCCGUGCAAAUAGAAGUAGAACGGUCUCUACCGUAAUUAGCGCGUCGCCGACCUGUCGGAAAGUCAAUUUAGACUCUUGGGCAUGUUUACUUUUCACUUAUAAAGGAUUAGAAAAGAUUAAACUAGAGUCAUUACUCAUAUUUUACAAGUUAGCAUUUCAAUGCUAUAUAAAGCGGCAACUAUAGCCGAAAACCUUCUUUUGGCGAUAUCUUUGCGUAGGUUCGUCGGAUUGCCGAACCGACUUCGCCAACGCGUUUCUUUUACCCUCAAUUUGGUUUACACGCGGUCAAUUUCGCAUUAGGACUUUUAUUUUGCAAAAGUGCAUUGCCGGGGUCAGUUUUCUCAAAAACACCCAUUUCAAUGCAAUUUCGCAAAUACGUUAAGUAUUUCAACUCUUUUUAGCCCUAGAAUCUCAAAAACAAGUAGUAAAAUCUGCCCAAAUACUUUGAUCCCAUUUUUCUCUCUUUCAUUUCCUUUCUUUCAUUUUUCUUCUCUUUCUUUCUUUUUUUCUUUUCUUUUCCUUUCUUUUCUUUCUUCCUCUUUUCUUUCUUGCUUGCUGCCCCUGCAGGGCAGCAGCUGCUGCUGCUGACAGCUGCUGCCACUGCUGCUGCUGCUGCUGCUGCUGCUGCUGCUGCUUGCUGAGCUGCUGCUGCUGCUGUUGUGCUGCGCAUGCUGCUGCUGCUGCUGCUGCUGCUGGCAGCAGCUGCUGUUGCUGCUUGCUGCUACUCCAGCUGUUGCUCCAGCAGCUGCUGCUGCUUGUGCUACUGCUGCUGCUGCUACAACUAGCUGCUACUGCUGCUACUACCAGUAGCAGCAGGAAGAUGGUGAGAGGGAGAGAUAACAGGGAGAGAGAGAGAUAACCAAAAAAACUCACCUUUCUUUCUUUUUUUUUCUACUUCUUCUUCUACUUCUUUUUCUUCUUCUCCUCUCCCUUUGCUCUUGCUUUCCCUCUCUCUCUCUAUACGUAUGCUGCAAGAAGAGGUGGCAGGGGAUAAGGAUGGCCCUGGCUGCAGGUUAGUGGAAUUCCACUAAGUCAUGUGCUAAUUACCAAAAUGCCCCUCGACUUAAUUCCGUUUAGUCGCACGGAUUAGAUACCUUUCGUAGGCUCUUCCGACAGUCCGAUUGAGCUCAAAUUUGGCAGGAAUGAUCGUUUUUACUUAACAAGUCCACUGAAAUUUUAACAUUUCAGUUUCGACCCCGUUUGGUCACUGCGAAUUAUCCCGAACUGUAAUCUUUAUCAGAUAACUUCCAGAUGCUAUUUCUCUCUCUACAGGUGUCAGAAAAAUCUGAAACUUCAAAUCUAGCCUCAUAAAAAUGUUCCUGACAUCUCUGCCAAUUUUCAUAAUUUUCUGACACUGUGCAUUUUCUGCUAAUUUUCUCAGUCCCGUUCCUUACAGAAAAUUCUAAAUUUUUCGUUUUCGCUCCGAUUUCACCCAAACACUUCCAAAAUACACCAAGGGACCUUCCCAAGCUACCAAUUUAAUUUGGAAGCAAUUCCUUUUCAUUUUGACAUUAUUUGAGCCGAAUUAAUAAUAGAAUCGGCUCCAAUUUCAUUACAUGGUAGUGAUUUCUCCUUUUUGCACUACCACUUCGCACUGAGCUCGUCAAAACCCUUUGAAAACACACCCUUGGCUUUUCCAAAACUUCAUAAUUGAUAUCCUUAGGCCUUACUUUAAUUCUUUUAAUCAAAGUUAGCGUCGGAAUUUCGAAAAUUCUUUUUACUCUCUUUACAUUUCGUUUCGCGCCCAAUUUGCGCCGACACACUUAUUUCUCUUUGGAAGUACAUAAGUGUACUUAUACUUUAUUGAAGUUGAGUCUACAGUUUCCUCUGUAUCUCCCUUAAGUGGGUAAAGCCCUUCCAGGCUGGGUGGAUAGUGGUUCGAGUUAGGUCGGUUUUCCUCAGGGCUUGGGACGAGUUGCCUCGGAGCUGCGACGACCUUUGCUUUGUGCUUUUCGCGUAGUUUUGAUGCCGGCUUUACAGGUUAAAGCCAUGUUAAACGUGAAUCAUGUUUCAUUAUUGAACUUAGGNACAAAACCCAAGUCAAUUAUGGAGUUUUAAUUGGAGAUUUCCGAGAGGUUUUCGUCGACCUCUAUUAGGUUUCCGGGCAGCGUUGGAGCGACGCGUGUUAGUGGUUUUGCCGUAGUAUUGUGAAUAUGUGAUAUAUUAUAUCAGCCUUAGAGUGAAUUAGGCUAAAAUUUGACUUUAAAGUCGAAUGGCAAUCAACUCUGUGGAAGAUUUGGUUGGGGGGUUCCAGUGGUUAAAUUUCGUUUUACUUAGCCUUCGUACGACACUUGUUUGUUCAGGUUUGACGUAUUUCAAUGUGUUAAUUAGGAGCAAACCAAGGCUUUAGCUCAGUUAUCAGUUGAUUAAUGGAACCGAUUCGGAGUUCGGUCGAAAAGGGACCAAAUCUGUCUCCUUAUUAUCGUUUUAUUGAGGAGAAAUCGACGACCUUAACGGGAGAUUGAGUCGACCCUCGUUGUUCUGGUUUUGGUGAAUUUUAGGCUGUGAUUUGAAGGUUAAUCUCCUCCAAAUUCGCUAUAUGGAAAGUUUUCGACGUUGAGUCGAGAAAGACCCCAAUUCUAGGGUCUCUUCAGUUAUUUAUAGGAGGAGGGGUGCAAGAUUUUCGAAAGGAACUCAGAGGCUUGGUCGCUCGUUGCUCACGCCGCGCUUUAGCCGCGUUUUGCUGCUGAGAGUGAACAUCUCUCUCUUUGGGUUCUCUCUCUUUCACCUCUUCCAAGUUUCCGUGAAGAGACUCGAGAUCGUAGUAGGUUUCUGGAGGUCCCCAGCACGACCCAUCUAUUCCUAUCUCUGUUCUACACUUUAAUGGUUUUAUUGGAACGACGGUGCAAAGACGAUCAGACAUGGCCAUGUUCCACUACCGACAUGGCCAUGUCGUUCGUCUUUUUGUGACUAAAGCGGUCUAGUAACGUGAAAGAACGAAAAUUGGGAGGUUAGUGAGAGUUUGAACAGGUUUUUGAACAGGUUUGAGAAAUCUUAUACAUCCCAUCAAAGUAAAUGGUAAAAGGUGUAAGCUUGAAGCAUUAACUGGUUUAAGCUUCGCAACGUUAACUAUUACGUAAAUGCUACGUUAUAAGGUUAAGGUCAAUGAAAGAGUGAAGUCAUUGAACAGUUUUGGAAAGAUUCCAGGUAGUUUGCAGCAUCUAGUCAAGGUUAUCGGUAAGGUUGGGAACUUGAACAGUUAUCCGGGUCUAAGUCAUAUAAUGUGCUUGGGGAGGUGCUUGGCGGCCAUCAUCGGGCGUACAGUGCAGGGCGCUAGCGGUUAAACCAGCUAGGUCCGGGCGUGUGUCUGCGGCUUGCUUGUCGUGGAGGAGACAAGCGGGUUCCGAGUUGUUGUUGCUCAUGUACAUAUUUCUUUAUUUAUUAAAGGUCCUAGUGUAAAGUUAUAUAUACCGAACGUGCUUCCGUUCGUUGUUUGUGUUCACUAUCAUUUGAUUGACAUGUUACUUUAAGUGACAUUAAAUUUUGAAAUGUAUCGGCUUGACAUAUUGACUUUGUAAAUCAAUAAAUGUGCGAAAUAUUAUGUAAGUAAAUGAACAGAGACAUGUAGUUUUAUCUACUAUGUACUUGAGUUUUACCAUUGACGAUUUUGAGACCACAGUCGAUCGAUUUGACGUCCCGGGAACGGAGCUAGGAGUCGAUGUUGUGAACAUUGUCUACCUUUGAACCUCAACGCUACAGUUGAAACUGGAUCUCCCAGUUUCACUCCUAACUCGAUCAACCUGUAGUAGGGGCUCCCUAAACACUACACAACCUUACUCNCAUCGGAGCUUACGAAGAGUCGCAAGAGUUGUGGCGGGUCUGACUUCAUGAAAUCGGGGCGAAAUGGCCCCUAUGUAUUCUAUACUUGUCGUAACGUCAAUUUGAUUGCAUAUUCAUGUUAAGUGGGAUUUAUGUAAAUUUUAGAACACUUAAAAUGCAUACCUUAUGUAUUAUGAAAUUUUCACUCUAUGUAGUAGGGUAUUCUGGGUUUUUAGCAUGCAUAUAAGCAGUGGUUCUUUUGCGAGUUGGGUACUUGUCUUGUACGAUGAAAAUGAUUAGAAUUUUACAUUCAUGAACAUAAUUAUCAUGCUUGGACAUAAAGACCAAAAGUGUCAUAAAGGGGCACUUGGACUAGUAAACUAUGCAACUGCUAUUUGAGACUUAGUGAUAGGCCAUUGACAUCUUUUAUAUUCCAUGUUAGAGACAUGAUGACAUAGAGAUAGGCCUAUGAGAGAUGUAACAUAUUCCAUGCUAUUAGACAUGAGGACUUGGUACUUUAGAUGGGUCUUUUGGUUACUUGCCAUUGUGCUCAUUCGCACAUACUUGUGAGAGUCGCUCUCUAUAAGCCGGCACUCCGAAGAUGGCCAUCGCGAUACAUAUUUGUCUUGCGGGAUUGGGCGCCGAAGUGGAUUGCCGUAGGCUAGGGUCAUCUCUAGGGUGGGGAUGUUGACUACCACGGGGCCAUUAGGCUCGGCGCCGGCCAGACAGCCUACGGGUGGGUCUCAGGGCCAGACAGCCUUCGGGCGGGUCUCUUCAGAUUUGACUUAAGCAUUUAUCAUGCCAUGUGGACAUUGACUAGAAUAGUAAACAAUGACAUCCUUACUAUUUAGCUUGUGGACAUCAUACUAGUGAUACUUUGGUACAUUCAUAUUAGUGUAGCCUUUUAUUAUUUGAGCAAAAUCAUACUAAGUAAAGAUAUCUUGUGGAAGCAUUCCUGUUUAUUUACUCGUUGUAUUUAUCGCUCUUACUUAUAUUUGUUUACUGGCCCCUUUUUGUAGCUUUUGGGCCUAGUGGCGCAUUUCAGAGCCUACUGGGAACUAUUAUUUAAUAGUUCUCACGCCCCAUGUUUUAUGGUUUUAUUUCAGAGCCUUCGGCACCGGUGGAGGCACGGGAUCGCGGCAAGGGUGUCGCCUAGCUAGAUAGAGAGGAGCUAUUUUUGAGCUUAGGUGGUUACUCUUUUUUUUGUUGUAUUAGAGAGAGAGAGAGAGAUUUUGAGUACCAUGUAUAGAGAGACCACCUAUGUACUUGUUAGCUUUUGUAUUGGGAUUUCUAUUGUAUUUACUUUGUGGUUUAUUUAGUGAUUUUAGCUCUCUACUCUUCACACUGCUUUAAAUACUAGAUGUUGUAUAAUGCUCUGAUAUCUCUAGAUCUCCUUUAUUUGCUUUAUUUAUCGUUUUGUUUUAGACGCCUUGUAUGUUUUAGACAUAUGGCAGGUCUGGGCACGUGCCGGGCGAGCUUCCGCUGGGUCCCGGGGCGUGACAGAUUAGUUUGGUAUCAGAGCCUAGGGUUGAGUUUUAAUGGACCUAGCAAACCUUAGGCCGGUUGAACUAUAGGGAAUAGGCUCGUGAGAGACGAAGUCUAUUUGACUUGUAAGCGAAAGUAUCGUGAUUGGGUAUUUCGGAUAACUCUAGAAAGUGGAGUUAAAUCGAAGUGUAUAGCUUCUAACUUCGCGGAGGGUUACGUUGACGGCCGACAACGUAACAUCGGGAGUUAGUGGUGAAGCACACUUCCUUACUUUCGCUUGAUUUGGGUAUUAUUUGCUUGAGCGGGGAUGCGGUAGCGUAAGUUACUAACUUACGCUUUUAUGAUGUUGUAGUGACGAUGCCGAUUACACGCUCUCAAUCUGCCGGAGCGGAUAACGCGGCUAACCUGGAGGAGGUCGAGACCUCCGCUACCUCCGGAUCCGGCGAGGUCCGAGAGUUGAGGAGCCAGCUUGCGGCUCUCACCGACUUGGUGAUGCAGCAGGCGGAGACAGCCCGACAGCAAACAGAGGCGGCGCGUCGACAGGAGGCGUGGAUGAAGCACCUGGAGGACCUUCUUCUACAGCAGGCGGCAACUUCCAGGGAGACUCAGGCCCCUACACCGCCAGCACCAGUUGUGUACGUCGCGCCGAGAGCGCCGUCCGCUGCGCCCACUUCUUCGCAUGCGACACCUGUGGCCGCACCCCAGGAGGAGGCUUUGGCGACACCACCUGUCCAGGUGCCCCCGGUUGGAGCAGCUUUCCCUACCUUGGUCGAGGGAGCAGAGCUAGACCGACUCAUGGAGCGCCUCAACGAGUUAAGGAGGUGCAGUCCCCGGAUCUUCGACGGAGAGAAGGUCGACCACUGGAUCGUGGAGAAGUGGUUGAUGCAUAUAGAGAAACUCUUCCGCGACACCUUCGUGGAGGAGAGAGAUCAAGUUUGGCUUGCCACCCACCACUUGGACGGCGAAGCCUAUCGCUGGUGGUUGGAUCUCCACGAGAACCCGAGCACUGACUUGGCGGCUAUAUCUUGGAAGAGGUUUAAGGAGCUUCUAUUGGCACACUAUUUCCCGACCAGCGUCGAGCGGAAGAUGGAGCAGGAUCUGCACAACUUGCGCCAAGGAGAUCGGACUGUAGCCGAGUACGAGCGGGAGUUUUCUCGGCUUCUUCACUGCUUGCCUUUCGUCGUGCGGGACGACGAGGACAAGGCCCGCAUCUUCGAGCGAGGGUUGCGAUCGUCGAUUUUUCGGUUCGUGCAAUCCUCUAACCUCCAAACCUACCAAGAGGUAGUGGAUCGCCUGCUCAUUGUGGAGAACGGUGCGGCAAAUGUCCAGGAGCAGCGAGAGGCCAUGGACAACGGUAAGGCCAAGAGGCCUGCGGCUGAGGGUGCGAGCCAGACGCACUCUAGGAGACCGCCGAAGCAUCCUAGGAGCCAGCAGCGUGGACGCGGCUCAGCGGCGCAGCGAGGAGGUUUUGACCGUCGCCGGCCUUCCCCGUGUGUGAUCUACGGUGGUCCUCACUACCCACCGCAGUGUCCACAACGGGCGAGCAGGUGCUCCAGUGUGGCCAGGAAGGCCACGUCCGUACUGAGUGCCCGAGAGGUUCUUUACCGGCACUGUCGACUGCAUCGGCACCGGCUCUACCAGCCGCUAGCCACAGGACUUCGUCGACACAGUACCAGCUUGGGCGGCCACCCGUCCAACGCCAGAGUGAGGGAUCUCGACAGGCCCCGAGUGGGCAUAUGUAUGCCGCUCAAACUUAGAAGGCGGCAGCAGCCGAGGAUAUAGUUGCAGGUAUCAUUCUACUUGAUGGUAUUAGAGUUCGUGCUUUAUUUGAUUCCGGUGCAUCGCAUUCAUUUAUAGAUCGGCUGUUUGCCAAGUUGCAUGGCAUCCCUUUGGUUUCUUUGUUGCAUCCGGGACACGUUGUAGUACCCGACCAUACUCUGGAUAUUAGAGAGUAUUGCCCUAGUUGCCCUGUUCGGGUAGGAGAUUGAAUCAUGCCUGUAGAUUUGCUAGCUUUGCGCAAGCUUGGAGAUUUCAAUGUGGUCUUGGGUAUGGAUUGGCUAACCAAGUAUUAUGCCACGAUUGAUUGCAAGAAUCGCACGGUUACUUUUAGAGAAUCGGGGCAGACUGAGGUUGUGUUUAGAGGAUGCCGGAGAUCGCUUUUUGCGAUGUCGAUCAGCUCGUCCCGAGCUAGGCAGCUGAUCAGCCGAGGAUGUGUAGCCUACUUGGCUAGUGUUGUGUUGAGGGGCGAGGAUGACACCCCUAGGAUUGAGGAUAUCCCGGUGGUACGGGAGUUUCAGGAUGUGUUUCCAGCUGAGCUAUCGGGUAUGCCACCCGAUAGGGAGAUCGAGUUCGUGGUAGAUCUCGUCCCUAGGACUACUCCAAUCUCGAAGGCACCCUAUAGGAUGGCACCGGCGGAGCUAAAGGAGCUGAGGGCACAGCUACAGGAUCUGUUGGACAAGGGCUUCAUUCGACCGAGCGUCUCGCCGUGGGGAGCGCCAGUUUUGUUCGUCAAGAAAAAGGACGGAUCACUUCGCCUAUGUGUGCACUAUCGUGAACUUAAUAAAGUCACGAUUAAGAAUAAGUAUCUGUUGCCGAGGAUCGACGACUUGUUUGAUCAGCUUCAAGGAUCGUGUGUGUAUUCCAAGAUAGACUUGCAGUCGGGAUACCACCAGUUAAAGAUCAAACCCGAGGAUGUAUCGAAGACGGCUUUUAGAACACAGUAUGGACAUUAUGAGUUCACAGUUAUGCCGUUCGAGUUUACUAAUGCCCCGGCAGCUUUUAUGGAUCUGAUGAACCGUGUUUUCAAGCCUUAUCUAAACAGGUUCGUCAUAGUAUUCAUCGACGACAUUUUGGUCUAUUUCCAAAGUGAUGCGGAUCACGAGGAGCAUUUGAGGCUUGUACUUCAAAUACUUCGGGAAAAGGAGCUUUAUGCGAAGCUGAGAAAGUGUGAAUUUUGGCUUCGAGAGGUAGCCUUCCUUGGACAUUUAAUAUCGGGAUCGGGUACAGUCGUGGAUCCCAAGAAGAUUGAGGCUAUCAAGGAUUGGCCGAGACCGACAAGCGUCACGGAGAUUUGGAGUUUUCUUGGACUGGUCGGUUAUUACCGGAGAUUUGUCGAGGGGUUCGCGAAGCUAUCUACUCCCCUCACGAGGCUCACGCAUAAAGGUGUCAAGUUCAUAUGGAAUGAUGCGUGUAAGAGAAGCUUCCGAGAGUUGAAGCAACGACUGACGACCGCCCCGAUCCUGACCCUACCUGUUGCUGGAGCAGGGUAUGUGGUUUAUAGUGAUGCUUCACUUAGCGAAUUGGGCUGUGUGUUGAUGCAGGAUGGCAAGGUGAUCGCGUAUGGUUCUCGCCAAUUGAAGGAAUAUGAAAAGAACUACCCCACGCAUGAUUUGGAGUUGACGGCCGUAGUCUUCGCAUUGAAGUUAUGGCGCCACUACCUUUAUGGCGAGUGGUGUGAAGUAUACACGGAUCACAACAGCUUGAAAUACCUGUUUACUCAGAAGGAGUUAAACUUGAGGCAGCGCAGAUGACUGGAGCUGCUUAAGGAUUAUGAUCUGAUGAUUAUUUACCACCCGGGCAAGGCUAAUGUGGUGGCGGAUGCGCUAAGUAGGAAAUCAACAAAAAACUUAGCGAUGCAUGUUGUUACUCAACCGCAGUUGAUCGAGCAGAUGAAGCGGUUGGAAUUGGAGGUGGUGACUCCUGACACGCCCUUAAGUUGAUGAUUUUGAUGGUGCAACCUACACUUUUGGAUAGAAUUAAAGAAAUGCAUGCUUCCGAUAUGGAGUUGCAAAGGAUUAAAGGUAAAAUGGUUGAUGGUUGCACCGGCGAUUUCCUUAUGGAUGACCAAGGAUUGAUGCGUUUCCAUUGACGGAUUUGUGUACCGGCAGAUUCGGGAAUUAAAGAGGAUAUUCUUCAAGAAGCGCACCGAGCACCCUGUGCUAUACAUCCGGGAGGCAUCAAGAUGUAUAAGGAUUUAAAGUUGUUUUAUUGGUGGCUCGGGAUGAAAAAGGACGUUGGCGAGUUUGUAGCUCGUUGUCUAACUUGCCAACAAGUAAAGGCUGAGCGCCGAUUACCCGCCAGAAAACUUCAGAGUUUGCCUAUUCCCGUGUGGAAGUGUGAGAGGAUCACCAUGGAUUUUGUGACAGGAUUGCCUCGCUCUCAGGCUGGGCAUGAUGCUAUAUAGGUGAUCGUGGAUAGGUUGACGAAGUCGGCGCACUUCAUACCUAUUCAUACUACUUGGACCGGAGAGAAGCUCGCACAAGUGUACCUUGAUGAGGUUGUGCGACUUUAUGGAGUACCUACAUCGAUCGUAUUGGAUCGAGACACUCGGUUUGUGUCUCAUUUUUGGAGGAGUCUACAGGACGCCCUGGGCACCCGACUAGACUUUAGCAUUGCUUUCCACCCUCAGAGUGAUGGGCAGUCAGAACGCACCAUCCAGACAUUAGAGGAUAUGCUUCGAGCUUGUGUGAUAGACUUCCAGGGAGGAUGGUCACAGUAUCUACCGAUGGCAGAGUUUGCUUAUAACAACAGUUAUCAAGCAAGCAUCAAGAUGGCGCCGUUCGAAGCACUUUAUGGACGGAAGUGUAGAUCGCCACUUCAUUGGAGCGAAGUAGGCAAGAGAUUGGCUUUAGGCCCUGAUGUGCUCCAGGAAGCUGAGGAUAAGGUUCGAAUUGCUCGGGAGCGACUUUUGACGGCAUAGAGUAGACAAAGGAGCUACGCCAUUCGACGACGGCGAGACUUGGAGUUCCAAGUUGGAGACCAUGUUUUUUUUAAGGUCUCGCCGACUAGAGGGAUCAAGAGAUUCGGGAUUCGAGGUAAGUUGAGCCCCCGUUUCAUUGGACCGUAUGAGAUUUUGAAACGUGUAGGUCCGGUAGCGUAUCGACUUGCUCUACCAACGAACCUAUCGGGCGUGCACAACGUCUUUCAUGUAUCGGUCCUUCGGAAGUAUAUCUUCGACCCGACUCAUGUGUUAGAUGUUACACCUGUGGAGUUGCGGGACGACUUGAGCUUCGAGGAGCAACCAGUGAGGAUUUUCUCUCGCGAGGUGUGAAAACUACGAAAUCGGGAUAUUCAGUAUGUGAAGGUUCUUUGGAGCAACCACGGGGAGCGUGAGGCCACGUGGGAGCUUGAGAGCGCGCUGUGGGAGCGCUAUCCCCAUCUUUUUCAAAUGGAGCUUUGAGGUAUGUGUUUGCUUUUGAGUUUCGCAGACGAAACUCCUUUUUAGGAGGGGUGAAUGUAACACACUGGACCUGUGCAAAUUGCGAGGUUCGAGUGUUUGAUAUGGAUUUCGAACUUUUCCAUACUUGGUGGAAGGUCGUAGAUGGUAUUCCGACCUAAAAGUUCGAUUUCUGGAAUUUUGGCUAAGUCCUUAGAGUUUUCACUCUCGGGGAUCGGUCCCUGAUAGGAGAGACCGGUCCCCUCGGAACAGUGUUGCGGUAGGACUUGAGGCAAUCGGUUGUAGCACACUGGACCUUUGCAAAUUGCGAGGUUCGAGUGUUCGAUUGGUAUUCCGAACUUUUCCACACUUGGUGGAAGGUCGUAAAUGGCAUUCCGACCUAAAAGUUCGAUUCCUGGAGUUUUGGCAAUGUCCUAAGAGUUUUCACUCUAGGGGAUCGGUCCCUGAUAGGAGAGACCGGUCCCCUCAGAAUAGUGCUGCGGCAGGACUUGAGGCAACCGUUCCCUGGCGGGUGAGACCGGUCCCCGAGCGCAACUACCCGGGGAGAGACCGGUCCCAUGCGGGGAGAGACCGGUUCCCGAACGUUGAAUUUUUAGGGCAGGCUGAGAGAUCGGUCCCAGGUCGGGGAGACCGGUCUCUCAGUCCGAAAACUGCCCAGACCCGGGCAAUGCACAGGUUGGAUUUUUGAGGGACUUAAGUGGAUUUUGUUGCUUCAAAGGGCCUUAAGGCCAUUUCCUCUCCCUCUUACCCUCAUUUCUCUCCCUCACAUUCUCUCUACACCCUCUAGAAAGAGAAGAAGAAGGAGAAGAAGAAAAAGAAGUUGGAGGAGAGCAAGAUCUUGAGGCUUUGAAGCAUCUUCCUCUCCCUUUGCUUACUAUUGGCGGCUUGGGGCUUGCUAUUGGGGCUUUGUGGAGGAUCAAUCUUCAACCCUAGAAGAUUUGGAGCUUGUUUUGGGGUAUCUAGAGAGGUUAGUACCUUGAUUCUAGCCUUUGAUCCAUGUUUUGGUAGGUUUUACCAUAUGAAACCCUAGAAAUGAGAUUUAGGGUUUAUUUCGGAAAUUUUUGAUUUGAGGGCUUGGAGACCCAAUUGAUUGGCUUAGAAUCUUUAUUUAGGUUGGAUUUGAAGAACUCUAACUCCCAUUUGGAGCUUGAGAGAGGAUCUCUUCACUUGAGGUGAGUUUUUCCCUACCUUAGCCUAUGUUGCUUAUUGUUUGAGCUUAGGGUUGAUCGUAAGAUUCGUUUAACCCUUGUUCCUACAUUUUUAGGGUGCUAGGAGACUAGCGGACACCUUCGUCGGAGUAAACGAAGGAGAGCAAGAGUUGUGGUGGGUUUGGCUUCAUGAAAACAGGGCGAAAUGACCUCCAUGCUUUCUAUACUCGUCAUAAAGUCAUUUUAAAUGCAAAUCUAUACUAAAUGAAAUUUAUGUGAAUUUUAGAACACUUAAAAUUCAUAUGUUAUGUGUAAGAAAAUUUUCACUCUAUAUAGUAAAGCAUUCUGGGUAUUGUUACAUGCAUUGGAGUAGUAUUCGCACUAGCCGUUUGGAAACAUGCCUCAUAUGUUUAAAGUGGCUCAAUUAUGCAUUUAUGAACAUUUGGUUUAAGCUUGGACUUAGUAGAUGAAAGUGUCAUAAAGGGGCACUUAGACUAGCACACUAUGAGACUAUUGUAUUGAGACUUAGUGAUAGGCCAUGGACAUCUACUACUUUCCAUGUUUUAGACAUGAUGAUAUAGAGAUAGGCCUAUGAGAGAGUUGUGACAUAUUCCAUGUGGUUAGACAUGAGGACUUAGUACUUGAGACGGAUCUUUUGUUACUUGCCAUUGUGCUCAUUCGCACAUGCUUGUGAGGGUCGCUCCUUACAAGCCGGCACUCCGGAGAUGGCCAUCGCGAUACAUAUUCGCCGUGCGGGAUUGGGCGCCGAAGUGGAUUGCUAUGGAAAAGGCUCAUUCCUAGAAUGGGGAUAUUGACUACCACGGGGCCAUUAGGCUCGGCACCGGCCAGACAGCCUACGGGUGGGUCUCAGAGCCAGACAGCUUUCGGGCGGGUCUCUUCAGAAUUGAUUUUGAGCAUUCAUCAUGCCAUGUGGAUAUUGAUUAGAAUAGUAAACAAUGACAUCUUUGCUAUUUGACUUAUGGACAUCAUACUAGCGAUGCUUGGGUAUAUUCAUAUGAGAAUAGCUUUUCUUAUUUAUACUAAAUCAUGCUAAGUAGAGAUAUCAUGUGAUAGCAAAUAUUUAUACUUAUUUACUUGUCGUACAUAUCGUUUUUGUUUAUACCUGCUUACUGACCCCUUUUUAGUUUGGGCCUAGUGGUGCAUUUCACUGAAGCUAGUAAUUGCCCACUUGGAACUAUUAUUCAAUAGUUCUCACGCCCCCUAUUUUAUGGUUUUAUUUCAGAGCCUUCGGCACUGGCGGAGGCACGGGAUCGCGGCAAGGGAGUCGCAUAGCUAGAUAGCAGAGCUUACUGUUGCUCCUAGGUGGUCACUCUCUUCUUUUUGGUUUUUGUGAGAGAGAGAGUUUUGAGUACCAUGUAUAGAGAGACCACCUAUAUACUUGUUUAGCUUUUGCAUGGGGAUUCCUAUUGUAUUCACUUGAUGUUUUUACUUAGUGGACUUACUUUUAUGUUCUCUUCUCUUAUUGUAGCUUCUAGAUAUAUUUCUAGUUUUGGAGCUUUAAACUAGAUGAAACCCUAUAUUUGGAUUUUAGAAUUUAUUUUGGAAAUUUUUGAUUUGAGGGCUUUGAGACCCAAUUGAUUGGCUUAGAACCUUUGUUUGGGUUGGAUUUGAAGGACUCUAACUCUUAUUUGGAGAUCGAGAGAGCUUCCUUCACACUUGGUGAGUUUUUCUCCACCAUAGCUUGAGAUGGUUAAUGAUUGAGCCUUGUAUUAUUCGUAAGGUUCGUUUGACUCUUGUUCCUACAUCUUUAGGGUGCUAGGAGACUAGUGGGCAUCUUCAUCGGAGCUUACGAAGAGUCGCAAGAGUUGUGGUCGGUUUGACUUCAUGAAAUCGGGGCGAAAUGGCCCCUAUGUAUUCUAUACUUGUCGUAACGUCAAUUUGAUUGCAUAUUCAUGUUAAAUGGGAUUUAUGUAAAUUUUAGAACACUUAAAAUGCAUGUCUUAUGUAUCAUGAAAUUUUCACUCUAUGUAGUGGGGUAUUCUGGGUUUUUAGCAUGCAUGUGAGCAGUGGUUCUUUUGCGAGUUGGGUACUUGUCUCGUACGAUGAAAAUGAUUAGAAUUAUGCAUUCAUGAACAUAAUUAUCAUGCUUGGAUAUAGAGACCAAAAGUGUCAUAAAGGGGCACUUGGACUAGCAAACUAUGCAACUGCUAUUUGGGACUUAGUGAUAGGCCAUUGACAUCUUUUAUAUUCCAUGUUAGAGACAUGAUGAUAUAGAGAUAGGCCUAUGAGAGAUGUGACGUAUUCCAUGUUGUUAAACAUGAGGACUUGGUGCUUUAGACGGAUCUUUUGGUUACUUGCCAUUGUGCUCAUUCGCACAUGCUUGUGAGGGUCGCUCCCUACAAGCCGGCACUCCGGAGAUGGCCAUUGCGAUACAUAUUCGCCGUGCGGGAUUGGGCGCUGAAGUGGAUUGAUGUGGGCUAGGAUCAUCCAUAGGGUGGGGAUGUUGACUACCAUGGGGCCAUUAGGCUCGGCACCGGCCAGACAGCUUACCGGUGGGUCUCAGGGCCAGACAGCCUUCGGGCGGGUCUCUUCAGAUUUGACUUGAGCAUUUAUCAUGCCAUGUGGACAUUGACUAGAAUAGUAAACAAUGACAUCCUUACUAUUUAGCUUGUAGACAUCAUACUAGUGAUACUUUGGUACAUUCAUAUUAGUGUAGCCUUUUAUUAUUUGAACAAAAUCAUGCUAAGUAAAGAUAUCUUGUGGAAGCAAGCAUUCUUGUUUAUUUACUCGUUGUAUUUAUCGCUCUUACUUAUAUUUGUUUACUGACCCCUUUUUGUAGCUUUUGGGCCUAGUGGGGCAUUUCACUGAAAUCAGUAAUUGCCUACUGGGAACUAUAAUUUAAUAGUUCUCACGCCCCAUGUUUUAUGGUUUUAUUUCAGAGCCUUCGGCACCGGUGGAGGCACGGGAUCGCGGCAAGGGUGUCGCCUAGCUAGAUAGAGAGGAGCUAUUUUUGAGCUUAGGUAGUUACUCUUUCUUUUGUUGUAUUAGAGAGAGAGAGAUUUUGAGUACCAUGUAUAGAGAGACCACCUAUAUACUUGUUUAGCUUUUGUAUUGGGAUUUCUAUUGUAUUUACUUUGUGGUUUAUUUAAUGAUUUUAGCUCUCUACUCUUCACACUGCUUUAGAUACUAGAUAUUGUAUGAUGCUCUGAUAUCUCUAGACCUCCUUUAUUUUCUUUAUUUAUCGUUUUGUUUUAGACGCCUUAUAUGUUUUAGACAUAUGGCGGGUCUGGCACGUGCCGGGCGGGCUUCCGCUGGGUCCCGGGGCGUGACAAUAUAGAAUUAUGCUACUACUCUAUUAUUAAUAAUACAAAGUCUUUUGUACUAUUUAGUUUUCGGCCGUUGGAUGAAAAGAUGUGUGUUUAGGAUGAUAGUGGUCCCCUAGGGUUUAGUGGGUGGUCGAUUUAAUAGUAUAAUCUAACGUGUGGAAAUGAUCAAAGGGUAGAUCUAACGGUAGAAAACUCAAUAGUUCCAAAAUUAUAUAUAUAUAUAUAUAUAUAUAUAUAUAUAUAUAUAUAUAUAUAUAUAUAUAUAUAUAUAUAUAUAUAUAGCUAGUCUCCCAUUAUAUCUAUAGUACAUGGGCUCCAGUACUAUAGUCUCGUUUUCAAUUUUAGGGUAUUCAAAUCAACGAUCAACACCGUUAAAACUCAUCUAGGGUAUUUAAAGUUUUUAUAAAUAAAAUUUUAUAUUUUUUCGACAUAGUUUAUUUUAUGAUCAAACAAUUUCAAAAUUGUCAAUUUUCAAUGGCUACUAUGGCGAGUUUGGAGUUUAACGGUGUAGAAGAAUCUAAAUUUNCGCAUUAUGAAAGUCUAAGAUCUUUUAAAAGCGGUGAAUCAUUCACCGUCUUCUUCAUAAUUUUUUGGAAAAGAGAAAAAAAAUGAGGUUGUUAAAAUUGUAUGUAGAUUAUACGGGAAAUAAAAAAGGAAAAUAAAAAAAGUCAGGUUGUUAGAAUUGUGUGUGGAAUAUUAGAAUUUUUGUUUGAUUGUUAGAAUUGUAUGGAUAGAUUAUUAAAAAUUUAUUGAUUAUUAGGAUUAUAUGGAUAUAUUAUUAGGAUUUUCAAAUAGUUAAGAUUAUAUAUGAUGUUUGAUUAUUACGAUUGUUUGGAUAUAUUAUUAGGGAGUUCGGCUAUGGUGCUUGUAAAAGUACCAAGCACUUGGUGCUUGUAAAUUUUUUACCGUUAGAUCUUUGCCUUUGAUCAUUUUUGCCCGUUAGAUUAUACUAUUCAACCAACCACCGACUCAACCCUAGGGGGUCCACAUCAUCCUAACCGCACAUCCUUUAAUCCAAGGGCCAAAAAUUUACAAGCACCAAUGAUUUGGUACUUUUAAAAGCAUAAGAGCCCAAUUCUUAUUAAUAUAUAUUUAUUAUAAUUUUAAAUAUAUUUAAUCUAUAUAUAAAAAUUAUAAUAAUAAUAUAUAUAGUAUAUUAAUUAUUAUAUAAUAAUAAUAUAAUAUAUAAAUAAAAAUAUAUUAAAUAUAUUUUUAUUUAUUUAUUUUUUUACUUUCAACCAACCAUCAUGAAAAAUUAUUAUUAUUUUUUUUUUUUACAAAACAACACUAAACUACGUAAAAUUUUUUUUUCACCGAAAUUUUUUUUUCCACAAUUUUAGAUGGAAUCAAAUACACAACGUCUGAAAAAAAAAAAUUUCAGUCCAAAAAAUUUUCUUUUAGCUGGUUUUACGGGGAACCAAACACCCGCUUAUCCGCCCCCAUCUGUACGAAGAAGAUCGAAGGUUUGAAUCCAUCCACGUCCGCCGGUUAUGAUCGGUUCCUUCCGGGUUAUCCUCCGCCCCCACCAUCCUAACCCGUUCCAUUUCAGAAGUCCAACAAACGAAUAAAAUCCCAUCCGCCCGGAGCUCCUCCCUUAUCUCCCCACCAAGGUCAUCAGCAGCGAGGGGGGCGCCACGGGCCAGAUCGGGAGAGAACGAGAACGAGAACGAGAGCGAGCGAGGGAGCCGCGAGGUAAGAAGAGGCUUUUAAGUGAGCGCUCGAUCCCUACUAUUAUGCCUUCCCCUUUUCCCUCUUCCUCUCCCUUAUUCUUCUUCCCUCUUCUCUUCUCCGCCGUCGGCCGAGAACCCAACAAAGGAAAGCCCUUUUGUUGUAAGCGGCAUAAACGAAACCCUUGGUGUGCAGGAGAGUGAGAGAGUUUUUAGGGAGAGUGCGGAGGGAGAGCUAUAUAGAGAGGGUGCGUUGAGAGAGAGAGAGAGAGAGGUGGAGAGGGCGAUAAACACCAGGAGAUUGGUAGUUCUUUCAGAAUUCUCCCGAGGACGAGGGAUUCAAGGAUUCUACUUUUGUUUCUUUCGUCGAUUUGGCUCUCGAGUCGAAGAUUAUGGCAACAAAGCUCGUGGUUAGUAACCAGCUCUUUGCCCAGUUAACAAUUUUCUCAGUUGUCCUUCGCUGUACUGUCCGUAUCUGCAUUUCAUGUGACUUCUUCUGGGGGAAUCUGGCGUAGGUUCUCGGAAUCCCCUGGGAUGUGGACACCGAAGGACUCAGGGAGUAUAUGAGCAAGUUUGGACCUUUAGAUGAUUGCAUUGUUAUGAAGGUUGAUGACUCCUCUUCCACAACUUCUAUAUUUCCUUUUUUUUUUUAAAUUUUUUUUAUUUUUCCAUAUAGGUUCUGUUUUAUCUAAAUCUUAAAUGGGGUUUCUUUGGCCUUGUUUGCUAUGGUUGCCUUCAUUUUUAUUCUUUCCUUCUUCUUUUCUUUUCUUUUCUUUUCUUUUCUUUUUUUUUUUUUCCCCUUCAAAUACAGACUCCAUGCAAUCGAGUGCCCUGUGCGUGGUUUGUUGGAUUGUUCGCAAUUUAUUCAUAUACAGAUUUGUUUGGCAACCAAAAACAAUAAGCUAUUUUUGUGCAACCCCUUAACAAGGCUGCGUUAUUUUCAGCCUGACUAACAAGGCUGAAAACUUAUUUUAUCUGAGGAAUUAUUUGGUGAUAAGACAUUGCUUUCAUGCAAUACUGUAGAUACAUAGCAAGCAAAUAUUAUUGUACCACGAACAAAUGGAGUUUGAUGCGUAUUAUGAUUCUAUCAGUAUCACUUUUAUAAGCAUGUAAAUUUCUUUUUCUGCAGUGUAAAUUCUGGUUGAUGAGCAAUCUGAUUACAUAUGACCAACUGUAAGGUCAUUGUAAUUUAUUGCCUCCUAUUUCCCCGUUGAGAUUGUAAAGUGUCAUUUGGCAUGUAAUGUUGAGUACCAACUGAUGGUCUAAAAUCCCUAGAUAGCUUGUAGUUGACGAAAUUGCUAGUGUUUUAGUGACGGAGAAAUAUUGUUAGAUUCUAUGGAGAAAACAUAGUGUGCCACAUAUAACUUGUAUAUUCAAUUCAAUUGCCCAGUUCGGAGACUUAUAAAAUGGACCUGAUUAGUUCAAGCAUGCUGACAUAUUUCUGUCUUCUUUAGCUGCUUUGAGUCCUUUACACACUAGCCUUGUAUAUAUCAAAUGUUUAGGCAACUAACUAAUAGAAUGCAACAAUUGACUGUUUAAGGUUGGAGAACAUUUAGACUUUAGGGGUUGUUUAGUUGCAUGUAGUUGCAAUUGUAUUAUAGUUGCUACUGCAUGUAGACCCAAAUAUUGUGUUUGGUUUGCUGCAUUUGAAUACAACUGUUGCAGUUGGAAUUGCACUAGGAGGCUUUAAUGCAACACUUGGAACUGUGCGCAAGUUGGUUGUGGUUCCAACUGUAGUAGUUGACGAGGGUAAUUUUAAACAAAGUGUAAACUUGCCUACCAACGCAUCUUUUAAACAAUAAAAAUCUUUUCUUCUACAUUGGGAGUACUCUCACCAUCCCAUAUUAAAGUGAUAAAAUUUGUAAAUACAUUUCUCAAUUGGAUGCAAUCAAACAAACAAUUUGUAGCUCACUUUCUAUUGCAUCAUCAACCAAACAAGAUGCAUUUAAUUUCUCAAUUGGAUGCAUAUCCAAAUACACUGCAUUUACAAUUUUGUCUAACCAAACGACCCCUUGGACUAAGAUGAGUUUAUCUUUGGUGUCAUUCUACUUUGGGACUAGACUUGAACAAAUAAUACUUACUAGAAAACUAAAAGUGGAUUAGAUUAGGCGAUGGUAAAUAUGAGGACAUUCUCUUUUUAUCAGUAUUGAUUCAGGAUUAUAUUGAAGAAAGAUGUCAAACUAAAUGAUUUAAAGCUAUAUGUGUAAAAGGAAGCAAAGAUAAGCUGUUAGAUUUGAAUAAUUAUUCUUUUGGAUGCCCAAAAGUCAAGUGCAUAUAUUGCAAUUUUUCUACUUUGAAGAACAUUUUCGUGAAUGAAUUGUUAUAGCUACUUUGUAGUUCCUUUGUGUGAGAAACUUUGUUUCAAUAUAUUGGUUGAUCAGUUCCUUCGUGUUACAUGUGCUAUUUUGAAGACCUAGGCUAGUUUCAGCAUAGUUGAUUUAUCAGUGCCUUGAUUUUACGUGCAUUGUUGGAAAACCUAGGCAGCAUGUAUGGUCUUGAUGUUUCACAGCACUGCUUGUCUUGAUCUUGCACAGUAUUGAUUAUCGAUCUUUUUGUUAGCUCAGAGCUGCAAUACGGGUUUUCCUGUUGUUGUCCUUAAGUUCAUCAUAUUGGUUUAUUUUUGUCCAGUUGACAUGCUAACUGUCAAACUUAUCUGGUCUCAUUUUGCAUGAUUGACUAUAUGAAAUAAUAGGAGCGCUCAACUGGCCGUUCUCGUGGAUUUGGCUAUGUCACUUUCUCAGCAGCAGAUGAUGCAAAGGUAAUUAAAUUGAUUUUAGUAACUUUUUUUUUUUUUUUUUUUUUCCAAAAUAGACUCCUAGAUCUUGACUUUGGGAUGUGAACGUGUAAAAUAUUUAUUCAAAGUUUCUAACAUAAGCACUUUAAUUCUUGGCAUUAAUGUUAAUUUUAUGGUAGCUUGUCUAGAUGACUAGCUGGUACUUAUAGGUUUCGUUUGGCUAGGGUAUAAGUAAGAACUACCUAUUCCAAGGAUAGAUACAAGUUCAGUUAUAAGCAAGAACUAGACCAAUUUUGCGUUUAGAUGAAAAUUGAGUUGUUCCGGGAAUAAGAAAAAUAGCGUUUGGAUAGAUAAGAUGGAAUAAGAAGAAUAGUGGGUAGUUAUAAAUAGAAAAUAAUGAUAUUGCCUCUUAUAUUAUAUUUGAAUUUAAAAUUUAAAAUUUUAUAUUUAAAUUUUUAAAUUUAAAUAUAUAACUUUUAAAUUUCAAAAAUUCAAAAUUAAAAUUUAAAAUUUUAAAUCUUAAAUUCGAAAAUUCAAAGUUCUAAAUUUAAAAUUUAAAAUUUAGGAUUUAAGAUUAAAUCUAAAUUUAAAUAUAUAAAAUAUCAAAUUUUAAAUUUAAAAAUUUAAAAUAUCAAUUUAAAAUUUAAAAUUUAGGAUUUAAGAUUAAAUCUAAAUUUAAAUAUAUAAAAUAUCAAAUUUUAAAUUUAAAAAUUUAAAAUAUCAAUUUAAAAUUUAAAAUUUAGAAUUUAAAAUUAUAAACUUUUAAUUUUAAGAUUACAAAUUAUAAAUUUUUAAAAUUUAAAUUUAAAUUUGAAUUUUUAAAUUUAAAUUUUUUAAAAAAUAAAUAGUGGUGGGAAUAGUUGUUCCCACCCCUAUUCCCACGCAGGCUUAUCCCACCUCUUAACGGGUUAUCCCAAGAUAACUCGUUAAGGGGUGGGAUAGUUAUCCCACCCUUUUUUUUUGUGUUUUGGUAUAGGGGGGAGAGGGGGGGGACCCCUUAUCCCCCAACCAAACACCCUCAUAUGAUCUUAUUGUCUUAAAUUUCAGUAAGUGGGCUCAGUAUUGUAGAAACCUAUAGUUAUUGGUCCAUAUAGAUGCUUCAUUGUCUAGUAUAAUUACUUGUUUGCGGUGAGAGCCCUUAUAAAUAGGUGCGCUUAUUGGUUAGUAGCGAUGUUUAGUGUUUUGUUAAUUUAUUUGCAUUCAAGAAACCAUGUCAUUGGAUAAUUAUGCAAAAGAAACAUUGUUGCUUUUAUAUGGAUUUCUAUUUGAGCUUUGUAUUGCAAGUGCAACCAUAGUUAUGCUCGUUACGUUAGCAAGAUUAUUUCAUUUUUAGGCAUACUUAAAAGUCAAGUUUGUAGAGAUCUAUUUGAUGUUACAUAUUGUCAAGUUAUUGUAGAUGAAAUAAGGGCUUUCUAGAGAUCUAUUUGAUGUUACAUAUUGUUCCCUUCCUUCUUUUUUAAUUAUUGGAUGGUUUAGGAUAUCUCUUUCCUUUGUCUUUGGAUUUUUGAUUUCGGGCUUGUACUUCUCUUCUGUUAGGUGUUUGAUGGCCAAGUUGCAUGUUUGAUAGCUUUUGUUUCCUAGUAGGAAGAUAAGCACGUUCUAGAGGCUUGUUAGUCAAGCUACAUAAUAUGACUUGUCCUUGGUUGAGCCUUUGGUUAUGCAUUCUGUUUCCAUCUUGGACAACAAGAGGGAAACUUUUCUCACCAUUACUCUAUUUGCAUCUAUUUUUUUUGGGCUUUAGGUAAUCUAGAUUUAGUUUAGAGUAACUAGUCUGGGUUUAGAUUGGCCACUAUCCUUCCACUUAUUUGUAAUUUGUUUGCCCAAUCAGCCUGUAUUUGUUAGUAUUUAAUAAACACUGAUACUGUAUCAUAAUCACAACGAACAAAAACCCAACUGACCAGACUUAAUUAAUGGGUAGUUUGGCCAUUCUAAAUUGGGUGAAAUCAGCUGUUUUUAGUGAAUGAAAUAUCAAAUUCCAAGAGAUGAGGAUGCCACAUCACUAAUUUACCCUAAUUUGGGGGCGCCGUUAAAUGAAGUUGAUGGAUAGCUAGAAAAGUAGCUUUUUUUUUAGUAUAUAAAAUGAAAAAUUGAUGUAAGUGGUGACUGAAUUGAUGAUUAUAGUCAUAUAAUUCUGACAAUUAUAUAACUGAUGAAUUGUCUUUGUGUGCUGCCACUCUGGUAAGUAGUUAUCUUUGUUGGAUUGCGUAAUAAUGUAUCUAAGACUCAAUAAGUUGUAAAGAUGGUGUUAUCUGGAUAAGUCCGUAUACUUGCUAUGAAAAAAAAGAAGUAUUGUAAAAUACUCGAUGGAUCUUUGCAUUAAGUAGGGUGAGUAGAAACUUUAUAACGUGCCAAUAUGAUAACAAAGAGAAGAACCACAAAGGUUGAGGCUGAAAAGGUAAGCACGGCGCUGAAAAAGUAAGCAUGACGCGCAGAUGUGAUUUUAUCAAAGAAAUAGUAGUUGCUCUUAAAUUACAGAACUUGAGGAACCAUGAUUGAGAAUGUAAGAGAAUGUAACCUUUAGAUAUCACCUAAUAGAAGCAUACUUACUAUGCUUUGUAAACUUGAUUUUCUCCUGGUGUUUUAGGAAGUUAUAUUCAUUGCUGUCAGGAAAGUAGCAAAUAUCAUAAAAUACAUGAACUAUUGUUAAGAUUUUAAGAAAAAGAGCAAUGUGCCAGUAGACAAACAACAUAAAAAUAGACGGAAAAGCAUAAUAGGAAAAUUUAGCCUGAAAGAAGCUUUUAUCUAGCUGUGCAUACACAUUUUUUUAUUUUUUUUAUUUUACCAUUCUGGAUGAACUAACACCUAAAAGAGAUCUUCAAGUACCAUUAUGUGGCGCUGAUACUUCAUGGUUAUCGGUGCUGCUUAAGAAUCAUUAAUAUUGUGCUAAAGCCUGCAAUAUGCUUGAUGCUUAAGGUCAUUUGGCGCACUUAUGCCUUAUCAAUGUCUUUGCAAUUCAAAGGAGAUGUUUUAAUUUUGAUUCUUGCUUGUUAAGUCCUCCAAAUUUUUUGUAAGAAGGCUUUCAUGGAGGAAAACCUUUUGACUAUCGUGCCCAGCAUGAUGGAGGUCCUAUAGUUAUUAAGCCAACGUCUUCCCUAGCUAAUUCGUGAGUGAUAGUUUGUUUGGAAUUUACUAGAGUGGUUUGACUAAGCAUGAAGUUUUAAAGUGAAGUUGGAUUGGAGAAACUGGCAUAAGAAAGGAAGGUUGUUGUCAGGAAUGCCAGGCGGGUUGAGCUUCCUAGUUUUAUCAUUCCUCUGAUUCAAUUGUAAGGUUUCUUGGGCAGGUUGACUUCCUAGUUUAUUCGAUUCUCCAAUUCUCUUAUAUGGUUUCUUCUUUAAUCCUCACCAAACUCAAGGCAAUGGAUAGAUUUCUUUUUGUUUAUUUAUUUAUUUUCUUUAUAUUAAUAGGGCUUAUAAAGAUUUGCAAAGGAUAGAAAAAAAAUCCAGGGAGCUUUAGGGAUCACUUUUAUAUGUUAUUGUCACAAUGCCUCUGUAAAAAUUGAGGUGGUCUGGUUCCAUAUCAUAAGAAUAUCAUUUAUAUUGCCUUAUUGCGGUUGGUUCUUAUUGCAUGUUGUUUUAUAGUUCAGCUGUGACACAUUUUUACAACUUAUUCAAUAAAUUAUAGUUGCUAACUUGACUUAUACAUUUCUAUGUUCAGUCUAUCAAUUUAUGCUUGAUGCUUGUCAUUUGUGCCCUUUAUACAUUAACUGCUUAAAGCACUUCAAUUCUACUUGCUCUUAUCUAGAAUGCACUUGAGAGCGAGCAUAUUCUUGGAACCAGAACUCUUGAAGUGAAGGUUGCUACACCAAAGGUACAUUAUGCGGAUUUUUUUUUUUUCUUGGCAUUUUAUCUGUUCACGCUCAGCUUAACUAUGCUGCAAAAGAGAUAAGGCAGCUAUAUAUAAUGUUUCAAACUUUCAAUCUUCUGAAUGUGGAUAUAUUCUCCUUUAUAUUUAUCGAAAUUAGGAAGAAAUGAGGGGGCCUGCUAAGAAAGCUACUCGAAUAUUUGUAGCCAGAAUUCCACAAACUGUAGAUGAAUCAAUGUUCCGGAGGUAGGUUAUUCAUAUCUUUUUGUGGUUCGCUGAUUUUGAGUCAUCUACUUGAUAGUAAUUGCGCAAAAUUGAAAAUCCUACAAUUAUUGUGCAAAUCAUUCAACUUAUUGGUUAUUUUUGCAGUUAUUUUGAGUCCUUUGGAGAGCUAACGGAUCUUUACAUGCCAAAGGUAAGAAAACAUAUGUUCAACUUUUCCUAUUAUAACACUUCUACGGCUGACUGUUUCUUUACUUGUUAACACUUCUACGGGUGACCAUUUCUCUACUCGUUAUGUUUGACUCGUUUCACUGAUAAUACCUAACAUUACAAGUCAUAUAACAAAUAAAAAGAAAAAAAAAGUGGGUUUGUGAACUUAUUUUUGUCCUCACUAUUUCUGCUUAAAGUGUUUCAAUGGAUUAAUUUGUGGAGAGACUCUUAAGUAUUAAUUUUUUUUUUAAUUGAUACCCCAUCAACUUCUUAAAAUUUCAACUUUAGUGAUUUCAAUGGAUUAAUUUAGCUCCCCCCCCCCCAAUCAAACACUUAUUCCUUUAAAUUUAAUGACUUUAAUCACUAUUUAGCAAAUAAGGCUGCAAGACUAAUAGCUAAUAGAGUUAUCAAAUUUAUCUAGACCCUUAAGUAGAAUAAGUCAAAUUAAAAAAAAUUCGAAGUUGAGGCAUCAAUGAAUAAAAAAUACAGUUGAGGGGCCUAUUUAAAAGAUGCCUAUAGUUUAUGUGGUCUUAGUACGUUUUCAUCUUACGUUAAGUUAAUAAAACAAUUCAUCUUCUAAAAUUAAGUUAAGAAAACAAUUCAUUUAGGUGGAACCUAAUUGCUCUUUCAUGGUUGGCAAGUCAAUUUGAUGGUCACAUGUUAAUAUUGUAUGGUUCACAUGUUAAUGUUGUAUGGUUCACGUGUUAAAAUUGUAAGUUAAAUAUUUUUUAUCAUCUUUCUAUGCUCAGUUUGGUCUGUUUGGAAUUUUUUCAGAAGUACCAUACUAGUCUUGAGAAGUCCUAACAAUUUUGACUUUGAAAUUCUUUACUUCUCACUGAAACAAAAAGCAUAACCUUAGAUAUGAAAUAUUGAAUCUUUAAUAUACUCUUCUAGGAUUGAGAAACCUCUUCUGGCUUCUUUGAUAAGCUAGAGGCUCACAAAUCUUGGAUUUUCUGAAUGCAUUGCUUUUACCUUUUGAGCUGAAGAGCUCCUGCAUAGCUGUUAUCUCUUACGUUGUAGAGAUUAUGGAUAACUUUUACCUGUUGAGUUGUUGAGUUCGUUGGUAAGCUAGGCCAAUUAGAAAUUGAUGCUGGAUCGUACUGUUUAAGUAAUGCUCAUCAUAUUGCUGUCUUCUGAGUUCUGACCUGCAUAAACUUCAGUAACCAUUGAGCAUGAUAUGUCCAUCAAAUUGUGAUUCAUUAACUUUAUACAUGGUCAAUUGAAAUGUUUCAAACUAGUAAGGCUGAUAGGAUGCCAAAAUAAACUACGAUUUUAGAGCUUUCUUUCCAAUUUUAAGGCUAGUGAUUCAUACUCUCUUUGAUUGAUCUUUAAGAGUUAAGCUGCAAGAGAGCUCAAAAAAUAGUAGCUAAUAUACAUGAUGCAAAUCCAAAUUUUGAAAAAAUCUUCAAAUUGCUUACAAUAAAAUAUAAGAUAAAGAAUGAGAGAUUUAGUGUCACGCCCCGAGACCGCUACCAAUUUGGUUCGGUUCGGGCACGUCGAACAGACGCCGAACGGACAGCACCUCCCCUGUCCGCCCAAGGCUAAACAACCUGAUCAUGUACAAGAAUUUGCCCAGGAAUAGAAAUUCUAUACAUACACAAUUAACGAAGGGCACGACAAGUGCCAACAACUAAGAGCAAGAGUCACAUGUGCAUACAAGUGAACAAAAGAGAGAUCUACUAGCUAUUACAUCACAUUGCAUUCAUUUACCUCGAGUUACAUUUACAUCUUUUCCAAAAUAGAUACAUGUUUACUAGAUCAUCACCAAAAUACAUCAAUAGCUCUCCAAUUCCUCGCCUACAUAAUCCACUCAUAUACAUAGGUGCUGCUAAUGCAAAAGGAAGGCUACUAUACUACUGCUCGGGCGCAAUACCCUUGCCGCGAUCCUCGCACUGCGCGCUUGAAUUAGGCCCUGCAACAAAGUGGGGUGAGAACUAUUGUCCAUAGUUCCUAGUGGGUUCGGCCGCCGACUCCGCCAAUCUCCCCACUAGGUCCGAGUCGGCAAAAGCAGAUAGAUAGGUAGAUAAAUAUGAAAACUGUAAAUGACAUAGCAAGAAAACUACGCUACUAUGCCCAAUUACAAGUAUUAUAUGCAUACAUCAUAUAGUAAGUAGUUCUACUAACAUGCCAAUAUGUCCAAUAAGCAAAUGUUCAAUAAACAGUGCUAUUCUCUUGUUUACUCAAUCCUUGGCGGUCCCUCGGGUUCGCCCACGACUCACCUUGCCAUCCCGUAUGGUAAGGAGACUCACCUCGCUCUCAAACCCGGGAUCGUUUGCGGGACAUCAUCUCUGCCCCUCUCGCGCCAAACUCUGGAGUGCACGACGACUUGUGUGGCGCGACCACCACAAGUAUAAAUAGACUGUGAGUAUGAUCCAAUCCUCUCAACUCGAGGAUACCCUAUUAGUUAGGGCUAGAAAUCACUCGGGAAUCCACCUAUCCUAAUGUCCAUAUACAAGUGUUUAACUACACUAUGUUCUUGCUCAACGAGUCAUCACUAGGGAAUCCACCUAUUCCUAAGUUCACAAUCCACUAGUGUCACUUUACAUUAAGUUAUAUGCCACUCGUUCUGUUCAUUUAUCAAUCAUGUGGCACUCAUUAUGUCACUAGGUAACCAUCGAGUCCAUCUCUUUUCCCCGACAUUAUAGGAUUCAAUGUCAAGACCCAAUCCUUAUCUAUCCAUUAUACCAAGCAUUCAAUUCGCACUAUGAUAUCAAUUAGAAAGCAUAAGGAAUGGAAAACAAUGCAAUCCUACAAUGCAACAUGCAAGAGAUGCAAAAAUCAUGGUGUGCUAAGACAUAGAGAGGAAUCCGGUUGUUUCGGGAUGACACCACCCACCUUUUGACGAUGUCAAGACUCUAGGAACGCUUCUCGGCACUUACUACGAUGUCGUCUCGGCCUCCGAGGAGGAAACGAAGCCCAAUCGGUCUUGUUUUGCCGAUAACUUUUCAAUGACCCGACGAAUCGUCAAUCCGUCUUCGCCAACGCGUUUAGACACCUAGCAAUUAGGUUUAGAUGCAAUCAAUUGAGAUCAAACCUCACUAUUAAGCAAAACCCCAAUUUGGAGCCCUAGGUUUGCAUCUAUGCAACAAUGCCCCAACAAAUCUCUAGCUUUAAGCAUUAAAUAUCUAUUAAGCAUGUUAGAGUUCUAAUCAAACCAUUUCUAGAGCAAGAAAUCCAAGCCCUAAGAGUCUACCAUUGUUGAGCUCAAAAGCUUACCUCCAAGCUUGCUCCAAUGGUGAGGAGAGGAAGAAGAAGGUGACCAAAGCCCUUCUCUAGCUUGCUUCUCCUUCUUCUCCACCUUCUUCUCGUUCCUUUCCUUCUUCUCCUUCUUCACUUCAAGAGAGAGGGAGAGAGAGUUUAGAGAGAGAGAGUGUGUGUUGGGUGUGAAAAUGAGAGAGGGAGAGUGAUCUCCCCUCUAUACCCCCAACUAAUGCAACAAUUGCAUAAUAGCCCCUCCACUUUGCUUCUCUCACACUGCCCAGACUGGGCAGUUUUCGUGCUCGGGGAUCGGUCUGUCCCUAAAGGGACCGGUCCCCGAGACCAACUCUUGCGGGCAGAGGCUCUGAGCCAGCUUCUAAGCGUACGGGGACCGGUCCUCGCUUGAGGGACCGGACUUUCAAGGACCGGUCCCCUCUCGAGGGACCGGACCCCGAGAGCAAACAUCGCGCGCAGAGCUUUUCUGCCGCACAUUCAGCUUACGGGGACCGAUCUCUCCCACCAGGGAUCGGUCCCCGAGAGCAAAAUUUGCAAAGUUGCAGAUUUCCAUUCUUUUGCUCUCCGAGGCCCUCGCCAAUGCACUUUUUGACGCCUUCGGCCUUUCCGAAGUAUACCCACUCGACAAUUAGUCGAUUCUGAGCGAAGUCCAACUCUCGGAUUUCGAGAAUUCACUUCCUUACAUUUAGGAAGCUUGGCCAAUCCACGCUUGGAGAAAGAAAGUGGGAAGAAUAAUGGCCAAUUCAGCCCACAGAGAGAGAUCUUUAGAGAGAGAGAGAUCUUUAGAGCGAAAGAUCUUUGAGAGAGAUCUUUGAGAGAUCUUUAGAGAGAGAGAUCUUUGAGAGAGAGAGAGAGUAAUCUCUUAACCAACAACUAUUUGAAAUCUAAAAACUAAUCCCACGAAAUAUAUAGGAUUUACAAUUUCCUAAACCAUCGCGUCCUCGAGAUGUAUACGAUUGUUGGGUCUAAGCAAAUGCUACACCUUCACCAAUUGAUGGUCAAUUCCAACAUUUGUGACAAUCAUUUGUGUUUUCGCAUCAAGAUAUGGUGAUGUAGAUUAGAGAGUAUAUUAGGUAGAGUAAGAAAGAAAACAAGGAGAAAUAGGUAAGACCAAGGAUGAAGUCAGAUGGAAAAACAGUAUACUCUCACACUUAGAAUCUUUUAUAAGCUCUGGUAUCAAUUGAUGCAAUCCAAAGUUUAGAAAGAACUUCAAAUUGCUUAAAAAUAAAAUAGAAUAUAAAGAAGGAGAGAGAGUUAGGAAGCUAGGCCAAUCCAUGCAUAUAGAGAGUAGGGGGAGAAGAAGAAUACCGGUGAAUCCAGGCCAGAGAGAGAAAGAGAGAGAGAGAGAGAGAGAGAGAGAGAGAGGAUAAUUACGUAAAGCCUAAUUUCCAAAAAUUUCAUCCAUUCAUAACUCAAAACUGCGAUAGCUACAAUUGAGCUUAUUUAGAAUAGUGAAACGAAUUCCUUGACAUAAGGAAUUCUACCUAACCUUUUAACAACAAACUGAAAGAACUGAAAGAGGAAUUUAGGUCCAAGAGCCCAACAAAGAACUGAAAGAGGAAUUAAGGUCCAAACUCCAAUUGGACUUUUAAAAUCUUACUAAAUAUUAAAUUGAAAUUCUGCUAUAAAUAUAAAUGAGUAUCCUAUAGAAGAUGGAAACAAACACCAUCAGGUCAUCAUCGUAUGGCUAUUUUGUGAGAAAAUUAGAAAUUUUGAUGGCGAGGGACUGAAGUGCAAUAUUUGUGAAACCUCAGGAAUUGAAGUGUCCAAGUGAAAACUAGAACGCCGUGUCACAGUUUCGGAUAGUAUAGGGAUUGCCAUGCAUUCUAGUAUCUAAUAAUUAAAAAUUUCUUUGUACAGUAAUAGAGUAUAGUCAAAAUGAUAUUAUUUCAAUUUCGAAUAAAUGUUCUGCAUAACUGAAUAUAAUCAAAAUGAUAUUAUUUCAAUUUCGAACGAAUGUUCUGCAUACUGAACCUAGCUCAGGCAAAUGAUCUCCUCUUUUUUGGCAUAUGUAGGAUCAUGACUCUAAGGGGCAUCGUGGAAUUGGGUUUAUUACUUUUGCUAGUUCAGGUAUACGAGCAUGCUGCCUUGUUUACUAUGAAUAUUGCUUUUGGUUUUACUAUUAUGUCCUGGAAUUGGUUUAUUACUUUUGCUAGUUUAGGUAUAUGAGUAUGCUGUCUUGUUAACUAUGAAUAUGGCUGUUGGUUUUACUGUGAUGUAUCUAUUCAUAAGGUACAUAUAGUCAUAAUUCUAUUUAAUUGCUUUUACCAUGAUGUUGUUUUGAAUUGGUAAAGCUAGAAAAAUUGCGUGCCCUUUGUUAUCUAAGAGAACGUAGUUGUUAUAACUAGAUUUUAUGAAGAAUUGAAUACAAAACAUACCACCACCUUACUUUAGUUUGAUAUUUUGAUGGUACAAAAUAGAAAAAUAUAAUGACCUUUAAUAUCAGUAGAACUCAGCGGAAUAGUAUAAAAUGCAAUUAUAAAAAGCUUGUGUCUUUGCAUAUAAUUUCAAGAAAGUCCCUCAUUUUUCAUCUUUUCGUAUAAAUCAUUCAAUUCUAAGUAUUCCUUUACAGAGGUUCUGACCAGGCAUCUUGAUACUUCAGAAUCUAAGACAGCGUUUGCAUGUGGAAUAUAAUGGGCAUAAGGAUAGAUUUCGUUACGAAUGUUCUAAAAUGCGGUAUGCGAAAUUCAUGCGGUUCCCCACCGCAUAGCGCAUAUGUCGUGUAUGCCAGCGCAUUUCCAGACACAUAUAUACUCCAGCUAUCAAAAUAUUAAAAAAUAUUUAUAGGUAUUAAAAAAAAUAAAUUCUUUCUAACAAAGUUAAAUAACUAAAGUAAUAAUUCAGAAUUCACAAAUUGAAAUAAUUAAUUUCAAGACCUCAUAUGCACACAUGUACCACUAAACUAAUAAUUAGUAAUAUACUCUUAAUUAUUAAGUAGAGAAAUAAAUAGAAUUUCAAUGCAACAUUGUAAAAACUGUCAAACAGAAAUCAAUGUUCUACAAUGCAGUAUGCUAAACUUUUAUGAAAAAUAAUAGUUUUUUUUUCAAUAAACUAUCAUUCACAUCAUCUGAUAGGCCAAUAUUUAAAAAGAAUAAAUAAUAACAUCUAAUAACUUCAAAAUUAUCCACUAAUAUUUAUAAACAUAAUUAUUAGAUAUAUUAGGAAUAAUACCUACUAAAAUAAGAAGAUAGAUAGUUAGAUUAUAUUUAUAUAAAGAUAAUUGUGUUUAUAUGCAUCACUAUUAACUAAACUUGUAUGAAAAUAGAUAUGUAUAUGUAUAUUUAUUAAUCAAACAAUCUCAUUCAACAUUGUUUUUUAAUCCCAUCUUAAAAAAAAAAUGCCACAUAUGUGGUCGCCUACCGCAUAUGCGGCUGCAUAUGGGGCGAAUAUGUGGCCGCAUAUAUGGUCGCGGGCUUCAUAUGCGGUGACCGCAUAUUGUAUUGCAUAUUAUAUACGCGGUGUGGUUGUUAGUCCGAAUUGCAUAUGCGGCCACAUACCGCCUUUUGGAACAUGGAUCGUUACUAUUCUUAACAAACACUUUAGAAAAUGGUGAAAUCCCUGCCUAGAAUUAGGUAGCCCAAAAGUGCCCAUGGGCUGCCCAAUUAAUAGGGAUAAUAAUACUGCGGUUAGGAGUGGAACAAUGUUAUCCCUAUGGUUACUGAAGCAUCCAAUAUUCCCAUUCGAACGUAAUAGGGAUAUUUAAUCUAACUACUACACUCUUUUAGAUUUUCAUCCUAUUCCUGGGAUAGGAAUUCUCCAAGCAAAUACUACCUAAGAAUAUUCAUUAACGGUUUUGACUUUUAUCUUGCAACUUUGUCCUCAUAAACUCUAUAUCAUAUUAUUAGAGUUCCAGUCCCCUAGUUGGUUCUGCACGAUCUCGAUGACAAUAAUUUAUCCUUGUAAGUUUCAUAUAUAUAUUAUUAUAAACAGGCUUUUGACAUUUUCUAUAAUUUCAAUAAAGUCCCUAAUUUUUCAUCUUUUCAAAUAUAUCGCUUAAUUCUGAGCUCCCCCCCCCCUUUCCCUAGAAAUCCCAAUGAGCAUCUUUAGUGAGUAUUUGAAGAUCCAAUUAAUGGUUUAAUUUUAUUUUGAACUUAGUCCUUGUGAAAUUUUUAUCAUAUCACUUUACUAGAGUUUAGGUCCCUAGCCGAUAACAUUAUGACAGUACGCUUGAUUCUCUUUCCUAUAGUUUCAUAAGGAGCUUUGUAAAGGUGAAAAGAAAUAGCCAGAUAAGAGUCAAAAUUAUUAAUGGAAUAAUCUGAUAUUAUUUUUGAAGUAUGGACAAUGACUUUUGUGAAAGGAAAAAAAAUAAAAAAUCAAGGGAUUUUUGUUUGCCAGGCAGCAAAAUAUUGGUAAAAGUAUGAAAAUAAAGUUUUGUAUUUCAGAAUCUUUCUUAAUGCACCAAGGCGAGGCAUUAGAAGAUGGUUGUCCAACAAACAACGCUUCCAAAAUGUACUAUGCGAUAUAUCUUUUUGUAUUUCCUUGGUAAGAGUUAAGACUAAUACUAUAUGCAUAUUUCAUAAUAUGUUAGUCCAGUAAGGUAUAUAAGGCACUUUUUGGCAGGUAACACAUAAUAUUUCCUUUGAAUAAAACAUAUCAGUUAGGGAUGCCAUUGACCCCCCAUCUUGUCAAGGAUGGUUUUAGCUGUCAAAAUUGACAAUUUUAAUGGUCGGUAUGGGAUGUGUCCUAGUUAACAGUGUCGAAGAAUUGGAAUCGGUUGAAUUUUUUAUAAAAAUUCUAUUUUGUAACGCCCAGAGCCCAAUUGGAAAGGGUAUUUUCUUGAAAAGCACUAGAUUUUUUUUUUUGUUUAAUCAGAUGCGGCGGAACCUCAUUUCAAAAAGAUCUCAAACUUGGCCUAGGGCGCGACAGAUUCGCCACACGCACGGGAUUUUCUUUGUCCACACGGAUAAAGGCUCCUUUGUACGUGCACGACGUCGGGAUACAAAGCAUACACAGACCUAAACAAAGAUUGUAUACACAUCCUACACUAUUUAUUAUAAUAGCAGGAAGUAACUAAAAUUAAAACUAGAAUCAUACAAUUUUAGUAUCACUACUAAUCAACUAUUAAUUCAACAGAAUAGAUCAACAAUCAGAGAUAACAAGAAUUUAGAAUAAUCAGCAGACAGAAAUAAAUGGGAACUACGAUCCGGUUGAUGUUAGCUAAUCAGCUCUAUCUAGGCGUAAGCCUCACUCAACGUCCUGCAUCUUAUCACCUAAGCCAUCUGUAAAAAUAGGGUGUGAGAAACAUAUCAAAUAUUUUCCAGUUAGUACAACGAGCAGUCAAGGGCAAGCCAUACUUGUCAACACAGAUAAGGAACUACAAUAAGUAAGAGCAUACAUAUAAUGAUCAUAAGAAUCUGGGUAGCUGCAUCAUAAUCUAAUAAUGAACUAAGAACUACUGCAGCUAGAACAGUUAAAGGCAUGAUAUCAAUGUAGUAUGAUCAAACAUAACUGUGGUAGAGCAAUGCCACUAUAAUACAGAUAAAAUCAUGGCAUGUGUCAAGACAAUAAAGUUGACCUACACAAGUGUUGUAAUGUGAGUAAUCACAAGAUGUCUUGGGUCAUUGCUAUAAAUUCAUAAAGCAAAAGUUCACCGAAUUAUCCAAUCAUUGCCCGCUAUCAUAGGAUAUUGGGAGACUCUCUAAUCAAUUGUGAGAUAAUGAUAUACGACUAUGCAUCAACCAACUGGCAGAAUGACAAAUAACCCAAUCAGCACCCAUUGUCAUAGGAUAUUGGGCUGCCUAGUAUCAUAGAAGCUUGGGCAAUCGCACUGUCCGUUUUCAAAGGAUCUUGGGCAAGCGCUAAGCUGUUGGCGCAACCAUAUCUAACUGAUCUAGACUAAUAGGUUGGAUUCUAACCACUUUUCUGAAAAAGAACACCUUUAGCCACUGGAUGGAUUAGACCGCUGCACCAGUGUUCGCAAAAUGCGCAUCAGAUGUCAAAUGCAACAUGAUCAAUCACAAUAGUGUCCAACAUCGGCAGACAACCGAGAAAACUCCUAAAAAGUUUUAAGCGAAUCCCAACAAGGUCUAAUAUCAUAUGUGUCCAAUAUUAUAAGAGGCUCUGCAUCUUAUAUAAUCUAACAAAGCAAUGAAACAUGUAUAUAUAAUCGACAUCUACGAAAUAAUCAAGAUAUAUCAACAUGAGAGGUAAGCAAUAAAUGACAUGCGAGAUAGAAGCAAAUGAAUUGAAUCAUGGUCUAACAAGUUUAGGAAAGGAAAAUCGAUUAAGUGACUAGUGACUACAUUACCAUUUCGGAUCGAAGCACCCACCUAUACCCUAAAGCACUCGAGUCCACGACUCGUCCCAGUCCACGACUCGUCCCAGUCCACGACCACUAAGUAUCACUUGGACCUGACCAACCACAAACAUGUCAAACAGCCCUAACAAGCUAUCGGUCGACAGCAACACGUUUAAAGCGUUGUUUUUGCGAAAGGAUUUCCGAAACCAACACGGGUCACCACACUAACUACCCUCUUGACCAUGCAUCUACACACAGGUGUCAGAAUCCCCUACGGUAUCCCCAAACGCUCCAAUGUAAGUGUUGGGAUAGCCGUACACAUAUAGGCACCGUUUGGCAAGGGGAUAGGGAUAGGGAUAAGCCCUUAUCCCUCCCUUUAUACCCAAACACUAAUUUUUUACCGGAGAACAGUAGUUCUCGGUUACCUAUAAUAACCGGUUAUAACUAUCCCCACCAACACCUCCAUUUUCUAUAUAAAACUACCUAAUAUUUUUCUUAUUCCAUAUUAUCUAUCCAAACGCUAUUUUUCUUAUCCCCGGGAACAACCCAAUUUUCAUCCAAACACUUUUUUUUAUCCCCAUACUUGUACCUAUCUCUGUAAUAGCUAGUUCUUGUUUAUACCCGAACCAAAUGGUACCGUAGUGUGACAACGGAGGCAACGACCACUAAACUAGGUCGUAAUGGAUUCCGACGUACACCAGUUUUGGUAUAGGAACCAAAAAGACAUCACACGCGCUCUCGCUAUUAAUUUUGACCAGCGAGUACCCUUCGGAACAACUCCCACAAAUUUCGAAGCCUACAUGCACAAGCAGUGUCGUCAAAACGACGACUUUUCGCCCCGUUAUGUCCUGAAGUUGUCAUUUUCGACGAAGGAGCAGCAAAGGACCACGAUCAAUCUUGAGGGUCAAUCCUACUCAGAAUUCAACUACAACGGGGUUCUAGCUAGCAACAAGCUCGACCAUGCACAUCUGACCCAACAAUUUAACCAGAAUGUUGGUUCCAACUACUGAUUUUCGUCGAAAAUUAUGUAAAUUCCCAAAAAUAGACAUUUCGGUCCACGAAGAGACUUGAACCACACCAUGCGUCUCAUCAUCUCAUCAGCUAUCUCGAAAUGCACCAAUUUAGGUGCCGGGGAAGCCAGCCGUAUGCAAAGUGCAAUUGAAAGGGAUCUCAAGAUCGGAGAUAGGCCAUUUCGGGUUGUGGAAGUGCUAUUUUCAGCAUCGAUAUCCUUCACGAUUCUUCUACUAUCAUCGGACACAAAACAACGAGGUCGACCCAGCCAAGAAGGCUUGACAAUGUCCAAAGAUAGCUACAAUGAUGUUUACGCGAAUUUCGAACCGAAAUUGCGUAUUAUGAUCAAUUUCGUCGAUUUAAGCGUCUAAAGCCCCAUUCGAGCUUCAAAACGAUUUUCAAACUUAGGAUAAUCAAUCCAAGGGGUCGAACCCAACUAAUUAACACUACCCAAAGCAGCCACAACAUACAAUUGUGCAAAGGACCCUAUACGACCAAAUAAUUAUGCUAUUAGUACUAAAUUUUGAGUUUAGGCUUUUAUCGUCGCUUUGCAAUUUCGAAGCCGACCAACAGCAUUGAAAUGGGCAACGAGGCUCUGGACGUUGUGCUCGUGAUCCAAAGCGUCAACGGCUACAGAUGACGAAGUUGGAACAACAUUUCUUCGGAAUGGGAUGUCCACAGAAUGCACAACCUGCACACAUUCACUGCAACAAUUAGGUCUAACACCAAGGUGAGCAUGGGUAUCGGAGAGGUCAAGAGUGUGGUGCUUCCUUACCGAAGUCAUUGGCGGCGGGGGUGGCUUGAAUAGAAAGGCUUUGCUAGGAGUAGCUUUAGCUGCAGCAAUAGGGAAUAGCAGAAAGUGAUCUUACUCUCCCGUGGCUUUGGGUGGCCAGUGUCGGCCAGGGGAGGUGGAGUUUGGCGGAGGGAAUGCCAGAGAGCUGGUGCCCAGCAGUUGGGAGCGGCGGCGGCGCCGGAUCGAUUAGAUCUAGAUGAAGCUCACUUUCUUGAGCUCUGGCUAGAUUUGGGCUUAGGGAAGCUUUGGGGCUGAUGGGUAGUGCCGGAGAAGGUCGCUGUAGGUCCGUUAGGAUGGCGGCGGUGGCGGCAGUUCGGGGCCGGCAAGGCCGACCAUUAUAGCUUUGGUAGCAAGUUAGGAAAGGGAGGGAGAGAAAAAAUAGGGUUGACUGGAGCUUUGUCGGCUGGAGCAGGGUUGCUAGAGGUCGGCGAUGGUGACGAGGGAGAUGGGUGGUGCCUGGGGAGAGGAGAGGGCAGGAAGGAGAGAAGGGUGAAGAAAACCCUAAUCUCCAUUUAUAUGGUUUUGCAACAAUUGCAGUUUUGUCUCUCUGCUUUUGAGUUUCUCGUUCAAAACUCCUUAGUGUGUGUUAUUUGCACAGUAACACCUUAUAAUAAAAUUUCGUGCAAUUUGGCACAUAAAAUGUUGUGUUUUUUGCAAGAAAACUCUCCAUCAGAUUUGAAGAUCUCAUCUUUAUGUCUGUGCAAUUUUGAACAACAAUUCUUGAAUUUCAUGAAACUUCAUUCUAAACGUCCCUUUGCGAGUCUACUUUUUUAUGAGCCCCUCCACUUGCUUGAACUCCAAGAAUUUUCACAUAAAAUGAUAACCUCUUUGCACGUUACCCUUGUUUCCCAAAUUCCCAUUUUGUAAUAGUUGCACUUUGGCCCUCUCUAGUUCACAGUUUCUUGCUCAAAACUCAUUUACAAGUGUGUUUCGCUCAUAAGUUCUUUCAUCUGUGAAAUCACGCAAUUUGACAUAUGAAAUGUCGGCCUUUUUGAAUAAAAACUUUGUUUUCUAGACUUUGCUCUCGUCAGACUAUAUGUUCGAAACAUCAUUUUAUCUUGCUAAGUUGCUCGAAAGUCUAUUUCAUGACCUUCGGCACUGUCUAAUCUUGAGAGUGGCGAUUUUUGUUUCGUGAAAAAUGUCCAAUUAUCCGAGUCUCCCAUCUUUAUGAAAAUUGUUGUAAAAAUUUCCAGGUCUACAUAUUCGCUAUUCAGAUUAAGAUCAAUAACUCGGAUCUUGAAUUGAACAACCUUAUCCACUUUUUUUAGGAGGUCGUUUGAUUUUGACCAUUCAUUUUAUAGCCGCUUCAUGGAUUCUAUUAUAAUUUCAAAAAAUUAUGAAAUUCAGUUUCAAGUUGCUUCAAAUGCUUUGGAUGCGAAGUGCAAAAAGGCGCAAGACUCUCCUGGAGCGUAGGCGCGAGGCGCACUGCGAGGCGCUCGCCUCAAGAAGGCGAGGCGCACAUUUACUAAGACUAAUUUAAUUUGGUGUUCUACAUCAAAAAAACUCUAAAAUAACCAUACAAAAAUAAAAUAACUACACAUGCAUAUAGGUUCUCAAGUUAAAAGAAAUAUAUUUCAACUUUCAACUUAAAACUUAGAAGUGAUUGUGGUUCCAAUGUUUUCAUUUGGUCAUUCUUCAAGUAUCAUCCUCGUCCUCAUCCUCAUCCUCAUCCUCUUCGCUUGCAUCGCCAUAAUUUUCUUCUUCUUCUUCAGAUUGUUCAUUCCCAAUAUCCUCUUCUUCUUCUGUAUCUUCAAAAUCAACCCAGUCUGGCUCUUCAUCGAUGGAGAAAGACAGUCGAGAUGACGACAACUUAUCCUUUCCUCUUUUAAUUCCCUUUCCUUUUUCUAUUUCCUUUCCUUUUUCAAUUCCUUUUCCUUUUUCAAGGCCUUUCAUUGACAGUGUAAACCGUGUAUGAUGGUUAGGCUCAUUAACCCCAGCAGCUCAAGCAACAUCACCCCAUGUCAAAGUAUCAUCUUCCCAAACUAGUCCUUUCUCAUUAUCGCCCUCUCCAUCACUAUCCAUCACUCCAGUCAACCAUUCAUUGCUAUCAUCAACAUCAUUUUAGUACAAUGGGAUCAAUGGUAUCACGCAAAUUGUACCGACGCAUGAGUGCUCUAUUAUAUUUAACAUAUACCAAAUCAUUCAAGCGUUGUUGCGCAAGCCUAUUUCUUUUUUUGCUAUGAAGCUGGAAAAAAAAAUGAAAUCAAUGAAUAAGCAUAUUAUUUGCAGUAUAAGAUAAUAAAUCAUAUGAACUUAGCCUCCUAUGCAUUCAUUUUACAACUUACGUGUUCAAACACAUUCCAAUUUCGUUCACACCCAGAUGCACUACAAGUGAGACUAAAAAUUCGAACAGCAAAUUUUUGUAAGUUUGGUGUAGAAAAUCCGUAUGAUCUCCACCACUUAGCUGUUGACAUAGAUUCAUAGAAUAAAACAAUAAAUUAAUUAUUAAAUUUUGCUUUUUGUAGUUCUAUAAGAAUUUAGAAAUUAAGAAUUAAGAAAACUAAUAAUAUGCAAGUAAUAGUAUACCUGGCGACUUUGAAUUUCUAUGCCUGAUUGCUUAGUCAUGUCCAAAGAGGCCGGAUGCUCUACGAUAUACGCUUAAUUGGUCACUUAUUUUAUCUUGUUCCUCAAUACUUGGAACCAAUCGUUGCAGCGUCUGGUAUAGCCCCGACAUAACCUCUUCAUCUUGCUCAAUAUUUGGAUUUGAGUAAAAAUACGCGGGAUUCAAAUAAAAAGCAGCAGCAUGCAAUGGGCGAUGGAGUUGACAUUCCCACCUGUUAUCAAUUAUUUUGAAAACUUCAUUAUAUUUAUCCUCCUCAUUGAAUGAUUUUGCAAUGGCUUCCUUUGCUCUAUCCAUGGCCUCAUAGAUGUAUCUCAUUGAAGGUCGCUUCUUACCAUCAACUAAUCUUAGAACACGAACAAGUGGACCGAAAACUUUAAGGAUAUCUAUUAUGUUGGUCCGAAACGUGGGCAUCAGUACUAGGGUAGUAAUUUUUUUGCCCGAUUGUUGUUUUGCCCACUUGCUUUUGGUCCAAUCUUCAGAUGUAAACAUCUUCCUCAAGUUAAGUUUCUGACGGUGUAGGCGUUGAAGGGUGAGAAAAGCAGUGGCAAAUCUUGUUAUGCCAGGCCUAAGCAACUCCCUUUGGCCCGUGAAAUGUCUCAUCAUAUUCACCACACCUGUGCUAUUAUAAAUAUAGCUAUUCAAAGUCACGACUCUUUUUAUGGUUCUUUGUACUUUCGGCAUCUUUCCAAUAUCUUCGAGCAUCAAAGUCACGGCUCUUUUACAUGCAUUAUUUAUUGUGGUUUGCUUUAGUUUUCCCUCCUUUCUUUCUUGAACAACCUUCUCCGUGUCACGAGCGAAAUAUACAUCGAUAGGACCCUUUUGACUACGUUUUUUAGCUACUGACUUACUACUUCCAACACUCCCACUUCUUCGACAUCUUUUUCCAAGAUAUUUAAAUUCUUCAGUAUCAUCUUCAUCUUCCUCAUCACCUAAGCCCUCUACUAAAUCAAAAUCAGCCAUCAAAGGAUUUCUCUCCUUUGCCGCUUCGUUCUUAUCCAUAAACUCUUUAAUUUCCUCGUGGACAUGAGGUGGACAUCUUGGGCAUCCUUUUGCAUUUCGAAAGCCACCAAUAAUAUGUUGUUUGGCUCUAUAAAUGCCUCUUGUUAUUUUUUCACAAAAAUUACAUAUUACAUCAUUUCUAUUGCCGGGAUCCUUUAAACGUGCAUAUUUCCAUGCAGGAUCCUUUUUGUGUCCUUCAUGAUCCAUUCUAUCAAUCUACAAUAAAUCAACAAUGCAACACAUAACAAAUUAACAAUAAAUCAACAAAUAUGCAAUCGAAACAAAAAAUUUACAACAUGGCCACCUGCAUAUAUAUGCUCUAAGCGAGUAAAUUCAUGCUUUGGCGCAAGGAAUUGUUGCAGGAAACAUAAUUAAUGAAUCAUUUUCCGUCACUAUGAAUGAUGUAGGUAUAUACAAUAAUAAUACAAAUUGUUAAGCUGUCACUAAUACAAUUCUAUAAGUUGAAAAUGAUUCAAUAGUAUAUAAGACAAUUCUAUAAGCUGUCAACAUAGCUUAUACAUUUAGAAUCUGUACUAAACAGACCUAGAUGAAAAAAAAAAACUAAAAACAUGUUCAAAAGAAAAGCACUGGAUCAAUAAAAAUGCAAUCAAAAUGAAAAAAUAAAAACAUAUGGAAAAAAAAGACAAAAUCUCACAAAUACCUAACAUCCUGAAAAAGAUAACUAAAAAACAGAUUGAAAAGAAAAAUAUUGGAGUAAAGAGGCAAUACUUACUUGAUUGCUGCCGGUUCUUGCUUGCUUGCUGCCGCUGCUCCUAUUUCUGCUGUCGCUGCAAAUAAAAAACUGAUGCUACUCUUGCUUUCUUGCUACUGCUGCUCCUCCUUGCUUGUUCCUGCUGCCAGGAUGGCUGAGGAUGCUUGCUGGAAGCCCACGGACAGAGAAGGGAUAGGAGAACACGAGAGGGAGCGGAGAGGGCGAUAGAAGGAAAGAUGGCAGUAGAUGGAUUUCAUUAGGGUUUUUUUAGGUUUCUUUUAGGAUCUUUUAAUAAUCUUAUCUGGUUAAAACAUAACAUUUAUAUCCGAAACCCAACAACCCAAUAACAUUAAUCCAAAACCCAAUAACAUUAAAUCUUGCGAGGUGCGCGCCUUAUGUGCGCCUCGCGCCUCGCCUGAGGUGCGCGCCUCCACAAUAGCGCCUCGCCUCGCUAUUGCUGAGGCGCUGAGGCACGCGCCUCGCGCCUAGGUGCUGAGGCGCGCGCCUCAGGCGUGCCUUUUCAAACACUGUUAAUGAUAUAGAUUGUAGAUUCGAAAGUUCUAUCAUUGAAAACAACUUAUGAGUACAAACACUUCAGUACUCAUAAUAGUAUAGUAGCUCUACUCAUAUAUAUAUAUAUAUAUAUAGAGAGAGAGAGAGAGAGAGAGAGAGAGAGAGAGAGAAAGAGGCAAGAAUACUUCUGGAAGUAAGCUAAAUCGUUUACUUCUGUGUUGUUUCCAGCCAAGGGAUAUCUGAAUCGAAAAAUGAUGCUGUUAAAUAUGAUUUACACUAUUUAAACAUUCUAGAAAUCAAAUUUCGUAAUUUUUCGACUUCAUUUACCAAUGCCAAGUGGACCUAAGUUCACUUUAUAUUAGCCACUAAAAUGUCAAUUUCGAGACCAUUUGAAUUCUAGACAAAUGAUCAUAAUUGGGAAGUUUGAAACCUAAGUUCAAAUAACAUAUAUCAUGUUUAGUGGUGCUAAUCGUCAAUUCGGAUAUCCCAUUAUUGCAAACAAUGCAUAAAGAAACUGUCCCGUUUACUUUCAGAAGUAUUCAAGCCUAACUCUCUCUCUAUAUAUAUACAGAGAGGGAGGGAGGGAGGGAGGGAGGGUGGCUAGAAUACUUUUAGAAAAAAAAAUGAGGCCGUUUACUUCUACAUCGUAUUUGCUAAUGGGGCAUCCAAAUUGACAAUCGUCACCGUUAAAUAUGAUCUAGGGCAUUUGGACUAUUUUAGGUUUCAAACUUUAUCAGUUUUUGAUAUCAAUUGCCUAGUUUUCAAGUGGUUCAAAAAUUGACAAUUUUUAAUGGCUGAUAUAAGAAGGAUUUGACACCAUUUGAUCACUAGGAAAAUGAUAUAAUAAAAUCGUGAAAUUAGUUUUUAGGAAGUUUAAAUAGUCUAGAUCAUAUUUAAUUGAGCUUAUCAUUGAUUUAGAUUUCUAAUGUCGGAAAUGAUAUGAAAGUAAAUGACUCUAUUUACUUCUAGAAGUAUUCUAGCUUUAUACUAUUUAUAUAAAUAUAUAUAUAUAUAUAGAGUUUGGCUGGAGUGCUUCUAAUAGCACUGAGCACUUGGUGCUAUCAAUUUUUCCACCGUUAGAUUUACCCUUUUAAUCAUUUUCAUCCGUUAGAUCAUAUUAUUCAACCAACCACCCACACACUCAACCCUAGGGAACCACUAUCAUCCUAACUGCACUUCCCUUUAAGUUUUUAUUAUAAAUUUUUGGAUAAAUGUGAUGCACAAAUUUAUGUUGAUUUGAGAUGACAAUUAAAAUAAUUGUUGUCAGGCCUAUUUUUUAGUGGAAAAAAAUAUUGCAUUCCAUUUGCGGAAACAUAAAAAAUAUUCAUACUUAUUCAAAUUUUUACUACAGUAGAAUUUUCUUCACGUGUUCUAUAAGUGUGUGUUUGGAUUGGGUACAAGAGGGGGGAUAAGAGGGUUAUCCCCCCUUUUGUACCCAAAUACCAAAUGGGUGGGUGGGAACAAGUUGUUCCCACCCAUGUACCCAUACCGGGUAUGGGUGGGAACCAAGGUUUUAAGUGCCCGUCGGCACGGGCCGUAUCCACCGUGCCGUACCGUGCCAACAAGAUACCGGCACGAUACAGACCCCGUGCCAAUGGCACAGUUCAAAACCUUUUAUUUUUUAAAUUAGCAAGCAAUUUUUUCAAUAAAGUUCAAAAGAUGUGAUAAAAAGACAUAAUAAAUAGUUUGAAUAUUUUGUUGCUAAAGAAAAUAAAUAUUUCAUGCUAUUAUGUGUCGGCACGCAAGAAUUUUUUUGACCGGCACGCAUCGGCACGGCUCGGCACACACCGUGCCGUACCGUGCCAGCAAGUUUCCGGCACGACCCCGUGCCACGGCACUUUAAUCCUUGGUGGGAACAACUUGUUCCCACCCAGGUAGAGAGAGAGAGAGAGAGAGAGAGAGAGAGAGAGAGAGAGAACAAGCUUGUUCCCACCCCCCAUGGUAGAGAGAGAGAGAGAUUUUUAUUUUAAAUAUAAAUUUAAAUUUUUAAAAUUUAUAAUCUCAAAAUUUAAAUUUAUAAUUUAAAAUUAAAUUUUAAAGUUUAAAUUUUAAAUUUGAUAUUUUUAGUGUUUAAAUUUUAAAUUUGAUAUUUUAUAUCUUUCAAAUUUAAAUUUGGUCUUAAAUUUAAAAUUUGAUAUUUAAAAUUGACAAUUUUUAAUAGUUGAUGUAUACCGUUUGCAAGUUUAACGGUGUAGAAGUAUUCAAAUUAGAUGAAAUUUUGAUAGAAAAUUCUUUUAUUUACAGCAAGAUCAAUAUCUCUGAUCGAAAAUUUUAAUGCUAUAUCAUCACAUUUUAUAGGAUUUUUAUUUUCAAUUGUUGAUGUUAAAUCAUUUCGAUUGCUAGGUAAAUGAUAUCGGAAAACCGCAAAAAAUAUUUUCUAGAAAAUUCAAAUACGCUAGAUCAAGUCUAAUUGAGCCGAUCGUCGAUUCAGAAAUUCCAUAAUCGAAAACGGUUUAGAAGCACGGAGGUCUCCGUGCUCCUAAGAGCAUCUUAAUUAACUAACUAAAAAUAAAUUAAGUUUGAAAAAUAGAAUGAUUUAAAAAUAAGCCUAUCAAAUAAAUAAGCCUAUCAAAUCAACUUUAACUUUUAAGUUUGGUUCAUAAUUUCAAACAUGAAUCUAUAUUUUAAUUCAAAAUUUGAAAUUAAUUUAAAGUUUUAAAUUUUGGGGCUAUUAACACUGUUUAAAAUUGAAAACAAUUAACUAACUUAGAAAUAAAUCAAGUUUGAAAGAUAGAUUGGUUGAUAAAAAGAUUUAUUCUCCAAUAACUACUUAUAUGCAAAUUAUAGAGUCAAAAUAAACUUCAAAUUUUGAAUUUUGUUCAUAAAUUUAAAUCUGAAUUUAUUAAUUUAAAAUUUUAAAUUAAUUCAAAAUUUUAAAAUUUGGGUACGCAUUAAAAAAAUUUGUAUGUUACGAAACACAUAUGAAAAAUAUUUACAGUAUAACUAAAGUGAAAAUAUAUAAAACUUAUUUGGAGACAAAGUAAAGUUAGAAAAAAUCAAUUGAUAAAUAGACUCAUACCACCAAUAACCAUUUAAAUCUAAAAUAUAGAUUUAAAUUUAAUUAAAUGUAACGUGCAUGGCACGUGCACUAUAACUAGUAUAUGUACACACACACACACACACACACACACAUAUAUAUAUAUAUAUAUAUAUAUAUAGUAGAUAUAUAUAUAGUGUGAAGCUACUAUGCUUUUGGAAGCACGGAGCCUUUCGUGCUAAAAGGUCGUUUUCGAUGUUGCGACUUUUGAAUCGUCGAUCGGCUCCGUUAAACUUGAUCUAGAGUAUUUGAAGUACCUAGAAAAUAAAUUUUAUGAUUUUUCGAUAUCAUUUGCCUAGUGAUCGAAGGGGCUCAAAAUCAAUAAUUUUAAUGGCCGUAGUGAGCCGUUUGCAAGUUUAACGUUAUUUAGAAUAUUCAAAUCCGUGAAAUUUUGAUAGAAAAUUCUUAUACUAUAUAAAACAAGAUCAAUAUCUUUGAUCUAAAAUUUUAAUGUCUAUUAUCACGUUUUAUUAAGAUUUUUAUUUCUUAGCCGUUGUUUUGAACCCUUCGUUCACUAGGCAAAUAAUAUCGAAAAAUCGCAUAAUUUAUUUCUAGGUACUUCAAUACUCUAGAUCAAGUUUAACGGAGCCGAUCGACGAUUCGAAAGUCGCCAACAUGGAAAACGACCUCGGAAGCACAGAAGGCUCCGUGCUUUCCAGAAGCAUAGUAGUCCUCUCUCUCUCUCUCUCUCUCUCUCUCUCUCUCUCUCUCUCUAUAAUAUAUAUAUAUAUAUAGUAUAUAUAGGUCCGGCUACUAUACUAUCAAUAGUAUCAACCGUUGGUACUUUGAGUUUUACCGUUAGAUCUACCCUUUGAUCAUUUCACACUGUUAGAUUAUACUAUUAAACCAACCACCCACUCAACCUAGGGGACACUAUCAAUUUAACUGGGAACAAUUAUCCUAACCGCACAAUCUUUUCAUCAACGGCGCAGAAACUCUAGUCCAAGGGCUUGGUACUAUUGAUAGUAUAGUAGCAUAUAUAUAUAUAUAUAUAUAUAUAUAUAUAUAUAUAUAUAUGUUGAGCUGGAAUGCUAUCAGUAGCAAACGGGCUCCGUUGCCAUCCAUUUGUUUUCGGUGAUGGAGCUUCCGAAUCGACGAUCGACACUGUUGAACAUGAUUUAUAUCAUUUGAAGCAUCUAGAAAUCAAAUUUCGUACUUUUUCGAUAUUGUUCUCUUGUCCAACAAGUGGAUGCAAAAAUGAAUGGCUGAAAAUAAAUAUCCUCUAAAAAGUGAUGAUAGGAGACUUGCAAUCAAGAUCGAGAGUAUAGAUUUUGUUCUAAAUAGUUUAAAGAAUUUUCUUACCAAAAUUCAAUUGAUUUGGAUAUCUUUAUACCGUUAAACGAGAAAACGUCUCACAUCGAUUAUUAAAAUUACAAAUUUUGAAACCCUUUGAUCAUUAGGUCAAUGAUGUCGAAAUGAUUUGAAAUUUGGUUUCUAGAUACUUCAAGUGGUAUAGAUCAUGUUCAACGAUAUCGAUCGUCGAUUUGGAGGCUCCAUUAUCGAAAACAAAUGAGUGGCAACGGAGUCCGUUUGCUACCGAUGGCAUUUCAGCUCAACUCUCUCUCUCUCUAUAUAUAUGUAUGUAUGUAUGUAUGUAUGUAUCUACAAACACACAAAUACGUAUAUGUACAUGCACAUGUGUACAUACAUAUACACAUAUAUACGUAUACGUAAACGUACAUAUACGUGUAUUUGUACAUAAACAUAUACAUAUAUGUACAUGUAUAUAACAAUCCGGCUUGCUAGCAAUAAUAAUUCGUCAAAUCACUAGCUUAAAAUGUUUAAGCCUAGUUAUUAUUAUUAGUGUCUAUGGUUUCUUAUAUAUCCAACCACAACACGGUUCCCAUUUGAUGUGGGACUAUUGGAGUGUUACAGACUCCCCUCGUUUAGGCCUUGACGUCCUCGUCAGUCUAACACACAGUCCAAAAUCAUCUGGCAAUAUGAGGCCCACACAGUUCAAGAUCAUCAGGCAAUGUGAGCCCCCCCUCACACUUUCGGCCGGUGAACUAGCUUCGAUACCAAAUAUAAAAUUCGGCUCGGUAGCAAUAAUAACUCAUUGGGACCAAACUAUUAGCCCAAAAUACUUUUGCCCAGUUAUUAUUAUUAGAGUCUGUGGUUUCUUAUAUACCCGACCACAAUCCCGCUCCCAUUUGAUGUGGGGACUAUUGGGGUGUCACCAUGUAUUAUAUAUGUAUAUGUAUGUAUAAUAUAUACGUAUAUAUAUAGAAUCAGGCUAGAAUACUAACACGAUAGCAUCAAGGCCUCCGUGCUAUCGAGUUGUUUUUGAUGAUGGGACAUCCGAUUCGACGACCGGCUCCGUUAGGCUUGAUCUACACUAUUGAAAGUAUCUAGAAACUAAUUUCAUGAUUUUUUGACAUCAUUUACCCUUAGAACGAGUAGUCUCAAAAUGAACAGUCGAAAAUAAAAAUCUUAUACAGACAAUAAUAGAAAACCUAAAUUUCAGAUUAGAAGUACUGAUCUUGUUUUAAAUAGUGAAACAAAUUUUCUAUCAAAGUUUCACUGGAUUUGGAUUGUUCUACACUGUUAAACUUACAAAUGCAUUACAUUGGCUAUUAAAAUUGUUAAUUUUGAGACCGUUUGAUAACUAAUUAAAGGAUAUCAAAAAAAUAUGAAAAUUUAUUUCAUUUUUCAGGUGCUCUAUGUUAAUCGAGGGAAAUAGUUUUUGGAGUAAAAGUUUUCAGUGGAAAAGGAGUGCUGUGGUUGGGGAAAGAAAUGAAAAAUAUUUUGUUGUUUUUCUUUCAUUAUAUAUUAGAUAAAUAAAUCUAACACAGACUAUAUAUUGUAGAUCCAUGUGGUCCAUGACUUUUCCUCACGAAGUAGUGUACAGACUUCGCUGGACUCGUGCUAAAUUUUUGAUUGGGAUGGAUUCCGCUCUUCUUUAGUAAAAAAUGGAUAGGGCACUUCAACGGGAAAGUAAAAAACUUUCUUAUGCAUUCAAAUUACUUUACAUUACAUUGAAUCAAGAAAGCAUAAAACUAUUUUUUGGUCCAGAAACUCUUUACCACCCUGUUUUAUCACUUUAUGUGUAACCAAAGACACAAAAUUUCACUAACAUAUUCUUACCUUUUGAACCCUUUGAAUGGGUUCAGCACAAACAGAACUUCAAUGUGUGCUCAAAAUGCAAUAUGGAUUAAUCAUUUAAGUUGAUUUACUUGGAUAAGCAUGGCUUGCAUGGCGUUUUCAUUUGAGGAUUUCUCCUAGUGUGUGCUCUCUGCUGCUAGUUGUUAUCACUAUAUAUUAUGACAAAGUGGGAUUGUUUGCCACCGCAUGGCAUCAAGGUGGGUCUAGAAACGUGUUGGGCAAAGCUUGGGCUGGGUGCCUACAGUAACGUGCCAUCGCGAAAAUGUCUAAUCCUCCUAAGUCACGCUGGCAUGCCAGUGGUGUGAUACAUUUUGUAGGCUCGUAGAAUCCUACUUCUAAAAGGGCUACCUUUGUACCACAGUCUCCCUAGACGUUUUUUUAUUAGUAAGUUUGCAUACUAUCGUACAUAAUUUCCAUAAAAUCAACAACAUUGAGAGACUAUUAAGUGUAUUAUCUUCUGAGGAUGCAAAUUGCACAUGAGGGGCAUCAUCCUUGGCCAAGAUGUUUACUUGAUAUUCUUCUUUCAUAAUGUAACGUAAAAGAAACUAAUAAGAAAAUUCCAGGCGAUUUCAUUCUUCUGCCACAUUUCCAUUUCUCCCCUCCAUGCUUCUUUUACUACUCACAGACUCACAGUAUCCUGGUGAGCCAUACCAAUAUGUUUGCUUGUUGGGAGACGUGAUGCUAGUGAUGGAUACCUAGUGUCACGCCCCGAGACCGCUACCAAUUUGGUCCGGUUCGAGCGCGUCGAACAGACGCCGGACGGACAGCACCUCCCCUGUCCGCCCAAGGCUCAAAGGUAAGAUCAUGUACAUAGAAUUGCCCAGGAAUAAUUCAAUACAUACGCGAUCCAACAAGGAGAGAAGCACAAAGAGUGCAAUACAACAAGAGCAAGUAACACAAGUGUACAUACAAGUGCAUAAAGAGAGAUACAUCUAGCUAUUACUUUACAUUCUAUUUUUACAUCUUUGAUAUAUUACAUUUUCAUCUUCNGCUCGAAUUAAUUUCAAGCCAAGCUUGAGCCUAAAUUUAGGCUCGAAAUUAAUUUCAAGCCAAGCUUGAGCUGAGAUAAGCUCGCUCGAGCUCGGCUCGUUUCCACCCCUAUGGAUACCUUCCUAAGCUAGGCAAAGCUUCCAACCACUAUGCUGGGGUUCUAAUGAGCUGUUGGAUAUGCUGUAUACUGCUGCUUGGUUAACCAAAAUCAAUGCUUGAUGAUAAUGUCGUACUCGCAUACAUAUGAAUGUGCUUAGAUAUGCACACCUUGUCAUUCAUUGAAUGUGCAUUGAAACCCAACAUCCCUUUAAUGAGCAGAAAUCAUGCCGCUUAUUGUGCUGCUACACUCCAUGAAGCUGUUGCUAUAAUUCCCAUCUUGCAAGUGAAAUGGUCGGAGCACCGACCACCCCUACUUCCUAAAGCGUGCAUGCACAUUCUGAACAUACAUGCACAUAUUUAUGUAUAAAAGUUUUUUUAUGUAUGUUUAUUAUUAAUGUAAGCAUUCUGUAAGGCCGCUAUAUUCCCUCUAAAUUAAUUUGACUGCAACAAAUCUGGUUGUUUUGUACUUGACAAUCUUUCAAUUACCUUUCUGCUGAUUGGUUACUCUUGUCUCAGUGUGUUCUUAGAAACUGAAAUAUGAUGUGCUUUUUUGCUUGUACAGAAUCUGUUGACACUAUAAUGACAGAAACUCAUGAACUUGGAGGUUCAACUGUAGUUGUUGAUCGCGCUACCCCUAAGGUAGCUCUCAAAUUCUUGCCUAUUCUUUUUAAUGCAUAAUAUUACUGUGUUCUACCUGGUCAAUUAUACUGUUGUUAAUUGGCUGUUUGAAAUUAUCUUAUGUUUAUAAUAGCUGUUGUUAAACGUGUGUAAUAUCAUGAAUGAUUUGCCACCACUGAUCUGGUGAUUUUCUUUGGCUAUCGUUUUGAGUUCAGGAUGAUGACAUGAGGUAUCCGAGCAGAGUAGUUCAGGGUGGAUAUGGUGCCUAUAAUGCUUAUAUAACUGCGGCUACUAGGUAUGCAGCUCUCGGCACGCCUACACUGUAUGACCACCCUGGAUCAGCUUAUGCUAGUAAGCUUAUUACCUUUUGCUCAGGGUUUAUUUUUUUAAGGGAAAAAUCAAUACAUGGGCUUCAUUAAGAUCAACAGCAUUGUAUGGUAAUUUGUUGUUUCUGUUUCUGUGUAGGAGGAGGAGGAUAUUUUGGAAAUUCCCGUGGAUAUGGCAAAAAGAUAUUUGUUGGCAGACUUCCACAGGAAGCAACUGCUGAUGAUCUGAGGCAAUAUUUUGGGAGAUUUGGGCGCAUUUUAGAUGUUUAUGUUCCAAAGGUAUUGUAUUUAAAUUGAGCUAUUGCGAAUUACAUGGGUUACAACUUAGAAUCUCCUAAUAUUGUUGUUCAUUUUACUUUAGGAUCCUAAAAAAACUGGUCAUAGGGGCUUUGGUUUUGUUACUUUUGCGGAGGAUGGUGUGGCAGAUCGUGUGUCGCGUAGAACUCAUGAAAUUCUAGGGCAAGAGGUAUGAAAUUUCUUGAAGGAUGUGAAGUGCAUAAAUAUAUCUUGCUAAAUUUUCUCUUUAUAUAUAUAUUUUUUUUUUCUGCUGUAUAGAAAAGGUAAAUUAUAGCAUGCCAGUGUUGUCAGUCUUCAUUUCUGUAGUGUUUAACUUGUCAGGCAAACAGAAUUUUUACCGCUUAUGCAAAUGAGCAAAUUCCUGCUGAUUUAUGUUUCCUUAAUUUACCUUGUUGUAGCAUGACUUGCUUGUCCAUGUUUAUCUUUUUCCUGUUAGUGUGAGAAGCAAGCAGCCUCAAGAAGGUCAUUUCAGGUUUUCAAUAGUUCAUUUAGUAUUGUAUUGGAGAACAAGCUACAAGGAGCUUAUAGUAGACUGAUUAGUUUAUACAAAUUGAAAGAGUAAAAGAGGCAAAAGACAGUUAAGGGCAAUCAAGAUAGAAGAAGACGGAGUAAAUAACACAUUCUCAUUAUGGAAAUGAAAUAAUCAUCUCUAGUGAAACAUCCGUGUAAACAAACACAAAACUGAAUCCUAAUAGCUCAAUUUCAUUUGACUGGGCACUAUCACCUUGUGACUCUUUUCAGACUAUUUAUGUUAAAAUGGUUUCAGGGAAAACAUAAAUAUAGGUAUCUACCAGGGCGUAAUCAAAUUAAAGGUUGAGGUACACGAGAGUAGUUGUGUAACAUUGGAUGCCUAGGGAUUAGCUAGUGAAGACGNAUAUCCUCUAGGCCCGGCACGGCCCAGGCCUAUGUCGUGCCGGGCCGUGCCGGGCCAUCGGGCCGCGGGAGCAAGGCCCAGCAUGGCCCGAUUUAACUGGCCGGGCUGGGCCGGCACGGCACGCUACAGUACUCGUGCCGUGCCUGGCCCGGCCCACUCUCGUGCCGGGCCGGGCGGGCCGCGGGCCGCCCGGCCCGUUUGACACCCCUAUGCAAGGAGCCUCAAGAAGGUCAUUUCAGGUUUUCAAUAGUUCAUUUAGUAUUGUAUUGGAGAACAAGCUACAAGGAGCUUAUAGUAGACUGAUUAGUUUAUACAAAUUGAAAGAGUAAAAGAGGCAAAGACAGUUAAGGGUAAUCAAGAUAGAAGAAGACGGAGUAAAUAACACAUUCUCAUUAUGGAAAUGAAAUAAUCAUCUCUAGUGAAACAUCCGUGUAAACAAACACAAAACUGAAUCCAAAUAGCUCAAUUUCAUUUGACUGGGCACUAUCACCUUGUGACUCUUUUUAGACUACUUAUGUUAAAAUGGUUUCAGGGAAAACAUAAAUAUAGGUAUCUACCAGGGCGUAAUCAAAUUAAAGGUUGAGGUACACGAGAGUAGUUGUGUAACAUUGGAUGCCUAGGGAUUAGCUAGUGAAGACGUAUACUGUCAUGCCUCGGGACCCUUUUUGUAAGUCUUUUUUGUUGAAAAAUUGAGUUUAGCAGUAGACGAUUUUUUUUUUAAAUUUUUUGAAAUCAGAAGUCUGCCCAGAACAUGUACAGACUCACUACAUGGAUAGUUUUUAUGUCCAAACAAACAGUCUCCUCUAUACAUGCACGGCGUAGGAGUAUGAGAUACAUCAUAUAUAACCAUGCAACCAACCCACAGUACAAGCAUACACAAACUCAAAUCUGUAGCAAGAUGAUGAUAGAAACUCUAGAAUAACCACGACAGGAUAACCAGAAAACAUCACAAAAAACUUGAUCAAGUUUUAAAAAUAUUUUGCCUUUAGAAAAUACAAGUUUCAAAAGCCAUAGUUUCACUAAUUGCAACAGCUAAAACCAAAACCAACAAUGACCCAAAAGCUAAGGUAAGACAACUACAAUUCCAAAUCAAAGUAUUAUAGGAUGAUAUAAACUAAAAAAUCAUAAUAAGGCCACAAUUAUAAGUCUACAACGACAUAAAGUGACAGAAGCGAUAAAUAAUUGAACUAGUAAAGGAUGAUCACAAGUCCACUAAACAGGAGGCUAACUGUCACGCCCCGCAACCGCCAAUUUGGUCGGUUCUGGUACGUCUACAGACGCCGAACAGACAGAACCUCCCCUAUCCGCCCAAGGCUCCACCCACAUGUAUAGCAAUAGCAAUUCAGGCAAAGAGAAUGCGAGUAUACAUGGCUUGCACGAGGGCAAGCAACAACCACCAAACAAGUGAAAGCACUAAUGCUACUCCAUACAACCACACAUGUCAUUUGAUUACAUUAAACCAAAUACAAGUUAAGCACAUAUUACAUUCAUUCCUUUCUUUUCAUACAUAUACAUCACUUAAUACAUCCAACCAAAACAUAUAGAUUUACAACAUUUAUACAUCAUGGUUCAUCAUAUACAAAAGAUGAAUAUACAGGGUAUGACUAUACUCAGGUAGCCGCUAUCUAAGGCGCGAUGCCCUUGCCCCGAUCCUUGACCACCCCGCUCGCGUUAGGAUCUGCAAGGUUAGUGGUGUGAGAACUAAAAGAAGUUCCCAGUGGGUUCGGCCGCCGACCCCGCUGACUCGCCCACUAGGUCUACUCAGGCAUAUGCAAGAAAAGGAUAGAUAGAUGGCAAACCAAACUAAUGCUAUUACAAUGCCUGCAAAGAAACUGGAUCAACAAGUAAUAUGAUCAUAAGUAUGAUGAUAAUGCAUGCAUGCCUUUCCAUUUUCCUUGGCUUUCACCCAAUUAACCUGGCACAUGGUUAACCCCAAAACUCACAACCAAAAUUCCUUUCAUUCGGGGAGAAUACUGCUACAACCCGAGGGAUCGUUUGCUGGGGAGCAUUCCGCUACACACAGUGGUGACAACUCCGGAGCACACCGCUUAAGGGGGAGCUACCGCCCUCAAGCCAAGACCCAAUGUGAGUAUGAUCCAAUCCUCAAUUUUGAGGAUGUAUAGCCAACUUGCUAUUCUUGCCACAAUGCCACAAUGCUCAAAGGUUUUACCUUGUCUAGCAUACCAAAUCCUCGGUGCCAAUCAUGUCCGCUAAUGUCAAUGUCAUCUUUGUUUACUAAUGUCAUAGUCCACUUUCAUGUCAUACAUUCAUAGGGUUCCAAUACACAUGGUCCAAUAUGUCAAUUCAUAUGUUUUCUUGCCUAGAAGCAUACAAAAGAUUCCCAACCAUAAAAACAUGUCAUAUAACCCUAAGAUGCAUGAAUACUACAAUACACAUAUAUAUGUUCAAAGAGGCGACAAAGACAUAAUGAGAAAUUCAGUGAUUUCUAACAGCACCACCCACCUUGUAGGGAUGCCGAGUAGCUACGAUUCAAGUCUCGGAAUUUAUAGCCGCCAAUUUCUCCCAAUUGCGGCAAACGAAGCCAAAAUGGGGAUUUUCCCCAAUAUCUUCGCGCAGACUUGACGGAUUUUCGAACGAGUCCUCCUACGCAUCAGAUUACCCACCAAUUAGGGCUACAAGAGAUCAAAUCUAACCUAGAUCCCAUAGUUUACAAAACCCUAAAACUAACCCUAGGGUUUUCCAUUAUCACAAAAUACCCACAAAACCAUGGAUAUACAUGAACAAACCCACCACCACAGCCUCUAGAUACAUGAACUUGAAGGAAAUAACCAAACCCUAGCAAGCUAUGAGAACUUACCUCAAGUUCCAAGCUUUCUCCAAAAACCCUCUUGCACAAGCUAGCUUCCACCUCAAGCAAGCUUUUUCUCCACCAAAACCCUCUCUUGGCCUCAACCCUAGUGAGAGAAGGAGAGAAAGGGAGAGAGAGUGAAGAGCUUUAGAGAGAGAAGACUGUUUUCUCUUUGGUGUUGGGUGUGAGGAAAUGAGGGUUAAAACACAAAACCCUCACUUAUAAACACUCACACACACACAAUUACAUCCAACCCCCUCCCACACAAGACUCAACCAUCCUACGAAAUUUCGUGUACGGGGUCCGGACCUUGCACAGGGUCCGGACCCGGAGAGCAACUUCAGCACAAAACUAGCUGAAAAUUUUCUAGCUUGCUCUCCCAUGUCCAAACACCCUACACAACUCAUUCCAAGGCAUUCGGAAUGAGUUACGGACCAUUCUAACACAUCCGACUCCGCACUUCGGUCAAUUCGACGGAAGUUCGGUACAACUCGUCGGGGAUUCGAUAUGUUACACUAACUAGGUACUAUCUAAUCACGCCUUCACACAUCUCCCUAAUCCCUACCAUCUGCAACACUUGUAAUAACAAAGGGGAGCGGGCGGGGGGUGCGGGGUAAGAAACAUGUACACAUGUUUUUCAGUGGGUUGUGGGUAUUCCAAGCCGCCGAAAGCAAACCACUUAUUGGUCAACAGAAGAGAAAAAAUAAGAUAAACUACACGGUAACCAACUACAGUAGUAUAAGAGUAAGGAACAUGUAAGACACUAAGUAAUGAAUGUUGCUACUGUAAUCAAACCAGAAUACUAGGUGUCACGCCCCGAGACCGCUACCCAUUUGGUCUGGUUCGGGCACGUCGAACAGACGCCGAACGGACAGCACCUCACCUGUCCGCCCAAGGCUCAAGCACAGGAUCAUGUACAAGAAUUCGCCCAGGAACAAUUCAAUACAUACAUGAUCCAUACAACGACAACAGAAGCACAACAAGAGCAAGUAACACAAGUAUACUUACAAGUGCAAAAAGAGAGAAUUCUAUCUAUUACAUCACAUUCAUCGACAGUUUACAUUUGUUUCAUCCAAAAUAUAGGUACAAGUUCAUUCACAUCUCUCCAAAAUGUAUCUCACAACCUAUACAUCUACUCUCAUAUAUGUAGAUAUCUCUAAUGCAGUAGGAGAGCUACUAGUGCUAGGGCGCUAAGCCCUUACCGCGAUCCUCGCCUGGAGCGCUUAUACUCGGCUCUGCAACAAAGUGCGGUGAGAACUAUUCUCCAUAGUUCUCAGUGGGUUCGGUCGCCGACUCCGCCGAUCUUUCCACUAGGUCCAAGUGGGCACAAGCAGAUAGAUAGAUAGAUAUGCGAAAACAAUAACGACAUAGUAAGAAAGCUAUGCUACUAUGCCCAAAUCAUAUACAAUGUAUGCAUGCACAAUGUGAUAGGUAAUCAACUAACAUGCCACUAUGCCCAAGAAGUAAUGCUAUUUACUUGUUCAUCAAUUCUCUUAGCUUACCCAAUCCUUGGCCAACCCUGAGGUUCGCCCACGACUCACGUGCAUCUCAUGGGUAAGGAGACUCAACUCGCUCAACAAACCCGAGACCGUCUGCGGGACUCCAUAAGGUUAUUCCCGGGACCCCAUAAGGCUAUCCCUCGUGUGACAAACUCCGGAGCGCACGCUUGUGUGGAGCGACCACCACAAGCUCUGAACAGACAGUGAGUAUGAUCCAAUCCUCUCAACUCGAGGAUACCCUAUCCACUAGGGCUAACAGUCACUCGGGAAUCCACCUAUCCCAAUGUCCAUAUGCAAGUGUUUAACUACACUAAGCUCGUGUUCAAUGACUCAUCUCUAGGGAAUCUGCCUAUCCCUAAGUUCAUAUGUCAAGUGUCACUUUGCACUAAGUUAUAUGCCACUCGUUCUGUUGUCAUUGUUAUUUAUAUGCCACUCGUUAUGUCUUUAUCAACCAUCGAGUCCAUCUUUUAUUUCAGCACUAUAGGAUUCAAUGUCUCGACCCAAUCCUUAUCUAUCCACUAUAUCAAGCAUUCCACUCAUACUAUGAUAUCAUCUAGGAAAGUAUAAGGAAAUGGUAAUGCACAUUCUAUCCUACAAUGCAUACAUGAAGAGAUGCAAGAUUACAAUGCACUAAGACAUAAAGAGGAGCCCGGUUGCUUCGGGAUGACACCACCCACCUUCUGGCGUUGUCACGACUCUAGGAAUGCGAUUCGGCGAUUUUACGAUGUCGUCUGGGCCUCCCAGGCGGAAACGAAGCUCGGAAGGUCCUUAUUGCCAAUAACUUUGCACCUGCUCGACGAAUCGUCGAACCGUCUUCGCCAACGCGUUUAAACACCUAGCAAUUAGGUUUACACUUGAUCAAUUUAGAUCAAUACCCAACAAAUCACAACACCUCUAUUUUGGAGCCCUAACUUGCAAUCAUGCAAGAAUCCAUCUCUAAAUCCCUAAACUCAUGCAUUAAACACUUAUUAAGCAUGUUAGAGUUCCAACUAAACCAAUUCUAGAGGACAAAAUCCAAACCCUAGAAAUCUACCAUGGUUGAGCUUCAAGCUUACCUCCAAAAGCUAGCUCCAAUGGUGAAGAGGAAGAAGGAGAUGAUGAAAACCCUUUUUCUUGCUUGCUUCUCCACCAAAUCCCCCUCAUUUUCCACCUUCUAGAGAGAGAGAGAGAUCUUAGAGAGAGAGAGAGGAGUUUUAGGUUUACAAAGGAGAGAAUGAGAGAAAGAGAGUUAUCUCCCAUCUAUACCCCUUUAUAAGUGCAUAAUUGCACAAAACACUCCUCACAAUGCAACCAUGACACAGCCCAGCCCUGGGCAUUUUCGGGCUACGGGGACUGGUCUCUCUAAGAUGGACCGGUCCCCGAGAGUGGCUUAUUUACAGAAAAGGGCUCUUGCCCCUUUUCCACGCUUACGGGGAUCGGUCCCUGAGAGCACACUCUCGCAGGACAGCCCCCCCUUGCUCAAAUUGCAUACCUACGGGGACCGGUCUCUCCCGCUAGGGACCGGUCCUCGAGAGCAAGUUUUGUGCGCAGAGCCUUCUGCCACAUUUUCCAAGCUAUGGGGACUGGUCUCUCCCAUCAGGGACCGGUCCCCGAGAGCAAAAUCUGCAAUUGUGCAGAUUUGCACCAUUUGCUCUCCUCCAAUGCACUUUUUGGGUUUUUGACGCCUUCGGCCUUUUCGAAGCGUAUCCAACCGACAAUCAGUCGAUUUUAAUCGAAGUCCAACUCUCGCAUUUCGAGAAUUCACUUCCUUACACUAGGCAUGCCACACGUGAAUCAAACAAAGAGUCCAUCAAGUUGCUCAAUCCAUAAUCGCUGUGUUGGCCCAUAGGCCUCAGGCAAAAGCCACAAUUGUAUGAAUCUGACUGACCAGUCAUUUUCGAUCUCUUUUUUGAAAAAGAAUAUCCCCUGUCGGUGGUUAAACCCAUUGGUAGAUCAUGCUAUAUGAUCAAGUAACCACACCAAGGUGGAAAGCCACAAAGCUCACGAGAAGCUAUUUGUCAACCAAGAAGGUCAAUUCUUAUGAUAGUGUCCGGCCGACCAACAAGGUCAAUUUCAUCAAGUGAGCAUUCAUGUAUACUCCAAUCCUACUCAAUAUGUUAUUUGUCCAACCUACAUCUGAUGUAGUCCACAAUUGCACGAAUCUGACUUGAGUUCAUUUUUUUUAUCUCUUUUGAGAAAAAGAAUAUCCCCUGUAGGUGGUCAAACCUACUGGUGUAUGUGAAUGUGCAUCGAGCGGUGGCAGAUCAUGUUGUAUGAUCAAGUAACCACAGCAACUCAGAGCUGCAAAGCUCGCAAGAAGCAAUCUGCCGACCAAGAACGUCAAAUCUCAUGAUAGUGUCCAGCCGACCAACAAGAUCAAUCUCAUUUAGUGAGCAUUCAUGUAUACUCCAAUGCUAUGCGUGUGAUGUGUCCAACGACGAUAUAGUCCAACAUGGUAAUCAUGGAGCACGUGAAAAGAUAACAAUAAUAAGUCGACGAGUAGAGUAACUAAGCAUGUAAGAUAGAGAUGUCAUAAUAAUCUGAAUAAGCUGCUCUACCAAUCAUGUAUAGUCCAAUGACAUGUUCUAACAGUAAUGAGAGCCGAUUAGCACAGCAAAUAACAAAAAUAGUAAGAAUGUGGAUAUAAACCGGUCUAGUCACAAGAUGUCUAAUAAAAGCAUAACAGGAAAUAAUUGAGUAGAAUACAAUUUACUGACAUUCGGAUUGAAACACCCACCUCAAUACCAAGUGAAUUUGCGGCUCAAGCCGUGCUCCCACAACUGUCCGAAUCCACAGAUCCAAGGGGUCAUGAUCAGCCCCCAAACAUCAAGCUGACAACAACUCGUGAUACUAAGUCGCCAGCAACACAAACCGGUCUGAUCGAAUUUUUUUUUUUUUUUCUGAUUUUCGAACCUUGCGCAACUGUCGCUUAAUCCACCGAGACCUCCAAUCAGCCCUUGGAGCAUGCCGAACAAUGUUGUAGGUCUCCUUAGACCACCCAUGGGUCUGAGACACCAAUUAAGUGUAGGGAUAAUUGCAUACAAGGUGCGCAUCAAGCCAUCAAUAGAUGCCUUGACCCCAAAACUAUACUGUAAUAGGUUCCGGCGUAUGCCGAUUUGGGUGUAGAAAUCAGCCGGAUAGAGGUCACACACUACUGGUUUCAACUAGUGAGUACCCUCUGGAACACAUCUCGUGAGUUCCGGAGUCCAAGUGCAUAACUAGUGCAAAAAAUGGUGGAGUUCAGCCCCGACAAUCCUCGUUGUUGCCGUUUUCUGCACCACAAAAUAAAUCAACCACAACCAAUCUCGGCGGGGAUUCCCACUAGGAAUAGGAUUACGAUUAAGUUCUGGUCAGCACCAAGCACAGCCAUAAACACCCGAACCAACGGUUUGGCCGCAAAGACACAAUUUCGCUAUCAUAGACACCGUUUUGGUGUUGGAAUGUGCACACGACAUGCGUUCAGCUGCAAAGUGUUUCAAACACUUAAUUACGAAUAACGGGACAGCGGGCACACGCUGGUGCAAAGCUGGGAGUGGCAAGCCCAAAUCGGCCUUCGAAGCCCCGAACUGUGCCAUUUUCAGUAUCGGGACAGCAUGCAUAUUUAUCGGUCUUGGAGGAUUUCGGUUUCACAAAUUGCGAACAUGAGGGCCCGAACAUUCUCAUCAAGCCAGAAAGAAGCUUGGUGAUGCAUUCUUGCUAGAUCCGACAUGGAUCGGCUCUACGGUGGCAACCGACAACAAACGCGACAAGUUGGAUCAUCAAAUCAGUCCACGUACUACCCUGUGUUACGCUACACGACUUAACAUUUCAUUCGCUGUCCUUAGAUGCACCAUUUUAGGUGUUGGAACAGCUGCAUGUCGUAAUGUGUAAUAAUGGGAUUCACAUCUCUGAGCUUGGCCGUAACAAGUCUCAGAAUGCAGUUUCUAGCUUCGGAACCAAUCAUGACACUUUCGCUGCCGCCGAAGAUAUAAAACAGUAGGAUUUGGCUAGCCAACGAGGCUUGACCACAACUGGGGACAGCAACAUUGAUGUUUCCAUGAAUUCCAAACUGAAACCACGCGUUAUCGGCAAUUCCAGUGGCGAAUCACUUCAUUUCAACCCCAAAGGGGUUCUCAGGGCCUUGGAGGACGAGUCCAGAGGUCGAUCAAUCAAAAUCGAUGCUGCCCAAACACCAUUGUGAUCGAGAAGCUUCGAAACAAUGAAAAAACUGCAAAUUUCACAUAAACUAACGCACUAUUCAAAGAAGGAAAUGGAAUUCGGGCCCGUUACCGAAACUUCCUGGACCAGGAAGCUGACCAGCUGCGCGUGGAGGUUGACAGUGAGGCUCAGGUCACUGUGCUCCAGGAGGUGUCGACAGCGGCCGUCCACGACGAGGGAGCAGUUUGGUGGUAUAAUGGGGAGGCUCCGGGAGCGCCACUGUCUGUACCAGCACUAGGAGGCCAAUCGGACUGCACCAAAAGGGAGCACGGCCAAAAAGGAAGGUCGGGGAGGGUGGUGCUCAGCUUUUGCUGAGUCGCCAGCGGCGAGGUUGGCGGCGAAGAGUAGCUUGGGCCCAACUGGCUGCUGCUUGGGCUGCUAUGGACAACUGGGAGCUCGGGGCUUCAAGCUCGGCCUGGGGCGGUCGGAGGAGGUCAAGGGUGGCCAAAAUGGGUACUAGCUUGCCGAGCAGGCGGCAGCUGGAGGAUGGCUCGAGCCCAGAUUGGGGCCGAUCUGUCGCAGGUAGCAGAUCUGGGCAUUUUUUCUUGGUCUGGGCCCGGAGGAGGCUGAGGGCAACGAGUCAGUGCCGGAGAGGAGUCGCUGGAGGUCCCCUUGGCCGGUGGUGGUGCACAGAGAAGUUGCGGCCAUAGAAAGAGAGGAACCGAGAGGGAGAGGGAGAGUGAUGUGGGUUCAGGCUGGGGUGCUGACCUGCUGGGGAACUCGCUAACGGUGGCUGUUGUGUUGGCAGGAUGCUGAGUGGGGUGAUGGCAGCUGGGGAAGGAGGGGGAGAGAGGGAGAAGAGAAGAGAGAGGGAGCUAGAGUUUUUCCUCUUUUAUUUAGUUGCAAUUAGCCCCUCAGCUUUUCUAUUUUUUGCUCAAAGCUUCCAGUAUAGUGCAUUUUGUGCAGGAGCCUCUACACGAGUGAAAAUGCAAUUUGACACAGUAAAUGCCCGCUUUUUUUGUAUAAAAAUCUCUCAUUUUCAGCUUUUAAUUCUGUCCCAGUUUAUCCCAUUCACAUUUUCAUCGCUCAACAAGCACCAGAAACCCUCACAUAGCCAACUGCAUUGUUAGACCUCAAAAGUGGCAAUUUUAUUUCAUUAAAAAUUGUCUAAUUAUGUCAAAAUAAUUCAAGUUACAAGGGAUAAAAACUUAACAUAAUGAUAGUUACUAUGAAUAUAUCGCAACUAUUUAACUUUUUAUUCCGUAUAUGCAUUUUGCCAAGGAUUUAAGUACCGUGGCAUGGGGUCGUGUCGGAAACUUACCGGCACGGUACGAUACGGUGCGUGCCGAGUCGUGCCGAUGCGUGUUGGUAAAAAAAAAUUCAUGUAUACUGAUACAUAAUAGUAUGAAAUAUUUAUUUUCUUUAGCAACAAAAUAUUCAAAUUAUUUUUUAUAUAUUUUUAUCAAAUGAUUUGAACUUUUUUGAGAAAAUUACGUAUUAAAUUAAGAAUAGAGGUUUUUGAGCUGUGCCAUCGGCAUGGGGCUGUAUCGUGCCGAUAUCUUGUUAGCACGAUAUGGCACGAUAGAUACGGCCCAUGCCGAUGGGCACUUAAAUCCUUACAUUUUGCAUUCUGAGAGUAUAAAAAUUGGUAGCUUUGAUGAUUGUGCUUGAUACUGGAAAUUUAGCUGCCCAAUCCUGAUAUAAUAACAUUCAUACAGGUGGCAAUAGACUCGGCUACGCCAAUUGAUGAAGCUGGUCCAAGUGGAGGUUUUAUGGACCCAGCUGAGGCUUUUGGGGGAUAUGGUCCGAUGCGUUCUUAUGGAAGACUCUAUGGUAGCCUGGACUUUGAUGAUGUGAGUAUUGUCCAGCUGUGUGCUGGUAGUAUAGUUUGGGUCAAUUUGAAACGUUAUUUCUUUAUCUCAGUAGACGAUUACUAAGAAUUUCCUCUUUGUUAUUGUUAUUAUUCGCCUCUUGCAGUAUGGUUAUGGAGCCAGCAGAAGCAGCAGCAGCAGAUCAUCAAGACUCGAUUGGCGGUACAGGCCUUACUGACUCACCAUGUUGCAAACAACCACCUUGUUGGACAACUAAACACUUUCAAAAGUCGUUUCGUAUUCAAAUUGCUCUAAACAUACUAGAUUUGAUAGCAAAAUCUGUCUACUCCGUAAUGGUUGUGUGAUACGAUAUUUUAUCUUGUUUAUCGUUAUUAUCCUAUAAUAAUUUGGAUUGAGAUAAGGUGUUUCUGGUUUUCACUUACAGCAGUUGAGCUCCUUAAAGAAAAAUCAUCCUUACGACAAGUAAUGCUGUUUUACAUGUUGACUACAAAGUCGACAACAUGAAGAAUUUGAUUCUCAUGAUGUUGCAGUGUAAGAGGCAUAAGCCACUAGAAUUCGUCAGUUGAUAUAGUAUUCGUGUGGUAGUAUCUGAAAAUUUCAGAGACGCUGAGCCACCUGAUUACGCAUAAAUGGUUUUCCAAGCAGGUGAAGAAUCUGGCUGUUUUUGGCCUCCACUCCGCGUGCUCUGUUUCCAUACCUGCUAGGAGAUAAGCCUCAAUCCUUCUUUUAUGCGCCUACCAUGUUAAAAUAAUUGCUCUCAAUCAGAAAAAGGUGCCUUUAUACGGGUCUCAGGGAGUGUUGAGGGUCCUCGGGCAUAUGAUGCUUUGUAGUGCCGAGAGAUUAGUUUGUCUUCUUCGCAGAGCAUGAGAAACAAGUUUAUUUAGACCACGCAUGAGUAGACAAGUGAUAUGAAUAUAAUAUUGUUAUCCAUUGUUUCAUGAUUUGGAUUUAACAAAUCUGUCAUUCAUAGUACAGCAAGCUACGGCGCAUGAAACAAUUUUUUUCCGCGCUUGCAUGUAUGAACAUAUUUCUGUUGAUUUGUGCAAAGCUUUUGUAGUAUGCAACUGAUAGAGGAAUGUGUGAUCAAAUAUUUAGAAUAACAUUACAUAUUUGGUUUCAAGUUAUUUUUCAAAAUAAGGUACCUUGUAAAUGAAAUAUGUUAUCCUAUCAAUUUAUAAAAAAGUCAGAUGUUUCAAGGCGCUAAAAAUGAUAUACAAAUAGAGCCUCAAAUACAAAAUAUUUGAUGUUCUAGAUUGCUGUACUACCCGUAAAAAUAUGGUGCCAAAAGUUUUUUUUGACUGUUCGUGUUUAGUCUUUUGUUUUGUUGUAAAGAAAAAAGCUGGGCUGGGAGUGGAGAACCAAACUGACAAGAAAAGACUUUGGAGAAAUCCAACUCUAGGGACUUGACUUUGAAACUGCUGUCCCUCAUUUCCAUUAUGCGUUCGCGGACAACACUGUUACCCCUAUACUUUAUGAAGCGAAGUUUGUCCAUUUGGGUGUUGUUGGCAAGGAAUUUAUCGAAACUCAGCAAAUUGUUCAUCAACAGCUUACUUUGCCUUAGUGUCAUGGGUCGAUCGCUGGGACUCGACCGUGACAUCCUUGGGGGCCACAUUUGGUAGGCACUUGGGUUGACGAAGUUGUGGAGUUGCGGAGUUGAGGCAUUUCGUCAGGUGGGAGUCGCUGUCAAGUCAACAGAGGCAAUUCCCUAGCAAUGGCCCGUGCCAUGACAUGGAAAUAGGUGCCGCAUGCGGGGGCUCAAAACGUACUCCUCGGUGAGCACCUUUGUACCCCCGGGGUGCCAAAUGGAUGGAUGUCUUGUAGGGUAUAUAGAGGAGGGGUGGACACUUCGUAAGUGGCCCCGACUCCCCCGUCGACCCAUAAGACAUGGGUCGUUUCUUGGCUAGCGGAGUGGCCAAGCCUAGCGUUCCGUGUGAUCGAGUAUUAGACGGUUGAAGGGACACGAGCCUAGUGUAAUGUCGGAGACGCAAGAGGUCGACGACAUUACGGAGCGGGGAAUACCGGGAGGCUUUCCUCCUAGGAUAGCUUGCGCUACCUUAUGCCGGCUUGGAUCUCUGUAGUGGAGCGUACGAGUGGAUGAGGGAUAGUUUAGCAACGGAUGGUCCUAUGUAAAGGACAAGGCUCGCGAAGGCAAGUGUGCUGAGCGGGGAUUCGUGGGGCGCGGUGCCCACGAAGGCCAAGGAGGCGGAACUCAAUAGGAUCGCAAAAAAGGAGGCACGCCGAGGGAGGACUCGUAAGGUAGGAUGUCUAGGGGACUCGAGGGGCGGAGCCCAAUGAGGCAAGCGGUAUCGGUAUCCGUAUAGUGAACCUUGAGAGACUGGACCUAUGGUGUAAACGACCAGGCGUGGUCGAGCCAAGGAGGGACCAGUGGCUAACGAUGCGGAGCGAGGCCGGGUCGUUUGUAUGGGGCCUUAUGAGGCGAACCUAUGGGAGUCAAGGGCGCGGAGCGCCAUGGCAAAGCGAGGGUCGAGUGGACGGUCGAGAAGCAUGGUGUGGACUUGUUGGUUCCCUUGCUAGGAGCGUUGGGACACGAGAGCCGUACGGGUUGGAUGCGAAGCAUGGAAGUGAGAAGCAUGGGCGUGCGGGGUGUCACGCCCUGGGACCCGGCAUAGGCCCGCCCGGUGCGUGCCCAGACCCGCCAUAUGCCUGCACAUAUAAUGCGUCUACAACAACAGAGAUAUGAAAGUGAGGAGAAAUAGAGCACUAGAGAUAUCAGAGCAACUAAUAGCUAAAGUCUAACAAAAAGUAGAGUAAAAGAACGUAAUCCACUAAAGUAAACAUGAAAAAGUACAAUAAUCAUCUCAAAGUACUACAAAAAUGGGGUCGUCUCUAUACAUGGAUACAACUCUCAACCUCUCCAAAAUAAAACAAAAGAGAGGUAGACCACGGAAACAAGCUAGCUCGAGACGAUACCCUUUUCGCUGUCCCUAGUCUCGCCCGGAGUGGAAGGCUCUGAAAUAAAAAUAUGAAACAGAGGGCGUGAGAACUAUAACUUAUAGUUCCCAAUGGGCAAUUACUGACCUCAGCACAAUGCACCAUUAGGCCCGAAAAAAAGAGGAUAAGUGAAAAGCAACAACAAUAAUAAUAAUAAUAAACUGCUGAAUUGAAAGCAUGUAUGAAAUGCUAUACUACUAUGUCACAAGUAAAUACGAUGAAUAUCAAUGCUAUCAAGGUUAAGUAUGCAAAUGCAAGGUGAAUAUGCUCAUUCACGGCUACAAGUAUACUAUGAUGCAACAAGUAAAUCUAUCAAGUAUACUACAUGUCCCAAUACCUCGAAGCCACACCAUGAGUAUGUCAAGUAAUCCAACUACCAUAAUCUAUCUAGUAGUGAUUCACAUCUAAGAUUUGAUGUCAAAGUUCAAUCUUAUUUUAGAACCUACACGAGUGUAGUCCAGCUUGUGCCGCCUAAGUAUCGGUGGUAGCUCCAGCAUUCCCACUCUGGGAAUGAGUCUAUCCCUCACGACCCCGUAGAUUUCUCGAUACCGCACGAGCGAGCUUAAGUCGCGUAGGCUAACUCCGGAGUGCCGGCUUGUAGGGAGCGACCCUCACAAGCAUGUGUGAAUGAGCACAAAUGGCAAGCAAGCAAGUCAUCGUCUCAAGUAUCCAAUCCUCAUAUCUCUAAUAUGGUAAUAGUCACUAGUAACCUAACGGUUUAGUUCUAUGUCUCAAUGUGAUGUUCCAACACUCACUAUGCUUAGUGCCUCUUUAUGAUACUUGAGUCUUGCUAUAAGUUAAGCACAUUUCAUAUUCUAUGUUCCAUUUAUGACAUUAAUAUUAGGUUCAUUUAUAGCCCGAGCUCAAUGUCCCUUUAUGACAUUAGCCCAAUCAUUCUCAAAUAGUACAAGUCCCCAAGCCUCUUUAUGGCUUACUAAAAUCCCUUGUGUCUCAAUUAGGCAUAGAUUUAAAUGCAUGCAAGCAAUGCUCAUUUUCACUAUAAGAAUCAUGGUCUCAAGUCCCACACAAGAAUGCUAAAUGCAACAUAAGCCCCACAUGCAAACUCUCUACUACAUAGAGGUCCGAAAGUUCAUUACACAUAACAUAGGCAUGUUAAACAUUCUAAAAUUCACAAUUAAUAUAUCUAACGUGAAAAUGUAUGAAUUUCCACCAUACGACACAUAAGUCAUCAAAUAUGAGAAUUUCUUAUAUUUUAGGCUAGGUCAAACCCACCGAACUUCGCGAAACCCUUCGUUUGCUCCAACGAGGAUAUCCACUAAGCUCCUAGCACCCUAGAAGCAUCAAAAUGUGAGCUACAAGAAGUAAACGAACAACUACUAGCUCAAUCAUUAACCAUCUAGGCAUAGAGGGCUAAACUCUCAUCUAUAGUGUAGAAAUCCCUCUCCAAAGCUCAAAUGGAAGUUAAAUCCCUUCCAAGGCAACCUAAACCAAGGUUCUAAUCCAAUUAGAUUAGCUCCAAAAGCUCCAAAUCAAAAAGCCCCAAAUAAACCCUAGAUUUUCCAUUCUAGGGUUUCAUCUCCCAAAAACCAACAAAACUAGGUCUAGAGGGGAGAAAUGAGCAACUAACCUUCUUAGAAGCUCCUAACCAAGCUCCAAAAGUGAUGAUCUCCUCUUUAGCAAGCUCCAAGUCUAAGCCUUCAAGCACCAAUGGGAAGAAGAGAGGGAGAGGAAGAUGCUCCAAGUCCUCUAGUUGAUCUUCUCCUUUUCCUACCUUCCUUCUUCUCCUUCUCCUCAUUCUUCUCCUUCUCCUUCUCUAACAAGGGAGUGAGGAAGAGAAAUGAGGGGGAGAGAGAGAGGGUGAAAUGGCCAUAUAGGCCCUCUAAAGCAACAAAAUUCCAGAAGGGUUAUUUGCAUACACGUCCCUGCAAAUAUAGUGAAUUGCGAAAAUAUCCCUGCAAAACGGAAACUCCAUGAGCUGUCCCUGCAAAAGUCCUAAUUUAUACAAUAUGUCCCUCUGAUUAACAUCUGUUAGAGAACUGUUUAUUUUUUAACAGUUUUCAUGUGAAAUGACCAUUUUGCCCUCACAAAUAUAUCCCUCCAAAAGCAUCUUCCCCCUCUCUUUCUCUUUCUCUUCCUCUUCGGGCCGCCGGAGCGGAUGGCGGCGACGGCGCGGGUCGAGCUCGCCGACGACAAAGAAGAGGGAAGAGAAAGAAUGAGAGGAAGAAAAAAAGGGAAGAGGAAGAAGGAGAGGAAGAGGGAGAGGAAGAGGGAAGAGAAAGAUGAAGAGGAAAGGGUUCGUCGCCGCGCGCCGCCGCCGCAUCUCCUCCCUCGCCGGCGACGAAGAAGAGGGAAGAGGAAGAGGAAGAGGAAAAGAAAGAAGGAGAGGAAGAUGAAGAGGGAGAGGGAGAGGGUUCACCGCCGCCGUCGCAUCUUCUCCCUCGCCGGCGAUGAAGAAGAGGGAAGAGGAAGAGGGAGAAGAAGAAGAAGGGAGAAAAGGGAAGAGGGAGAGGAAGAAGGAGGAAAAGAAAGAGAGAGGGUUCGCCGUUGCCGCCGUCGUCGCCGCCGUCGCUGCCGCCGCCGCCCUCGCCGGCAACGAAGAAGAGGGAAGAAGAAGAUGAGGAAGAAGAAGAAGGGUAGGAUCGUAAAUUUACCUUAUAAUUAACCAUGGUUAAGUACUUUAACCGUGGUUAAUGAAAAUUUUCUAACAGUCCUUAACGGCAGGGACAUAUCUGCAUAACUUUAGACUUUUGCAGGGAUAACUUAUGGAGUUUCCGUUUUGCAGGGAUAUUUUCGCAAUUGACUAUGUUUGCAGGGACCUGUAUGCAUUUAACCCAAUCCAGAAAAGCCCCUCAACUUUGCAACCAUUGCAAAGCCCGAUCUGGGCUGUUUUCAGGCGGAGGGACCGGUCUCCCCGACCCCUAGGACCAAUCCCCCAGACCUCCCGCAAAACAGACGUUCGGGAACCGGUCUCCCUGGCCAGGGGACCGGUUGCCUCGCAGUCUGCUGCAACCACAGCCGAUGGGACCAGUCUCUUCGACCAGGGAUCGGUCCCCGAGAGUAAAACUCUUAGGAUUUAGCCAAAAAUCCACAAAUUCGAACCGCGGGUCGGAUCGCCAUCUAUGACCCUCCACAAAGUGUGAAAAAGUUCGGAACCCAUAUCGAACACUUGAACCUCACAAUUUGCAAAGGUCCAGUGUGCUACAUUCACCCCUCCUAAAAAGAAGUUUCGUCCGCGAAACUCGAAAAGCAAAGUAUCUCAAAUCGCCAUCUGAAAAAGAUGGGGAUAGCGCUCCUACAGUGGGCUCUCCAAUUCCCACGUGGCCUCGCGCUCCUCGUGGUUUCUCCACAGAACCUUCACAUAGCUGAUUUUACGGUUCCGCAGCCUCUUCACUUCACGAGCCAAGAUCCUCACAGGCUGCUCCUCAAAACUCAAAUCCUCCUUCAGCUCCAAAGGUGUAGCAUUCAAUACAUGAGCUGGAUCGUGGAUGUACUUCCGAAUGACCGAUACAUGAAAUACAGUGUGUACACCCGAUAGGUUCAGCAGUAGAGCAAGUCGAUACGCUACCGGGCCUACACGUACGGGGACCGGUCUCUCCUUCAGGAACCGGUCCCCGAGAGUCCAAAAUCUAGGACUUGGCCAGAUUUUCUAAUUUUACUCUCUCGAGUCCUAUUUCCCUACACCAAGGUUCCAAUGCGCUUAGAACCCAUUCCAACUCGUUCCACUCCGCGUUUCGCUCAUUUCGACGGAACUCGGCACAUUCUACGGGAGUGCGAUACGUGACACAGGCUCUCACAGGUUAUAGUCAAAGAAAAAGGGUCUAAUUGGUCCUACAAUAAAAACUCAUGUGCUCUUGGCACAAACCGAUGCAAAAACAGCAAACCGGGUCCACUGUCAACCGCGACGGCACCUGACAAUCCGGAAUAGUCUAUACACUACUGUAAAAUAAACUCGGCAUCUCAGCACGAGCGUAAAUUCAUUCUACACUAUUCUGGAUAUCUACCGCAUGCAAACUGCGGCGAUACAAAUAAACUACAGCUCCUAAAGUUAAAUAUGGUAGUUUUCAGAAAAUAACAGUGCAGAGGUUAUAGUUUUCUCCUAAGUCAAUUCCAAGUCUAAUAUGUAAAAUUAUACUACUAGUUUAACUCCAAAUUCAGAUUUUAAGCCUAAUCCAUGAAUUCGAGCACUAGCAAGAAAAUAACACAUGAUACAUGUUGACAAUAUAAAAACUUAGGAGGUAAUCCGGCGAUUUCGGUAAAUUUCAACCCACUUCAAAAAGCUAGUCCAACAACGGUGAGAAGUCGAAAGGAGAGGAAAUCACGCGCUCGCCCGGCCUCCAACGAUGCAACCGCAACGCACACUCGAACGGCCUUCCAAAACGACGUCGAAAAUCACCCGAAAUGGAGCCGCGAUCUCCCUCAAAUACGAUCAAAUUUAGAGAGAGAUGAACAUGAGAUUUAAAAUACUCUCUCUCUCUCUCUCUCUCUCGUGGAUAACCAUAAAAGGAAGUAGGUGGUGCAUGUGGAUAACCACCCACAAAAAUGACCACCAUACCCCUCCACUAACUCAAAAUGAUAGCGGGAGUUGCCGUACCGGUACUCAACACUGAAAUCUCACAGGCAACCAAACACCAGAGAUACUACAUCCGUGCUAACAAAUGGUUUUCGAUGAUGCGGCUUUUAAAUCAACGAUCGGCUGCGUGUUAAGAAAAUUAUGUAUAUAUAUAGGAGCACGGAAGCCUCCGUGCAUUUUAUCAUUAUAUAAUAUAUAAUUUUUCGCUGUGUGUUAAGAAAAUUUUAUAUAUAUAUAAUAAUAUAUUAUAUAUAUAUAUAUAUAUAUUAUAUAUAUGUACUAUACUAUCAAUAGUACCAAGCCUUGAUACUAUUGAGUUUUCGGCCGUUGGAGAGAAGGAUGAAGCGCGUUAGAGAUAAUAGUGGUCCCCGAUUAAAUUGAUAGUGGUCCCUAGGGUUGAGUUGGGUGGUUGAUUUAAUAGUAUAAUCUAACGAGUGGAAAUGAUUCAAAUGGUAGAUCUAACCGGUAGAAAACUCAAUAGUACCAAGGGCUUGGUACUAUAAUAGUAUAAUAGCCGAACUUAUAUAUAUAUAUAUAUAUAUAUAUAUUAUAGUAUAUAUAUAAUAGAGGAGAGAGCGAGAGAGAGAGAGAGUGUGUGCGGUUGGUAUGCUUUUGGAAGUACGGAGCCCUUCGUGCUUCCAAGUCGUUUUCGAUGUUGUGACUUUCGAAUCGACGAUCGGCUCCGUUAGACUUGAUCUAGAGUAUUUGAAGUACCUAGAAAAUAAAUUUUGUAAUUUUUCGAUAUUAUUUGCUUAGUGUUCGAAUGGCUUAAAAUCAACGACUGAAAAUAAAAAUCUUACAAAAUGUGACGAUACGACAUUAAAAUUUUAGAUCAAAGAUAUUGAUCUUCUUUUAUAUAUUAUAAAGAAUUUUGUAUUAAAAUUUCACGUGAUUCAGAUAUUUCUACACCGUUAAACUUACAAAUGGCUCACCACGGCCAUUAAAAUUAUUAAUUUGAACCCAUUCGAUCACUAGGCAAAUGAUAUCGAAAAAUCAAAAAGAUUAUUUUCUAGAUAUUUCAAAUACUCUAAAUCAAGUCUAACGGAGCUGAUCGUCGAUUCGAAAGUCCCAACAUCGAAAACGACUUGAAAGCAUGAAGUGCUCGUACUUCCAGAAACAUACCAGCUCCUCUCUCUCUCUCUCUCUCCCUAUAUAUAUAUAUAUAUAUAUACAAAGGUAAUUAAUUAACUUAAAAAGUAUCAAUUGGAUUACUCAAACAAAGCUUCCUAUUGACUUUUUGGCAGGGUGUCAAAGUGAGAAAACCCAAGGGAUAUAUAAUGCGGACAGCGACUCACGACAAAGCACACACAUUCCCACCUCUCCACUCAGCUCGCACAUCGAUAUAUGUAUGCCAAUUUAUUAAACUAUUAUAAAACUACUAAUAAAAACAAUUAAUUACUCUGAAAAGGUCCUCCGCGGCUCCUUCUCGUACGCAAUCACGCGUGUCCUCAUCCGUUAAUCCAGCAAUAUAUAAGAAAUCGGCGUAAUUUGUUAAAUAAUUUAAUUUGUAAGAGCUGAAAAAACUAUACAGCAAAGCAAAGGGUUUGGAGCACAAAGCCAGAGGACUCAAGCAAGAGAACUGGGCACGAUUUAACACGCAUUAUUGUUCGAUCGAUCGACAUACAUAUCUCCCUCUCCGUAGCAACCACGCUGUCGCGUCUUUCUCCGUUUCCAACUCAACUCCACCCUCGCCCAAAUUUCUCUUUUCCCUAAUCCCCACAAUGUAUCACGCCACACUUUAAUAAGAGCCUAUUUCGUUCGCGUUAUUUUAUCAGAAUUAUAGAGUAUUUAUUUUAUUAAAAAAAAUUUAGAUUAUUAUGUUUGAUUUGUUCUCCAAGUAAUCCGAUUGAUAAUAUAGUAUUACUAACAAUUGCAAAAUAAUCUCCAAAAUAUAUUACUAAGGAGCCUGCGAGUAUCUUACAUUACUAAUUAUAAAUUAUCUAAACCCAAUUAUUCAAAAAUUAAGUUUGACUAUAAAGUUUGAAUUCACUUUACAAAAUUUUUGAAUUUGCAGUUUGAACUGAAAUUUUGAAUAUAAAUUUAAAGAUUUUAAAAAUCUAUUUAAUUUAAAUCUAAAAUUUAAACUUAAAAUUUCAAUUUCAAUUAAAAAUUUGCAUUUAAAAUCAAAUUUUGAAUUUAAAUUCAAACUUAAAAAUUAGAAUUUAAAUUUAAAAUUUAAAUUAAUAUUUAAAUUUAAAUUUAAAUUUAAAUUUAAAUUUAAGAUUUAUAUUAAAUUUUCAAAUAAAUAUGUGUAAGGAUAUUUUGAAAUAAUAUUACCUUUACUAUCAAAAUUACUGAAAUAUAAACGGUGAACCAAAUAAAAUAAUUUUAUAUACGUAAUAAUCCGAUAUUACAUUAUUGCGCUGAAUCAAACGAAAUAAUUUAGUAUUAAUAAUAAUUUGAAUAAUGGAUAUUAGAGUAAUAUCACUUAUGUUGAGAUAAUCAAUAAUGUUAGCUAAAGCGAAUCAAACGGAUUCUAACAUCCGUGGUUUCUUAUUCCAAAACGCACUAGCCACACUUUUUUUUUAUUUUUAUUUAUUUAUUUAUUUUUUUCUGAAUCUAAGCCUCUGGACCCAGUUUCGAAUGAUGGAUUUUGAUUUGAUUUAAUAAGAUAAACAAAAAUAGUGCAGAGAGAUUUUAUCUUGGGAGAGAGACAGGGAUUGUAAGGACUUAAAGGCGCCGGAAUUUGUUAAGACUAAAUGUUUAAUUGGAUGUUACCGACCGUCUCUAGCGCAAGUGGCAAAGGGCUUGUGGUUGCAUGGUACCCGAAGUCACAAGUUCAAAUUCUAGUUGAUUCAUAUUUCCAGCUAAGUUUAUUUUUAAAUAAAAUAAACGAAGCGGGUAGCAUGCUACCUAUCUCUCAAAAAAAAUUGUUUAAUUGGAUGUUAUUUUUCUAACUGAAAUAUCUGUGUUGCAUAAAAAUUUUCUCUAUUCAUCUACCAAGCAGCAAAACAGAGUUAGACUAAAAAUAUAUACAGGCAUAAUUCUGGAUUUCUUUUAUUAGAUAGAUUUUUCUGAGUAUCAUGUUAUCUACGCUUUUCUCAUUCCAAAAAGUUCUGACUUCUCUUAUAUUCAUCAUACACGUGAAUGAGUGUGUCAAGGAUAAAUUUUUUAUUGCUUCCUACUAGAUCAAAUAUUCAGAAAGUAGAACUUGUUAGAACUAAAACCGAAAAGAUCUAGUUCGUCGGAUGCGAAAAUACCAAAAGAGAUCCGAGAAAGAGAGAAGAAAAAUAAAGAACACAAUAUUUACGUGGUUCGGCCAACGGCCUACGUCCACGGGCGAAGACGGGGCGGAGAUCCUCAUUAUAAUCAAAGUGGUGUACAAAAUAUACCUCUCUCACAAAACCCUAAUCCUAAAAAAUACACCCAUAUUCCCUCUGUCAUCUUCCGCACUAAAUCAAUAGCAGAAAUGGUAUAUUUAUAAUAGUGGCUAAAUCCUAAUACGAUUAGGAAUACAAACCCACUAAGAUUAGGAAUAUCUCGAUAAAUUAGGCAUAAUCUAAACUUAACUUAAUAGGAUAAUUAAAACAGAAUAGGGUUAGAAGACCUUGNNNNNNNNNNNNNNNNNNNNNNNNNNNNNNNNNNNNNNNNNNNNNNNNNNNNNNNNNNNNNNNNNNNNNNNNNNNNNNNNNNNNNNNNNNNNNNNNNNNNNNNNNNNNNNNNNNNNNNNNNNNNNNNNNNNNNNNNNNNNNNNNNNNNNNNNNNNNNNNNNNNNNNNNNNNNNNNNNNNNNNNNNNNNNNNNNNNNNNNNNNNNNNNNNNNNNNNNNNNNNNNNNNNNNNNNNNNNNNNNNNNNNNNNNNNNNNNNNNNNNNNNNNNNNNNNNNNNNNNNNNNNNNNNNNNNNNNNNNNNNNNNNNNNNNNNNNNNNNNNNNNNNNNNNNNNNNNNNNNNNNNNNNNNNNNNNNNNNNNNNNNNNNNNNNNNNNNNNNNNNNNNNNNNNNNNNNNNNNNNNNNNNNNNNNNNNNNNNNNNNNNNNNNNNNNNNNNNNNNNNNNNNNNNNNNNNNNNNNNNNNNNNNNNNNNNNNNNNNNNNNNNNNNNNNNNNNNNNNNNNNNNNNNNNNNNNNNNNNNNNNNNNNNNNNNNNNNNNNNNNNNNNNNNNNNNNNNNNNNNNNNNNNNNNNNNNNNNNNNNNNNNNNNNNNNNNNNNNNNNNNNNNNNNNNNNNNNNNNNNNNNNNNNNNNNNNNNNNNNNNNNNNNNNNNNNNNNNNNNNNNNNNNNNNNNNNNNNNNNNNNNNNNNNNNNNNNNNNNNNNNNNNNNNNNNNNNNNNNNNNNNNNNNNNNNNNNNNNNNNNNNNNNNNNNNNNNNNNNNNNNNNNNNNNNNNNNNNNNNNNNNNNNNNNNNNNNNNNNNNNNNNNNNNNNNNNNNNNNNNNNNNNNNNNNNNNNNNNNNNNNNNNNNNNNNNNNNNNNNNNNNNNNNNNNNNNNNNNNNNNNNNNNNNNNNNNNNNNNNNNNNNNNNNNNNNNNNNNNNNNNNNNNNNNNNNNNNNNNNNNNNNNNNNNNNNNNNNNNNNNNNNNNNNNNNNNNNNNNNNNNNNNNNNNNNNNNNNNNNNNNNNNNNNNNNNNNNNNNNNNNNNNNNNNNNNNNNNNNNNNNNNNNNNNNNNNNNNNNNNNNNNNNNNNNNNNNNNNNNNNNNNNNNNNNNNNNNNNNNNNNNNNNNNNNNNNNNNNNNNNNNNNNNNNNNNNNNNNNNNNNNNNNNNNNNNNNNNNNNNNNNNNNNNNNNNNNNNNNNNNNNNNNNNNNNNNNNNNNNNNNNNNNNNNNNNNNNNNNNNNNNNNNNNNNNNNNNNNNNNNNNNNNNNNNNNNNNNNNNNNNNNNNNNNNNNNNNNNNNNNNNNNNNNNNNNNNNNNNNNNNNNNNNNNNNNNNNNNNNNNNNNNNNNNNNNNNNNNNNNNNNNNNNNNNNNNNNNNNNNNNNNNNNNNNNNNNNNNNNNNNNNNNNNNNNNNNNNNNNNNNNNNNNNNNNNNNNNNNNNNNNNNNNNNNNNNNNNNNNNNNNNNNNNNNNNNNNNNNNNNNNNNNNNNNNNNNNNNNNNNNNNNNNNNNNNNNNNNNNNNNNNNNNNNNNNNNNNNNNNNNNNNNNNNNNNNNNNNNNNNNNNNNNNNNNNNNNNNNNNNNNNNNNNNNNNNNNNNNNNNNNNNNNNNNNNNNNNNNNNNNNNNNNNNNNNNNNNNNNNNNNNNNNNNNNNNNNNNNNNNNNNNNNNNNNNNNNNNNNNNNNNNNNNNNNNNNNNNNNNNNNNNNNNNNNNNNNNNNNNNNNNNNNNNNNNNNNNNNNNNNNNNNNNNNNNNNNNNNNNNNNNNNNNNNNNNNNNNNNNNNNNNNNNNNNNNNNNNNNNNNNNNNNNNNNNNNNNNNNNNNNNNNNNNNNNNNNNNNNNNNNNNNNNNNNNNNNNNNNNNNNNNNNNNNNNNNNNNNNNNNNNNNNNNNNNNNNNNNNNNNNNNNNNNNNNNNNNNNNNNNNNNNNNNNNNNNNNNNNNNNNNNNNNNNCUCUGCACUGUGUACCGGUACACGGGUUUGUGUACCGGUACACCACCCACGAAAAGCCAAACCCGAGCCUCGGGUUUGCUGGGGAAAUGGUCUGUGUACCGGUACACCACCACGUACCGGUACAGCCAUCGAUCACGUACCGGUACAGCAAGCGAACCCGUACCGGUACGCAGCCCGCUGAAGGCAACCCGAGAGCUAACCAAAAAUCCAACUUUUUGGAUUUUGGUACACCGCUUUAAACCACAAUUCUCGGGACUCGAACCAUGGGUCGGAACACUGUCUACGACCCUUCAGAAAGUCUGAGAUGGCUCGUCACACAGAUCAAACACUCGAACCUCGAAAUUUACAAAGGUCCAGUGCAUCACAGUACCCGAUACACCCCCAGUAGCCCCGAGGUUAGAGCCCCGACAGCAGACAGUAGCACCGCCACCAGUGCCCGUAGCUGCGACAGGGAUAGUGUUGCCAGAGAUGGUGGGGGUUGAGGAGCGAGAGCGGAUGAUGGAACGACUGAAUGAAUUCCGUCGCUGCAACCCUCAUAUCUUUGAUGGGGAGAAAGUGGAUCACUGGGUGGUCGAGAAAUGGCUGAUGCAUAUGGAGAAGUUAUUCUAUGAUACCUUCGUCGAGGAGCGAUAUCGAGUUUGGUUUGCCACGCACCACCUUGACGGCGAGGCUUACAGGUGGUGGGUGGACAUUCGUGAGGAUCCUCGUACUGAUUUGUCCACUAUCACGUGGAACAGGUUCAAGGAAUUGUUGUUGACGACUUACUUUCCUCAGAGUGUAAAGAGGCAGAUGGAAAGGGACUUAAGAAACCUGAGACGGGGACAGGACAGUAGCUGAGUAUGAGCGGGAGUUCUCCCGAUUACUGCAUUGUGUUCUUUUUGUGGUUCGAGAUGAUGAGGAUAAGGCUCAAAUUUUUUAGGUAGGUUUGCGGCCUGCGAUUUUCAGAUUGGUCCAGGCGUCAAACCUUUCNAAUAUUUACGUGGUUCGGCCAACGGCCUACGUCCACGGGCGAAGACGGAGCAGAGAUCUUCAUUAUAAUCAAAGUGGUGUAUAAAAUAUGCCUCUCUCGCAAAACCCUAAUCCCAAAAAAUACACCCAUAUUCCCUUUCUCAUCUUCUGCACUAAAUCAAUAACAGAAAGGGUAUAUUUAUAAUAGUAGCUAAAUCCUAAUACGAUUAGGAAUACAAACCCACUAAGAUUAGGAAUAUCUUGAUAAAUUAGGCAUAAUCUAAACUUAACUUAAUGGGAUAAUUAAAAUAGAAUAGGGUUAGAAGACCUUGCAGUACUAGAAUUCGAGACAUGAUUUAGUGCGGAAGAUGAGAGAGGGAAUAUGGGUGUAUUUUUUGGGAUUAGGGUUUUGUGAGAGAGGCAUAUUUUUUACACCACUUUGAUUAUAAUGAAGAUCUCCGCUCUGUCUUCACCCGUGGACGUAGGCCGUUGGCCGAACCACGUAAAUAUUGUGUUCUUUAUUUUUCUUCUCUCUUUCUCGGAUCUCUUUUGGUAUUUUCGCAUCCGACGAACUAGAUCUUCUCUGUUUUAGUUCUAACAAACUUGUAUCAGAGCCGGAAUGUUCAUUUGGGUGUUUAAGACGUCGACGAAUUUGAGAUCGAGAAGUUUGAUCGCUCCAGCAGUUUCGCUCUACGACAAGUUGUCGUUCUGAUGCAACAGAGGUUGCAAAAGGCGUAGUUGGAGAUGAGAAGAUUGGCACUUCAGAGAAUCCCGCAGAUUUGUUCAUUAAGUUUUUAGGCGAUCAAGGUGAAGUAUUCCAUAAACUUGUUCGCAUGUGCAGUAGCACUUCAGGAGCUCUUGGGAUUUUGGUGUUGAAGACAUAGGAUUCAAGCCAAGGUGGUGAUUGUUAAAUAUGUCUCGAAUUCUAGUACUGCAAGGUCUUCUAACCCUAUUCUGUUUUAAUUAUCCCAUUAAGUUAAGUUUAGAUUAUGCCUAAUUUAUCGAGAUAUUCCUAAUCUUGGUGGGUUUGUAUUCCUAAUCGUAUUAGGAUUUAGCCACUAUUAUAAAUAUACUCUUUCUGCUAUUGAUUUAGUGCGGAAGAUGAGAGAGGGAAUAUAGGUCUAUUUUUUGGGAUUAGGGUUUUGUGAGAGAGGCAUAUUUUGUACACCUCUUUUAUUAUAAUGAAGAUCUCCGCUCCGUCUUCGCCCAUGGACGUAGGCCGAUGGCCGAACCACGUAAAUAUUGUGUUCUUUAUUUUUCUUCUCUCUUUCUCGGAUCUCUUUUGAUAUUUUCGCAUCCAACGAACUAGAUCUUCUCGGUUUUAGUUCUAACAGAACUUAUAAAAGGCAAAAGAUAAUUCGAAUGAAUAUGAUAGGAUCAUUCCGUUGGAAAAUUUGUCUAUUAUUUUAGCAGAUAAUUAACCUGUUAAACUAUUUUUAAAUAAAGGUAUUUAAACUAUUGUUUUAAAAAAAAACGCAUGCAAGAAUUGAUAGCAAAAUAUUAAAAAGAUAUGAAGUUCAGAUAAAGGAUUGCAGGUGGAGACGUGCUAGGCACUGUCCUAAAAGCGAGAUUAUCUCUCGUUCUAGCAAUCACCUCUAACGAUACAAUGACUAUGAGCUACCCCGUUGGCACGUCUCUAGGGUAGCACAGCUUGAACCAAGUAACUUUCAGAAAUCCAAUAAGUAAAGAACGAAGAUGUGUAAUCCUCAGGGUAGUAUAUAUGAGAAGUACCGGCGGACGAAAAACUCUUUUAACCUCUUAUGCACUCUCUUUUAUAUACAGAUAGGUGCCAAUGAGAACCGCCACCACGUGCAACCAAUGUAGGGUCUAAUGGCCCUUUUGAGCCGUCUCCACUUAGUUGUUUGACCUUACCGAGGUACGACUCUUGGGUUAGCUGUUUGACCUUGCUGAUAAGAGAUUAAGUCAAGAAAUAUCCGGGUAAAUAAAAAAUAAAAAUGAAAAAUAAAAAGUGAAUCGAACCGUGGUGUCUGGCUUGAUUUGUGUCGUGCGCUUGCGUUUUGUGGAUCACACCAAUCUCAUUAUCAUCCAAGCAACUAACUUGAGUAUGAUGGAGAAUAUGAAGUACUACUAUAUGUCAUUAGUUUUUAAUAUGAAACUAAACAUUUAUGUAGCAGGUUAUGCACGAGUUCUCAGAUAAAGCCCAUUUAAUAUAUAUUGGGCCACCCAGAAAGCCCAUGAGCCAAAAUAAAAUUUUAAAUCAUUUAAAUUAAAUAAAUGUUAACACUUUCUAAUAUAAUCUCACUUAGCUUCAUCUUUUUCAAGUGGAAUUUGAUAAUUCCAAACUCUUGGGAUUUUUCGACCCAACUAGAUUCGGCAUCUCAAAUCUUCAAUUUCUUUGAGUUGUACUCUUUUCUCAUCCAAUAUCACUUUCUCAUUUUAUGUUAUCUAAUCUAAACUAAUGGUGAAUACAGAAAGGGUCUCACGAUAUAAGCUUGAUCUACUAUCUAUCUUAAGCAGUCGCACCUCUCUGUAAUACAAAUGAGAUAUUUGGCAACAAGAAAUAUAGACUCCUUGUUACUCUUCUUCUUUUUUUUUUCACUCUACAGUGAAAAAUAUGAUUUAGUGCGUCGGUGAAUAACAAAUUGUGCUUCAAAUUAAGUUUUGGUCGUUGUUCAACGACCUUCUAUGCAGUAAACACCAAUACUAAUACAAGUAACCUAAUUAGCCGUUUAAUUCUUUCAGAAGAAAAAAUAAUGUAUAAUAAACAAAUUAACAAUAUACGAAAGCGAACUGCGCGUACAGAAACACGAUUUAUUUUCGUCACGAUGGAUCGAUACUUAUUUGUACAUUGGUUUACGAAUGUUAAAACUCGCAAGUUAAAAGAGAGCUGAAGCACUUGCAUGCAUGCGUAGAUGUAGCGAAAUAGAGCGAGCACAAGUAGAAUAUAUGGAAAAGAGUGAAAAGAGUAAUAUUUUGGAGACCCACCCAAUAUAUUCUUUUGGUGCAGCAUCAGCACUAGCUAGUGCUUGUUAGAACCUCUGGUAGUGGUGUAGGAGGGCGGUCCCACCGUGCUGCCGCUGCUGCUGCUGCUGCUGCUGCUGUGGCCGCUUGAGUGUGUGGGAAUUAGAGACGAUGGAGAUGAGGCCGCCGAGGGGCGGACGCAUCUUGGCGCGGUAGAGCUUCUCGUCGUAGGGCUUCCGGUAGAACCUCAAGAAGGGGAGGAAAGCAUCCCUCUCCCUCUCCCCCUCCCUCUCCCGAUCCCUAACCCCAGCUCGGCUUUUCGCAUUGAACAGCAUCGCCGGGGACUGCAGGAACGACGGCAGCGGCGUCCGUGGCUGCUGCCUUGCAGUCUGCUGCUGCUGCUGCUGCUUUCGAGAGGACAUCGACGAGGAGGGGCAGGGGGUGCGUGGAGUGCUGCCGGAACGGGCGGCGGGGGAGGCGAAGGAGAAGGAGCGCGCGCUGAGCGGAGACGCGCCGACGAGCGAGGGGCUGGCGAUGCGGUUCGAGGUGGCGGAGGUGGAGGUGGAGGUGGAGGUGGAGAGGUACCAGGGCUUGAGGGAGUCGAAGCGGGAGACGGUGAAGGAGAAGCGGUUGGAGGUGGAGCCGACUGACGGCUUUGUUGUCAGAGCGGAUGACUCCAAGCGGAGUGAGGCCGUCCGCGGGUGCGACCCGAUGAAGCUGCAGCUCUCCACGCCGCCGGCAGCCGUCCCCAGUGUCGACGUCGAGUCCUCCAGGUAGUCCACAGAGCUCACCACCGCGGUCACCGACGCCAGCUCCACAAACGGACGCACUCCCUGCAAAUUAUUGCCAGGGCCCCGACAACGCCCAAAAAUACAAAAAGAAAAAGAAAAUAAAAAUGAUUAAUAUAUAAUCGGUUCCUUUGCAAAUAAACUAAAUAAAUAUAAAUAAGAUCAGGAAAAAGUAAAAAAUAAAAUGAAAAAAUAAAAAAAGAAAAGAAGAAAGAAUAGUGACCUUCCAGAGGAGAGAGAAGACAGGGGGAGGAUCGAUGACGAAAGCUCGGUAGAGGCGACCGGGGUAGUAGUCGGCGAUGAUCUUCAAGGUGCCAAUAAACAAGUUCAAGAAAGUAGAGCCCGACCUGAAAAAGCCUGCAAAGACAGACUCAGGCACGCGACAAUCACUAAAAACUGGGUCGGUGCAUGUGUUGCUACGCAUUCAUUUUGAAAAAAAAGGGAAAAAAAGAAAAAAACUAAAAGAAAAAAAAGAAUUAGUAAAAUACCAUCCAUACUAAUUAAUUAGUAAAUAAUUAAUUUAACAAGAGUAAAUAGUAAUUUGAAACAGUAGAGCGCGCAUCCCGCGUUUUCUACGUAGGGGACCGCAGAAAAGAAGAUCUGCGGAUCGUAGUCCUAAAAAGAGGAGAAAAAGACAAAAAAAAAAAAAGAAAAAAGAAAAUGGUCCCCGGCAUCAGAGGAACUUAUAUUUUUUUAACUUACGAAAAAUACCACUACUUGUAUACUCAAAUUGGAAGGUCAAUCUCGUAUUUAUCCAUUCAAAAAUUUACAUAAUUAAUCUUUUUAGGUUUUAAUAUUUUUGAAAAAAAAAAAGUUGAUAAAAUUAGUGCCGAAUACACGUUCUUUCAAGAAUAGGAUAUAACCUUUAUACUUUUUUUUUUUUUGGUUGUAUGGCCGAGUAGCAGUAUUGGUCUUAACUUAAAUGGUUUGGGGGAAUUUAUAGUAAAGCUCAGUAGGACUUCAGAGGAGCCAAAUACGUUUCGGCUACUAUUCUAUUCCUAUCCUAUUCUGUGCGACGAGGAUAACAACCACACAACCCACUCACUUCGCCACUGCCAUUCUCCCCACGUGGUCACGCACACAGCAAAAUCGCACACGCAUUCACACACACACACACACACUCUCUCUCUCUCUCUCUCUCUGACCUUGUUCAUUCACUGGACAUUGUAUCAUUAUUUAUUAUUAUGGGUAUACUAAAUUAGAAAAAUAAAUGGACUUAAAUUACUAUUGGUAAGAUAUUUGAAAGGUAAAUUUUGAGCUUACUGGCAUCAAAGAGGAGUACAAACUGGUCCACAAAUCUGGACAUGGAGGAGACGGCGACUUCUAGGGUGAAAACCAGCAAUCGCACAAACCUAAAAAAAGGCAUUAUUCGUUGGGUUAAUUCCCCAUAUUAAUGGACGCCGAAAAAAAAUUAAAGUGUAUUAAAUUUCUGGGAUAUAGCAAUAAAUAAAAGAGGGCGUUUCUCACGAUUUCUGAGAAUAAAUCUUGGGAUAGUCUUGCUUGAUCCGAAAGACCUGUAGAAAAGAUUAACAAAAAGGAAGUUAAUUAAUUUGCUGAUAAAAAAGAACUCGGCUUCAGAACCAAUAGUAAUAUAAAUAUUUAGUCUAAUAAUUGAGGUCUAAAUUAGUGAGCCAAGAUAUGCUCUGCUGCAUGUAUUACCGCCCUCUAUGCCCGGGUGUUGGAUGAGGAUAAAGCAUUUUUUUUUUUUUUUUUUUUUUGUUUAUAUGUUUUUAAAAAUAUUAAUCGGAAACAUCUAUCUGCUAAAUGCCUCAUUCGGUGACUAUUGCAUCACACUUUAAUGCAAAAUUGCUUUCAAAAUGUUUCAAAAAUUCACACUAUAUUAUAUAUAUAAUAUAUAUAUAUAUAUAUAUAUAUUAAUAUAUAUAUAUAGAGUUAAGCUUUUAAUUUGUUUUCUGAAUUUUUAAGAGAAAAUAAAAUUAAGUGUGCGUCUAAUUAAAUAUUGUAUAUUUCAAAUAGGCUUGAAUUAGCUAGCUGAAGACGGAAAAGAAUAAAAAAAAAAAAGAAGAAGAGCUUUCAGAGCAGUAGGUAAUUACCAUGACAGGCCUGGCCUCGUCGUCGUGACCCGCCACGUGAGCAACGCCGUCGGCCAGCUCGGCGGAGAACUCGUCGGCGAUUAAAUGCUCUGCUCCUCAUAAUUUAUUCAUUAAUUUGUUUGUUCGAUCACAGGCAACGCUACAUGGUCAGAGUUUGGAAACCAACCAAAAGAUGCAGAUAGAGAAGAAGAGGAGCUUAUAGCAGGCAACUACUAGUUCCCCGUAAAUAAAUACAAAGAUUCCCCUAAAACGAGAAGAUCAAAGAAAAGAAGAGAAAAAAAGAAAAACGAGAAAUGAAGAAAAGGAAGCACUUAUUCAAACUAAAGAAAAAACAGUACUAGUACAAAGUAAUGAUAAUAAUAAUAAAAAAGAGCCAAAUUUGUAAAUGGAAAGUGCGUGAAAAAGUAAACAGGAGAGGGUAAACCGAAACUUUUUGACUUUUUUCCACAUACCAAACGAUUCAAAAUUCAAAUAAAAGUCAAAAUAUUGAAACGAAAAGCAACAGGAGAGAGAGAGAGAGAGAGAGAGAGAAAAUGUGUGUAGCUAUUCCUCUUCGUAUUCGUACCGGUUCCGAUGGAGUCUCUCCAGGAAAGAACGCCCCUGAGAUGCUUCGCCGCCUUCUUCACGUUGUGUCCUCUCGCCUUCAGAAACCUCUCCACGCACCCGUCGUUGCAGAACUUCUCCUGCACUCCGAAGCAGUAUGGAUUAAUUAAACACACCAUAUAUAUAUAUAUAUAUAUAUAUAUAUAUAUAAUACACCACCACCAUCAGACGUCGACGGAUAACACAACACCCGUUCUUUAAGGUUCAUUUGAAAAAUAAAAAAUAAGGGAAGGUAAAACCCGGCGGCGCCCUUCUGUGAUCUAAACAAAUUAAGAAGCGGAAGCAGAUAUAUAAAGACCUGCUUCAUAGUCAGCGGAGCUUGCUUCAUCAGGAUCUUGAGAACGGCAUUGAUUCGUUCUCUAUCCUUGGGCUCUUUCUUCUCCAUCCCCACUAUCCUCAUCCCCCACUACACAAAACGAAAACGGGCUAUAUGUGUAUUUUCUUUUCAAAACUAUACGUUCAGCUCUAGCUAGGGUAGAAGUGAGUGGGUGGGUGGGGGUGGACUGGAGGGCUGAAGGGGGGUGGGAGGUAUAAAAACACCUUCGAGUGUUUGUAGUGAGAUGAACAGAGAAAACAUGUGAGUGGGUAAGGGAAGGCGUUAUUUAUAACAGCCGGACUGACGGAUUCCGUUAAUGCGGCAGCACCGUCGGGAACUGUGCUUCACAGAGCACUCACGGCGGCACUCAUGGCCCAGUAUGUACCGACUAGCGAAUUUAUCCGCCCACUGCGGCAGGCUAAUCUACUAUAAAAAAAAUAAAAAAAAAUUUAAAAUUUGUGGGGAAUUUGGCAUUUGAUAUCAAUAAAUAUAAAUAAUAUAAAAAAAAAAAGUAUAAAGAGAUCUUAUUUAUUCUUUUUCUUGUGAAAAUAAUUUGUUUAGAUGACGAUAAAUUACGCGAAUGUAAAUGUAUUAUUUGAAAAAUAAGAAUGUGAGAAGACGAAAUAUCAGACGUAGAUAGAAAGUGUGAAGGUGAGUAGAAAUUAAGAGGGAUAAGGUAAGGAUAAAGAAUGAAUUAUCGUGUUGCAAAUUCUAUGAGUAAUAAUGUAUAGGUAUAAGUAUAGACGGUCAAAAAUUAGAUUCAACUUUUUCUUUCCCCCUUUUCUAAGAGGAAAUUGCACCGUUUCGUCGCCAACAUUACCUAAUUUUUAGUUUUGUUUCGUUAUUUUUAUUAUUUAUUUUUUAUUAGAUACAUACUGUUACUUCGCUAGAAAUGUAAUUAAGAAAAUAGAAUAACUGCCAAGCGACAGUGAGAUUGGGUGGUGAUGCGGCAGAAAAUAGCAAUUUUCGUCCCGUACAUCUAACAACAUUUUUUAUGCUGGAAACUUAAAAUAAGUUAUAAAUGAUAUAGAUCCGGUUGCAAAUUAAGAAAUUUAAAACUAAGGUGAGAAAUAAUGUAAAAGUUGGAUGCCGCUGGUACAAUUAACCGGUUUUUUUAAUCACUUUUUCACAUCCUAUUUAUUUAUAUUAUUAUUUUGGGUUAAUUUUAUAAGCUUUUCUAUAAAAAUAUUGAAUAGCAAGUAAAUUUCUAUAAAGUUUAAGUAAUGAGAUUGUCUUUUCAAAAAUUCUAAACGGAUCCAUUUUAAAAAUAGAAAUAUAAGGAUAAAAAAAACGGUUAGGAAUGAACAAGUAAGGAUAAUAAUAGGUACCGUUUGAAAUAAAUAUAUAAUGAAUGGAUACGUAAUAAACACAAAUCUUGCAUUUAAGAAUAUUUUAAGCAAUAACCAGUGAUGCUUUAAACCGAGGCUUUAAUAUAGCUUUGAAAAAAUUUUAUCAGUAUUCGAUAAAAAUAUAUUUAUUGGUGACGCUUAAUCAUAAUAUCGGUAGAUAUGAAAUAUUAAAAAUAAUAGAAUAGAACGUCGUCCGAAAAGUAUCAUGUAAAACACAUUUUAUUGUUGUGAAACAAACUUUAAUUUUAACUUUUUUUUUUCUAACACAUGACCGAUGAGAAUUAAAAAAAAUUAUUUUCCAACAAAUUUAAAUUUACAGCAACUAUAUUGCCAACAACUAAUUAAAUUUAAAUUUAUUAAAAAAUAUGAUAGAUACAUAAAUUUAAGGGGCAAUUGCUUAUAUACCCCUGAAAAGUUCCUAACUUUCUGAUUUACCCGUCUUAGAAGGCUAAUACUGAAAAAAUAAUUUUUACGUUUCAACCUAUUUCAAAUAUACCUCUAUAGUUAAAAUCUAUUAAUGAACUAUGUUAUCUGUAUAAAAUUAUUAUUUUGCCAUUUCAAAUAUACCCUUUCACCAUCACCGAUUUUUCUUAUUUGCCCUUAAAGUCAGUGGCACAAAAAAUAUUUUAACUUUUGGUUUUUUCAAAUAUACCUCUCUACCGUCACUAAUAUUUCUUAUUUGCCCUUAAGUUAAGGGGCAAAUUUGGCAUUUUAAUUUUUUUUAACUGUGCUAGAUAUUUAACUUAAGUUUAACUAAAGUUAACUUAACAGCAGAUAAUUGUGGGGGUAUUUUGUAAUAACGGUGGAACAUAUGAGAUGUAUUUUAGAAAGAAAAAAAAGGGAUAAAUCGGAUAUUUUCAAACGUAUGAGGGGUAUAUAGGCAAUUAUCCCUAAAUUUAAUUUGUAACUAACGAGUUAACAAUUAUUUAAAUUCAAAUUUGGGUACAACAUAUCUCUACAAAUUUGAAAUUGAAUUCACAUUUUAAUUCAAAACUUUUGAUAUUUUAAUUUAAAACAUAUAAACAGAUAGAAUUAAAAAAGAAAUGAAAGAAUAUUCCAUAAAAACUGUUAUUAUCAAUUUAGUUAAUUAAAAAAAAUCUCAAAAAAUUACGAAUGGUUACAACCAAUAUGUUAAAAUGUAGUAUUUCUAUCUAUCUAUAAAUCCAAUCCUAUGAAUGGUUAUAAUCGCUUUGUUAAAAAAAUUUCAAAUAAAAACGAACAGUUACGAUCAAUCAUUAAAAAAAUACCAUUCCUAUCAAUUUGUUUCACAUUUAAAUUAAAAUUUAAGUUAUAUCACCAAUUAAAUUUAAUUUUUGAUAUUAAAUUGGAAUUAAUAAUUAAAAUUUUUUAAUUAUAGUAGAUCGAAAUUAAAUUUUAAAUUUCAAAGUAAAUGUUAAUUAAAUUUUGAUAUUUUUAGUUUAAAACAUAUACUUAAAUUUUAGAUUCACUAGAAUUAAAAAAAUAUAUAAAAAUGUAAAUGUAUAUAAAAUAGAAUAAUAUAAGAUAUUGCACAUAUUUUCUAAUAAACAUAUAAAUUAAUAAAAGAAUAACAAUAUAUUCAUACGAAUUGUUAAGAUCAAUUUGUUAAAAAUAAUCAAAUAAAAAUGAACGAUUAUGAUCAAUUUGUUAAAAAAUAGUAUUUCUGUCUAUCAAUAAAUUCAAUCCUAGAAACGGUUAUAAUUAAUUCAGAUAAAAUAACUCUCGCUCCAGCGAGUAACAAGCAUAAAUAUGUACAUGAACCAAGAACCAAAACUACCUGUAGCUGGUACUUCUCUAGUACUGCAAUCUGGGAAGGGAUCUAACUCGUGACUCCCUUUGCACGAUCCGAAUCGGCAACAGCAGCAGCGGCAGAAGAAAGUUCUGCAAGAGGGGUCAACAACUGGGUGUGAGAACUACUGUAAAAAGAAGUAGUCCUCAGUGGGUACCGCUACCGACCUCAACGGCUCACCCACUAAGUCUAUAGAAAACAUGCACAAGGAUAGUAAAGGAAGCUGGAAAAACUCUACAGCUACAUGCCACUAUACUAUCGCUAACUAACAUUAGCUAUCUGUAGAUAUAAACAAGAUGCAAUCUCUGACCCAAUCUCACUAGGGACUGUGAACACACCCGUCCCGCCUGUCGAAGCUACACCAACUACCACCACGCUGGAUUGUUUGUGGAGAGCAAGUUCAACCAGGACACUACGACAACAACGCAAAAGCACUAAGCCCGACUCCGUAGUGACACUUGUGGGCGCUACCCAACCGAGUAUGCAAGAGUGUCUUGCCGAGCUCAAUCAGGCUCUCACAGGCUAUAGUCAAAGCAAAUGGGUCUAACUGGUCUAACAACCAAAACUCACGUGCUUUUGGCACAAUUCGAUGCAAAAAUAGCAAACUGGGUCUGUAAUACACUGAACUUUUGCAAAUUACAAAGUUCGAAUGUGUGGAAUGGUAUGUAGACCUAUCCUACAUGUUUUAAUAGGCUUGGACAAGUUUUUGAACAAAUUAGAGGAUGAUUGGAAAGCUAGAAGUGAGAAAGUGCAUUGCAAUUGCGAAAUUGGCAUUUUCUGCAUUGGUGUACUGGUACAAGCAUAAUGCUGUACCGGUACAGCAAGCAGCAGCAGCUGCAGCUGCGUGGCAGCAAAGUUAUUUUGAUCAUUUCAUUCCCUUUAUCCAUCCUUAUCUCUCCCAGCUCGACCCUGAGGAUGCUUAUCACUUGUAAGCUUAGGGGAAUAGGGUUUUUUUAGCCUUCUCUCUCUCUCUAGGAUUUGGAGCUCAAGAGAGCUUGGUUGGGUAGUUUCGGCUUCUUCGACUUCUUCUCCUUGCGUCGGCUGGUUGGGAGGCUGUGGCAGUGUUCUCUUGCUGCGAGGGAAUAGUAGUGAAGGUGUUCCUGUAACCCAAAUCAGUUAGUAACUGAUUUGUUUCAAAGUAUAAGGGAUUAGCUCAUUUUGCUCUCUAGUUGGUACUUUAAUAUUGGAAUUUGAUGUGUAUUAAUUUCACUGCUUCCACCUGAAUCUGAGGAUGUUUUUAGCAACUUAAGAGGGGUUAACUAGCUGUGAAUUAAUCCCCUUGGACCAGAGAUAAGCUGUUUUAAAGCUAGUUAAAGGUAAAGUAUGAUUUCUAAAGCUAUUUCGGAACUAUACGCGAAUUAAUCGAGUAACUUGACGCAGUUUGAGAUUCCUUCUUCGCAGCAGGUUUCUGAAUUUAAUCAAGCUUAUUUGAUGACCUUGGGGGCUGGUUUAGAAGAUGUUUUAACCUGAGGUAAGUAGGAAGUUCAGUUCUAAAACUGAUUCACUAAGGAAUUCGACUAUAAUAGCUUAUAUUUAAGCGUUUUGAUGCCGUUUUGGAAAUUGUUCGCAGCCGGCUUGCAACGGACCUGCGGAUUAUCUCCGGUUGAUACGUGAGGGAUUUUGGAGGCUUAACUUGAGGUAUUAAGCUGACCCAAAAUAGGGAUUUAUGUUACUACUUCGUAUUAAAUAUACGAGUACCGAAAUUGGACAUUUCGGAUAUAUGUUUGAUACAGUUUUGAUGCAUUAUUUUCAGCGGAGCUGGGGCUUGAUUGUGUUGAAUUCCGGGACUCUUGGGGACUGAUUUGAGCCUCGUAAUAGGUGGGUUUGACCUAACCAGAGCAAGUGAAGUUCCCCUAUAUUCUAUAUGUAACUAUAGGAUUGAUAUAGUCGUGCGUUAUUGUCACUAUGUGGUUACUAAGUGGAUUUGGAAUCUCGUUGCCAGAACAUUGAUAUAUUGGAAUUAGAACCUCUAUGAGGUAGAGAGAAUUCACGCAUAUUUGUAUUUAUGCUCAUGUCUAUGCUUGGUUCAGUUGAAUAACUAAUGGACAUCUUAUUGUGCUUUUGGUAAAGUUGAGAACAGUGACAUGUUUUGUGACUAUAAUGGUAGUGCCAUGAUAGUAGGAUGUUCUAAUGUUAUAUGUAAAUUUAGCAUUACUCUCGCAUAUUUAUUAAACUAGUGGAUACUAGUUGUCAAUGUUUGUUAUAUUGAAAUGCNUGUUGUUUUUACAGAGCCAUCUACAGGAGAGGCUAGGGAUCGUGGCAAGGGAGUCGCGUCUAGCUAGACAUUGCUAGGGGCAUGCUAGUCGAUCACUUUGCUACUCGGGCUACGGCCGAGGGUGAUGUCCCUAUGUAUAGAGAGACCACCAUUGUACCUACAUUUUGUAUACCUUGUGAUGUAUAUUAACUGUUUGGACCAGAUGUCUUGGUUGUGAUACCUUCUCUUUUUGGUUGAGAUUUCGAAUUAUUUACUCUUUGUUCUAUCUGUUGAUAGUAUUAUUGACUUAUACUUUGCUCUGAUAUCAGGAUAGGAUUCUUUGAUGUUUUUCUCCUAUCGACUUGUAAAUUGUAGACGCCUUAUAUACUGGAGGUGUAUGGCGGGUCUGUGCACGUACUGGAUAUGCUUCCGCUGGUACCCGGGCGUGACAGGGUCCAUCGUCAACCGCGACAGCAUCCGACAGUCCAAAAUAGUCUACACACUACUGUAUAAUAAACUCGGCAUCGCAGCACGAGCGUAAACUCAUCCUACACUAAUCUGGAUAUCCAUCGCAUACAAACUGCGGUAAUUCAAACAAACUACAUAUAAGGAAGUGAAUUUUCAAAAUCCGAGAGUUGUACUUCGCCCAGGGUCAACUAAUUGUCGAAUGAGUACCCUUCGGGAAAGCUGAAGAUGUCCAAAAUAUAAAAAGUGCUUUGGAAUCGAGUCCGCGAGAGCAAACAAUGCAAAAUUCAGCACUUAGCCAAUUUUGCUCUCGAGGACCGAUCCCUGGAGGGGAGGACUAGUCCCCGUAGCUGAGGGUUGAGGGGGAUGCUCGAUGCAACCGGUCUCUGGAGGAAGGGACCGGUCCCCGUAUGCGACACCAGCAAGAGAAGACCAAAAAUGGCUAAGUCCUGGAAAUAUAGCUCUCGGGGACCGGUCUCUCAAGGAGGACUUGUAAUACACUGAACUUUCGCAAAUUGCAGAGUCGAGUGUGUGGAAUGAAGUGUGGAUUUAUCCUACAUGUUCUAUACGACUUGGACAAGAUUUUGAACAAGUUAGAGAGUGAUUGGAUGGUUAAAAACAUGAACGUGCUUUGAACUGGCGAAAAUCAGCAUUUUCUGCUUAGUGUACCGGUACAGCCAUCAUGGUGUAUCGGUACACAAUGGGAAAACGUGGCAGCAGGGCUAUUUUGGUAAUUUCACCUCUUGUUCCUAUCUUUUUGAACCCAGCACGACCACAGGAGCUCAGUGGAGGUUGCUGGUGAUCAGAGAGAGCUUCUCCCACCUUCUCCACUCUCUCUCUCUAGGGUUUUUCUCUCUCUAGAUAGAAGUCGCCAUUUUGCGCCGAUUUUGCGCCGCGCUCGAUUCUCGCUGGUUGGAAGACUCAAGGGAGGUCUUUGGAACGUGGGAAAGAAGGAUUUUAUCGUGUUUCCUGCGAGGUUACUGCCAGGGAAGCUGAUUUUCAGCUUUAGAGAGGUAAUUAACUUGGUUUUCUCUCUAGUUUAGGGUUUAGUGUCGACUUUUGAGCCGUUUUUGUAUUGUUGCUUCUAACUGAAUUAGAAGGUGUUACAGCAGUAAAGAAGGGUUAUUUUGGCUACUAAUUAUCCAUCUAAACUCUGAGAUAUGUUGCUUAAAAGCUUAUUAAGGAUAAUUAGUGAGUUAUAACCCAAUUUCGGAACUAUACGCGGUUUUGACGCAGUUUCGUAUGAUCUCUUCGCAGCAGGUCUUUGAGCCUCUUUGAGCUGAACUUGUACUCUUAGAAGCUGGUUUGGAAGCUGUUCUAACUAAGGGUAAGCAGGAAUUUCUGUUAGACAUUCAUUUUCGCAAGAAUUGAACUAUAUAAGCUCAUAUACAAGCAUUUUGACGCCGUUUCGGUACUGUUCGCAGCGAGAGGAUUUUUGACCUUUGGGCCGCCUUCGUUUGACAUUGGAGGGCCUUCCGGAAGCUUAACGUGAGGUAAUGAACUGAGCCAAACAGGGAAUUAAGCUCCCACAUCGUAUUAAUUGAGAAUUUUGCCGAAAUUGGAGUCUUAUGUAAUCGCUUCGAUGCGACUUUCGUGCUUCGUUUGCAGCAGGGCUGAGGCCUAGUGGAGUUGAUUUCGGGACCCUUGUAAACUGAUUUGGAGCGUAGUACGAGGUGGGUUUGACCUAACCAGAGCAAGUGAAGCUCCCCUACGUUCUAUAUGUAUCUAUAGAAUAAUCGCAUAGGUGCAUUUAGUGAUUAUGUGAUUGAUAGAGAAUUAGGAACAUGUCACUGUAAUGUUGAUGCUUAAGUUGACUGAAUCUCUAUAAAGUAGAAAACAUAUUUACAUGAAGUAUUUAUAGUUAUAUUCAAUUCAGUUGAAUGACUUAUGAACAAGUGUAGGAUGCACUUAUAAAAACAAUGACAUUGACUCUAAAGUAGAGAACCAUGACAUGCUUUGGGACUAUGUUGGUAGUGCCAUGAUAGUGAAAAGAUUCUAAUGCCAGGUGUAAAUUAGCAUUACUCUUGCAUGCUUACUAAACUAGUGGAUUCUAGUUGUUGUUAAUAUUUGUUACAUUGAAAUGCCGAUCGAGGAUCGAGACUGAGAACAUUGCAAAUGACAAUAUGGUAAUUGAGACAUGUGGACAAUGGAAUAUGCUUGCUCGCCAUCGUGCUCAUUCGCACAUGCUUGUGAGGGUCGCUCCCUACAAGCCGGCACUCCGGAGUUGGCCUACGCGACAGUUGCUCGCCCGUGCGGGAUUGGGUGCCGAAGUGGAUUGCCGUGGGGAGUGUAUACUACCACGGGGCCAUUAGGCGCGGCGCAACCUGGACUACCUUGAGUAGGUCCCUGUGAAUGAAAGGAAAGUGCUAAAUGACAUUUGACAGUAAUGAAUAUUUUUUUUCCAGUUACAGUGUACAGUAGUUACUUACACAUUCAUGCUUAUGUUCAUAUUGUAUUCAUGCUUACAAUAGUUGCUAAGCUUUAUGUAUUCAGUUGAUUCAUUACUGUGGAAAGUAUCACUACAUGUUGCUUACAUGUUUAUUACUCGUUAGCAUUGGACAUAUAUCAUGCAAAAUUACUGCUUUUAUUUUCAUUUAGUACAUCAUGAGCCUAGUGGUGUAAUUCGCCGAGGCUGGCGUCUUACUCACUGGGAACUAUUGUUAAUAGUUCUCACGCCCUUUUGGUGGUUGUUUUUACAGAGCCAUCUACUGAAGAGGCUAGGGUUCGUGGCAAGGGAGUCGCGUCUAGCUAGACAUUGCUAGGAGCAUGCUAGUCGAUCACCUUGCUACUCGGGCUACGGCCGAGGGUGAUGUCCCUAUGCAUAGAAAGACCACCAUUGUACCUAUUUUCUUGUAUACCCCGUGAUGUAUAUGUACUUUGUGGAUACCCCGUGAUGUAUAUGUACUUUGUGGACAGUCAUUAUGGUUUUACCUUGCUUAUGAUACUUUCUCUUUUAGUCGAGAUUUUGGAUUGUACACUUUUUGUUCUUUUGCUGAUAGCAUAUCGACUUGUACUUUGCUCUGAUAUCAGGAUGGGAUUUUACUAUGCUUCUUCCUAUCGACUUGCUUCUUGUAGACGCCUUAUAUACUGCAGGUGUAUGGCGGGUCUGUCCACGUACCGGAUAUACUUCCGUUGGUACCCGGGCGUGACAGGACUGGUCUCCGAGGGACCGGUCUCUCGGGCGGGGACCGGUUCCCGUAUGCGAAAAAGCUGGAAGAGCUUUUUGCUUGCAUGGAAGGCUCUCGGGGACCGGUCUCCCCGACGAGGGACCGGUCCCUCUGGACAAAAAUAGCCCAGUGAGGGCUGUGUACAGGAUGAAAAGUAGAGGGGCUAAAAUGGAUUUUGUUACAUUAGAGAGGCAUAUGGGCCCUCUCUCUCCCUCAGCCUCUCAUUUCUCUCCCUGUCUCACACUCUCUUGCUCCCUCUCUCUCUUUUUAGGAAGAAAAGGGAAGAAGUACAAGAAGGAGAAGGAGAAAAGAGAAGAAGAAGAAGGAGGAGAUAAAGCUCAAGGAGGCUUGGAGCAUCUCCCUCUUCCUCUCCUCACCAUUGGAGUAGCUCGAGAGGUAAGCUCUUGAACCCUAGCUUAUGGAACUUAGGGUUUUGGGUUUUGAGCUUUGAAAAUAAGGUCAAAUGGACCUCUAGCACCCUUGUUGGUGGCUUGGAGCUAGAGGCUAGGGUUCAUGGUGCAAAUGGCAAGAUGGAACCCUAGGGCACCCAAAAUGGAGUUUUUGGUAAAGUAUGAGAUUGAUCUCAUUUGAGGGCUUGUAAACCUAAUUGCUAGGUGUCUAAACGCGGGGCGAAGUCGGAAUUUCGAUUCGUCGAGCGGGAGAAAAUCUAUCGGCAAAAUAAGGCCGAUUGAGCAUCGUUUUGGACCAAGGAGGCCGAGACCUCGUCGUAACGUUCAGCGAGAGGCAUUUCUAGAACCUCUACAACAAGAAAAGGUUGGGGGUGUCAUCCCGAAGCAACCGAGCUCUUUUCUAUGUCUUAUAAUAGCAUAAUCUCAUCUCUUGCAUGUUGCAUUGUAGGAUUGCAUUGUAAUGCCUUUUCCUUAUGCUUCUAAAUGUUAACCUAGUGUGCAUGAAAUACUUGGUGAAAAUGGAUAGGUAAGGAUUUGGUCGAAACGUGGAUCUUAUAGUGUUAAAGAAAAGAGAUGGACACGAUAGGUGUUUGGUGACAUAGAAAAUGGCAUCUAAGUGUUUAAAGAAUAUAUCGAGUGGCAUUAAAGUAGUGUACUUGAUACUAAAGGUUUGAGAACCUAGGGAUAGGUGGAUCCCUUAGAAAAUGCCUUGUGGACAAAGAAAUUAGUGAAGCUAAGUGCAAUUGCAUGAUGGUCGGAAUAAAUGACUUCCGAGUGAUGUUGGCCCUAGUUCGUAGGGUAUCCUCACAUGGAGAGGACAUAGACGAGUUUUGAUUGUGACGUUGGCCCUAAAUGGUAGGGUAUCCUCACGAGGAGAGGAUAGAUCAAGCUCACGGUUUGUUAUUUGGGCUGGUAUAGCCAUCCAUAUCCUCACAUGGAGAGGAUUGUCGUCGAGUACUCCGGAGAGUCGGGCGAUAGGGACCACAUGGAGGUCCACAGACAGUCCCGGGUUUGGGGGCACAUGGAGCUCCCCUACCCAAUUAGGAUGGAAAGGUGAGUUGAGGGCGAACCCAAGGGUCCCGCCAUAGAUUGGGUAAAUGGAAAACAAGUAUUGUCAUUGAACAUUAUUAUUCGAACAUGGAUCGAACUUGUUAGCAUGGUAGUAAACCCUUACUAUAUGAUGCAUGCAUUCAUUACACAUAAUUAUAGGCAUAGUAGUAUAGAUUUCCUAUUAUGUCAUUUACAGCUUUGAGAUAUCCAUCUAUAUAUCUAUCUUGUUGUUACUUGUGCCUACUUGGACCUAGUGGGGAGAUCGGCGGAGUCGGCGGCCGAGCCCACUGGGAACUAUGAAAGAUAGUUCUCACCCCACUCUAUUUCCAGUGGUAGGUACAGGGUUGCCGAGAGAGGACCGCGGCAAGGUCAUCGCGCCUGAUCAGUGAGACCGUGGUAGUAUAGUAGCUUUCCUUUUGCAUUAGCACACCUAUGUAUUGAGAGAGAUUCAUGUAGGUGAGGUUUGGAGAGCUAUGUAUGCUGAUGAGCAAAAUGUAUUCAUUUUGAGAAAAGAUGUAAAUGUAAAAGAAAACAAACUAUUGUAAUAGUUAGUAAAGUACUCUCUUUAUUUUACUUGUAUAUCUCGUGGAUUACUUGCUCUUCUUGUUGUUGGCACUGUUUGUGCCCUGUUGAUUGCGUACUUAUAGAAUUUAAAUUCCUGGGUAAAUUCUUGUACUCAAUCUGUGGUUAGGCCUUGGGCGGGCAGGGGAUGUGCUGCCCGUUCGGCGUCCGUUCUUCGCGCCCAAACUGCGCCAAAUUGUUCGGGGUUUCAGGGCGGGGGGCGUGACAGCGAUGGUAUCAGAGCAUUAAGAGCAAGUAAAGAGAGAAAGUCUAGGAUGACCUAGGAGACCCUAGGUUGGUGAACCCUAAGGUUAUAGGUGCGUGAGCAGAACAUGAACCUAUAACGAUGGCGGAAGUUAAGUCGAUUGGGUCGAAGUUGGUAAUAUGUCUCUAGUUGUCAAUAGAGACGGAUUUAAGUGUUAUGAGUUCUUGUCUUGAGGUGGUUGUGCCGACAGCCGACGACAUGAUACCAAGAGUCAAGAAUAAGUACACUUGUGUGCUUUCGCCUGAUUUUGUUAUUGAGUCGUCAUGUGUUGUAAUUUCGACGAGGUAAUUGGUUAAGAUGACUGACCAAGUAUUUGCGUUUCGGGGACUAAUGUCUCCAAGACGCUACACACGUAGAUCUGCCCCGGCACCGACUCCUGAGGUGCCCAAGUAGGCUGAAUCGAACAAGAUGGAUCAGUUGCGGGCGCAAGUGACCGCAUUGACCGAUGUGUUGCAGCGCCAGGAGGCUCGAUUCGAGCGGCUCCAGGAGCUGAUGGAGCGGCAGAUGGCGGCGACGAAUGCGAUGGCGACAGACAGUCAUGUUCCGCCGGCACCCUCAACACGUGCACCCGAAAUGGCCGAGGGUGAGGGUAUUGCGGUGGUCCCGGUGGCGGCACGUCCUCCACCGGCGGUGGUCCCUCAGGCGGCGUCGGGAUCGGCGACACCCGACGUGACGGCCGAAGAUGUGGAAGGAGAGCGCGCGUUGGCGGCUCUUAUCAAGUUCAACAAGUUCUAUCCGCCCAUCUUCGAGGGUGAGAGGGUAGAGCUGGAGAUCGUCGAGUCUUGGGUUGACUCGAUGGAGACUCUCUUUGAGGACCUGCGUACCUUGGAGAGGGACAAAGUGUACCUUGCCAACCACUACUUGGAAAAGGCGGCGAAGGUUUGGUUGAAGCGCGCCAAAAGGGAUCGGCUUCCCGGCCUUCCGCCGAUGUUGUGGGAGGAAUUCAAGAGAAAGAUGUUCGCUAACUACUUCCCCGACAUGUUGAAGCGGAAGCUCAAGGAGAAGUUCCGCAAGUUGGAGCAAGGGGACCGCUCAGUGGCGGAGUACGAACAAGAGUUCUCCCAUCUCAUAGACUGUGGCCCGGACGUAGUGAAAGAUAACCGGGAUCGAGCCGAUUGGUUCUUGCGAGGACUUCGGCUGGGGAUCUACAAGGCCGUGCAAAUACUCAAGCUCACGACCUUCGCAGAAGUCUUCGACCAAGCACUUUAGGCAGAGCACGGUGACGCCUAUGUUCGAGAGAAGCGUGAGAAGCUAGCCGAGUCGAAGGAUAAGGGCAAGAAGCACCAAGGUGGCGGUUCGGGAGGUCAAGCAAGCUCCAGGAAGCCCCCGAAGUAUCCGUGGACUCAGCAAAAGAGCCGUGGAGCGCGACGUUGCGUUAUAUGUGGCGGAGACCACCUGGUAUCACGCUGUGCGCAGCGCGAAGGCAAGUGCUACAAGUGUGGGCAACCGGGGCACUUUAUUCGGGAUUGCCCAGGAGAAGGAGCCUCACCUGCCCCAUCGAUUGCAUCGGCGCUGGCGAUCCCGGCUCAUUAUGGAGGAGUUCCACCGACGGCGGCCUCGGUGGGACGCGCGAUGAUGCCGCGUCAACCCGAGGUGACGCGAUCGGCCCCGAGCGGAUGGGUAUUUGCCGCUCAGGUUCAAGCUGAGGAGCCUGCGGAGGCGGAGGAGCAUCGCCUUGUGGCAGGUAUGGUUUUGAUUAACGGAGUUCGCUCCAGGGCUAUGUUUGAUACAGGUGCCACGCAUUCAUUCAUUAGUAGAUCAUUCGCACGCAUGCAUGACAUUCUCAUAAAGGCGAGUGAUGGCAAGUGGCGAGUUGAGAGCCCUGGGUCGACGUUUAAUACCUACUCGGAGUGUGCGUCGUGUCCAGUACAAGUAGGUGACUGGAUAAUGCCUAACGGAUGCUAGAACUCAAGAAAUUGGAGGCCUACGAUGUUAUUCUAGGCAUGGACUGGCUCUCGAAGUAUCACGCAACGAUCGAUUGCAAGAGUAGGGUGAUUAUAUUUCGUAAACCAGGACAGAAGGAGUUCUCUUACCGGGCUUGUCAGAGCUCGUGCUUCGCCACGACGGUGUCGGCGACGAGAGCGAGAAAACUGGUUAACAUCGGUUGUGUAGCAUUCUUGGCAACUGUUGUGGAAGUGGAACGAGUAGCUCCAACAUUGGAGGAGAUAUCGGUGGUGCGGGAGUUUCCGGAUGUGUUUCCCGCGGAGUUGCCAGGGAUACCACCGGAUCGGGAGAUCAAGUUUGUCAUAGACUUAGUUCCCAGUACCGCACCGAUCUUGAAGGCUCCGUACCGAAUAGCGCCGGCGGGACUGAAAGAGUUAAGGAGUCAAUUGCAAGACCUUCUCGACUUUAUCCGGCCAAGUGUAUCACCGUGGGGAGCCCCGGUGCUGUUUGUACGGAAGAAGGACGGAUCGUUUCGACUCUGCGUGGAUUAUCGAGAGUUGAAUAGAGUCACGAUCAAGAACAAAUACCCACUACCCCGAAUCGAUGACCUGUUCGAUCAGUUGCAGGGGUCGUGUGUGUACUCGAAGAUAGACUUGCAAUCUGGUUAUCACCAUUUGAAGAUCAAGCCGGAGGAUGUGCAGAAAACUGCUUUUCGUACGCGGUAUGGGCACUAUGAAUUCACGGUCAUGUUAUUUGGACUCAUGAAUGCUCCAGCGGCGUUUAUGGACUUGAUAAACCGUCUUCAGAAAGUUUUUGGAUCGAUUUGUCGUAGUCUUCAUAGAGGACAUAUUGGUCUACUCUCGCUGUGACGAGGAACAUGCCGAACAUCUGAGGAUAGUGCUUCAAGUCCUUCGGGAGGAGAAGCUAUAUGCUAAGUUGAAGAAGUGUGACUUCUGGCUCCGAGAAGUCGCAUUUCUAGGGUAUGUGAUUUCUGCGGGUGGAGUUUCAGUAGACCCGAGGAAAGUUGAGGCAAUCAAGGAUUGGCCGCGCCCGACUAAUGUCACGGAGGUUCGAAGCCUCGUGGGCUUGGCGGGCUAUUAUAGGCGGUUUGUGGAAGGCUUUUCAAAGAUAGUAAUUCCACUUACCCGCCUGACUCAGAAAGGCACCAAGUUCAUGUGGAGCGAAGAGUGCGACCGGAGUUUCAAAGAGUUGAAGGAAAGAUUAACUUCGACUCUAGUACUCGCUCUACCGGUGCAGGGCAAAGAUUUCGUAGUCUACAGUGACGCUCUCUAUCUAGGAUUGGGGUGCGUUUUGAUGCAAAACGGGAAGGUAAUCGCUUAUGCGUUCCGUCAGCUGAAGAGCUAUGAGAAGAACUAUCCCAUCCACGAUUUGGAGCUAGCGGCGGUAAUCUUUGCCUUGAAGCUGUGGCGGCACUACUUGUAUGGUGCCCAUUGCGAGAUCUACACCGACCACAAGAGCCUCAAGUAUCUGUUCACACAGAAGGAGCUCAAUUUGUGAUAGCGGCGGUGGUUGGAACUGCUAAAAGAUUAUGAUGUAGAUAUCCUUUACCACCGGGGGAAAGCGAAUGUGGUCGCGGAUGCGCCGAGCAGGAAAUCAGCGAAAAACCUCGCUAUGUGGGUUAUGAAUCAAACACCCCUAUGGCUUGACAUGGAGCGAAUGGACCUUGAGGUGGUUGCUCCGGAGAUUCCGACUUAGUUGAUGGCGCUCGUUGUCCAACCGACCUUGUUGGAGAGGAUCAAAGAUCUGCAACCUGCGGACCGAGAACUUUAAAAGGUGCGGCGAAACAUCGAGGAAGGUCGAGGCGGCGAUUUCAGUAUAGACGCCGGUGGUACACUUCGGUUUCGAAACCAAUGGUGUGUGCCGAAAAAUGGAGAGCUUCGCGAGCUAAUUCUACAAGAAGCACAUCGGUCUCCAUAUGCCGAUCAUCCGGGUGGCACCAAAAUGUACCAAGGGUUAAAAAUGCACUAUUGGUGGCCGGGAAUGAAAGGUGAGGUUGGACGCUUCGUGGCGAAGUGCUUAGUAUGCCAACAAGUAAAGGCCGAGCGUCCGUUUCCAGCGGGAAAGCUUCAAAGCCUACCAAUCCCCAUUUGGAAAUGAGAGGAUAUAUCAAUGGACUUCGUGGUCGGCUUGCCUUGCUCAACUGGCGGCCACGAUGCGAUUUGGGUGAUUGUGGAUCGAUUAACGAAGUCGGCUCACUUUUUGCCGAUCCACACCACGUGGGCAGGCGACAAGUUAGCGCAGGUAUUGUCACGCCCCGGGACCGGCGGAGGCCCUCUCGGUAGCGCGCCCAGACCCGCCAUAUGUCAGCACAUAUAAGGCGUCUACAACAACAGUGUAAAAUAAAACCAAAGAUGAUCUACAACUAGAGAUAUCAGAGCAAGUAUACAUCUAUCAUCUAUAACAAAAGUAAAUAAAGCGUAACUAAACAAUAAAGGUAAAACAUAGAGUUAUACAAAUAAUCCUCUCCAAAAAGGUACAAAAGGGGUGGUCUCUAUACAUGGGUACAACUCUCAACCUCUCCAAAAGAAAACAACGAGAGGUAGACUGUCACGCCCCGAGCCCGCCUCUUUGGUCGGAUUCGGGCACGCCAACAGACUGCUGAACGGACAUGAUUUCCCCUGUAUCGCGGAUAGAGUCUCCCCUGUACGUCCAAGGCGUCACAAUCAUACAAUGCGCGAGGUUCCAACGAGGAACAACAUUCAAACAAGAUUGCAUAAGGAAGACAUCAAAAACAUAAAUACAACUAAGUUAUUACAAUCAUUUAACUCACAUUCUACAUUUUACAUCACAUUUUACAUUCUUUAAGUCUCUUUUUAUCUUCCAAAUACAAUCAAGUUUCCAACAUAAUUAUUACAAUAUUGAUCAUUUCAUUCCUAUACCCCUAAACUAAGCCGACUUAGGGUACUGUUAUCUCUGGUCUCGGUGGUAGGGCGCUAACUACGGAGCUACAACCUUUCCUCGUGCCGCCGCGCCACUCAUGUGUGAACCUGUACCCCCAAAAACAACACGUGGGUGAGAACUAUUGUCCAUAGUUUCCAGUGGGUACGGCCACCUAAGGGAAAAGCUCAACCCACCAGGUCCAAAGGAGGCACUGCAAACAUGUUAGUCCAACAGAUAUCCACAGAUAAUAUUUAUGCAAAUAUUAAAUACAUGUUUAUACCUCAAGACAUGCAAUAUGUAAAUCAUGCACCUCAUGCAAGUAGAUUAAUUGAUCCUACUCUCUAUCAUUUACCAUUCUUUAUAUUAUUAGCAAUUCUUUGCCACCUGUCAUUCUUUAUUCUUUAUUCUUAACCACACUUCACUCAGUUGUCAUUCUUUCCUAAGGUUAUAUUCACCUUAGCCAGCUAUGCCACUUGACUCGGUCUUGAGUCAAUUCAUGAUGAAUGCAAGAUUUCAUUACCCAACCUCUUAGCUAAUCCGUAGGUUUCGCCCUCAACAAACUCACCAACCUAAAAUACUAAUAACCGGGGAGAUACCCACUACAACCUGAUCGGACUGUCCUCUGGGGAGAUACCAGCUACAUCCCAGUGAUGUCAACUCCGGAGCACAUCGCCCGAGGGGGAGCUACCACCCUCGAGCAAGGACUAAAGGUGAGUACGAUCAAUCCUAUAUUGAGGAUUCCAAGUUCAAUCCAUUCCUUAACUCUAAGAAAGACCAUGCUCAAAUGACUCUUAACUCUAAGGUUGAAAUGCCAUAAUAUCUCAAUCAUUCUUUUCUUUGCAUUGUUUACCAUCACUUGUGUCAUAUACACUACUAUAUUCUUGGACUCAUUCACUAAUGCCACACUUGUUCUCUAAGUGUUCAACAUGCCAUAAGUGUUUCCACUACACUAAUCAUAUGCCACUCGAUCUAUUUGACAUCCUACUUGUCCACAUCGCAUAUCAUAGUUCAUACGUUAUUGUUUUCCAACGUCGAGUUCUCUAAUUCACCUAGAGUUUAUCGACCCAAGUUCAACAUGCAAAUGUCAAUUAACAUAAUCCUCUAUAUGUCAACAUGCAUAGUUCAUCUAUCAUAUGCAAUAUGUCAUCAUGUAUAUAUCUCCAUUUAACAUAAUCCACAAUAUGUUAAUUCACAAUAUGUCAUCAUGCACAUAUACCAACUAGCAUAUUUCUAAUAAUAUCAACAUUCAUAUGUUCUUUAGCAUUUCAUGCACAUGCAUACUUUAGCAUCUAGAUCAUUCAUUCUCUUAGCAUAUAGCUUAUGUAUUCUUUAUUAAUAUCUUAUUUAUGCAUUCUUGAUUAGCAUAAUCUUGUACAUUCAUUUACUUUACAAUCAACUACCAAUGCAAUUAGCCAUCAUAAUGUAUGUAUGCAUCAAUUAGAAAACCAUACUCCACUUCGACAUGGAAGCGACCUAAUCGCUUCGGUGAGCACAACCCACCUCGUAAUGCUCUCCGAUUGUUGUAGUCACUUGCAAUCGGCCUCCCGCGGCACCCGGCACCCGGUUCGGCCCGAACUCUCGCGCGACCACCCGAACGGCCUCCAAUCCACGAUCCGGAAAUUAAAGGUCUUCGCUUAUGUGUCACAGUGCUCCAAAUCCGUUUUCAUAAUUUUACGAAGUCGCCUCGGCCCUCCAGGCGGAAAUGAAGCCUAAACAUCCGUUUCUUUAAUAACUUCGCAUAGGCUCGACGAAUCGCCGAACCGACUUCGCCAACGCGUUCGUAUACCUAGCAAUUAGAUUUACAGAAGGUCAAAUGAGAUCAAACCCUAAUAUUUUAUAAAACCCCAUUCGGAGCCCUAAUAUGUAAUUAACCUCCAAAUAAUCCAAAUUAAAUGGAGCGAACAUGCUUAGAACACUCUAGAUACUACUAGAACACCAUUCAUGAAAGAUUUAAACAAAAUUCCAAAAGCUUACCAAAAUGUGAACGCCGCGACGAAAGCACGCCGCUCCAACGGGCGCACGAAAGCUCGAUCCGUCACCUCCAACGCGUUCACAAGCUCGCUCUCCACCAACGCCGCGAGUUUGAGCGAGAGAUAUAGAGAGAUGAGAGAGAUCUUUAGAGAGAGAAAGUAGGGUUUCUCUCUCCCUCUCCAUGCGUGCGUGUGUUGUGGCCAUGGUGUGGUCGGCUGGUGGAGAAGACAAGAGAAAGGCACUUAAUUACAUAAUAACCCCUCAAACACUAUUCACUCCAGGCAGUUCGAAAUCUGAUAUCUUUCGCCGGAGCUUCCUGAAUAUCCGUUUCAGCUCAAAUUUGACAGUCAUAUUCGAUUUUACUUAACGAAUCCAAAAAAAAUUUAAUAUUUCAGUUUCGACCCCGUUUGAUCACCGAAAACUGUACUAAACUGUAAUCUUUAUCAGAUAGUUGUUGGAUUUUAUUUUCCACCUUCCGGGUGUCAAAAUGACAUGAAACUUUAAACCUAGUCUCAUAAAAAUAAUUCUGACUUAUCCACCAGUUUUCAUAAUUUUCUGACACUGUGCAUUUUCUGCUAAUUUAUCUGUCCUGUUUCCAACAAAAAAUUUUAAAUCCUCUGUUUUUAUUCCGAUUUCAGCACAAGUUACUUUUGACUUAUGUUUUACUUUUCUAAAUUCAAUAAAAAUAAUAUCUCACACUAUUUUUAUUUAUUUUUAUUUUUAUACCAAAAUCUGGUUUGUUACAUUCUUCACUCCUUAAAAGAAUUUCGUCCGCGAAAUUCAAACUACGCCUCAAUUCAGCUCCGCGAGCAAUUGAGGGUACCAACUCAUUCUCCCACUCCAAAGUGGCUUCACACUAUCGUGGUUCCAGAAGCGGCUCAUACUGAAGGACGUGGGUUUAAUCCUAAACUCAUUUGCAAAGUGUGAUGCAGAAGUGCAUCACGGGUCUUGCAAGUCAUAGCGGCAGCGCAAGUCGAUACUCGACGACUCCACGCGCUCCAACAGCACUCACCGUUCGGUACACAAAGAGCUCUUCUUUGCACUGGCUUUCCCUUAAGGGAAUACUUCCCAAUUCGAUCACCGACAUUGCUUAGAAGCAAUAUCACCGGUGCAUCGCUCCGUCGUGAGUGCUCUAAUUUUGCACUGACCCUUAACUUUAACGUGAGAUGGCCCACUUCGGCACCUCUCAAGUCUUAGUUCGUUUACGAGCAUAGUUUCCAACAUCACGUGGCUUUCCACUAGUUUGAUGUCUCACAAGGAGUACUUCAUCAUCUGAUACCACAUGCCACGAUUAACAUCAAACUAUUUUCGCAACGAGCUCACACGAGCGCUUCGUUCGUGAAUUCGAGUCAAAUUCUUCGAUAAGGCAUCCGCCAAAUCGCUCUCUUCGGUCUCCACAGGUGGACCAAAGGCCACUAAUCCUACAUAGGCCUACCGCCUAAACAUGUCUCAAUACGCAGCGUCUCUUGCUCACAAAUGCAGACCCAAUCAUCAUCGGGCGAAAUUCUCACUUGGGAAUUCGCACACACUCCAACCAGGAGCAACUAAGACCCCAAACCACGUCAAGUCCUCGGGUUGGGUCACAACCAUACUCGGUGUACCAUCGGUCACACAAUCUAUCACGUGGCAGUCCACGCUCCCGGGUCUAAACUCGGACUACCGUCCUGACCAGAACUCUGCCCUACCCGUAGGUACCGGGCCGCUGUCACUCACAGCUGACUGCGCCUGCCCAAUGGGCCCAGGCUCCACAGUCCACAAAUGGUCUAGGCAAGAGUUGUCCCCAAGCACUACCCGCCGUCGUCGUCCUACACGACAUACUCUACCAAAUCACACAUACCAAUAUCGGCUCCUAUGCACCUAGUGCGAGUCACCAGUCCCACUAGUGAUCCAUGGCAUGCUUCACACCUAGCAAUGCUCAAGUGCUACUGCCAAUACACUCUCUCGGCUGAAUCCACAUCCGCACUUUACGUGUAUCUACACUCGAGCGCUCUACGCCUCUACAGCAUUCCACACGAAGUCCAGCAUUAGGCAAUCUUGCCUAUGCACACCGGCUGCACGAGCACAACCGCCUACCUCACCUUGAGGUACUACUAGGCCCACGUGCUCAAACUUGGCCACUAAUCGACCGUUCUCUCAACAGUGAUGCUACUUUCACUGUUCGAUCUACCGGAAUGACAUCCGAAAUUUUCGGACCACUCGGGUGUUUUCAUAAGUAUAAUGGCUCAACUCUCACAAUUUACUACUCAUAUUGCUCUGAGAGUCGUUUCGCCACUUUUAUCUCUACCGCGAGUCUCACUUCUCGCCAUAGAUUACUUCUAGCAUUUCGCUAGUGCCAUCUGGCUCUAUACCUGUACUGGCAGGUACUGCGCCCUCACAUAAUACAAAACUCCAUAUCUAGAGCAAUCAAACCUAUCUCUAGAAAUCCACCAUAAGAGAGAGCUUAGAAGCUUACCUCUCCAAGAAGCUCCAACCAUCCCCUCACAUAGCCCCACAUGUUGCAUAAGUGCAAAUAAGCCUCUCAACUUUUAUUCUUUUACACUGUCUUGACCGGGCCAUUUUCGAGCUCGGGGACCUGUCUCCCCGACGAGGGACCGGUCUCCGAGAGCUUCUCCCGGGGGCCGCGCAGGCUACGCAUGAGGCAACCGGUCUCCCCCGAUGGAACCGGUCUCUUGAGGACCGGUCUCUCCUCGCAGGGACCGGUUCCCGAGAGCAUUCCACAAGGGACGUAGCGGUUUUUCCCCUCCUUCACGUUGUCUGCGCAUUCGGGGACCGGUCUCUCCCCGCAGGGACCGGUCCCCGAGAGCAGAAAAUCUGUAGUUUGCAGAUUUUCAAAUCCCUAGCUCUCGAAGAUCCCCAAUGACGCACCUUUACUCCCUUUGACACCUUCGUCCUUACCGAAGCAUACCAACCUCUCACUUUGGUCACUUUGACUAAAGUUCGAUACUUGAUUACCGAAGUUUCGGUAUAUUACAUACCCACUUGACAACUAGUCGAUCCUGGACGAAGUCCAACUCCCGGCUUUUGAGAAUUCACUUCGUUACAACCAUGCUGUACCGGUACACCCCUGGUAUUAAACAGGUAACACAUGUUCCAGAAUUUCGGUUUUGCACCGCUUCGACUCCGAUUCGCGCCGAGCAACGCUAAAACAUUUCUAACUCUUUUAGAACUCAAUUCUAACCCUUCCAACAUUAUUGGAAUGUCAAUUGGACUUUGUCCAACUACUUCUCUCUACGCACUUUGGUCAAUUUGACCAAAAGUGAUCUAACACGACGAUAAUUCCGUUAAUUUCUCAAAGAUCAUGAGAGACGCCAAAACUCGCGAAGUUCCCAAUCUCUGCACAAACAAAUCGGCCACAUCCUCGUCAUCCCGCAUCACAUUCGGGUUGCAACUCAUGAUACGGGAGAAUUCCCGCUCAUAAUCCCUCACGGUGCGGUCUCCUUACCGCAGAUUCCAGAACCUCCCCUGAAGCUUUCUCCUUUCACUAUCGGGGAGGUACGUAGAACAUGACACACCCCGAAGCUCAUCCCAAGCGACAGGAGGGAAACUAGGCGAUCAAAUCCACUUGACGCCUACCACCACACCAUCGCCAAUUGUUUCAGAUAAUGCACGGCUAGGCGUACCUUAUCCCGCUCCACAGCAUAUAGACCCUCAAAGAGAGUCUCCAUGGAGUCGAUUCACAACUCCACGAUUCACGGAUCCGCAUUUUCUACACCAAAGGUGGGCGGAUCAAAUUGCUUGAAGGUCAUGAGGGCCGCCAAAGCUCGCCCUCCUCACUGCCUCCACCAACGAAGUGCUAGACCUUGACGAAAACAUUUCCGCCGCGACUCCCGGCCGUACUCGACGAGCCGAAACUAGUACGAUCACCAAUCGACCAACCAUUUCUCGGAGUCCCUUAAAGCAAGCUAGCUAGCUCAAGGCAAUUCCCUUUCUGCGGUCCCUAGCCUUUCCCGGAGUGGAAGGCUCUGAAAUAAAAACAUGAAAUAGAGGGCGGGAGAACUAUAAUUUAUAGUUCCCAGUGGGCAAUUACUGACCUUAGCUUAAUGCACCACUAGGCCCCAAAAGAAAAAGGUAAGUCCAAAAAGCAACAGUAAUAAUAAAUAGAUUGCAUUUAUGAAAGUAUAAAUAAAAUGCUAAGCUACUAUGUUGCAAAUAAACAUGAUGUCAAUGUGUAGUACAUUUACUUUAUCAAAACGAAGUAUGUCAAAGCAUGACUAAUAUGUCCCAACAUAACGAGCAAGUAGGUAUCAUGAUCCAAUAUAUCAGUAUAUGAUGAAUAUGCUCUAUCAUGGCAGCCAAGUAUACUAUGAUGCAACAAAAAAGACUAUCAUGUAUACUACAUGUCCCAACACUAUGCUAUAAGCAUGUUAAAGUAAUUAAACUACUAAGCCUAUCUAGUAGUGAUUGUCAUUUUUCUGUUCAAUGUCAUUGUUUAAUCAUGUUCUAGGACCUACAUAAAUGUAGUCCAGCUUGUGCCACCUAAGUGUCGGUGGUAGCUCCAGCAUUCCCACUCUAGGAAUGAGUCUAUUCCUCCCGACCCCGUAGGUUUCUCGAUAUCGCACGAGUGAGCAUAAGUCGCGUAGGCCAACUCCGGAGUGCCGGCUUGUAGGGAGCGACCCUCAUAAGCAUGUGCGAAUGAACACAAAUGGCAAGCAAGCGUAGUCAACGUCUCAAAAGUCCAAUCAUCAUGUCUCUAACAUAGUAAAAGUCACUAGCAUCUCAAAGAUCUAGUUCAAUGUCUCAAGAUGAUGUUCCAACACUUACUAUGCUUAGUGCUUCUUUAUGACACUUAAGCUUGUUAUAAGUUAAACACAUUUCAUAAUCUAUUUCCAUUCAUGACAUUAGUACUAGGUUCUCAUUUAACCCGAGCUCAAUGCCCCUUUAUGAUAUUAGCCUAAUCAUUCUCAAGUAGUACAAGUCCCCAAGCCUCUUAAAGCUUAUUAAAGUCCCUUAUGUCUCAAUUAGGUAUAGGUUUAAAUGCAUGAAGCAAUGCUCAAUUUCAUUGUAAGAAACAUGGUCCCGAGUCUACAUAAGAAUGCCCAAUGCUAGUGCAAGCUUCACAUGCAACUCUCUCUCUACUAUAUAGAGGUCCGAAAAUUCAUUAUACAUGACAUAGGGAUGUUAAGCAUUCUAAAAUUUACAAUAAAUACAUUUAACAUGAAUAUUCAUGAAUUUUCACUUUACGAAAUAUAAAUCACCAAAUAUGAUAAUUUCUCAUAUUGUAGGCUAGGUCAAACCCAUCGAAACUUGUGCAACCCUUCAUAAGCUCCGACGAAGGUGCCCACUAGCCUCUUACUACUCUAGAGGUAUAGAAACAAAGGUUAAACGAACCUUAUGAAUAAUUACAAGAUCAAACAUUAACCAUCUAUACAAAGGGGCUAAAAUCUCACUUAUAGUGGAGAAAUUCCUUUUUAAAGCUCAAAAGGAAGCUAAAUCCCUUUCAAAGCAAGCUAAACCAAGAUUCUAAUCCAAUUAGAUUAGCUCUAAAAGCUUCUAAUUAAAAAGCCCCAAAUAAACCCUAGGUUUCUAAUUUCUAGGGUUUCAUCUACCAUAAGACAACAAAACUCAAAUCUAGAGGGAGAGAACAAGUCGCUUACCUCUUAGAAGUUUCAAUCCAAGCUUAAAGUCCUCAAAUUUCAAAGAUCUUCCCUCAACCAAGCUUUAAAUCCAAGGUCCAAGUCUCUACCAUGGUAGAAAAGCCUCCAAUAAGCAAAAAAAGAGGUUUAAUCUCUUGAAAAUCCAGCCAAAAAUCAAGGAAAUAGAUGGGGAGGUGUGGAGAGCUCCCUCACCUUUCUCUUUACUGGUGCCAAGUUCAGGGGAGGCCCCUAGGGCGUGGGGAUACAAAUAGAGAAGCCACAUUGCAAAAACACCCCUGCAGUUCGGCCUGUUCAAAAACUGCCACUGCGUACCGGUACACGGGCCAGCGUAGCGGUACAAGCAUCAACCCCGUACCGGUACAGCCACCCAUCCUGUACCAGUAUACAGCUUGCUGAAGGCUAUCCGAGAGCUGACCAAAAAUUCGACUUUUUGGGUUUUGGUGCGAAGCUUCAAACCUCAAUUCUCGGGGUACGAGCCAUAGGUCUGAACACUGUCAACAACCCACCAGAAAAUCUGAAAAAGCUCAGAGCACAGCUCAAACACUCGAACCUCACAAUUUGCAAAGGUCCAGUGUGUUACAUUCACCCCUCAUAAAAAGGAGUUUCGUCCGCAAAGCAUAAAAAGCAAAGUAUCUCAAGCCUUCAUCUGAAAAAGAUGAGGAUAGCGCUCCUGCAGUGCGCUCUCCAACUCCCACGUGGCCUCGCGUUCAUCGUGGUUGCUCCAAAGAACCUUUACGUAGGGGAUCUCACGGUUCCGCAAUCUCUUUACUUCGCGAGCGAAAAUCCUCAAAGGUUUGCUCUUCAAAGCUCAAAUCAUCCCUCGGCUCCAAAGGUGUAGCGUCCAACAUGUGAGCCGGAUCAUGGAUGUACUUCUGAAGGACCGAUAUAUGAAAUACAUUGUGUACACCCGAUAGGUUCGGUGGUAGAGCAAGUCGAUAUGCUACCGGCCCUACACGCUCCAAAACCUCAUACGGUCUAAUGUAUCAGGGGCUCAACUUACCCCGGAUCCCAAAUCUUCUAAUCCCUUUGGUCGGCGAGACUUUCAAGAAGACAUGAUCACCAAUCUGAAACUCGAAGUUUCGUCGACGCCUAUCAGCAUAACUCCUCUACCUACUCUGGGCUGUCAACAGGCGCUCCCGAGCAAUGAGAACCUUGUCCUCUGCCUCCUGGAGCACAUCUGGGCCUAAAGCGAAUCUCUCGCUAACUUCACUCCAAUGAAGGGGCGAUCUACACUUCCAUCCAUAGAGUGCCUCGAAAGGUGCCAUCUUGAUGCUUGCUUGAUAACUGUUGUUAUAAGCAAACUCUGCCAUCGGUAGAUGCUGUGACCAUCCUCCCUGGAAGUCAAUCACACAGGCUCGAAGCAUGUCCUCGAGAGUCUGUAUAGUGCGCUCUGACUGCCCAUCACUCUAGGGGGUGGAAAGCGGUACUGAAAUCCAAGCGUGUACCCAAAGCAUCUUGUAAGCUCAUCCAAAAAUUAGAUACAAAACGGGGAUCUCGAUCUGAUACUAUAGAAGUAGGUACCCCGUGCAAUCGCACAAUCUCAUCCAAGUAUACCUGUGCGAGUCUCUCACAAGUUCAAGUAGUGUGGAUAGGUAUGAAAUGUGUCGAUUUCGUCAAUCUAUCCACGAUCACCCAAAUAGCGUCAUGCCUAGCCUGUGAGCGAGGCAAUCCUGUCACGAAAUCUAUGGUGAUCUUCUCCCAUUUCCACACCGGAAUCGGUAAGCUCUGCAAUUUUUCCGCGGGAACUCGAUGCUCAGCUUUCACCUGUUGGCAAGUUAAACAUCUAGCAACAACCUCACCAACGUCCUUUUUCAUCCCGGGCCACUAAUAAAGCAACUUCAAGUCCUUGUACAUCUUGGUGCCUCCCGGAUGUAUAGCAUACGGUGCUCGGUGUGCCUCUUGAAGAAUUUCUUCUCUAAGUGCCGAUUACGCCGGUACAUAGAUCCGUCCACGGAAACGCAUCAAUCCAACACCGUCCACAGAAAAGUCACCGGUGCAACCAUCAAUCAUCUUAGCUCGAAUCCUUUGCAACUCCACAUCGUGAGAUUGCUUUUCUUUAAUCCUUUCCAAAAGUGUAGGUUGCACCACCAAGGUCACAGUCUCAAGGGUGUAUCAGGUGCCACCACCUCCAACUCCAACCGCUUCAUCUGCUCGAUCAACGACGGUUGAGUAACAAUAAGAAUCGCUAAGUUUUCCAUCGAUUUCCUACUUAGCGCAUCCGCCACCACGUUAGCCUUGCCCUGGUGGUAAAGAAUUGUCAAAUCAUAGUCCUUGAGGAGCUCCAACCAUCUGCGCUGCCUCAAGUUCAACUCCUUCUGAGUGAAUAAAUACUUAAGCUUUUGUGAUCCUUAUAUACUUCGCAGCGCUCGCCGUACAGGUAAUGGCGCCAUAGCUUCAAUGCAAAUACCACGGCCGCUAACUCCAAAUCAUGAGUAGGGUAGUUUCUUUCAUAAUCCUUCAACUGGCAAGAUGCAUACGCGAUCACUUUCCCCUCCUGCAUCAAGACACAGCCCAAUCCAUUAAAGGAAGCAUCACUAUAAAUCACAUACCCUGCUCCAGCAGUUCGCAAGGUUAGGAUUGGGAUGGUUGUCAAUCUCUGCUUCAACUCUUGGAAGCUCCUUUCACACGCAUCAUUCCAAACAAACUUGGUGCCCUUAUGCGUGAGCCUCGUGAGGGGAGUGGAUAACUUUGCAAAUCCCUCAACAAACCGUCGGUAGUAGCCGGCCAAGCCAAGAAAACUCCGAAUCUCGGUGACACUCGUCGGCCUCGGCCAAUCCUUGAAGGCUUCAAUCUUACUAGGAUCCACAGCUAUACCUGAUCCUGAAAUCAAAUGGCCCAAAAACGCCACCUCUCUAAGCCAAAACUCACACUUUUUCAACUAGCAUAGAGCAUCAUUUCCCGAAGCACUUGAAGUACUAGCCUCAAAUGUUCCUCGUGAUCCGCAUCACUUCGGGAAUAGACCAAAAUGUCGUCGAUGAAUACCACGAUGAACCUGUCUAAAUAAGGCUUGAAAACACGGUUCAUCAAAUCCAUAAAAGCUGCUGGGGCAUUAGUAAGCCCAAACAGCAUAACAGUAAACUCAUAAUGUCCAUACCAUGUUUUAAAAGCCGUCUUCGACACAUCCUCAGGCUUGAUCUUCAACUGGUGGUAUCCCGACUGCAAGUCGAUCUUGGAAUACACACUAGAUCUCUGGAGCUGAUCAAAUAAAUCAUCAAUCCUCGGUAAUGGAUACUUAUUCUUGAUCGUGACUUUAUUGAGUUCACGAUAAUCCACGCACAAGCGAAGUGAUUCAUCCUUCUUCUUGACAAAUAGGACCGGUGCUCCCCAAGGUGACACACUCGGUCGCACAAAACCCUUGUUCAGAAGAUCUUGCAACUAUGCCUUCAGCUCCUUCAGUUCCUGUCACGCCCCGAGACCGAUACCAAUUUGGCCCGACCCGAGCACGUCAAACAGACGCCGAACGGACAGAGUUUCUCCUGUCCGCCCAAGGCUCAUCACAUGUACAUUUUCAUCAAUAGAGAAAAGCACUAGCGGAAACAUACACAAACGGCUUACACGAGGGUAAGCAAUAGCCAUUAGUGAAAGAAAGGAAAACUAAACAUCUACACAAGUAAUAUGAUUCAUUUUAGAUCACAUACAUUGCAUCCAUUUCUUACAUUUAGGAUUCUUUGCAAUUCAUUACAUCAUUUCAUCAUUUCUUUCUUACAUUACAUUUACCUCAAAAUACACAUCACAUUCUUUUCUUUAUAUUACUAAUCAUCAUGUACAAAAGAUGAACAUAGGGUACUUUACUACAGAAUGAAACCCGACUUUGGUGGCCUCUGACUAAGGCGCGAUACCUUUACCUCGGUCGCUCGCCGGCUCGCUCGGUCCCGGCUCUGUGGAAAUAGUGGGGUGAGAACUACAACAAAGUUCCCAGUGGGUUCGGCCUCAACAUCACCGACUUUCCCACUAGGACUAACUCAGGCAUAAUAGAAAGAAUAAGCUGUAUAGUAACCAAUCUAUAACAUAAUGCUAAUAUGCCUGAACAAUAAGCAAGAAGUAUGCUCAACAUUANNNNNNNNNNNNNNNNNNNNNNNNNNNNNNNNNNNNNNNNNNNNNNNNNNNNNNNNNNNNNNNNNNNNNNNNNNNNNNNNNNNNNNNNNNNNNNNNNNNNNNNNNNNNNNNNNNNNNNNNNNNNNNNNNNNNNNNNNNNNNNNNNNNNNNNNNNNNNNNNNNNNNNNNNNNNNNNNNNNNNNNNNNNNNNNNNNNNNNNNNNNNNNNNNNNNNNNNNNNNNNNNNNNNNNNNNNNNNNNNNNNNNNNNNNNNNNNNNNNNNNNNNNNNNNNNNNNNNNNNNNNNNNNNNNNNNNNNNNNNNNNNNNNNNNNNNNNNNNNNNNNNNNNNNNNNNNNNNNNNNNNNNNNNNNNNNNNNNNNNNNNNNNNNNNNNNNNNNNNNNNNNNNNNNNNNNNNNNNNNNNNNNNNNNNNNNNNNNNNNNNNNNNNNNNNNNNNNNNNNNNNNNNNNNNNNNNNNNNNNNNNNNNNNNNNNNNNNNNNNNNNNNNNNNNNNNNNNNNNNNNNNNNNNNNNNNNNNNNNNNNNNNNNNNNNNNNNNNNNNNNNNNNNNNNNNNNNNNNNNNNNNNNNNNNNNNNNNNNNNNNNNNNNNNNNNNNNNNNNNNNNNNNNNNNNNNNNNNNNNNNNNNNNNNNNNNNNNNNNNNNNNNNNNNNNNNNNNNNNNNNNNNNNNNNNNNNNNNNNNNNNNNNNNNNNNNNNNNNNNNNNNNNNNNNNNNNNNNNNNNNNNNNNNNNNNNNNNNNNNNNNNNNNNNNNNNNNNNNNNNNNNNNNNNNNNNNNNNNNNNNNNNNNNNNNNNNNNNNNNNNNNNNNNNNNNNNNNNNNNNNNNNNNNNNNNNNNNNNNNNNNNNNNNNNNNNNNNNNNNNNNNNNNNNNNNNNNNNNNNNNNNNNNNNNNNNNNNNNNNNNNNNNNNNNNNNNNNNNNNNNNNNNNNNNNNNNNNNNNNNNNNNNNNNNNNNNNNNNNNNNNNNNNNNNNNNNNNNNNNNNNNNNNNNNNNNNNNNNNNNNNNNNNNNNNNNNNNNNNNNNNNNNNNNNNNNNNNNNNNNNNNNNNNNNNNNNNNNNNNNNNNNNNNNNNNNNNNNNNNNNNNNNNNNNNNNNNNNNNNNNNNNNNNNNNNNNNNNNNNNNNNNNNNNNNNNNNNNNNNNNNNNNNNNNNNNNNNNNNNNNNNNNNNNNNNNNNNNNNNNNNNNNNNNNNNNNNNNNNNNNNNNNNNNNNNNNNNNNNNNNNNNNNNNNNNNNNNNNNNNNNNNNNNNNNNNNNNNNNNNNNNNNNNNNNNNNNNNNNNNNNNNNNNNNNNNNNNNNNNNNNNNNNNNNNNNNNNNNNNNNNNNNNNNNNNNNNNNNNNNNNNNNNNNNNNNNNNNNNNNNNNNNNNNNNNNNNNNNNNNNNNNNNNNNNNNNNNNNNNNNNNNNNNNNNNNNNNNNNNNNNNNNNNNNNNNNNNNNNNNNNNNNNNNNNNNNNNNNNNNNNNNNNNNNNNNNNNNNNNNNNNNNNNNNNNNNNNNNNNNNNNNNNNNNNNNNNNNNNNNNNNNNNNNNNNNNNNNNNNNNNNNNNNNNNNNNNNNNNNNNNNNNNNNNNNNNNNNNNNNNNNNNNNNNNNNNNNNNNNNNNNNNNNNNNNNNNNNNNNNNNNNNNNNNNNNNNNNNNNNNNNNNNNNNNNNNNNNNNNNNNNNNNNNNNNNNNNNNNNNNNNNNNNNNNNNNNNNNNNNNNNNNNNNNNNNNNNNNNNNNNNNNNNNNNNNNNNNNNNNNNNNNNNNNNNNNNNNNNNNNNNNNNNNNNNNNNNNNNNNNNNNNNNNNNNNNNNNNNNNNNNNNNNNNNNNNNNNNNNNNNNNNNNNNNNNNNNNNNNNNNNNNNNNNNNNNNNNNNNNNNNNNNNNNNNNNNNNNNNNNNNNNNNNNNNNNNNNNNNNNNNNNNNNNNNNNNNNNNNNNNNNNNNNNNNNNNNNNNNNNNNNNNNNNNNNNNNNNNNNNNNNNNNNNNNNNNNNNNNNNNNNNNNNNNNNNNNNNNNNNNNNNNNNNNNNNNNNNNNNNNNNNNNNNNNNNNNNNNNNNNNNNNNNNNNNNNNNNNNNNNNNNNNNNNNNNNNNNNNNNNNNNNNNNNNNNNNNNNNNNNNNNNNNNNNNNNNNUUUGUCUUCUAGAGAGAGAGAGGGAGAGAAGAGAGUGUGAGGGGGGGUGAAAUGAGAGAAAUAUCUCAUUUACCCUCACAACAUAACCAUUGGGCUGCAAAAAUGCUAUUAAACCCCUCAACUUUUAUCUCUGUGCACUGCCUGGACUGGGCAGUUUUCGCAGGCAGAGACCGGUCUCCCCGAGCAGGGACCGGUCCCCGAAGGUCCACCCUGCGCAGCCAGAGCAGCCGCGCGUAAUGCAUCCGGUCCCUCCUUGGUGGGACCGGUCUCUGGGGGACCGGUCUCUCAGACAGAGACCGGUUCCCGAGAGCUGUCCUUCCAGGACUUAGCCGAUUUUUCGGCUGUCUCAUUCUGCACGCGUUCGGGGACCGGUCUCUCCCACAAGGGACCGGUCUCCGAGAGCUCAAAAUCUGCAGUUUUGUAGAAUUUGAUUCUUUAGCUCUCGAAAACCUCCCGUAACUCAUUUUUAAUCACUUUAACACCUUCGGACUUUCCGAAGUGUACCAUCCUCGCACUUUGGUCAAUUUGACUAAAGUUCGAUAUUUAUUCUCCGAAUUUUCGGUAUAUUACAGUUCCGCUGAUGCCAUCCUAUAGGGAGUCUUCGAGAUUGGAGUAGUUUCGGGAACGAGAUCUACCACAAACUCAAUCUCCCUAUCAGGUGGCAUGCCUGGAAGCUCUGCUGGAAAUACAUCUCCAAACUCUCGUACUACGGGGAUAUCCUCAAUCCUAGGGGCGUCUGCAUCGCCCCGCAACACAACAGUAGCCAAGUAGGCUACGCAGCCUCUGCUGAUCAAUUGUUUAGCUCGAGAGGAGCUAAUCGUCAUUGCAAACAGCAAACUCUGGCAUCCUCGGUACACAACCUCCGCCUGCCCCGGCUCUCUAAACGUCACAGUUCAAUUCUUGCAAUAGAUAGUAGCAUAGUACUUGGUCAACCAGUCCAUGCCCAAAACAACAUCAAACUCUCCGAGUUUAUGCAAAGCUAGCAAGUCCACGGGCAUGAUCCAAUCUCCAACUCGAACAGGGCAACUGAGGCAAAACUCUCGAAUAUCCAAAGAGUGAUCAGGUACUACAACUCGUCCCGGAUACAACAAAGAUGUCAGUGGAAUGCCAUGCAACUCGGCAAACAACCGGUCUAUGAAUGAAUGCGAUGCACCGGUAUCAAAUAAUGCUCAUACUCGAAUACCAUAAAGUAAAGUGAUACCUGCGACCACAUUCUCGGCUGCCGCCGUCUCCUCAGUCUGGGCCUCAUACAUGCGCCCACUCGGGGCCUGUCGUGACCUCUCCGCCUGCCGCUGAACUGGCGGCUGCCCAGCCUGAUGGUGAGCAGAAUGUGUCCCCUGACUGGGACCCGGUAGAGCUGGUGCAGAUGCCGAAGAUGGCGCUGGUGCUGGACCCCUCGGGCAGUCUGACUGGAAGUGGCCCUUCUGGCCACACAAGUAGCACUUGCCCUGACUACGUGAAUACUACCGUGGAAAAUGGGGACCAUCGCAGAUCACGCAGCGCGGAGCCUGGCGUCGAUCAGGUCCUCCUCGCUGAGUAGACUGGCCACGUCCUCGCGACUGGCUCCGGUGUCUCGGAUGUCUCGGCGGCCUCCCAGAGUGCGCCUAGCUCGCACCCUCAGCCGUGGGCCUUUUGCCCUUUCCCUUGUCCAGGGCCUCUCGCCGCUCCUGUAGAUCUGCUGCUCUACUCUCCAUAAUGAGCGCACGGUUCACAACCUCUCGGUAGGUUUGGAGGUUGGAAGAUUGAACAAAUUGAAAGAUCGAAGGCCGCAAUCCCCGCUCAAAGAUGCGGCCCUUGUCCUCGCCGUCCCGAACAACGAAGGGCACACAAUGAAGAAGCCGGGAGAACUCUCUCUUAUACUCGGCUACGGUUCUGUCUCCCUGGCGCAGAUUACGCAGAUCUUGCUCCAUCUUCCUCUUGACGCUGUCAGGGAACUAAUGCUCCAGUAGAAGUUCAUUGAACCUCCUCCAUGAAAUCGCCGUCAGAUCCGUGCUGGGCUUGUCCUGGAUGUCCAACCACCAUCUGUAGGCCUCGCCGUCCAAAUGAUGUGUGAUGAGCCACACUCGAUCCCUCUCCUCGACAAAGGUGUCCCGAAACAGCUUCUCCAUAUGCAUCAGCCAUUUCUCUACUAUCCAAUGGUCCACGUUCUCCCCAUCGAAGGUCCGUGGACUGCAUCGCCUGAACUCACUAAGGCGCUCCAUGAGUCGAUCCAGCUCAGCUCUCUUAACCAUCACGGGAAAAAUCGCCCCCGUUAUAGGUGCUCGCGCUGGUGGUGCCACGAUGUCCUCCUCCUGAGGUGCCGCCGCUGGUGCCGUCCUAGAAGCAUCGAGUUCAGGGGACGACACCCUGGGCGCAACCACCUCUACUGGUGCGGGUGGUGUAGGGACCUGAGUCUCUCUAGCAGCCGCUUGCUGCAGCAAAAGGUCCUCCAGGCGCUUCAUUCACGCCUCCUGCCGAAGUGCCGUGUCCGCCUGUCGUGUCACCAAAUCAGUGAGGGCUGCAAGCUGGCCCCUCAACUUACGGACCUCGCCAGAUCCGGAGGUAGCGAAGGUCUCGGCCUCCUCGAGAUGUGCCGUAUUAUCCGCUCCCGCAGAUUGAGAGCGUGUGAUCGGCAUCGUCACAACAACAUCAUAAAAGGGUAAGUUAGUAAACCCACGCUGUCGAAUCCAUGCUCAAAUAAACAAUACCCAAAUCAUGCGAAAGUAAGGAAGUGUUAUCCACAACUAACUCCCGAUGUUACGUUGUCGGCCGCCAACGUAACCCUCCGCGAAGUUAGAAGCCAUACACUUCGAUUCAACUCCAACUUUUUAGAGUUAUCAUAAAACCCAAUUAUAAUACUUUCGCCAACAAAUCGAAUAGACCUCGUCUCUCACGAGCCUAUUUUCUAUAGUCCAACCGGCCUUAGGUUUGCUGGGUCCACUAAGACUCAACCCUAGGCUCUGAUACCAAAUUAAUCUGUCAUGCCCCGGCACCGGCGGAGGCCCUCCCGGUAGCGUGCCCAAACCCGCCAUAUGUCAGCACAUAUAAGGCGUCUAUAGCAACAGCGAAAAAUAAAACCAAAGAUGAUCUACAACUAGAGAUAUCAGAGCAAGUAUACAUCUAUCAUCUAUAACAAAAGUAAAUAAAGCGUAACUAAACAAUAAAGGUAAAAUAUAGAGUUAUACAAAUAAUUCUCUCCAAAGAGGCACAAAAGGGGUGAUCUCUAUACAUGGGUACAAAUCUCAACCUCUCCAAAAGAAAACAACGAGAGGUAAACCACCUAUCGACGCGUCCCUCAAAGCAAGCUAGCUCGAGGCAAUUCCCUUUCCGCGGUCCCUAGCCUCUCCCGGAGUGGAAGGCUCUGAAAUAAAAAUAUGAAACAGAGGGCGUGAGAACUAUAAUUUAUAGUUCCCAGUGGGCAAUUACUGACCUCAGCUCAAUGCACCACUAGGCCCCAAAAGAAAAGGAUAAGUCCAAAAAGCAACAAUAAUAAAAAAUAAAUUGCAUUUAUGAAAGUAUAAAUAAAAUGUUAAGCUACUAUGUCGCAAAUAAACAUGAUGUCAAUGUGUUGUAUAUUUACUUUAUCAAAACGAAGUAUGUCCAAGCAUGACUAAUAUGUCCCAACAUAACGAGCAAGUAGGUAUCAUGAUCCAACAUAUCAGUAUAUAAUGAAUAUGCUCUAUCAUGGCAGCCAAGUAUACUAUGAUGCAACAAAUAAGACUAUCAUGUAUACUACAUGUCCCAACACUAUGCUAUAAGCAUGUUUAAGUAAUUAAACUACUAAGCCUAUCUAGUAGUGAUUGUCAUUUUUCCUGUUCAAUGUCAUUGUUUAAUCAUGUUCUAGGACCUACAUAAAUGUAGUAUCCAGCUUUGUGCCACCUAAGUGUCGGUGUAGCUCCAGCAUUCCCUCUCUAGAAUGAGUCUAUUCCUCCCGACCCCGUAGGUUUUCGCAUAUCGCACAGUGGUGAGCAUAAGUCGCGUAGGCCAACUCCGGAGUGCCGGCUGUAGGGAGCGACCCUUUACAAGCAUGUGCGAAUGAGCACAAAUGGCAAGCAAGCGUAUGUCAACGUCUCAAAAGUCCAAUCAAUCAUGUCUCUAACAUGGUAAAAGUACUAGCAUCUCAAAGAUCUAGUUCAAUGCCUCAAGGUGAUGUUCCAAACUCACUAUGCUUAGUGCCUCUUUAUGACACUUAAGCUUGUUAUAAGUUAAAUACACAUUUAUAUUCUAUAUUCCAUUCAUUACAUUAGUACUAGGUUCUCAUUUAAUUCGAGCGCCAAUGCCCCUUUAUGACAUUAGCCCAAUCAUCUCAAGUAGUACAAGUCCCCAAGCCUCUUAAGGCUUAUUAGUCCCUUAUGUCUCAAUUAGGUAUAGAUUAAAAGCAUGAAGCAAUGCUCAAUUUCAUUGUAAGAAAAUGGUCCCGAGUCCAACAUAAGAUGCCCAAUGCUAGUAAGCUUCACAUGCAACUCUCUCCUCUACUAUAUAGAGUCCGAAAAAAUUCAUUAUUACAUGACAUAGGAUGUUAAGCAUUCUAAAAUUCACAAUAAAUACAUUUAACAUGAAUAUUCAUGAAUUUUCACUUUACGAAACAUAAAUCACCAAAUAUGAGGAUUUCUCUAUAUUGUAGGCUAGGUCAAACCACCGAACAUUGCGCAACCCUUCGUAAGCUCCAACGAGUGCCCACUAGCCCUUAGUCACCUAGAAGUAUAGAAAACAAAGGUUAAACGAACCUUCGAACAACUACAAGAUCAAACAUUAACCAUCUAUACAAAGGGGCUAAAAUCUCACCUAUAGAGAGAAAUCCCUUCCAAAGCUCAAAAGGAAGCUAAAUCCUCCAAAGUAACCUAAACCAAGAUUCUAAUCCAAUUAGAUUAGCUCUUAAAAGCUUCUAAUUAAAAAGUCCCAAAUAAACCCUAGGUUUCCAAUUUCUAGGGUUUCAUUUACCAUAAAGGCAACAAACUCAAAUUAGAGGGAGAGAACAAGUCACUUACCUCUUAGAAGCUUCAAUCCAAGCUCAAAGUCCUCAAACUUCAAGAUCUUCCUCAACCAAGCUUUAAAUCCAAGGCAUAGUCACGCCCCGGGACCGCCACAUUUGGCGCCACCGACCGAGCGACGUCAAGACAGACCCUGGAGGACAGAGUUUCCCCUAUCCGCCAAGGUCUCAUCACAUUACAUUUUCAUCAAUAGAGAAAAGCCACUAGCGGAAUACAUACAUCAAACGCUUACUGCGAGGUAUAGCAAUAGCCAAAUCAAAUGAAAAAGAAAGAAAACUAAAAUAUUCACAAGUAAUCAUGACAUUUUAGAUCAUAUACAUUGCAUCCAUCUCUACAUUUAAGAAUUUUUUGCUGUUCUUACAUAACGUCAUCAUUUCUUCUUAACAACAAUUUACCUCAAAAUAAGCUUUGCAUUCUUUCUUUACUCACUAAUCAAUCAAGUACAAAAGAUGAUAAAGGGUGUCUACUAACAAAAGUAACCCAACUCUGGUGGCCUCUUGACUAAGCGCAUACCUUUAGCGGUCGCUCGGCACGCUCGUCGUUCCCGCGCUCGGAUAGUGGUGGAAACUAGCAACAAAUGCUUCCCAGUGGGUUCGCCUCAAGUCCAGACUUUCCCCACAUAGGACUAACUCAGGCAUAAUAGAAAGGAUAAGCUAGAACAUAUGUAACCAAUCUAUAACAUGAUGCUAAUAUGCCUGAACAAAGCAAGGAAUAUGCUCACAUUAAUAGAUGCCAGGUUAUGCAUGUUCUUAGUUCUUAUUCCACUUACUCUUUGUUUCUUAUUCUUUGUUCUUUGCUCUUUAAUCCAUUAAGGCUAACCGGGGGGUUCGCUACAUUAACUUGCCGCACGUUAAGUCCAUCUAUCGCAGCGUAGCUCACCAGCUAGAGCCGUCCUUUCGCGUCUUACUCCAACCGGAUGUAUAACUCCGAGCGCAUCGCCGAGGGGGGACGCCGACCGCCCUUCGAGCACGGAACUCAACAGCAAGUAUGAUCAUAUCCUUACUCAAAGGAUUAUAGUUCAAUCUUGACUUUACCUAGCUCGUAGUGUUCUUUACAUCAUCUUUAUGUUGCAAACUCAUGCAAUACAUUCUUACAGGUCUCAAUUACUCUUGCGUAACUGCUAGCCAAUCAAUUGUCUUUGCUUUCUUUUACUUUUUGCCUAACGAUCUAGCCAUCGCUUGUUCUUAUUGCCCACUUUACUUUAGGCUCUACUCGUCGGUUAUUUUCAUCAUCUUUACAUCACUUUAAUUCUUUACAUCACAUAACUCUAGUGUCAUUUCACAUUAGCUUUAUCGAAUACACUCGAGCUAUGUCAUUGUGCCACUCUGUCUUUUACUCACUUUUGGGUACUUCACAUCUUCUCUCAUGUACAUACAUCUAGGGUUUUACAUUAUUAGGUUUCAACAUCUCAUGAUGCAGUUGUGCUCCACAAUCAUGCAAUCAUCAACAUUUCAUAUUACUUACCCUAAAAAUGCAUGCCAACAAUAUAUUAUAACAAAUAUCUCAAAGAAUGACACAUUAUGGCUAGAGAGUAAUUCAAUGAGUUGAGAUAGCACACCCACCCUCGUAGGUCUAUUUAAGCUCGUGCUCCGACAUUAUUUCUUGUGAUUUGUAGCAUGCUUCGCUUCUUUACCUGCGGCAAAACGAAGCAGCCUAGAUAGGCCUUGCCCAUAACUUUACAUAACACCUUUCGAAAUGCCUAUUCCGAGCGCACCAACGCGUCGAAAUAGCCCCAAUUAAGUUUUUAGAGCGGCAAUUGCACUAUAGAAACCUUCAAUGAGCAAAAGGCCCCAAUUUGGUGCCUAGCUCCAAUGUAUAUCAAAACCUAGGGUUUGAUCUAUUGGGAACGCAAAAGUAGCUGUCAUCAUACUCUAAUAGCCGAUUAGGAAUCAUUCCUUAGCUUUCCAAAACCCUAGUUUUUGAGAGUUCACAUUAGAGGUGGGUUGCAAGCUCACCUUGAGCCCCUCAACCAUCGGAUUUGAUCUCUAAAGAAAGCAAAGAGAGAAGCUUCAAAACUUCUUCAAAAUAUCCCAUUAAAACCCAUUUUAGCGUUAGCAAAACUCAUCGAGGGCUUUUCUACAUAUAGAUCAAAGUUACCUUGUUAGCUUUCCUGCUUGCCAGAGAGGAAGAAGAUGCAGGCUCCUUUGCUCCAAAAGUUCUUCAUCACCUUCUUCUCUUUUUUUUCUUAGAUUAAGAUUAGAAGAGAGAGUUGAGUUGUAUUAUAUAUUAUAUAUCAGUGUAUAUCUAUUUCUAUUAUAUUAUUUUACCUCUUUUAUAUCUUAUAUUUUUGUAUUGGUCGGUUCUGGGGACCGUUCUCCCCUGACUAUGGGACCGCUCUUCCGAGACUCUUGGCCAGCUGCGGGCCAGAUCUGCUGGCCGCGCGAUGGCAUCCUCUCUCUCUUUAGGGGACGGUCUCUGCUUAUUCUGGUGUUUUUAACAGAGAGCCUCUCUCGUCGCUGUAUUAGUCUCAAUCUUAUUGUCUGAUUGCGUGCAUCUCAUUGCGGUUGCGGGUGUGAGCUCGGUCGCUCUGCCACAGGAUCCUGUCCCUCCGGAGAGCUCAAAAUACUGCAGGUUUGUCCCCAGAAUUUGAGUUCUUUAGCUCUCGAAAACCUCGCCUACUCAACUUAUCGGAAUCCACUUUAACACGCUUCGUGACGUUUUCCGAAGCUGCACCAUUUCUCGCUACUGUGUUGGUCCAAUUUGACAGAAGUUCGAUAUUUAUUUUGCCGAAUUUUCGUAUAUUAACAUUCUCUCACCCCUUAAUAAUUCUGUCCCGAAAUUACAUUACCUUAACUCGUCACUCAAAUAGAUGCGGAUAUUCGUCUUCCGCAAUUGACGCUCCUUCGCAGUCUCCCAAGUGGCUUCCGCACAUUCAUCGGUGCUCCAACUGGACUUUCACAUAAGGAUCUUGCCGACUUCGCAACUUUCCUUCUCUAUCGGAGGAGCACACGUGGGGGUACUCCUCGGUAUAGGUCAUGAUCCGUCACGUUAGCUCGCAGCGGGUCAUACUCCAAUCAUGUGUCGGGUUUCGGAAUUCCUUUCGAGAGAUUCGACACGGGAUGAAAUUACAUUGAUGAACGCUCCCGCGCGCAUCCGGUGGUAAUGCGAGCUUAUACGCACCGCCACCCACACGCUCUAAUAUCCAAAUGGUCCGACAUACGGGGACUUAGGCUUCCCACGGACUCCCACAUCGUUUAACUCCUCGCAAUCGAUACUCUCAAUAAUACACGGUCUCAACGCUAACUCUAAAUCGUUCUUAUGCUUGUCGGCAUAACCUUUUGCCGAGAUUGCCGCCAUCGCCAACCGGUUGACGGGCUUCAAGGCCGAACUUUCUCUUCCGCCCGCCGCACUACAUCCGGGCCAAGAGCCGCUUUCUCGCCCACGUCGCUCCAAAUGAAUAGCGGAUGAACGACCUUUACGUCCGUAUAGCUGCUCAAAAGGCCCAUUGCUAUGCUUCUUGGUAGCUAUUAAUUGUAGGCGAACUCCGCCAUAGCCAAGAAAUCAUGCCAUCCUCCUUUGUUAAUCUAGCGACACACAUGCUCGAAGGUGAAAGCCUCAAGAUUUUGUAUCGUCGCUCUGAUUUCAUCACUCUCGAGGAUGAAACGCGUGCUAAAUCGAGUGCCGCGUUCCUAGCCGCGAUCUUGCAACUUUUCCAAAAGUGGAUGUAGAACCUUGGGGUCGGCGAUCUACACGAUCGAACACUGGAACCCCAUGGAAGUCUCACAACCUCGGUCAGAUAAACUUGCGCUAGCUUGUCUCCGACCACUCAGUAUGUAUCGGCAAGAGUGUGCCACUUGUAAUCGAUCCACUAUCACCUCAUAUCGCAUCAUGAUUCGUCGCUUGUGAUCGAGCGCAACCUGGUAAACAAAGUCCAUUGCUAUUUUUCCAUUUCCAAAACGGGUAUUGGUAGACUUGUAACUUGUCCCGCCGAAUCAGCGCUCGUGCUUGUUACUUGUUGGCACUGUUCAAACAUUGCCGCACAAAACUUCCCCGAAGUAUCUCUUUCAUACCCGAGCCACCAAUUAGUGCCUUUCAAGUCCUGUACUUUAGCUGCCGCCGGGCUGUGUAUACUAUACGGGGAGCAUUUGAUCCGCUUCUUGAUGAAAUCGCCCUUCGCAACAUCAUUUUGAGGCACACACCAUCGAUUUCGAAAUCGAACGCCCAUCAACUCCAAUGCCAAAUGUCUUCGCAUUGCCAUUCUCAACAUACACCCCGAACCUUUUGGGAGAUAAGGAUCCAAGCUUGUAACCUUUGAUCUUGUCCAACAGGGUCAGCGUUGCUACAACCAAGGUGGCAAGUGUAGCGGCUACUCCCGGCGCACACUUCCAACGCCGAAUCGAUGCAUUCUCCUUUUGUAAUAGCGGUUGAGGCGUAAUUCCGUCGCAAGUUCUCCGCCGACUUUCUACUCAAGGCUCGGCCGACGACAUUGAGCUUUUCCCGGGUGGUAUAAUAUUGGGGACAAUCAUAGUUCCUUCAGCAACUUUAACCACCGCCACCUGUCGCAUGUUCAACUCCUUCUGGCGUGAACAAAAUACUGCAGGCUCUUCGUGAUCGUAUACACCUCACAAUGUUCACCAUACAAUAAUGAGCCUCAGCAGCUUAGCGCGAAAAGUCACCGCCAGUCCUACUCGAGGUCGUGAAUCGGGGUAGUUCUUCUCGUACUCUUUAAGUUGGCGUGAUGCAUAAGCCAAUGAGGCCCGCCAUUCUGCAUUAAUACGACCCUGAGACCAACAUACGAUGGAGCACUGUACAUACAAGGUCUCUCCCGGUUAGUUGAAGGCAGAGGACCGGGUUCGAGCGUCCAACCUGCUCUUUUAACUCUCGAAGCAUUCGAUCGCAAUUCGUCGCUCCACACAUACUUUACUCCUUUAUGUGUAAGGCGCCCUGUUACGGGGGGGGAUGGUAUAUUUGGCAAACCCCUCACGAACCGCUGUUAGUAGCCGGCCAGUUCAAGAAAAACUGCCGGAUCUCCGCUACAUUCGGUUCGGGCGGAGGCCAAUCCUUUAUGCUUGCUACCUUCUUCGAGUCUACCGAAACUCCACGGUCGCCCUGAUUACACAUGACUCAAGAAAUGUGAACGCUUUUAGCCAGAAGUCACACUUCUUUAACUUUUCAUUAGAGCUUCUCUGCUCUGAGUAUCUGCAAAGCACCGCUCUCAGGCAUGAUCUUCGUGCUCCUCGCUCACUCUUGAUAGUACCAAACACCGUCGUCACUAUAAACACCCGACGCAGUCGAUUCAAACAACGGUCUAAACACUCGAUUCAUCAAGUCCAUAAAUGUGCCGGGCAUUGGUAAAGCCAAACGGCAUACCGUAUAAACCACUAAUGGCGCCAUUACGCGUACGGUAGCCUUGUUUUGUGCACAUCUUCGCGGCGCUGAUCUUGUAAUUGAUGAUACCCCGAUGGAGAUCAAGUUUCAAUUACACCUUGGACCCUUGCCAACCUGAUCGAACAGAUCAUCAAUCUUUGGCAACGGGUAUUGCUUCUUUAUCGUUACUUUGUUAAUCGCCGAUAAUCUACGCAGAGGUCGAAGUGUGCAUCCUUUUUCUCACAAUAGGCACCGGAGCUCCCACCGGUGACCACACUCGGUCUCACAAGCCUGUAUCGAGCAAGUCUUGUAGUGACCUGUUAGCUCCUUUAACUCCACCGGUUGCCAAUUCUAUACGGGAGCCUUCGAAACUGGUUCGCCCGGGAAUCGAAGUCAAUGACAAACUCAACUUCCCGGUCCCGGUGCCCAGUCCCUUGGUAACUCCGCCAUGGAAAGCAAUCAACGGAUAACUCCACGCAAACCCCGGAACUUUCCAAGGUCUGGGUGCUCCCUACGCUGCCUCAACCACAUGGUUGCAAAUAGCCUUAACAUACGCGCCUGAAUCCAUUCUCUCUCGCCCUCUACAGACGAUAUGGUCGCCCGGCGAAGCGUCUACUUUGUACACGCCUGUAAGACUAUCUACUUCUUGAUUAGGCUCACGAACACAGUGAUCACCUUGCUUUCACAAAUCUCUCACCGCAUCAUAGCUAUUGAGAGGCCAGUUUGGCCCAAGAUAACAUCGAACCCCACACUUGACUCGUUAAAAACGCCUAGCAGAUCCAACCGCAUAACAAUCGCCUAUUUGCACUGGAGCACGCCCAAGCACUCGUUAUGGACACUGGAUGAAUGCUCCCUGGAGCCGUUCACCCACGCAGUAAAUCCUCAUGUACACCAUUCUCGUAUGCCAUGGCAGGUCUUUAGCGAAAUGAAGUGCUAAUAAAUGAAUGAGAUGCCAGCCGUAUCAAACAUGCUCUAGCUCAAGUGCUUUAAUCACAAUCUUAUACCUGCACGACGUCGUCGGCUGCUGCAAGUUGUUGCCCUCUCCACCUGAGCGCGCCAAAGACUCGGCGCUAGGCGCUCUCGAACCCUGCCGGUAGACGCGGGUGUGCUGACGCGCGUACCAGCCGACCAUCGGCGUUAACGCCGCACUCAAGCUGUCUUCGAGGUAGACGGUGUCUGAAGCCUGCGUGCCUAGCGCAGCAUGACUGUCAAACGACGGCACUUCCGAUGACAUGUCCGCUUGGCCCAGCUUGGAAACACUUGCCAUCGCGCUGCGGGCAAGUCGGGUCACCUUGUGCUCUCCGCCCACAGGAUUACACAUCGGGCGCGCUCCAGUUCCUCGACUGCUGGCGGAUACGAGGCGGCCGUUUCUUAGCAUAUUGGCCGGCCCCCGGCACCGGCCGCCGACUCUUUUCUUGCCCUUGUCCUUGGACUCGUGGCAAUAGCUUCACGUCUUCACGUACAUGGGCCGCACCGUGUGCUCCGCCACACACGCUCGAUCGAAAGGGGGGGGGGGGGGGGGACCCGCCGCAAAGGUGACAGCUUCAAAUAUUGCCCCAACCUUUUCAUAAAUCGGGGUGUGGAGUCCUCGCAAGAACCAAUCCGCGGCCGAUCAUCACGAACAAGAGCGUCGGGAAUGCAAUCAUGAUCUGACGAGAAUCUUGCUCGUACUUCUCCACCGUUCGAUCACCUUGUCUCAUACUUGCGGAAUUUGUCUUGUAGCUUCCGUUCACCGUGGCGGGCGAGUAGUUCGCGAACUACCGCUCUUACUUGAACUUUCCCAAAAGCAUAAGCGGAAGAGCGGUAGGUCAUCGCCGCAUUAACGCGCUUCCACACACCUUGCCGCUUUCUCCAAGACAAUGGGUCGCGAGCGUACACUUUGUCUUCUCCGAGGUAUUAAGGUCCGCGAAUGGGUCUCCAUCGAGUCGAUCCCACACUCCACCCAAUCCCGCUCCACCAAACCGCCCUCGAAGCAGUAGGUGGGCUCGAAUUUCUUGAACUGGAUUAAGCGCGCACGCCAAUGAGCGCUCUCGCUCCGCAUCGACUGCCCGCAUCUAUCGGGAUUCGAGGUUCCCGACGCGCCGUCCUACCGUGACUUGGCAAGACAGCCGCCCUGCCGCCGCCCUCCCUCGUCCACGCUCGGGCACUACCGCAGAUGGGGCGACAGGGUUUCACUUCGUCGUCGCCUUGGGCCGCCCGCCGCCUGCUGGCGCCCUUCCAGCGUCUCCUGGAGAUGCUGCAAGCUGUUCCCCUAUGGCGUGUUGAACAGACUCCGCUUGUGCCGCCACUACGCCAAUAAGCGCGGCCAUUGUCCCUAAGCUCUUGUUCCGGCGCCACUUGCUUCCCGCUGGAUUGCAUCGGGCACCGCAUCGCUUCCUCCGGGCCAUCGACCUCCGUUGCGAUUGACGUCGAGGCGCCAGCGCCGCUGCCAUUGCCCUCCUGAAAAGAAGGCAACUCAACAUUAUCACGGACGACUACUGACCAACCAUUAGGCGAAAGCCAACAUGCAUAUUCACCUUGCCCUCAAGCGUCAUUCGCGUCGGCGGGCGCCCACACAACACUAGAAGUAGAGGAUAAACGGAAAUCAACUUAGCUCUAAUCACAUUGAUGAGUGAGUGUUCCAAGCUUAACCCAAUCACAUGCUUUCGCCUAACCUGCAUCCCACGCACUCACAGUUCCUAGAUCCUUAAGGCCCUUCCAAUCCUAAUAGGUCUCUAGGUCCAUUCCUUUCUUCGACUAUUAGCCUCUGUUACCAACCCUAUCUGUCACGUCCCGGGACCGCCUGCCAAUUUGGUCCCGACCCGAGCAUUCAAACAGACGCCGGAGGACAGAGUUUCCACCUAUCCGCCCAGGCUCAUCACAUGUACAUUUUCAUCAAUAGAGCAAAGCAUAGCGGAAACAUUACACAAACGGCUACGCGAGGGUAACCAAUAGCCAGCAAGUGAAAGAAAGGAAAACUAAACAUUCACAACGUAAAUGAUUCAUUUUAGACAAUAUACAUGCCAGUCUCUUACAUUUAGAUUCUUAUGCUGAUUUCUUACAUAAUCUAUCAUGUUCUUCUUUCAAACACAUUUACCUCAAAAUAAGCUUUGCAUUCUCUUUCUUCACAUCAUAAUCAUCAAGUACAAAGAUGAAUAAAAGGGUGUUAGAACAAAAUGUAGACCCAACUCUGGUGCGCUCUGACUAAGCGCCGAACCUUACUCGGUCGCUCGCUCCGGCUCGCUCGGUCCCGCCUCUGUGAAAUAGUGGGUGAGAACUACAAUCAAAGUUUCCAGUGCGUUCGGCCUCAACAUUCACGGACUUUCCACUAGGACUAAUCGAGGCAUAAUAGAAAGGAUAAGCUGAAAUAUGGUAACCAAUCAUAUAACAUCGAUGCUAAUAUGCGCUGAACAAAAGCAAGGAUAUGCUCAACAUUAAUAGAUGCAGCGGUAGCAUGCUUCUUUAUUCUUUUCACUUACUCUUGUUCUUUAUUCUUUGUUUCUUUGCUCGGUUACAUCAUUUAGGCUAAGCCCGGGGUUUCGCCACAUACUUUGCCUCACUUAAGUCCAUCAUCGCCAGUUUUUACGCAACCAGCUAGACCCGUCCUUCGGGCUAGCUCCAACCCGGAUCGCGCAUAACUCCGUCGAGCCGCAAUCGCCCCGAGGGGGAGCGACCGCCCGAGCACGGGACUCGAACAGGCAAUAUAUGAGCAUAUCCUUAACUCAAAGAUUAUAAGUCAAUCUGGACUUUACACUAGGCUCUAGUGUUCUUUUACAUCACUUUAUGUUGCAAACUCAUUGCAAUCACAUUUCUUGACAUUCUCAUUACUUUGCUAACUCUAGCAAUUCAUUGUUCUUUGCUUUCUUUUACUUUUGCUAACUUAGCAUUCUUGUUCUAUUGCCCACUUUGACUUUAGCGGUACUCUCGUAUUUCAUCAAUUCUUUACAUCACUUUAAAAUCUUUACAUUCACAUAACUCUAGUGUCAUUGCACAUUAGCUUUAUCGAAUACCACUCGAUACUAUGUCAUUGUCCACUCUUUCUUUUACUCACUUGGUACUACCAUCUUCUCUCAUGAUACAAUCUAGGCGUUUCUUACAUUAUUAGGUCUCAACCAUCUCAUUAUGCAGUUGUCGCUCACAAUCAUGCAAUCAUCACAUUUCAUCAUUACUUUACCCAAAAUGCACUUGCACACAUAGUAUAUAACAUAUGCUCAAAGAAUGACCAUUAGCAUUAGAGCAGAAUUCACAUGAGUUCGAAAGCACCACCACCUCGCUAGGUCUAUUAGUGCUCCCACGAUUUCUUGGGAUUUUUAGAUACUUCGUCUUUACCUCCGGCAAAACAAGCCCGAUAGGCCCAUGUCGCCAUAACUACAUACACCUUUCAAAUGCUCUAUUCCGAGCGCACAACGCGUCCGAAAAUACCCCCAAUUAAGUUUUAGAGCGGCAAUUAGCACUUAAAACCUUCAUGGAGCAAAAGCCCCAUUUCGGUCCCUUAGGCUCCACAUCGUAUAUUCAAACCAGGGUUUGAUUCUCAUUGGAAGCAAAAGUAGCUAUUAUACUCUAAAUAGCCAUAGAAUCCUUCUUAGGCUUUUCAAAACCCUAGUGGGAUUUUCACCAUUAGAGGUGGUAUGGAAUCUCACCUCUGAGCCCGCAACCGAUGGACUUAUCAUCUAAAGAGAGCAAAAGAAAGCUUCAAAACUCUUCAAAUAUCCCAUUAAAACCCAUUUCUAGGUUAUUCAAAACUCAUUCUAGGGUUUUUCUACAAUAUAGAUCAAAGCUUACCUUGUAAGCUUUCCUUGUAAGCUUUCCUUUCUUGCCCUAGAGAGGAAGAAGAUGAGGCUCCUUUGCUCCAAAAGCUUCUUCUUCACCAGAAAAUUUGUAAAAGCUCAGAGUAUAGCUCAAACACUCGAACCUCACAAUUUGCACAGGUCUAGUAUGUUACAGGUAUACCUCGACGAGGUAGUGAGACUGUAUGGGGUGCCGAAAUCGAUCGUGUCGGAUCGCGACCCCCGGUUUACUUCACACUUCUGGAAAAGCCUACUGGAAGCCCUUGGCACACGGCUCGACUUCAGCACUGCAUUUCAUUCUCAGACCGAUGGGCAAACAGAGAGAACCAUUCAAACUCUGGAGGAUAUGUUGCGAGCAUGUGUCAUCGACUAUAAGGGAAGUUGGUGUGAUCACCUACCGAUGGCCGAGUUCACCUAUAAUAAUAGUUAUGUCACGCCCCGGGACCCAGCGGAGGCCCGCCCGGCGCGUGCCCAGACCCGCCAUAUGUCUACAACAUAUAAGGCGUCUAAAAACAACAAUAAUAACAGCAAUAAUACAAGACGUCUAGUAGUAUCAGAGCAUAAUAAAAGUCUAAAUGCUACAACAAGGGAUAAAGUUAAAACUGUAAAUCCACUAAAUAAAACAUAAAGUAAGUACAAGAGGGAUCCCAUAACAAGUGCUAAAAAGAGUACACGGUGGUCUUUCUAUACAGGGUACAAAACCUCUCCCUCUCUCCCAAAAUAUAAAAUGGAGAAGAAAUAACCACCUAGCGCAAAAGAAACUCUCCCGAGCUAGCUACGCGACACCCUUGCCGCGAUCCCGUGCCUCCNNNNNNNNNNNNNNNNNNNNNNNNNNNNNNNNNNNNNNNNNNNNNNNNNNNNNNNNNNNNNNNNNNNNNNNNNNNNNNNNNNNNNNNNNNNNNNNNNNNNNNNNNNNNNNNNNNNNNNNNNNNNNNNNNNNNNNNNNNNNNNNNNNNNNNNNNNNNNNNNNNNNNNNNNNNNNNNNNNNNNNNNNNNNNNNNNNNNNNNNNNNNNNNNNNNNNNNNNNNNNNNNNNNNNNNNNNNNNNNNNNNNNNNNNNNNNNNNNNNNNNNNNNNNNNNNNNNNNNNNNNNNNNNNNNNNNNNNNNNNNNNNNNNNNNNNNNNNNNNNNNNNNNNNNNNNNNNNNNNNNNNNNNNNNNNNNNNNNNNNNNNNNNNNNNNNNNNNNNNNNNNNNNNNNNNNNNNNNNNNNNNNNNNNNNNNNNNNNNNNNNNNNNNNNNNNNNNNNNNNNNNNNNNNNNNNNNNNNNNNNNNNNNNNNNNNNNNNNNNNNNNNNNNNNNNNNNNNNNNNNNNNNNNNNNNNNNNNNNNNNNNNNNNNNNNNNNNNNNNNNNNNNNNNNNNNNNNNNNNNNNNNNNNNNNNNNNNNNNNNNNNNNNNNNNNNNNNNNNNNNNNNNNNNNNNNNNNNNNNNNNNNNNNNNNNNNNNNNNNNNNNNNNNNNNNNNNNNNNNNNNNNNNNNNNNNNNNNNNNNNNNNNNNNNNNNNNNNNNNNNNNNNNNNNNNNNNNNNNNNNNNNNNNNNNNNNNNNNNNNNNNNNNNNNNNNNNNNNNNNNNNNNNNNNNNNNNNNNNNNNNNNNNNNNNNNNNNNNNNNNNNNNNNNNNNNNNNNNNNNNNNNNNNNNNNNNNNNNNNNNNNNNNNNNNNNNNNNNNNNNNNNNNNNNNNNNNNNNNNNNNNNNNNNNNNNNNNNNNNNNNNNNNNNNNNNNNNNNNNNNNNNNNNNNNNNNNNNNNNNNNNNNNNNNNNNNNNNNNNNNNNNNNNNNNNNNNNNNNNNNNNNNNNNNNNNNNNNNNNNNNNNNNNNNNNNNNNNNNNNNNNNNNNNNNNNNNNNNNNNNNNNNNNNNNNNNNNNNNNNNNNNNNNNNNNNNNNNNNNNNNNNNNNNNNNNNNNNNNNNNNNNNNNNNNNNNNNNNNNNNNNNNNNNNNNNNNNNNNNNNNNNNNNNNNNNNNNNNNNNNNNNNNNNNNNNNNNNNNNNNNNNNNNNNNNNNNNNNNNNNNNNNNNNNNNNNNNNNNNNNNNNNNNNNNNNNNNNNNNNNNNNNNNNNNNNNNNNNNNNNNNNNNNNNNNNNNNNNNNNNNNNNNNNNNNNNNNNNNNNNNNNNNNNNNNNNNNNNNNNNNNNNNNNNNNNNNNNNNNNNNNNNNNNNNNNNNNNNNNNNNNNNNNNNNNNNNNNNNNNNNNNNNNNNNNNNNNNNNNNNNNNNNNNNNNNNNNNNNNNNNNNNNNNNNNNNNNNNNNNNNNNNNNNNNNNNNNNNNNNNNNNNNNNNNNNNNNNNNNNNNNNNNNNNNNNNNNNNNNNNNNNNNNNNNNNNNNNNNNNNNNNNNNNNNNNNNNNNNNNNNNNNNNNNNNNNNNNNNNNNNNNNNNNNNNNNNNNNNNNNNNNNNNNNNNNNNNNNNNNNNNNNNNNNNNNNNNNNNNNNNNNNNNNNNNNNNNNNNNNNNNNNNNNNNNNNNNNNNNNNNNNNNNNNNNNNNNNNNNNNNNNNNNNNNNNNNNNNNNNNNNNNNNNNNNNNNNNNNNNNNNNNNNNNNNNNNNNNNNNNNNNNNNNNNNNNNNNNNNNNNNNNNNNNNNNNNNNNNNNNNNNNNNNNNNNNNNNNNNNNNNNNNNNNNNNNNNNNNNNNNNNNNNNNNNNNNNNNNNNNNNNNNNNNNNNNNNNNNNNNNNNNNNNNNNNNNNNNNNNNNNNNNNNNNNNNNNNNNNNNNNNNNNNNNNNNNNNNNNNNNNNNNNNNNNNNNNNNNNNNNNNNNNNNNNNNNNNNNNNNNNNNNNNNNNNNNNNNNNNNNNNNNNNNNNNNNNNNNNNNNNNNNNNNNNNNNNNNNNNNNNNNNNNNNNNNNNNNNNNNNNNNNNNNNNNNNNNNNNNNNNNNNNNNNNNNNNNNNNNNNNNNNNNNNNNNNNNNNNNNNNNNNNNNNNNNNNNNNNNNNNNNNUCUCUCUAGAAGCAAAAGAAAUGGUGAAGUGAGAAGAGGAGAAGGAGAAGUGGCCAUAUAAGCCUUCUCUUGUAACAAAAUCCAGCUAGGCCCCUCAAAAAGUCCAAUUUACAUCAGCCCGAACUGGGCAGUUUCCGCCCAGAGGGACCGGUCUCUCCCCAGCAGGGACCGGUCUCUCGCUGCGAACCCGAAAAUCCAGCGUUCGGGAACCGGUCUCUCCCUGCGCGGGACCGGUCUCUCACUGCGAGAACGCGCUCGGGAACCGGUCUCGCCUGCCAGGGACCGGUUGCCUCAGAGCUGCCGCAGCACUGCUCACUGGGGGAACCGGUCUCUCCUUCCAGGGACCGGUCCCCGAGAGUAAAAACUCUCAGGACUUGUCCAAAACUCUCGAGAUCGAACUUUUAGACCGGUAUACCAUCGACGGCCCUCCACCAAGUGUGGAAAAGUUCGGAAUACAUCCAAACACUCGAACCUCGCAAUUUGCAAAGGUCCAGUGUGUUACAAGUUAUCACGCUUGUGUGGAGAUGGCACCGUUUGAGGCCCUCUACGGGUGGACGUGUCGGUCUCCUAUAAACUGGAGCGAUGUAGGUGAGCGUGCCGAGUUCGGCCCUGAUGUGUUGCGAGAAGUGGAGGAGAAAGUUCGUCUUGCUCGCAAGAGAUUGCUCACGGCGCAGUCUAGAUAGCAAAGCUAUGCAGAUAGGCGCCGUCGAGAUAUCGAGUUCGCUGUGGACGACCGUGUGUUCUUGAAGGUUUCACCAAUGCGGGGCGUGAGCGGUUUGGAGUUCGGAGAAAACUAAGUCCCCGGUACAUUGGACCUUACGAGAUAUUGGAGCGAGUUGGCACGGUGGCGUAUCGGCUUUCCUUGCCGCCGAAGCUCGCGGAUGUACACAAUGUGUUCCAUGUCUCCAAUCUCCGCAAGUAUAUUCACGACCCUGAGCACGCGAUGCUAUAUGAGCCACCGGAACUUCAAGAGGACUUGAGCUAUGAAGAGUUCCCGGUGGGUAUUAUCGCCCGGGAAGUACGAAAACUGAGAAAUCGAGAAAUUCCCUAUGUGAAAGUUCGGUGGAACAAUCAUGAUGAUCGCGAAGCCACCUGAGAACUCAAGGAUUUGAUGAGAAAGCACCACCCUCAUCUAUUUGAGGAAUGAGGUGAAGGUUAAAUUAAAUUGGAAAAUUGAGUUAGUUUCGAGGACAAAACUCCUUUUCAGGAGGAGAGGAUGUAAGGAAGUGAAUUCUUGAAAUCUGAGAGUUGUACUUCGUCCAGGAUCGACUAAUUGUCGAAUGAGUAUCCUUCGGAAAAGCUAAAGAUGUCCAAAACACAAAAAGUGCUUUAGAAUCGAUUCCGCGAGAACAAACAAUGCAAAAUUCAGCACUUAGCCAAUUUUGCUCUCGGGGACCGGUCCCUGGAGGGGAGGACCGGUCCCCGUAGCUGAGGGUUGCGGGGGAUGCUCUAUGCAACCGGUCUCUGGAGGAAGGGACCGGUCCCCGUGUGCGACACCAGCUAGAGAAGACCAAAAAUGGCUAAGUGUUAGAAAUAUAGCUCUCGGGGACCGGUCUCUCAGGGAGGACCGGUCUCCGAGGGACCGGUCUAUCGGCCCCGGACCGGUUCCCGUACGCGAAAAAGCUGGCAGAGCUUUCUGCCUGCAUGGAAGGCUCUCGGGGACCGGUCUCCCCGACUAGGGACCGGUCCCUCUGGGCGAAAACUGCCCAGUGAGGGCUGUGUACAGGAUGAAAAGUAGAGGGUCUAAAAUGGAUUUUGUUACAUUAGAGAGGCAUAUGGGCUCUUUCUCUCCCUCAGCCUAUCAUUUCUCUCCCUCUCUCAUACUCUCUUGCUCCCUCUCUCUCUCUUUAGGAAGAAAAGGGAAGAAGAAUAAGAAGGAGAAGGAGAAAAGAGAAGAAGAAGGAGGAGAUCAAGCUCAAGGAGGCUUGGAGCAUCUUCCUCUUCCUCUCCUCACCAUUGGAGUAGCUCGAGAGGUAAGCUCUUGAUCCCUAGCUUAUGGAACUUAGGAUUUUGGGUUUUGAGCUUUGGAAAUGAGGUCAAAUGGACCUCUAGCACCCUUGUUGGUGGCUUAGAGCUAGAGGCUAAGGUUCAUGGUGCAAAUGGCAAGAUAGAACACUAGGGCACCCAAAAUGGGGUUUUUGGUAAAGUAUGAGAUUGAUCUCAUUUGAGUCCUUGUAAACCUAAUUGCUAGGUGUCUAAACGCGGGGGCGAAGUCGAAAUUUCGAUUCGUUGAGCGGGAGAAAAGCUAUCGGCAAAAUAAGGCCGAUUGAGCAUCGUUUUGGACCAAGGAGGCCGAGACCUCGUCGUAACGUUCGGCAAGAGGCAUUUCUAGAACCUCUACAACAAGAAAAGGUGGGGGGUGUCAUCCCGAAGCAACCGAGCUCUUUUCUAUGUCUUAGAAUAGCAUAAUCUCAUCUCUUGCAUGUUGCAUUGUAGAAUUGCAUUGUAAUGCCAUUUCCUUAUGCUUCUAAAUGUUAACCUAGUGUACAUGGAAUACUUGGUGAAAAUUGAUAGGUAAGGAUUUGGUCGAAACGUGGAUCCUAUAGUGCUAAAGAAAAGAGAUGGACACGAUGGGUGUUUGGUGACAUAGAAAAUGACAUCUAAGUGUUUAAAGAACAUAUUGAGUGGCAUUAAAGUAGUGUACUUGACACUAGAGGUUUGAGAAUCUAGGGAAAGGUGGAUCCCUUAGAAAAUGCCUUGUGGACAAAGAAUUUAGUGAAGCUAAGUGCAAUUGCAUGAUGGUCGGAAUAAAUGACUUCCGAGUGAUGUUGGCCCUAGUUCGUAGGGCAUCCUCACAUGGAGAGGACAUAGACGAGUUUUGAUUGUGACAUUGGCCCUAGAUGGUAGGGUAUUCUCACGAGUAGAGGAUAGAUCAAGCUCACGGUCUGUUAUUUAGGGUGGUAUAGCCAUCCAUAUCCUCAUAUGGAGCGGAUUGUUGUCGAGUACUCCGGAGUGUCGGGCGAUAGGGACCACAUGGAGGUCCACAGACAGUCCCGGGUUUGGGGGCACAUGGAGCUCCCCUACCCAAUUGGGAUGGAAAGGUGAGUUGAGGGCGAACCCAAGGGUCUCGCCAUAGAUUGGGUAAAUGGAAAACAAGUAUUGUCAUUGAACAUUAUUAUUCGAACAUGGAUCGAACUUGUUAGCAUGGUAGUAAACCCUUACUAUAUGAUGCAUGCAUUCAUUACACAUAAUUAUGGGCAUAGUAGCAUAGAUUUCCUAUUAUGUCAUUUACAGCUUUGAGAUAUCCAUCUAUAUAUCUAUCUUGUUGUUACUUGUGCCCACUUGGACCUAGUGGGGAGACCGGCGGAAUCGGCGGCCGAGCCCACUGAGAACUAUGGAAAAUAGUUCUCACCCCACUCUAUUUCUAGUGGUAGGUAUAGGGUUGCCGAGAGAGGACCACGGCAAGGGCAUCGCGCCCGAUCAGUGAGACUGUGGUAGUAUAGUAGCUUUUCUUUUGCAUUAGCACACCUAUGUAUUGAGAGAGAUUCAUGUAGGUGAGGUUUGGAGAGCUAUGUAUGUUGGUAAGCAAAAUGUAUUUAUUUUGAGAAAAGAUGUAAAUGUAAAAGAAAGCAAACUAUUGUAGUAGUUAGUAAAGUACUCUCUUUAUUUCACUUGUAUAUCUAGUGGAUUACUUGCUCUUGUUGUUGUUGGCACUGUCAGUGCCCUGUUGAUUGUGUACUUAUAGAAUUUACAUUCCUGGAUAAAUUCUUGUACUCAAUCUGUGGUUAGGCCUUGGGCGGGCAGGGGAGGUGCUGCUCGUUCGGCGUCCGUUCGCCGCGCCCGAACCGCGCCAAAUUGGUAGGGGUUUCGGGGCGGGGGGCGUGACACUACAGCCCCUAAAGCUAAAUCUGGUAGUUUUCAGAAAAUGACAGCGUAGGAUCUCUAUAUUUUAUCCUAAGUCAAUUCUAAGUCCAACAUGUAAAAUUAACUACUAGCUUAACUCGAAAUUCAGAUUUAAUCACUAAUCCAUGAAUUCGAGUACUAGAAAUGUAAGGACUGAGAUUUUGAUAGUGCAAUUAGACUCUCUGUUGAUGAUGUUUAUGUGUGUAAUUUAAUUACAUAAACAUUCGUCAAGUUUCAGGAGAAAAUGAGCUAGAAUGGAGAAGUUACGCGAUUAUUAGUUUUCACUUAAGUGAAUAGUAACUCCGGUUUUCCGGAGAAGCCACGGAGUAGAGUUGGCUUUCAGCGCGUAUCGGACUCCGUUCAUAGCAGUCCAAUAGCUCGUUUCGAUCGGUUCAGCUAUUCUGGAACUACUGGCACUGACUGAUUUUGAGUUUGACGCACGGAUUUCGAGAAAAUCCAAAAAUACGUGUUUUAUAUGUAUUUUGUGCGUAGUUUCUUCUGUUGGAGAGAAGGUCGGAUUUCGUCGUGAAUCCGCGACCGUUUGAGGUGAAAUGAAAUCGUAGCUUUGUUGUCUCCGAGGUGCUGAUCGCACCGGUACAAUCCGUUCGCAAAUCUGACGGACGGAUCUGCGGAGAUCGCACGUUGAUCGAGGAGAGGUCGGUGUUGGCAAAUUGUAAUUUCGCAAAAGAUGCGACAUUUUAUGUACCGUUUUGCGUGGGAUCGCACGUGGAGGGGUAUUCUCGCGUUUUACACGCGCUGUGGAGGACUCGUUAUGAAAUUCUGAGUUUUGGAGGACUUACUUGCAAUUUGCACCUUAUGUAUAUAUAGUGUACCUAGGGUUUUUGAUCCCCUAACCCUAACCCUAGCCAUAACUGCACCCCAGCCACGUUCUUGCCUCCCUCUGACCUGGCCGCGCGCCUCCCGGCCGCCGCCGACCGGGUCCGGCCGGCCAGCCGCCGCAGCCGCACCAUAAUCCUCUCUCUCCUUCUCUCUUAUCUCGGGUUGUGAGGAAGCCCGAGACUGCCGCCACCUCCAGACCCUCCGCCGGUGUCGCCCNNNNNNNNNNNNNNNNNNNNNNNNNNNNNNNNNNNNNNNNNNNNNNNNNNNNNNNNNNNNNNNNNNNNNNNNNNNNNNNNNNNNNNNNNNNNNNNNNNNNNNNNNNNNNNNNNNNNNNNNNNNNNNNNNNNNNNNNNNNNNNNNNNNNNNNNNNNNNNNNNNNNNNNNNNNNNNNNNNNNNNNNNNNNNNNNNNNNNNNNNNNNNNNNNNNNNNNNNNNNNNNNNNNNNNNNNNNNNNNNNNNNNNNNNNNNNNNNNNNNNNNNNNNNNNNNNNNNNNNNNNNNNNNNNNNNNNNNNNNNNNNNNNNNNNNNNNNNNNNNNNNNNNNNNNNNNNNNNNNNNNNNNNNNNNNNNNNNNNNNNNNNNNNNNNNNNNNNNNNNNNNNNNNNNNNNNNNNNNNNNNNNNNNNNNNNNNNNNNNNNNNNNNNNNNNNNNNNNNNNNNNNNNNNNNNNNNNNNNNNNNNNNNNNNNNNNNNNNNNNNNNNNNNNNNNNNNNNNNNNNNNNNNNNNNNNNNNNNNNNNNNNNNNNNNNNNNNNNNNNNNNNNNNNNNNNNNNNNNNNNNNNNNNNNNNNNNNNNNNNNNNNNNNNNNNNNNNNNNNNNNNNNNNNNNNNNNNNNNNNNNNNNNNNNNNNNNNNNNNNNNNNNNNNNNNNNNNNNNNNNNNNNNNNNNNNNNNNNNNNNNNNNNNNNNNNNNNNNNNNNNNNNNNNNNNNNNNNNNNNNNNNNNNNNNNNNNNNNNNNNNNNNNNNNNNNNNNNNNNNNNNNNNNNNNNNNNNNNNNNNNNNNNNNNNNNNNNNNNNNNNNNNNNNNNNNNNNNNNNNNNNNNNNNNNNNNNNNNNNNNNNNNNNNNNNNNNNNNNNNNNNNNNNNNNNNNNNNNNNNNNNNNNNNNNNNNNNNNNNNNNNNNNNNNNNNNNNNNNNNNNNNNNNNNNNNNNNNNNNNNNNNNNNNNNNNNNNNNNNNNNNNNNNNNNNNNNNNNNNNNNNNNNNNNNNNNNNNNNNNNNNNNNNNNNNNNNNNNNNNNNNNNNNNNNNNNNNNNNNNNNNNNNNNNNNNNNNNNNNNNNNNNNNNNNNNNNNNNNNNNNNNNNNNNNNNNNNNNNNNNNNNNNNNNNNNNNNNNNNNNNNNNNNNNNNNNNNNNNNNNNNNNNNNNNNNNNNNNNNNNNNNNNNNNNNNNNNNNNNNNNNNNNNNNNNNNNNNNNNNNNNNNNNNNNNNNNNNNNNNNNNNNNNNNNNNNNNNNNNNNNNNNNNNNNNNNNNNNNNNNNNNNNNNNNNNNNNNNNNNNNNNNNNNUUUAAAUAUUGAAUGUAAAAAUGUGAAUCUAUGGUGAAUGGUGUAUGAAUAUAUAGCUGUGGUUAUUUGUAUAUUCAUCUGGUUGUGGUUGUAUCAUGUUUGAACUCUUGUACUUGUGCGACGCCGUGGAAAUACAGGGGAGACUCUGUCCGUGUGAACAGUGGAUCUCCUGUAUUUGUGGCGGAUCUGGCAUACCCUAGGGUCAGGUUUUCAAAAAAAAAAAAAAAAAAAAAAUUUCAGACGCUUUUCCGCUAUGCUUUAAACUAAAAAGGGACCCCGGGGCGUGACAAGAAAAAAAAAAAAGACAAACGAUAUAUGUCGACAAAUGUUGAAACUUAGAAGAUAUUCCGACGAUUUUGGUAAACUUCAACCCACCUCGAAAUCGCUAAUCCAACAACGGCGAGAAAUCGAAAGGGGAGGAAAACACGCGCUUGCCCGGCCUCCAACGGCGUAACAGCGACGCCCACCCGCUCGAACGGCUCUCCGGUGUAACGUCAACGUCGAUCCGAGCUCAAGCCGUGGCCUCCACCAUGCACACGACUCCAACCAAGAGAGAGAGAGGAAGUAAUAACCAAAAGAUCCCUCACUGCUUCUCUAUCCUAAAUAAAGCGGUGGGAUAAGAUUGAAAGGAUCAAGGCAACAAAUGACCAAAAGGCCCCUCACCUACUCAAACAUCCAGCUGGAGUAUCGGUACCAGCCCGAUAUCGUAUCGGUACUCAGCAUAAAUUAUCGCAACCCGAGAGCAGCAGUUCGGAAAAAUAUACUGGAGUACCGGCACUCCCCUGCAUGGUACCAGUACUCAAUACUGAAAACCUGCACUUUGCAGAUUUCAGUGUCAAACUCUGCUCUCGCGUCGCACUCAGUCCGGUCGUUUUGCAUCUAUUUCGCGCCAAAACGACUCCGACAUGUCCUGUCAUUCUCCAGAUGUGUCGCCAAACCUUAGAAGCUGAGAUCCACCAGCAACCCAAAACCAGAAAUACUACAGUGAUUCAAAAUUAAAUUUUUAAUUUUAAAGUAUAUGCGAAUUAUAUUUUGAUAUUUUUUGAUUAAAACAUAUAUUUAAAUUUUAGAUUUAUCAGAAAACAAAAAUAUAUAUACAAUAUUCGAUGUAUAUAUGAAAAAGGAUAUUGCAAAUAUUUUCUAAUAGAUUUUGAUAUUUUUAGUUUAAAANNNNNNNNNNNNNNNNNNNNNNNNNNNNNNNNNNNNNNNNNNNNNNNNNNNNNNNNNNNNNNNNNNNNNNNNNNNNNNNNNNNNNNNNNNNNNNNNNNNNUAUUCAUAAAGUUUCCUCCUUUUCAUUGGUGAUGAUUACGUUGAUUAUGAUACGGACGUUCUUUCUUCAGUCACCUGUAUAUUAAAGUUCCACUAUUACCUUUACGUACGUACGAGGUUAGUAUUAGUUUGAAACCGAGAAUGGGUUAGAAUGGCCAAUUGAGACAAUUGGGGUUAUAGAGUGUUGGGUUUUAAGGAAUUAUUGCCCCCUGAGCUUGGAGGGAUCCCUGGCAGUUGAUCACCCUGAAAUGGUGCGGGUCACCACUGGUUGAGGCCUCGCGUGGCGAGCUCCCCCUCGCUGGAGGGAGUUCGGUUCUGCUUUACACUCAUAGCUAGAUUAGGAGUUGAACUCCUGAGUAUCGGUGAUCAGACAGUGCGGGGCCCUGGAUCGCCUUCGGGCGGGCCGCGCACGGGUCUGGGCGGUAUACAGAAGUUGUAUAUUCCGCAGAUUUUUGUUGUUAUUAUUUUCGUUAUUAUUUUCUGGCCUGGAUGGACCUAGUGGGUAAGUCGGCGAGGUCGGAUGCCGAGCCCACUGGGAACUUCGUUGUAGUUCUCACACCACUAACCCUACAGGUCCUAGCACGAGCGGGGCGGCGGAGGACCGAGGCAAGGGUUUAGCGCCGUAGGUAGCGGCCACCGGGACCUUAUACAUUUUGUAGUCAUUCCCUUUUGUUACAUGUAUCAACUUUAUUUUGUUGAAUUAGAGAUGUAAAGUUGCAAACAAUUAUGUAUUUGGUGGAUGUCUAAAUGUAAAAGAUAAGAUGAUUGAAUGGAAUGUAAUAGCUUUAUUUACUUGAAUUUGGUUUAAUGAAAUCAAAUAUCAUGUGUGAUGUAUAUUUAGCUUAGAGCUUUCGCUUCCGUUGUUGCUUGCCCUCGUGCGAGCCUUGUAUUAUAUAUGCAAUUCUCUUGUUGAUUGCCUAUUUAUACAUGUUGUUAGAGCCUUGGGCGGACAGGGGAGGCUCUGUCCGUUCGGCAUCUGUUGACGUGACCCGAACCCGACAAAAUUGGCGGGGAUUGGGGUGUGACAAUAUAGUAUGCAAUCUAUAUAUGAUACUAUGCCUCAAUAAUCACAUGAAUGAAUGAGCUACUACAUAGUGCGUCGUGCAACUAUGCCUCGAUAAUCAGAAUGAACGAGCUACUACAUAGUGCGUCGUGCAACUAUGUCUCGAUAAUCAGAAUGAACGAGCUACUAUAUAGUGCGUCGUGCAACUAUGCCUUGAUAGUAUCCAAUCUCAUGGCCAACGUGGAGGUUGCUACCCCGACUCACAUCUCAAAUCUCGCUAGUGGGGAGGCUCUGCGCUACACCCACUCGAGACUCGCCUGCGGGACAACUACGUCUGUCCCAACAUGACUACUACUCCGGAGCUCGCUGGUAAUCAGUUACCCAUAACGCGACUACUACUUCGGAGCUCGCUACUUAGGUGGAGCGACCACGCCAAGAUUACACAGACUAUGUAAGUAUGAUUCAAUCCCCACACUGGAGGAUACCCUAUCUACUAGGGCCACAAUGCCUCAACUGCACUAAUGCCAAAUACAUAAUGUCCACAACAUGACAAUCGAAAAAAAUCUACUAUCCCUAGGUUCAAAUGCCAUAGUGUUCCUGUCACGCCCCGGGACACGGCAUAGGCCCACCUGGUGCGUGCCCAGACCCGCCAUAUGCCUGCACAUAUAAGGCGUCUACAACAAAAGAGGUAUGGAAGUGAGAAGAAAUAAAGUCACUAGAGAUAUCAGAGCUAUUAACAGCUAACAACUAACAACAAGUAGAGAAAGGGAAAAGUAAACUACUAAACAAAAAGAUAAAGUAAGUACAAGUGUUAUCACAAAAGUACUACAAAAAGGGUGGUCUCUAUACAAGGUACAACUCUCAUCCUCUCCCAAAAAGAAAACAAAGAAGAGGUGGACCACCUAUCGAACAUCCCUCGCUCACAAGCUAGCUCGUGGAGAUUCCCUUUUCGCGGUCCUUAGCCUCGCCCGGAGUGGAAGGCUCUGAAAUAAGAACAUGAAACAGAGGGCGUGAGAACUAUAAUUUAUAGUUUUCAGUGGGCAAUUACGGACCUCGGCACAAUGCACCACUAGGCCCAAAGAAAAGGGGUAAGUAACGAUAAUAUUGAACAAUAAUAAGCUGCUGAAUUGAAAGCAUGUAUGAACUGCAAUACUACUAUGCCACAAGAUAUAUGAUAUGUAACCAUUCUAUCAGGAUGAAAUAAGCCCAAUGCAUAGCUCGAAUGUUCUAUGGUGGCAACAAGCAUACUAAGAUGUAAUGAGUAAUACUAUCAAGUAUACUAUGAGUCUAUCUCAAUAUCCACCACUAUGCGGUAAACAUGUUCAAGUAUCCAACUACUAUACCCUAUCUAGUAGUGAUUAACCUUUGUAAGUUGAUGUCACGGUUCACUCUCAUUUGGGACCUUCACAAGUGUAGUCCAGCUUGUGCCGCCUAAGUGUCGGUGGUAGCUCCAGCAUUCCCACUCUGGAAAUGAGUCUAUCCCUCCCGACCCCGUAGGUUUCUCGAUACCUGUAACAUACCGAAAAUUUGGGAAAUAAAUAUCGAACUUCAGUCAAAUUGACCAAAGUGCGAGGAUGGUACACUUCGGAAAGUCCGAAGGUGUUAAAAUGAUCAAAAGUGCGUUAUGGAAGGUUCUCGAGAGCUAAAGAAUCAAAAAUCUGCAUUCUGCAGGUUUUAUGCUCUCGGGGACCGGUCCCUGAUGGGAGAGACCGGUCUUCGAAUGCGUGAGAAAUGAGAAAAGCUGAAAAUCGGCUAAGUUCCAGAAAACCAGCUGUCGGGAACCGGUCCCUGCGGGGAGAGACCGGUCCCCGAGAGACCGGUCCCCCAGAGAGAGACCGGUUGCAUCAGGCUGGAGCUCUGCCAGCUUCGGGGAGAGCCCUCUCGGAUCGGUCCCAAGUCGGGGAGACCGGUCCGCGAACACGAAAACUGCCCAGUUCAAGAAGUUUAAUAAGAUAAAGAUGAAGGGCCUAAUUGCAAUUAUGCAAUCCAUAGAGUGAAAUAGGAGGGGAUAUGAGAUAUUUCUCUCAUUCUCUCCCUCUCACACACUCUCUCCUCUCUUUCUCUCUCUAGAAGACAAGAAGAAGACAAAGAAAAGAAAGAAAAGAAAGAAAAAGAAGAAGAAGAAGGUGGAGAAGAAGAAAGAGUGAAGAAACUCCCUCUCCCUCAUCUCUAGCUUGUAGGAGGGAAAGCUUUGAGGUAAGCUUUAAUCCCUUUUAUGGUGAAACCCUAAAAUGAGAAACAAGUGACCUAGAAAUGGUUUUAAUUGAGCCUAAUAAGUGUUUCAAGCUUUCUUUUGCUUGUAGAUGAGAUCAAAACCAUGGUUUGGGUAUAUGUGAUAAAGCUUAGAGGUGAGCUUCACCCCUCUCAUGGUAGAAUCCAAACUAGGGUUUGGAUUGAGCUAAGGAUGGUUUUUAUGGAGUCUUUAGAGUAGAUUGAAACUUCUUUUGCUUCCUAAUGAGAUCAAACCCUAGGUUUUGAUGUGGGUUAAGCUAGGGCACCCAAAUUUGGGACUUUUGCUUGUAAAGGUUCUAAAAUGAAAUUGACCCAUCUAGAAACCUAAUUGGGGGUAUUUCCGAUGCGUUGGUGCACUCGGAUUGACGUUACGAAAAGCCAAUGUAAAGAUAUGAGCAAAAUGGCCUAAUAAGCUUCAUUUUGCCGCAGGUAGCAAACUAAGAGGCUAAAAAUUCCAAGAAAAUCACCGUAGCAUCCUAGUACGCCUACGAGGUAGGUGGUGCUAUCCAAACUUGUUGGAAUUCCUUCUAUGCCUAAUGUGUCAUUCAAUUAAGCAUAUGUUUAUAUUGUUGCAUGCAUUAUAGGGUAGAUGUGAUGUUAUAUAUGUGAAUGUUGCAUGAUGUGAGUAAACAUGCUAUUUGAAAUGUUUGAGAACCUAUUUAACCCUAUAUGUAUGCAUGAGAUAUAAUGUGAGCACCCAAUGAGAUGAAAGAACAAAAUGACACAAUAAAACAUAGAUCGAGUAGCAUUCGAUAAUGUAAAGUAAAGUGACACUAGAGUUAGUGUGUGUGGCAUCAAAGAGAAAUGUGAUGCAAAGAACAAUGAUAAUGAUUAGAGACAAGUAAAGAAAAUGAAAGUGGCAUAAAGAACGAGUAAAGUAAAGAACAAUGAUUGCUAGAGUUAGCAAAAUAAAGUGAUGAAAAGAACACUAGAGUUAGUGUAAAGACAAUGAUUGAACUAUAUAUCCUUAGAGUUAAGGAUCGAUCAUAUGCUAUGAGUUCCGUGCUCGAGAGCGGUCGCUCCCCCUCGAGCGAUGCGCUCCGGAGUUUUGCAUCACGGGUUGGAGUAAACCCGAGGACGGUCUUAGCGGGAGGCAGCUGAGGGCCCGCGUUGAUGGACUUAAUGUGGGCAAGUUAAUGUGGCGAAACCUCCGGGUUAGCCGUGAGAUUAAAGAACAAGAACAAAGAUUAAAGAAUAAAGAGUAAAGAACAAAGAACUUGCAUACUUGCAUGAUUUACGUUGAGCAUAUUUCUUGCUUUAUUGUUCAGGCAUAUUAGCAUCAUGAUUAUAGUCUGGUUACUAUUCUACUUAUCCUUUCUAUUAUGCCUAAGUUAGUCCUAGUGGAAAAGUCGGUGAGAUUGGGGCCGAACCCACUGGGAACUUUGUUGUAGUUCUCACCCCACUAUUCCACAGAGCCGGGACCGAGCAAGCCGGCCAGCGAUCGUGGUAAAGGUAUCGCACCUUAAUCAGAGGCCACCAGAGUUGGGUUUACAUUUUGUAGUAGCAUUCCCUUACUUUAUCUUUUGUAUUUGAUGACUAGUGAUGUAAAGUAAAGAAUAUAAUGUUUAUUUUUAGCAAAUGUGAUGUAAAAGAAAUGAUGCAAGCAAUGUAAAGAAUCAUGAAUAUGAAGGUUAAAUGCAAUGUAUGUGAUCAAAUGUUGAAUCAUAAUACUUGAGUAGAUGUUUAGUUUCCUUUCUUUCACUCAUGGCUAUUGCUUAUCCUCGUGUAAGCCGUUUGUGUAUGUUUCCGCUAGUGCUUUUCUUUACUUGAAAAUGUACAGGUGAUGAGCCUUGGGCGGACAGGGGAAACUCUAUCCGUUCGGCGUCUGUUUGAUGUGCCCGGGCCGGUCUAAAUUGGUAUCGGCCCCGGGGCGUGACAGAUAUUGUGGUAUCAGAGCCUAGAGUGAAAGAAUAAGAAUGGACCUAGACACCUAUACACCCAUAGGAUUGGCAGACCUUAAGGAUCUAGGAAACGUGAGUGACGUGGGAUCCAAGUUAGCGAAAGCAUGUGAUUGGGUUAAGUUGGGAUGUCUCUAAUGUGAUUAGAGGCUAAGUUUAAUUUUCGUUUAUCCUCUACUUCUAGUGUUGUGUCGGGCGGCCGACGACAUAACGCUUGAGGCAAGGAUGAAUGUGUAUGUUGCUUUCGCCGAAUUGGGUAUUGAUGAGUAAUGUUGGUUAUGUAGCAAAUGCGAGUUGCUUCUUUUCAGGAAGCAAUGGCACCUCGUGGACGACCACAGAUAAGGUCGAUGCCUGAGGAGCGGAGUGCGGAGCCCGAGCAAUCCGGAGCGAGUGGCGACGGAGAGCUUAGGGAUCAAGUGGCUGCGCUUAUUAGAGUAAUGCGGCAGCAAGCAGAGUCUGUGCGAAGCCAAGGGGAGCAGAUCCAAAGGCUCCAAGAGGCUAUUGAGCGACAACAGGCGGCGGCGACGCAAGCAGGAGCCGGACCUCCUGCGCCCCCUGUCGCGGUCGAGGGUUUAGCGGCAGAGCUGGUUGCGGCUGUGCCAUUUACGGCGGUGCCGGCCUGAUCGGGAACCUCAAAUCCCGAUAGUGCGGCGGUAGAGGCGGAGCGGGAGCGCACGUUGGCGGCUCUCAUAUAGUUUAAGAAGUUUGACCCACCUACCUUCGAAGGCGGUUUGGUGGAGCCAGCGGUCGUGGAGUCGUGGAUCGACUCGAUGGAGAUGCUCUUCGAGGAUCUCAAUACCUCGGAGAAGGAUAAAGUAUACCUUGCAACCCAUUGUCUUGAGAAGGCGACGAUGGUGUGGUGGAAGCGAGUCAAGCGGGAUCGACCUGCAGAUCUUCCGCUUAUGCUUUGGGAGGAGUUCAAGAGAGCAGUCUUCGCGAACUACUUCCCCGACAUGGUGAAGCGGAGGGUGCAAGAAAAGUUUCGCAAGUUGCGACAGGGCGAUCGAUCGAUGGGGGAGUACGAACAGGAGUUCUCCCUUAUCAUCGACUGCGUUCCCGAUGUUGUUAGAGAUGAUCGGGAUCGGGCUGAUUGGUUCUUACGGGGACUCCAGCCGAGAAUUUAUGAGAAGGUGCAGAUUCUGAAGUUGUCGACCUUUGCGGAGGUCUUUGAUAGAGCAUUGUGGGUGGAGCACGGUAGCGCCCACGUACGUGAAAAACGAGAGGCUAUAGCUGAGAGCAAGGACAAGGGCAAGAAGCGAACGGCGGGUAGUGCCAGGGGCCGGCCAAAUGCUAAGAAACCCCCUCGGUAUCCCGGACAGCAGUCGAGGAAUUGGAGACCACCUCGGUGCGUCAUUUGUGGCGGAGAGCACCGAGUGUCGACUUGCCCGCAGCGCGAUGGCAAGUGUUUCAAGUGCGGCCAACCGGGACAUCUUAUCCAGGAGUGCCCGAGCUGGACGUCAUCUGCGCCGACGGCGGCAUCAGCACCGUCUACCCCGAGACAGCUUGUGGGGUUACCACCAACAAUGUCGGCUGGGCGCGCGUCAUCACCGCGUCAGCCGGAGGGAUCGAGAGCACCUAGCGGUCGAGUCUUUGCCGCUCAGGUGGAGGAGCAGCAGCCUGCAGCACCCGACGACGUCGUGGCAGGUAUAAUUGUGAUUAAAGGCACUACAGGGAGAGCAAUAUUUGAUACAGGCGCAUCUCGUUCAUUCAUUAGCGUAUCAUUUUCUCAAACUCAUGGCAUAGAGAUGGCAUAUAGCGAGGACUACUGGUAGGUGAACGCCUCAGAACAUUCAUUCAGUGUCCACAAUGAGUGUUUGGCAUGUCCAGUGCAAAUAAGCGAUUGAAUUAUGCCGAUAGAUCUGCUAAUGCUAGAUCAGAUGUGGGGAUUCGAUGUUAUCUUGGGGACCAACUGGCUCUCCAAGUACUAUGCGGUCAUAGAUUGUGAAAGCAAGGUGAUCACUUUUUGUGAGCCUAAUCAAGAAGAAUUGGUGUACCAAGCGUGCAAAAGUAGGCGCUUCGUGGCGACCAUAUCGUCUAUAAGGACGAAGAAGAUGAUCAAAGGAGGGUGUAAGGCCUAUUUGGCAACCAUGGUGGAUGCUCGAAAGGAGUACCCAGAGUUGGGGGAUAUUCGAGUAGUGUGCGAGUACCCGGAUAUAUUUUCGGCGGAGUUACCGGGAUUGCCACCGAACCGGGAGGUCGAGUUCGUUAUCGACUUGGUUCCCGGGGCGGAACCAGUUUCGAAGGCUCUGUAUAGAAUGGCACCGGUGGAGCUAAAGGAGUUGAAAGUCCAAUUACAAGACUUAGGCUUAGUGAGACCGAGCGUGUCACCGUGGGGAGCUCCGGUGCUAUUUGUGAAGAAAAAGGAUAGCACACUUCGACUCUGCGUAGACUAUCGCGAGUUGAACAAAGUAACGAUUAAGAACAAGUACCCGUUGCCAAGGAUUGACGAUUUAUUCGAUCAGUUGCAAAGGUCCAAGGUGUAUUCAAAGAUUAAUCUCCAGUCGGGGUAUCAUCAACUAAAGAUUAGGCCGAAGGAUGUGCACAAAACGGCGUACCGUACGCGGUAUGGCCAUUAUGAGUUCACGGUAAUGCCGUUUGGGCUUACUAACGCCCCGGCAGCAUUUAUGGACUUGAUGAAUCGAGUCUUCAAGUCAUUGUUGGAUCGAUGCGUCGUGGUGUUUAUAGACGACGUAUUGGUUUACUCGAAGAAUGAGAAGGAGCAUGAAGAGCACUUGAGAGCUGUGUUGCAAAUAGUCAGACAGGAGAAGCUCUAUGCAAAGUUAAAGAAGUGUAACUUUUGGCUGAAGGAGGUCACAUUCUUGGGUCAUGUGGUAUCGGGCGACGGAGUGUCGGUAGACCCGAAGAAAGUAGAGGCAAUAAAGGAUUGGCCUCGCCCGACGAAUGUAGCUGAGGUCCGCAGUUUUCUUUGAUUUGCGGGCUACUACUGGCAGUUCGUGGAGGGGUUCGCCAAAAUAACCACUCCACUAACGCGCCUUAUGCAUAAAGGAGUAAAGUAUGCCUGGAGCGACGAUUGUGAUCGGAGAUUCGAGGAGUUAAAGAACAGAUUGACGUCGACCCGGGUGCUUGCCUUGCCGACUCCGGAAGUGACCUUUGUAGUGUAUAGUGAUGCCUCGUAUGUUGGUCUCGGGUGUGUACUAAUGCAAAAUGGGCGAGUCAUUGCAUAUGCAUCGCGCCAAUUAAAGAGUUAUGAGAAGAACUACCCGAUUCACGACUUCGAGUUAGCCGCGGUGAUUUCCGCGCUAAAACUGUGAAGGCAUUACCUAUAUGGCGAGCAUUGUGAUGUCUACACAGAUCACAAGAGUCUCACGUACUUGUUCACCCAGGUUCACAUCCCACUUUUGGAAGAGCUUGCAAGACGCGCUAGGCACACAGCUCGACUUUAGCACAGCGUUUCACCCUCAGAGUGAUGGACAGUCGGAGCGGAUGAUACAGACCCUUGAGGAUUUACUUCGAGCGUGUGUACUAGAUUAUAAAGGAGGAUGGCAUGAUUUCUUGCCAAUGGCGGAAUUCGCUUAUAAUAACAGUUAUCAAGAAAGUAUCGCGAUGGCGCGAUUUGAGGCACUAUAUGGUCGAAAGUGUCGUUCUCCUAUUCAAUGGAGCGACGUGGGCGAGAGAACGGCCCUUGGUCCGGACGUGGUACGGGAGGCGGAAGAAAAGGUUCGUCUUGCCCGUCAACGGUUAGCGAUGGCGCAAUCUCGGCAAAAGAGUUAUGCCGACAAGCGAAGGAAAGACUUAGAAUUCGCGGUUGGAGACCACGUAUUUUGAGAGUGUCACCAAUGCGAGGAGUCAAGCGUUUCGGGGUCCGUGGGAAGCUAAGUCCCCGUUAUGUCGGACCAUUCGAGAUACUAGAGCGUGUGGGUGCGGUGGCGUACAAGCUCACACUACCACCGAGACUCGCGGGAGUUCACAAUAUUUUUCAUGUGUCAAAUCUCCGAAAGUAUAUUUGAAACUCGACACAUGUAUUGGAGUACGAGCCCGUGGAGUUACGUGAGGAUAUGUCUUAUGAGGAGUACCCGGUGUGCAUCCUCGAUAGAGAAGAAAGAAAGCUGCGGAGUCGCAGAAUUCCACAUGUGAAGGUUCAGUGGAGCAACCAUGCGGUACGAGAAGCCACUUGGGAGCUCGAGGAGACCAUACGGAGAGAGUAUCCGCAUUUAUUUGAGUCGACGAGUUAAGGUAUGUGUAAUUUCGCAGACGAAAUUAUUUUAAGGGGUGGAGAAUGUAAUAUACCGAAAAUUUCAGGAAAUAAAUAUCGAACUUUAGUCAAAUUGACCAAAGUGGGAGGAUGGUACACUUCGGAAAGUCCGAAGGUGUUAAAAUGAUCAAAAGUGCGUUAUGGGAGGUUUUCGAGAGCCAAAGAAUCAAAAAUCUGCAUUCUGCAGGUUUUGUGCUCUCGGGGACCGGUCCCUGGUGGGAGAGACCGGUCUCCGAACGCGUGAGAAAUGAGAAAAGCUGAAAAUCUGCUAAGUCCGAGAAAACCAGCUCUCGGGAACUGGUCCCUGCGGGGAGAGACCGGUCCCCGAGAGACUGGUUCCCUAGAUAGAGACUGGUUGCAUCAGGCUGUAGCUUUGCCAGCUUCGGGGAGAGCCUUCUGGGACCGGUCCCAAGUCGGGGAGACCGGUCCCCGAACACGAAAACUGCCCAGUUCAAGCAGUUUAAUAAGAUAAAAGCUAAGGGGCCUAAUUGCAAUUAUGCAACCCAUAGAGUGAAAUAGGAGGGGAUAUGAGAUAUUUCUCUCAUUCUCUCCCUCUCACACACUCUCUCCUCUCUUUCUCUCUCUAGAAGACAAGAAGAAGACAAAGAAAAGAAAGAAAAGAAAGGAAAAAAAGAAGAAGAAGGUGGAGAAGAAGAUGGAGUGAAGAAACUCCUCUCCCUCAUCUCUAGCUUCGAGGAGGGAAAGCUUUGAGGUAAGCUUUAAUUCCUUUUAUGGUGAAACCCUAAAAUGAGAAUCAAGUGACCUAGAAAUGGUUUUAAUUGAGCCUAAUAAGUGUUUCAAGCUUUCUUUUGCUUGUGGAUGAGAUCAAAACCAUGGUUUGGGUAUAUGUGAUGAAGCUUAGAGGUGAGCUUCACCCCUCUCAUGGUAGAAUCCAAACUAGGGCUUGGAUUGAGCUAAGGAUGGUUUAUCGAGAAGCCUACGGGGUCGGGAGGGAUAAACUCAUUCCUAGAGUGGGAAUGUUGGAGCUACCACCGGCACUUAGGCGGCACAAACCGGACAACACUUGUAUUGGUCCAAAAUGAGAUUAAACCAGAAUAUUAAACAACAAGUUGAUAAUCACUACUAGACAGGUUAUAGUAGUUGGAUUCGUGACAUGCUAUGGCAUAGGAUUGAACUUUUGGAUAUUUAGUAUACUGGACAGUUUCGCAUAUUGCAUUGUAGUAUACUUGUUGCCAUGAUAGUACAUACUAGAUAUGUAGUGGACUUUGGGACAUAUAGCAUACUUCAUAGUAUUACUUGUUGUAUCAUAAAAUAUAUGUUUGAGUUUUGGUAGAUUGACACGUGUAGAGUAGAUGUACUCCAUGUUGAUAUCCCUAUUACUUAUGACAUAGUAGAAUAGCAUUUUACUAUAUGCUUUAUUUACCGCAGUUAAUUUCUGUUAUCCAUAUCUGCUUUUGAUUUAGGCCUAAUGGUGCAUUUUGCUAAGGUCAGUAAUUGCCCACUGGGAACUAUAAAUUAUAGUUCUCACGCCCCUUGUUUUAUGUUUUCUUUCAGAGCCUUUCACUCCGGGAGAGGCUCGGGAUCGCGGAAAAGGUUUCGCCUCGAGUUAGCUAUCGAGGGACUUGGUAAUAGAUGGUCCACCUCUCUUUUGUUUUCUUUUGGAGAGGUUGUGAGAGUUUUGUACCUGGUUAUAGAGACCACCCAAUUUUUGUAUCUUGAGAUUUAUGAUAUAUUAAUUUACUUUAUGCUUUAGUGGUUCAAUUCUCUUUUUGACUCUACUUGUCGAUAGAACCUAGCUGUGUAUUUGCUCUGAUGUCUCUAGAUACUUUCAACUUUUUGUUCAUUUAUUCGUUUUUGUUGUAGACGCCUUAUAUGUGUAGGCAUAUGGCGGGUCUGGGCAUGCACCGGGCGGGCCUACGCUGGGUCCCGGGGCGUGACAGAUUAAUUUGGUAUCAGAGCCUAGUGAACCUUAAGCCGGUUGGACUAUAGGAAUUAGACUCGUGAGAGACGAGGCCUAUUUGAUUUGUAAGCGAAAGUAUCAUGAUUGGGUUUCUUUGAUAACUCCAAAAAGUUGGAGUUCGAUUGAAGUGUAUGGCUUCUAACUUCGCGGAGGGUUACGUUUGCAGUCGACAACGUAACAUCGGGAGUUAGUAAUAUAAGACACUUCCUUACUUUCGCAUGAUUUGGGCAUUGGUAUUUGAGCAGGGUUGCGAUAGCGUGGGUCUUAUUAACUUCUAUUUUUAUGAUGUUGAUGUGAUGAUGCCGACUACACGCUCUAAGUCUGUUGGAGCGGACGACGCGGCAAACUUUGAGGAAGCGGAGACAUCCGCUACCUCCGGAUCUGGUAAGGUCCAGGAGUUGAGGAGCCAGCUGGCGGCCCUCACUGACUUGGUGACGCAGCAGGCGGCGGCGGCUCGGCAAUAAGCAGAUGCGGCGCGCCGGCAGGAGGCACGGAUGCAGCGCCUAGAGGAUCUUUUACUACAGCAGGCGGCUACCAGGGAGACUCAGGUCCCUGUACCACCAGCGCUGGCAGAGACGGUUGCACCCAGGGGGUCGUCCCCUACGCUCGACACUUCGCGGGCGGCACCUACGGUAGCACCUCGGGAGGAAGUAUUGACGGCACCACCAGCUCAGGUGCCUGUGGCAGCGGCAGUUUUUUCCUUGAUGGUUGAGGGAGCGGAGCGGCAGCGGCUCAUGGAUCGCCUCAACUAGUUCAGGAGGUGCGAUCUCAGGAUCUUUAAUGGAGAGAAAGCAGACCACUGGAUCAUUAAGAAGUGGUUGAUGCACAUGGAGAAGUUCGUGGAGGAGAGAGACAGAGUUUGGCUCGCCACUCACUAUUUAGACGGCGAGGCCUACAGCUGGUGGUUAGGUAUCCAGGAUAAUCACAACACCGACCUAGCAGCAAUUUCUUGGGAGAGGUUCAAGGAACUCUUAUUGGAGCAUUACUUUUUCGUCCGCGUGAAGAGGAAAAUGGAGCAGGAUCUGCGCGAGACACGCCAGGGGGAUCGGACCGUGGCUGAGCACGAGAGAGAGUUCUCUCGGCUUCUACACUGUGUGCUCUUUGUUGUGCGGGACGACGAGAAUAAGGCUCGCAUCUUUGAGCGAGGACUUCGGCCGUCGAUCUUUCGGUUGGUGCAAUCCUCCAACCUUCAGACUUACCGAGAUGUGGUGAACCGUGCGCUUAUCGUGGAGAGCGGCGCGGCGGACUUGCAGGAGCGUCGAGAAAGCUCGGACAAAGGAAAGGACAAACGGCCUGCGGCUGAGGGUGCGAGUCAGACGCACUCUGGGUGGCCGCCGAGACAUCCCAGGAAUAAGAGCCAGGCCCGAGAACAGGGCACAUCUGCACAGCAGGGAGGAUCUGAGCGUCGUCAGACUCUGAGCUGCUUGAUCUGCAGUAGUUGUCAUUACCCACGGCAGUGCUCGCAGGGUCGGGGCAGGUGCUACUCGUGUGGCCAGGAGGGUCACUUCCAGUCGAACUUCCCGAGGGGCUCAGUACCAGCGCUAUCUUCAGCAUCGGCACCAGCCUUACCGGGUCCCAGCCAGGGGACGCCUUCUGCUCACUAUCAGGCUGGGAGGCCACCUGUCCAGAGACAGACGGAGGGGUCACGAUAGGCCCAGGACGGGCGCAUGUAUGCGGCCCAGACUGAGGAGGCGGCAGCAGCUGAGUUUGUAGCUAAAUGUAUCAGUUUCUUUUGUGGCAUCCGAGUUGUGCAUUGUUUGAUGUCGGUGUAUUGCAUCCAUUCUUUGAUCGACUAUUUGCCGAGUAGCAUGGCAUCCCGUUGGUUCGCUGUUUGCUAUGACGAGUAGCUCCUCUUGAGCUAGGCGAGUGAUUUGCGGGUUGCGGGUAGCAUGUUUCGCUUGCUUUGCAGAUCUCACGAUGAUUGCAUUAGUUGCAUCCCUUGAUCGGCUGUUCGCCGGAUAGUGCUUGGAGACGACCAUGCCUGGACCGUUUGUAGACUGUGGAGCCUGGGCCCUUUGGGCAGGCACAGUCAGCUGUGUGUGACAGCGGCCCGGUACCUUCGAGUAGGGCAGAGUUUGGUCAGGACGGUAGUCCGAGCUUUGACUUUGGAAUAUGGAAUGCCACGUGUUGGAUCGUGAGAUCGAGGAUACACCGAGUGUGUGGUGACCCAACCCGAGGAUUUUGUUAGCGUUGAACUUUUUCGAUGCUUGUAGGACGAUCGGUUGAUCGGGUGUGUCGUUUCGAACACCCUAUCAUGUGAGAUGGUUUUGUGUGCCAACAAAUGGAUUGGCCUUACUUUGUGUGGAGUUGUUGUGGGUACCUAGUACUCUUGGAUUGCGAGCUAACUUGACUCGCCUUGAGGAUUUUGAGCCCGAAAUAGUGUGAUUUGAGGAUUUAGUUCCGUGCAUUGCGAUGAUUGUCCCCUUACCUAAAAUCGGAUAAUUUGGGAGGUUUUGGGGCCUAGUUGGCCGAUAGCAUUCGUUGAUCGAGAAUCCUUGUAUUGGAGGAUGUCUUCCGAGUUGUUAUUGUUUUCCCAAUUGAGACAUGAAGUGUGAACUCAAUUGGCGGAGAGGUCCUUGUACCUAGGGUUUUGCUUCGUGGAGAAGCACCCCCACCUGUUGUGGGACCGGAUGGGUCAUUUCGACUGUAUGUCGGCUGUCGUGAUCUAAAUCGAACCACGAUUAGCGUUUGGACCAUUGUAGAGGCUCAUUGAUCCUUUCAAUUAGCCUUGAGCUGUAGUGGUACUAGAUAAGAUUGUAAGCAAUCUGAGUAGUACUAUUUGAUAUUGGAGUUUGAGGUCGUACCUCAAAACGGAUUGUGAUGCUAGGUGGGGACAUCACGAGGAUGAUGUUACCUAAGCCUGUAGUACUCCACCAGUGUUAGGGACUUGUGGAAUGAUAAUUCCAAGCCCUUUGGAUGGAUUUGUGGAACCGGUCGCGGAUGGCCGUGAGUAUUCCUACGAAGGAUUGCGAGGAUCGACUGCGAGGCAGGUUGACGUGAUCGAGAUGUGAAACUCUCACUGUUGGAUCAAGUGGUUCGAAACUCGAGGGGGGAAAGAUACCAAGUUGCUAUAUUUCCUUGCCCGGUUUAUGCACCAGGAACCAAAAUCUUGGGGAUGGAAAUUGCGUGAGAGAGUUGUUUGGAUUGAUAUUUUUGGUUGAUGGUCACAUUAGGAUGACAUUGAUAGAGAGCUAUUAUUGAACUGCGGAUUGAUCCCCCUCUAUCACUUGAGAUGAGCAUGGUGACUAUGAACACCUAGAGCAUCCGAUGCUAAGGAAAGCAUUGAAGAUGAGAAUUUUAGAUGAUUCUUAUGGACAAACUAGAUGAUUAAUAUAUGAGACAUUCUAUCGAAGUUAAGCCUUUGGCUUAGGCUUGCGAAGAGUUUACUUGGACUUGAGUUGAGACUAAGAUGAUGAUCUUAGUGGAAUGACGAAGCUCCUGAGCUUUGGUCCCUGACCAUGUAUUGCAGAGGAUUUGAGGGUACUCCCGGGUGGUGAGUUUGAGAUUGAUGCAGAGGCAUCGUAGUGCCGUGCCGAUUGAGGAAUCAAGUGAUCUCCCUUGGUGAGCGAGUUGGACGAUUCGUCGGUUCCUGUUACUAUUGGAAGGUUGGCUACCUUGGGUGUUGGUUUAGAACCGUUCGUGCCAAGCAAGAUUAGACGGAUGGAUGGACGUUGCAAAUAGCAACGAGAUAGAAGGGGUACACCAUACUUAACCUUGGAUUGAAUUGCACUUAGUUGUGCCAUCUCGAGAAGAGACUUGAUCUUGGAUUUGAAGGAUCAUCGUUGGAAUAUGAACCAAUGAGCGGAUGUUGCAUCACCUCUCCUUGGUGAGUGUUGAUCAGAUGAGCUCUCCGAUGGAGUUUUGAUAGAUGAGUAAUGGAUUUAACCCCCCUGACGCUUGCUUUGGACGGUACCAUUGAAUCCACCUUUGAGGGGUAUUUGGAUGGAAUCCUAUAUACUAGAGUAAUUGAAGCAGAGCAAGGCUUUACCCUCGACUUGGACGAGAAAGGUGAGAGUUGGAAUUCAGCUUUCGGAAAUACUUGGUUUCGUGAGGACCAACUGAUGGACUUGUCGAUCAAGUGCAGAUUGGAGAUGGAACUUCCGGUGAAGACUAGAAUUCAAGGAGCUUUUGCGGAAGUUUAGGUUGUGUUAUGCCAAAGCCUUGGCGUCGCGAGAUCUUGUUGUGUUUGUGCCUUGGAGUUUUCCGGCACACUUAAGACCUCCAUGGUCUGUUUUGGGUGCUGUUGGAGCGCUUCUUCCAUCCUCUUCGGAUGGGUUUGUUGUGUGGUUGACCGCAGUUUCGCGGACGAAACUUCUUUCUAGGAUGGGAGAAUGUAACACACUGGACUUUCGCAAAUGGUAAGGUUCGAGUGUUUGAUCUGUGUUUCGAGUUUUUCCAGAUACCCUGGAGGGUCGUCGAUAGUGUUCCGACCUAUGGCUCGUAUCCCGAGAUUUGUGGUUUAAAACUUUGCACCAAAAUUUAAAAAGAUGGAUUUUUGGUUUGCUCUCGGAUUAGCCUCAGUAGGGCUGUGUAUCGGUACAGCCUUGAUGGUUGUACCGGAACACAUAUUGUACCGGUACACUUUGAUGGUUGUACCUGUACAGAUGACUGUUCUCUGUAAACCCGAUGCUCGGGUUUGCGCGUACAGGAUUUUGUACCGGUACACUUUCUCGUGUACCGGUACACUUUGCCAGACUGCAAACUGGUUGGGUUUGAGGGGUGUUUUUACAUUUGUAGCACACCUACAAAUACCCCCACGACCCCCUGGUGUCUCCUGAGCCUGGAAUCACAGGAGAGCAAGGUAGGGGAGCCUCUCUUUUCUCCUCUUUGAUUUUCUUUGAUUUCUCUUGGGAUUUUGAGGCUUAAAUACCUCUUUUUGCUCCUUUUUGGUAUCUUGGUGGCAUUUCCACCAUUGUUGAAGGCUUGGAGUUUGGUGUGGAGCUUGUUUGGGAGAAGGCCUUCAACCCUAACUCACCCCAAGCCUUGUUUGGAGCUUUUUGAGAGGUUGGUAGCAUACUUCUCCUCUCUAGAGCAUAAUUCUCAUAGUUUUCUUGUUGUAGCCCUAGAAAUGAGAAUUUAGGACUUAUUCUUAUUUUGGGAAUUUUUGAUCUAGAGCUUUUGGAGCUCAAUUGAUUGGUUUAGAACCUUCCUCUAGAUUAGAGUGGAAGAGUUCUAGCUCCCAUUUGGAGCUUGGAAAGGGUUUGCUUCACUAUUGGUGAGUUUUGCCCUUAUCUUGAGUUUGUUAUUGUUUUAGCUUGUUGUAGUUCGUUUCGUUCGCGUAACUCCCCUAGUUUUACCUAUAGGGAGCUAGGAGGCUAGUGGGCACCUCCCUUCGGCGAAACGAUAGGCUUCGAGAGGACUUGGUGGGUUUAGCCUCACCAAAAUGAGAUAAAAUUCUCAUUAUGAUGGUUUUUACUUAUCAUAAAAUGAAAAUGCAUGCAUAUUCAUGCUAGAUAGAAUAUUUGAGAAUUUUUGAAUGCUUAAAAUAUAUAGACUAUGUAUAAUGCAUUUUUGGACCUCUAUGUAGUAGAGAGUUGCAUGUUGGGUGAGCAUGAGGGUAGCAUUCUUAUUUCUGGAUGGGAACCAUGUUUCAUUUAGUGGAAAUGGUUAGUGUAAUGCAUUUUGGGACUUGGAACUUAUGCUCGGCCUAGAUGAUUAUAAAUGUCAUUAAGUGGCACUAGAUUCAAGAGAUGUAAGGUAUAUUAAGCUAAUGUCAUAAAGGGGCAUUAGCCUUGAAUGAUAGGUGAGUUGCAUGUGAAUGCUAACAUUACGAGAACUAUACUAAGUUGAUAGUUGCAUACGGACGCCUUGAAACCUUAUGCUAGUGGAUAGAUGCAUGUUAAUAUUUAUAUGCAUUGUGGAAUAUAUGCUAGGAACAUGUUAGCAAUGUGGGAUCACGCUAGGGGGCAUGCGUAUUAACCUAUUAUAUGAUAUGGUAAGCUAAUGUCAUAAAGAGACAUCGGGCUUGGAUUUGACAUAGUAAGCUAAUGUCAUAAAGAGGCAUUAGGCUUAGAAUACAUAUGGACUUAGUAAACCAAGGUCANNNNNNNNNNNNNNNNNNNNNNNNNNNNNNNNNNNNNNNNNNNNNNNNNNNNNNNNNNNNNNNNNNNNNNNNNNNNNNNNNNNNNNNNNNNNNNNNNNNNNNNNNNNNNNNNNNNNNNNNNNNNNNNNNNNNNNNNNNNNNNNNNNNNNNNNNNNNNNNNNNNNNNNNNNNNNNNNNNNNNNNNNNNNNNNNNNNNNNNNNNNNNNNNNNNNNNNNNNNNNNNNNNNNNNNNNNNNNNNNNNNNNNNNNNNNNNNNNNNNNNNNNNNNNNNNNNNNNNNNNNNNNNNNNNNNNNNNNNNNNNNNNNNNNNNNNNNNNNNNNNNNNNNNNNNNNNNNNNNNNNNNNNNNNNNNNNNNNNNNNNNNNNNNNNNNNNNNNNNNNNNNNNNNNNNNNNNNNNNNNNNNNNNNNNNNNNNNNNNNNNNNNNNNNNNNNNNNNNNNNNNNNNNNNNNNNNNNNNNNNNNNNNNNNNNNNNNNNNNNNNNNNNNNNNNNNNNNNNNNNNNNNNNNNNNNNNNNNNNNNNNNNNNNNNNNNNNNNNNNNNNNNNNNNNNNNNNNNNNNNNNNNNNNNNNNNNNNNNNNNNNNNNNNNNNNNNNNNNNNNNNNNNNNNNNNNNNNNNNNNNNNNNNNNNNNNNNNNNNNNNNNNNNNNNNNNNNNNNNNNNNNNNNNNNNNNNNNNNNNNNNNNNNNNNNNNNNNNNNNNNNNNNNNNNNNNNNNNNNNNNNNNNNNNNNNNNNNNNNNNNNNGAUAUAGUAACCAAUCUAUAACAUGAUGCUAAUAUGCCUGAACAAAUAGCAAGAAAUAUGCUCAACAUUAAACAUAUGCAGAUUAUGCAAGUUCUUUAUUCUUUUCACUUUACUCUUUAUUCUUGUUCUUUGCACUUUGUUCUUUGCUCUUUGUUCUUUAAUCUCAAGGCUAACCCGGGGGUAUCGCCACAUUGACUUGCUUCACAUUAAGCCCAUCGUCACAGGAACUCACCCGCUAGGACCGUCCUUCGGGUUUACUCCAACCCGUGAUGCAUAACUCCGGAGCGCAUCGCCCGAGGGGGAGCGACCACCCUCGAGCACGGAACUCAUAGUAAGUAUGAUCAUAUCCUUAACUCAAAGGAUUUAUAAGUUCAAUCUUCACUUUACACUAGCUCUAGUGUUCAUUACAUCACUUUAUAUUGCAAACUCAUGCAAUCACGUUCUUUAUAUUUUCCUUUACUUUUGCUAACUCUAGCAAUUAUAUUCUUUACAUUCUUUACUUUUGGCUACCUUUAGCACUUCGUGUUCUUUACUCCCACAUUACUUUAACUCUAGACAUUGUCAUUUUCAUCAUUCUUUACGUCACGUUAGUUCUUUGCAUCACACUAACUCUAGUGUCUCUUUACUUUACAUUUUCAAAUGCCACUCGAUCUAUGUCAUAGUGUCACUCUGUUCUUUUGCUCACUUUGGGUGCUCACUUUUCUCUCAUGCAUACAUAGGGUUUUCGACAUUCAUAAGGUUCUCAUUCAUCAUAUUAUGCAAGUUGUACUCACAAUCAUGCAUCAUUACAUUUCAUCAUUACUUUACCCUAAAAUGCAUGCAACAAUACAUAUACACAUGCUCAAAUGAAUGACACAUUAGGCAUAGAGAGAAGUUCAAUGAGUUUGAGAAGCACCACCCACCACGUAGGCUUUCAAAGGUGCUCCGAUGAUUUUCUUGGGAUUUUUAGACGCUUCGUUCUUUACCUGCGGCAAAACGAACCCUUAUUAGGCCAUUUUGCCCAUAACUUUACAUCGGCUUUUCGUAACGUAAAUCCGAGCGCACCAACGUGUCGGAAAUACCCCCAAUUAGGUUUCUAGAGGGUCAAUUGCACUUAGAAACCCUCAUGAGCAAAAGCCCCAAUUUGGGUGCCCUAGCUCCAACGUAUGUCAAAAUCUAGGGUUUGAUCUCUUUGGGAAGCAAAAGUAGCUUUACUAUACUCUAAAUAGUCUAUUAGAACCAUUCUUAGGCUUUCCAAAAUCCUAGUUUGGAUUUCACCAUGAGAGGUGGUCCAAGCUCACCUCUAAUGCAAACCAAGGUUUUGAUCUCUUUAGAAGCAAAAGAAAGCUUCAAAAACUCUAUACAAUCCAUUAAAACCAUCUUCAUUCUAAUCCAAACCCUAGUUUGGAAUUAAACAUGAGAAGGGGCAAAGCUUACCUCUAGGCUUGCUCCUUUCUUGCUCUAGAGAGGAAGAAGAUGAAGCCUUUUUGCUCCUUGAUCUUCUUCUUCACUUUCUUCUCCUUCUUUUCCUUCUUUUCUUCCUUUCUUCUUCUUCUCCUUUGUCUUCUAGAGAGAGAGAGAGGGAAAGGGAUGAGUUUGGGUGUGAGGGAAUGAGAGGGAGAGGCUCUCACAGCCCUAAACAUGACCCACAUAAUGCAUUUUUGCAGAUAAGUCCCUCAACUUUUAUCUCAUUACACUGCCUGGACUGGGCAGUUUUCGCGGGCAGAGACCGGUCUCCCCGAGCAGGGACCGGUCCCCGAAGGUCCACCCUGCGCAGCCAGAGCAGCCGCGCGCAUGCAUCCGGUCCAUCCCUGGUGGGACCGGUCUCUGGGGGACCGGUCUCUCAGACAGAGACCGGUUCCCGAGAGCUGUCCUUCCAGGACUUAGCCGAUUUUUCGGCUGUCUCAUUCUGCACGCGUUCGGGGACCGGUCUCUCCCACCAGGGACCGGUCCCCGAGAGCUCAAAAUCUGCAGUUUUGCACAAUUUGAUUCUUUAGCUCUCGAAAACCUCCCGUAACUCACUUUUGAUCAUUUCAACACCUUCGGACUUUCCAAAGUGUACCGUCCUCGCACUUUGGUCAAUUUGACUAAAGUUCGAUAUUUAUUUUCCGAAUUUUCGGUAUAUUACACCAUGUUAGAGACAUGAUGAUUCGACUCUUGAGACGUUGACUACGCUUGCUUGCCAUUUGUGCUCAUUCGCACAUGCUUGUGAGGGUCACUCCCUACAAGCCGGCACUCCGGAGUUGGCCUACACGACUUAUGCUCACUCGUGCGGUAUCGAGAAGCCUACGGGGUCAGGAGGGAUAGACUCAUUCCUAGAGUGGGAGUGUUGGAGCUACCACCGGCACUUAGGCGGCACAAACCGGACUACACUUGCGUAGGUCCUAAAUGAGAUUAAAUCAGAAUAUUAAACAACAAGUUGAUAAUCACUACUAGACAGGUUAUAGUAGUUGGAUUCGUGACAUGCUAUGGCAUAGGAUUGAACUUUUGGAUAUUUAGUAUACUUGACAGUUUCGCAUAUUGCAUUGUAGUAUACUUGUUGCCAUGAUAGUACAUACUAGAUAUGUAGUGGACUUUGGGACAUAUAGCAUACUUCAUUGUAUUACUUGUUGUAUCAUAGCAUAUAUGUUUGAGUUUUGGUAGAUUGACUCGUGUAGAGUAGAUGUACUCCAUGUUGAUAUCCCUAUUACUUAUGACAUAGUAGAAUAGUAUUUUACUAUAUGCUUUAUUUACCGCAGUUAAUUUCUAUUAUCCAUAUCUGCUUUUGAUUUGGGCCUAGUGGUGCAUUUUGCUAAGGUCAGUAAUUGCCCAAUGGGAACUAUAAAUUAUAGUUCUCACGCCCCCUGUUUUAUGUUUUCUUUCAGAGCCUUCCACUCCGGGAGAGGCUCGGGAUCGCGGGAAAGGUUUCGCCUCGAGUUAGCUAUCAAGGGACUUGGUGAUAGGUGGUUGUCACGCCCCGGGACCGGCGGAGGCCCUCCUGGUAGCGUGCCCAGACCCGCCAUAUGUCUACACAUAUAAGGCGUCUACAAUAAAAGCGGAAGUAAAGCAAGAAAUAGAACAAAUAGAAGAAGUAAAAUAACAAGCAACUAAUGAUAUCAGAGCGAGUAAAGUUCUAUCAUCUACACCAAAGUAUAGAAAUAAAGCUAGACAAUAAAAGGAACAAUAAGUAGUACAAAAGCUGCCUCAAGUAGAAAAAUGGUGGUCUCUAUACAUAUACGGGUACAACUCUCAACCUCUCACAAAAAGAUAACACGAGAGGUAGACCACCUAUAGAACGAUCCCUCGUUAAGCACGCUAGCCCGAGGCGAUACCCUUUCCGUGAUCCCAGGCCUCUCCCUACGUGGAAGGCUCUGAAAAACAUCGAGAAAAAGAGAGCGUGAGAACUAUAAUUUAUAGUUCCCAGUGGGCAAUUACUGACCUAAGCUCAUUGCACCACUAGGCCCCAAAAGAAAAGGGUAAGUACAAUGAUAAUAGCAAUAAUGACUGCGAUAUAAAGGCAUAAUUAAAAAUGCUAAAUUACCAAACUCAAGUAUAAACGAUGUCAUGGUGAUGUACAUCUAUGAUAUCAAAUGGCAAAUCAUUAUCCUUUAUGAAUACCUUAUGCAUAAGUUAUGUCAUGGCAACCAAGUAUGCUUUAAUGCAGAAGGAGACUAUCAAGUAUACUACAUGUCUCAACCCUAUGCUAAAAGCAUAUAAAUGUAAUUCAACUACUAAACCUAUCUAGUAGUGAUUGUUCAUAUACAACACCGUGUCGAUUUCCAUUUCCAAUUAAGGACCUACCCAAGGUAGUCCAACUUGUGCCGCCUAAGUGCCUGUGGUAGCCCGACAUCCCUACUCGUGGAAUGUUGUAGCACACUGGACCUUUGCAAAUUGCGAGGUUCGAGUGUUCGAUUGGUAUUCCGAACUUUUCCACACUUGGUGGAGGGCCGUCGAUGGUAUACCGGCUUAAAAGUUCGAUCUCGAGAGUUUUGGCAGAGUCCUGAGAGUUUUUACUCUCGGGGACCGGUCCCUGAUAGGAGAGACCGGUCCCCCAGUGAACAGUACCGCGCAGCAGGCGAGGCAACCGGUCCUUGGCAGUUGAGACCGGUCCCCGAGCCCGUCUGCGCGGGGAGAGACCGGUCCCGCGCAGGGAGAGACCGGUUCCCGAACGCUGGUUUUUCGGGUUCGCAGCGAGAGACCGGUCCCUGCUGGGGAGAGACCGGUCCCUCUGGGCGAAAACUGCCCAGUCCGGGCUGAUGUAAAUUUGAGUUUUUGAGGGGCUUAUGUGGAUUUUGUUACUUUAGAGGCUAUAGGCAGCCUCUCCUCCCCUCUCACUCUCAUUUUCUCUCCCUCACACUCUUCCUACACUUCUAGAGAGAGAAAGGGAAGGAGAAGAAGGAGAAGAAGAGGAGAAGGAGCUUGCAUAGAGGCCUUGGGGCAUCAUCUUCUUCCUCAUUUUCCACCUUUGGAGGCUUGGAGCAUGCGGUUGGAGCCUUGUGGAGGAUCAAACUCCAACCCUACUUGGUUUUGAGCUUGGAUUGGGGCUUCUCUUGAGGUUGGUAGCUUAUAAUCCCCAUUUGAUACUUGUUUUCCUAGGUUUUUCUAGAUGAAACCCUAGAUUUUGGGAUUUAGGGUUUAUUUUGGGGGUUUUUGGAUUUGAGGGUUAUGAGACCUAAUUGAUGGGUUUGGAACCUUUAUAUAGGUUAGAUUGGAAGACCUCUACCUUCCAUUUGAGGAUUUAGAGAGGGUUUUCCACUUGAGGUGAGUUUUUCCCAACCCUAGCUUGAGUUGGUUAAUGUUUGAGCUAUUCGCUCUUCGUUUCGUUUGGGUGACCCUAUUUUUGAUGUUUCUAGGGUACUAGGGAGCUUGUGGAUAUCUUCGUUCGGCGAAACGAAGAAGUCGAUUUUUUUGGUGGGUUUGACUUCAUGAAAAUGGGGCAAAAUGGCCCCUAUGCCUUCUAAACUUUUUGUAAAGUAUUUUCGAAUGCAAAUUCAUGCUAAACAUGAUUUAUAUGAAUUUUAGAACACCUAACUUGCAUGCUUCAUGUAUCGUAAAAAUUGUACUCCAUAUAGUAGAGCUAUAUGUGUAGAUUGCAUGCAUUGUGGAUAGUGCUUGGUUUUGCAAGUUGAGAACAUGUCUCCAUGCUAGAAUUGAGUGAACUAUGCAUCAUGAACAUAUUAAUGCCAUGCUUGGGACUCGUUGAACAAAAGUGUCAUAAAGAGGCACUUGGAAUUAGUAAACUAUAAAAUGCAACUUAGAGACAUGAUGAUAGGCCAUUGUACAUCUGCUAUAUAUUCCAUGUUAGAGACAUGAUGACAUAGAGAUAGGCCUUUGGGACAUUCGAUACAUUCCAUGUUAUUAGACAUGAGGACUUGGUACUUGCGACAGAUCGUUUGACUACUUGCCAUUGUGCUCAUUCGCACAUGCUUGUGAGGGUCGCUCCCUACAAGCCGGCACUCCGGAGAUAGCCAUCGCGAUUCAUAUUCGCCGUGCGGGAUUGGGCGCCGAAGUGGAUUGCCGUGGGACAGGCUCAUUCCUAGGGUGGGGAUGAUGACUACCACGGGGCCAUUAGGCUCGGCACCGGCCAGACAGCCUACGGGUGGGUCUCAGGGCCAUAGACAGCCUUCGGGUGGGUCUCUUCAGAUUUGACUUGAGUAUUCAUCAUGACAUGUGGACAGAUGAUGACUUAGAGUAUUAUUUGGACAUUGACUAGAAUAGUAAACAACGGAAUUUUACUAUUUCGCAUUGUGAACAUUAUGUUAGUUGGAGACUUUUACUUCAUGCAUAGUUGCUUCAUACUUAUGCCAUUUAUGCUAAGUAGAGAUAUCAUGUCGUAAUAGGUUACAUAUUUACUUACCUGUCGCCUUUUUACUUCUAUAGUCACUAACAUCUUUUGUAGCUUUGGGCCUUGUGGUGCAUGCACUGGAGUCAGUAAUUGCCCACUGGGAACUAUUUUGAUAGUUCUCAUGCCCUCGUUUUAUGGUUUACUUUUCAGAGCCUUCUGCACCGGCGGAGGCACGGGAUCGCGGCAAGGGGAUCGCUUAGCUAGCUAGCGAGGAGCGGUACUCUGCCUAGGUGGUUCACUCUUCUUUUUGUAGUUGAGAGAGAGUGAGAGUUUCUGUAUCCAUGUAUAGAGACCACCUAUGUAUCUACCUACAGCACUUGUAUUUGGGAUUUCCUAUUGUAUUUACUUUAUGUCUUAUUUAGUGGAUUUCCAGUUUUAACCAUAUCCCUUGUUGUAGCCUUUAGACAUUUAUAUUGCUCUGAUACUCCUAGAUGUCGUGUAAUAUUGUUUUUUUUUUCAUUAUGGUUGUUUUUAGACGCCUUAUAUGUUGUAGACAUAUGGCGGGUCUGGGCACGCGCCGGGCGGGCUCCCGCUGGGUCCCGGAGCGUACAAAUGUGUCUGUCCCACUCGAAUCUUAGGCACUCUCUCAAUACCGCCGGCACAGACAAGCGAACAUAGUCGCGUAGGUAACUCCGGAAGUGCGCGUCUUGUAGGGUAGGGACCUCUCACAAGAUUGUCCGAAUGAGCACAAAUGGCAAGCAACAAAGUCCAAGUCUCAAGUAUCCAAUCUAUUCUCUAUACAUGGUAUGAAUUACUAGCAUCCCGAAUGAUCUAUUUUAAGUUCACAAUGUGAAGUUUCAACAUUUGCUUAACCUAGGCCCCUUGGAUGACACUUAUGGCAAUUUGAUGUUCAACAUGUAUUCAAAAUCCCCUCAAUGGCCGUAUCAUCUGAGUUCUCACAUGUCCACGGAGCUCAUGCCCCGCUUUGAUGACAUUAGCUCUCUAGUCACUACCUUAUAAAUUAGCAAAUCUUUCAACUUCAGUCACAAUAAACUUAGGUUUAAAUUGCAAUGAUUCCAAUCUUAUUUACAGUAUAUAUGCAGCCAGGAAACCACAUCUCGUAUAGAUCAAACUAAGUGCAACCAGUUAGGCCAACCAAGCUACUCUUACACAUUAGAGGUCCAAAAUGGUCGAUGCCAUAUUUAUACAUGGCUUUUAAGUAUUCUUAAAUUCACAAUUCAAAUACAUACAAUAAGAAUAUACAUGCCUUGUCCAUUUAUACGAUCUUAAUUAAGCACAAAUGAGUCAAUUUCUCAUGGAUGCUGUGGCUAGGUCAAAACCCACCGAACCGUCACUGCGUAGGUCCUGUUUCGCCGAGGCAAAGUUGCUCCCGAGUCUAAAAUACCCUAAAAGUAAAUAGCGAAGAGAUUACAGGCAUUAUCGACCAUCUGUAUAAUAUCAAACAUAUAACCUAGAAGCAAAAUAAACGGCAAAACUAACUCAAGAGAAGAAAUCUUUCCAAAGCCAAAAGAGAGCUUGAACCCUUCCAAUCCAAAGCCUCGAGGAAUUCUAAACCAACUUUAUAAUUCUAGCCUCAACACAGCCCUAGAUCAAAACACCCCCAAAAUCAACCUAAAUUCUCAUUUUCUAGGUUUCAUUUCCUAAAAAUCACCAAAACAAGAUCUAGCAUGGAGGGAAAUCAUGAUACUAACUUCGAAGGCUAUCAAUCCAAGCUCAAAUGCCCUGAGUGUUGAAGUUUGUCCACCACUAAGCGCACAAGCAAGCUCUCCAAGGCUGUGCAAGGUGGAAGAAGAAGAAGAAAGGGUUGAGCUCCAAGCUCCCUCAAGCUAGACUCUCUACUUCUUCUCCUGCCCUUCUUUUCUUCUCUCUCUAGAAAGUGUUAGGGAGAGGUGAGAAUGAGCUAAAAUGAAGAGAGGUGAAAGAGACUGGAAUGGCUUAACAAGCCCAUCUAGUGUUAACAAAAUCCGGAGAGGGCCCUCAAAAUUCAAAUUUGCAUCAGCCGACUGGGUUAGUUUUCGCCCAGAGGGACCGGUCUCUCCCCAGCAGGGACCGGUCUCUCGCUGCGAACCCGAAAAACCAGCGUUCGGGAACCGGUCUCUCCUCGCGCAGGACCAGUUUCUCACUGCGAAGACGCGCUCGGGGACCGGUCUCGCCUGCCAAGGACCGGUUGCCUCAGGCUGCCUCAACACUGCUCACUGGGGGACCGGUCUCUCCUUCCAGGGACCGGUCCCCGAGAGUAAAAACUCUCAGGACUUAUCCAGAAUUCCGAUUUUCGAACUUUUUAGGUCGGAAAAUAUUCUACAACCCUCCACCAAGUGUGGAAAAGCUCGAAAUACAUCCAAACACUCGAACCUCGCAAUUUGCAAAGGUCCAGUGUGUUACAGUGGUCCACCUCUCUUUUGUUUUCUUUUGGAGAGGUUGUGAGAGUUUUGUACCUGGUUAUAGAGACCACCCUGUUUUUGUAUCUUGAGAUUUAUGAUGUAUUAAUUUACUUUAUGCUUUAGUGGUUCAGUUCUCUUUUUGACUCUACUUGUCGAUAGAACCUAGCUGUGUAUUUGCUCUGAUGUCUCUAGAUACUUUCAACUUCUUGUUCAUUUAUUCGUUUUUGUUGUAGAUGCCUUAUAUAUGCAGGCAUAUGGCGGGUCUGGCCACGCACCGGGCGGGCCUACGCCGGGUCCCGGGGCGCGACAGAGAGGCUCCACAGACAACACAUCUCGCCGAGGACCGAAUGUGGUAUGUCCCCGGAGCUCGGGAUCGAGAGCGCGAACUCAUCGAAGUCCACCGAGAACUUGACUGACCACCGGAUCCACUCGUUGGUCGUCAUUUUCCUUUCUCCUUGUAAUAUGCCUCGCACUCCUCCCGCACAGAUGCAUCGCCUUGUUCUAUCCAUAAGGCCCGAUCUAAUACUUCGGCAAAAGUCUGCAACUUGAGAUUAUGCACAGCUGCAAAAAUAUCCAGCCGAAGUCCCCGCACAAAGCAUUCAGCUUUAUCCUUGUCAUCCCACACCACAUUCGAGACACAAUUCACGAUACGAGAGAACUCCCGCUCGUAUUGCCUAACCGACCGGUCUCCUUGCCGCAGCUUCCAAAACCUUUCCCGAAGCCUUCUCUUUUCACUGUCAGGGAAAUAGACAGAGAAUAUCAAUCCCCGAAACUCUUCCCAAGUCAUAGGAGGGAGACUAGGCGAUCGAUCUCGCUUAACGCCUUUCCACCAUACCUUCGCCAACUGUUUCAAGUUGUGCAUGGCUAGGUUUACCUUGUCCCGUUCCAUCGUGUACAGAUCCUCGAAGAGUGUUUCCAUGGAAUCAAUCCACACCUUCACGAUCCACGGAUCUGUAUCCUCUCCAUCAAAGAUAGGCGGAUCAAAUUUCUUGAAGGCCAUGAGGGCCGCCAAAGCUCGCUCCCUCUCCGCCUCCACCUCUAAACUGAUAGGAGUCGGAUCACCCGACCCCGACGGAAACAUCUCCGCCGCAACUCCCGGCCGAUCUCGACGAGCCGCAGCUGGUGCUGUCACCAGUCGGUCCAACGUUUCUUGGAGUCUUUUCAUUCGCUCCUCCUGGCGCAUGGCAGCCUCCUGCUGCCGUUGCACCAAGUCCGUUUAUUGCCUCAUCACUCCCACGAGUGUGGCCAAUUGAUCACGAAGCUCUGAGUCUCCGCUUACGUCGAUUUACUCAGGGACACCACUUGUCCCCUCCCGUGCCGAUCUGGAUGAAGAUCGCCUACGCGGUGCCAUCGUUUCCUGAAACACGACAACUCGAUUAGUUCUCGACCAUCUUGGGUCGAACACAGGACCACUAACACCGGCUCAAAAGCCAAUCAGGCGAAAGUCACGCAAAGGUGUCCAUUCUCAUCACUAGGCUUCAUGUUGUCGUACGCCAACAUGAACAUCCUCAGCUAAGAAUAAACCAUACCUCGAGUCUACCUCUAAUAUCCGUCUUAGAGGCUUACAACACAACCUAAUCCAUUAACCUUUCGCCACAAUUCACAAGUCCUUGUCUCUCACGAGCCUUAUACUCCUAUGGUUUACUAUCCUAGGGUCUCCUAGGUCUGCCUAAACCAUUCUCAUUUUCUACUUUAUGCUCUGAUACCACUUUAUCUGUCACGCCCCGUGCCCCACCAAUUUGGUCGGGUUCGGGCACACAGACAGACCGCCGAACGGAUAGAGUUUUCCCUAUACGUCCUAGGCGUCGCAAUCAAUACCAUACAAGGGUUCCAACAAGGAACAGUAUUCAACAAUCAGAUUGCAUAAGGAAAUAUCAAAAACAUAAAACUACUUGCUAUUACAAGCAUUCACAUUCAAACAUUUUUACAUUACAUUCAACUCCCAAAUGCAAUUAAGUUAUUAUAAUUUACUACCAGUUUAUUACAACUUUUACUUUUCCUUCCCUCUACCCCAAGGCUAUGCCGACUCGGGGUACCUCUAUCUCAGUCUCUGGGUAGGGCGCUAUCUAUAGAGCUACGCCCUUGCCUCGUGCCGCCGCGCCACUCGCGUGCAAACCUGUAACACCCCAAAACAACGUGGGGUGAGAACCAACUCCAUGGUUCCCAGUGGGUACGGCCAUCCAAGGAAAAAGCUCGACCAAUAGGUCCAAGGAGGCACUGCAAUCAUGUUAGUCCAAAUACAUCCACAGAUAUAUAAAUCAUUAUGUAAUCAUACAACUAACAGAUAAUAUGCCUCACAAUAUGCAAUAUGCAACUACGCACUAUCAACUAGUUCUAUUAAUACUACUUUUUAUUCUUAGCCAUUCCUUAUUAUCGGCCAUUCUUUACCGAUAUUCAUUAUUUACCAUUUGUUAAUCUCUAGUAUUAGCCGUUCUUUAUUCUUUAUUCUCGAGCACACUAUGCUCCUUGGCGGUUCCUUCCUAAGGUUACUUUUACCUUAGCCAANUAAGCUAAACAGUCUCAGGGUACUGCUACCUCGGUCUCUGUGGUAAGGAGCUAUCUACGAAGUUACGCCCUUGCCUUGCGCCGCCACGCCGCUCACGUACGAACCUGAAACACCCCAAAAUAACGUGGGGUGAGAACCAACUCCAUGGUUCCCAGUGGGUACGGCCACCCAAGGAAAAAGCUCGACCAAUAGGUCCGAGGAGGCACUGCAACAAGUUAGUCCAAUAACAUAUAACAGAUAUAUAUUCGAUAUUGAACUAAAUGUCAUGCCUCACAAAAUGCAAUAUGCAAUACCUGUAACUUUAUGCAAGUAGAUUAAUUGAUUCUACUUCAUAUUAUUAGCCAUUCUUUACUUGUAGCCGUUCUUUACUUUAUUAGCUAUUCUCGAUCAUUAGCUUUUCUCUAGUCUUUACUUGGUCACAUUACGCUCAUUGGCGAUUCUAUCCUAAGGUUACUUUUACCUUAGCCAACUAUGCCACUCGACUCGGUCGUUAGUCAAUCCACUUCGGAUAGUCCGCACACUGGCUGCUCAACAGCCCACCGCACUCAAUAGCUUAGCCACCCGGAGGCGAAAUCGUCGCACACACCCAACACUAGCUUAAGUCACCCUGCGGCAUAAUCCACAAACCCGGCUCAACCGGUAUAGGCCACAAAUCGGCUCACCCAUCCGGCGGCGAAAUCGUCGCACACGCCACGUCGAUGGUAUAGCCCCGGACGGCGAAAUCGUCUCACACGCCCAACACCACUUUGGGUGUUCCAUAAGCUCUGGGAUUUCGGAAUCAAUUUUCACAUAACUCAAGGGUUGGUCUUAACCCUAUGGUAUCGACCUACUUAGGUCCAUUAUUCUUUCCAUCCUAGGUCCACUUGACUCUAGGUUUAACACUUUAUCACAUAACCUAGGUUUACUUUAACACUAGAUUCAUUAUCUUUAGCUCACAACCUAGGUUGACUUAACUCUAGGUUCAAUCUCAACCUAUGUUCUCUAACAUUAGGUUUAAUGCCAUUCUUGUUUAACCUAUGUUCAUUAACACUAGGUUCAAUAUCACUCUUGUUCAACCUAGGUUCACGACUCUAGGUUUAAUGCCACUCGAUUUAUAUGUAUACAUAUGUCCUUUACUUAGCAUUCUUACAUUAGCAUCCCUAUAACAUGCUUAUCAUACAUGAACUUAGCAUUUUUACCAUGUCAUCAUCUAUAUUCUUAGCAUUAACCACAUGCUUGCAUUUAUUAUUUCUAUAUCAUGCUCAUCAUACAAUUACUUAGCAUUAUCCACAUGCAUGCUUAUCAUGUAUACUUUAGCAUUCUUAUUUCAUAUCAAUAUGCAUUCACUUAGCAUUUUUACAUUAGCAUUUCUACACAUGCAACAUGACUAACAUAUGUCAUUUACUUUAUACUUUCCACUUAACAUUAUUUACACUAUGUCACUAUGCAUUACUUAGCAUUCUCACAUUAUGACCAUAUGCAUUAUUUGGUAGCCUAACAUAGCAUUUCACCUUAUGCAUUUAUGUGUUCUACCACUAGCUACCAUUACAUGCAUCAAUAGUAAGCACUAGUCUUAGACAUACAGGUGACCUAGUCGCUUUGGUAAACACAACCCACAUAGAUUCGCUCUCCGAUUGCUUGUAGUCACUUGCAAUCGGCCUCCCGCGGCACCCGUGACCCGGUUUGGCCCGAACUCUCACGCGACCACCCGAAUGGCCUCAAAUCCACGAUCCGAAAAUUAAAGGUCUAUGGUUAGUUGCCACGAGCCCACGAUUCCGUUUUCAUGAUUUUAGGACGUCACCUCGGCCCUCCAGGCGAAAACGAAGCCGAAACGUCCGUUUCGUCAAUAUCUUCGCACCGGCUCGAUGAAUUGCCGAACCGACUUCGCCAACGCGUUCGUAUACCUAGCAAUUAGGUUUACGGAGGGUCAAUUAAGAUCAAACCCAUGCAAAUACAAAAACCCUCUUUAAAACCCUAGCAUGCACAUAUACUCCAAAUAACCCAUAAUCUCAUGGAGAAACAUGCAUUUAGUAACCUAGGGAUCAUUAGAAUACUAAGCAUAAAGGAUUUAACCAAAUCCUAAACUCUUACCGAUUUGCGAACGCCGAGUCGGAAGCACCCCGCUCAAACGGGCGCACGAACGCUCGAUCCGUCACCUCCCACGCGUUCGCAGCGUCGCUCUCCACCAAGCCUCCAAAUUUGGGAGAUGGAUUUAGAGAGAUGAACUGGGAAAGCUAGAGAGAAGGAGGAGCUUCUCUCUCUAGCUCAUGUGUGUGUGUGUGGUGUGAAGAAGGAGAGGAAGAGGUUGAGACCUCUUUCUAAAGCAAUCUCCCCACAAUUACAAUCAGCCUCCUGCUAUUUCUGGGCAAUUUUCGUGUUCAGGGUCCGGACCCUGAAGCUAGGGUCCGGACCCUGAAGCUAGGGUCCGGAUCCCGUAGGUCCAGACAACCCGAAAUUAAGCACUUAGCCAAAUUUCAGCCUUUUUCACCGUUUCUUCUCCGUUUUCGCUCGUUUUCGCUCGUUUGACCUCCGAUUCUUUUCAAAUCGAACCGAGACUCUCCAAACAUGUUUUCAAGCGUAUUUUCAUCAUCUUUCCAUCCACGCUAAUGCUGGAUUUAGUUCAUUGUAAUAUACCGAAAAUUCGAAAAAUAAAUAUCGAACUUUAGUCAAAUUGACCAAAGUGCGAGGAUGGUGCAUUUCGAAAAGUCCGAAGAUGUUAAAAUGAUUAAAAGUGAGUUACGGGAGGUUUUCGAGAGCUAAAGAAUCAAAUUCUGCAAAACUGCAGAUUUUGAGCUCUCGGGGACCGGUCCCUGGUGGGAUAGACCGGUCCCCGAACGCGUGCAGAAUGAGACAGCCGAAAAAUCGGCUAAGUCCUGAAGGACAGCUCUCGGGAACCGGUCUCUGUCUGAGAGACCGGUCCCCCAGAGACCGGUCCCCCAAGGAGGGACCGGAUGCAUUGCGCGUGGCAGCACUGGCUGCGCAGGGUGGACCUUCGGCAGCUCUGGCUGCGCAGGGUGGACCUUCGGGGACCGGUCCCUGCUCGGGGAGACCGGUCUCUGCCUGCGAAAACUGCCCAGUCCAGGCUGUGUGAAAUAGUAAAAGUUGAGGGGUUUAUUAGCAUUUUUGCAGCCCAAUGGUUAUGUAAUGAGGGUAAAUGAGAUAUUUCUCUCAUUUCACCCCCUCUCACACUCUCUUCUCUCCCUCUCUCUCUCUAGAAGACAAAGGAGAAGAAGAAGAAAGGAAGAAAAGAAGGAGAAGAAGGAAAAGAAGGUGAAGAAGAAGAUCAAGGAGCAAAGGAGCUUCAUCUUCUUCCUCUCUAGUGCAAGAAAAGGAAGCUUACAAGGUAAGCUUUCCCUAAUGUAUGUAAAACCCUAGAAAUCGGAUUUGAAUGACUAGAAAUGAUUUAUGAAACCUAAGAAUGAGUUUAAAAUGUUUAAAGUUUUGAAUGCUUUCUUUUUGCUUCUAAAGAGAUCAAAACUUGUUUGACAUUAGAGUGAUUGGACCACCUCUCAUAGGUGAAUCCAAACUUAGGUUUUGGAAGCCAUAAGAAUGGUUCUAAUGGACAUAUAGAGUAUAGUGGAAGCUACUUUUUGCUUCCCAAUGAGAUCAAACGCCUAGUUUGAAUACAUUGGAAUGCUAGGGCACCAAAUUGGGGCUUUUGUCAUGAGGGUUUCUAAUGCAUUGACCAGCUCUAGAACCUAAAUUGGGGUAUUCUCGCGCGUUGGUGGCGCUUCGGAUUUACGUUCGAUAGAUCCAAUGAGAAUGUUAUGGCCAAAUAGCCUAAUUUGGGUCGUUUUGCGCAGAGUAAAAGAAUGGAGGUUAAAACCCCUAGAAAAAUCAUCGAGCAGCCUUUGAAAGUCGCAGGUAGGUGUGCUUCUCAAACUCAUUGAACUUCUCUUAUGCCUAAUGUGCAUUCAUUUGAGCAUGUGUAUAUACAUCUUUGCAUGCAUUAGGAUAAAGUAAUGAUGAAAAUGUGAUGUUGCUAUGGAGUACAAACUUGCUUAUAAGAGGUGAGAACCAACUAAAUGUCAAAACCCUAAGUGUAUGCAUUAGAGAAAAAGUUAGCACAAAAGUGAGGCAAAAUAACAGAGUGACACCCUGAAAAAUCGAGUGCAUUUGAAAAGUAAAGAAUGAGGAAAGAAUAAAGUUAAAGUAAAGUGGGCAAUAAGAACAGUAUUGUAACGAACAAUAAAUGCUAGAGUUAGCAAAGUAAAGAAUGCAAAGAGAAUGUGAUUGCAUGAGUUUGCAACAUAAAGUGAUGCUAAAGAACACUAGAGUAUAUAAAUCAAGAUUGAAACUGAAAAUAAUCCUUUGAGUUAAGGAUAUGAUCAUACUUGCUAUGAGUUCCGUGCUCGAGGGCGGUCGCUCCCCCUCGGGCGAUGCGCUCCGGAGUUAUGCAUCACGGGUUGGAGUAAACCCGAAGGACGGUCCUAGCUGGUGAGUUUCUGCGAUGAUGGACUUAAUGUGAAGCAAGUUAAUGUGGCGAAACCCCCGGGUUAGCCUUGAGAUUAAAGAGUAAAGAACAAAGAGCAAAGAAUAAAGUGUAAAGUGCAAAGUGUAAAGCACGAAAGAACUUGCAUAAUCUGCAUAUGUUUAAUGUUGAGCAUACUCCUUGCUUCAUUGUUCAGGCAUAUUAGCAUCAUGUUAUAGAUUGGUUAUUAUACAGCUCAUUCCUUCUAUUAUGCCUGAGUUAGCCCUAGUGGGAAAGUCGGUGAUGUUGAGGCCGAACCCACUGGGAACUUUGUUGUAGUUCUCACCCCACUAUUUCCACAGAGCCGGGACCGAGCGAGCCGGCGAGUGACCGAGGUAAAGGUAUCGCGCCUUAGUCAGAGGCCACCAAAGUUGGGUUUCAUUUUAUAGUAAAAUACCCUAUGAUCAUCUUUUGUAUUUGAUGACUAAUGAUGCAUAGAAAAGAAUGUAAUGUGUAUUUUGAGAUAAAUGUGAUGUAAGAAAGAAAUGAUGAAACGAAAUGUAAGGAAUUCGGAAAAAAUACAAGUUGGAUGUAUGUAUAUGAUCUAAAUUGAAUCAUGUUACUUGUGUAGAUGUUUAGUUUUCCUUUCUUUCACUAAUGGCUAUUGCUUACCCUCGUGUAAGCCGCUUGUGUAUGUUUCCGCUAGUGUUUUUCUCUAUUGACGAAAAUGUACAUGUGAUGAGCCUUGGACGGAUAGGGGAAGCUCUGUCCGUUCGGCGUCUGUUUGACGUGCUCGGGUCGGGCCAAAUUGGCAUCGGUCCCGGGGCGUGACAUUCAUGGUCCAACAUAGCCUUUCGGGUCCCGUUUUCGCACCUACGCGCACCGAAGCACCCGAAUGUUCCCAAACUUCAUCGGAACCAUUCUAACGACUCUCCAAACUAACAUACACCGUAACUUUAUAAUCUUAGAAGUCCGGUACGUUACAAUUCCAUUAUGGAACUUACUCUGAUCUAAUUACUGGCAUUGCUUAGAAGCAAAUUUCAUCUGUGCAUCGCUCGAUCAUGAGUGCCCUCACCAUUCAUGGACUUUUAGCUCGACAGCGAGAUAGCACACUUCGGCGCAUCCACAAGUUCCAAUUCACCUGAGAGCAUAGUCCCCAAACCUCACGUCGCUUUCCACUAGCUCGUUGUCUCAUAAAGAGCACUUCACUUUACUUUCAUCUGCCACGGGUCACCAUCAUGUCGAAUCCACACAGACACUCCGUUCAUGAAUCCAAUUAGGCGAGCGAUAUAACCAAGCCUACACUUUUAUGGUCACUACCCUGAGUUCUCCUAUACACGAUCAAUGCUCUCACACUACCAGGGCUAUCGGCUAAUCCACUUACCUUGGUUUAUCACAGAUAGUCCGCAGACCAGAAUUCCCACGUAGGCCUACAGCCUAAACUUGUCUCGAUAACACGCAACGCCUCUCACUCACAAGCGCAUACCCAAUCAUUACUUGGCGAAGUCCUCACUUGGGACUUUACACACACUCUAACCAGGAGCAACUAAGAACCCAAACCACCACGAGUCCUCGAUUGGGUCAUAUCUACACCCUCGGUGUACUAUCGAUCACACUAUCUCACACGUGGCAUUCCAUGUUCCCAGGUUAAAGCUCGAACUACCGCCCUGACCAAAAACCUCUGCCCUACCCGUAGGUAUCGGGCCACUGCCACACACAGCUGACUGCGCCUGUCCACAUGGCCCCACGCUGUACAGUCCACACAUGGUUCAGACACGGAUCAUCCCCAAGCAACACCCAGCACCGUCGUCUCACACGACACGCUCUAUCGAGCAACACAUAUCUCUAUCGACUCCUAAGCACCUAGUGCGAACCACCAGCCUUACGAGUGGUCCAUGGCCCGUUUCAUACUUAGCAAUGCUCAAGUGCUACUGCCAACAAAUCCUCUUGGCUGAACCAAACUGUUCUCUAUCGGCACCCACACUCGAGCAUUCUACGCUACUAUGCUUUCCACAAUAAGCCAAACACUACACAAUCUUGCCUACGCAAACCAACUGCACAAGUACAAUUCUCCUACCUCAAAUCGAGGUACUACUAGGCCCACGCACCAGAACUUGGCGAUUGUCCUAGAUGAUAUACGUGGUGUUUAUUUUAUUUUGGAGGCAUGAGUUAUUUAGACAUUUGUGUGUUCAUGAGAGAUGUAGUAUCUAAAUGUUUAAAGUACUUUUAGCUUGCCAUAUGCUAUGAUUUUUUGUGUUAGGAUGUGUCUAUCAUAUUUUGGUGGAUAUUAUUGAUUUAUUGUAAACGACUUGUAUGUACCGGGGGUAGCCUUGUGCACACGACGGAUCUGUGCUAUGUGCCCAGGUAGACAUCUGCUGGGGCCUCAGGACAUGACGGUAGCUCAAUAAACUCAUAAAAAUGGCUAGUUGGUAAUUGGUUUAGGCUUGAGUCAGCCCAUUGGCAACCUAGACUAAUUAAGUAGGUUAUUAUUGGAGAAUUUCUCAUUGUGUAAAGUUCUCAAUUUUCUUUCUGGGACUCCCUUUUCUUGAUAUAGAGAAGAAAGGUGAAGAGAAGGUUACAAAAGGUGAUCUCUUAUUCUUCUUACUUGAUUCAAGACUUUUAUGGUUGAGGCAUUCCGAAUCCGGAUCUGUGAUAUCUAAAGGGGCUUCAAGGGUGUAGCAAAAGGAGAUUUUUCCAAUUUCAAUGGUUGUAUGCCCAUUGUAAUAUUAAAUGAUAACCUCUAACCAACACUUGUAAUACCCUCAUUGUGGUAGUGGAUUUUGAUCUUUUUGGUGUCUGCGGAUGUAGUCCGGUGUGAGCGAACCACCACGUACAUCCUCUUCUUGUAGUUGUGUGCAGAUUUUCUUUCUACUUUAUGUGCUUUAAUUUCUUGCGCAUUUUAAUUGUCGGUGAUUUAGAAACAAUCCAUUGGUUGAUUUGUGUGAUCGGCAUCUUGUUAGUUCGGAUUCCGUUGUUGACGCACUACACAAACGGUUAACCUCUUUACCGCUCCCGCUCCCUAGUACACCUAACCGUAGAGUAUACUGAUGGUUGUAUAUUGAUGGUUUUAUUAGCGGACUUGACUCAAUUGGAUUGAGCUUCUGUAAAUUGGGCUUGUUAUCAUACAAUCAUAACACAGCUAAACAAAAAUAAAUGACAUUCUGGACCCAAAAGACAAAAAAAAGAAAAGAAUAAAGCUUGUACCUCCACCUAUCAUCAAUCGAACACAUCAAAGUCCAGUUAUUUUCAACUUUCAUACAACAAAACAAAUUACAGCGGUAAAAUCCACCCCAAAUUAACUCUUUCAUCCCAGACAACAGAUGAGCAGCUGCAAAGUUCUGCGCUACCCCUUUCGCCGCUCCACUUCUUUUGAGAUUCUAAGGAACGGAGAGAAAGAAAGAAGCUGCAUUAUUAGUUCUCACUCGUAGGUACGCUUCCUCUUAAGGAUUGUUGGGAAUAUGGAGAUGGAUCCAAUAAGGAACAGAACCACCAAUGUCUUGAAGUCAUAUAAGUCUCUGACGGAUUUCAGAUCUCCUAAGGCUAGACCAGCCUGCAGGUGGAUAUAGCAAUUUGAUAUUUAACUUGAUGUGGUAAUACAUUUACCAGUAGACAGAAAGCACAAAUAAAUUUCUUGCAAAAAGUAUUCAAUCAAUAGCCAACAUUGUUAAAAAUACUGGAAAGAAAGACAGAAACUAUUAUUUGUGCCGACUUACUUACACUUUUAUAUAUCUACAGUGCACCAAAAAUACGUGAUCAGAAAUGUUUUAGGCAUAAGCCAAAUUACAAUAGAACGACGAAUUACAAAUGCCAGGGGAGAAAAGCCACAAUAAGUAGUUGCAAAAGAAUUAUCUUAAAACCACCUAGAUUUAUCUUCGAGGUCACCUGUUGUAACCUAAACAAUAACCAGAUUUGUAGUUCUUUGUUUUUUUAAAGUUAAUUGCAUGUUCAGUCAAUGAAGUUCAGUCCAAUACCAAUUUAGCUCAUGCAAACUUCAACUUGGGAAUUAAAAAUCUAUAGUUUAAUAAGGACAAGAAUCAAGUCCUAGCUGUUAAAAUGGUAAGAACUAAAUAUUUCUGUUAUUAUUAAAUUAUAAAUCAAACAACGAUUGCAUCUGUCAUCUAUUUAGCCGUCCACCGUGUCUUAAAGGAUUCAAAUAUAUCUAACCAACACGUGACAAAUGCAUCUGUCUACCAUUCUAGCAUCACAGAUGUGAGAUAUAUGAGUACUUUUUAUGAGAUUUGAAAAAUAUUAAAAUUCAAGACUACGUCGGUUACUCAUGUGACCAGGAAGUAUCAUAUUCAUCUGGUUCCACAAACAAAAGUAGCAAAGUGACUAAAUUAUUACAUACACUAUACCAAGUCCGCUUAUUAGACCUUAAUUGGUAUUUGACCCAAACUUCUGGGAGACUGGACUAAAAUGUAACUAACCCCUUUUGUCCAAAAAUUCACAAAAAAUCACAAUUUUGUUCUCCUUAUGUGUAUAUGUGCAUAUAGUUCAUUGCUUCAUUAAUUUCUAGAGAAGUACGCAAAUCAUCCGUUGAUCGAAAAUUUUCUUGUGAUUCCAUCGAACAGUUUGUCUCAAUAUCUUUUCCUAUGCACCAAUGUAUAUGCUAGCAUGGCAUGAUCCCAAUGCUUUGAGUUACUUAAUAGAUGUGGGUUGUACUCCGAAAACUUAGAACCUUAACUGAGCAGGGACAAAUUCAAACUCCAACGGUGUGGUGUUCGUGUGAUCAAUAUGUCAAUUACAAUUUACAAAUAAAUAAUUUAUUGUGCUGUACUAAUUAUAAAAAUAAUUUUGAUUUGACAUAUUUGCCAAACACAUCAUUUGUUCAUAAGCAUUUUUAUCAUUAAAUAUCAGUCCCUUACCUUUUCCAAUCAUUUGCCAAUUUUACAUACCUGCCCAAAUUAUAAAUUUCCAACCUGACUGAAUACUUGCCAAAUCCCAAGCUCGUGACUAUAAUUACUUGGAACAUGGAGUACAUGACACCUAGAAUCCAGAACCGACUAGAAUUAAAGUCAAAGCAACUCAUUUCCACUAUAUCUAGGAAGUACAGAGAUGAAAAUUCUCUACAAAGGGGCAAAACAACAAAUCUGAAAUGAUGGUAGGCGUUACCCUUCUGACCCGAUUCUAGACCAUUUCUAAAUACCAUAUUAUCAGGAAGAUAAAUCAGAAAAAUAAAUCAGGAAGGAACUGCAAAGUUGAAAUCUAAAGUUCCAUGAAAUGGAAUACGAGAUACUAAAAAAUUUCCAAGAGGAAAAAUACGCAAAAAAUAAAAUAAAAUUAAAGCAAAAAGUUUCCCAUCCACUCCUGCCAACUUAAAAAAGCAUUGUUCUUUCUAACUUUGCAUAUAAAGACAACCUUCUAUAGAGAAACAAAUGAAUAGAUACCCGUCCAUUUUCUCUUUGUGACAUAAACAUUCUUUGAUAUCAUCAACAAAGUUCAAUUUAGAUACCACACAUUUAUAAGUUAUUAUUUUUCUAAUUGAUUGUUUUUGUAUUAUACAUUAAUACUGAUGCAUGGCUUAAAGAAGAUCCCAAAUAUAUGUAACAGACAAACCAAUUUUCUAUAUAUGAGUGAGCAUUCACAUCUGUCUUGAAUAUUCUUUCGCAAACGAAUUGCAUCGAAGAUAAGCCAACGACUUAGUAAUUCUAUGGAUGAGAGAAACAACGAAUUUAGUAUUCAUUCACGGUAUGUAUCUCUUGUCAAGUCCAAUAUCUCAUGCAGCAGUUUGUGCCCAUGCACAUUGCCUUUUAAAGUCAAAGCUCUAUCAAAGUAUGAACAACUAUGGGAAAGGUUUGAAAACAUAGUUAGUUAAUUCGGAUUUGGCAAAUAUUCGGUACGGGUAUAAUACGAAUAAAAUUCGUAUCCUAAUUUGUAAAUUCGUUGAAAAAUACGGCUUAAAAAACGGGUUCGCCAAUUAUUCGGAUACACGAUUUAUACGGAAAUUAUACGUUCAUCAAUUAAAAAUUCGGGAUUAAAAAUUCAGCUAUUAAAUCAUUUUUUUUUCUAAAUUUAUGCUACUAGCAUAAAUAGUUAUAAUUUUUAAGAAUAUGAAAAAAUAGAGAGCUACAAAAUAAAGUAGAUUAGGUAAAUAAAAUAAUAGCAAACUAUAUUAUAUACCACGAUAUAUAAACAAUCAAGCAGAGAAGAAUUAAGAUGCUAUAAUUAAACACUAACACUAUAAUAUUUAAACAUUUUUAGGCGAAAGAAAGGAAAUUCAUACUUAAACAUAAAAAUAUGAGAUGGUCCAUACUUCAACAUAAAAAAUAUGAAGUUUUUAUAUGGAUUUUCAAUAAUUCGCGAAUAAUUCGGCUAGCCCAAAAAUUGGCGUUUUAUUCCCUUUUUUUGGGAAAAAUUCGUAUACGGGCUGUUUUAUUCAGAUUUUCAAUAAUUCGUGAAUUAUUCGCGAAUUAACUAACAAAGAUUUGUAUUGAAAACUCUAGGUGGUAAAACACAAGAAAAGCUUAAUUUAGACAUUUGGAAGAAUAAUAAGUUUUAAUAAAUAACUAUAAUUUAUUUAGCAACCAUUUCCAGUUGAAAGAAUAAUAAGGUUAAUAAAGAAAUAAAAUUAUCCCAAUUUUCAUAUGAUAGUAAGCAUAUUAAACCAGCCAUCAUUCUUUUCCUACUCAUGUGAUAGAUUUCAUUCUCUCCAAUUUUUUUUUUUAUCAACAAGCAAUAGAUUGUCAUCCAGGUCGGAGGCUAAAAGGCAAAAGAAAAAUGACAGCGCCUUCCCUCCCUUCACAUGUAAACCGUGACUAUUCUUCUCCUCAAUCCAGAACCCCUCAAUAGAUUCUCCACCACUCAGAUAUCAAAUUUUACUGAAUUUCCUUUUUAAUUGUGCUUCAAGUUUUAGGUUAACUUAGGUUCAGGACAUUCAAGUUCAGCCCGCUUCAAUUUCAGGUUGUUUAGGGUUUUAAAUAAUUUGAAUUUUAGGUUGUCAAGUUUUCAUGCUAUUCACACUCAUUAUAUUAGAUUAAAAUCUUUAGACUUUACAUUGCUUCGAGUUCAGUAUAGUUCAGAUUUGAAUUAGGACCACUUGCUGCAAGAUGUUUGAGUCGGAUUAGGUUUUGACACCGUUGUCAUGACAUGGGGUCGUGUCGUAAACUUGCUGGCACGGUACGGCACGGUGUGUUCCAGACAGUGCCGAUGCAUACCGGUCACAAAAGAUACAUGUGUGCCGACACAUAAUGACAUGAAAUAUUUAUUUUCCUUAGCAACAGCAUACUCUAAUUGCUUAUUAUGUAUCUUUAUUAAAUCUUUUGAAUUUAUUGAGAAAAUUAUUGAUUAAUUUAAAGAAUAUAGAGUUUUAAGUUGUGCCAUCGGCACAAUAGCUGUAUCGUGCAGAUAUCUUGUUGGCAUGAUACAGCGCGGUGGAUAUGGCCCAUGCCGAUUGGCACUUAAAUCCUUGCCGGUAGUAUAGAUCCAAUGUUUCUAUUACAAUCACUCCGGAUCAAGGAUUUUAAGUGUCGUGGCACGGGAUCAUGCCGGAAACUUGCCGGCACAGUACGGCAUGCUACAUGCCGAGCCGUGUCGAUGCGUGCGAUCAAAAAAAUUCUUGUGUGCCGACACAUAAUAGCAUGAAAUAUUUAUUUUAUUCAACAACAAAAUAUUCAAACUAUUUAUUAUGUUUUUUUAUCACUUCUUUUGAACUUUAUUGAGAAAAUUACUUACUAAUUUAAAGAAUAGAGGGUUUUGAAUUGUGCCAUUGGCAUGGGGUCUGUAUCGUGCCGGUAUCUUGUUGGUACGGUACGAUACGGUGGAUACGGCCCAUGCCACGGGUACUUAAAACCUUGUGGCAAACUAAUCCUCUCUUCACCAUAUAGGAGUUACGUAAAAUUUUUUUCGAAACGCAAUGAAUCAUUCAUCUCAUUCUGAAAAUCUUUCAGGCCUUUAAGGUGGUGAAUCAUCCACCGCAUUCAUUAAGAUGGUUAAUGAUUCAUCAUUUUCAUAGUUAUUAGAAUUAUAUGUGGAUUAUAUGGGAAAUAGAAAAAAAUGAGGUUGUUAGGAUUAUAUGUAGAUUAUUAGGAUUUUUAUUUGACUGUUAUGACUGUUUGGAUAGAUUAUUAGGAUUUUUAGGUUGUUAAGAAUAUUAUACGUGAUUUGUUGAAAUUUUUAUAUGGUUGUUAGGAUUAUAUAUGAGAUAUAGAAAAAAAUAAUAAAAUAAUAAAUAAGCAAAAGGCGGUGAAUGAUUCAUCGCUUUUUUUGUGGGAAAUUAGGAGGACGGUGAAUCAUUAGCUGNCGUGAUAGGCUUGACCCGAGUUCGGUUCAUUUAAACCAGGUCGCCGUCUUCGUGAUAGGCUUGACCUGGGUUCAGUUUGGUUAAACCAAAUCCACUAUAUAAAUAUUUGAUUUGAACCAAGCGCAAUAUAAUUAUGAGUUCAAUUUGAACUUAUAAAAAGGGGGAGAAAAUAAAUAAGUUGGAGCCAAGUCUAAAUCAAACCGGCUUGGGUAUAUAUUCAAACCAAACCAAACCCAAGUCAACAACGGGCCUAUCAAUUAUGGAUCAAAGACCAAGUUGGUGAACCAAUCCUAGAAUGGUGAACCAAACUCAUAAUGGUGAACCAAGCCCAAGUGUUAAACCGGCGUCGAAUAGAACUCAUAACAAUGAACCGAACCAAAAUCGAGUUGAACCGAACCCAAGGAGGUGAACCGAACACAAAACGAUGAACUGAAUCGACUCAUAAGCCGGUUCAACUCAAACCGAACUGAGACUCAUAACUUUGAACCAAAUAAUGAACCAGUUGGACCUGAACGAAAUUACAAGUUGGUUCAACUCAAAUUGAACCAUGAAGGAUCCAACCCGAACCGAAGUGGACCCGAUCUGAACUGAACCGAACCGGAUUCGGUCCGAACUAAAUCAUAAGGGAUUCAACUUGAACCGAACCGAAUCCUGUCUGAACCAAAUCAUAAGGGAUUCGACUUGAACCGAACCGGAUCCCGUCUGAACCAAAUCAAGAAGCAUUCGACUCAAGCCGAAGUGGAGCCGAUUCGAACCAAACUAUAAAGCAUUCAACUCGAUCCGAAGUGGAUCCGACUUAAACCGAACCGGGAAGGGUUUGACUCGAACCAAAGCGGAUCCAAUCUGAACCGAACCAAAUGGAUUCAAUUUGAUCCGAAGUGGAUCCAAUCUGAAUCGAACCGAACAAGAUUCGACUUGAACUAAAGUGGAUCCGAACCGGACCAGACCUGGUCUAAACCGAACCACAAAGGAACCAAACCAAAUGGAUUCAACUUGAUCCGACUUGAACCGAACCAGGAAGGAGUCAACUUGAACUGAAGUGGAUCCAAUCCGAAUCCGAACCGAACCAAGAAGCAUUCGACUGGAACCGAAGUGGAGCCGAUUCGAACCAAACUAUAAAGCAUUCAACUUGAACCGAAAUGGAUCCGAUCCGAACCGAACCAGGGAGGAUUCGACUCGAACUGAAGUGGAUCUAAUCCAAACCAAACGGAUUCAACUUGAUCCGAAGUGGAUCUGAUCCGGACAGAACCACAAAGGAUUCAACUCGAACCAAAGUGAACCCAAUCUGAACCAAGCUGCAAAGGAUUCAACUUGACCCGAAAUGGAUCCGACUUGAACCGAACCAAACUGAACCGAACCGGAUCCAAACCAAACCGGAUCCCGUCCGAUCCGAACCAAACUGAACCGAACUGGAUCUCGUCCGGUCCGAACCGAACUGAACCGAACCGGAUCCGAACCAAACCAGAUCCCGUCCGAUCCGAACCAAACUGAAUCGAACCGGAUCCCGUCUGAACCAAAUCAUAAGGGAUCCGAUUUGAACCGAACCCGAUCAGGAUCCGACUCGAACUGAAGUGGGUCCAAUCCAAACCGAACAUGAUCCGACUCGAACCGACUCGAGCUAAAUUCGGUUCAAUCCAAUCAGGGUCUAACUCGAACCAAGGUGGAUCCAACCCAAACCAAACCAUAAAGAAUCCAAUUCAAACCAAGUCUGGAUAGAUCCCGAACCAAAGCAUAACGGUUCAACCCCACAAACUCAAAACUCAAAACCCAAAACCCAAAGUCCACAAAUAGAAUCCAAAAUCCAAAGCCUACAAAUAAAGCCAACGACCGAAAAGUCGUAAAACUAAACAAUUCAAACGACCGAAAAGUCGUUAAACUAAACAAUGCAAACGACCGAAAAGUCGUUAAACUAAACAAUUCAAACGACCGAAAAGUCGUUAAACUAAACAAUUCAAACAACCAAAUCCAAAAUGACCAAAUAAACUUGAAGUCGCCCAACUCAAACUAAGUCUUGAUGGGUCCCGAACGACCCAAACCAAACCAAGCCUUGAUGGGUCCCGAACGACCCAAACCAAGUCUUGGUGGGUCCCGAACGACCCAAACCGAACCAAGCCUUGAUGGGUCCUGAACGACCCAAACCAAGCCUUGAUGGGUCCCGAACGACCCAAACCGAGCCAAGUCUUGGUGGGUCCCGAACAACCCAAACCAAGUCUUGACGGGUCCCGAACGACCCAAACCGAGCCAAGUCUUGAUGGGUCCCGAACAACCCAAACCAAGUCUUGAUGGGUCCCGAACGACCCAAACCGAACCAAGCCUUGAUGGGUCCCGAACGACCCAAACCAAGUCUUGAUGGGUCCCGAACGACCCAAACCGAGCCAAGUCUUGAUGGGUCCCGAACGACCCAAACCAAGCCUUGACGGGUCCUGAACGACCCAAACCGAACUAAGUCUUGAUGNAAAUAAAGUAGAUUAGGUAAAUAAAAUAAUAGCAAACUAUAUUAUAUACCACGAUAUAUAAACAAUCAAGCAAGAAAGAGAUUAAGAUAGUCUAUAAUUAAACAUAAAAUAUAUAUAUUUAAAAUUUUUAGGGCGAAAGAACAGAAAAUUCAUACUUAAACAUAAAAAUAUGAGAUGGUCCAUACUUCAACAUAAAAAAUAUAAAGUUUUUAUAUGGAUUUUCAAUAAUUCGCGAAUAAUUCGGCUAGCCCAAAAAUUGGCGUUUUAUUCCCUUUUUUGGGGAAAAAUUCGUAUACGGGCUGUUUUAUUCAGAUUUUCAAUAAUUCGUGAAUUAUUCGCGAAUUAACUAACAAAGAUUUGUAUUGAAAACUCUAGGUGGUAAAACACAAGAAAAGCUUAAUUUAGACAUUUGGAAGAAUAAUAAGUUUUAAUAAAUAACUAUAAUUUAUUUAGCAACCAUUUUCCAGUUGAAAGAAUAAUAAGGUUAAUAAAGAAAUAAAAUUAUCCCAAUUUUCAUAUGAUAGUAAGCAUAUUAAACCAGCCAUCAUUCUUUUCCUACUCAUGUGAUAGAUUUCAUUCUCUCCAAUUUUUUUUUUUUAUCAACAAGCAAUAGAUUGUCAUCCAGGUCGGAGGCUAAAAGGCUAAAGAAAAAUGACAGCGCCUUCCCUCCCUUCACAUGUAAACCGUGACUAUUCUUCUCCUCAAUCCAGAACCCCUCAAUAGAUUCUCCACCGCUCAGAUAUCAAAUUUCACUGAAUUUCCUUUUUAAUUGUGCUUCAAGUUUUAGGUUAACUUAGGUUCAGGACAUUCAAGUUCAGCCCGCUUCAAUUUCAGGUUGUUUAGGGUUUUAAAUAAUUUGAAUUUUAGGUUGUCAAGUUUUCGUGCUAUUCACACUCAUUAUAUUAGAUUAAAAUCUUUAGACUUUACAUUGCUUCGAGUUCAGUAUAGUUCAGGUUUGAAUUAGGACCACUUGCUGCAAGAUGUUUGAGUCGGAUUAGGUUUUGACACCGUUGUCAUGACAUGGGGUCGUGUCGUAAACUUUCUGGCACGGUACGGCACGGUGUGUUCCAGACAGUGCCGAUGCAUACCGGUCACAAAAGAUACAUAUGUGCCGACACAUAAUGACAUGAAAUAUUUAUUUUCCUUAGCAACAGCAUACUCUAAUUGCUUAUUAUAUAUCUUUAUUAAAUCUUUUGAAUUUAUUGAGAAAAUUACUGAUUAAUUUAAAGAAUAUAGAGUUUUAAGUUGUGCCAUCGGCACAAUAGCUGUAUCGUGCAGAUAUCUUGUUGGCAUGAUACAGCGCGGUGGAUACGGCCCAUGCCGAUUGGCACUUAAAUCCUUGCCGGUAGUAUAGAUCCAAUGUUUCUAUUACAAUCACUCCGGAUCAAGGAUUUUAAGUGUCGUGGCACGGGAUCAUGCCGGAAACUUACCGGCACAGUACGGCAUUGUUGGGAUCAAAAAAAUUUUGAAAUUUAAAAUUCAAAUUGAGAAUAUAGAUGGAAGGGAAUUGACGUGAUUAAUGGUUGCCUUAGAUGACCAACUAUUAAAAGGAAAAGAAUUAAAAAUAUAUUGUUGCCUUCUUUUCAAAUUCUUUUGAAUUAUUUCCCUAAACAAAGAGGGCCUAGAAUCACUAUAAAUGACACCAUGGAAUNUUUUAUUAUCAGCAUUUAUAUUUGGUCUCUUAAUCGAGGGUUCCUUAACACCGAAAGUGUGGGGUAAUUAACAGCAGAUUCUUGAGUCUGUUGGAAGCCAUGAACCUAUAAUCCUGAUUUCAAAAUAAAAUAUAAACAAAUUUUAUCUCUACCAUGAAUGACCACUCGCCCUAGAAACACCCUACGGCAGGGCCGGUUCGUUCGCGGCAGACAGGCAUGCUACGUGCCGAGCCGUGUCGAUGCGUGCGAUCAAAAAAAUUCUUGUGUGCCGACACAUAAUAGCAUGAAAUAUUUAUUUUCUUCAACAACAAAAUAUUCAAACUAUUUAUUAUGUUUUUUUAUCACUUCUUUUGAACUUUAUUGAGAAAAUUACUUACUAAUUUAUAGAAUAGAGGGUUUUGAGCUGUGCCAUCGGCACGGGGUCUGUAUCAUGCCGGUAUCUUUUUGGCACGGUACGGCACGGUGGAUACGGCCCGUGCCGACGGGCACUUAAAAUACGGCCCGUGCCGACGGGCACUUAAAACCUUGCUCCGGAUCCUAAACCGACGCAAAUAUAAAGACAGUUUCUUAGUAGACUAAGAUUUUAUCUAUCAGAUUACGAAUGAUAUUUCAUUUGAAGUAUCUACAAACUUAGGAAUAUUUUUAAUUUAUUUUUUCUUUAUUUGGUUUCCUUAUCAUACUAGGAUUAUUAUAUGGAUUUUAGACUUAUAAGUAACAGGCCACCCUUUUGUAUUCAAUAGCCAAUCUAGUAAUAAAGAAGAUAUUUUCAUUAUUCGUUUCUAGCUUACGCCAUACUAAAAUGGAAGAUCCUCUUCCCCUUGGAGCAAGGAAACGUUCGCUCAAAAGUGUUAAUCCUAACAGUUUGGUAUCAAAGCUACAGUUUGGCGCAAGAAAUCCUAACAAUUUGGUAUCAAAGCAAUCAUAUAGGAGCGGGAGAUCCUAACAAUUUCCUUCUCCAUAUUUUAACAAAACUUAAAAAGAUAAUACUAAAUUUAGAUAAUAGUAAUCAUAUCACAAAAAAAACAAAAAACAAAGUCUAUAGUGUUGCUGGCAUAGAAACCACCAAGUACUUGGCCAGUAAACAAAAUAUUUGUAAUGCUCAUAUUGACCUUCUUUAAUACAGGAGGUCAAUAUUAAAUCUCAAUUGAAAAUAGAAUUUAAUCUUUGAGUAAAUAUGAACUCGUACAUUUAUACUCACCUAACAAACUUAGCCCAAGUUUGCUACAUUCCAAGAUUUCCAAGAAAGAAACAAGAAAAUCAGAAGGAACUUGCAUUUUGGCGUAAGCAAUAAUGAAAGAAUUGCCAUUUUCAUAAUCUAAAAGAACCAGUCUCGACCAAAAAUCAAUCUUUGAUGGAUAUAAACAGGAUAGUUUGCUCUAAUUUGCAUUAGCCAAGAUCGCCAAGCUAGCAAAGACUAGAACUUUAUGAUAGGGCAUCUAGCUGCCUGAGUCAAUUCCUGAAAACUGGCCUACCAAAGAGCACAUUGUUUUCAUGUGCUUGGGUUGGUCUAAAUCAUGCAAAUGCUUUAAUGUUAUUUUCCUUAUUGGUUGUUAGCUUUAGCACUAAACAUGUUGUCAAGUUCUUUUAUAAAUAGUUAUUAGGUUGAUCACAUACAUCAGCUUCUAAUAUUACAGCUUCUAAUAUUAAAGAAUAUUUAACCGCAUUUUUGGUUGAUCAUAUACUUCAGCUUCUAAUAUUAAAGAAUAUUUACUUGCAUUUUUUAUAUGCUGGUGAGGUAAUGGUCAAUUUGAUAAUAUUAGAUUUCUUGCAGAUAGAGUGCUAGCUUUAUGAUAAACUUAACUACUGAUGAUUGUCAUAGCAGUAUAAAAUUUGGAACCACAUCCAGAAUAGCUAUUGUGCUCUAUUAUUCAAGUUUUGAGGCAAUAUUAUAUUGAUUUUACCAGUCACUAGUAUAGUAUAAUCUAUAGAUAUAUUAAAUCGUGAGUUUUACUGUACAUGACGUGUCGGCUUCUCAGCGCUCCCUCUCUGUUGUUCCUUCUUGCGCCCUUUCGUUCCCUUCUUUCUCCCGAUGGUUGAUGUGUCGUUCGCCCCUUCUCUUCGGCAUCCUGUCGCGCAUUUGCGCUACCUUCCCUCUCUCCCACCUGCGAUUCCCUCUCUCUCACCACCAAUCGCUGUCCCCUCUGGCUCCGCACAGCCCGCAGGGGGGGUGGGCACGGGCGCGGGUCGCGCGCACGUGGCAAUACGGGCCUCGCGCGCCCGGGAGCCGGGCACGGGUAGCGCAUAGUGGCAGCACGGGCCGGUGCGGGCGCGCGAGGGGCCUGAGCGGGCGCCGGGCGCGGGUCGCGCGCACAUAGCAGAGUGGGCGGGCGCGACGCGGGCGAGCGGCUUGAGCGAGUGCGGGCCCAGGUCACGGCGCGGCUCUCUCUCUACCCCUUUCUCCCUCUCCCUCUCCCCCCUAAGGGGCCACCAAAACACCACAAGUGCGGACAUUUGCGAGAAACCCGGGCAAGGUCCGAACGUCGCUCGAGAAUAAGUAGUUUAAGGUGUGCGCAGAGCGCGCUGUGGCGAGGGCAGGACGUGCGAACUUGCGCGGCCGCACUGGUACUACAUCACCGGUUGCGCGGCGACUCUCGCUCUGCCGGAGCUAGUCGGGCCACCUCUCGUGCGCUCUACCUACUCUUCUACUCUGCUUAGCUCGCAACUUUUUGCGAAAUUACGUGUUUUGCCAAGCACCGAAAUUCUUUCGAUUGCCAACGUCGCAUCUCCGUUUAGAUCGUCCGUGAGAUUGCUGGAUGUAGCAAAUAUCGUCAUGAAAUUAAAAUUUUAAAAAUUUAAUAAGUCGCAAAGAUUUUGAAAUUUAGUUUAAGAAUUUUAAAUUUCCAAUUCUCAAACAUUCUAAGAAUAUAAAUAAUCUUUUAGAGAUGUUAAACUAAUUAUUUCUUUUAACAUGUAAAUUAUAAUUUUCUUUGAAUAUUUUUCGAAUACAUUAUACUUGUUAGACCAAGAUUAUAGCAAUCAUAAAUCUGUAAUAAUCUAUAUUAACAAGAAUUCGACACAUCUUCAUUCGUUAUUACGACACAAUUUAAAUCGUGUGAUAUUUUAUAUACACAAUAUAAAAUAAUUAUUCUAAUAUUAUAAUAUUUAAAUUAAUACUGGACAAUUGUAUAUUUGAUAAUAUAUUUACAUACGAAUGUGUAAUUAUUUGAUCUCAGAGUUUCGUAUCAAAACUCUAAUAUAAGUAUAUCCAAUAUUCAAAUUUAAUAUAUUUUUUCAAAUUUUGUUAGAAUUCGAUUUCGUUUCUCAUCUUGAUACUAGUUCAAAAUAUUGCAUUUGAACUUUGAAUUUGGAAAACUUCUAAAACUUGAUAAAAAUUUCUCUAUUUUAUCGGGCUUUUCAAUGUAUCAAACUAAUUUAAAAGUGCUUAUUACAUUUUAAUAUUUUAAAUUUCAGCUUCUAAAUGGUGUUGAAAUAUUUUAUGGAAGUCUCUGUAUAUCUGGUUAUAUUUGCUGAUGUAUGAAACUAUUACAUUAUUCUCUCUAGAUAAGAGCUUUAAACUCUCAUAGUGGUAUAUAGAACCUGAUUAUUAAAUAUUGGCUAUAUCGUGUAAUCUUAGUUAUUAAACUAAAGUUCAAUCGUGACUAGUUUAAAUCUAAGUCCUGUCAUCAAGGUGAUUGUUUAAGUUGAACUCAUCAUUCAUUCUUUUCGACCUUUUAUUAAUGUCGGAGUUGGCACUGUGGAUAUAUUUGAUAAUAUCAAUAUUGAAUCAAAAUAAUAAUUAAUAAAAUACUAUGAUUCUCUAACGAGAGAUCUCUAGAUAACAUCCAAGACUGAGAUGUUAGGUUGCCGUGAUGGGUUGAUCCGCCACUCGGUCAAAAUAGCGUGUGUCAGUCUCAUAACUAUGUUAGAAGGAGUAACAACUCGCUGAUGUUUACUAUAUUUUUAAAGAAUUAGUAUCUAUUUAGUUAUUUUUGUUCUGAUUCUCUUUAUGUCGGACUCACUUGCGAUCUGGUUUUUUAGUUUGUGCGUGCUUUGUUUGUACUGGCUUGCGGCCAGGCCUAAGUUGGAAUAUGCAUCAUAAGGCAGGUUAGGGUCAAUCUUUAGUUAGAUUAGGUGCUUUAGAUCUUAUUCUCUAGUUUGUGCUGUCUCUAGUGCUUUUAUUUAUCAUCCAUUUACUUUUUAGUCCCUUAUCGUUUGUAUAUGAUGAGUAGUUUACGAGUGGCAAUAUGAGAGCAGUUAUUGUGUAAGAGGUUAUGAAUGAUAGAAUUUAUAGAGCAAUAUUUGCACGAUUUACGUAAAACAGCAUAAGAUAACAGGAUCAAAAUAGACGUAGAAUAAUUAAUGUAGGAAAUUUGAACUCGCUUCGUCGUAUUUGACCCAGAGGUUACUCUUUUUGAGAUACUAAUCAGGGACGCACAGACCCGAAUCUCAUGGGGCACUGCAUUGAAGAAGUACAAAAGGUGAGUGGAGAAUGGCGGACGAUAUCGCAUGUGGAUCUUCGAAUAGCAACCAUAGAUCGAGUUGGUGCAAGCUAGCUCGCUAAAAAAAAGGAUAUAAGAAUACGCAUAAUAAAAAAUCUUGGGAGGAGUCUUUUAGAUGACGCAGUAUAGAGACAAGAUCCAAGAAUAUCAUAAAGGUAACAUGAUAAACUAUUGCAGAAGGCUCUUGCUUAUUCACGCUAAAAACGUGGCUACAACGUUAUCUUUAUUGCACAUUCUAUUGCUAUGGCACGAAAAUAAGGCAUAUAUAAGAGCACAGUGACGUAAAUGUAGCUGAGGGCAGUUUCGUUUACACAACGAUAUGUAAGGGGAGGCAUCUCUGGAGAGUGGGAUAGCUGUCUGGGGGGUGAUGGAGAGUCCAAGUGUUUACUAGCGGGUAUAAAGUGUUGAGUUACAUAUAGGCAAAGCAAAGGAGACGAUUCACUUAGAAUGUAUAUUCUCAUCGCAUGUAGAUAUAGCGCACUCUUCUCAUGUGGUUUGGCGUUCAAUUCUAGUGGGCGAACUGCUUAUUAGUUCACAAAGUUCGUGACCGAUCUGAACGAAAUAUAGCUAAGCCAGUCUACGCGACUGUCAUGACCGGUUGGGUUCUCAAGCAGCGAGAACUCUAAUACAAACUGAGAUGGUGGAUGGUUGUGUUGUUGGCGCUUAUAUCACUCAGGAGAAUGGUAAGGAAUUAGCAAACGAAUUAUCCUUGUCAAAAAAGUUGCUGAUUUGGAUAUUAUUGUCCCAAUUGACGAUGCGCUAGACGAGCUCGAGGGAAGAUGCUAAUAACUCCUCGACAUAUUAGUGUUCUUUAGAGCAAAUAUUGUCGCGUUAACUUGUGCCAGUGACCAAACACUUGGUUCAUAUGAGUUUGCUUACAGCGCAUUUUGUGGCAGAUGACAAAGAUGGGGAGAUGCGGAACAAUCAAAUAAUGAGCUUAUUCCUUGUAUGUUAGUGCCAUGUAUCGGAUCACAUGGACAUAUACUUGAUGCUCAUCAGAUAGGAAGUUUGAGUGGACUCGUGGUCUCUGCUUGGAAUGGGGUUAGUGAGGAACAGAAUUUUCUCUUCCUAACAGAUGUGCGGCGAUAAGUAUUGUACUAAUCGUUGUUAGUCGAUUUCAUGCUAUGGGUCAUUGUGUAAUCGGAUUUCACAGAAACCUCGUGUUCCUAUUACCACUCAACUGUGAAAUUGCGGUUUCAUAUACCGCUGGCCUGGAGGUUGUGUCUCUGAGAGAUCCCGCUUUCCUUACCGUUCAGGCUAGUCGAUCCACGCAAUGGACGCAAAUGAAGUAAAAAGUUAGAGAUCACGGUUUGCGGCCAGUCACUAGUGUAAAGACCGAGUAGGAAUCGGAGCUCUCGGUUGGCAGCUCGCUAGGUCUCUGGUAGGCCAGACCGUAAUCUGCGGAGUGUCGUGGUGUGUGAAAUCGUGCUCCACAACGUUUUAGAAAUUGUGUCGAAGGAUUAUUGCUUUCGAUAAAAUGAAAUGGGACUUCGACUAGUCUCUUCAGAGGGAGAAGACCUCUCAAAAAGCGCUUCACGUCCAAUAGAUGCGUUCUAUUGGACUAAGGAGAAAAUGGAAGCAAUUCCUACUCGAGAUAAUACGAUCGACGUGGAGGAGUCCAGUAGCGUUUCUAGGGUGGAAGGUAAAUACAAGAAGUAUAUAGGAAACUUUCAUUUUGGGUCUCCUCCGGUGUGAGGAUUGUUGUUGCAUCACGUCGUGAGAAGUGGAUAUUGGCAACAUUAGCAUCGGAACCUUUGACAGUUACUUAAAAAUGCUUCAAUUGUGCCUACUAAUAGGUAUGUGUUUGUUCAGCUUCCAGAAGGUGUGGGUACAAAGCGCUUUCGAAGGAUGUGAUGUACUUUUUACUAAUAUAGAGAUUGUUAUUGGUGACUCUGAUAUAAAUUAUGUUUACAAUUUUGAAAAGAAGGAGAGGAGCAGGAAUCCUCAUCUGAUUUACUUUGUCUCUCGCUCAUGCUCAACUACCUCCACAACUCAGCGCGCCCUCUUCCCUCUCCUCUUCUCUGGAUGAGUACAUUGUGAGAAAGUAGUUAUGAAAAGAAGGGAAGAAAAGUAUUCUCUAGCUAUCUCAGAUAAGAUGCAGAACAUGUUAGUUGAAGUGCCUCGACAUAUAGAAGAGAGAAUGGCAAGGUGAAUUGUGGGAGCAGAUGAGGAGUAGGACUUUGGCAGGAGUAACUUCCAUCUUCCUUCUCUUCCUUUCCUCCCUUGGAAGCUCGGAGUUGUUGUUAACAAAAGCUUAUCGAUCGAGGAGGUAUAGCUUCUAAGCUCUCUCAAUGGUGGUUUAUAGAGAUGGGGUUUUUGAUCUCUAAGUUGGUUGAAGCGCUGAACGCCCUAUGUUAGUUAUAUCGCUCGAGAAUAUUAACUUUUGCAAAUUGCAUAGGGGUGUCUAAUCGUAGAGUGUUUGGUUAGAUUCCAUUUUCCACACUCGUUAGUUGUGAAGUGCUAUCACAAGACGUGUUUGUUUAGAUGGGGAUUUAUUGGCCGACUACCUAAAAGGAAGUUCUUAUUUCCUGGGGUGUGUGUGUAUGCGCUUGUAAGUACAACGCAGGGUUCUUUUCAUUCUCUGCCGCUCGAUACCUCGGUUACAGGCUUGGUUUGCGAGUUAUGGCCUUGAGAGGGAUUGGAGCUACCCUGCUUCAAAAGUAGUGUAGAGAAGAGAGUCGUCCAACCCUGCACUGAUACAGGAUAACUGCGGGUAGAAGAAUACGUAUAAUGAUGAACAGGUUACUUGCGUACAACGGAAGUUCAAUUUCAACAACCAGAACUUGAAGAUGAUUUAGAAGAACCGGUGAUGUAAAUGGGUGUGCUUCUGUGUGCGAGGGGAAUUGAUACUUUUUUGAGGGGGGUCAUUUAAUGCCUCGUUGUCACUGCUUAUGCUUUACCUUCGUUUUGUUGACGUGUUUAGAGUACUUUCUCUGCCGAGCUAGAUGGCUGGAUAUGGUGCGAAAUAGUAUGACUUGGUUGUCUGUAGACAGUAGUGCCCGAAGACGGGACGAGUGCGAGUGUUUUAGUUAAUUUACGCAUAGGGGAAGAGAUGUGAUUCGUAGAAAGAAUACGUUCAAAAGCUGUGACUGCGGAGUGUGUGAGCAUCAAUGGGGAGACUGGCGCUGGCAGUUUUGCUUGUGUGUGUGUCCUAUGUACUACAGUGUUGCUCCAGGCGUUGAGCGCUUCGCGCUUUUAGCGGGGCGAGCUAGCAGACCAAUCAGUCACGGCUUGUAGUAGCCGGCGGCGAAGGGUGAUCGAUUGGAAAGACGGAGGCGACUCCCUACUUGGCGAUGUCCGCGUUGAUCAACCGAAGGAUCCUGGUCCUCAUCAGCACGGCCGACUAAUAUGUGUCCUAGUAGCAGCAAACCAGAUUGGGUGGACUAUUAAAAUGGUUGUGUUGCAUGGUUGAGCGGACCUAGCGUGAAAUUUUGCUUAAUUGAAGGCUUUAUUAGAAGGCCUUUGUUUCCUUCUCUCUCUCGAACCGGUAAACUCCUCGCAACUCUUUAAUUUAUCGUUCAAUCAUACUGUUAGAACUAUGCACUAUCUAGAGAGAGUGAUAGAGUAUAUGGUAGAAAGAUGGAAGUAUAGUUCAAUAAAGGGCUCAUGAUUGUUGUUCGGUCAUUUCUUGAACGAGUGCCAUGAUGGGAGCCUUCUACAUAUCAUAAUAUACUCGUCAGUACAUAUCAGCACAUUGUGUAGGGGACAUUUGGUAUGGCUCAUGUUUGUUUGUUAAGUGUUUAUUUGUUUGGGAAGGUAAGAUAUAAUCUUAAACGUGUCUUGGUUUUAAACAUCCUUUUGGUUUUAGAUCUUUUCUUCUCAUUGAGUACUUUUAUGGUUACAUUCUAAUAUAGUUUGAGAUUCAUGGGUUGUUUAGCUAGCAUAUUCUUCUAUUCUAAUGACAAAGAUGUAUUUCUAGAUUUUAGUAGCAAAGAAUGAAAAGCCUAAAGUAAAUCUCGGACAAAUUAUGAUGAAAAAUCUUUGGAUAACUUUUAUUGUAUUAGUUUGUUUUAUUUUGAAAUUUUUUUGUGAUUUGAGCGGCUUUGGAAGCCUAAUGUUGUAUUGUUGGGUUUAUUCAGUGAACACUCGAACAUAUAUGUUUGAUCAUUUGAAACGUUAUUUUUCCCUUAUUGUUUUGUGUGAUGACGAAUUUUAACGUACUUAACUCUUCAUUGAAGUAGGUAGAGAUGCAGAUUAUAUAUUGUCAUGAACGCUUCUGCAUGCUGCGAGCAUUAUUUCUAGUGUGUAUCGUUUUCUUUCUUACCUGUUAAGACUGAGAUGGUUGAAAUAUUGUGAAUCUGAACGCACUCGCGGAUGGUGGUACGUUACUGUGGGCUUUAUUUAGUAGGUUUGUUAAACUAUUUGCGUUCUACAUCUUUAGGGUGUGGUUUAGUGAGACGUUCGAGUGAUUACUGAGUCGCGUUGAUAUUUCGUCGAAUAGAACUGAUAGGUGAAGGCCGUCCUAAGGUUGAGUACUGUAGUUUAUUUAAAGUUUAUAAAAAAAUAUAAUUACUAGUAUAUCCAAAGAUAAGACCGUCUUUAGACGCGAUGUUCCAGUAUUGCCGGUUGGGUUCUCAUGAGAUCGGGGCGAAAUGCCCCUAAGUUUCUAUACUUGUACGCUCGGUGUAUCGUAAAGGCGUCAAUUAUGUGAGUCUCAUCUCAUACCUCAUAUCAUAUUGAAAUCGGCUGAGAUUCUCUAAUGAUGUAGAUUUUUUAUUCUUGAGAACUGGCCUGUGCUAUUGAUUGGUGAGAUGUAAAUUAACACAUUCUAGUUAAUAUAGUUAGUAAGCAGUAUACUCAGACGCUGUCGGCACGUGCCGACCAUGCAGUAAUUGUAAAGUAUGUGAGCGAGGUGCGAUCUUUGGCAAGUAAGGAGACAUCGCUUAUCUCCUUAUGGUAGAAAUGUAGUGAUUCAUUGUAUUCAUGAACGGAUGAAUUACCUAUAAUAGAUAUAGUAUUUUUGUGAACAUAUUCUUUUGUUUAGAGAUAUAUGAAUGGGGAUACAGGUUAAUUAAUUUUAAGUAUCCGGACGCGCCACCUCUUGAAACUACGGAGGUAACUAUGAAAAUGCAACCCCUAGAGUAUAGUGAAUAGGCAUUGGACUAUCGAUUCUAGUCGCAUGUUUAGGAGAGACAUCGCACUCGCCAUAGUGAUAGCUCUUGUGACAUUCGAUAACAUAUGUCCUAUAUGUUUAGCAUCUACUUAACCGGAGCGUACUUUACGCAGACUUUGAGGAUAAGUGUAUAUGUCGCGGAGAAGUUCCCUGCGUUCGGUGAAUCAUACCUAGGUGCGAGUGUUCUCUUUUCUCGCACAUUGACUUUGGCUCCUACGGCGGGACUUUUUACGUGGCGGGGUAAGUGUUCAUCGUCGCGCCUCCGCAUCAAGGCUCCUCAGACCUCUACUAAUGGUUAUUGCCAAUCGUGGCGUCUAAGACUAAUUUUUGCGCUCAGACUGCACGGGUGAUUGACUUGCGAUUUUUGGUCCGAGAAUCUACUCGUGGCUACCCACCUCGGCACCGCGAAGUCCGAUUUGCCUGUUCUGGAAAGGCUUUCUAUUUUCCUAGCACAGUAGGGUGUUGACUAGCCACGGAUGCGUCUUGAAGCUUGAGAUGCGGUGUUUCUAUUUAGGCAGUAACGGCCAUAGAACUUCUCGGUAUUUAUAUUAAAUGUGUAAUAGUUGACAUUAGGCCUUUGGUACAUGUGGCAGUGCAUUCCCGGCCCGGAAACACGGCUGGAACAGAGCUUGAGGUGUUUACUGUAGGUUACUCUCCUACGAGAAUCAUAAGUGGCUAGACUGGGAUCGAGUCCGUUUCGGAGUGGGGUCUUCAUGGCCAGACAGCCAUGACUCCGGUCGCGGUUGUUGCACUAGUGCGUGCAUUUUUGGGACUCGUCGGGUUGUCUAUUCGAGGAAUUACACGUUUUUUAACCAGGUGUACGCCAGUGUUACAAGUGCGACAUUACGUUAGAAUUAGUAAAUAAUGACAUCUUACCUAUUCUGCAUCGGAGGACAGGGGCGUGUUGUUGCCAUACUCGAUGCGCUUAUACAUGAUUAGUAUCAUCGAUGUACACUGACAUGUGUUGAUAGUUGCUAUCAUUACUUAUGCCAGUUCUGAAAACAAUAGAGAAUAUCAUGGUAAGAAUGUACUCAUGCUGUACAUAUUGUUCAUUAUUUCGCCUCUCGUUUAUAUUGUACUGACCCUCUUAUUUAGUUGUGUGGUCUUUUGGUGUUUUCGUCUAGAGGCAAUGGCGCAUUUCGCAGUGGAUAUUCGUGGAAGAUCAGUUAUUGGCAACUGAGUUCUCGAGUAGCUUUUUGGAAGUCUAAUUUAUAGCUACGGUGUGUAAAUAUAUGUCAUGUGGUAUCAGGUAUAUGUUAUGGGUGCGCACACUCUGUCUUUUAUAGCUUCUUUUCGCAGCUGAUUGGAUCUAUUUAGUCCGGGCCCAUGUCUCGGCGCGUCUAGUGUGCUAACUGCCGAACGAGUAGGUUAUUGCCGUACAUUUGACUGGCUUGGUCGGGGUACUUUCGAUCCAGAAAUCAAGUACUAUGGUGGACGCCUAUAGCGGUACUAUUCGCGCUUCCCCUUGCGCUUGUUCUUUAUAAUUACAUCGAUAUUAGUUUCUUAUAUUGAGACAUUACACCAUUUACUUUCACAUCAUUGCUCUCAUUUAGUGUUGGGAUAUUGACGAUUUAAAGUACAAACGCGGUAGUUUGUUACAAGUUCGUGCAUGGAUGGCGUGUAGUCCCGGUGCGGUUGAGCCAGUGCGUCGAUUCUCUCUCGUUGUGAGACUUGGUUGUUAUGAUUGACCUGAGCUGGUCAGUAUACCUUCGAAUCGUCUAUCGGAUGUCGUGCGGCCGAAUAGCUAUUUGAGUCAUAAUUGAAUUCGACGCUACAGCUUGCGGUGUGAGAUUUCAGUGGAACAAAGUUUGGCCACCGCUAAUGGUAUUGCUUUUUGAAAAAGAUUAGUCUACUUGCCUACCGUGCAGGCCUAGGCGGCUACUGCUAGCGGUUAUAUGGGCCAGCUAGAGCUGUAGGCAUCGUGCACCUUUGCCGUAGGUGUUCCUGGUUAGCGAGUAAAUGGUUUGGAAGUAUGAGUACUUUUGGAUUGUGGUCGCCGCCGCCGGCUGUUUGAUGAAUUACACUGUACAGUAGUUGUAUUGCAUAUUACUUUUAUGAUUCCUUUCAGUUUACGUUGAUACGUUUUAUCUCUGUACUAGCAUUAUAUUUGGCGGGUGAGACUUAAUGUGGAGUGCCCUCCUGGUCCGCUCUCGUUUCUGUCGGGUACUCAAUUAGGAGACCCUUUGGUUGGUCGCCCCCCCCCCGCCUAUUUUCAGGUGCUAUGCUGUAGCGGGGUAUCGGAUAGUGCAUGAGGUGGGAGCAUAGCGAACUUUAGGUGGUGCUCACAUGUGAUGUAGCAACUCAAGAAAUAUCAUAGGAAUGAUUUAGAACGGACCUAGGGACCAUAGCGAUCGUAAAACAUAGCAGAAUAAGGCUCGUGUGAGGAGACGAGGGACUUGGUGACUCGUGAUGUGCAGAAGUUAAUGGAUUUGGGUUUCAUGUGAACCUCUAAAAAGGGGAUGGUUAGGAGGUAGGCUUCCACGGUGUCGUUUAUUCUUACACCGAGGGUGUUUUGGGUUGGGCAGACACGAUGAACCGAGCGGUAUUGGUGAGAAUGAGUACGCCAUUGCGUGACUUUCGCUAAUUUGACGUCGAGUGUCUCGGGUGUUAAUUGUCUCGUGUAUCGACCUAGAGGGUGGAGGAAGGGGCGCUUUUAGGGGAAAGCCGCGUGGACGCGUUAGGUGAUCUGGUAUUCUUUAUUCAUCGAGUGUAGAUUCGGAUCGGCUGGAUGAGGACAUAAGAGUGGUGUUCCCUGAGCAAUCCGAGCGGCAAGCCGCGAGACCUUGGAACUUCUCGAGCAGUUGGCACACUCGGAUGGGGUGGUGCUUUUAUGACACGAGCCAAUUGCCGGGGAGAGACGGCGAGUGCAGCAUGAGGGCUGUCGGUUGCAGGCCAAGAGGCGCAUAGGUGAGAAGACUCUAUGAUCGCCGGAUGGUCAGUUGCUGGCACAGUUUCGGCUCUUGGUGAUCGAGUACGCCGGGAGGUCGAGGCCGGGCGGAUGGCAUUUCCGCGCCCCGUAUGGGGGUCCCUCGGGCAAUCGGACUUUUAGGCACUUGAGGUAGGAGGUGGCUGAGGGCAGCGGCCUGCGCCGGACCUUCAUGGGUACCUUCAAGAAUUCUGGAUCGAUCCUACCUUUUGGUGGAUGGGGAUACGGUGAUGUGAUCGUGGAGUUGUGGAAUUGAUCUCUCAUGGAGAUCUUGUUGAGGAUGCUGGUCCGGUUGGUGAAGCAGGAAACGUACACGUUAGCGUGAAUAUUUUGAAUCACGUCGGCCGGAACGGUGUUAGCUCCCUGCGUGGUGGAAACGGCGUCAAGCGGAACUGCAGGUCGCGCUGGUCUCCGUUCCUGUGAGUAGAUGAGGGUUCGGGGCUUGGUUGUUCUUCUGUUAUACUUUCCCGGACAGUAAGGUAAAAGUGAAAAGCUUUCCAAAGAGGAUUCGAUUGAGCUGCGGCAAGGUAGAGUCGUCCCAGUAGUGAUACUGACGCGGCCUGCGUUCUUGCGCGUAUUGGAGUUUCAUUCGUUAGGUGGGUGCGGGAUGACAAAGCCAAGUUGGACUGUUUUGGCUGCACGGGAUUCGGUGCUGUCGAUAUCUUCUCGAAAACUUGCACACCUUAAGUUUGCGACUUUUCUGCCGAAGUCUUGGACUUUGUGGGCUCUUUGUGAUAGAGCAAUGGCCAAAUGGCAUUGUUGAGGCGAGAAGGCGACGGUCUUAUUAAAGGAAAAGGCGGAAUAGAAGGGUUGUUACGGCAACGAGUGGGGAUCGUUCAUGGUCAGGCCAACAGUUGGUCUUCAAACUUCCCAGAUGUGUCGGCGCUCGUGAUCUCGGCGGGGGGGCCGGCUACUCACACAUGGGUUCCUCGGCGAAUGCACUCGUGUUUGGUUUGUGGGGGGUCCGUGCGGAUUAACCGCACAGAUCAGGUGCUUGGUGUGAGCAGCUUAAUUUGAGGUCCAAGGUGUACAGCGUGUGGGAGACUGGGUCUGUAUGUGUCGCCAUGGCCGAGUUGUCACGCCCUAUCCGGCCCGAGAGGACAAUGUUUAAGGACUGGGGUAUUAGCCGGAGCCCUGACACUGGCGGAUGCCUUUUCUUCUCGCGUGGCAGCUGCGCCGCUGUUGCACACCUUUGCGGCGGCGUAUUGUCGAAGACUGAGAGACCGGGCGUUGCGGCGAAGACAAUGCAACGGGGCUCCAGGGUCACGGGGUGCCAGUGGCGAUGCGGUACGGCGACUGGUCACGUUUGGAGCGUGCCUGGCUAACGACGGCUUUCCAUGGCAGGUUAUGGUUUCAGUAUGAAGAGAUGCUGCUUCACGCGAUUGAUGUAAACCGGUUGGUGCAUGGCAAUGCAUUGACCGCCUGGGUGGUUCAUGUUGUUACUACUUGGUAAUGGCGAGUUGUAUCAGUAGUAGGGCCAAAGUGGACUGUCGAUACGUGGUAUAGUACCGGCGGGCCAUGCGUUUCACAGACCACCGGCUUUUGAUAAGUGUAGCAGCGUGCCUGGACGCAUCGGUAGCUAGCAAAAUUAGAUGGCACUGUCGCGGAAUCUGCCUAGUGUCUCGGUUUCUUAAUGCUGGGAAUCGUGGUAGAUUUGAGUAUGAAUGGGGGACCGACUCUGAAAGACAAUAUGGAAUAGUGAUUGCGAGAGAUAUGUAGCCUUCANNNNNNNNNNNNNNNNNNNNNNNNNAUGUGACCAGGAAGUAUUAUAUCAUCUGGUUCCAAAACAAAUAGUGCCAAACGUGACUAAUUAUUACAUCACUAUACCAAGUACGCUUAUUGACCUUAAUUGGUAUUUGACCCAAACUUCUGCGGGAGGAGAUGGACUAAAUGUAACUAACCCUUUUGUCCAAAACAUUCACAAAAUCACAAUUUGUUCUCCUUAUGUUAUAUGUGCAAUAUAGUCAUUGCUUCAUUAAUCUAGAGAAGUACGCAUAAUAUCCCGAUUUGAUCGAAAUUUUCUUGUGAUUCCAUCGAACAGUUGUCUCAAUAUCUUUUUCCUAUGCACCAAUGUAUUAUGCUAGCAUGGGCCAUGAUCCCAAUGCUUGGUGAUGUUACUUAAUAGAUAGUGCGUUGUACUCCGAAACUUAGAACCUUAACUGAGCAGGGACAAAUAAUCAAACUCCAUACGGUGUGGUGUUCGAUGUGAUCAAUAUGUCAAUUACAAUUUAAAAUAAUAAUUUAUUGUGCUGUCACCUAAUUAUAAAAAUAAUUUGAUUUGACAUAUUUGCCAAACACAUUUCAUUUUGUCAUAAGCCAUUUUUAUCAUUAAAUAUCAGUCCACUUUCCUAUUUCCAGAUCAUUGCCCAAUUGUUACAUACCUGCCCAAAUUUAUAAAUUUCAACCUGACUAAUACUUGCCAAACCCAAGUCGGUGACUAUAAUUACUGGAACAUGGAUUACCAUGACACCCUGAAUCCAGAACCGACUAGAAUUAAAGUCAAAAGCAAACUCAAUUUCACUAUAUCUUUAGGAAGUACAGAGAUGAAAAUUCUCUAACAAAGGGGCAAAACAACAUAUCUGAAAUAGAUGAGUAGGCGUUACCCUUCUGACCCGAUUCUUAGGACCAUUUCUAAAUACCAUUAUUAAUCAGUGAGAUAAAACAGAAAAUAAUCAGGAAGGAACUGCAAAAUGAAUCUAAAGUUCCAUUGAAUGGGAAAUACGAGGCUACUAAAAAUUUCCAAGAGGAAAAAAUACGCAAAAAUAAACUAAAACUAAAGUGCAAAAAGUUUCCCAUUCCACUCCUGCCAUACUUAAAAAAGAUUGUUCUUUCUACUUUGCAUAUAAAGACAACCUUCUAUAGAGAAACUAAAAUGAAUUGAUACCCGUUCCGAUUUUCUCUUUUGACAAAACAUUCUUUGAUAAUCAGCAACAAAGAUAAUACAAUUUAGAUACCACACAUACUUAUAAGGUUAUUUUUUAUCUAAUUGUUGUUUUUGUAUUAUAACGAUUAAUUACUGAUGCAUGGCUUAAAGAAGAUCCAAAUAUAUGUAACAGACAAACCCAAUUUCUAUUAUAUGAGUGAGCAUUCACAUCUGUCAUUGAAUAUUCUUUCGCAACGAACAUUGCAUCGAAGAUAAGCCAAGACUUGUAAUUCUAUGGAUGAGAGAAACAACGAAUUUAGUAUUUCAUUUACGGUAAUGUAUUCUCUUGUUCAAGUCCAAUAUCUUCAUUGCAGCAGUUUGUGCCAUUGCACAUUGCCUUUUAACAGUCAAAGCUCUAUCAAAAAAGUAUGAACAACAUGGUGAUAAGGUGAAAACAUAGUUAAGUUAAGUUCGCGGAUUUGGCAAAUAUUCGGUAGGGUUUAUAAUACGAAUAAAAUUCGUAUCCUAAUUUGUAAAUUCGUUGAAAAUACGGCUUAAAAAAACGGCCUUUUGUUUCGCCCAAAUCGGAUACAGCGAUUUAUAGGAAUUUACGUUCAUCAAUUAAAAAUUCGGAUUAAAAAUUCAGCUAUUAAAUCAAUUUAUUUAUCUAAAUUUUGUGCUGGAGAUAUAUAUGUAUAAUUAAGAUAUGAAAAAUAGAGAGCUACAAAUAAAGUAAGAUUAGGUAAAAUAAAAUAAUAGCCAAAUAUAUUUAUAUACCACGAUAUAUAAAACAAUCAAGCAAGAAAGAGAUUAAGAUAGUCUAUAAUUAAACAUAAAAUAUAUAUAUUUAAAAAUUUUUAGGGCGAAAGUAACAGGAAAGGUCAUUACGUUAACAUAAUAAAUAUAGAUUGGGGUCCAUACUUCACAUAUAAAAUAUGAAGUUUUUAUUUAGGAUUUUUCAAAUAACUUCAGCGAAAUAUUUCGGCUAGGCCCAAAAAUUGGCGUUUUAUUCCCUUUUUUGGGAAAAAUUCGUAUACGGGCUUGUUUUAUUCAGAUUUCAAUAAUUCGUUGAAUUAUUCACGCGAAUUAACUAACCAAAGAUUUGUAAUUGAAAACUCUAGGUGCGUAAAACACAGAAAAGCUUUAAUUUAGACAUUGGAAGAAUACUAAGUUUUAAUUUAAAUAACUAUAUAUUUAUUUAGCAACCAAUUUCCAGUUGAAAGAUAAUAAGGCUUAAUAAAGAAAAUAAAUUUUAUCCGAAUUUUCAUAUGAUAGUAAGCAUAUUACACAGCCCAUCAUUCUUUCCUACUCAUGCUGAUAGAUUUCAUUCUCUCCAAUUUUUUUUUUUAUCAACAAGCAAUAGUUGUCAUCCACAGGUCGGAGGCUAAAUGGCAAAUAGAAAAUGACAGCCGCGCUUCCCUCCCUUCCAUGUAACCGUGACUAUUUUCUACCUUCAAUCCAGAACCCUCAAUAGAUUCUCCACACUCAGAUAUCAAAUUUACUGAAAUUUCCUUUUUAAUUGUGCUUUCAAGUUUUAGGUUAACUUAGGUUCAGGACAUUCAAGUUCAGCCCGCUUCAAUUUCAGGUUUGCUUUAGGGUUUCUUAAAAUUUGAAUUUUGUGUUGUCAAGUUUUCAUGUCUAUUCACACUCAUUAUAAUUAGACUUAAAAAUUCUUUAGACUUUACAUUGCUUCGCAGUUCAGUAUAGUUCAGAUUUGAAUUGGACCACUUGCUGCAAGAUGUUUGAGUCGAUUAGGUUUUGACACGUUGUCAUGACAUGGGGUCGUGUCGUUAAACUUGCUUGGCACGGUACGCACGGUGGUUCCAGACUUGUGCCGAUGCAUACCGGUCACAAAAAGAUACAUGUGUGCCGACACAUAAUGACAUGAAAUAUUUUUUUUACCUUCAAGCAACAUGCAUACUCUAUUGCUUAUUAUGUAUUCUUUAUAAAUCUUUGAAUUUUAUGAGAAAACUUAUUGAUUAUUUUUAAAGAAUAUAGAGCUUUUUAAAGUUGUGGCAUCGGCCCACAAUAGCUGUAUCGUGCAGAUAUCUUGUUUGGCAUGAUAACAGCGCGCGUGGAUUAUGCCCAGCCGAUUCGCACUUAAAUCCUUGCGGUAGUAUAGAUCCAAGUGUUUUAUUACAAUCACUCCGCGAUCGAAGGAUUUUAAUAGUGUCGUGGGCACGGGAUCAUGCCGGGAAACUUGCGCCCAAGUACGGGCAUGCUACAUGCCAGAGCCGUGUCGGAUGCGUGCGAUCCAAAAAAUUCUUGUGUGCCGGACACAAUAAAUGCUGAAAUAUUUAUUUUAUUCAACAACAAAAUAAUUCAAACUAUUUAUUAUGUUUUUUUAUCACUUCUUUUGACUUUAUAAAAUUACUUAUUAAUUUAAAGACAUAAGAGGGUUGCGGUGUGACCAUCGGACGGGAUCUGUAUCAUGCCGGUUAUCCUUUUGGCACGGUACGGCACGGUACGCACGUGUGGAUACGGCCCGUUGCCGACGGCACUUAAUAACCUUGCUCCGUAUCCUUAAACCGACGCAAUAUAAAGACAGUUUCUUGAGUAGACUAAGAUUUUAUCUAUCAGAUUACGAUGAUCAUUUCAUUUGAAGUGUACUACAAAUUAGGAAUAUUUUAAUUAUUUCUUAUUCUUUAUUGGUUUUCCUUAUCAAUAUAGGUUAUUAUGAUGGAUUUUAGACUUCAGUAACAGGCCACCGUUUUGUAUUCAAUAGCCAAUCUAUGUAAAUAAAGAGAUAUUUUUCAUUAUUGGUUUCUAGCUUAUGCCAUAUCAAAUGGAAGAUCCUCUUCCCCUUUGUUAGCAACGGAAACUUUCGCUCAAUAAGCUGUUAAUCCUACAGUUUGGUAUCAAAGCUACAUGUUUGGCGCAAGAAAGAAUCCUAACCAAUUGGUAUCAAAGCAAUCAUAUAAGGAGCGGGAGAUCUAAACAAUUUCCUUUCUCAUAUUUUAACAAAACUUAAAAAGAUAAUACUAAAAUUUAGAUAAUAGUAAUCAUAUCACAAAAAACAAAAACAAAGUCUAUAGUGGAGCUGCAUAGAAACACCAAUGUCCUUGCCAGUAAACAAAAUAUUUGUAAAUGUCAUAUUGACCUUCUUUAAUACAGGAGGCAAUAUUAAAUUCAAUUGGAAAAAGAUUAAUCUUUGCGAUAAUAUGAAACUCGUACAUUCUAUACUCACCUACAAACUUAGCCCAAGAUUGAUACUGGUGUCGCAACAUUUCCAGAAAGAAACAAGAAAAUUUCAGAAGGGAACCUUGCUUUUGCGUAAGCAAAAUAAUGAAAGAAUUGCCAAUUCUUCCAUGAUCUAAAAAGAACAGUCUCGACCAAAAAAAUUCAAUCUUUGAUGGAUAUAAGAUAGUUUGCUCUAUUUGCUAUAGCUACAGGAUCUCCAAGCUAGCAAUAGACUAGAUACUUUAUGAUAGCGAUUCUGAGCUGCGUGAGUCAAUGCCUGAAACAACUGGCCUAUCGAAAGAGCAGCACAUAGUUUUCAUGUGCUUGGGUUGUUCUAAACUCAUGCAAAUGCUGUAAUUACUUUUCCUUUAUGGUUCGUUAGCGUUAGCACUAAAACACUGUUUUCAAGUUCUUUUAAUACUUAUUAGGUUGAUCAACAGUCACAUCAGCUUCUAAUAUACAUGCUCUCUGAAUAAUUAGAGAUAUUAACCUGCAUUUUGGUUGAUCAUUAACUUCAAGUUCUGAAUUUAAAGAUUUAUUACUUGCAUUUUUUAUAUGCUGGUGAUGGUAACUGUGUCAAUUUGACUUAAAUAUUGAUAUUCUUCCCAGAUAGUGCUUAGCUUUAUGAUAUAACUUAACUACUGAUGAUUUGUCAUACGCAGCUAUUAAAAUUGGAAUCCUACACAGCAGAAUAGCUAUUGUGCUCUAUUAUUCAAGUUUUGAGGCGAAUAUAUCAUUGACUUUACAGUCACUAGGUAUAGUAUAUAUUCUAUAGAAUAUUAGUUAAAUCGUGAGUUUUACUGUGCCAACGUGUCGGACAUUCUCAAGCCCCCCUACGCCCUCUCGAUCCUUUCUUCUCUCCAUGGUUAUUGUUCCUUCGCUGAGCCCUUCUCUGCGGCAUCCUUGUCCGCAAUCUGCGCUACUUCCUCUCUCCCACCGCGGAUUCCCUCUCCUCUCACCAUCCAAUCGCUGUCCCCUCUGUCGCCACAAUGCCCGCAAGGGGUGGGACGGGCGCGUGUCGCACGCACGUCGCAAUAUCGGGCCUCCCGCUGGGGGAGCCGGCACGGGUCGCCGUAGUGGCAGCAGGGCCGGUGCCGGGCGCGCGCGAGGGCCUGAGCGGAGGGGUGCGGGCACGGUCGCGCCACAUAAGCAGAGUGGGCCCGGGCGCGACGCGGGGCGGGUGCUUGAGCGAGUGCGGGCCGGCUCACGGCGCGAUUGCACUCUUUACCCAUUUCUCCCUUUCCCUUCUCCCCAAGUGCGGGGGAGGUGUCGUGCGAGGGGGUGCAGCACGCGCGGGGCGGAGCUUCGGCGCAGGUAGGCGGCUCGAGCGGCGCCCCGGCUCUCUCUCCGGUCUCUCGCUCUUCCCCCUCCUCCCCUCUCACCCUUCUUCUGUCUUUGUAGCAAAAUUUUUGCACAUUGAAAAUUCAAAAUUAAAAAUUUAAAAUGCAAAAUAUUUGAAAUUUAAGUUUACAAAUUUUAAAUUUCAAAUCUAAAACUUAAAUUAAAUAUUUUAAAUUCUAAAUUUUAUUAUAAUUAAAAUUAAUUUAAUUUUAAAAUUAUAAAUUGUUGAAGAUUUAAGAUUUAAAACUUAACAUUUGAAAUUGAAAUUUCGAAUAUUGAAAUUUAAUAUAUAAAUUUUUAAAUUAAAUUUAUAAUAUAAUUUAAAAUAUUGAAAAUUUGAAUUUAAAAUUUUAAAAAUGUUAUUAUUUGAUCUUCAGUUCUAAAACUAAAUUUUAAAAAUAUUCAAAAUUUAAUAUUUCUUAUUUAAAAUUUUUAAAUUCAAUUUAAUUUAAUAUUUAAAAUAUUGAAAUUGAAACUUCGAAAUUUUGAAAGUUAAUAAUUUAAAAAUUUUAUAUUUUAUCUUAUUCUAAAACUAAUUUUAAAAUUUUACAUUUUAAACUUUUUAAUUUCAGCUUUCUAAUCUUUAAAAUUUUACUUUUAUAUUAAAUUUUUGAAUUUUUAAAUUUUAAAUUUUAAAUUUAAAUUUAAAAUAUAAAAUCUAAUAUUUGAAACCUAAAAUUUUAAAUUUGAUGUUUGAUAUUUAAAAGUUAAAAAUAAUAUUUAAAAUCUAAGUCUGAAAGAUGUUUAUUUGAAAUUCAUCAAUUCUGAAUUUUAAAUCUGAGUGAUAAUUUAAAAUUCAACUAUGAAAUCAAAAUUUAAAUUUUGAUUUUAAAUCGAAAAUCAAACUGAGAUUUUAGGUUGCCGAUGUUGAUCCGCCGCGAAGCGUGGGCCCUAAACUAGUAGAAGGAAGAAAGAUGUGUUUAACAUUUAUUAAUAUUUUGUUGUAUGUCAACCACCUGGUAGUAGUUGACUGGACUGGUGGCAAGGCUAUAGGCAGUUUCAACUUUUGAGUGUUGUCGUCCUAUUUAACAACCAUUUCUUUAGCCCAUAGAUAUGAAGUCACAAAAUAAGAAGGCUAAGAAGAGGAUGAUUAAGAAUUUAAGCAAAUAGCACGUUACUAAACAGCAGAUAACAUGCAAAAAAGCUAAUAUGUAGGAUAUUGAAUCCUCGUCGUAUUAAACCACUUUUGGUCAAAAGGACCAAAACAUGGCGAGAAGAAUGCUUGGACAUGAUCCAUGUGACAUUCCAAUAAUGUUGGAAGGGUUAAAGUUAAACUCCGAGUGAGAUAAUUGAGUUUUAGCAUUGCUCAGCGCGAAAUAGAAGUUGCGCAAGUGCUAAAUGUAGUCUAGGCAUUUCUUAACCAGUUUAAGCAUCAGGGUAGUACCGGUACCUUGCAGUAACCCGAGAAACAGCAGCUCUCGGGUUUGGUCUCUGCGAAGCUGUAACAAAGUGAAUUCUCGAAAUCCAAGAGUUGCACUUCGUCCAGGAUCAACUAAUGGUCGAGUGAGUACUCCUCGGAGAAGCUAAGGAUGCACGAAACCCAAAAAGUGCAUUGGAAUGGAGUCUGCAAGAGCAAAGAUGCAAAAUCUGCAUUUUUAGCAAAUUUGCUCUCGAGGACAAGUCUCUGGCAGGAGAGACCAGUCCCAUCGGCAGAGGGUUGCGGGAUUGCUGAUGCAACCGGUCCCUGGCAGGGAGAGACCGGUCCCCCGCAGGCGACACCAGUGAGAAUGACUAAAAAUUGGCUAAGUCCCGCGAGACGAGCUCUCGGGGACCGGUCUCUGGUGGGCAGACCGAUCUCCGGGGGACCGAUCUCUCAGGGAGAGACCGGUUCCCAAACGCGUGGAAAACGGGAAGGUCCUCUGGGACCGGUCCCAGGUCGGGGAGACCGGUCCCUCCGUGUAGGUUUUGCCCAGUGAGGGUAGUGUGAAGGUUGGAAAGUUGAGGGGCCUAUAUGGAUAUUGUUACAAUAUGAAGGGUUAGGAGAGAGGUCUCUCUCUCUCUUUCUCUCACUCCCUCACUUCCCCUCACCCCUUUCCCUCUCCCUCUCUCUGUACGUGAAGGAGAAAAAGAGAAGAAAGAAAGGAAAAGAGAACAGAAGAGAAGAAGAAAAAGAGAAGGGAAGGAGAAUGAGGAGUAGAGCUUGGAGGAGAUCAUCUCCAUCUUCUUCUCUUCCUUUCCUCACCUUGAAGCUCGGGAUCGAGAGGUAAGCUUCUAAGCUCUCUCAUGGUGGAUUUCUAGAGAUGGGUUUUUGAUCUCUAAAGUUGGUUUGAAGGGAACCCUAUGUAGCACACUGGAACUUUGCAAAUUGCAAGGUUCGAGUGUUUGGUUAGAUUCCGAAUUUUUCCACACUUGGUGGAAGGUCGUAGAUGGUAUUCCGACCUAAAAGUUCGAUUCCUGGAGUUUUGACUUUAUCCUGAGAGUUUUCACUCUCGGGGACCGGUCCCUGAUAGGAGAGACCGGUCCCCUCAGAACAGUGUUGCGGCAGAACUUGAGGCAACCGGUCCCUGGCGGGGAGAGACUGGUUCCCGAACGCGUGUUUUGCGGGAGGGUCCGAGAGAUCGGUCCCUGGCGGGGAGAGACCGGUUCCUGAACGUUGGUUUUGCGGGGCAGGCUGAGAGACCGGUCCCAGGUGUCGGGGAGACCGGUCCCUCAGCACGAAAACUGCCUAGACCAAACAGUGCACAGGUUGCAUUUUUGAGGGACCUAGGUGAAUUUUGUUACAUUUGAAAGCUUAUAAAGCCUUUCCUCUCCCUCUCACCCUCAUUUCUCUCCCUCACACUCACUCUAGAGAGAGAAAGAGAAGGAGAAGAAGGAGUAGGGGAAGAGCUUGCUUGAAGGCCUUGGAACAUCAUCUUCUUCCUCUCAUCGCACCUUGGAGGCUUGGAGCUCGUGGUUGAAGCUUUGUGGAGGAACAAACUUCAACCCUUCUUGGUUUAGAGCUUGGUUUGGAUCUUCUCUUGAGGUUGGUAGCUCGUAUUCUCCAUUUAAUACAAGUUUUUCUAGAUUUUACUAGAUGAAACCCUAGAUUGUAGAAUUAGGGUUUAUUUUGGAAAUUUUUGAUUUGAGGGCUUUGGAACCUAAUUGAUGGGUUUAGAACCCUUGUUUAGGUCGGUUUGGAAGGACUCUAACUCCCAUUUGGAGAUCGAGAAAGCUUCCUUCGCAUUCGGUGAGUUUUUCUCCACCUUAGCUUGAGAUGGUUAAUGAUCAACCUGAUGGUUGUUCGUAAGGUUCGUUUAACUCUUGUUCCUACAUCUUUAGGGUGCUAGGAGACUAGUGGACACCUUCAUCGGAGCAAACGAAGGAGCGCAAGAGUUGUGGUGGGUUUGACUUCAUGAAAUCGGGGCGAAAUGGCCCCUAAGUAUUCUAUACUUGUCGUAACGUCAAUUUGAUUUCAUAUUCAUAUUAAAUGGGAUUUAUGUGAAUUUUAUAACCCUUGAAAUGCAUAUGCUAUGUGUAAGAUGAAUAACACUCUAUAUAGUAGAGCUAUAUGUGUAGACUGCAUGCAUGUGAAAGGUGUGCAUCUUUGCAAGUUAAGAACAUGUCUCUUAUGCUAGAAAUGAUUAGAAUUAUGUAUUCAUGAACAUAAUUACCAUGCUUGGACUCGUUGAACAAAAGUGUCAUAAAGGGGCACUUGAAACUAGUAAACUAUGAAAUGCAACAUAGAGAUAUAGUGAUAGGCCAUUGGACAUCGAUUAUAUUCCAUGUUAGAGACAUGAUGACAUAGUGAUAGGCCUUUGUGACAUUCGAUACAUUCCAUAUUUUUAGACACGAGGACUUGAGACUUGAGACAAACUUAUACGCAUGCUUGCCAUUGUGCUCAUUCGCACAUACUUGUGAGGGUCGCUCCCUACAAGCCGGCACUCCGAAGUUAGCCAUCGCGAUACAUAUUCGCCGUGCGGGAUUGGGCACCGAAGUCGAUUGCCGUUGGAAAGGUUCAUUCCUAGAGUAGGGAUGUUGACUACCACGGGGCCAUUAGGCACGGCACCGGCCAGACAGCCUACGAGUGGGUCUUAUAGGCCAGACAGCCUUCGGGUGGGUCUUCAUGCCAGACAGCCUUCGGGUGGGUCUUAUAAGAUUAAACUUUUAACAGUUAAAGUGACAAGUGGACAUUGACUAGAAUAGUAAAUAAUGACAUCUUUACUAUUUGCAUCGAGGACAUCGUGUUGGUUGCAUACUCAUGCUUAUACAUGUUAGUUACACUCAUGUACAUACUGGUUGUAGUUGCUUUAUUACUUAUGCAGUUCAUGCUAAGUAGAGAUAUCAUGGUAAAAUAGUACUCAUGGUUACAUACUUGUUCAUUAUUUCGCCUUCGUUUAUACUUGUACUGACCCUCUUUUGUAGCUUUUGGGCCUAGUGGCGCAUUUCACUGAAGUCAGUAAUUACCUACUGGGAAAUAUUAUUUAAUAGUUCUCACGCCCUCUGUUUUAUAGUUUCUUUCAGAGCCUUCGGCACCGGCGGAGGCACGGGAUCGCGGCAAGGGUGUCGCCUAGCUAGAUAGAGAGGAGCUUGUUUCGCUCCUAGGUGGUUGUUCCUUCUUUCUUUCUUUUGUUGUUGUGAGAGAGAAAUUUUGAGUACCAUGCAUAGGGAGACCACCUAUGUACUCCUUAUGUUUCGCUUUUGUGUUUGGGAUUUUCAUUGUACUACUUUAUGGCUUUAUUAGUGGAUUUCAGUUUUAUACUUAUCCCUCUGUUGUAGAAUGUAGUUAAUUACUUCGCUCUGAUAUCAUUAGAUCCCUUUGUUCUACUACUUUAUUUAUCGUUUUGUUUUAAACGCCUUAUAUGUUAUAGACAUAUGACGGAUCUGGGCACGCGCCGGGCGGCCUUUCGCUGGGUCCCGGGGCGUGACAUCCUAGCAUGCUAUCUAAAUAGAUUUUCCCCAUUUCAUAGAUCGAUUUGGUGGUUUUUUUGCAAUAGUAGCAUCUAGGGCAUCCAAAAUGGGGUUUUGGCAUUUAUGAGGGUUUGAUCUCAUUUGACCCUCUGUAAACCUAAUUGUUAAGUGUCUAAAUGCGAGGGAAGUGACGGAUUGAGCAUUCGUCGAGCGGGUGAAAAGAUAUCGGAAAAAUAAGGCCGAACGAGCUUCGUUUUGACCAAGAGGGCCGAGGCGACGUCCAUAAAUCGUGAAAUCGAGUCCCGAGCACCGUAACGGCAAGGCGAAGACCUUUAGCUCUCGAAACUGCGAAGCGACGCGCUGUUGGAGCGCAACUGCGAGAUCGGGCCAAAUCGGGUGCCGAUGCCGCGGAAGGCCGAUUGCAAGUGUCGACGAGCAAUCAAAAAGCUAGCUAAGAUGGGUUGUGCUUACCGAAGCGACUAGGUCGCCCAUUAUGUCUAAGAAACAUACGAUUUCAUGUUGAUGCAUGUAGACAAUGCUAAGUGAAUACAUGUUGCAUGUUAUAUAAAUGAUAGAGAAAUGCAUGUUGAUAACCUAGUAUAAAGGAUAAGCAAAUGCUUGGGAUAUAAUUAUCAUGAUUGCAUGACAGCAUUGUGUGGAUAUGCAUGUGAACGGGUCGAUAACCCUAGAGUGAGUAGAGAACUCGAUAUUGGACAAUCAGGAUGUCGAAUAGAUCGAGUGACACCUAACCUAGUGUUAAAGAGCAUAGGUUAAACAAGUGAACCUAGGGUCGAACAAGUCUAGGUGUGUGGCAUCGAACUUAGUGUUAGUAAACAUAGGUCGAACAAGUGAACCUACAAGUUGACAUCUAGGUAGAGAUGAGAUAGAACCUAGCGGUUUUACCUAGGUUAUGUGACUGAGACCUGGAACCUAGAGUGGUAUUGAACCUAGGUUGUUAAGUAUAGUGGUAAUAGCCAUUAGAAUGUUCUAGGUCGACAGCAUAGGGUUGGUUAUGGACCCUCGACCUGUGGAAGUGGAUUUCGAAAUCCCAGGACUUGUGAUGACCCUGGUAUCAAGGCUAGGGCGUGUGCGACGAUUUCGCCGCCGAGGUUGAUACCGAGGGAGGAUUGGAGGCGAUCACCUGGAGAUCACCGCCCGAGGCUUGAACCAUUCUCGUGACGUGUGCGACGAUUUCGCCGCCGGAUGGUUAAGCUGAUUGUGGAUCAGACCGCCGGGAUUGACUGAAACCAUUACUGGGUAAGUACGAUAAGGGUGCCGCCAGGUGGCUGAGUCGCGACUGAAACCAUUGUUGGGUGAGGUGCGAUUAGUUCGCCGCCAGAUGGAUAGGUCAUGACUUGAGUCCUCGCUGGGUAAGUGCAACGUGUUCGCCGCCAGAAUGGCUAUGUCAAGAGACUUGAGCCGGGUUCAGCGUGUGCGACGAUUUCGCCGCUAAGAGGCUAAGUCAAGGAGAGCGGUAGGCUGUUGAGCAGCCAAUGCGCGGAAUAUCCGCGGAUGAUUGACUCGAGGCCGAGUCGGGUGGAUAGCUUCGAUAGGGUAGGGGAACCCUUAUAAGCUAGUGAUAGAGGCUUGAGCUAAGGUAAUAGAGACCUUAGAAGCCAGUGGACUUGAGUGUGAUCCUAAGGUAAUAGAAACCUUAGAGUUGAAUGUUAUGAGCUAAGAUUAGCCAAGUAAAUGUAGAAUCAAUUGAUCUACUAGUUGUAUGAUUUUCAUAUCGCAUAUUGUGAGGCACGGCAUGUAUUUCAAUUCGAAUAUAUAUAUCUGUUGUAUAUUGUUGAACUAACAUGUUGCAGUACCUCCUCGGACCUAUUGGUCGAGUUUUUUCCUUGGGUGGCCGUACCCACUGAGAACCAUGAAGUUGGUUCUCACCCCACGUUGUUUUGGGGUGUUUCAGGUUCGCACGUGAGCGGCGCGGUAACGCGAGGCAAGGGCGUAGCUCCGUAGAUAACGCCCUGCCCAGAGACCGAGGUAGCAGUACCCUGAGACAGUCUAGCUUAGGGGACUAGAAGACAAUGAACCAAGAUGUAUCAAACUUGUAAAUCAAAUGUAAUAACUAAGAUUGUAUUUGAAAGUCUAAUAUAAAAGAAAAACUGUAUUGUAAAAUACAUGUAAUGAGAAUGCUUGUAAUAGCUAUAAGUUUUAUGUUGUUGAUACUUCCUCAUGCAAUCUUGAUUGAGAUCAGUUCCUGGUUGGAACAUCGUGAAUUGUAUUGAUUGCGACGCCUAGGACGUAGAGGGAAAACUCUGUCCGUUCAGCGCUGUCGGCGGCGCCGCGGCCUUGGCCAAAUAGGCGGGUGUUUGCGGGGCCGUGACAGAAGCUGCUUAACCAGCGAAGCAUCAAGGUAGCACCGGUACCCUGCAGUAACCCGAGAAACAGCAGCUCUCGGGUUUGGUCUCUGCGAAGCUGCUUAACCGAUGAAGCCUCUGGGUAGUACCGGUACCCCAUAGCAAACCGAGAGUAGCAACUCUAGGGUUUGGCCUCUGUCAAGCAGCUUAACCGGUGAAGCUCACCCACGUACCGGUACCAAGUGCAUAAAACAGCAGAAUUGGUCUGCUUCAAAUAAAAUGAAAUGGAGGGGUUUUAUUGCAAUUGUGGCAGCUUAUAAAAAGACCCAAUCUCCUUUUCUUGUUCACAGCCAGGGAAAUAUCCCCUUCACUCCAUUUUGCUCUCUCUAGAAGCUCUCUCUCAAGGGUGGAUCUAAGAGAAGGGAUUGGUGGAGAAGGAAGCAAGGAAGUGGAUCAUCUUUUUCUUUUUCUUCUUCAUUGGUCCAAGAGGAAGGCUUUGAGGUAAGCUCUUUGAGCUUAAUGGUAGAUUUCUAGGGUUUCAUUUUUAAACUCUAGAAUUGGUUUUAGUAGAACCGUUUGGUGCUAAAUAGAUGAUUAUUGCUUGAAUCAAGAGUUUUAUUGAAGUAUUCUUGCAAUAGUUGUAAUCUAGGGUUCUAAAGAGGGUUUUGUUAGGUUGAGAUCUAAGAUUGGGAUUGAUCUCUUUUAUAUCUAAUCGCUAGGUAAUCCGACGCGUUGGUAAACUCGGUUCGGCGAUCCGACGAGUCUGUGCGGAGAUAUUGAAGAAAAGCCUAUUUUUGGCUUCAUUUGCCGCAGUCGGAGGAAAUAGGCGGCGGAAAAUUACAAAACUUGGAGUCUAGCUUCGUAGCAUCACCAAGAAGUGGGGGGUGUCCAUCCCGAAGCAGUUGAACUUCCUGCUAUGUCCGAGAUGUUUUAUUAUAGCAUAUGUUCAUAUAUUAUUAUCAUGCAUUAUAGGUUAUGUUAAGUAGUUGUACUUCAAUUCCUUGCAUGUUUGCAGAGUAGAAAUCAUAUUGUGAGUUGAGCACUUGAUUUAGUGGACGCAUGAAGAUUGGGUCAUGACAUGGAAUCCUAGAGUGCUAAAGAACAAAGGAUGAACUUGGACAUGUAAAUGACCUAGAAGAGUGGCAUUUGUACUAGUGCAGUAGAAACACUAUGACAUGAACUUAGGAAUAGAAGAUAAUUUCCUGAGUAGUGGCAUGUAAACUAGUGUAGUUGGAACGCUUACAACUUGAUAACGUGAACUUAGGAAUAGAUGAUAAUUUUCUGAGUAGUAGCAUAUGAACUAGUGCAGCAGAAGCACUAUCUAUCCUCGAGUGAGAGGAUUGGAUCGUACUCACAUAGUCUGUGUAACCUUGGCGUGGUCGCUCCAUCCAAGUAGUGAGCUCCGGAGUAGAUGUCGCGUUUAGGUAACUUGAUUACCCAGCAGGAGGUCUCGGGUGUGUGUAGCGCAGAGUCUACUCACCGGCGAGAUUUGAGAUGUGAGUUUGGGCAUAACCUUUGGGUUAGCCGAGAUGAGAUUGGAUAUGAGACAUAAUACUUGAUAAUAAGUUUCAUUGCUAUGUAUAUAUUUUCUUUAUAUCAUGUAUAUGAUGCAGAUUGAGACAUAGUAUCAUAUUAGUAGAGUACAUUACUAUGUUCAUGCAUUCAUUCUGUUUAUUGAGGCAUAGUAGCAUGUUGUAGAUUUCGUUACUAUGUAGCAGCUCACUUUCAUAUAUAUAUAUAUCUAUCUACUAUGUCUGCUUAGACCUAGUGGGAAGAUCGGCGGAGUCGGCGGCCGAACCCACUGAGAGUUAUUCGUAGUUCUCACCUCACUUUGUUGCAGGGCCGAGUGCGAGCGGACCGGGCGAGAACCGCGGUAAGGGCAUAGCGCCCUAGUAACUAGCAGCUUUCCUUUUGCAUUAGAGUACCCUCGUGUAUAUGAGUGACAGAUGAUGUAUAUAUUGGAAAGCUAUUUUGUAUAUUGAGAUGAACAUGUAUACAUUUUGGAGAUGGAAAUGUAAAUCAAUGUGUAAAAGGUUGAAUAAAAAUGUAGUAGCUAGAUCUUUCUCUCAUUUGUUGAUUGCUUGUAUUAGUACUUGCUUAGAUCAUGUAUGAGGUUAAUGUUUCCUGGGCAACUAUUUACAUACAUGAUCUUGUAGUUGUUAGCCUUGGGCGGACAGGGGAGGCUCUGCCCGUUCGGCGUCUGAUGAACGUACCCAAACCGACCAAAUUGGCGGUCGCGAGGCGUGACAUAAUAGCUAGUAGGUGGAAGCAUAUUGUUAACCUCAUAUGUAUUAAUAUAAGAACUUCAUAUGACAAAAUGUCACUAAACAGCUCACCCAUAGAUGAUAUGCCUAAAAAGAGCUUAGAUGAUAACAUGUUACUAAACAGCUUAACUCAGAUGAUAUGCCUGUAAGGAACUUAGUUAAGUCAAGAAGAAUAUAGUAGAAACAAGAAACUUACCCUAACAGUGAUGUAUGAGGCAGGAAUAAGACCAACUAGUGUCGCAGCAAAAAAAACAUGAAAUGGUAUGUCAACAAUUGGAGAAGCCACAUUAAUGAAUGUGUUUGGCAAGGAUGGAGUUAUUCUCAAGAAAAGCAGGUAAUUGAGCAGCUUUUCUUUCCUCUUUGCUACCUGUGUCCACACAAGAACAGAAACUGAGCACAUACAGAUGAUUUUUCAAAGGUUAUGCGUGCAAGUGCAGUAAGGAGCUUCAAAAAAUAAAAAAAAAAUGAAAAAAUUCAAAGAAAUGAAAUUGAUCAUUUCACUAUAAAGUUCAAAACUCACCUCUGACUGGAAAAAUCUCAACUUUUCAGGCCACAGCCAACCAACCAAAGGCCUUCCUAUCAACUUAGAGAGAAAAUAACAUGAUGAAGCUCCAGCUGUGGCAGUAAAGACAACCAAAAGAACACCUCUGACAACCCCAUAAAGAGCUCCGGCAAGUAAGGACAUGAAUAUGGUUCCAGGAAUCAUAAAUGUCUGCAUAAAGAUGUAUAUCGAACAAUAUCCUAGUAUAAAUUUUAUUUGGUAAUCUCUUGCGUACACAGCAAGGUUAUCCCUGAAAAAACACAAACCCAAGAAAUAUAUUAGAUGUCCAUUCUGCAAAAAAAUGAAGCUACUUUUAACCUGUAGAUUGACAUAUGCAUUGCCUGCUCAACAGACACUAAAGCUUUGUUUGGAUGCACGAACAUCUUGUUUCUACAUGAACAUCUUAUUUCCAUGUAUCUCUUUGAUUUAUUCAAUAAGCUUAUAGCGCUUGGUAGAUUAGAAGUGUCAUCAAUAUGUCUAGUUUGGAAUACCAUAUUCAGUCUUCAAGUCAUUUUUUUCGAAAUAAGAUAAAUCACCUCGUAGUGAAUGUUAUCCUGCCAAAUCAUCGAUGACAAGACCUUUCAAUAAGCAAAAAUCAACCUCCUAGCUUUCAAUCACAAAAGAAAAUCUUCAUAUCAAGUAAGUUAUCACCGGAUAACUUAUUCCAACAUCCAAAAACAAACUAAAUCAUUGGCAGACCACAGGUUUAGCAUGAAUGGUAGCAUCAGCAAUAUGGAAAUCCAUGAUAUUUAUAGAUGCGACCCAUCAACAGUGAUAGCAUAUCACCAUCAUUCCUCAACUAGAACUCCAUUUGCGCAGCGUGUUCUCUCUAGAACAAAGGUAUGCAAGUCAAAACCCUAUUAGCUAUGAAGCAAACGAGUAUUUGAAAAAAUUUAUUAAAUUAUCUUAGUUUAGCCAUUGAAAUAAUGACAAGGAUGACUUUCUUUCUGCUAUAGAACUCCCUUUAAAAGCUAGACAGUGCCAAAUCCGGUUGAAAUAAAAUCAAUUGAGGCCCGUCUAACACAAUUCGGAGUAGGGUUCAAUAAACAGUCAUAGCUUUGCACUCGGGCACCCGUUUUGAAUGUGCAGCCCUAUUUCAAAAACAAUUUUUUCAAGCCAGACAUCAUAGGCUAAAUAGCUGCGCAAUUGAACAUUGUUUCCGAGCCCAAAUUCCAUCGUUUCAGCCUCAGAAUCAUCUGUUACAAACUUACAGUUAUAUUUUACUAUUUAGAGAAGUUUUAUUUUCUUCCUUUUCUAUUUUACUUCAAUUCGAAUUAGGUUAGGAUUUUCAUGUCAAUUCUAGCUCUAUUAGCACUAUCAGCUACUAGGAUUUUGGUUUUAACUAUUUCUGGAAAGUUUUUACAAUAUAGUUCUAUAUAAGGCCCUAAGGCAUAUGUAAUCGCAGUUUCUGGAGUUCAAUCAUAGUCAUUUUCUCUUCAAAGAGAUUCUUUUACCAAUAUCUCUCUCGUCCUUGUGCUUCUUCAUAUCAUGCAUGGAGCUUUCUGGCAGCGUCACUUAUGGACUUCCAUCAAAAAAAUCCAAAUGAGCAUUUAAGAAAAAAAAAAAAAAAAAAAAAAAAAACCCAAAAAAUUGUUCAACUAUAAAAUGACUAAGAAAACAUUGAUAACUGUACAAUCCUUUUUAAAAAAAUAAAAAUAUAAAAAUACUAUAAGCCAUUAAAACCUAGUUAGAUGCCCUUACAUAAUGCCAAUAAAGACAAAUGUUGACAUAUUCCAUCAUCAAUAAUCAGAAGAUGAUAGACAACUACCAAAUAUCCAGCAAAUAAAUAGCAAAUUGAAAGUCAAAUCACGAAGAAAAUAUAUUUGAACAUACAAAAUUUCCAAGCAAAUAGAAAUCUGAAACAAAUUUAGCAAAAUAUAACACAACAAAAAUUAAAUCACUACAAAUAAGCCAGAGAGAGAGAGAGAGAGAGAGAGAGAGAGAGAGGUUUGCAUUGUUGUUUUAACUAGCAAAGAAGUUUCAAUCUAACAACUAAAGUAGGAAAGAACAUGCCAAAAACUGAUUCAUAAAGUGCCAGUGACAAAAAGAAACAACGGUGAUUUGGUGGGGAAGGUACAAUAGAUAGAAGAGAGAAAAUUAGUAAAAGUUAGCACUUAGCAAUAUGAAUAGAUGUCGAAAAUGCUACAAACCUCACACAGUUAGAACGAGGUAAAAAAAAAAUCCUAACAAAACUAUCACAAACAAUGAAUGGCAAAGGAAGGUAAAGGAUCUAUUCUACUAUACGAAUUCUCUUAUUAAGAUAUACGAAGAGUAAACUAAGUCAAUCUAAAGCAAGUGCUUCACUCAAUCAUACAUGCCCUAAGAAUUAAGCCAUACCUUGCUAUGUUAACCCUAAGAAUUUGGCAAAUAAUGUAAGCCAGUAUAAAGUCCAAUUCUUAUUUUGGAUCACAAAUGGGUUUGAACUAGUAUGAAGACCCAAAAACGAGCAGUUCAACCAUGAAACAGAGACUAAUGGCGGCUCCUACUUUGGACUGCCAGAAGAGCUUUGAAGAGUUGAAACAAAGACUGAUGACGGCUCCUAUCCUUGCCCUUCCAGUUAUGGGUGAAGGAUAUGUGAUCUGCAGUAAUGCAUAACACAGCGGUUUGGACUGUAUAUUGAUCACUCGACAAAUGCCAUUACUUGAAGAGUGCGGCAACUUGGACUUGAGGUGGUGUCCCUUGGGGCUAUCCAAAGUAGUACAAAAACUAGUAUGAAGACCCAAAUUGUUUCUCCAGGGAAAAAAAAAAAGUUUUUCAUAGAAAACAUUCUUUUCACAAUUUCGUUUUUCAAAUAAAAAAAAUUUGUAAGAAAACGAAAAUAAUACUUUUCCAUGAAAUUAGGAAAAAAAGAUUUUCAAAAAAAUUACUUAGGAACCAAACAAAUGAAAAAUAGUUUUCCAGCCAGAAAAUUAUUUUCUAGGAUAUUUUUCAACAAACCAAACACCCCAUUAGCUCCCAAAAAUUUGAAAAUACUAGGAACUGACCAUGAUCUUCUAACCGAGGGGGAAAAAGAAGCCAGCAUAUCGAACCAUUGUUGUGGUUGUGACUAUUAGAAAUACCAAUCCUAUAUGACAAAUUUAACUUAUCUAGACUUAUAACAAGUAGUCCUAUAAUAAUUUUAUAAAAUUAAUAUCGAAUACAUAGGUACACUUAAAUAAAUUCUAUUAUCUAAGUAAUCAUAGUAUCAUAAUUUUUGUGUAUUGAUUAUUAAAACUACAAUCGAAUUGAUUAAUAUAAUAGUGUGAUCAAUGAAUUGGUUACUUGGCCGCUAAACAGUUCCUUGUCCAAACUAGGUCUUAUAACUAACAUAAUCUUUGAUUUGAAUUUUUGUUGUGAUAAAAGAUUUCAUACCUGAUAUAACUCAAGCAUGUGACAAGGUAGAGGUUCUACUGUUCAAGGGGCUGCAUGCAUGGUGUGAUAGCAAAAGGUUACUACAAUUUACUCUUUUCACUUCCUACUAGCGUUUACUAGAACGUAAACAAUGCAAUAUUAGGCUCUAAAUAGAGGAUAUGAGACCAAAACAGAUAAAAGCCACUAGAAACAAAAUUACUGCCCUCAUGUUGGCAAAGAGUACUACAUUAACAUAGCUCAAUAGCAAAAAGGGAUCAAUGAUUUCACUAAAGUGAGACAUGGUUCGCCUCCUAACGUGCCUCUAAUUGAAGGUAGGAUCUAACUCUAUCUCAGGCGCGGAUCAAAGAGGGAAUGGUCCGAUUGGGUCCUCCUUUACUCAAAGCAAGUUUAGCCUUGAAGGUGGCUUAGAGGCUUCAAUCUCCGGUCGAUUCAUGAUGCGUUCGGCCUCCUCGAUCUCAACCGCAGAUCCAGGCCAAGAUUGUAUAACAGAAACGAUCCUAGUUGAAUGGAUCCCAAAACAAGAUGUUGCACAUGGUGGAGGCGUGCAGUGGGGAGAUAGGUUCACCGACAGAAAGCGUGGUGGUUCAGUGACAGUUGAAAGUUGUCAAAGGGUUUUUUUGUAGGUAAGGGCAAGGAAUUCUACACUAUAGCUACUCCUAAGCUAAGUUACGUCUACUCCUAAUACAGGAAAGCGAUCAUCCUCCUCCCGGUACUCCUUCCUCCCCUCAUUAUACCCCUUGAACCAAAUCUACAGCAACUAUAGCUGAAAUGAUCCUCACAGUAUAGUCUUGUCCGUCCCCAACAUAUUUCUCUGGAUAUUGCGCUUACUAAGGAUCUUUCAGCGCACUACUGCUUGAUCCUCGAACUUCGAGCGGGUUCCCAAAGCCUUGCCGAAGUUAGGGUUCGCCAAAGCCUUCAGGCUUCGACAAGCUCCAAGUUGCGUUCGUUCACCGAAGCCUCCCUUUGACAACACGUCUUGAGUUGAUACAUCUAUACUUCAGCGUCCAACAAUAGGUAUCAACACCUCUAAAUUCGAAUUUAUGACAAUUAUAGUCGGAGUGACCCUCACAGUACAUUCUCAUCCUUUCCCGAUACUUCGUCCCGAUAUCACGGCCAUCCCAUAUUUUUCGGCACGUUGCAGCUCAAAUUUUGAAUUUCUUGCAGAUAUCUCAGCAUGCCUUUUCAAGGCUUGCCGAAAUUGGAACUCGCCGAAGCUCCAGGGUUUCAACGCGAUCCCCUCCUCUCACCAAAGGUGCGCUCUCUCGCCGAAACCCUUUCUUCAGCGGUUCCACGUGUCUUGCCUUGAUUUGCUCCCACUUCGAUGUCAAAAAAUAGGUGCCAACAAGCACCAAAGUUACAUAAACUUUUCAAUCAGACAGUCGUGAUUCUUCGACCUCCAUUGGAUCGUGUUCCUUUUUCUAUUUCCCACACAAACUUGUCUUUAAAGGUGGAAGGAAAGAUGUACUCUGUCAGUCAAACUGAUCCGAUAUACAGUAAACUCUUUCCAACCACCAGAAAAAUUUUAAGAGGUUUUCACUACUAUUUUCUGCUCAAGAAAAUAGCAGAUAAUUCUUUUUAUCGACCAAGAACUUAAGGGGAAAGUAACCACCAAAGAGAUGCAAAAUAAGAAGCAUUUAUUUAUGCUAUGCGAUAAAAAGCGUACUUGAGGACGCGAAGAUCUGAGAGGUUGUGCGGCAAACGGAGGAUCUUAUCAUACUCCUCCUGCGGCAUAGUGAGGUAGAUGCAGAAGAUCCCAAAGGCAAAGACGAAGAAAAUGGACGCGGCCGCCGCCGCCUCCCACCGGGAGAGCGGGAACCUCGCGUCGACCCUGGCGCCAGCCGGCUUCUUAGUGGUGGGAGAGUCCUCGUCUGUGGCGGCGGCGGCCAACGCGCUCUCCAAGUCCCGCCCAACAGCGAGCCGCGAGGCCGCCAUCCAGAAGAAAGGAGCGGUGUUGCGGCAGUGGGUCGCUACAGUAGUAUCCAACCCUCAUCACCAGGACUCCGCCUCAUGGGCUUCUCCGCCCAGAUCCCCCGAAUGAUCCCGCUAACCCUCCCCCCUCACCAAAGGUUCUUGAUCUGCACACAGAGAUCGAAACAGAUCGAUUUCGGAAUUAGGGUUUGCGCGCGAGAUUGGACAAACGAGGACGAGGAGGAGGAGCGGAGAUCGCCGGAGGUCCAGAGACGACGAGGGAACUGGGCGAAGUCGGAGGAGAGAGAAAGAGGGAAGAGAUUUACAAAUAAACUCAUUGACGUGUGGCAGUCAGAGAAAUGGCAUAUGCACGACGCUGUAUGUAUGGUAUACCUCUUCCGAAAAGGUCGUGUAAAAUGUCCCAAGAUUCAUUCGAGCGACUGUUAUUAUGACAUCAAAAUGGUACCAACUUAGGACCUACAUAGGGCUGGCUAAUGAGCGAGCCACCUCGUAUUCAACUCGUGUCGGGCUCGAUAUUCGGCUCGCUCGAGCUCGGCUCAUUUUUUUUUUCAAGCAAGCUUGAGCCUAAAUUUAGGCUCAAAAUUAAUUUCAAGCCGAGCUUGCGUAUUACUCGACUCGCUCGAAUUAAGCUCGAAAUAUAUAUAUAUAUAUAUAUAUAUAUAUAUAUAUUGUCUAUUAUACUAUUAAUAGUACCAACCACUUACUAUUAGGUUUGUGGCCUUUGGAUGAAUGGAUGUGUGGUUAGAAUGAUAUUGAUUCCCUAGGGUUGAGUGGGUGGUUAGUUGAAUAAUAUGAUCUAACGGCACAAAAUUCGAUAGCACCACUUAUUUAGUACUAUCAAUAAUAUAGUAGCCGGACUCUCUCUCUCUCUAUGUAUAUAGUUUGGCUACUAUACUGUCUAUACUAUUCAUAGUACUAAGUGCUUUGUACUAUUAAGUUUUCUGCCAUUAGAUCUGCCUUAUAUAUAUAGAGUCCGGCUAGUAAACUAUCGAUAGUACCAAGUGUUUGGUGCUAUCGAGUUUUCUUCUGUUAGAUCUAUCACUUUGGCCAUUUUCAUUCGUUAGAUCAUACUAUUCAACUUGUCAACCACUCAACUCUAAGGGGCUACUAUCAUCCUGACCGCACAUCCCUUCAUCUAAGGGCCAAAAACCUAAUAGCAAGCGAUUUGUACUAUUAAUAGUAUAGUAGUCUAAUUCUAUAGCUAUAGACUCAGGCUACUAUACUCUUAUAAGUAUAGAGAACCCUUUUAUACUCAUAAAUUUUCAGUCGUUGGAUGUGCGAUUAGAAUGAUAGUGGUCCCCUAAGAUUGAGUGGGUGGUUCGUUGAAUAGUAUUAUUUAACGGAUGAAAAUGAUCAAAAUGAUAGAUCUAACGGUCGAAAAUUUAUAAGUAUAAAGGGGUUUAUACUCAUAAAAUUAUAUAUAGUCGCCAAACUCUCUCUCUCUCUCUCUCUCUCUCUCUCUCUCUCUCUCUCUCUCUAUAUAUAUAUAUAUAUAUAUAUAUAUAUAUAUAUAUAGUUCGACUACUAUACUUUUAUGAGUAUUGGCUCCCUUAUACUCAUAAGUUUUCGGCCCUUAAAUUUAUUUUAUUGAUCAUUUCCACCCAUUAGAUCAUACUAUUUAAUCAACUACCCACUCAACCCUAGGGGACCACUAUCAUUUUAAGUAGGGACCACCACCAUCCUAAGCACACAUCUUAUCAAUCAAUAGUUAAAAAUUUAUUAUAAUUAUAAGGGGGUCUAUACUCAUAAGAGCAUAGUAGCCCCAGCCUAUAUAUAUAUAUAUAUAUAUAUAUAUAUAGUAGGUCUUGUGUGCUAUUAGGAGCACGGAGGCCUUCGUGCUCCUGAGCCGUUUUUGAUAAUGGAGCUUCCGAAUCGACGAUCGGUUUCGUUAGACUUGAUCUAACGUAUUUGAAAUAUCUAGAAAAUAUUUUUUGCGUUUUUUCGAUAUCAUUUAUCUAGCAAUCGAUCGAAAGGGUUCAAAAUCAACGGCUGAAAAUAAAAAUCUCACAAAAAGUGGUGAUAUAGCACUAAAAUUUUCGAUCAGAGGCAUUGAUCUUGCUGUAAAUAGUAUAAAGAAUUUUCUAUCAAAAUUUCAUAUGAUUUGAAUACUUCUACACCGUUAAACUUGUAAACGAUAUACAUCAACCAUUAAAAAUUGUUGAUUUUAAAUCCUUUCGAUCACUAGGUAAAUGAUAUCGAAAAACCGCAAAAUUUAUUUUCUAGAUACUUCAAAUAUGCUAGAUCAAGUCUAACGGAGCCGAUCGUCGAUUCAAAAACUGUAUCAUCGAAAAUGGCUUAGGAGCACAGAGGCCUCCAUGCUCCUAAUAGCACACAAGACCUACUCUAUAUAUAUAAUAUAUUUUAAUUAUAUAAAAUAAUAUGUAUUAUGUAUUUUAAUUAUAUGUAUAUAGAAUUUAAAUUAUUCGGCCCACAAAACCAAACUAGCAAAAUCCUACUCUAAUUGCUCUGUUUCUCUCUUUUUUACUUCCUCGCAAAGUCGCUUUUUCUUUUUUAGUGUUAUAAUAUCGUAUUUCAUGCAUUCAUUUUGUAUGUUAAACUAUUAGAUAUUUUUUAUAUCAAAUUUUAGAUAAUGUUUUAUAAAAAUUAAACUAUAGAUUGCACGAUGUAAAGAAUUUCAAGCAACUCGUUUAGGGCUCGAGCUCGCUCAACUCGAAGUUAGGCUCGCUCGAGCUCGGCUCGAAUUAAUUUUAAGCCAAGCUUGAGCCUAAAUUUAGGCUCGAAAUUAAUUUCAAGCCAAACUUGAGCUGAGGUAAGCUCGCUCAAGCUCGGCUCGUUUCCACCCCUAGACAUACAUUUGUUUCAAAAGCUUUUGAGGUAGGGGAUGAUAAUCUCAAUCCGUCUAAUUUUAAUAAAUAAAAUAAAAUUCAAAUAAAAAAAAUAUAGAAAUAUAUCCUCAUACUUUAUACUUUAUGAUGGGACUAUAGAAUUGACUCAUCAUGAUAUAUUGAAUUCAAUAUUAAAUACAAAAACAAACCAUAUAUUUAUUUUAUCGUACUUUCUUACCGCAUAUAAUGCAAUCUCUUCGUAAUUUCAAAUGAAAUCUUAAUGAAUGAACCAUUCCUGAUCUUAAUAUUUCGUUGGAAUGAUUUGCAUUUUGAUUUUUAUUUCUGAAAAGAUCGAAUCCUCAACUUUGUUUCCGAAAGAGACUCAUUAAAAUGCCUUCCUUUUUUCUUUCUCUAAUAAUUAUUUAAAUUCAAAUAAAAAUAUAAAUUUAAAUUGAAUUGUAAAUUUAAAUUUGAAUAAUGGAUUUAAUUUUCCAAUUUUAAUUUUUUAAAGUUUAAAUUUAAAUUCAAAUAUAAGUUUGGUAUUAAAAAUUAUUUUUAGUUUUAAUUUUUGGCUUUAAAUUGAAUUUGAAUAAAAAUUUAAAUUUAAAUUCAAAUUUUAAGUGUUCUAGACCUCAACAUAUGGGUUUACUUGUAGUAUGGGGUAAAUGGUCAGUGUGUCUAUAGAGUGUCGGACCGAACUGAAGGCAUUUUCACGCAAAAUAGAUGUGAAAACAUAUUCGAGACUGAAAAAUCUACUGAAAAUAAAGUUUCAAGAGAUUUUUGAUGCCCAGAAGGUGUUUAGGGUGCCCGAAAGUCCUAUGCAGGCUUGAUGUCAUUUCGAUUCCUAGUUUCGGACACCCGAAACACUGUAGCAACCUGGUAGCAAGUUGGUGACGAUCUGACCAUUGUGAUGACACAUCCACAGUGACUCACGGGAGUUUCGGGCGUUGGCGUCCAGGUGCCUGAAAGGUUUUGGACGGCGUUAUGACAAUAUCGAGCUUCAGUCUGGGCGUCUGAAAGAGUAUUCAGGUGGAUUUACAAUGGAUUCUUAUGCCCGAAAGUUAGGUUCCAAGCACCCAAAACCUCAUAUUUGAGCUAAGAUAUGAAAUUUUCAAUUUCCUGAGGGUUUGGUUGCAAUCAUACAUUGUGUAAAUAAGUGAAUUCUCGAAAUACGAGAGUUUGGACUUCAUUUAGAAUCGACUAAUUGUCGAUUGGGUGCGCUUCGGAAAGGCCGAAGGAGUUGAAAACCCAAAAAGUGCAUUGCAAUGGAUCCGCGAGAGCGAGUUGUGAAGAAAUCUGCACUUGGCAGAUUUUGCUCUCGGGGAUCGGUCCCUGGCGAGAGAGACCGGUCCCCGUAAGCUGAAAAUGCGGCAGGAAACUCUGCGCGCAAAGUUUGCUCUCGGGGUCCGAUCCCUCAAGUGGGGACCGGUCCCUCAAGUAGGGACCGGUCCUUGAAAGUUCGGUCCCUCAGGCGAGGACCGGUUCCCGUAAGCGUAUCCAGUGAAAAAGAAGGAAAUUUGGCUAAGUCCUGAUAGUUCUACUCUCGGGGACCGGUCCCUGGUGGCGACGGACCGGUCCCCAUAUGCGUAGAAGCUGGCAGAGAGCUUCUGCCCGAGAGAGGUGCUCUCGGGGACCGGUCCCUCUAGGGACAGACCGAUCCCCGAGCACGAAAAGUGCCCUGUCUGGGCAGGUCAGGAGAGGUAAAGUGGAAGGGCUAAACUUCAAUUGUGACUUGAGUUGGGGUAUAGAAGAGAAACCACUCUCUCUUUCUCUCAUUUCACACCCAAGCCCUAGCCCCCUCUCUCUCUAAACUCUCUUUCUCUCUCUCUAGAAGGUGAAGAAGGAGGAGGAUUUGGUGGAGGAGCAAGCUAGGAAAAGGAUCCUUGGCAUCUUCUUCUUCCUCUCCACCAUUGGAGCUUGCUAUUGAGGUAAGCUCAUGAGAGCUUUCAUGGUAGAUCCUUCUAGAUGGGUCUUUAUCUUCUAGAAUUGGUUUCAUUGGAUCUUUUUGAUGCCAAAGAGAAGCUUUAUGCUUGAACCUUGAAGCUAGAAGGGGAUUUUUGCAUUGGGCAAACCUAGAGCUCUAAAAUUGGAGUGUUUGGAGCAGGAAAGUUUUGAUCUAAAUUGAUCAUAUAUUAACCUAAUUGCUAAGUGUCUAAACGCGUGGGAAGCGACGGAUUGAGUAUUCGUCGAGCGGGGCGAAGAUAUAGCCGAAACAAGCAUUCGGGGCUUCGUGUUGGCCCGAAGAGCAAGAGCGGCGAUCAAGGAUCGCGAGAUCGAGUACCCAGCAUCACGACAUUACCUAAGAGGUGGGGUGUCACGCCCCACGCCCCGCCUAUUUAGUCGGGUUCAAGUACGUCGACAGACCGCCAAACGGACAGAGUUUUCCCUGUACGUCCUAGGCGUCGCAAUCAAUACAAUUCACGAUGUUCCAACCAGGAACAGAAAUCAAGCAUAGAUUGCAUAAGGAAGUAUCAAAAACAUAAACAACUAAGUUAUUACAAGCAUUCAUCAACUUAUAUUUUUACAUCACAGUUUCUUUUACAUUCAACUUCCAAAUUACAAUCUAAUUAUUACAAAUUUUGAUACAUUCUUGUUCUUUCCUUUCCCUAUACCCCUAGGCUAUGCCGAUACGGGGUAUUGCUAUCUCUGGUCUCUGUGGUAGGGGGCUAUCUAUGGAGCUACGCCCUUGCCUUGUGCCACUGCGCCGCUCACGUGUGUACCUGUAACAACCCAAAACGACGUGGGAUAAGAACCAACUCCAUGGUUCCCAGUGGGUACGGCCACCCAAGGGAGGAGCUCGACCAACAGGUCUAAAGGAGGCAAACACAUGUUAGUCCAAUAAGCAGAUAGAUAUAUAUAUUUAUCUUAAAUAUGCAAUUAACAUUACCAUGCCUUGCCUCACAACUAUAACGAUGCCAUGCUAUAUGCAACAUGAAUAUAUAUGCAACAACUAGUAGAUCUAUUGAUUCUACAUUCAAUCUUGCUAACUUUAGUUCAUAUCAUCCAACUCUAAGGUUUCUAUUACCUUAGAUUUAUCAUAUUUACCACUAGCCCUCAAGGUUCUAUCUACCUUAUUCCAGCUAGCCACCCGACUCGGCCUCGAGUCAAUCAACUGCGGAUAAUCCGCGCUCUGCCCGGCUCAAGGUGAAGGAACUCUCGCAUGCACCUAAGCCUGCAAGCUAAGAACCACAUCGCCCAACGGUGCGCCCGAAGGUCCGUGCACCGUGGUCAGGGAUCCCCUGGUGGGAGAGGAAUAUGCUGCAUACACUCGCAGCCGAGAUCCCCGAUAGGGAGAGAAACAAGCCACAUACACCUUAGUGCUCUCUGUUCUUGCUUAAUCACAAUCCUCGAAGUUCUUCCGGUGGGAGACGAACAUGCCACAUACACCCGCGGCCGAGAACUGUCGAGCUCAUAUGCUGCACUAGCAGCCGCUCCACUCGCAGCCGGGAUUCUGGAAUCCACUUUACAUAUCUCAAGGAUUGGUCUCAAACCCUAUAUUAUCGACCUAACCAGGUCCAAUGCACUUUGUACCCUAGGUCCAACUGACUCUAGAUUUAAUACCUCAAUCACAUAACCUAGGUUCACUUUAACUCUAGGUCUAGUUCACAACCUAUGUUCAUGACACUAGGUUAAUGCCACACACCUAGGUUUAGUUAACUCUAGAUUCAUUCUCAACCUACGUUCUUGACACUAGGUUCAAUACAACCUAUGUUUACUAACACUAGGUUCAAUGUCAUCUAUGUCCGACCUAUGUUUAUUAACACUAGGUUAAUGCCACUCGAUCUACUUGACAACCUAUUUAUCAUAUCGAGUCCACAUGCACAUGCAUCUUAUCUAACAUGCUCACAUAACGUUACAUGCACCUAGCAUACAUCCCAAUGCACACAUACAUAUCACUUGCAUCUACUUACUAGCAUGUACUUUUCGAUGCAUUAUUAUGCAAUUAUCACUAGCAUGUAUUCUACCCACUAGCAUACAUUUUGUCACGCCCCGGGACCCAGCGGGAGCCCGCCCGGCGCGUGCCCAGACCCGCCAUAUGUCUACAACAUAUAAGGCGUCUAAAAACAACAAUAAUAACAGCAAUAAUAAAAGACAUCUAGAAGUAUCAGAGCAUAAUAAAUGUCUAAAUGCUACCACAAGGGAUAAGGAUAAAACAGUAAAUCCACUAAAUAAAACAUAGAGUAAGAACAAUAGGAAAUCCCAAAUACAAGAGCUAUAAGUAGGUACAUAGGUGGUCUCUAUACAUGGAUACAAAAUCUCUCACUCUCUCUCAACUACAAAAAGAAAGAGUAAACCACCUAGGCAAAGUACCGCUCCUCGCUAGCUAGCUAAGCGAUCCCCUUGCCGCGAUCCCGUGCCUCCGCCGGUGCCGAAGGCUCUGAAAAGUAAACCAACAAAACGGGGGCAUGAGAACUAUUAAAAAUAGUGCCAUGGGCAAUUACUGACUUAGUGAAUGCACCACAAAGGCCCAGCAGCUACAGAAGAGUUAGUGACCAAAAUGAGAAAAGCGAAAGGUAAGUAAAAUGUAAACUUACUAGCUAGCAAUUAAAUCUCUACUUGCCUAAAUAGCAUAAGUUACGAACAGCCAUUCAUGAAGUUAACAGUCUCCAACUAUCAUAAUGUCCACAAUCGAAAUAGUAAAAGUUCCGUUGUUUUACUACUUCUAGUUCAAUGUCAAAUAAUACUCUAAGGUCAUUCAUACUAUCCACAUGUCGUAACGGAAUAUAAGUCCAAUCUGGAAAGACUACCCACGCCGAAGGCUGUUCUAUGGCCCUGAGACCACCCGAGCUGUCUGGGCCGGUGCCCGGAGCCUAAAUGGCCUCCGUGUAGUCAUCAUCCGCUAAAAUGCUAGGAAUGAGCCUGGCCCACGUCAAUGCCACUUCGGCGUCCCAUUCCCGCACGGGCGAAUAUGAUCUGGCAUGGCCCAUCUCCGGAGUCCGGCUUGUAGGAGCGACCCUCACAAGCAAGUGCGAAGAGCACACCCUGGCAAAGUAGUCAAGACGAUCAGUCGCAAGUAUCUAAUCCUCAAUGUCGCAAUAACAUGGAUAUAUAGUAAAAUGUCCUCGUGGCCAAGUCACUAUUUCAUCAUAUCUCAAAUAUGGAAUAUAGUUGAUGUCAUGUGCCCUAUUCUCAAGUCUCUAGUUGCAGUUAAGUAAUUCCUAGUCCAAGUUCCCUUCUUUAUGACACUAUGGCUCAUUUUGUCCCAACAAUGAUACUAAUUUCAGAGAACUUACGAAUUCAGUCAACGACCGAAGGCAUGAUAACUUGAUUUCUAAUCUCAUAGAGAUAUUUGUGGCAUGCAUAUUAACAAGCACAUUGUCUCUUCUUCUCUCAGCAUAUAGAUAAUAUUUUCUUCGAUGCACAACAAAUGCAUUGGCUAAGCAUCAUAAACUCUCAUAAAUGCUACUAAGCAUGAGAUUAAGGAGCAUGAAAGCAUUUAACCACUUAGGAGAUAUUUCCUCGCAAUUUUCAAGGAAGCCAAACCAUCGAUGGCAACGUAAACUCCUCGUGCGCCUCCAGCACGAGGGUGCCUCUAGUCUCCUAGUACCAGAGGUACAAGAACAUUGUCCAUACGGGCCAAACAGAACAAAAACAUAGCUCAAUACAUUUAGAUAAUUCAAUCAUAGGUGAGGAAAACUCACCUCUAUGCAAAAAUCUCCUCUAAGCUCCAAAAUGAAGCUAGGCUCAUCACAAUCCAACCCAAAGGAGCCUCUAACAAUCAUCUAGCUUCAAAAGCCCUAGAUUCAAAUGCCCAAAAUAAAACUAAAUAUCAGCAAUCUUAGGUUUCAAACUCAAUGAAAUUCCAAUAAAACUCAAAUCUAGAGAAGAUAGUAUAAUGCUUACCUCUUAGAAGCUUUAAAUCAAGCUCUAAAUCUUUACAUCCAAGAUCUACCUCACACUUAGCUCCAAAUCCGCUUCCUAGCAUCCAUCAAUGUGGGAGAAGCAGUAAAGAGGAAAGAAAGGAUUAACUCUAAAAUCUAGCUUACGAGGGAGAUUAAAACCAAAUGAGAAUCAAAGAGAAGCUCCUCCUUACUUGCUCCCUUGCAGUGGCAAGCUUCAAAGAAGAGCCUAGGGGCCGUGUGCUGUUAUACGUAUUGCUACAAAACGGCACAAGAACCCCUGCACGUUUCAUUCUGACAAAUCUGACUCCUUGUACCGGUACACGGGCUCUUGUACCGGUACAAGGCCGACGAAAUUGCAAACCCGAGGCUCGGGUCGCGCGGUCUGCGGCUCUGUACCGGUACAAGCCCGAUGGCUGUACCGGUACAACCAUCAACCCUUGUACCGGUACAAGGCCAGUCUUGUUCCGGUACAAGCCCUGCUGCAGGCUACCCGAGAGCUGUCCAAUGAAUCCAAUUUUUGGAUUUUGGUACCAAGCUUCAAACCAACAUCCUCGGGGUGCGUGCCAGGGGUCGGAACACUAUCAACGACCCUCCAGAAACUGUGGAGAGGCUCCACACACCAAUCAAACACUCGAAUCUUGCAAUUUGCUAAGAUCCAGUGUAUUACACAUUUACAUAAUGCUAACAUGCCCGUAUGCACAUACAUAUGCAUCAACAAGAAUCCAUAUUCCACUUUGACAUGUGGGGGGACCUAGUCGCUUUGGUAAGCACAACCCACCUUAACUUACUCUCCGAUUGCUCGUAGUCACUUGCAAUCGGCCUCCCGCGGCACCCGUGAUCCGGUUCGGCCCAAACUCUCGUGCAACUACCCAAACGGCCACCAAUCCACGAUCCGAAAAUUAAAGGUCUACGUUUAGUUGCCACGGGCCCAUGAUUCCGAUUUCAUGAUUUUUGGACGUCGCCUCGGCCCUCCAGGCAGAAACGAAGCCAAAAACGUCGUUUCUUCAAUAACUUCGCGUAGGCUCAACGAAUCACCAAACCGACUUCGCCAACGCGUUAAAAUACCUAGCAAUUAGGUUUACAUCGGUCCAAUUUAGAUCAAACCCCUACAUUUACAAAACUAGCAUUUCUAACCCUAGCAUGAAAACAACCCCAAAUAAUUUAAAAUUAAAUAGAGCGACAUGCUAGAAACACUUUAGAGACCAUUAGAACACUAAACAUCAAGGAUUAAACCAAAUCCUAGAAGCUUACCAAAUUGUGAACGCCGAGUCGAAAGCACGCCGCGCAACCGGGUGCACGAAGACUCGAACCGACGCUUCGCACGCAUUCACAAGCACGCUCUCGGCCAACACCGCAAGUUUGAGGGAGAGAUCUAGAGAGAUGAGAGAGAUAUUUAGAGAGAGAAAGGAGAGUUUCUCUCUCUCCCUCCAUGCAUGCGUGUGAUGCUUGCUGGUGGUGAUGCUCGGUUGAAGGAGAAAAGAAGCGAAUAGCUUCUUUUAUAAUAAACCUCCAAAAACACUAUUCACUUUAGUUUGUAGCUCAGGUACAGAUAUUUUUCGCAUGCCCUUCUGAAUGUCCGUUUGAGCUCAAACUUGCCAGUCAGGCUCGGUUUUACUUAACUUAACGAAAAAAAUUUUAAUCUUUCAGUUUCGACCACAUUUGGUCACCGAAAGCUCUACCGAACUGUAAUCUCUAGCAGAUAGUAGUCGGAUUUUAUUUUUCACCUUUCCGGUGUCAAAAUGAGAUGAAACUUUAAAUCUAGCCUCAUAAAAAUAAUUCUGACAUAUUAUCCAGUUUUCAUAAUUUUCUGACACUGUGCAUUUUCUGCUAAAAUAUCAGCCCCAUCACUCUCAUAAAAUUCUAAAUCUUCUGUUUUCGUUUCGAUUUCAGCACAAGUUAUUUCUAACUUAUAUUUUACUUCUCUAAAUCUAAAAAAAAUAGUAUCUCACACUAUUUUUAUUUAUUUUUACUUUUAUAUCAAAAUUUGGUAUGUUACAUUCUCCAUCCCUUAAAAAGAAUUUCGUCCGCGAAAUUCAAACCACGCCUCAAUUCAGCUCCUCGAGCAAUUGAGGGUACCGACUCAUUCUCCCACUCCAGAGCGGCUUCACACUAUUGUGGUUCCAGAAGCAGCUCAUACUGAAGGACGUUGGUUUAAUCCUAAACACAUUUGCAAAGUGUGAUACAAAAGUGCAUCACGGGUCUUGCAAGUCAUAGUGGCAGCGCAAGUUGGUACUCGAUGACUCUACGCGCUCCAACCCCACUCGCCACUCAGUACACAAAGGACUCUUCUUUGCAUUGACCUUCCCUUCAGGGAACACAUCCCAAUUCGAUCACCAACAUUGCUUAGAAGCAAUAUCACCGGUGCAUCGUUCCAUCGUGAGUGCUUCAAUUCCGCACUAACCUUUAGUUCUAACGUGAGAUGGCCCACCUCGGCGCAUCCCAAUUCAUUGUGGAUUGUUUAACCAAGUCGGCACAUUUCGUACCGAUCCACACUACAUGGUCAGGUGACAAGUUAGCGCAGGUGUAUCUCAAUGAGAUUGUGAGGUUACACGGGGUUCCAAGGUCGAUCGUGUCGGAUCGAGACCCCCGUUUUACUUCGCAUUUUUGGAAAAACCUGCAGGAAGCGCUCGGCACACGCCUCGAUUUCAGCACCGCAUUCCAUCCUCAAAUUGAUGGACAAUCAGAGAGAACCAUUCAGAUCUUGGAGGAUAUGCUGCAGGCGUGUGUGAUCGACUACAAGGGUAGUUGGGCAAGUCAUUUACCGAUGGCCGAGUUCGCCUACAACAACAGUUACGAGGCGAGUAUAGAGAUGGCACCGUUUGAGGCUCUUUAUGGGCGAAAGUGUCGGUCUUCUAUACAUUGGAGUGACGUAGGUGAACGUGCGGCAUUGGGCCCUGAUGUGUUGCGGGAGGCGGAAGAGAAGGUCCGUCUCGCUCGCGAGAAGUUGCUCGCGGCGCAAUCUAGACAAAAGAGCUACUCGGAUAAGCACCGUAGAGAUUUGGAGUUCGCGGUGGGUAACCGCGUCUUCUUUAAGGUUUCGCCUAUGAGAGGCGUGAAGCGCUUUGGAGUGCGGGGGAAGUUGAGUCCCCGCUAUAUUGGACCUUUCGAAGUGUUGGAACAUAUUACAUUGGUAGCAUACCGACUCGCAUUACCGCCGAAGCUUGCGGAUGUACAUAAUGUGUUCCACGUCUCCAACCUUCACAAAUAUGUCCACGACCCCGAGCAUGUUAUGUAUUAUGAACCGCCGAAUCUAUAAGAGGACUUGAGCUAUGAGGAGUUCCCGGCGAUGAUCAUUGCUCGAGAGGUGCGAAAAUUGAGAAAUCGUGAGAUUCCCUACGUGAAGAUUUGUUGGACCAAUCACAGUGAUCGUGAGGCCACGUGGGAACUCGAGGAGGUGAUUAAAGGUGCAUUAUCCCCAUCUCUUUGAAGAAGCGAGUUGAGGUAUGAAUUAUUGAAGUUAUUGAAUUCGUUUCGAGGACGAAACUCCUUUAUAGGAGGGGAGGAUGUAAGGAAGUGAAUUCUCGAAAUACGAGAGUUGGAUUUCGCUCAAAGUCGACAAAUUGUCGAGUGGGAGUGCUUCGGAAAAGCCGAAGAAGUCAAAAGCACCAAAAGUGCAUUAGAGUUGGAUCUCGGAGAGCGAAUUGAUGAAAAUCUACAUCUGGCAGAUUUUGCUCUCGGGGACCGGUCUCUGGUGGGAGAGACCGGCCCCCGUAAGUAUUGUGGGCGGCAGAGAAGCUCUGCACGCAAGUAUUGUUCUCGAGGUCCGGUCCCUAAAGAGGGGACCGGUCCUUGAAGGUCCGGUCCCUCAGGUGAGGACCGGUCCCUGUACGCGUAGCCAGCGGGAAGAAGAGAAAAUCGGCUAAGUCCUGAGAGUUCAGCUCUCGAGGACAGGUCCCUGGAGGGAGAGACCGGUCCCCGUGCGCGUGAAAGGGUUGGCCCGAGGGCUCUACAUGUGAGGCAGCUCUCGGGGACCGGUCCUCCCGUAGAGGGAUCGGUCCCCGCACACGAAAUCUACCUAGUCCGGGCAGUGCAUAAGAGGCAAAGUGGAGGGGGCUAAAUGCUAUUAUAGCAUGAGAGGGGUUAAGUGGGCAUUUCCCCUCUCUCUUUCUCUCAUUUCCCUCCAAUAUACACACAUCUCUUUCUCUCUCUAGGAAGAAAAGAAGGAGAAGAAGGAAAAGAAGAAGAAGAAGAAGAAGAAGAAGAAGAAGGAAAGGAAAAGGAAGAAGGAGAAGAAGAUCAAGAUGAGGGUUUCCAUCAUCUUCUCCAUCUCCUUCUUUGCUUGGGCUAGCUAAUAGAGGUAAGCAUCUACACCUUCUCAUGGUAGAAGUGUUAGGGUUGGCUUUGAUCUCUUAGAACCUAGCUAGAUGGACUCUAGUGGAUCUCUAGAAGUGGAUGAACUCAUUGAUUGCAUGAUUAAAUGCUAGAAUAGAGCUAUUGCAAUAUUGGGGCUUCUAGGGCAUUCAAAAGAGGGGUUUUUCUUGUGAGGGGUUUUGAUCUCAAUUGACUCUUCUUUAAUCUAAUUGUUAGGUCCCCGAACGCGUUCGUGCACUCGAUUUGAGCAUUCGUCGAGGCUACGAAGAGAUAUUGGCGAAAGACCCAUUUUUGGCUUCGUUUUCGCUUGGAACGCCGAGGAAACAUCUAAAAAUCACAAAAUCGGAACCCUAGCCUUUUGGUAGUAUAAGAAGGUGGGGGGUGUCCAUCUCAAAGCAACCGGGCUUCUUUUUAUGUCUAAGUUCUUUAUAUUGAUCAUAUAUUGAUAUUAUGCAUUAUAGAAUUAGUAGAUAGUUACAAUUCUAACUCCUUGCAUGCUUUCUUAGCAGUGUAGCAUUGAGGGCUUGACACAUGGACUAGGGACGCAUGAGGAUUGAGUCUUGUGACAUGGAAUCCUAUAGUGGCGCAAUGAAAUGAACUUGGACAUGUAUAGCCUAGAUGAGUAGCAUUGAACUAGUGUAGUAGAAACACUAAACAUGAAUGAGUGGCAUGUCAACUAGUUAGAAAACUUACUACAAAUGAUCGAACGAGUGGCAUCGAGUCUAGUGUAGUAAACAUGACAUGAACUUAGGGAUGGUAGAAGUCCUGUCAUUUGAUUAUGCAUCGUGAUUGUGCAGCAGAGGCAAUAUGACCCUAGUAGAUUGUGAGGAUUGGAUCAUACUCACUAGUCUGUUUUGCUUGUCGGUGGUUACUCCACUGAAGCAGUGGUGUAACACACUGGACCUUUGCAGUGGUGUAACACACUGGACCUUUGCAAAUUUCGAGGUUCGAGUGUUUGGGUUGAGUUAUGAGUUUUUUCAGAUUUUCUGGUGGGUCGUUGACAGUGUUCCGACCUAUGGCUCGUAUCCCUAGAAUUGAGGUUUGAAGCUUUGCACCAAAACUCGAAAAGUCAGAUUUUUGGUCAGCUCUCAGGUAGCCUUCAGCAGGCUGUGUACCAGUACAGGGUUGAUGGCUGUACCGGUACAGGGUUGAUGGCUGUACCGGUACGUGGGCCCGUGUACCGGUACACUGCGGCAGAUCUGAAUGGUCGAACUGCAGGGGUGUUUUUGCGAUUGUGCUUUCUAUAACACCACCCAUGCCCCUUAGAGCCUCCCCUGAGCUGAAACCAGUGAAGAGCAAGGUAGGGCUCCUCUCCUCCUCUCCUCUUUGGUUUAUUCUUCCCUUUUUACUUGGGAUUUAAGGUUUGAUUUCCUCUUUUGCUCCUUGGUGCUUGUAAUAUACCGAAAAUUCGGAAGAUAAAUAUCGAACUUUAGUCAAAUUGACCAAAGUGCGAGGACGGUACACUUCGGAAAGUCCGAAGAUGUUAAAAUGAGUAAAAGUGAGUUAAAGAAGGUUUUCGAGAGCUAGAGAGUUAAAUUCUGCAAAACUGUAGAUUUUCAGCUCUCGGGGACCGGUCNUUGAUGGUUUUUUUGAUAUGAAACCCUAGAAUGAGGUUUUAGGGUUGAUUUUGGGCAUUUUGGAUCUAGGGCUUUUCGAGCUUAAUCUCUUGGAUUAGACCUUCCUCUAGGUUAGAUUGGAAGGGUUCUAGCCCUCUUUUGGAGCUUAAGAAGAGAUUUCUUCAUUGAAGGUGAGUUUUGGCCCUUUUCUUGAGACGGUUAAAGAUCGAGCCAGGGAUUGUUCGUAACGUUCGUUUCUCUCUUCUUUCCUUACCUUUAGGGUGCUAGAGGACUUGGGGACAACUUCGUUUGAGCUUACGAAGGGUUUCGAGAUGCUUCGGUGGGUUUGACCUAGCCGCACAAUGAGAAAUUCUCAUUUGUGAUGAUUUGAGUAUCGUAAAAUAGAAAAUAAUGCAUAUUCAUGUUAAAUGUAUUUAUUAUGAAUUUUAGAAUGCUUAAAAUGCCUAUGUUACAUAUAAUGCAUUUUGGACCUCUAUGUAGUGGAGAGUUGCAUGUGGGGCUUAUGGUUGCAUUUAGCAUUCCGUGUGGGAUUUGGGACCAUGUUUCCUAUAGUAGAAAUGACAUAUGUAAGUACCCUUGAACUUAAAUUCUCAUUGGACAUAAAAACUACUACAAUGCCAUAAAGAGGCAUCAGACAAGAUUGACAUGUGAAAUUGUGAACUAAUGUCAUAAAACAGCAUUGAGCUCGGGUUAUGUGUGAACCUAGUGGAUAGAGCCAUUGAGAGAUUUGGAAAUUGGAACAUGCUUGAAUAUAGAAUUGUCUUAGUGUCAUAAGGAGGCACUAGACUUAGUGAAUGUUGGAACUUCACAUUGAGACAUUGAACUAGAUCUUCGAGAUGCUAGUGACUUUUACCAUGUUAGAGACAUGAUGAUUGGACUUUUGAGACGUUGACUACGCUUCCUUGCCAUUUGUGCUCAUUCGCACAUGCUUGUGAGGGUCGCUCCCUACAAGCCGGCACUCCGGAGUUGGCCUACGCGAUUUAUGCUUGCUCGUGCGGUAUCGAAAAACCUACGGGGUCGGGAGGGAUAGACUCAUUCCUAUAGUGGAAAUACUGGAGCUACCACCGACACUUAGGUGGCACAAGCUGGACUAUAUUUAUGCAAGUCCUAGAACAUGAUUAAACAAUGACAUUGAACCGGAAAAUGACAAUCACUACUAAAUAGGCUUAGUAGUUUGAUUACUUCGACAUGCUUAUAGCAUAGUGUUGGGACAUGUAGUAUACGUGAUAGUCUUAUUUGUUGCAUCAUAGUAUACUUGUGUCACGCCCCGCCCCGAAACCUCUUGUGUGAUAAUCAUCAUCGGGAACUCUUCAUAGCUCAAGUCCUCUUGAAGCUGCGGUGGCUCAUAUAGCAUUGCGUGCUCAGGGUCGUGAAUAUACUUGGGGAGAUUGGAGACAUGGAACACAUUGUGUACAUCCGCGAGCUUCGGCGGCAAAGCGAGUCGAUAAGCCACCAUGCCAACUCGCUCCAAUAUUUCAUAGGGUCCAAUGUAUCGAGGACUCAACUUUUCCCGCACUCCAAACCGCUUUACACCCCGCAUCGGUGAAACCUUCAAGAACAUGCAUAGCUUUGCUGUCUGCAUAUCUCGUUGGCGCCUAUCUCGUUGGCGCCUAUCUGCAUAGCUUUGCUGUCUCGACUGCGCCGUGAGCAAUCUCUUGCGAGCAAGGCGGACUUUCUCUUCCGCUUCUCGCAGAACAUCAGGGCCGAACUCUGUACGCUCACCCACAUCGCUUCAGUGUAUAGGAGACCGACACGUCCGCCCAUAGAGAGCCUCGAACGGUGCCAUCUCCACACUAGCAUGAUAACUGUUGUUGUAGGCAAACUCGGCCAUAGGUAGGUGAUCACACCAACUUCCCUUAUAGUCGAUGACACAUGCUCGCAACAUGUCCUCUAGAGUUUGAAUGGUUCUCUCUGUUUGCCCAUCGGUCUGAGGAUGAAAUGCGGUGCUAAAGUCGAGCCGUGUGCCAAGGGCUUCCUGCAGGCUCUUCCAGAAGUGUGAAGUGAACCGGGGGUCACGAUCCGACACGAUCGAUUUCGGCACCCCAUGCAGUCUCACUAUCUCGUCGAGGUAUACCUGCGCUAACUUGUCACCCGACCAUGUGGUGUGGAUCGGCAAGAAGUGAGCCGACUUCAUCAGUCGGUCCACAAUUACCCAAAUUGCAUCGUGGCCUCCCGUUGAGCAAGGCAAGCCGACCACAAAGUCCAUCGAUAUAUCCUCCCACUUCCAAACGGGGAUUGGUAGGCUUUGAAGCUUUCCCGCUGGAAAUCGACGCUCUGCUUUCACUUGUUGGCAUGUUAAGCACUUCGCCACAAAGCGUCCAAUAUCACUCUUCAUUCCCGGCCACCAGUAGUGCAUUUUUAGUCCUUGAUACAUCUUGGUGCCGCCCGAGUGAUCGGCAUAUGGAGACCGAUGCGCUUCUUGUAGAAUUAGCUCGCGAAGUUCUCCAUCUUUUGGCACACACCAUCGGUUUCGAAACCGAAGUGUACCACUGGCGUCUGUACUGAAAUCUCCGCCUCGACCAUCCUCGAUGUCUCGCCGUACCUUUUGGAGUUCUGGGUUUGCGGAUUGCAGAUCUUUGAUCCUUUCCAACAAGGUCGGUUGAAUAACGAGAGCCAUCAACUGGGCCGGAACCUCGGGAGCGACCACCUCAAGGUUCAUCCGCUCCAUGUCUAACCACAAAGGUGAUUGAUUUGUAACCCACAUCGAGAGGUUCUCCGCCGACUUUCUGCUCAAUGCAUCAGCGACCACAUUGGCUUUCCCGAGGUGGUAGAGGAUAUCGACGUCAUAGUCCUUUAACAAUUCUAACCACCGCCGCUGUCGCAUAUUGAGUUUCUUCUGUGUGAACAGAUAUUUCAAACUCUUGUGGUCUGUGUAAAUCUCACAAUGGGCACCAUACAAGUAGUGCCGCCACAGCUUCAAGGCGAAGAUUACCGCUGCUAGCUCCAAAUCGUGGAUGGGGUAGUUCUUCUCAUAGCUCUUCAGCUGACGGGAUGCAUAAGCAAUCAUUUUCCCGUUUUGCAUCAAAACACACCCCAGUCCUAGAUAGGAGGCGUCGCUGUAGACUACGAAGUCUUCGCCUUGUACCAGUAGAGCGAGCACCGGAGUCGAAGUUAAUUUUUGCUUCAACUCUUUAAAACUCCGGUCGCACUCUUCGCUCCACACGAACCUAGUGCCCUUCUGAGUCAGACGGGUAAGUGGAAUUACUAUCUUAGAAAAGCCUUCCACAAAUCGCCUAUAAUAGCCUGCCAAGCCCACGAAGCUUCGAACCUCCGUGACAUUCGUCGGGCGCGGCCAAUCCUUGAUUGCCUCAACUUUCCUCGGGUCUACAGAGACUCCACCUGCAGAAAUCACAUGCCCUAGAAAUGCGACUUCUCGGAGCCAGAAGUCACACUUCUUUAACCUAGCAUACAACUUCUCCUCCCGAAGCGUUUGAAGCACUAUCCUCAAAUGCUCGGCAUGUUCCUCGUCACUACGAGAAUAGACCAAUAUGUCGUUUAUGAAAACCACGACAAAUCAAUCCAAAAACUUCCUGAAGAGACGGUUUAUCAAGUCCAUAAAUGCCGCUGGAGCGUUCGUGAGUCCAAAUGGCAUGACCGUGAAUUCAUAGUGCCCGUAUCGCGUACGAAACACAAUUUUCUGCACAUCCUCCGGCUUGAUCUUCAACCGGUGAUAGCCGUACUGUAAGUCUAUCUUCGAGUACACACACGACCCCUACAACUGAUCGAACAAGUCAUCGAUUCGGGGUAGUGGGUACUUGUUCUUGAUCGUGACUCUGUUCAACUCUCGAUAAUCCACGCAGAGUCGAAACGAUCCGUCAUACUUCUGUACAAACAACACCGGGGCUCCCCACGGUGAUACACUUGGCCGGAUAAAUUGCUUGUCGAGGAGGUUUUGCAAUUGACUCCUCAACUCUUUCAGUUCCGCCGGCGCCAUUCGGUACGGAGCCUUCGAGAUCGGUGCGGUAUCGGAAACCAAGUCUAUGACGAACUCGAUCUCCCGAUCCGGUGGUAUCCCCGGUAAUUCCGCGGGAAAUACAUCCGGGAACUCUCACACCACCGAUAACUCCUCUAAUGUUGGAGUUACUCGUUCCACUUCCACAACAGUCGCUAAGAAUGCCGUGCAACAGCUGUCAACCAACUUCCUUGCUCUCGUCGCCGACACCUUCGCGACGAAGCACGAGCUUUGACAAGCCUGAUAUGUGAACUCCUUUUGUCCUGGCUCACGAAAUGUGAUUACUCUGCUCUUGCAGUCGAUCGUUGCAUAAUAUUUCGAGAGCCAGUCCAUGCCCAAAAUGAUGUCAUAAGCCUCGAGCUUCUUGAGUUCUAGCGUCCGAAUAGGCAUUAUCCAGUCACCCAUUUGUACUGGACACGACGCACACUCCGAGUAAGUGUUAAACGUCGACCCAGGGCCUCAACUCGCCACUUGUCACUCGCCUCUAUGAGUAUGCCAUGCAUGCGUGCGAAUGAUCCACUUAUGAACGAAUGUGUGGCUCCUAUAUCAAAUAAAGCCCUGGAGCGAACUCCGUUAAUUAAAACCAUACCUACUACAAGGCGAUGCUCCUCCGCCUCCGCAGGCUCCUCGGUUUGAACCUGAGCGGCGAAUACCCGACCGCUCGGAGCUGAUCGCGUCACCUCAGGUUGACGCGGCAUCACCGCGCGUCCCGUCGACGCGGCCGUCGAUGGAGCUCCUCCAUAGUGAGCCGGAAUCGCCGUCGUCGAUGCAAUCGAUGGGGCAGGUGAGGCUCCUCCUCCCGAGCAGUCCCGAAUGAAGUGCCCCGGUUGCCCACACUUGUAGCACUUGCCUCGGCCCUGCUCACAUCGCGAGACUGGGUGGUCUUCGCCGCAUAUGAUGCAUCGCCGCGCUCCACCGCCCCUUGGCUGAGUCCGUGGAUACUUCGGGGGCUUCUUGGAACGUGUUUGUCCCCCCGAACCGCCGCCGCCUUGGCGUUUCUUGCCCUUGUCCUUGGACUCGGCUAGCAUCUCACGCUUCUCCCGGACAUGGGCGUCUCCGUGCUCUGCCCAAAGUGCUCGGUCGAAGACCUCUGCAAAGGUCGUGAGCUUGAGUAUCUGCACGGCCUUAUAAAUCCCCGGCCGAAGUCCUCGCAAGAACCAAUCGGCCCGGUCCCGGUCAUCCUUCACUACGUCCGGAACACAAUCAAUGAUGUGGGAGAACUCUUGUUCAUAUUCCGCCACUGAGCGGUCCCCUUGCUCCAACUUGCGGAACUUCUCCUUGAGCUUCCGCUUUAGUGUAUCGGGGAAGUAGUUGGCGAACAUCUCCCGCUUGAAUUCCUCCCACAGCAUCGGCGGGAGACUGGAAGACCGAUCUCGCUUCACGCGCUUCCACUAUACCUUUGCCGCUUUCUCCAAACAGUGGGUGGCAAGGUACACCUUAUCCCUCUCCAAGGUACGCAAGUCCUCAAAGAGAGUCUCCAUCGAAUCGAUCCAAGACUCGACCAUCGCCGGCUCCACCUUCUCGCACUCAAAGGUAGGCGCAUGGAACUUGUUGAACUUAAUAAGAGCCACCAAUGCGCGCUCUCCUUCCACAUCUUCGACGGUCACGUCGGGUGUAGCCGAUCCCGACGUCGCCUGUGGUACGAUCGCUGGCGGUGGGCGUGCCGUCACCGGAACCGCCGCUAUACCCUCACCCUCUGCCGCUCCGGGUACAUGAGUCGAGGGUGCGGGUGGACCACCGCCCUCGUUCACCGUCGCAGUCGCUGCCGCAACCUGCUGCUCCAAAAGAUCCUGAAGUCGCUCGAAUCGGGUCUCCUGGCGCUGCACCACAUUGGUCAACGUGGUCACUUGCGCCCGCAAUUGAUCCAUCUCGCUCGGUUCAGCCUGCUCGGGCACCUCGGGAAGCGGUGCCGAAGUAGGCCUCGUGCUCGGGCGUCUUCUUGGUGCCAUUGGCUCCUGAAACGCAAGUACUUGGUUAAUUAUCUUAACCCGUUCGCCUCGUCGCAAUUACGACACACAAUGACUCAACAACGAAAUCGGGCGGAAGCACACAAGUGUACUCAUUCUAGACUCUUGGUAUCAUGUAGUCGGCCGCCGACACAACCACCUCAAGACAAGAACUCAUACCACUUGAAUCCGUCUCUAAUCACAACUAGAGACAUAUUACCAACUUCGACCCAAUCGAAUCAACUUUCGCCAUCGUUAUAGGUUCACGUUCCACUCACGCACCUAUAACCUUAGGGCUUACCAACCUAGGGUCUCCUAGGUCAUCCUAGAUUCUCUCUUUACUUGCUCUUAUCGCUCUGAUACCAUACGACUGUCACGCCCUGCCCCGAAACCACUACCAAUUUGGCACGAUUCGGGCGCGUUGGGCGGACCGCCGAACGGACAGCACCUCUCCUGCCUGCCCAAGGCUCAACAACAGGAAUGUGUACAAAAAUUUACCCAGGAAAUUUAAAUUCUAAAUAUACACAUUCAACGGGGCACAAGUAGUGCGAACAACUGAGAGCAAGUAAUCCACAAGUAAAAACAAGUGAAAUAAAGAGAGUACUUUACUAACUAUUGCAAUAGUUUUGCAUCUUUUUAUAUGUACAUCUUUUCCUCAAAAUGAAUACAUAUGUUCAUUCAAAAUACGUAGCUCUCCAAAUCCUCACCUACAUUAAUCUCUCUCAAUACAUAGAUGUGCUAAUGCAAAAAGGAAAGCUACUAUACUACCACGAUCUCACUGAUUGGGCGCGAUGCCCUUGCCGCGGUCCUCGCUCAGUAAACCUGUACCUACCACUGGAAAUAGAGUGGGGGUGAGAACUAUCUUUCAUAGUUCCUAGUGGGCUCGGCCGCCGACUCCGCCGGUCUCCCCACUAGGUAAAAAUAGGCACAAGUAACAACAGAUAGAUAGAUAGAUAGAUAUCUGAAAGCUGUAAAGGCAUAAAGGAAAACUAUGCUACUAUGCCCAUAAUCAUGUAUAAUGAAUGCAUGCGUCAUAUAGUAAAGGUUUACUAUCAUGCUAACAAAUUCGAUCCAUGUUCGAAUAUUAAUGUUCAAUGACAUUGUUAACUGUUCAUUUACCCAAUCUGUGGUGAAGCCCUUGGGUUCGCCCUCGACUCACCUUGCCAUCCCAUUGGGUGGGUAGCUCCAUGUGCUCCCAGACCCGGGACCGUCUGCGGACCUCCAAGUGGUCCGGACCUCCAAGUUGUCCUAGUCGCGCGACACUCCGGAGUACUCGACGACAAUCCUCUCCAUGUGAGGAUAUGGAUGGCUAUACCACCCCAAAGCAGACCGUGAGCAUGAUCUAUUCCCUCCAUGUGGGGACACCCUACCUUUAGGGCCAACAUCUCAAUAGACACUCGUCUAUAUCCUCUCCAUGUGAGGAUACCCUAUGAACUAGGGUCAACAUCUCUUGCAGAAUCAUCUGUUCCCGACAUUCAUGUAAUGCUGUUUAGCUUUUCUAAAUUCAUUGUUCACAAGGCAUUUUCUAAGGGAUCCACCUAUCCCUAGGUCCAUCGACCUCUAGUGUUAAAUACACUACAUUAAUGCCACUCGAUAUGUUCUUUAACAUUUGAUGCCACUCGUUUGUUCUUUAGCAUUUAAACGCUACUUUCUAUGUCACCAAACACCCAUCGUGUUUCAUCUCUUUUCUUUAGCAUUAUAGGAUUCAUGUUCCGACCCAAUCCUUACCUAUCCAAGUCACCAAGCGUUCCAUGUACACUAGGUUAUCAAUUAGAAAGCAUAAGGAAAGGUACUACUAUGCAAUCCUACAAUGUAACAUGCAAGAGAUGCAAUCAUAUGCUAUUCUAAGACAUAGAAAAGAGCCCGGUUGCUUCGGGAUGACACCCCCCACCUUGUGUAGUCGAUGUUCGUUGUGGAGGUUCCAGAAGUGUUCCUCGGCCCUUCAAACCACGUGUUCCCCGCCUCUUUGGGAGAAACGAAGCUAGGUCGGCCCUAUAUUGCCGAUAGCUCUACACCUGCUCGAUGAAUCAUAAUUCCGACUCCGCCAACACGUUUGGACACCUAGCAAUUAGGUUUACAAGGCCUCAAAUGAGAUCAAUCUCAUCUAUUUUCAAAAAUCCCAUUUUGGGUGCCCUAGGGUUAGCAUCAUGCCAUUUGCACUAUGAAACCCUAGCCUCUAGCUCUAAUCCACCAACAAUGGUGCUAGAAGUCCAUUUGACCUCAUCUCAAAGCUCAAGACCCAAAAACCCUAAGUUCUCAAAGCUAGGGUUUGGUAGCUUACCUCUUGAGCUACACCAAAGAGAAGAGGAGAGGGAGAUGAAGGUGUCCAAGGCCUUCCUCUUGAUCUCCUUCUUCUUCUCCUCCCUUUUCUUCUUCUCCUUUUCCUUCCUGUCCUUCUUGUUCUUCUUGUUCUUAUUCUCUUUCUAGAGAGAGAGAGGGAGCAAGAGAGAGUGUAAGAGAGAGAGAAAGGGCCUACAUACCCCUCUAUUGUAACAAAAUCCAUUUUAGCCCCUCAACUUUUCACCCUGUACACAGUCCUCACUGGGCAUUCUGCGCCCAGAGGGACCGGUCCCUCGUCGGGGAGACCGGUCCCCGAGAGCAGUCCUGGCGGCCAGAAGGCCUCUUCGUGUUCGGGGACCGGUCUCUCCCUGGGAGACCGGUCCUCGGGAGACCGGUCCUCGCCUGAGAGACCGGUCUCCGAGAGCUCGAUUUUUAGGACUUAGCCGAUUUUGGCCUUCUCUCGCUGGCGUCGCACACGGGAACCGGUCCCCUCAGCCAGGGACUGGUUGCAUCAAAGAUCCCCAGCAACCACCAGCCUCGGGGACCGGUCUCUUCCUGCCAGGGACCGGUCCCCGAGAGCAACUUCAGCCCAGUGCAGGUUUUGCACUAUAUGCUCUCGCGGACUCAACUCCAAUGCACUUUUUGUGUUUUGGAUAACUUUAGCUUUCUCAAAGAAUACUCGACAAUUAGUCGAUCCUGGAUGAAAUACAACUCUCGGAUUUCGAGAAUUCACUUCCUUACAACUUGGCUGCCAUGAUAGAGCAUAUUCACUAUAUACCGAUAUAUUGGAUCAUGAUACCUACUUGCUCGUUAUGUUAGGACCUAUUAGUCAUGCUUGGACAUACUUCAUUUUGAUAAAGUAAAUUUACAACUCAUUGACAUCAUGUUUAAUUGCGACAUAGUAGCUUAGCAUUUUAUUUAUACUUUCAUAAAUGCAAUCUAUUUAUUAUUAUCGUCGUUUCUGUACUUACCCUUUUCUUUUGGGGCCUAGUGGUGCAUUGAGCUCAGGUCAGUAAUUGCCUACUGGGAACUAUAAAUUAUAGUUCUCAUGCCCUCUGUUUUAUGUCUUAUUUCAGAGCCUUUCACGCCGGGAGAGGCUAGGGACCGCGGAAAGGGUAUCGCCUCGAGCUAGCUUGCUAUCGAGGGACGCGUUGAUAGGUGGUCUAACUCUCGUUGUUUUCUUUUUGGAGAGGUUGAGUGUUGUAUUCAUGUAUAGAGACCACCCUUUUGUAUACCCCUUUUGGAGAUGGUUAUUGUAUAACUUUAUGAUUCACCUUUAUUGUUUAGUAUAUUCCUUCUACCUUGCUAUAGAUGAUAGAUUUACUCUUGCUCUGAUAUCUCUAGUUGUAGAUUAUCUUUGCCUUUAUUUUCUGCUGUUGUUGUAGAUGCCUUAUAUGUGUUGACAUAUGGCGGGUCUCGGCGCGCUCCCGGGAGGGCCUCCGCCCGUUCCGGGGCGUGACAGAUUAAUUUGGUAUCAGAGUCUAGGGUUGAGUCUCAGUGGACCUAGCAAACCUUAGGCCGGUUGGACUAUAGAAAAUAGACUCGUAAGAGACGAGGUCUAUUCGAUUUGUAAACGAAAGUAUUAUAAUUGGGUUUUAUGAUAACUCUAAAAAGUUGGAGUUGGACUAGAGUGUAUGGCUUCUAACUUCGCGGAGGGUUACGUUGGCGGCCGACAACGUAACAUCGGGAGUUAGUUGUGGAUAACACUUUCUUACUUUCGCAUGAUUUGGGUAUUGUUUAUUUGAGUGGGGAUACGAUAGCGUGGGUUGUACUAACUUGUGUUUUUAUGAUGUUGUAGAGACGAUGCCGAUCACCCGCUCUAAAUCUGCUGGAGCGGAUAAUGCGGCACAUCUUGAGCAGGUCGAGACCUCCGCUACCUUCGGAUCCGGUGAGGUCCGUGAGUUGAGGGGCCAGCUAGCAGCCCUCACUGCUUUGGUGACGGAGCAGGCGGACGCGGCACGCUGGCAGGAGGCGCGGAUGAAGCAUUUAGAGGACCUUCUGCUACAGCAGGCGGCUGCCAGGGAGACUCAGAACCUUACACCACCCGCACCAGUGGAGGUGGUUGCGCCCAGGGUGUCUUCCCCUGCACUCGACGCUUCUAAAACGGCACCAGCAGCAGCACCUCGAGAGGAGGACAUCGCGGCACCACCAGCGCGAGCACCUGUAGCGGGGGCGGUUUUCUCUGUGAUGGUUGAGGGAGCUGAGCGGGAUCGGCUUAUGGAGCGUCUUAGUGAGUUCAUGAGAUGCAGUCCACGGAGCUUCGACGGGGAGAACGUGGACCAUUGGAUAGUAGAGAAAUGGCUGAUGCAUAUGGAGAAGCUGUUUCGGGACACCUUUGUCGAGGAGAGGGAUCGAGUGUGGCUCGCCACACAUCAUUUGGACGGCGAGGCCUAUAGAUAGUGGUUGGACAUCCAGGAUAACCCCAGCACGGAUUUGACAGCGAUUUCAUGGAGGAGGUUCAAGGAACUCCUACUGGAGCAUUACUUCCCUGACAGUGUUAAGAGGAAGAUGGAGCAGGAUCUGCACAAUCUGCGUUAGGGGGACAGGACUGUAGCCGAGUAUGAGAGAGAGUUCUCCCGGCUUCUUCAUUAUGUGCCCUUCGUUGUUUGAGACGACGUGGACAAGGCCCGCAUCUUCGAGAGGGGAUAGCGGCCUUCGAUCUUUCGGUUUGUUCAGUCUUCCAACCUCCAAACCUAUCGGGAGGUUGUGAACCGCGCACUCAUAGUGGAGAGUGGCGCGGCAGAUCUGCAGGAGCGGCGAGAGGCCCUGGACAAAGGCAAGGGCAAGAGGCCCGCGACUGAAGGUGCGAGCCAGGCGCACUUUGGGAGGCCGCCGAGGCAUCCGAGACACUGGAGCUAGUCGCGAGGACGUGGCCAGUCUACUCAGCGAGGAGGACCUAAUCGACGCCAGGCUCCGCGCUGCGUGAUCUGCGGUGGUCCCCAUUUUCCACGGCAGUGUUCACGCAGUCUGGGCAAGUGCUACUUGUGUGGUCAAGAGGGCCACUUCCAGUCGGACUCCCCGAGGAGUCCAGCACCAGUGCCAUCUUCGGCAUCUGCACCAGCUUUACCGGGUCCUAGCCAGGGGACACUUUCUGCGCAUCACCAGGCUGGGCGGCCGUUAGUUCAGCGGUAGGCGGAGGGGUCACGACAGGCCCCGAGUGGGCGCAUGUAUGCGGCCCAGACUAAGGAGGCUGCGGCAGUCGAGAAUGUGGUCACAGGUAUUAUUUUAUUUUAUGGUAUUCGAGUACGAGCAUUAUUUGAUACCAGUGGAUCGCAUUCAUUUAUAAACUGGCUGUUUGCCGAAUUGCAUGGCAUCCCACUGACAUCGUUGUUUCAUCCGGGACGAGUCAUAGUACCCGAUCACUCUUUGGAUAUCCGAGAGUUUUGCCCCAGUUGCCCUGUUCGGGUUGGAGAUUGGAUCAUGCCCGUGGACUUGCUAGCUUUGCAUAAACUCGGAGAGUUUGAUGUUGUUUUGGGCAUGGAUUGGUUGACCAAGUACUACGCCACUAUUGAUUGCAUGAAUCGAACAGUGACGUUUAAAGAGCCGGGGCAGGAAGAGGUUGUGUAUCGAGGAUGCCAGAGUUCGCUGUUUGCGAUGACGAUUAGCUCCUCUCAUGCUAGGCAGUUGAUCAGCAGAGGCUGCAUAGCCUAUUUGGCUACUGUUGUGUUGCGGGGCGAUGCAGACGCCCCUAGGAUUGAGGAUAUCCCCGUGGUAUGAAAGUUUGGAGAUGCAUUUCCAGCAGAGCUUCCAGGCAUGCCACCUGAUAGGGAGAUUGAGUUUGUGGUAGAUCUCAUUCCUGGGACUACCCCAAUCUCAAAGGCGCCCUAUAGGAUGGCACCAGCGGAAUUGAAGGAGCUGAAGGCACAGUUGCAGGAUCUUCUGGACAAGAGUUUUGUGCAACCGAGUGUGUCACCUUGGGGAGCACCGGUUCUGUUUGUGAAGAAGAAGGAUGGAUCACUUCGCUUGUGCGUGGAUUAUCGUGAACUCAAUAAAGUCACAAUCAAGAAUAAGUAUCCAUUACCGAGGAUUGAUGAUUUAUUUGAUCAGCUCCAGGGAUCUAGUGUGUAUUCCAAGAUCGACUUGCAGUCGGGAUACCAUCAGUUGAAGAUCAAGCCUGAGGAUGUGUCGAAGACGGCUUUUAGAACACGGUAUGGACAUUAUGAGUUUACAGUUAUGCCGUUUGGGCUUACUAAUGCCUCGACAGCUUUUAUGGAUUCGAUAAACCGUGUUUUCAAGCCUUAUUUAGACAGGUUCGUCGUGGUAUUCAUCGACGACAUUUUGGUUUAUUCCCGAAGUGAUGCGGAUCACGAGGAAUACUUGAGACUUGUACUUCAAGUGCUUCGGACAAAGGAGCUCCAUGCCAAAUUGAAGAAGUGUGAGUUUUGGCUUAGAGAGGUGACGUUUUUGGGCCAUUUGCUUUCAGGAUCAGGUAUAGCUGUGGAUCCUAGAAAGAUUGAAGCCAUCAAGGAUUGGCCGAGGCCGACGAGUGUCACCAAGAUUCGGAGUUUUCUUGGCUUGGCCGGCUACUACCGACGGUUUGUCGAGGGAUUCACAAAGUUAUCUACUCCCCUUACAAGGCUUACGCAUAAAGGCACCAAGUUUGUUUGGAAUGAUGCAUGUGAAAGGAGCUUCCAAGAAUUGAAGCAGAGAUUGACGACCGCCCCGAUCCUAACCGUGCCAACUGCUGGAGUAGGGUAUGUGGUUUAUAGUGAUGCUUCCUUUAAUGGAUUGGGCUGUGUCUUGAUGCAGGACGGGAAAGUGAUCGCGUAUGCAUCCCCCCAACUGAAGGAUUAUGAAAGAAACUACCCUACUCACGAUUUGGAGUUGGCGGCCGUAGUCUUUGCAUUGAAGCUGUGGCGCCAUUACUUGUACGGCGAGUGAUGCGAAGUAUAUACGAAUCACAAGAGUUUAAAGUAUCUAUUCACUCAGAAGGAGUUGAACUUGAGGCAGCGCAGAUGGUUGGAGCUACUCAAGGAUUAUGAUUUGACGAUACUUUACCACCCGGGCAAGGCUAACGUGGUGGCGGAUGCGCUAAGUAGGAAAUCGACGGAAAACUUAGUGAUGCUUGUUGUUACUCAACCGCCGUUGAUCAAGCAGAUGAAGCGGUUGGAGUUGGAGGUGGUGGCAACCUGAUACACCCUUGAGACUGAUGACCUUGGUGGUGCAACCUACACUUUUGGAAAGGAUUAAAGAAAAGCAAGUCUCCGAUGUGGAGUUGCAACGGAUAAGAGCUAAGAUGAUUGAUGGUUGCACCGGUGACUUUUCUGUAGACGGUGUUGGAUUGAUGCGUUUCCGUGGACGGAUCUGUGUACCAGCAGAAUCGGCACUUAGAGAAGAAAUUCUUCAAGAGGCACACCGAGCACCGUAUGCUAUACAUCUGGGAGGCACCAAGAUGUACAAGGACUUGAAGUUGCUUUAUUGGUGGCCUGGGAUGAUGAAAAACGUUGGUGAGUUUGUUGCUAGAUGUCUAACUUGCCAACAGGUGAAAGCUGAGCACCGAAUUUCCGCGGAAAAAUUACAGAGCUUACCGAUUCCUGUGUGGAAAUGGGAGAAGAUCACCAUGGACUUCGUGAUGGGAUUGCCCCGCUCACAGGCCGGGCAUAAUGCUAUUUGGGUGAUUGUGGAUAGGUUGACGAAAUCGACACAUUUCAUACCUAUCCACACCACUUGGACUGGUGAGAGACUUGCACAGGUAUAUUUGGAUGAGAUUGUGCGAUUGCACGGGGUACCUACUUCUAUAAUAUCAGAUCGAGACCCCCGAUUUGUAUCUCAUUUUUGGAGGAGCUUACAAGAUACUUUGGGUACGCGCUUUGAUUUCAGUACCGCUUUCCACCCCCAGAGUGAUGGGCAGUCAGAGCGCACUAUACAGACUCUCGAGGACAUGCUUUGAGCCUGUGUGAUUGACUUCGAGGGAGGAUGGUCGCAGCAUCUACCGAUGGCAGAGUUUGCUUGUAACAACAGUUAUCAAGCAAGCAUCAAGAUGGCACCUUUCGAGGCACUCUAUGGACGAAAGUGUAGAUCACCACUUCAUUGGAGUGAAGUUGACGAGAGAUUGGUUUUCGGCCCAGAUGUGCUCUAGGAAGCAGAGAGCAAGGUUCGCAUUGCUCGGGAGCGACUGUUGACAGCCUAGAGUAGGCAGAGGAGUUAUGCUGAUAGGCGUCGACGAGACUUGGAGUUUCAGAUUGGUGAUCAUGUCUUCUUGAAAGUCUCGCCGACCAGAGGGAUUAGAAGAUUUGGGAUCCGGGGUAAGUUGAGCCCCCGAUACAUUGGACCGUAUAAGGUUUUGGAGCGUGUAGGCCCGGUGGCAUAUCGACUUGCUCUACCACUGAACCUAUCGGGUGUACACAAUGUAUUUCAUGUAUCGGUCCUUCGGAAGUACAUCCAUGAUCCGGCUCACAUGUUGGACGCUACACCUUUGGAGCUGAGGGAUGAUUUGAGCUUUGAAGAGCAACCUUUGAGAAUUUUGGCUCGCGAAGUAAAGAGAUUGCGGAACCGUGAGAUUCCCUACGUGAAGGUGCUUUGGAGCAACCAUGAUGAGCGCGAGGCCACUUAGGAGUUGGAGAGCACGCUGCAGGAGCGCUAUCCCCAUCUUUUUCAGAUGGAGGCUUGAGGUACCUUGCUUUUCGAGUUUCGCAGACAAAACUCCUUAUUAGGAGGGGUGAAUGUAACACACUGGACCUUUGCAAAUUGCGAGGUUCGAGUGUUUGGGUUGAGUUAUGAGUUUUUUCAGAUUUUCUAGUGGGUCAUUGACAGUGUUUUGACCUAUGGCUCGUACCCCGAGAAUUGAGGUUUGAAGCUUUGCACCAAAACCCGAAAGUCGAAUUUUUGGUCAGCUCUCGGGUAGCCUUCUGCAGGCUGCGUACCGGUACAGGGUUGAUGGCUGUACCGGUAUAGGGUUGAUGGCUGUACCGGUACGCGGGCCUGUGUACCGGUAUACUGUGGCAGAAUCUGAAUGGUCGAACUGCAGGGGUGUUUUUGCGAUUGUGGCUUUCUAUAACACCACCCACGCCCCUUAGAGCCUCCCCUGAGCUGAAACUAGUGGAGAGCAAGGUAGGACUCCUCUCCUCCUCUCCUCUUUGGUUUAUUCUUUCCUUUUUACUUGGGAUUUAAGGUUUGAUUUCCUCUUUUGCUCCUUGGUGAUAUUUCCACCUUGGUUGAAGCUUGAAGCUUGGAUUUGGAGCUUGGUUGAGGGAAGAUCUUUGAAGUUUGAAGACUUAGAGCUUGGAUUGAAGCUUUCAAGAGGUUGGUAACAAGUUUCUUUCAUUUAGAUUCUUGUUUUGAUGGUUUCUUUGAGAUGAAACCCUAGAAUGAGGUUUUAGGGUUGAUUUUGGGCAUUUUGGAUCUAGGGCUUUUGGAGCUCAAUCUCUUGGAUUAGAACCUUCCUCUAGGUUGGAUUGGAAGGGUUCUAGCCCUCUUUUGGAGCUUAAGAAGAGAUUUCUUCAUUGAAGGUGAGUUUUGGCACUUUUCUUGAGACGGUUAAAGAUCGAGCUAGGGAUUGUUCAUAACGUUCGUUUCUCUCUUCUUUCCUUACCUUUAGGGUGCUAGAGGACUUGGGGACAACUUCGUUUGAGCUUACGAAGGGUUCCGAGAUGCUUCGGUGGGUUUGACCUAGCCGCACAAUGAGAAAUUCUCAUUUGUGAUGAUUUGAGUAUCAUAAAAUGGAAAAACAUGCAUAUUCAUGUUAAAUGUAUUUAUUAUGAAUUUUAGAAUGCUUAAAAUGCCUAUGUUACAUAUAAUGCAUUUUGGAUCUCUAUGUAGUGGAGAGUUGCAUGUGGGGCUUAUGGUUGCAUUUAGCAUUCCGUGUGGGAUUUGGGACCAUGUUUCCUAUAGUAGAAAUGACAUAUGUUGUCACGCCCCCGCCCCGAGGCCACUACCAAUUUGGUCUGGUUUGGGCGCGGCGGACGGACGCCGAACGGACAGUACCUCCCCUGUUCGCCCAAGGCUAAACAACCUGAUCAAUUACAAUUAAGCGCCCAGGAAUUUGCUUAAAUAACAUACAUGAUCAAUUAUGAUGUACACAAGUGCAAUACAGCUAAGAGCAAAAACCACAAGUAAUAUACAAGUGUAUAAAGAGAAAUAGUCUAGCUAUUACAACCAUUCAACAUUUACAUAAGUUGAUUACAUUACAUUUUCAUCUUUCAAAAUAUAAAUACAUGUUUUUCUCCAAAAUACAAGUAGCUCUCCGAUAACGAUCGAAACAUCUUCUAGUACACGAGGGUACUCUAAUGCAUAAGGAAAAGCUACUAACUAAGCUUAUUUAGGGCGCUAUGCCCUUGCCGCGAUUCUCGCUCGGCUCGCCCCUGUGUGUACCUGUACCCCAAAACCACAUGGGGUGAGAACUAUAUAAAUAUAGUUCCUAGUGGGUUCGGCCUCCGACUCUGCCGGUUUUCCCAUUAGGUGUAAGCUGGUACAGAUAGAGAGAUAGAUAGAUAUAUAGAGAAAUGAACUGCAACUACUCUAUCAUGCCACCAAUGAUAAUAAUGCAUACAACAACUACUAUCAUGCUAGUAUCAUGUCAUGAGUAUAGAAAAGUACAUAGCAAUGCAAAUUACAACAUACACUAUGUCUACUCAAGGUAAUAAUGCAAAUCUACUAUGCAUUCCAUGUUUAUUACCCAAUCUACUUGGCUAACCCGUAGGUUAUGCCCUCGACUCACUCUCAAUCUCAUAGGUGAGGAGAAGCUGCACUCGCACACCGAGACCGUCUGCGGGACAACUACGUCUGCCCCUAGUGAAGUACUCCGGAGACUCGUACCACGGUGGAGCGACACUGACAGCGAAAACAGACUAAUGAGUAUGAUCCAAUCCUCACAAGAGGAUACCCUAUCUACAAAGGUCAACGUGCCUCUGCUGCACAUUAUACAAUGCAUCUUAGAUGCUGGGAUCUCUACUAUCCCUAGAACCAUGUCAUGUUUACUACACUAGACUCGAUGCCACUCGUUCGAUCAUUGUAGUAAGUUUUCUAGCUAGUUGACAUGCUACUCGUUCUUGUUUAGUGUUUCUACUACACUAGUUCAAUGCCACUCUACUAGGCUAACAUAUGUCCAAGUUCGGCUCUUUAUACCUGUUGAGUCAGUUAGGCGCGAACAGCUGGCAUGCCGAGUCCAUAUCCAUAAGACGGCUAAAACGGUAAACCUAGAAUACACCGGACGCAUGCGAGUCGCACUGGACCGAGAAGUUAUAACAACCGCAAGCAGUUACGAGCGGUUUCGAUCGGCCGAAGGUGGUCCUACGAAUCAGGAGAUAGUGGCUGAUCGUGCAAGAGCAAUAACUAACGCAAAGGCGGUUCUAUAAAUAGGCAUACGAUACCCUGAAAAAGGGUCUUCGCCCUUGCGCACAAAAGACCACCUUUAUUUUCCUGUAUCUUUCUAUUCUCGCAUUUACCGCUUUCCUUAGGAGUAGUUCCGGUAAUUUAGCAUACUAGGAGUCUAUCUGCCCUACGUGCAUCACUCCCCUGUUCCCAUACUCGGAGUCUGUUUGCCCUACGAGCAUCACUCCCUUGCUCGUGUACUUUUUCCCAUUUGCUAUUCAAUAGAAAGUCAUUUUCGGCUCUUCCUGCCGAUCAGAUCACAAGUUGUUUAGCCAUUCGGCUCAUUUCUUAAUCGAAUUCUGGGCUUCCCCUCUCCAUUCAGCUCAUCGAGCCGAAGCGAAUUUACUGUGGAGGAUUUCGAACCCGGCUGAUUCGAUCUCUCAUCGGCCUAAUCGCUUGAUCCUUUAUGGGCGCAUACUUCGAGGGUCAUAAUCCGCAGCCGUCUCGCACCCCGACGUUCUUCCUGAGGAGAAUUCUUGACCGGGUCAAGGGUCGGGACAUUCGGCGCGCAAUAAUUUUUUGGCACGCCCGGUGGGACACAUUUUUUGAGGUAAAUCUGCAUUUUAUAUAAAACAUGGCUGAUGAUAACGCCAUGAAUCUCCGUAACAGGGCUAUUCCCAGAAAUUCUGGGAGCGAACAGCCCAGCAAUUCGAAAAAUAAUGUAGAGCGCCAGGCGGUUUUACCUGUUGAGGGUGAGACUAGUGGUCAAUCUGACCAACAGGAGCCUAGUUUGACCCAAGCGCUUGGUCAAAUGACUCGGGUCCUACAAACUUUGGACCAAAAUAGUCAUGCGAGUACUGCACGGCUGGAUGCCGUUUUGGCCGCAAUCACGGCCUCUAACGAGAACAUAGCCCGAAUAGGGCAAUUGUUAGCUCGGAAUGAACAGCCGAUAGCAGGCCUACAAGCGCCUGUGAUAACGCCAAUGUUACAGAAUCCAGUAACACCGGUAGUUCGGCAGCCCGAAUACCAGUGGCUACAGUAUCAAGCGGCUUAUAGGCCGGCUGUUGGUAAUGCUGGUCAACAGCCGGAAGUGGCUUGGGGGUUACCUCCACUUCGUCCAGUUGCAGCCUACCUGCCCCAAAAUGUAGGGGCUAGGGGGCAGGUUUUGAAUGGGCAAGGGAUUAAUCCCUUAGCACAAAAUCUCAGUGCACAACAACCACCGAAUCCGGUACCAGCGCAAGUUCCUUUCCAAGGAGUUAACAAUGAGAUAUAUGCGCAAAUAGAGGAGGCCAUCCGAAACACUUUCUGUCACGCCCCGGGACCGAUGCCAAUUUGGCCCGACCCGAGCACGACAAACAGACGCCGAACGGACAGAGUUUCCCCUAUCCGCCCAAGGCUCAUCACACGUACAUUUUCAUCAUUAGAGAAAAGCACUAGCGGAAACAUACACAAACAGCUUACACGAGGGUAAGCAAUAGCCAUAAGUGAAAGAAAGGAAAACUAAACAUUCACAAGUAAUAUGAUUCAUUUUAGAUCAUAUACAUUACAUCCAUCUUUUACAUUUAAGAUUCUUGCUGUUCUUACAUAAUCUCAUCAUUUCUUUCUUACAACACAUUUACCUCAAAAUAAGCUUUACAUUCUUUCUUUACAUCACAAAUCAUCAAAUACAAAAGAUGAUAAAAGGGUGUCUACUAACAAAAUGUAAACCCAACUCUGGUGGCCUCUGACUAAGGCGCGAUACCUUUACCUCGGUCGCUCGCCGGCUCGCUCGGUCCCGGCUCUGUGGAAAUAGUGGGGUGAGAACUACAACAAAGUUCCCAGUGGGUUCGGCCUCAAUAUCACCGACUUUCCCACUAGGACUAACUCAGGCAUAAUAGAAAGGAUAAGCUGAAAUAUGGUAACCAAUCUAUAACAUGAUGCUAAUAUGCCUGAANNNNNNNNNNNNNNNNNNNNNNNNNNNNNNNNNNNNNNNNNNNNNNNNNNNNNNNNNNNNNNNNNNNNNNNNNNNNNNNNNNNNNNNNNNNNNNNNNNNNNNNNNNNNNNNNNNNNNNNNNNNNNNNNNNNNNNNNNNNNNNNNNNNNNNNNNNNNNNNNNNNNNNNNNNNNNNNNNNNNNNNNNNNNNNNNNNNNNNNNNNNNNNNNNNNNNNNNNNNNNNNNNNNNNNNNNNNNNNNNNNNNNNNNNNNNNNNNNNNNNNNNNNNNNNNNNNNNNNNNNNNNNNNNNNNNNNNNNNNNNNNNNNNNNNNNNNNNNNNNNNNNNNNNNNNNNNNNNNNNNNNNNNNNNNNNNNNNNNNNNNNNNNNNNNNNNNNNNNNNNNNNNNNNNNNNNNNNNNNNNNNNNNNNNNNNNNNNNNNNNNNNNNNNNNNNNNNNNNNNNNNNNNNNNNNNNNNNNNNNNNNNNNNNNNNNNNNNNNNNNNNNNNNNNNNNNNNNNNNNNNNNNNNNNNNNNNNNNNNNNNNNNNNNNNNNNNNNNNNNNNNNNNNNNNNNNNNNNNNNNNNNNNNNNNNNNNNNNNNNNNNNNNNNNNNNNNNNNNNNNNNNNNNNNNNNNNNNNNNNNNNNNNNNNNNNNNNNNNNNNNNNNNNNNNNNNNNNNNNNNNNNNNNNNNNNNNNNNNNNNNNNNNNNNNNNNNNNNNNNNNNNNNNNNNNNNNNNNNNNNNNNNNNNNNNNNNNNNNNNNNNNNNNNNNNNNNNNNNNNNNNNNNNNNNNNNNNNNNNNNNNNNNNNNNNNNNNNNNNNNNNNNNNNNNNNNNNNNNNNNNNNNNNNNNNNNNNNNNNNNNNNNNNNNNNNNNNNNNNNNNNNNNNNNNNNNNNNNNNNNNNNNNNNNNNNNNNNNNNNNNNNNNNNNNNNNNNNNNNNNNNNNNNNNNNNNNNNNNNNNNNNNNNNNNNNNNNNNNNNNNNNNNNNNNNNNNNNNNNNNNNNNNNNNNNNNNNNNNNNNNNNNNNNNNNNNNNNNNNNNNNNNNNNNNNNNNNNNNNNNNNNNNNNNNNNNNNNNNNNNNNNNNNNNNNNNNNNNNNNNNNNNNNNNNNNNNNNNNNNNNNNNNNNNNNNNNNNNNNNNNNNNNNNNNNNNNNNNNNNNNNNNNNNNNNNNNNNNNNNNNNNNNNNNNNNNNNNNNNNNNNNNNNNNNNNNNNNNNNNNNNNNNNNNNNNNNNNNNNNNNNNNNNNNNNNNNNNNNNNNNNNNNNNNNNNNNNNNNNNNNNNNNNNNNNNNNNNNNNNNNNNNNNNNNNNNNNNNNNNNNNNNNNNNNNNNNNNNNNNNNNNNNNNNNNNNNNNNNNNNNNNNNNNNNNNNNNNNNNNNNNNNNNNNNNNNNNNNNNNNNNNNNNNNNNNNNNNNNNNNNNNNNNNNNNNNNNNNNNNNNNNNNNNNNNNNNNNNNNNNNNNNNNNNNNNNNNNNNNNNNNNNNNNNNNNNNNNNNNNNNNNNNNNNNNNNNNNNNNNNNNNNNNNNNNNNNNNNNNNNNNNNNNNNNNNNNNNNNNNNNNNNNNNNNNNNNNNNNNNNNNNNNNNNNNNNNNNNNNNNNNNNNNNNNNNNNNNNNNNNNNNNNNNNNNNNNNNNNNNNNNNNNNNNNNNNNNNNNNNNNNNNNNNNNNNNNNNNNNNNNNNNNNNNNNNNNNNNNNNNNNNNNNNNNNNNNNNNNNNNNNNNNNNNNNNNNNNNNNNNNNNNNNNNNNNNNNNNNNNNNNNNNNNNNNNNNNNNNNNNNNNNNNNNNNNNNNNNNNNNNNNNNNNNNNNNNNNNNNNNNNNNNNNNNNNNNNNNNNNNNNNNNNNNNNNNNNNNNNNNNNNUUUUCUUCCUUUCUUCUUCUUCUCCUUUGUCUUCUAGAGAGAGAGAGGGAGAGAAGAGAGUGUGAGAGGGUGAGAAAUGAGAGAAAAACCCCUCAGCCCCCCUAACAUAGCUCAAUGGGUUGCCAAAAUGCAAAUAAACCCCUCAACUUUCACUUUAAUACACUGCCCGAACUGGGCAUUCCGCGCAGGCAGAGACCGGUCUCCCCGAGCAGGGACCGGUUCCCGAACGUCCACCCUGCGCAGCCAGAGCUGCUGCGCGCAGUGCAACCGGUCUCUCCUUAUGGGACCGGUCUCUGGGGGACCGGUCUCUCAGGCAGAGACCGGUUCCCGAGAGCUAUCCUUCCAGGACUUAGCCGAUUUUUCGGCUGUCUCAUUUCAUACGUGUUCGGGGACCGGUCUCUCCCUUUAGGGACCGGUCCCCGAGAGCUGAAAAUCUGCAGUUUUGCAGAAUUGAUUCUUUAGCUCUCGAAAACCUUCCACAACUCACUUUCGAUCAUUUUAGCACCUUCGGACUUUCCGAAGUGUACCGUCCUCGCACUUUGGUCAAUUUGACUAAAGUUCGAUAUUUAUUUUCCGAAUUUUCGGUAUAUUACACUUUCGGAGUAGGCACAAGGCUGGCAAUGCGGCUUGUAUUUAGAUCACCAUAUCCUGCAAAUAUAGAUGUAGAACACCCAUAUCCGGCAAAUUGGAAGAUGCCGAAAUUUGACAAAUUCUCCGGCGAUGAGACCGAAAAUACGGUCGAACACGUCGCUCGAUUUACAGCCCAAUGCCGCGAAGCAGUGGCAGAUCCUUUUUUAAAAUUAAGGUUAUUCAAUACCUCACUGACCAAGACUGCCUUCACUUGGUAUACAAGUCUAUCUGCUAAUUUCGUCCGAGACUGGGACGAAUUAGAGGGAAAAUUUCAUGAGCAAUUUUAUAGAACCGAGCCGGAGUUGUCGGUUGCAGACUUGGCUCAAUUUAGACAAAAAACAGGAGAAUCGGUUGAUGAAUAUUUAAACCGAUUCAAGACGGCUCGAAGCCGAUGUUUUGUAAGGAUGCCGGAAUCAGAAUUUGCCAAAAUGGCAUUUAACGGCAUGCAUUUUAAGAUUAAAGAUCAUUUUGAUGAUAAGUUUUUUCCAAAUCUUUUUGAUUUAGGAGUUCGAGUUGCUCAAUACGAGCAAUUUCGAAAAGGGAAUAAUGAAGAUCGGCCUAGAUGGAGCCGAAACAAGGAUUGGAACAAACGCAAAGAGAAAUAUUUCUUUCUUUGAAGAGUCCUCGGCUCAUGAAGAGCCGAAUUCAUCUGAAGAGGCAGAAGAUUCGGCUGAUGAGGCCGAAAUCUGUGCUGCCGAGAUGAUAAGAAACAGUCAACCGUAUAAAUGUGCUUUGCUAAAACCUGCAAAGUCAAGAGAAGCAAAAGCACAAAUAUCAGCAUUUAGUUAUUCAUUUGACAUAGCAAAGACCGAUCUUAUUUUCGAUCGGUUGUUAAAGGAUGGACGAAUUAAACUACAGGAAGGCCAAACCAUACCUCCUGUAGAAUAAUUAAAACGCAGAAGAUAUUGUAAGUGGCACCAUUCAUGGAGCCAUAAGACUAGUGAUUGCACUGCCUUCAAAAGGCAGAUUCAAAAGGAAAUAAAUGAAGGUUGGCUUAUCUUUGCCGACCAAGAAAAUAAAGACAUGGAAAUUGAUAAGAAUCCUUUUCUAUCACAGGUCAACGCCGUGAACAUGAAAGGGAAAGGAAAGGCGAUUACGAAAAGGUAGAUCCAAGAAGAAAUAGAAGAGGGUCAGCUCAUAUUGGCCGACCAGGAAAACGAAAAUAAAAUAAUUAACAAAAGUUCAUUUCCAUUUCAGGUCAAUAUGGUGAAUAUUAAAGAAAAAGAAGUUUUGGACAAGGAGACCGCUGACAACGUGGCCCAUGCCAAGAAACGCCUUCGGCUAUGCAUCAGGUGCAAGGUCGAAAUGACGAAGAAAGACUGGGAAGCCAUCGUGAAUGCCAAGAAAAGGGGGAAUGAAUGGAAUGAGCUGAUGGCCUUCCUUGAGGAUUGGGAUGACAUUCCUGAUGGCGAAGACCAAGAAGAAGAAGGCUCGGAUGCAGUCUCUAAUGAUACUGAACCGGAAGUAGAUUCGGUUCAACGCAAGAAAGAUAUGCUCAUGCAGAAGAUUCUGCAUGAUUACUACAACAACAGGUGUGGAGAACGUCAUGGCCGAUGGGACUACCAGGAUAGACCAUUCGGCUCCAAGCAAAGGUUUCCUAGAUAUCGGCCGCACUGGCAACAGCAAGCCAGGCCGAGACUAGAACCCGAAUUUGAAGGAAUGACCGAGGGAGACAUAGAAUUCCUCGGUCGGAGGUUAGUCAACGAAUUCGGCAUUCAGCCUUGGCCGAGACCAUGGAAAAGAAGAGAAAUUCUAAACAAUCAUUUAAGAACAGUAAAAGUACCGGCAAACGUGCCAGUGGAUGAAUGGCACGAAGUCGAAGUUAAACCAUCGGCCAGAUGGCAGGGGCCGAUGUUAACAAAAACCCAAAAGCGUCGGCAGCAGAGGAUGCAGGCCGAGGCACGUCAACAUUAUGAAGAGGCGAAAGAGAUGAGGCUCAAUGUAUGGAGACGCCAGGAUGAGCAGCCACACCCUUUUCGUCUGAUGAGAAAUGACCAUGAGGCAGGCGGCUCAUCGCCUGCCUUACAGUUGAAGUCAAGAAUAAAAUGGCCAACCGAGGCCGAGUUAGAAGAGAAAAUGACCAGGAGGGAGUUGGAAGAUAAAAUAGCUUCCCUCGAGACGAUGAUCAAGAGAGAAAGAUGGCCUCCUAAAGAGAGGGAGGUCCGUAUGGAGAGCGACUCUUCAGCCGAAACGGCCAAGGAGUCAGAAGAGAAGAAACAGAGAGUCAAAGGAAAAUCGGUUGACGAAUCACCGGCCGAGGUGAAUAUGGUGUACGCUCUGCCUCAAUCCUUCAAAGCAGAGUUUGUUGAGUCCGAGAAAUUCAGAGAAGAGGAAGAAAAUGGGCUUACAGUAGCCCAAUUGCACCUAGAGGAUGUUCGACAGGCCAAUGCGGUGGUUUUUGGGAAACCAUUGGCCAUACAGAAGAGGUUCAUCAGGCCUCUCUUUAUAAAAGCUUUAAUAGAAGGCCGGCCGGUAGGCCGAGUUAUGGUAGACGGCGGCGCUAUGGUCAAUGUGAUGCCUACUUCUUUUUUCAAGAAGUUGGGCAAAGAUGAAGACGAAUUGAAGCCCACCGAUUCAAUCAUGACCGAUUUUACAGGAAACGGUCAACAAGCUCGAGGAGUGCUCACCACCGAACUCACGGUAGGUUCAAAAACUCUAAAAACUGCGUUUUUCGUAGUGGAUGUAGAUAGCCACUACAAUUUGCUAUUGGGAAGAGAUUGGAUACACUCAAAUGAGUGUGUACCCUCUACACUCCACGAAAAAUUGUUCCAGUGGAGAGGAGACAACGUAGAAGAAGUCAGGGCCGAAGGACGGCCUCAAAUGAUAGAUGUCAACAUGGAGGACAUCGGUCACACCAAUUGGGCCGAUGCUGAUCCAGAUCAGAUUUCGUUUGUGAGAGUGACGGAGGAGGGGAUUCAAUUAAUUCUCUCCAAAGAUAUCAAUGCUAUCGUGGCUGAUGAAGAGCCACCUAAAUGGUUAAAGUGGAGUCCCAAAAGUCGAGAAUAGAGGCUGGGCAUAAGCCUCUACAGAACGAGCCGAUCAACAAGAUCGGCUAUGGAGAUGAUUCGGCUGCUAUAGCCGAUGUGUUACCACCUGACAAUUCGGCUAAUAAGGCCGAGAAAACCAUAAAGGAUUUGGCUUAUAAAGCCGAAGAAGAAGGCCAAAUGAAAUCGGUCAUGGAGACUGAUGAAUCAUAUGAGAUGAAUAGGCAAACAGCGAAAAUGAAGCUAGAAGAAUCGCCUAUUAAAGUCGACGAGAAAAAGCUGGAGAUCCAGGAUUUGUUGAUAGAGGUAAAUCUGGGGUCCCAUGAAGACAACAAGCCGACGUUUAUAAGUUUCAAGUUGUCGGCUCAGCAACAGGAAGAAUUGAAGAAGCUGUUGAAGGAGUACAAGUAUUUCUUCGCCUGGAGCUAUGAAGAAAUGUCAGGCCUAAGCUGAGAGAUCGUAGAACAUCGGCUGCCCAUCAAAAAAGGGUUCAAGCCUUUUAGACAACCAGUUCGUAGGUUUGAGCUGAGUAUUGUACUUCAAAUUAAAAAUGAAAUUGAAAAUCUUUUAAAGGCCGGAUUUAUUAGAGCGGCCCGUUAUGUUGAUUGGGUAUCUAAUAUAGUUCCAGUGCGUAAAAAGAAUGGCAAACUUAGAGUUUGUAUUGAUUUUAGGAACUUGAAUUUAGCUACACCUAAAGAUGAAUAUCCAAUGCCAAUAGCCGAUAUGUUAGUAGAUUCGGCUGCAGGUAAUGAAAUCCUGUCCUUUAUGGAUGGACAUGUUGGUUAUAACCAAAUUUACAUUGCUGAGGGAGACGUGGCUAAAACGGCUUUUAGAUGCCCCGGUUCAAUUGGAACCUUUGAAUGGGUUGUUAUGCCGUUCGGCUUAAAAAAUGCCGGAGCUACUUACCAGAGAGCAAUGAAUUUUAUUUUCCAUGAUUUAAUCGGCAAAAAGUUGGAAGUAUAUAUCGAUGAUAUAGUUGUAAAAUCCCAAUCACAAGCCGAACAUUGGAGUGAUUUGAAAUUCGCCUUUGAGAGAAUGAGAAAAUAUAAGUUAAAAAUGAACCCUUUGAAAUGCGCUUUUGGAGUUUCUGUAGGAAACUUUUUGGGAUUUUUAGUGCAUAAGAAAAGGAUCGAAAUUGAUAAAAAUAAGGCGAGAGCAAUACUAGAACUAUCGCCACCCAAGUGCAAAAAGAAGCUACAAAGUUUGCUGGGAAAGAUUAAUUAUCUUCGGCGGUUUAUAUCUAAUUUAGCCGGAAGGAUCGGGGUUUUUACUCCAUUACUUCAGCUGAAGGAUAAAGAAGAAUUCGUUUGGACAAAGGAACAGCAGGAGGCAUUUGAAAAAAUAAAAAGGUACUUAUCGAAUCCUCCAGUACUAGUACCUCCGAAGAUAAAUCAGCCGAUGAAAUUAUAUAUAUCGGCUGCAGAAGAAAAUUUGGGAUGCUUGUUAGCUCAAGAAAAUGAAGAAAAGGAAGAACAAGCCAUUUAUUAUCUAAGCCGACGUCUUUUAGAUACUGAAAAAAGGUAUUCGGCUAUUGAAAAGCUAUGUUUGGCUUUAUAUUAUUCAUGUACAAAAUUAAUAUAUUAUAUUUUACCAACUGAAGUAUCGGUAAUAUGUAAAACCGACUUGGUAAAAUAUAUGUUAUCUAAACCAGUAUUGAGGGGGCGGAUCGGAAAGUGGAUAUUAGUUUUAUCCGAAUUUUCUCUUAAUUAUGUUCCCGCCAAAGCUGUUAAAGGUCAAGCUAUAGCCGACUUUCUGGCUGAUCACCUAUGUGUAGAGAUUGAGGAGCCGAAACAAAGUUUAAUCGGCUGUCAGCCUUGGGUGUUGUAUUUUGAUGGUUCAAAAACAACCGAGUCUGCAGGAGCAGGGAUAGUGAUACAAUCUCCUGAAGGCCAUGUUUGUCAAUUCGCGUUUGAAUUAGAUUUCGGCUGUUCUAACAACCAAGCCGAAUAUGAGGCCUUGAUAAUCGGCCUUGAAAUAUUGUAAGAAUUGAAAGCAAAGUCAAUCAAAGUCAUCGGUGAUUCACAGUUAGUAAUCAAGCAGGUUAACGGGGAAUACCGAUGUGAGAAUCCGAAUUUGCAAAAUUAUUUGAGGAAGACAAUAGAAUUGUUAUGCAAUUUCGGAGAAGCCGAAUUUGAACAUUUGAACAGACAUGAAAAUGAGAAGGCAAAUGAAUUGGCCCAAUCGGCUUCAGGAUAUAGAGAGCCGAGGUCAGAGUUAAUAGUAAUACAAAGGAGAUUACUACCUUCGGUUCAUAUACGAGAACCGAUUAUAGCUCCUAUAGAAGUGAAAGAAGAUUGGAGAAAGUCAUUGAUCAAAUAUUUGGAGGAUCCUAAUAUAAGGGUCGAUUAUAAUAUUCGAAGAAGAGCUCUCGGCUAUUGUUUGUUGGAUGGUCAACUUUACAAAAGAACAGCCGAAGAAGUUCUAUUAAAAUGCUUAGGGCCUGAAGAAGCUCUAUUAGUAAUGGGAGAAACACAUGAAGGAAUAUGUGGAACCCAUCUAGCAGGAAAAAAGUUAAGAUGGACAAUUCGGCAUCUAGGAUAUUAUUGGCCGACUAUGCAUCAAGAUUGCAUAGAGUAUGCUAAGGGUUGCCAAGAAUGUCAAUUUCAUGGCUCGAUACAGAGGGUUCCUGCCUCUGAGAUGUACGCCAUAAUUAAACCAUGGCCUUUUCGGGGUUGGGCCAUAGAUUUAAUUGGAGAAAUUCAGCCGAAUUCUUCGGUUGGUCACAAAUUUCUAAUAGUAGCCAUCGAUUAUUUUACUAAGUGGGUGGAAGCCAAACCUACUCGGUUGGUUACUCAAAAAGAAAUUGUCGAUUUUGUAGAAGAUCAUAUAAUUCAUCGCUUUGGAAUUCCCGAGACAGUCACAACCGAUCAAGGGACAAUGUUCACAGGAGGACAGUUCGUUCGGUUCAUCGAGUCUCGAAAGAUAAAGUUGCUUCAUUCUUCGCCUUAUUAUGCCCAGGCAAAUGGACAAGUAGAAGCAGCAAAUAAAAUAAUUAUCAACCUUAUGAAGCGACAUAUCGGAAAACACCCGAGAAAGUGGAAUGAAAAACUUUCCGAAGUAUUAUGGGCAUGCCGAACUUCAGUGAAAACGGCAACAGGGAUGACACCGUUUCAGUUAGUUUACGGUCAUGAGGCCGUAAUUCCAGCCGAAAUAACAGUUCCUUCUUUGAGGAUAGAAAAACAAAAAGAUUUGUCGGCUGAUGAAUAUAGUAGUUUAAUGAUGGACAAAGCAGAAGAAGUAUGUGAUACUCGGCUGAUAGCUUUAGACAAUAUACAAGCAUACCAAAGCCGAGUGCGUAGCGCAUACAAUAAGAAAGUUCGAUCAAAGAUAUUUGUCGUCGGUGAUCUAGUACUUCGGCUGAUUUUUUCAAUCGGUCAAAAAGAUCGAAUGUAUGGAAAAUGGUCCCCAAAUUGGGACGGGCCAUUUCAGAUUAGCCGAAUCACAAGAGGAAAUGCAUAUUAUUUACAAAGCAGAGAUGGGUCAGAAAAUGAAAAACCAAUCAACGAAAAAUAUUUAAAGAGAUAUUACCCAUCCAUGUGGGAGAAUAAUUAAAAUCAGAGUUAGAAUAUUACAAGCCGAAUCAGGAUAGUAAGUCUUUGAGUUGAUUCCAUUCGGCUAUGAGAUUGACUUGGGCGGUUUCAGCAGUUUUCCUUCGGCGCUUCAUCAGAGGAUGAACUUUGUAAAGUUGAGAAAGCUCCUCUUUAAGCCUUAUCCCUUCUUCCUUUUUGGACUUCAAUAGAUCUUUUAGUUGAAGUCGGCGCUCAGAGGUUUGUGCGAGAGUAGAUUCGGCUGCGGCUAACUCUUCUUUAAGAGUAGAAAUCCGUUGUUGUAGAGCCGAUUCUUGAUCAGCCAAUUUCUUAUCCUCUUGAUGCACUUCAGUAGGCGGGGCUGCUAUAUCAGGGAUAUUCUUCUUAAAAUGAUCAACACGAUGAAAAUGUUGAUCUAAAACUACAAGUUCGGCGCCCAAAGAUCGCUGCCGAGCCAAAAAAGAUGAAAGUUGAAGUGAUAAGGUUGCUACAAAACAUUUUAUGCCGGGAGUAAUAUCUGAGCUAGACCAAAAAUACCAAUGCUAUACAUUUUAAGGCAUUCAUCGAACUUAUUUUGGAUGUCUGAUGAAAUGGUAAUGGUCGAAGAAUCAUCCCCUUCAUUGGAGCUGGGGCUUGAAAUCAAAAAAGAAUGAAGAAUCACAGAUAAAGGAUCAUCAGCAAUAGGGAAAGAAGCUCCCUGGGGCGAGCAGGGAGGAAUAGUGCUUGUGUCUUCGGAAGUUCGCCCGAGAGGUAUGUUUAUCUGUUCAUCCCUUGUAGUUGAUGUCGGGGCAGGAGCAGAAAGAGGUCAUGCAACCUCACUGGGUAACGGCGUCGUGCUCGCUGUUUCAACAAAUUUCUUCUUCUUUUCCAUCCCUCUCUUUUUCUCGAGACGGGCUUCCCUGUGAAACUGCCGUUCCAUCUGCAUCAUCGAAUAAUGAGCAAAAGGGGCUCGUUCAGGAGAAGACUGUAGUUUAAAAGAGAGUAAUAAAUAAUUAAGAAAUGUUCUUUUCGUACAACUAAUUAAUUUGGCUUACCCCAACAUCAAUCGUUUCGGUUGGAACAGAGGUAGCCAAAGAGGGUGUAGUAGCUUCUUUGGAUGGAAUGUCAGCCGAGGGAAUAUCCUCGGCUCUGUCUUUAGUGGUAUCAGCCGAAGGGGUACUUUCGGCUUGUUGAAAUUUUCUUUUAACAACUGACUUACGCCGUUUAGAAGACGGCGGGGGAGUGACUUGAACAACUUCGAUCGGUCUUUUGUCUGAAGUUGAGACCGAUGGAGAAGCAGGAAUCGACUGAAAAUAGAUAUAAACAAAAAUGAUGAGCAAAGAAAAAAUUAUGAUUAAGAUGAGUAGAGAAAUGAUAUUUUACCGAGGAAGAAGGCGGGGCAUCAGAAAUAGUGUCUGGUGGAGACUCAAUCUCGGUUGGAGAAUCUCUGCUCGGAGUCGUGGCUGUGUAUAAAAUAAAAGAUAAGUUACAGCCAUAUUAGAAGAAAAUUAUAAACAAAUAUUAUAUGACUAACCAAGUGGAUGGAUGGUUUUGGGGAAUGCCCGAGGCAGAGAAAGAUCGAAGGAGCGGUCGGUAAACUGAUCCCACGUGGUAGCAUAGCCGGCAAGGGCUAUCCCUGUAUAGUGCUAACUGAAAGAAGCGUCUGAGACGAUUCCCUAUAGCCGAAAGCUUAUCAGCUUCAAAUAUGCUCUUAGUGGGAGGACGAUGAUCGGCUGUGUUGGCCGUAAAAAAUUUAGAAGAAGCCGGGAUCGGCUGAACGAACCUAAAUUGCCGCGCCACAUACUGAGGGGAAUAAACCUUAGUACUCGGCAGUAGUUUCGAACGUGAUUUAAGCCCCACAUGAAGGUCCCGGGGGGCUAGAUACGAAUACCAUACAUCCGAAUGUUCACCGGCGCGAGAAGAAGAAAGCUCGCCCUGAAUGGCUUCAAACGGAGCCAGGAACCAAGAGGGGCCGGUGAGACAAUCAACAAAUGGAGCCCAAGAAAUAGCUGAAUCAGAGGCUGGCUCAUAAAACGUCUUGAAAUAAGUAAGAAAAUCAGAGGGCUGACAAGAGGUCAUCGGCUGUGGACAACCGAGAGCUAGCCCAUAAGAAUCAAAUUGGGCAGCUGAAAUCGGAUUGAAAGGGGAUUGGCAUAAAGCAGGAAUAUAGAAUUGAAGAAACAUUUGCAGAAACCAAAAAACGCCACACCCAGAGCUGAUGGCAAUGCCAUCACCAGAAGGUAGUGGCUUAAUAGAAUCAAAAACUUCCCUGUAAACGAAAGCAAGGAAAUAUGGCCCCAAGGCCAAUUUAUCGCCGUUAGAUAAACCAACGACGAUCGGAACAAAAUCUCGGUUAAUUUUCUACCAACGAGUGCAUAAAAGAUUGUGGCAUAACCAGUAUAGAAGGAACGCCGUGUGUUCCUUCCUGGUGACUGGGGCAGGGGAUUCACCUGCAAAUUUUCGAAGAAAUUUGGAAUAAGCCAAAUCAUUUAGAUCAAGGUGUGCCUCAAAAUCAGACACACCGUCAGGAUUGUAGGCUAUAGAGAGAGUAAUGCCAUGAGGGCGUAAGCCAACAAUGGCGGCCACAUAAAAAAGAGUGGGGGUAAGAGGCCCCCUUUUGAAAAGAAAAAUAUUAGAAACAGGGGACCAGAAACAAAGAGCAGCGGCUAGAAGAAGAUUAUUGGCUAUAGGAGGGUGCCGAGAUAAUUGAAUUGCUUCAUAAAUGCCGAUUUCCCGCCAGAAGGCGCCAAAAACGGAUUCUACUCUAUCUAACCAGGCCAAAUAUGCUUCGGAAACACUAGGCCAGGUUCUGAGACUCUUUUCUGUUGAAGCUGAUGAGUACCAAGAAUGGGGAUGAAUAAUCCUUUUCAAAGGAAGUCCCUCAUCAGAGAAAGGGGAGUCAGUAGGAGAUGGUGCAUCUACAAGAGAAGGACCUAAUAUGAAUCUAGAUGGAUCUAAGUCAACGAAAGGUUUGAGUAUAGUAUAGUCAAGAGAUGGAUGAGAAGGAAGAGGAGGAACCAAAGACAUUGUUCAAAAGAAGAGAAGAGCCGAGAGAAUCGGUUACGAAAAGCGAAGAAGGAUGAAAGAGACAAAUAAGGGGUUUUAGUGAAGGAUAUGAGGAAAAGAAAUAAGAAUUGGAAGAGACAAAAAGAAUGGGAAGCUUGAGGAAGAAGAAAAGGCCGUCGUAUCGAACUGUCGCAUCGAUUACGAGUCCCAAGGUCGGCUAUAAUGAUGAAUAGACAGCGACAAUUAAGAUGAUUUAAUGCCGCACAUGAGACAAAAGUAGAGUAUGCGAUCAGAGCCGUAAAGAAGAGAAUAAACGGCUUAGAUUAAACCGUACAGAAGAUCGUAGUGUAGAAUACGUCAGAGAAUUUGAAUUUGAUUGGACCGAGAAAUACGCCUCGGAUCAAGCUCGCUUUCGGCAACAGAAAAUUGUUUGAGAUGAAAAAGGUAACGCCAGCUACUGAAGCAUCGCUUCGAAAACUGGCGAGGGGGCAAUUGUUGAGCUAGUUAGGCGCGAACAGCUGGCAUGCCUGGUCCAUAUCCAUAAGACGGCUAAAACGGUAGACCUAGAGUACACCGGACGCAUGCGAGUCGCACUGGACCGAGGAGUUAUAACAACCGCAAGCAGUUACGAGCGGUUCCGAUCGGCCGAAGGUGGUCCUACGAAUCAGGAGAUAGUGGCUGAUCGUGCAAGAGCAAUAACUGACGCAAAGGCGGUUCUAUAAAUAGGCAUACGAUACCCUGAAAAAGGGUCUUCGCUCCUGCGCACAAAAGACCACCUUUAUUUUCCUGCAUCUUUCUAUUCUCGCAUUUACCGCUUUUCUUAGGAGUAGUUCCGGUAAUUUAGCAUACUCGGAGUCUGUCUGCCCUACGGGCAUCACUCCCCUGUUCCCAUACUCGGAGUCUGUCUGCCUACGGGCAUCACUCCCCUGCUGGUGUACUUUUUCCCAUUUGCUAUUCAAUAGAAAGUCAUCUUCGGCUUUUCCUGCCGAUCAGAUCACAAGUUGUUUAGCCAUUCGGUUCAUUUCUUAGUCGAAUUCUGGGAUUCCCCUCUCCAUUCGGCUCAUCCUGCCGAAGUGAAUUUACUGUGGAGGUUUUUGAACCUGGCUGAUUCGAUCCCUCAUCGGCCUAAUCGCUUGAUCCUUUGUGGGCGCAUACUUCGAGGGUCAUAAUCCGCAGCCGUCUCGCACCCCGACGUUCUUCCCGAGGAGAAUUCUUGACCAGGUCAAGGGUUCGGACAUUCGGCGCGCAACAAUACCAUUAUAGGAUUUUCAUGUCACAAGACCCAAUCCUCAUGCUACCCUAGUCCAUGUGUUCGACUCAUAAAUUACACUACUAAGAAGCAUGCAAGGAAAAGAAAAUAUACAUCUAUUAAUCCUAUAAUGCAAUAUGAUCAACAUUUAUAUAACUUAGACAUAAAAAGAAAUCCGGAUGCUUUGGGAUGACACCCCCACCUCUUGAGGGUAUGGAGGCUCUAGAAACGCCCUCCAACGGACUUUACGACGAGGCUUUAGCCUUCUUGGUCUAAAUGAAGCUUGGUCGGUCUUGUUUUGCCAAUAGUUUUUUACCCGCUUUACGAAUGCAAAAUCCGACUUCGCCCCCGCGUUUAGGCACCUAGCAAAUAGGUUUACAUGGUCCCAAAUUAGAUCAAUCUCAUACUUUACCAAAAACCCUAUUUUGGAGCCCUAGGGUUAGCAUCAAGCCAAACCCAUCUCAAAACCCUAGAUUCUAGCUUCAAUCCCACCAUUCAUGGUGCUAGGGAUCCAUUUGAUCCCAUCCAAAGAGCUAAAACCCAAAAACCCUAAAUUCCACAACUAGGGGUAGAAGCCUACCUCUUGUUGUAGCUUCCAAAUGAGAAGAGAGGAAGAGGGAGAGGUCCCAAAAGCCUUCUUAGCUUGAUCUCCUACUACAACAAAAUUACUUUUUAGCGGUGAUUAUUUUUUAAAUUAGCGGCAAUUACAAUUGCCGCUAAAAUGUUUUGUGGCAAUUUUAACAAUUGCCGCUAUUGGUAGUGUCGCUAAAAGUUUUAGCGGCAUUUAUUCCGACGGUUGGUAAAAAUUCAAAUAAAUGCCGCUAAAUAUUAUACAAUAACAACUAUUAUAAAUGCCGCUAAAUAGUAUGCAAUAACAACUAUUAUAAAUGCCGCUAAAUACUAUAGAAUAACAACCAUUAUAAAUGCCGCUAUAAUUAAUAAUAAUUGCCGCAAAAUGCCGCUAUAAUUAAUUAUAAUUGCCGCAAAAAACAUAUUAAAUGAUUGAUAAAUAAAACUUAUAGCGGCAAUUAUAAUUAAUAUUAAAAUAUUUGAUUAACAACUAAAUACUACAAUGAAUUGAAAUAUUAAAAAAAUAGUAGUAACCAAAAAGCAUUAAUAAUUUGUAUAACAAAUAGUCUCAACUCUCAAAUUAUAAUUUCAAUAUUCAAAUUAAAUUUCGAACAUAAGUUCUAACAAAAAAUACUUGUUCAAAAUGUAGCAAAAAAAUAACAAAUACCGCAUGGUUGAAACUCUUGCUUCCCACUUCAAUUUCCGCAGCUCCAGCUGUUCUGGAUCAACCAAAAAAAAGUCAUAAAAUCAGUAUCCGAAUUUACCAAAUAAAAAUCAUCAUAUGGGCAAAUGAUUGAUAGUACGUAGUGCUAUACAGAUACAUGCAUGAAUAUCCUAAGAUGUUGUCUGGUGAAGCAUAGACUAUAUAUAGAUCUAAUCAGUGUGUUCUAAAUUCUACUUAAUAUUAAUUGGCGAGUUCCUGAUGCAGUGUCAGCAAUUUCUUCCAAGUAAGGUAAAUAAUAAAGUCGAAAACUUUUCAAAAAUGUAUAAGCAAUUGGCCUUCUAGAUAAUAGUGUCAUCAGUGACAGCAAUUCCUCAAAACAAAUAUAAAAGAGUAGUCAAACUAGAAAAUUUAGCAAUUCUUCAAAAUAAAUGAAGCAAAGCAUUUUAUUGGAUCACUAGUGAAGUUACCCGCGCAUUGCGGCGGGCUGAUACUGUAAGAGAUAGAAAAUUAGCAUAAGUAAAAUAUUUUAAACUUUUUUCACUUGUCAUGAGAAAUCAAUCAAUACAAAUAAAAGAUAUGAAACAAAUAUAACAAAAUUUAUAAUUUUAGCAAGUAAAUUACACGUAAUAAUAAUAAUAAAAAAACAGCAAUAGAACACUACUCCACAUACACCUUAAUUGCGCUGUCGAUAUCGGGAAGGCGAAUCCUGAUCCCCACUUCUCAUUCGCCACAACUGUUAGCGUCGAGCUUCUCUUCAAUCGCAGCAACACAUAUCUUAUUUUAUUUGUUUCUUUUAUAGAAUUAAUUUGUUUAGAUGACAAUAAAUAUGAACAUAUUAAUUAAGAAAUGAAUACGUGGGAAGACGAAACAUUAUGCGGAGAUAAAAGAUAAUAAAUUCGAUCAUUAGGAAUAAAGAAAAAGGCAAGAAUGGGGGAAGGAGGCAAGGAUGAAGGAGGCUUUGCCAUGUGGCAAAGUUUAUGAAGAAUAAUGUUGAGAUCGAAGCUUAGGUUUGAUCUCAUUCUAACCUAAUUGGUAGGUCAACGAACACAUCGGUGCGCUCGGUUCGACGAUACGACGAGCGUGCGCGAAGAUAUUGGGAAAAGAAGCUAAAUUGGUACAGAUUGUCGCAGCUUGCGGUGAAAGCAUCUAAAAAUUGUGGAAAAUUGCUUUUCGUCAUCCUUGAAAUACUAAAAGGUGGGGGGUGCUAUCCGAAAACAUCGGAUCUCUUUCUAUGUCUAUGUCCCUUUUAUUGAGCAUAUUGCUAAUGUAUAUUCAUGCAUGUAGGGUAGUAAAUGAAAUAUGGUUGGUUUUGCUCAAUUAUCUGUUUAAAGAUUAUUGUGAAUAGAUAAAGAACCAUGUGAAACAUAUGAGAAUGUAAGACCCUAUGUGCAUGUGAAUGCGAGAAAAGACUUGGACAAUAGUAAACAAAGGUGACAUUGACAUUAGUGACCUGAUUGGCACCGUGAUUGUUAAUGACUAAACAAGGUUUAGCUUAUUGUGGUAUUAGGGCCAUUGCGGCUUUAUACAUUGAGACAGGUUUGGCAAGAUUUCUUCAAAUUGAGGAUUGGAUCGUACUCACACUAGCUUUGGCUUGAGGAAGGUAGCUCCUUCUCAAGCGGUGUACUUCGGAGUGUAGACACCAAGGGGAGCAGCCCGGUCAUUGUUCCCUCGGGUGGUAGUGCUAGUAGCCUCCCCCGGUAGACGGGAAUGGUGGUCUGUGAGAUUUGAGGUGAACCAUGUGUACCUCGGGAUGAUUGGGUAAAGGCCAAAAGAAAAGAAAGUAAACGAGAAAGAACGUGCAUGCAUAAGAUCUAUGAAUUGAUUAUCUACCUAUCUGUUGACAGUUAUUUUGUUGGCAUUGUAUUAGUAAUUGCAUUAGAUGGUUUGAUAUCUACUCUUAUUGAAAUACAUAUGCCUGAGAUAGACCUAGUAGGCGAGUCGGCGCGGUCGGCGGCCGAACCCACUGGGAACUUCGUUCUAGUUCUCAUUACCACUAACUCUGCAGAUUCGUGCGCGAGCGGGGCGGCGGAGGAUCGAGGCAAGGGUAUCGCGCCGUAGAUAGCGGCCUCGGAGUUUAUAGGCAUACCCUAUAUUUUGGUGUAUUCAACUUUAGUAUGUUGAACUUGUAAUGUAAAGAAUGAUAAAGAUGUAAACUUUAUUUUGGUUAAAGGCAAAAGUAAAUGUAAAUGAUUGGUAAAACAUGAAUGUAAAUGUAAUGGUUUACUUGCGUUUGAUACAAAUGUAAUCAAAUGACUUGUAUGUUGAAUGCUUAGAUAGUUUCGAUGCUUUCACUUGUGGUUGUUGUUGUUUGCCCUCGUGCAAACCUUGUAUAUCUUGCAAUUUUUUUGUUGACUUGCUUGUAAUAUACAUGUUGUUGGAGCCUUGGGUGGACAGGGGAGGUGCUGUCCGUUCGGCGUCUGUCAUGUGCUCGAAUCCGAUCAAAUUGGCGGAGCUCGGGGCGUGACACAAAAUAUGGGAGUGAGGUUAACUUUAAUUUUUUUUUUUUCAAAAGCAAAUUAAUAUCAGUCGUUGGAUGCGAGAGUUGUAGGAUGUACAACCCAAUGUGGGUUGUACCAGUAGGAUAACUCUUUUUUUUUUUUUUUUUACAACAACACAGUUCCAAAAAAGGUACACCUACAAAACAAAACCAAAAGGGAUAGACACUAUCUACUGCUCCACGUCCUUUCCUUUCUCCGCCGCGUCCGGCUCUGAUGGACCUGAAAAACGAGAGUGUGAAAACUAUAUAAAUAUCAGCCGCGAACGAACCGGCCCCGCCGUAGGUGUUUCUAAGGCGAGUGGUCAUUCAUGGUAGAGAUUAAAUUUGUUUGAAUUUUAUUUUGAAAUCAGGAUUAUAGGUUCAUGGCUUCCAACAGACUCAAGAAUCUGCUGUUAAUUACCCCACACUUUCGGUGUUAAGGAACCCUCGAUUAAGAGACCAAAUAUAAAUGCUGAUAAUAAAGGAGACCAAACAGGCAAAUAAAAUUUUACUAAUAUGAUUUGCCGUGUACAUGGCUUAAGCAGGGGCAUACCCCCACUGUACAUAAAUUUUAUAAGAUUAGAUACUCAAUUUAGUGACUUGGUGUGUAGUGUAUCGGAUUUUUUUAGUAUAGAAGUACGUGUAAAUAAAAAAUAGUGUAAGAUACUAUUUUUUUAUUGGACUUAGUGAAGUUUCCUAUGUGUAAGUGAAGGGUUUACUUGGAGGUGAAGUUUCCUAUGUGUAAGUGAAGGGUUUACUUGGAGGUGAAGUUUUUUAUGUGUAAGUGAAAGGUUUACUUGGAGGUGAAGUUUCCUAUAUAUAUGAGGGACUUGAGCCUUUUCUCUCAUUCUCCACCACUUAAACCAAAAGAGAAACCUUCUCUUUCUCUCUCUAAACCUCUCUCUCCUAGAGUUUUGCUCCAAUAGUGGAGAUUUGGUGGAAGAAGCUUACUUGCAGGUGAAGCUUUCUUCUUCUUCACCAUUGGCUUGAAGAGAGCUUGGGUUUGCGUUGGAAGAAAUCGAUGGCCAUAAAAUGCGCUGCUAGGCUACCCGCUUCGUGUCGACGCCACGAGGUGGGGGGUUGUCACGCCCCGGGACCCAGCGGGAGCCCGCCCGGCGCGUGCCCAGACCCGCCAUAUGUCUACAACAUAUAAGGCGUCUAAAAACAACAAUAAUAACAGCAAUAAUAAAAGACAUCUAGAAGUAUCAGAGCAUAAUAAAUGUCUAAAUGCUACAACAAGGGAUAAGGAUAAAGCAGUAAAUCCAUUAAGUAAAACUUAGAGUAAGAACAAUAGAAAAUCCCAAAUACAAGAGCUAUUAGUAGGUACAUAGGUGGUCUCUAUACAUGGAUACAAAAUCUCUCACUCUCUCUCAACUACAAAAAGAAGGAGUAAACCACCUAGGCAAAGUACCGCUCCUCGCUAGCUAGCUAAGCGAUCCCCUUGCCGCGAUCCCGUGCCUCCGCCGGUGCCGAAGGCUCUGAAGAGGAAACAUAGAAACAGGGGCGUGAGAACUAUUAAAAAUAGUUCCCAGUGGGCAAUUACUGACUUCAGUGAAUGCACCACAAGGCCCAAAGCUACAGAAGAGGUUAGUGACCAAAAAUGUAGAAAAGCGAAAGGUAAGUAAAAUGUAACUUACUACUACAUGAUAUCUCUACUUAGCCUAAAUAGCAUAAGUAUGAAACAACCAUUCAUGAAGUAACAGUCUCCAACUAUCAUAAUGUCCACAAUGCGAAAUAGUAAAGUUCCGUUGUUUACUAUUCUAGUCAAUGUCCAAGUAAUAACUCUAAGUCAUCAUGAAUACUCGAAGUCAAAAUCUGAAGAGACCCACCCGAAGGCUGUCUAAGGCCUGAGACCCACCCGUAGGCUUGUCUGGCCGGUUGCCGAGCCUAAUGGCCCCGUGGUAGUCAUCAUCCCACCCUAGGAAUGAGCCUGGCCCACGGCAAUCCACUUCCGGCGCCCAAUCCCGCACGGCGAAUAUGUAUCGCGAUGGCCAUUCCGGAGUGCCGGCUGUAGGGAGCGACCUCACAAGCAUGUCGCGAAUGGCACAAUGGCAAGUAAUCAAACAAUCUGUCGCAACAGUACCACAGUCCUCAUGUCUAAUAACAUGUAUAUAGUUAAAUGUCCUUGUGGCCAAGUCACUAUUUCAUCAUAUCUCAAAUAUGGGAAUAUAGUUGAUGUCAAUGUGGCCUAUUAUCAAGUCUCUAUGUUGCAGUUUAAUAAUUCUCUAGUCCAAGUGCCUCUUUAUGACACUAUGGCUCAUUUUGUACCCCAAUAUGGAAUAGCUAAGUUCAAAGAACUUAUAGUUCUAGUCAAAUCGAAGCCAUGAAUUUUGAUUUCCUAUCAUCUCAUAGAAUAUUCGUCGCAUGCAUAUUAACAAAGCACAUCUGUCUCUCUCUCUCUACUACAUAGAGUAUAUUUUCUUGAUGCACAACAUAUGAGUUCUAAGCAUUCAAAAACUCUCAUAAAUGCUACUAAACAUGAAUAUGCAUGAUUUAAGAGAAGCAUGAAAGCAUUUAACCACUUCGGAGGGAUUUUCCUCCGAUCUCAAGGAAGCCAAACCCACCGAUGGCAAUGAAACUCCUCGGCACUCCAACGAGGUGUCCUCUAGUCUCCUAGUACCCUAAAGGUAUAGAAACAUGUGUCAAACGGGCAAACAAACAAAACUAGCUCAAACAUUAAGCUAAUCAAUCAUAGGUGAGGAAAAACUCACCUCUAAUGCAAAAAAUCUCCUCUAAAGCUCCAAAAUGAAGCUAGGGCUCAUCCAAUCCAACUAAAUGGAAGCCUCUAAUCCAAUCAAUCUAGCUUCAAAAAGCCCUAGAUUCAAAAUGCCCCAAAAUAAACCCUAAUAUCACAAUCUAGGGUUUCAUUCUCAAGAAAUCCCAUAAACUCGAAUCUAGAGGGGAGAGAACAUGUUGCUUACCUCUUAGAAGCUUCAAUCAAGCUCUAAACUAUCUACUAGUCCCAAGAUCUCCCUUCCACAAAGCUCCAAUCCCAAAGCUCUUGGCUUCAACCAUGGAGAAUAGCCCAAAAGGGAAAAAGAGAGGCUUAAAUACAAAUAAAAACCAACCAAAAUUCAAAGAAAUAGAGAGAGAGGGUGGAUGGAGAAUCCCCUACCUCUUCUCCUGCUGCUGUGAAGCUCAGGGAAGCCCUAAGGGGCGUGGGAGUUACUAAUAGAUAAGGCUACAAAAUCGCGAAAAACCCCCUGCCAACCAAACAGCACAAAAACUGCCUCCGUUGUACCGGUACACGGGCUCUUGUACCGGUACAAGGCCGACGAAAUCGCAAACCCGAGGCUCGGGUCGCGCGGUCUGCGCUCUGUACCGGUACCAAGCCCGAUGGCUGUACGGUACAACCUCAACCCUCUUGUACCGGUACAAGGCCGAGUCUUGUUCCGGUACCAAGCCCGUGCUGCAGGCUACCCGGAGAAGCUGGUCCAAAAAUCCCGAUUUUCGGAAUUUUGUGGUGCCAAGUCUCACUCCAACAUCCUCGGGAUGCGUCCAGGGGUUGGAACACUAUCACGACCCUCCAAAAACUGUGGAAAGGCUCCACACACAGAUCAAACACUCGAAUCUUGCAAUUUGCUAAGAAUCCAGUGCAUUACAGGGGUGUUAUCCGAAUUAGCCGGUUUUCAUUCUAUGUCUAAGUUUUAUUCAUUAUUGAUCAAUAUAUCAUAUGUAUAGAAUAAGUGAGCAUCCUAUGAGUUGUGUAAUUUCAUGCUUAGUGUGAGGAUGAUGAUCCGCAUGAUUUGCAUGAUACUUGUAGGAAUAUCUAUUUGCAUGAAUGUUGAGAUAGGUGUGGACAUGUAUAUUGCAUGAGAACUUUUAUAUGACUGCCAAUAUAGAAAUGUACUUAUGCAUGUUGCAUUGAGUUGCUAGCGGACAUAUGCAUGAGGAUAUGAUGUGAGAAUAGACUAGAUCAUGAGGAGCUAGUAUGUGAACCAAUGACAUUGUAAAAUUAGAAACCAUUGCAUAUGUGGCCGACUUGAACAUAGCAUGCCUUGUGAUUGUUUGGGGUGUGGGAUCCCCGAUGUCCACGGGCGGGAGGACUAGAUCAUACUCGAUUCGUCUGUUGUAUUUGAGGAGGUCGCGCCUCCCAUUUCUGUGAGCUCCGGAGUUGUAUCACAGUGAGAUUGAGACGGGGGAGGUGGUCAUGACGGUGUGCCCCCGGCAGACGGUCACGGUGGCGUGACAGUGUGGACCGAGUCGUGGUUCGACCUUUGGGCGAACCGAUUGGAUUGAAUCCAGGCAUGUUCAUGGCAUUACAUAGAGUGCAUAUGUCACGCCCCGGGACCGGUACCAAUUUGGGCCGGCCCGAGCACGUCAAACAGACGCCGAACGGACAGAGUUUUCCCUGUCCGCCCAAGGCUCAUCACAUGUACAUUUUAAAAAAGAAGUGUACUAGCGGAAACAUACACAAACGGCUUACACGAGGGUAAGCAAUAGCCAUGAGUGAGAGAAAGGAAACUAACAUUCAAUUUGUACUAUGAUUCAAUUUAGAUCAUAUACAUUGCAUUCAUAGUUCUUUACAAACUUUUCAUCAUUUUUUUUUACAUCACAUUGCCUCAAAUUAAACAUUACAUUCUUUUCUUUCUUUGCUUUGUACAUCAACAUCUUAAAUCAUCAAAUACAAAAGAUGAUAAAAGGGUAAACUACUAACAAAAUGUAAGUCCGACUCGGGUGGCCUCUGUCUAGGGUGCGAUACCUUUACCGCGGUCGCUUGCCGGCUCGCUCGGUCCCGACUCUGUAGAAUAGUGGGGUGAGAACUACAACAAAGUUCCCAGUGGGUUCGGCCCGAACAUCACCGACUUUCCUACUAGGACUAAUUCAGGUAUAAUAGAAAGGAUAAGCUGAAUAUAGUAACCAAUCUAUAACAUGAUGCUAAUAUGCCUGAACGAUAAAGCAAGAAGUAUGCUCAACAUAAAACUCAUGCAGAUUAUACAAGUUCUUUGUUCUUUCACUUUACUCUUUGUUCUUUGUUCUUUAUUCUUUGUUAUUUAAUCUCACGGCUAACCCGAGGGUUUCGCCAGAUUAACUUGCUUCAGAUUAAGUCCAUCAUCGCGGGCUCUCAGCUUCCUCCCGCUAAGACCGUCCUCGGGUUUACUCCAACCCGUGAUGCAAAACUCCGGAGUGCAUCGCCCGAGGGGGAGCGACCGCCCUCGAGCACGGAACUCAUAGCAAGUACAAUCGAAUCCUUAACUCUAAGGAUUAUAAGUUCAAUUAUGUCAUUACACUAACUCUAAUGUUCUUUUCAUCACUUUAUGUUGCUACUCUGGCAAUCUUGGUUCUUUACAUUUCUUUACCUUUGGCUAUCUUUAGCAAUCAUGUUCUUUACUCUUUGCAUGUUCUUUAUGCCCCACUUUACAUUAACUUUAGUCAUUGUCAUUACUCUUUACAUCACAUUGAUUCUUUGCCUCACACUAACUCUAGUGUCACUUUACUUUAUAUUAUCGAAUGCCACUCGAUCUAUGUCUCAUUGUGUCACUCUGUUCUUUUGCCUCACUUGGGUGCUCAUAUUUUAUCUCAUGCAUACAUAGGGUUAAACAUUCAUAGGAGUUCUCAAGCAUCUUAUUAGGCAAAUUGUACUCACAAUAUGCAACAUCGCAUUACUCUCAUCACAUUUACCCUACAAUGCAUGCAACAAUGUAUAUAACAUAUGCUCAAUUGAAUGACACAUUAGGCAUAGAAGAAAGUUCAACGAGUUUGGAUAGCACCACCCACCUCGUAGGUUCUCAAAGGUGCUCCGACGAUUUCCUUGGGAUUUUCAGACUCCUCGUUCUUUACCUGCGGCAAAAUGAAGCCAACUUAGGCCAUUUUGCCCAUAACUUUUUAUAGACUUAUCGUAACGUUAAUCCGAGCGCACCAACGCCGGAAAUACCCCCAAUUAGGUUUCUAGAGGGUUAAUUUCAUUUAGAAAUCCCCACGAGCAAAAGCCCCAAUUUGGGUGCUCUAGCUCCAUAGCAUAUAUCAAACCUACGGUUUGAUCUCUUUGGGAAGCAGAAGAAGCUUCAAUCCACUCUAGAAAGUCCAUUAAAACCAUCCUUAGUUCGAUCCAAACCCUAGUUUGGAUUCUACCAUGUGAGGGGUUGAAGCUCACCUUCAAGCUUCACCUCUUGUACUCAUGCCAUGGUCUUGAUCUCAAAUGAAGCAAAAGAAAAGCUUCAAAGACUCAAAAGGUUUCGUUAAAACCAUUUCUAGGUUUACCCAAACUCUAGUUUGGGAUUUAUCAUGAGAAGGGGCAAAGCUUACCUUUAAGCUUGCUCCUUUUCCAAGCUAGAGAAGGAGGGGAGAGAGUUGCUUCCACUCUUCUUCUUGUUCUUCACCUUCUUCUUCUUCUUAUCUUGGUUCUUCUCCUUCUCCUUGUCUUCUAGAGAGAGAAAGAGAGAAGAGAGGGUGAGGGAGAGUGAGGGAAAUGAGAGGAGAGAGCUCAGACCCCUCCCAUAUGACCCCACUCAUGUACUAUUUGCUAAAACACCCCUCAACUUUUAUCUCUUCAAACUACCUGAACUGGGCAGUUUUCGCGGUGAGGGACCGGUUUCCCCGACUUGGGACCGGUCCCAGAGAGCUCUCCCGCAGCUCAGCGGGGGCAUUCGCACAGAGCAAUCGGUCUCUCCCAGGGAGACUUGUCUCUCGGGGACCGGUCUCUCCCGCAGGGAUCGGUUCCCGAGAGCUUGUUUUCUAGGACUUAGCCGAUUUUUCAGCUGCUUAGUUUUCACGCGUUCGGGGACCGGUCUCUCCCACGAGGGACCGGUCCCCGAGAGCUCAAAAACUACAGUUUGCAGAUUUUUGAUUCUUUAGCUCUCGAAAACCUCCCACAUUGCACUUUUGAUCACUUUAACACCUUCGGACUUUCCGAAGUGUACCAUCCUCGCACUUUGGUCGAUUUGACUAAAGUUCGAUAUUUAUUUUCCGAAUUCUCGGUAUAUUACAGCAUACAUGGUAGAACUUAAACUUAUACUUGCUGACAUGACUAGUAAAGGCAUAGCUACACAUUUGAGCAUGAUAUAGAUGUAGAUGAGCAGGGUAGGCUUAUUGUUAUAUCUAUUAUUCCUUUGACAUGUUGACCUUUUUAUCAUAGAGUGUGAUAAAAAUAAAUAAAAAUAAAAAUAUGGUUUUAGACCAUAUAAUGUCAAGCUGGCGGCUGGGGCGGCUAAAAAAGUGAUUCAGAUUCUUUCCGUAUCUUUGUUAUUUUNNNNNNNNNNNNNNNNNNNNNNNNNNNNNNNNNNNNNNNNNNNNNNNNNNNNNNNNNNNNNNNNNNNNNNNNNNNNNNNNNNNNNNNNNNNNNNNNNNNNNNNNNNNNNNNNNNNNNNNNNNNNNNNNNNNNNNNNNNNNNNNNNNNNNNNNNNNNNNNNNNNNNNNNNNNNNNNNNNNNNNNNNNNNNNNNNNNNNNNNNNNNNNNNNNNNNNNNNNNNNNNNNNNNNNNNNNNNNNNNNNNNNNNNNNNNNNNNNNNNNNNNNNNNNNNNNNNNNNNNNNNNNNNNNNNNNNNNNNNNNNNNNNNNNNNNNNNNNNNNNNNNNNNNNNNNNNNNNNNNNNNNNNNNNNNNNNNNNNNNNNNNNNNNNNNNNNNNNNNNNNNNNNNNNNNNNNNNNNNNNNNNNNNNNNNNNNNNNNNNNNNNNNNNNNNNNNNNNNNNNNNNNNNNNNNNNNNNNNNNNNNNNNNNNNNNNNNNNNNNNNNNNNNNNNNNNNNNNNNNNNNNNNNNNNNNNNNNNNNNNNNNNNNNNNNNNNNNNNNNNNNNNNNNNNNNNNNNNNNNNNNNNNNNNNNNNNNNNNNNNNNNNNNNNNNNNNNNNNNNNNNNNNNNNNNNNNNNNNNNNNNNNNNNNNNNNNNNNNNNNNNNNNNNNNNNNNNNNNNNNNNNNNNNNNNNNNNNNNNNNNNNNNNNNNNNNNNNNNNNNNNNNNNNNNNNNNNNNNNNNNNNNNNNNNNNNNNNNNNNNNNNNNNNNNNNNNNNNNNNNNNNNNNNNNNNNNNNNNNNNNNNNNNNNNNNNNNNNNNNNNNNNNNNNNNNNNNNNNNNNNNNNNNNNNNNNNNNNNNNNNNNNNNNNNNNNNNNNNNNNNNNNNNNNNNNNNNNNNNNNNNNNNNNNNNNNAACUUUAUGAUUAAAAUGGUAAAUGACAGAAAACCUUAAAUGUCAAUUGGAUGAAAGUAGUAAUCGAUUGAAUUACUAGUUGAUUGUAUAGUUGCAUCAUCGCAUGAUUUUCAUAUUGCAUAGUUGUGAGGCAUGACAUGUAUUUCAAUUAUCGCAUAUAUAUAUAUUUGUUGGAUAUUUGUUGGACUAACAUGUUGCAGUGCCUCCCUUGGACCCCUUGGACCUAUUGGUCGAGCUCUUCCCUUGGGUGGCCGUACUCACUGGGAACCAUGGAGUUGGUUCUCACCCCACGUUGUUUUGGGGUGUUACAGGUAUACACGUAAGCGGCGCGGCGGCGCGAGGCGAGGGCGUAGCUCCGUAGUUAGCGCCCUACCACCGAGACCGGAGAUAACGGUACCCUGAGUCGGCCUUUACUUAGGGAUGUAAGGAAAUGAAAGGAAUCAAGUUGUAAUAAUUUGUAAUAAAAGCAUGAUUGUAUUUGGAAGUUAAAUGUAUUAUGUAAUUGAGAUGUAAAAUGUAUCUAUAUAAUGUGAAUGCUUGUAAUAGCAAGUAGAUUAUGUUUUUGAUACUUUCUUAUGCAAUCUUUGAUUGAAAUGUGUUCCUGGUUGGAACUUUGUACAUUGUAUUGAUUGCGACGCCUUGAAUGUACAGGGGAGACUCUGUCCGCGGUACCGGAAAAACCUUGUCCGUUCGGCGGUCUGUCGGCGUGCCCGAAACCGGCCAAAUAGGCGGGCUCGGGGCGUGACAGAUAAGAUGGUAUCAGAGCAUAAAGAAAACAUAAAAAGAAUAAUAGAAAAUGGUUUAGUUGGACCUAGGAGACCCUAGGAUAGCAAACCAUAGGAGAUUAAGGUUCGUGAGAGACGAGGACUUGUGACUAUUGGCGAAAGAUAAAUUGAUUGGGUUGUGUCGUAAACCUCUAAAACGGAUGUUAGGGGUAGAUUCAAGGUGGUUUAUUCUCAACCGAGGGUGUUCAUGUUGGAUGCAUACAACAUGAAACCGCGUAAUGAGAAUAGACGACCUUGCGUGACUUUCGCCCGAUUUGAGUCGGUAUUAAGUGUUUCGUGUUCGACCUAGAAGGUCGAGGAUUAAUAAGGUUGUCGCGUUUUAGGGAGUAAUAGCACCGCGUAGGCGAUCUUCUUUUAGAUCGGCACGGGAUGGGCCAAGUGGUGUCCCUGGGCAAUUUGAGGCGAGCGGAGACUUGGAACUUCGCAAGCUUUGGCGGCCUUCGUGACCUUCGAGAAAUCAACAAAAUCCUAGUCGUGUUAAACUACUUUUGGUCGAAUUGACCAAAAUGCGUUGAGAGAAGUUGUUGGACAAAGCCCAACUGAAAUUCUGACAAUGUUGGAAGGGUUGGAAUUAGGUUCUAAAAGAGUUAGAAUGGUUUCAGCAUCGAUCGGUGCGAGUUGGAAUCGAAACAAGCUAAAACUACGUUCUGGAGGAAAGUGUACCGGUACAUGUUGAUGGUUGUACCGGUACAGCAAGCGGCCCGAGAAGAGCAUUGCUCUCGGGUUGAGUUUUCGCAGAAGUGUACCGGUACGCCCCUGGUUUGUACUGGUACCCUUUGGUAAAAUCCGAGGAGGUUGCUCUCGGGUUUGCCUCUGCACAGCUUUGUACCGGUACAAAAGCCCGUGUACCGGUACACAAUGGGUCUGACAGUAGGUUGAGAUCUGCUGCAAAUGAGAAACGUUGGGGGGUUUAAAUGCAGUCGUGGCGGUUUGUAUAAACCCCACACCUCUUCUUUCCUUGUUCACAGCAAGGAGUACCCCUUCAACUCCAUGUUCUUUCUUCUCUCACUCUCCAGGAGCUUUUCUAAAAAGGAGGAUUAGAGGAGGUUUGAGGAUUAGGCCUUGUGGAUAGAACAAGGCAGUGCAAUUGUGCGAGGGGAGCGUGAGUCCAAAUGCAAGGAAAAGGGAAAUAGAACGGCCAACGAGUGGAUUCGAUGGUCCGUCGAGUUCUCAAGUGAGUGCAAUGUGUUCGCGCUCGUGAUUCCGAGUUCCGAGGACCUACUGUGUUCGGUCCUUAGUGAGAUGUGUCGUAUGUGGGUGUUUUCGUUACCCACAGUAUUGCGAGCUGUGAGAGGGCAAGUGCUACAGGUGUGGGCAACCGGGCUGUGCGCGGGACGAGUGUCCGCAAGGUGACAGUCGGGGCCUAACACUGGCGACAGCUUAUUUCUCUCUAGGAUGGCCUGCAGGUGUGCCAUCUGCGGCAUGGUCGGGAGAGAGCGCGUUGAGGAUAAUGCAACCUAAAGGUUCGUGGCGAGCGCCGGGUGGCCGUAGAUACGCGAACCAGGUUGAGGACCCUGCUGCUGACGACGUCGUUGCAGGUAUGAGUUAUUGAUGCAAGCAUAUGUUUUGCAUAACGUGAAGUCCAUGCAUUGCAUGCAAUGGUUAUGUAGUUAAUUACUAUUGCCGUGCAUGAGCAUAGUGAAGACCGAGUGGACGGGUGAGUAUAAAUACCCGGGCAUGCUCGUGUUGUGAGGGUGUAGUACCUGCCAGUAUAGGUAUAGAGUCAGAUGGCACUAGCGAAGUGCUAGAAGUAAUCUAUGGCGAAAAGUGAGACUCGCGGUAAAGAUAGAAGUGGCGAAUCGACUCUCAGAGCAACUUAAUUAGUAGAUUGCGAGAGUUGAGCCGUGAUAUUUAAGGACACCAGAGUAAUCCGGGAAUUUCGGAUGUCAUUUCGGUAGGUCGAACGGUGAAAGUAGAAUCACUGUUGAGGAAAUAGUUGGUUAGUAAACAAGUGCAAGCACAUAGGCCUAGUAGUACCUCAAUGUGAGGUAGGAGGGUCGUGCUUGUGUAGUCGGCGUGCAUAGGCAAGAAUUGCCUAACACUGGACUUAGUGUGGAACGCUAUAGAGGCGUAUGACGUUCGAGUAUAGAUACUCGUGGAGUGCGGAUAUGGUUCAGUCGGGCGAGUGAGUUGGCAGUAGCACUUGAGCAUUGUUAGGUGUGAAGCGUGCCAUGGAUCACUCGUGGGACUGGUGACUCGCAUUAGGUGUAUAGUAGCCGGUAGUGGUACGUGUGACUCGGUAGAACAUGUCGUGCGAUUGAUAGAAUACCAAGAGUACGAGUGUGACCCAACCCGGGGAUCUGUAACGGUUUGGGAUCUUAGUUGCUCCUGGUUGGAGUGUGUGCGAAUUCCCAAGUGAGAAUUUCGCUCGAUCAUGAGUGGGUCUGCAUUUGCGAGCGAGAGACGCUGCGUAUUGAGACAGGUUUAGGCGGUAGGCCCACGUAGGAUUGGUGGCCUAUGGUCCACCUGUGGAGACCGAAGAAAGCGAUUUGGCAAAUAGCCUUAUCGAGGAGUUUGACUCGAAUUCACGAACGAAGCGUUCGUGUGAGCUCGUUGCGAAAAUAGUUCGAUGUUGACCGUGGCAUAUGGUGUCAGAAGAUGAAGUGCUCUUGGUGAAACCUUGAGCUAGUAGUAAGCUACGUGGAGUUGGAGGAUUGGAAUUAGGGAUGUGCUAAGAUGGGCCAUCUCGCGUUAAAGUCAAGGGUUAGUGCGAAAUUAGAGCACUCACGACGGAGCGAUGCAUCGGUGAUAUUGCUUCUAAGCAAUGUCGGUGAUCGAAUCGGAAUGUAUUCCCUGAAGGGAAGGCCAGUGCAAAGAAGAGUUCUUUGUGUGCCGAAUGGCGAGUGAUGUUGUAGUGCGUAGAGUCGUCGAGUACUGAUUUGCUCUGCCACCGUGACUUGCAAGACCCGUGAUGCACUUCUGCAUCACAGUUUGCAAAUGAGUUUAGGAUUAAACCCAUGUCCUUUAAUAUGAGCCGCUUCUGUAACCACGAUAGUAUGAAGCCGCUCUGUAGUGGGAGAAUGAGUUGGUACCCUCAAUUGCUCGCGGAGCUGAAUUGGGGCAUGGUUUGAAUUUCGCGGACGAAAUUCUUUUAAGGGGUGGAGAAUGUAACAUACCAGAUUUUGGUAUAAAAAAAAUAAAAAAUAAAAAUAGUGUGAGAAACUAUUUUCAUUGGAUUUAGAGAAGUAAACAAUAAGUCAGAAAUGACUUGUGCUGAAAUCGGAAUGAAAACAGAAGAUCUAGAAUUUUUUGUUGGAAACGAGACAGAUAAAUUAGCAGAAAAUGCACAGUCUUAGAAAAUUAUGAAAAUUGGAGGAUAAGUCAGAAAUAUUUUUAUGAGGCUAGAUUUAAAGUUUCAUAUUUUUCUGAUACCCGUAGAGUGAGAAAUAAAAUUCGAGAGUUAUCUGAUAAAGAUUACAGUUCGGCACAGUUUUCGGUGACCAAAUGGGGUCGAAACUGAAAACUUAAGAUAUAUUCUUACUCAGUACGUUAAACCGAGCUUGCCUGUCAAAUUUGAGCCCAAACGGACAUUCAGAAGGGCUCAAACUGUUCCGAACUGCUAAAACUGCCUGGAGUGAAUAGUUGAGGGGUAAAAUGGUAAAAAGGGGCUUAAACCCUUUUCUUCUUCUUCCUCCCAGCCGUGGCAGCCACAAGACACGCACACACACACGCGCAUGGAGGGAGAGAGAGAAACUGUCCUUUCUCUCUCUAAGUCUCUCCCAAAAUGGAUGGAUUUGGUGGAGAUUGAAGCUAGGAGAAGGAUCGUCUUCAUCUUCUUCAUCUUCUCCAUGGUUUGGAGCUAGUUUUGAGGUGAGCUUCUUGAGCCCUUUAAUGGUAUCUCCUUAUAGUUUGGAUUUUAAGCUUUAAGAAUGGAUUUAGAGCUAUUCUAGCAUGCUAAAGAGAAGAUUGUUGUCUAAAUCAUCGAUCAAUUUAGAGAUUUCUUGCCUAGUUGCAACCUAGGGCUCCAAAAUGUAAUUUUUGCUAAUAGAUGGGUUUGAUCUAUUUUGACCCUAUGUAAACCUAAUUGCUAGGUAAACGAAUGCGUUGGCGAAGACGGUUCGGCGAUUCGUCGAGCCGUUGCGAAGUUAUUAAAGAAACGGACGUUUAGGCUUCGUUUCCGCCUGGAGGGCUGAGGCGACAUCGUAAUCCCAUGAAAACGGAUUUGAAGCAUCGUGGCACAUAACCGAAGACUUUUAAUUUCCGGAUCGUGAAUUGGAGGCCGUUCGGAUGGUCGCGCGAGAGAUCGGGCCAAACCGGGUGCCGGGUGCCGGGUGCCGUGGGAGGCCGAGUGCAAGUGUCGACAAGCAAUCGGAAUGCGAAAUGAGGUGGGUUGUGCUCACCGAAGCGACUAGGUUGCCUAUAUGUAUAAGUGUAAUGGUUUUCCUAUUUGAUGCAUAUAGUCGAUGUUACUUACUGUUGAGAUAACAUGCAUAAUGACAUAUAUUGUGUUAAUUGCUAGAUGAAUGCAUGAGUUAAUUGUUACGUGAAUGCAUGAAAAUAAUGUUAUAGUAAUAUGUUAGAGAUAAUAUGCAUGUUGAUAAAUUAUGGAACAUGUUGGAUGGCAUAUGAAUGGUUGGCAUAUAUAUGUAGACAUAUUGUGGAAUAUGAUGAAUGAGUGCAUGUUGAUUUAUUGUAGAAUAUACUAGAUGAAUGUAUAUUGACAUAUUGUGGAUUAUGUUAAAUGACACAUGCAUGUUGAACUUGGGUCGAUAAACUCUAGGUGAAUUAGAGAACUCGACAUUGGAAAACAAUGACAUAUGAACUAUGAUAUGUGACGUGGACAAUCUAUAUAUAUUAGAUCGAGUGGCAUAUGAUUAGUAUAGUGGAAACACUUAUGGCAUGUUGAACACUUAGAAAACAAGUGUGGCAUGAGUCCAAGAAUAUAGUAGUGUAUAUGACACAAGUGAUAGUAAAGAAUGCAAAGAAAAGAAUGAUGGAAAUAUUAUGACAUUUCAACCCUAGAGUUAGGGUCAUUUGAGCAUAGUCUUCCUAAAGUUAAGGAAUGGAUUGAACUUGACAUCCUCAAGAUUUUGGAUUUGAUCAUUGAUCAUACUCACCUUUAGUCCUUGCUCGAGGUUGUGGUAGCUCCCCCUCGGGCGAUGUGCUCCGGAGUCGACAUCACUGGGUUGUAGCGGUUAUCUCCCCAGAGGACGGUCCCACCGGGUUGUAGCGGGUAUCUCCCCGGUUAAUGGGAUUUUGGGUUGGUGAGUUUGUUGAGGGCGAAACCUUCGGGUUAGCCAAGUGAUUGGGUAAUAAACUUAUGAGCUAUAGUGAUGUCCUAGUUGAGGGGAUUUAAGGCCGAGGUGCAAGUGAGACGUCCUUCGCCUCGGGCCUGGCUUUGUGCGGUACUCCGCAGACGAUUGACUCAAGACCGAGUCGGGCGGUUAGCUUUGUAAAGAUAGAUGAAACUUUAUGAUUAAAAUGGUAAAUGACAGAAAACCUUAAAUGUCAAUUGGAUGAAAGUAGUAAUCGAUUGAAUUACUAGUUGAUUGUAUAGUUGUAUUAUCGCAUGAUUUUCAUAUUGCAUAGUUGUGAGGCAUGACAUGUAUUUCAAUUAUCGCAUAUAUAUAUAUUUGUCGGAUAUUUGUUGGACUAACAUGUUGCAGUGCCUCCCUUGGACCUAUUGGUCGAGCUCUUCCCUUGGGUGGCCGUACCCACUGGGAACCAUGGAGUUGGUUCUCACCCCACGUUGUUUUGGGGUGUUACAGGUAUACACGUGAGCGGCGCGGCGGCGCGAGGCGAGGGCGUAGCUCCGUAGUUAGCGCCCUACCACCGAGACCGGAGAUAGCGGUACCCUGAGUCGGCCUUUACUUAGGGAUGUAAGGAAAUGAAAGGAAUCAAGUUGUAAUAAUUUGUAAUAAAAGCAUGAUUGUAUUUGGAAGUUAAAUGUAUUAUGUAAUUGAGAUGUAAAAUGUAUCUAUAUAAUGUGAAUGCUUGUAAUAGCAAGUAGAUUAUGUUUUUGAUACUUCCUUAUGCAAUCUUUGAUUGAAAUGUGUUCCUGGUUGGAACUUUGUACAUUGUAUUGAUUGCGACGCCUUGAAUGUACAGGGGAGACUCUGUCCGCGGUACCGGAAAAACCCUGUCCAUUCGGCGGUCUGUCGGCGUGCCCGAAACCGGCCAAAUAGGCGGGCUCGGGGCGUGACACGAACCCACUGGGAACUUUGUUUAGUUCUCAAACCCUGUUUUGCAGAGCCUAAUACGAGCGCGUGCGUCGAGGAUCACGGCAAGGGUAUCGCGCCCUAGAUAGAGUGGACCAUCGGCAUUAGCUCACUACCAUCGAGUAUAAAAGGAAAGAAUGAAUGUAAAAACCUUUUUGGAAAGAGAAUGUGAUAUAUAUGUUAGAUGUUAGUUUGUAUGUUAAAUGAGAGGUUUUGUAAUAAGCUAAAGAAUGUAAGUUGUUAAACACACUAUGUGGAAAUGUUCUAGUAAGUAGCUUACUUUCUCUCGUAUCUUGAUAUGCCUCUCGCAAAUGUUGAAUGCUAAUAUCUCUUGUUUAGAUAUGUAUGCAUAGACUUUGUUACGCUUCGGGCGGGCAGGGGAAACUCUGUCUGUUCUGCAGGUCUGUUUCGGACCCGAACUGUCCAAAUUGGCGGUGACGGGUCGUGACAUGGUGGUCGAUUGAAGUUUUGGGUUUAGUUUAACAACUUUUCGGUCGUUUGAAUUUGAGUUUAGUUUAACGACGUUUCGGUCGUUUGAAUUUAGGUUUAGUUUAACGACGUUUCGGUCGUUUGAAUUUGGGUUUAGUUUAGCGACGUUUCGGUCGUUUGAAUUUGGGUUUAGUUUAGCGACGUUUCGGUCGCUUGAAUUUGGGUUUAGUUUAGCGACAUUUCGGUCGUUUGAUUUUGGGUUUAGUUUAGCGACGUUUCGGUCGUUUGGAUUCGGGUUUAGUUUAACGACGUUUCGGCCGUUUGAAUUUCGGUUUAGUUUAGAGACGUUUCGGUUGUUUGGAUUUGGGUUUAGUUUAGCGACGUUUUGGUCGUUUGGAUUUGGGUUUAGUUUAACGACGUUUCGGUCGUUGGGUUUAGUUUAACACAUUUCGGUCGUCUGAAUUUGGGUUUAGUUUAAUGACGUUUCGGUCGUUUGAAUUCGGGUUUAGUUUAACGACGUUUCGGUCGUUUGAAUUCGGGUUUAGUUUAACGACGUUUCGGUCGUUUGAAUUUGGGUUUAGUUUAGCGACUUUUCGGUCGUUUGAAUUUGGGUUUAGUUUAACGACUUUUCGGUCGUUUGAAUUUGGGUUUAGUUUAGCGACUUUUCGGUCGAUUGAAAUCGAGAUGUUCAUGAAACCGAUUCAUGAAAUUAAUUCAUGCUAGGAGCCCGUUUGUAAAGUCCAUUAAAUUUAUGACAAGGAGGGCCCAUGAAAUUAAUUUAUAGAAUUAAUUCAUGAUAGGGGGCCUAUUUGGCAAACCCAUGAAAUUAAUUUGUCAAAUUAAUUCAUGAUAGGAGGUCCAUUUGGAAAGUCUAUAAAACUAAUUCAUGAUAAGGGGGCCUAUUUUGCAAACCAUGAAAUUAAUUCGUAGAAUUAAUUUAUGAUAAGGGGUCAUUUGGAAAGCUCAGGAAAUUAAUUCAUAGAAUUAAUUUAUAAUAAAGAGCCCAUUUGGAAAGCCCAUGAAUUCGGUUUGGGUUGGAGGUAUUUGGAUGACAUAGGUUUGGUAGAUUUGGUUGGGUUUUAUUUAUGAACUUUGGAUUUUGGAUCUUUGAGUUUUGGAUCUUUAUUUGUGGAUUUUGGAUUUUUGGGAUUUUGUUUGUGGGCUGAGAUAGAUCUUGGAUUUUAUAUGUUCAGGGCCCAACUCUGCAUGUGGGCUGAGACGGGUUACGGGCUUUAAUAUUCUGGGCUCGAAUCUGUAUGUGGGCUGGGUUUUUUAUUGAUUUUGAAUCCAAAUCUGCGUAUGGGCUGGAUUUCGGGCUCUACAGGUUGUGGACUCGAAUUUGCAUGUGGGGUUGGUGCCUCUCUUUUUUUAUUGCUUAUAAAGUUUAUUCGUGUAACCCAUAAAUAAAUAGCUCAAAUUCAUUUCAUCAACAAUUUUUUUUGGUUCCAUUUUUUUUGUUCUUUCUUUUUUUUUUUUUAACUGAGAGAAGGAACAACUUUUUUUUUGCAUUUGUUCUUUUCUUUCAUUUUCUUUUCUUUUUUUUCUCUUUUUUUUGUGUGGACUGUCAGAGAGAGAGAGAGAUACAACUCCCUCUCUCUUUGUCUGUGUGUGUACGAAAUUGAGACAGAGAGAGAGAGGGGGUACCUCUCCCUUUUCUUUUUUUUUUUUGCUGAUUGUGAGAGAAAGGAAACCCAACUCCUUUUUUUUUUCUUUUCUUUUUUUUUUUCUUCUUUUCUUUCUUUUUCCUUUUUUUUUGCUGACUGUGAGAGAGAGAGAGAGGGAAAACCCAACUCUCUCUCUCUCUCUCUCUCUCUCUCUUUCUUUGUGUGCGUACGAAACCGAGGGAGAGAGAGUAGUACCCAACAACUCCUUUUUUUUUUUCUUUCUUUUCUUUCUUUUCUUUUCUUUUUUAUUCUUUCUUUCUUCUUUUUUUCUUUUGUGUUGACUGCCAGAUAGAGAGAAGUCCAACUUUUUUUUCUUUUUCUUCUUUUUUUGUUUGUUUGUUUGUUUGUUUUUUUUUAUUAUUUGUCCAAAUAUACGAAAUUUCGUAUCUCAUUUUUUUUAUACGAAAUUUAUCACGUCGAGCAAUACGAUCAAAUCGAACGAAGAUGAUGAAUCAAAACAGAACCCGUCCAUUUUUAAUUAUCAUUCUUAUUGUUAUUAUUUUUUGUCGCGUUUUGUUCAAGUACGCGGAGUUUAAUCGUGUCGAGCCUAUCACGAAGAUGGCCGCUCGAUUAAUUCUUUUGACCAUGUCGAACCUAUCGCGAAGAUGGCCGCACGGUUUACGUAUCGAAAUAAACAGAGCUCGAUCACCCAUUUUGACCAUGUCGAGCCUAUCGUGAGAUAGCCGCACGAUUUAUUCAGUUAAAAUAUCCGGUUCGAUCAAUCAUUUUGACCAUGUCGAGCCUAUCACGAAGAUGGCCGCACGUUUAGAGAUUAGCGAUGCGCUACGAUAGAAGCGACGAUUUAAAUGUCAAUUUGAUCGGUUCAAAACCUAUCACGAAGCAAUGGUCGGCGGUUCGCAAUCUGACAAAAAAAAACUCACGGUUUUAGAGAUUAGCGAUGCAUAUACGCGAGGAAGCGACGAUUUAAAUGUCAAAUUUGAUCGGUUCAAAACCUAUCACGAAAAUGGUCGGGUGAUCAAAUUGACAAAAAAACAGACUUACGCUAAUGCGUAUGCAUGCAUAUCUCCUACUGUUAUUAGAAGUCGUUGUGAUUGUCGUUGUCGAAGUCGUAGCCGAAUUCAAGAGCCAGAGUCUUUUUUUAUUCUUCUUUUUUUUUGUGCUUUGUACGGAAGAGGAGGGUGCACAUGCACCCCCACUGCAGCGAGAGAGAGAGAGUGAGAGAGGAGACGAGGAGAGAGGAGAGUAUAAAAACUCUUUUUUUUUUUGUUUCUCACCUUUUUUUCUUUCUUCUUCUUUCUUCUUUUCUUCUUUUUUUUUUUUUUUUUUUUUUGCUUUGGUUCUCUUCGGAUCUCUCCCUUUCUUCCUUCCUCUAAAAAAAUUCUCUCUCUAGACUCCUCUUUCGAAAUUUGGAUCUUUAUAUAGGAUUCAAAGAAUGAUUCCCAUUUGGGAAUAAUUUAAAUCAAUUUAUUGAGGAAACAAACCUCAAUCAACUAAUUAUAUCUCUUUUGUUUUAUUUUUGAAUACUUUCCUCCUUUUUUUUUUCCUUUAAAUCUCUCCUUCUAUAUUUUCAAUUUGAAUUUUGAACUUUUUUUUUUUUUAUCUCAAACAAAGUGCCCCCCACCUUUUGCUGUGAGUGUUUUUUGUGAGCAGAAAAAGGUGAAAACUCUUUUUAUGUUCUCUCUUCCCUUUUUUUUUGUGUGGAAGAAAGUUAGUUUGUCGAUAUCUGUUUGCACAUUGAACUUCGCAUGCUGAAUCAGUAUAUUUUUUAUUGGUGCAAAAAGUAAAGAAUUUUGCUGAGUUUGUUUGACCUCCAGAAGCAAUUCUGUACAUUGAGAUUGCUGCGCAUAGUCGACCCCGAAGGGAUGAGUUAGCGUUCCAUCGUCAGCUGAAAAGGAAAAAUGAAUUUUCUUGGAUUUGUUUGGCCUCUGGAGGCAACUUGGUGCAUCGAGAUUACUACACAUGACCGACUCCAAAGGGUGAGUCUACAUUCCAUCAUCGGUAGGGGAAACAAAGAAUAUUGUUGAGUUUAUUUGGCCUCCGGAAGCAACUCAGUAUAUCGAGAUUGCUGCGCAUAACCGACCCCAAAGGGUGAGUUAGCAUUCCAUCGUCGGCGGAAAAAUGUGUGGAUUUUAGGUUUAUUGGAAACUAGCGCCCGUGAGGGAUUUCGCUAGAAACCUUUCCCCUAACUUUUGCCUGUGAGCCAAGUGCAGGUUUUCUCAUAGCGGGAAUUCUAUUUUUGCCCGUGAAAUUUAUUCACAGCCGGAUUUUAUUUAUUUAUUUAUUUAUUUUAUGGAUAGUAUUUCUUCAAAAAUCAUUCGUUGAUCGGUGGCAUCGGUCUUUCUCCUUUUGCGUCGAUUAAUUGGUAGGCUCCUCCCUCAUAUGCUUUUUCUAUAACAUAGGGACCUUCCUAAUUUGGAUCGAAUUUGCCCCCGGCAUGUUUGUUUAUAAUUAUAGGCCGUCGGUGAACUAGUACCAAAUCUCCUGCAUGAAAAGUGCGGACACGUGCUAGUUUAUUGUAAGCCCUUGACAUUUUAAGACUGAUAAAGCUCUAGGUUUUGUUGCGCAGCCAACCAUACCUCGUCCAGGGAGUCCAGUUCAUCAAGUCUCAAGAAGAUAUUUUCUUCAUCUAUCAUUUCGUGUUGAAUCGCCAUCCUUAGCGAUGGUAGCUCUACUUCCAAAGGAAGGACAGCUUCUGUUCCGAAGACCAAAGAAUAAGGCGUGGCUUGAGUAGGAGUUUUAAAGGUCGUUCGGUAAGCCCAGAGCGCAUCUGAAAUCUUGUCGUGCCAUUCCCUCUUAUUUUUACCAAUAAUUUUCUUCAGAAGUUUAACCAGUGUUUUAUUGAAAGCUUCAGCCAAACCAUUAGCUCUUGGAUUAUAGAUUGACGAGUAUCGCCAGUCAAUUUUAUGGUGGGAGGCAAAUCUGCUGACCUUAAAACUUUUGAAGGCUGAGCCAUUGUCAGAGAUAAUUCGACGAGGAACUUUGAAGCGGUUCAAAAUAUUUUCUCUAAAAAAAUUUGUGACAUUAUCCGUGUAGAAUACCGAACUUCUAAAAUUAUGAAGUUACGGUGGGAUGUAAUAUGCGGAUUUUAAUAUAAAAAGGAAAAUAAAUAAAAAUAGUAUGAGAUACUAUUUUUAUUAGAUUUAGAGAAGUGAAAUAUAAGUCUGGAAUGACCCGUGUUGAAAUCAGAGCGAAAACAGAAGAUUUAGAUUUUCUGUGAGAAACGGGGCAGAUAAAUUAGCAGAAAAUGCACAGUCUCAAAAAAUUAUGAAAAUUGGCGGGGAUGCCAAAAAUAUUUUAAUGAGGCUAGAUUUAAAGUUUCAUAUUUUUCUGACACCCGUAAAGUGAGAAAUAAAAUCCGAAAGUCAUCUGAUAAAGUUGCAGUUCGGCACAGUUUUCGGUUGACCACGAUUACCGGGGUCGAAACUGAAAACUUAAGAUAUAUUCUUGUUCAGUACGUUAAAAUCGAACAUGAUUGUCAAAUUUGAGCUCAAACGGAUACUCUGGGAGCUCGGCGAAAAAUAUCAGAUUAAGUUGCCUGGAAUGAAUAGUGUUGGUGUUGACUUUAAUUAGAAGCAUCAGCUUCUUUCUCCUUCAACCGACCACCGCACCCCAUGGCCACACACUACGCACGCAUGAAAGGGGGAGAGAAACCUCCUUUCUCUCUCUAAAUAUCUCUCUUAUUUCUCUAUAUUUCUCGCCCAAAAAUUGCGCGCGUUGGUGGAGAUCGAGCUUGCGAAAGCGUUGGAGGCGACGGAUUGAGCUUUCGUGCGCCCGUUAGAGCGACAUGUUUUCGUUGCGGCGUUCAAUUGGGGUAAGCUUUUGGGAUUUGGCUUAAUCCUUAGCUUUAAGAUGUUCUAGUGGUCUCUAAUGAGCAUUUUUAGCAUGUUGCUCCAUUUAAUUUGGAUUUUUGGGAGUAAAUCUGCAUUAGGGUCAAAAUAGAAUUUUUCAAUAUGUGAGGGUUUGAUCUAAUUUGACCCUUCGUAAACCUAAUUGCAAGGUAAACGAUCGCGUUGGCGAAGUCGGUUCGGCAAUUCGUCGAGCCGUUGUAAAGUUAUUAAAGAAACGGUCGUUUAGGCUUUGUUUCGGCCUGGAGGGCCGAGGCGACAUCGUAUACUCAUGAAAACGGAUUUGAAGCAUCAUGGCACAUAACCGAAGACCUUUAAUUUUCGGAUCGUGAAUUGGAGGCCUUUCGGGUGGUCGCGCGAGAGAUCGGGCCAAACCGGGUGCCGGGUGCCGCGGAGGCCGAUUGCAAGUGUCGACAAGCAAUCGGAAUGCGAUAAAAGGUGGGGGGUGUCAUCCCGAAGCAACUGAGCUUCCUUUUAUGUCUAAGUUCUAUAUCUUGAUCAUAUUCCUAUAUAUUGAUAUAUUGUGCAUUAUAGGAUUAGUAGAUGAUUACAUUUCCGUUCCUUGCAUGUUACCUAGGUUGUGUAGCAUUGUGGGCCUGACACUUGAUCUUAGGUUGCAUGAGGAUGGGGUCUUGUGACAAGAAUCCUAUAGUGACAAGAAUGAUGAUGAACUUGGACAUGUAAUUGGCCUAGACGAGUGGCAUUUGGACUAGUGUAACAAAGACACUAUAAUAUUGACGAGUGGCAUGUCGAUUUAGUGUAUUAAGACACAUAUAACAUCAUGACAUAAACGAGUGGCAUCAAAUCUAGUGUAGUGAAACACUAUGGCAUUUGAACCUAGGGAUAGUAGAUUUUCCCGAUUGUCAUGUUGUAGACAUUAUGCAUUUGGCAUUAGUGCAUUUGAGGCAUUGAUUAUGCAUUUGGUAUUGUGCAGCAGAGGCACAUUGACCCUGGUAGAUAGGGUAUCCUCUUGUGAGGAUUGGAUCAUACUCACUAGUCUGUUUUUGCUUGUCGGUGGUCGCUCCACCGAAGCACGAGUCUCCGGAGUACUUCACUAGGGGCAGACGUAGUUGUCCCGCAGACGGUCUCGGUGUGCGAGUGCAGAUUCUCCUCACCUAUGAGAUUGAAAGUGAGUCGGGGUUGACCCCGGGGUGGCAACCUUCAGGUUAGCCAUGAGAUUGGAUACUAUCGAGGCAUAGUUGCACGACGCACUAUGUAGUAGCUCGUUCAUUCGGAUUAUUGAGGCAUAGUAGCAUGUGCAGAUACAUCACUAUGUAGUAGCUCAUUUCUAAGCAGAUUGGGUAAAGAAUAUGAAUGGCAUAGCAUAUUUGAAUUCAUACCUUGAGUUGACAUUGAGACAUAGUAGCAUGUUGUAGAUACAUCACUAUGUAGUAGCUCAUUUCUAUUAUUGUUGAAGCAUAGUAUCAUGAUUAGUAGAAUAUCAUUGCUAUGUUCAUACAUUCCAUGAUUACAGAGGCAUAGUAGCAUGUGUGUAUUCCAUUACUAUGUAGCAGCUCGUACUUAGUAGAGCGAGAUUGAGUCGGGCGAGGAGCGGGGUAGCUCUUUGCCUAGGACCUUCGAGAUUGAGUCGGGCAAGGAGCGGGGUAGCUCUUUGUCUAGGACCUUUGAGAUUUGAGAUCUUAGGCAAGUUGGCCUAGUCGAUUGGGUUGUAACAUGAAUAGCAUAAGUGGAUUGCAUUCAUGCCAUGAUUGGACAUAGUAGACUGCAUAACUUUAUUGUAGUUGUAUUUAUUACACUGUUGAAGCAUACUAGCAUGAUAGUAGGUUAUUGCUAGCUGAUGUUCCAUGCAUUCUUUGCAUUUGAUGGCAUAGUAGAUAUAGUAGCAAUGUAUUUCUAUCUACCUUUCUAUCUAUCUAUCUGUGCCAGCUUGGACCUAGUGGGAAAACCGGCGGCGUCGGCGGCCGAACCCACUGGGAACUAUAUUUAUAUAGUUCUCACCCCGUGUGGUUUUGGGGUACAGGUACACACGAGAGCGUACCGGCAGAGGAUCGUGGUAAGGGCACAGCGCCCUAGUAGCUAGCAGCUUUCCUUAUGCAUUAGAGUACCCUCGUGUACAUAGAGAUGUAAAUGUAUCAUAUCUCCACUUCGAACUUCCUCUCGAAGUUGUGGAGAGUACCACUUAGGUUUGAUCCUAAAACUAACUCGAUCUUUACCAAAUCUACCUGAUAAAUCUCAUAUUACUUCGAAGAAAACGAAGGGUUACUCUAGUUUGGGAUCCAAAAGUUUACGAUACUUCGAUCCCGUGGGUUUAACCCCGAAAACGAACAUACCUAAAGUUUCACUUUAACUGGGAGAUUUUUGGAUUAACCCCCAUAAAGGCUGCGCAACCACACGAGCCUAAUUGCAAUGCUUUUCGGCUACAUUUCAAUACUCGUUUUACCGGAUUAUCCCGAAGCAAAACGGCGUCCAUCGCUUGGCCCACAGAUUUUUAGGGUUCUUUUAGUAGCCUCGUGGAUUCACUUGGAUGCUCCACCCACCACGAGAGGUUUGAGUAACUUGAAAGAAGAUACGGAUUACACAGUAAGUUAACUCGUAUACAAUAUAUGUAACAACGUACGUAAAUCCCAUUUCAUUGCUUUUCUUACACUACACCGUACUAACACUCAUGUAGAACGAAUUACUACCAACUCUUGGAUAUAUUUACACUUUGGGAUAUACAUACGUACUCUCCUUUACACUUGUGGGUUCACUCCGUUUUCUUGUCUCACUGUGUUAUACUGUAUCUAGCUCACCGUAAACUAUUACAUUUCAUUUCUUGUGAUCUCAAUCACACCCCGUUUCUUAAUUACGCUACAUUUCUAUUACUGUUACCGAUUUCAAUUACGUUUCACACCGUAGUUCUUAUUUCUUACUUUCUUAUUACGUUUCACCCCGUUUUUCUUGUACAUUUCUCGCUUCUUGUUAUCAACGAUCUCAAUCCUUGUAUUUCACUACAUUUCUUGUGAUCUCAAUCACAUUACUGUACUAACUUGAAUAUUAGGAAUCUCAAUUCCUAAGCUAGUAUGAACGAUACUCAAGGCACGAACUCCCGCCAGCGCGGGGGAGCUCGCUACGCGAGACCUCAAAAACGUAGUGCACAACCUCAUUUGGGCUCCUGCCAGAAUCGCCCACUCAAGGACGCUACUACCUGAAUUACACUUCGUUCAAAUUACUCCGCUUUGGGGGCCCAAUCGGCACUCUAAAUUCUUGUUCUUGUUUCUCGUUACUAAUUUCUUAUUUCUCAUUUCUUGUUCGUGAACGUAUUAGACGUAUUAAUACAACUCGUAUAAACAGUGCGGGGCGACCGGUCUAGGCCCGUGCAGCUAGUCUGCGGCUUGCCUGUCGUGGAGAGGACAGGCGGGUUCCGAUUCGUUGGUCUAGUACAUGUCAAUUCGCGGGUCCCUUACGAAUUUAUUGUAUGUACUAGCUUGUGCUACGUGUGUCCACGUUAUGUAGAUUCUCGUUCUUAGUGUUCAUUGUAUGUUCACUUUAUUUCUCUCUAUGUAGAUCGAUAAUGUAAGUAAGUUGGAGUAAAAAAGUAUAACUAAAUGUAAAAGUAGAAGGGUUUACUUAUGUAUAAUAAGAGUAUUAUGUUUUACAGAAAGGUUUAUGUAUUCAUUGAAGGUUNACUUGGCACUGGUGGCAUUUCCUAGCAUAUUCCAUACAAUCUUGGACCAUUGUGGGCCAAUAGUAGCCCAAGUGUUUAAUCUUGAGGUGCAUCUUGGGACCAGAUUGGUGGGCACCGCAUACACUCGAAUGAACUUCAUGCAUAACUUGUUUGAUUUCUUCUUGCGAUAUGCAUCUCAACCAUAACUAAUCAUAGGACCUUCUAUAGAGGGUAUCGUUCACGAAAGCGUACCGCAUCGCUCUCUUCUUCAACUGAACUUGUUUUGGCUUUUCUUCAGGGAGUUCGUUGUGUUUAAAAUAAUUGAUGAAAGGCUCCCUCCAAUCAUCUUCCACUUCAAUUUUUAGCACAUUCGCUUUUGGAAUUUCUUUUGAUUCUUCUUCGAGAUUUAAGUCCGUAGGUGACAAGAUCUUUCUACUCUUGAUAGUCACAUGGACUUCGUCAAGAUCGGGAUCGGGAUCAGCUAACUCUUUAGCCAAUCUAGCUAGGGCAUCAGCUUUCCCGUUUACAGCUCGGGAGACCCUUUUCAGUGUGACAUUUGGUAUUUCCUUCAUGAGUUCUUGCGCCCUUUUCUGAUAUUUGGUCAAUUCCGGCUUGUGGACUUUAUAUUCCCCAUCACUUGAUUAAUGAUUAGUUGAGAGUCCCCAUAGAUGUGUAGCCGUUGUAUAUUCAUGAUGAUGGCUAUUUCUAAUCCCGCAAUUAAGGCUUCAUAUUCAGCUUCAUUAUUUGUACGAGGCUCAGAAAGCACUAGAGAGUACCGCAAGAUUCCUCUCUCAGGCGUCACAAAAAUUAGACCGACACCCGCCCUUACUUGCGGAAUACUCGGGCUAUAUGCAGGUUGGAUAGAAGAUACUUCAUCGAAAUACAUGUCCCAGUAUGGUUGUUCAUUCUCAACAAGUAAAGCCUCUUCAUCUGGUAGAUCGCACACCAAAGGUGAACUGUUAGGUACUAGGUGUGCUGCUAAAAAAUCAGCGAGUGCUUGCCCCUUAACAGCCUUUUGUGGCGUGUAGGUGAUAUCAAAUUCUAGAAGGAUAACUAUCUAUUUCGCUAGCCUGCCAGUUAAGACGGGUCUCGUCAUUAAAAAUUUGAGCGGGUCAACUUUUGACACUAAAUAAAUUUUGUGCUCGAGCAUAUAAUGCCUCAGCUUCUUGACAGCAAAUAUAAGAGCUAAGCAAUGCUUUUCUAUUGGUGAAUAUGAAUUUUCUGCCCCCACCAACAUCCUGCUGAGGUAGUAUAGAGCUUGUUCUUUUCCUUCUUCAUUAUUCUGCGCCAAAAUUGCUCCCAGUGACCCGUCGAGAGCUGCUGUGUAUAAUAUCAAGGGUUCGCCGUGUAUGGAGGCGGCGAGUACUGGUGGAUUCAUUAAGUACCCUUUUAUGCCUUCAAAAGCUGUUUGGCAUUCUGUGUCCCAGAUGAAUGGUGCAUCCUUCUUUACUAGUUUAGAGAAAGGUUUGACCCUACCAGAGAGAUUUGAAAUAAAUCUUCUGAUAUAUGCUAAUCUUCCCUGAAAGGAUCAAAGUUGUUUUAGAUUCUUUGGAGGCGGCAUCUCCAUAAUAGCUUUAAUUUUCGAAGGAUCGAUUUCUACUCCCCGAUGCCUGAUAAUGAACCCUAAAAAUUUGUUGCCUGAAAAAACUCCGAAUGCACAUUUGAGCGGGUUCAUUUUUAACUGAUAUUCUCUCAAUCGAGUGAAGACAGUGGUUAGAUCUUGGAAGUGAUUUCCUUUGUUCUUCGUUUUCACAACCAAAUCAUCAACAUAGCAUUCUACUGUCUUGUGGAGCAGAUCAUCAAAUAUUCUAGUCAUCGCCCGCUGAUAUGUAGCUCCGGCGUUCUUAAGGUCGAAAGGCAUGACUUUAUAACAAUAUAUUCCAAUAGGAGUUCUGAAUGCAGUAUGCUUCUCGUCCUCCGGCGUCAUCUUGAUUUGAUUACAUCCUGAUGAGCCAUCCAUAAACGAGAAUAGCUCGCAACUCGAGGUAUUGUCAAUCAUCAGUUCCGUUAUUGGUAGCGGAAAAUCAUCUUUUGGGCAAGCCUUAUUUAAGUCCCGAAAAUCGACGCAUAUACGCUUCUUGACUGGGACAAUACUAGCGAUCCAGUUAGCAUAUUUCUCCUCCCUUAUAAAGCCCGCCUCAAUGAGCUUUUUGGUUUCCGCAAUUAUUUGAUCUUCCAGAUCCACCCUAAUCCUCCUAGGAGCUUGUUUGACUGGAUGAGCUUGAGAAUCUAUAGCUAGCUUGUGAACAGCCACUUCUGGAUUGAGGCCUAGCAUUUCUUUAUAACUCCAUGCGAAGCAAUCUUUAAAUUCUGUUAGCAAUGCCUUUAGCUUCUCUUGUUCUUCUUUUGGAAGCAGUGCACUUAUAUAAGUGGGUCUGGGAUCUUCUUCUGUUCCCAGAUUUAUCUCGAGAAGUUCAUCUACAGUUGCUUGUCCCCCAUCUUCAAGCUCUUGAGGUGCAUCUUUUGGUUCAAGAGAUUUUUGUUCAUCGACCAAAUGUUCAGCAAUAUCCUCAUUUCCAUUGAUCAUUUUACAGGUAUAGAUAUCUUGAUAAGUGGAACUUCUGUAAUAUCCUAGGCCUCUGGUAUUACUAGAUUUGCCAUUUGGGAGUAUAGAUCUUCUUUGUGGUGGGUUCCACAUUCGUUGAAAGAAUUUGUGAUUGGCCCAAGAUCUCCUUGUUGGGCAACCUAACUUGUGUAUCAUCUUUUUCAAGCUAGCUGAAAAAUAAUUUGGGAUUUCUAUACCCUCAAAUAUAUCAUCAUCAUAAUCCUCUACUCUGAUGAUAUCAGUGGAUUUUUGAUCAUCUGAUUUAUAAAAAAGAAUUCCUCUUUUUACUGUCCCCCUUCCUUCAACAUCUUAUAUCUUUGAUGGGACAAAGAAAGUUUUUAAAUGAUUUACAAUAGAAACUUGUCUUGCAGGAAUAAGUCUGUGGCAUUUUUCAGGAACCUUGAGAAUUGCCAAUGUAUCUUCCACCAGGUCAGAGACUUUUGCAAUCAUUCUAUCAGCCCUGACAUAAGCUGUAAAGUAAUGUUCGUAUUUUGACGAGUUUUCGACUUCGAGAGUAUUCCAAUUGCUUGAAAGAAGCUUCAUAGCCCAACAUAAUUCAUCUUCAUCGAGAUCGGAGCUAUCCGAGUCACUUUCGAAAUGCGGCACCGUUGACUUCCUCUUGAUUUCGUCUACAAGUCUCUUCUCUUUAGAGGAUUGUUCUUUCGAUAUGCUAUGAUUUUCUUCUGUAUCUUAUUCUAUAAAAUACCUUGCAUCUUCAUUGUAGCAUACCGGAUUUUCUUAUUAAAAGUGAAUAUAAAUAAAAAUAGUGUGAGAUACUAUUUUUAUUGGAUUUAGAAAAGUAAAAUAUAAGUCGGGAUCGACUCGUGCGGAAAUCGGAGUGAAAAUAAAAAAUUGAGAAUUUUCUGUGUGAGACGGGGCUGAUAUUUUAGCAGAAAAUGUACAGUGUCAGAAACUUUCGAAAAUCUAGAAAUAUGUUAGGAUUAUUUUUAUGAGGCUAGAUUUAAAGUUUCAUGUCGAUUCGACACCCGAAAGAUGGAAAAUAAAAUCCGACUGCUAUCUGCUAGAGAUUACAGUUCGAUAGAGCUUUCGGUGACCAAACAUGGUCGUAACAGAAAGAUUUAAAUUUCUUUCGUCAAGUUAAGGAAACCCGAGCCUGACUGUCAAAUUUUAGCUUAAUCGGACAUUCAGAAGAGCUCCGGCAAAAAACGUCAGUUUGUAUCUGCUAAAUUAAUAUUGUGAACAGUAUUUUGGGGUGUUGACUAUAAAUAGAAGCUACUAGGCUUUUUCUUCUUCACAGCCAACACCAUCACCCUCACACACACACGUUUAGAGAGGGAGAGAGAGAAACCCUCCUUUCUCUCUCAAAUAUCUUCUUUAUCUCUCUAAAUCUCUCGCUCAAAUUUGCGGCGUUGGCGGAGAGCAAGCUUGUGAACGCGUUGGAAGCGACGGAUCGAGCUUUCGUACGCCCGUUGGAGCGGUGUGCUUCCGUCUCGGCAUUUAAUUCUGGUAAGCUUUUGGAAUUGGGCUAAUUCCUUUAUCCUUAGUGUUCUAGUAGCCUCUAUUGUGAUUAUUAGCAUAUUUUCUCCAUUUAAUUUGGGUUAUUUGGAGUGUAUGUAUAUGUGUAACACACUAGACCUGUGCAAAAUGCGAGGUUCGAGUGCUUGACUUGGAUUCCGAGCUUUUCCACACUUGGUGGAAGGUCGUAGACUGUAUUCCGACCUAAAAGAUCGAAUUCUUGGAUUUUGGCUAAGUCCUGAGAGUUUUCACUCUCGGGAACCGGUCCCUGGUGGGAGAGACCGGUUCCCCCGGAACAGUGUUGUGGCAGACUUGAGGCAACCGGUCCCUGGCAGGGAGAGACCGGUUCCUGAGAGCUUGUUUUGCGGGAAGGUCCCGAAGGACCGAUCCCGACUGAGAGAGACCGGUCCCUCUGGGCGAAUAUUGCCCAGUUCGGGCUGAUGCACAGAUUGGAUUUUUGAGGGACCUAAGUGGAUUUUGUUACAUGAGAUGGCUUUUAGGCCAUUUCCUUUCUCUCUUUCCCUCACUUCUCACUCUCUCACACUCUCUAGAAAGAGAAGAAGAAGGAGAAACAAGAGGAGAAGAAGGAGAAGGAGAAGAAGGAGAGCUUGCUUUGUGGACUUGGGACUUCUUCCUCAACCUCUCCUCUCACCAUUGGAGGCUUGGAGCUUGGACUUGGAGCUUUGUGGCGGAUCAAUCUUCAACCCUUGAGGAUUUUGAGCUUGGUUUGGAGCAUCCUAGAGGUAAGUGACUAGUUUCCUUUCUCUAGAUCCUAGUUUUGGAGCUUUAAACUAGGUGAAACCCUAGAUUUGAAUUUUAGGGUUUAUUUUGGGGAUUGUUGAUUUGAGGGCUUUGGGACCCAAUUGAUUGGCUUAGAACCUUCCUUUAGGUUGGAUUGGAAGGGUUCUUGUCACGCCCCAAUCCCCGCCAAUUUGGUCGGGUUCGGGUCACGUCAACAGACGCCGAACGGACAGAGCCUCCCCUGCCCGUCCAAGGCUCUAACAAUAUGUAUAAAUCAUCAAUCAACAAGGGAUUUGCAUAUAUAAUACAAGGCUUGCACGAGGGCAAGCAACAACGGAAGCGAAAGCUCUAAGCUAAAUAUGCAUCAUACAUGAUAUUUGAUUAUAUUUAAACCAAAUUCAAGUAAAUAAAACUAUUACAUUCCAUUCAUCCAUCAUAUCUUUUUACAUUUAGUCAUCCACCGAGUACAUGAUUGUUUACCACUUUACAUCUCUAAAUCAACAAAAGAAGUUUAUACAUGCAUACCAAAAAGGGAGAAUCAGAGGCAAAUAGAGAUGGACAGCUCGAAGAAAGCGCUCCUCCUUAAGGUUAUAUACCAACCUCCAAAAUGGCCCCAUGAUGAAUUGAAUGACUACAAAAUGUAUAAGAUCCCGGUGGCCGCUAUCUACGGCGCUAAACCCUUGCCACGGUCCUCCGCCGCCCCGCUCGUGCUAGAACCUGUAGGGUUAGUGGUGUGAGAACUACAACGAAGUUCCCAGUGGGUUCGGCAUCCGACCUCGCCGACUUACCCACUAGGUCUAUCCAGGCAUAAGUAUUUCAAGGAAAGAAAAGUAACAAUUACUAAUGCAUCUAAUACUAUGCCUGCAGAAGAAUGUCAGUGGAUACAAACACUCAAUGCAAUAAUGGAAAAUGCAUGCAUGCUCGAUUCAUAAAUAAGCUUUGGCUCUUAUCCAAUCUUACCGGUUAACCUUGUUAACCCCAAUAACUCAUAACCCAGAAUCCCUUUCUUUACCGGGGAGGCUCCAAGCACUACCGACCCGAGGGACCGUCUUCAGGGACCUCGCUCCCUGUGGUGUCGAUUUUCGGAAACACACCGCUUGAGGAGGAGCGACCUCCCUCAAGCCAAGACUUAUUAUGAGUGUCGAUCAAAUCCCCGAGUUGAGGAUAUUUAGCCACAUGUCACAUUGCCACUUUUGCGAUAGGUUUUCUACCUAUGUUCUCAUGCCACUUGCUAGUCGAUCUCGUUACAAUGCCACUAUAGUUAAAUCUAUGUUUAACAUUCAUUUAUCCAAGCCAAUCUAUCUCUCUAUUGUCAAUGUCACCAUUUGUUUACUUGUGCUAAGUCCAAGUCCCACUAUCAUGCAAUUCCUAGGGUUCAAUAACACAUGUCCAUCAUGGUUCCAUUUCUCUCUACUUUCAAAUACACUUGGAAUAAUCAUAAUGAAAACAACCAAAGUUCAUAUGUGAAUUAACCCUAAUAUGCAUGACGGAAUGAAUAACCAUAUGCUCAAGAAUAGAGAAAUAGACAUAGAAGGGAAUCCAACGAUUCCGGCGUGCACCCCCCCACCUCUAAUAGUCGUGUGGGUGUGGGUUGUGAUGACUCCCGUGCGCUACGAACGCCGGCUCCGCGUCCUAUAACCAAAUUAGUGCCCUAUUAGGCCGUUUACACAUGAACUAUACUUAAACAUUUUCAUAAUGUUAAACGGAGUUGUCCCACACGUUUAGAACACCCCCAAUUAGGUUUCUACGGGGUCAAUUUGUCCCCGAAAAAUUCUAGGGCAAAAGCCCCAAUUUUCAAGCCCUAAUAUUGUCAUUUAGGAUUUCUCCAUGAAUCGAUCCCAACCCUAAGCAAAUAAUAGCUUAGAAUCAUCUAAGAAACAUCUUAGUAAGGUUUCUAGACCUUUGGGACUAACCCUAGGGCUUCCAACCCAACUUCCAAGGGUUCACCAUGAGAGCACCUUGAGCUCUCAUGGGUACUUUGUUGUCCAUGGCUCAAAAGAGAUUCUAAAACCCCUAAGGAGCGCAAAGCUCCAAUUCUCUAAACCAAAACCCAAACCCUAGAGGAAAACCUCACCAAACUUACCUCUAGUCCAAGCUCCACCAAGGUUCUUCUUGUUGGAGAGCUCCUAGGACCUCCAAAGCACCAAAUCCACCUUCUUCUCUAAGUUCUUCUUCUUCUUCUCCAAGCUCUAGGAGAGUUCUAGAGAGAGAAAGUGAGAAAAUGAGAGAGGAGGAGAGGAAUGGCUGUGGGAAAGAGAGGAUGGGCCAUAUAUAGUGUUGUGACAAUUGCAUUUAAGCCCCUGCACUUGUUUCCUCUCAAACUGCCCAGACUGGGCAUUUUUCGCCUUCGGGGACCGGUCUCGCCGACCAGGGAGCGGUUCCCGAACGUGGGUUUUCGAGGACUUAGCCAAAUUUUCGGGUUGUUCAGCUGUUGCGCAGCGAGGGACCGGUCUGCCCUUCAGGGACCGGUCUCCCGAGGACCGGUCUCACCACCAGGGACCGGAUGCCUCAGGAUUUCUUGGCAGGCUACGCGUACGGGGACCGGUCUCUCCUUCAGGGACCGGUCCCCGAGAGCACAAAAUCUGGGACUUAGCCAGAUUUUCAGAUUUUCUCUCUCGGGUCCCUUUUAGCUUCGCUUAUGGACUCUAAUGCUCUUAGGGUCCACUCUAACCCAUUCAACUCCGCGUUCCGCCCGUUUCGACGGAACUCGGCACGAUUUACAAGGGAUGUGGUAUGUUACAGUUCUUGCUCUCUCUUGCAACUUGAGAAGGGAUUUCUACACAAGAGGUGAGUUUUGCCCUUUUCUUGAAUCGGUUAAAGAUUGAGUUUAGUAUUGUUCGUAAGGUUCGUAUGACUCUUGUUCCUACAUCUUUAGGGUGCUAGGAGAUUAGUGGACACAUCCGUUCGACGAAACGAAGAGUUUCGUUUUUUGGUGGGUUUGACUUCAUGAAAACGGGGCAAAAUGGCCCCUAUGCUUUCUAUACUUAUCGUAAAGUCUUUUUGAAUGCAAAUCCAUGCUAGAUAGGAUUUAUGUGAAUUUUAAAACACUUAAAAUGCAUGUGCUAUGUGUAAGAUAAAUUUCACUCUAUAUAGUAGAGCAUUUUGGGUAAUCUUCAUGCAUGUGAGAAGUGUUCGAGAUAGCUAUGAGAAUCUUGUCUCUUGUGUUAAAUUAACUCAUAAUUGGGUAAUUGUAAACACUACUCUAUGAUUGGACUUGUUGAACAAAGUGUCAUAAAGGGGCACUUGACUUGGUAGACUAUGAAGCUAUUAUAUUGAGACAUUGACAUGAUGACAUAGUGAUAGGCUAUUGACAUCUAUUACUUUCCAUAUUUUAGACAUGAUGACAUAGAUAGGCCUUGAGACAUUCGAUAUAUUCCAUGUUGUUAGACAUGAGGAUUUGGUACUUGAGACGGAUCUUACGCUACUUGCCAUUGUACUCAUUCGCACAUGCUUGUGAGGGUUGCUCCCUACAAGCCGGCACUCUAGAGAUAGCCAUCGUGAUACAUAUUCGCCAAGCGGGAUUGGGCGCCGAGGUGGAUUGCCAUGGAAAAGGCUCAUUCCUAGAGUGGGGAUGUUGACUACCAUGGGGCCAUUAGGCUCGGCAUCGGCCAGACAGCUUACGGGUGGGUCUUCAGGCCAGACAGCCUUCGGGCGGGUCUUACGAGAUUUAACUUUAAGUAGUUAACAUGCUAUGUGGACAUUGACUAGAAUAGUAAACAAUGACAUUUUUACUAUUUAGCUUGUGGACAUCAUACUAGUGAUUCUUUGGUACAUUCAUGUAGUGUAGCCUUUUAUUACUUGAGCAAAAUCAUGCUAAGUAGAGAUAUCUUGUGGUAGCAAGUAUUCUUGUUUAUUUACUCGUUGUACUUAUCACUCUUACUUAUACUUGUUUACUGACCCCUUUUUAUAGCUUUUGGGCCUAGUGGCGUAUUUCACUGAAGUCAGUAAUUGUCCAUUGGGAACUAUUAUUUAAUAGUUUUCACGCCCUCUGUUUUAUGGUUUUAUUUCAGAGCCUUCGGCACCGGCGGAGGCACGGGAUCGCGGCAAGGGUGUCGUCUAGCUUGAUAGAUAGCGGAGCUCGCUUUUGCUCCUAGGUGGUUACCUCCUUUUUGUGUUUUUGUGUGAGAGAGGUUUUGUACCAUGUAUAGAGACCACCUAUGUAUCUUAUUUAGCUCUUGUAUUUGGGACUCCUAUUGUAUUACUUUAUGGUUACUUCAAGUAGAUUUUAGGGGCUUUUUUUGCAAAUAGCCCCCUGACAAAUUUUAUUUGCAAAAAUAGUCCUGUCCAAAAUUUAUUUGCAAAAAUGGCCCUGGCCCUGCCACGCCAGCGCCACGUGAGCGCCACGCGGGCAGGGUUUGGGCCAGGUAUUCAAGUUGAACACGGUGAUUGGUUCACCGUGUCUAAACACGGUGAACCAAUCAUCGUGUUCAUCGUGUUACUCACGACCCCAGCGGGGGUGUUAGUAUUGCAUUAGACACGGUGAAUCGUUCACCGUGUCUAAACACGGUGAACUAUUCACCGCGUUUAGACACGGUGAACUAUUCACCGCGUUUAGACACGGUGAACCAUUUACCGUGUCCUUUACUUCCAUUUUUGGCCAAAUACGGCCUGGCUAGUUGUAUUAGACACGGACUUAGCCAUUUUCGGGGGUGUUCAAUACAUUUGUAUUUGACACGGUGAACCAUUCACCGUGUCCAUUAGCACGGUGAAUGGUUCACCGUGUCCAAUACAUUUGUAUUGGACACGGUAAUCCAUUCACCGUGUCCUAUAGAACUGCCUACCUAGCUACUAGUUUGCCGCAGAAAAAUCAAUUACAAGAUUCAAUACAAGAAUACAAUACAGAUACCUAUUAAUACAUAUCACAACACAUCACAACACAUCCCAACAUCACAAAAGUAAUACACAUCACAACAUCACAAAAUUAAUACACAUUACAACAUCACAACCAAUAGAAUCUCAAUAAUAUAAUCAAUACCAAAUAAUCAAAACAGAAUAUACAAAAUAAAUGCAAGUUAUACAAUAAUAUAUAAAUAUAAUAUCAUGUUCUCCUCCCUCGACCUCCUCGACCACAUCGCCUACCACGUCUGCGACCACGACCAACAUCAUGCUCAUCAAAAGGCUCCAAGAUCUCCAACUGGUCUAGAUGCUCUAUAGCAGCACCCUCAAUAACCGGCUCAAUCACAGCAGUAGCAUGUGCCUGGUAGUAUGUCUCGCGCGUGGAGGAGGCCAAGAGGAGGGCGAUCUUGUAGGCACACUGGACCUUGCAAAGUGCGCGUCGAGUGUUCAUUUUGCAUUCCCGAAACUUUCCAACACUUGUGGAGGCUCGUGAUGGAUAUGCCGGUCUAAAAGUUCGAUCUCGGAGAGUUUGGCAAAUCCUUGAGAGUUUUUAACUCUCGGGGACCGGUCCUCAGAAUGAGAUACCGUCCCCAGUAAACAGUGCUGCGAUAGCCGCGAGCAACCGUCCCUUGGCAGUCGAACGGUUCCCGAACGCGUCUUCGCAGAGAGAGACCGUCCCGCGCAGGGAGAGACCGGUUCCCGAACUGCUGGUUUUUUCGAGUUCGCAGCGAAGGACCGCCCUGCUGGAGAGACCGGUCCCUCUGGCGAAAAUGCCCCAGACGGGCUGAUGUAAUUAUUAUGAGUUUUUGAGGGGCUUUUAUCUGGAUUUGGUUACUUAAGCCUAAUAGGGAGCCCGCUUCUUCUCGCUCCUUUCCCUCAUUCUCUCGACACUUGCAUUUUUAGAGAGAGAAGAAAGAGAGGGAGAAGCAACGAAUAGAAGAAGAAGAAGAAGAAGAGAGAAAGCUGGCUGGAGCUUCGGAGCAUCACCUUCUUCCUCAUUUCUCACCUUUGGUGGCUUUGCACUUGUGGUUGGAGCUUUGUGAAGGAUCAAACCUCAACCCUACUUGGUUUUGAGCUUGGAUUGGAGCUUCUCUUGAGGUUGGUAGCUUUUAAUCCCCAUUUGAUGCUUGUUUUCCUAGGUUUUCUAGAUGAAACCCUAGAUUUUGGGAUUUAGGGUUUAUUUUGGGGAUUUUGGAUUUGGGACUUCUUGAUCUCAUUUGAAUGGUUUGGAACCUCUAUAUAGGUUAGAUUGGAAGACCUCUACCUUCCAUUUGAGGAUUUAGAGAGGGUUUUCCACUUGAGGUGAGUUUUCCCCAACCCUAGCUUGAGUUGGUUAUUGAUUGAGCUAUUCGCUCUUCGUUUCGUUUGGGUGACCCUAUCUUUGAUGUUUCUAGGGUACUAGGGAGCUUGUGGAUAUCUUCGUUCGGCGAAACGAAGAAGUCGAUUCUUUCGGUGGGUUUGGCUUCAUGAAAACGGGGCGAAACGGGCCCUAAGCAUUCUAAACUCUUCAUAUACUAUUUUGAAUGCAUAUUUAUGCUAAGUAGUAUUUUUGUGAAUUUUGGAACCCCUGAAAUACAUGUAUUAUGUAUAAGAAAAUUUGCACUCUAUAUGUUAGAGCAUUCUGGGUAUUGUUGCAUGCAUUCGGGUAGAGCUCUCGCUAGUCAUUUGGAGACACGCUUUAAAUGCUUAAAAUGGUUCAAUUAUGUAAUUAUGAACAUUUGGGAUGAGCUUNNNNNNNNNNNNNNNNNNNNNNNNNNNNNNNNNNNNNNNNNNNNNNNNNNNNNNNNNNNNNNNNNNNNNNNNNNNNNNNNNNNNNNNNNNNNNNNNNNNNUGUAUCUCUCUUUAUGCACUUGUAUGUACACUUGUGUUACUUGCUCUUGUUGUAUUGCACUCUUUGUGCUUCUCUCCUUGUUGGAUCGCGUAUGUAUUGAAUUAUUCCUGGGCAAUUCUAUGUACAUGAUCUUACCUUUGAGCCUUGGGCGGACAGGGGAGGUGCUGUCCGUCCGGCGUCUGUUCGACGCGCUCGAACCGGACCAAAUUGGUAGCGGUCUCGGGGCGUGACAUGUAUUGUUCUAGUUUUUGCUUUCUAUGUUAUUGCAGCGUUUUGCACACUAGAUGUUCGGCAUUAUGCCGCAGAGAUGCUAUUUGCAUCAUGGCUACUUGGGAUGGCAUGGUUUCAAGUCUAGGAGGUUCAUACACAUUGUCUGAAGCCUGAGAACCUUACUAUUCGAAAUUCAUGGUGAUUGGCACGUGUAUUGACAUCCUAGCAGUGCUGAAACUUCAUGUUUAGGCUUCGUUUGUGGAGUUUGUGUCACUGCUGGUCGCAACAAUAGUGGAACCCAUAGGCUGGAUUCCGACUAGUUGCUAGGAUUUACAUACCAGCAAAUGAUGAAUCGGGGGAUUCUAGAGCCAAAACGACAAUGUAUGAGAUCCCGGGCACGACAAAAUCCAUUGUAGAUCAUUUGUACAUACACCAAAAUGGUGUGCAGCUGUCCUAACACCCAAAAGCAAGUAUUUUGGGACAGCAUGUGAGAUCAGAUUACUUCCAGAGUGCUACAAAACACCUCGGGCCUUAAUCGAGCCCUAAAACGUGAAAUUUGGGGGCAAUCGGUCACGACUUCGUGUCAUUCAAGUUGCUGCUGUUCGCAGUGAUGGAAUGGCUCAAGUUUUGGUUAGUAGUGAAGGGAUUGACACCACAGAUUGCAAAAAGAAGGCCAUGGUUAGUCCCGGGACCAAAUAUGGCAUCCCGGGAGUCAAAUUAAUAGUUUCCAGAUUCCCGACUUUCCUAUUUUGGCGCACUUCUUGUGUGGCUGUCCCAACGACAUUAGAUGAUGUUUUGGGAUAGCGAGCCAGGUAGGAUAUGUGUGGGACUUGUUUCGGGGCACCCCGUUGGUUGGGGAGACAUUCCAACAAGUUGGUGCGACGAUCGGACGAUUUUUAGGUGACCGUUAGGCAUAAUUCGGAAACCUGAUUGUUCAUAGGUUUGCAUUCAUUGAGAAUCAUAAGCUUCUAUAAUUAGUGGGUUUGAGCUAAUUAAGGUAUCGGAUGGGACUUUGCAUAGAUCCAAACUGCGAGUGGCAUCAAUAGGGGGUCGACGACUCGAUUUUCUUCUACGAUAGAGGUGGGUACUUUGAUCCGAAGUUGAUUCUGUGGUGCACGCUCGGUGAUAUCCCUUCCUCUCUUUCUCUUCACUUACUAUAUAAACUUAUUCCAUGUUAAUCACAUUACCUCUUGACUUCACCUUCAUUGCUCUACUUUAGUUCUAUUUCUGCUGUGAUGAUCUAGAAGUAGAGCGUUAGUUCUUCAUAGCUUAUGCAUGAUUAUCUAUUAGUUAUUGACCUAAGUGGUCGGUUCUCGUGAGAUUAUGAUAUUAGUUGACCUUGUGAUCAGGAACACUCCUAGUUGUAUAUUGCAUGAUAUAGCAUUAGUUGACCUUGUGGCCAGUGGCACCCCCAUUUGUAUAUUUGUAUAUUGUAUAACUUGACAUUAGUUAGUCUCAUGGUUGGAGACACUUCUAGUGGUAUAUCGCAUGACUUGCAUUGUUUGACCUGAUUGGUCAGUGAUAUUGUUCUAUCAUUGAGAUAGAGGUUGACCUAGUUGGUCGGUUACUCUUUAUUGGAUUCUAUCUCGGCUAUUCGCCGACAGUUGACUAUUGAGCAUAUUAUAUCGAUCGCCAUAGUUUAUGUGCAUUUUACGUACACCAGUGGUCUGAUCCACCAUAAGAGGGUGUUCUUUUCCGAAAAAAAUGAUCGUACUUCCGACCCGUGAGCCCAGUUACUAGGGUUAUAUGCCAGAUAGAGCAAGCGUGACAGUUGCUUGAGGUCUUUAGACCAACAGUGCAUAUUUAAUUGGGCAUUUUGGACGAUUUGUCUAGUCGAUGCAUACUUAUAUUUGGUUUCACAGUACGGUAGCGAUUAGAUAUGUUCCUUCUUACAGUUGGCUACUUCCUCUUAGCUUGUUAUUGCUACUAUAUCUAUAUACAUGUUCAUUGUUAUGGUGUAUCGGCUUUCUACCUUAUCUUGCAGUAGCGAUUUUUAUGCAUCUUUGAUAGCUGUUAAUCUUGUUUUGUUACCAUUGCUACUGUAGUUAGUAUAAUUGUUUCUUAUUGUCGAUUAUUAUAUAUCUCAUUUGCCGGUGAGUACAACUCACCUUCGUCAGCUUGCAGUACCCCAUUCAGAAGAGGAGACUUGUUUACAUAUUCUCACCACCCACUAUUUUUUAGCGAUCUCAGGCGGUAAGGGUCGGGACAGUGCGUGACAACGAUCCUAGUUAGCCGUGUCUUAAAUUGGUCCCUCGUGGUGUAUACACAUUCUUGUACUUAGUUUAGUUCACUACUUGUCAUUAUUAAUGAUCAAUAUCUGUGGAUAAUUGUGGACUCUUAAUAUUCAUUGCUUACCCGUAUAUCAGUUGUUUCCUAUCCGAUCUUAGUUGUUGUUGCUCAUGUUGUAUGGUUGUAUAUGUGAUUAACUUUGUAUACCGAUGCUACGCCGUGCAUGUACAUGAGAGAUUCUUUCUAUUUGUACAGAAAAUUCUUUAUCUAUGUGACGGGUCUAGGUACAUUUGCGUGGUGUCUUUAAAGGUGUUAAAAAAAAAAAUUACACGUUUUUCACUAGUUUUUUCUAAAAUGGAUUUUCAAAAAAUCCUCGAGGCGUGACAGUUUCCGGGAAUGUUUCCUCAUUCAAAAACCUAAAGAACACGCUUCACAAAUUCUCAAGCAACAAGACUGCAUAUUACGACUAUUAGCUUAACCAUAGAUGCACUUCGCACGUAGGUAGUCAAUAACUACAAAAACACUUCCAAUCUUCAUUCCUACAAUACUAUAAAAUUAUACUAGCCACCGCCGGUAAAUACAGAAACACUUACAAUAUCCAUUCCUCCGAUACUAAAAAAUUAUAAUAGCAACCGACUGUCCCUAGAGCAAGUGGUAAAGGGCUUGAUGGUUGAUAUCCAAGGUCCCAAGUUCGAAUCCUAGUUGAUUCACAUUUCCAGCUAAGUUUAUUUCUAAAUGAAAUAAACGAAGCGGAUAACGCGCUAUCUAUCUCUCUCAAAAAAAAAAAUAAAAAAAAUAAUAAUAAUAGCAACCACCGUUAGAAAAGCAUGUGCUUCUAAUCUAAGUAAUCUUAGGCUUAGCUCGAACGCAACCUAGCGAAUUGUACUCGCAACAUGGAAAUUUUAUUUAUUCUCACUUGCGUCAAACUUUAGUUCAGAGAAGUUUUCAGGUUUUUCCAGUCAACAAACGUUCACAGUAUUAUGCUCCUCAUGAACUAGAAAAGAAAGAGAAACAAGUGCGACAAACAAGAUUAAGUUUUUUUUUCUUUUCCACAAAAAAAAAGAAAAAGAAAAGAAAAGAGAAAAAAAGAGGAAAAAGAAAAAAGAAAGAAAAGAAAGAUUGAGGCUGCUUGAACACCGCACCAAAUACCAUCAGAUUAAUUCAACAGAGGGGCACACAAACAACAUAGAGAGCGCUCUGAGAUUCAGAGGUUUCAUUUAGAAAGAAAGAAAAAAAUCCUAGCUAGAUUUCAUGAGAGAUGCAGUCACAGUUUGAAAUUAAUUACAGAGCAAGCAAUGACUGCCGAGUUAGUAGCUAAUUUAAUUUAGCAUCUUUUAAUCUUCAUUGUCAUAAUCCUCAUCCUCGUCUAUCUGCAUCGUCAGCUGUACAAACCUGGAAGGUUCUACACCGAUGUUUGCUGCUACAUCUGGUAAAGGCCAAGCAGAACACUCUCCGUGGUUAGGCUCCACUGCUUCUACAUUUGCACCUGCAGAUGCGUCGGAAGCAGGGUUGUUGCCUAAGGGAUGUGCGCUCUGAAUAAUCUUCUCAUCGCCACCCGUGUUCUUCUCUGAACCAUCAGCUGCAUGCUCAGAGCAGAACUCAGCAGCGUGUUCGGCAAAUAUGCUACUCUCAUCAUCACACUUCACAUAUCCGAUUUCUCUCGCCCUCGUAGGAGGCCGCCCUCGACCUCUUCCUCGGCCCCGGCCCCGGCCUCUUGGACUUAUCUCAGAAGUUCUCAUUGCCUGUGACAACGACAUCUUUGGUCGCUCAUGUACCACGAAUUGGUGCAAGAACAUAAGCAAGUCACAGAAAAUUCAAUAAAGAAUACCAUUUUGGUGGAUCUUGAUUCAUCAUUGUCAUCCAAGUUACGAUCAUGUGAGAGUGUCUUUCUGACCAAUGAAAAUAGAAUAUUAUGCAAUUGAUGUCUAUCAGAAGUAAUCUGAAGAACAAAAAUUCAAGUGGUUAGUGAAUUACUUGUUACCUUCUCCUGGAUAUCCCUUUUUCAUCUCCACAAGGUUCUGUGCCACCAAUGUUAGGUACCUUGUUGACGACAUCAGUCAAGAAAUCAAAAGCACUAUACAUCUUUACACAUUGCUUUCUGCAAAUUCCAGAAAAAAGAAUAGUAGUCAAUACUUUCAGAGUCUGUUGUUGGAUUAGCAGCAGCUCUUUUUUAUCUAUAUAGCUCUUGAGGACAAGGAAAAAUUAACUGUAACAUAGAUAAGUUAUAAUAAGACAAAUCAUCGAGUAUAGACAGUGUAUUUUACCUGAGAACUACAGAAACUAAUCUAUAAUGUCACACUUUGAUUACGUGCUACUUCUGGAAAAGAUUCAAAUGUUCUGGUAAGUAACUACUUCUCAUCCCCUAGCAAUGAAAAAUAAAGUCCAUUGGCUCCCAUUUAAUGCUCACCUAAUGGGACUAUCACGUAAACACAAUCAUGAGCAGUCUUUGCACAUUGUAAUGCGGAGUAAGUCUCACCAAAUGAUGAAUGUAGAAAUAUUUAAAAUAAAUCAGGCAAAUCCGUGGGAUCUCACCAAGUUAGAGCUAAGGCUGUUUGAAAAUUAAAUUUCCACUCCAAAAAAGUUUCAAAGCAUUGGUAUCUAUCUGCCUCGCUCUUAAAAUUAAAUCUCACGAGUUAUUGGCUGCCGAAAGAAUUUCUUGCAGCUUAGCUCAAGCAUGCCAUUCAAGAGUACAGAUACUAUUCAUACUAGAACAAAAGUUGCAGAAAAUCACCAAUGAUAUGUUUCAGUGCUGAAAACAUUUCCACAAUUUGAUCUGAGGGUGGAAUUGUAGUUUCUUUGAAAUUAUCUAAUACCUUUAAGCAGGUUUGAGAUAUACUCCCAUGUCCCAUAAUGUACCAAAUGUGGACCAUUUAUUUAUUUGCAAUUUGGACUGACGAUCUAACACUUUAGAGUCCAUUUGCCACCUCUGAAUGUUCAAGACAAUAGGUAUUCACAUAGAACUGUAAAUGGCUGUGGCGUUGGUAGAUUGCUUUGUGUGCAACAUAGACCAUGGAGAGGUUAAGACAGGUAUGGUACGAAAACUCUGAUCAAGUCACCAUUACGAAUUUGUAUAAUGCUCCCCAGAAAAAUACACAGGCUGAAAUGGUGUUAAUACUAUGGUUAAGCAGUCUAAGAUGCUAAAGAGGGAAACAAUACUUGAAAAAUGUCAAACACAAUAACAUAGAUUGCACUUAUAGGAUGAGGAGUAUCAAGCUGACUUCUUUAUUCCCUUAACCCAUUGGAGUGCUAAUAAUCCUUGGAUGAAUGAUUAGGCAUUUUCUGCUCACUGACUUUUCUUGCUUUGGGAUCUAAAACAGACUUUGGAGGAUCUACAAACUUCAUGUAAAUUACAGGUCCAAAACCUGAUAUUUCCAGAUAUAUUUUCCAUUCAUGAUUUUGGUACAGUAGACAGCAGCCAUGCAAACUAUCCGAAAUGGAGGUAGGUUAUGGAAUUUAUCACUUGAGGAGUUCUGUUUUCGCAAUAGUACACAAAAAAAUUGAAAGAGCCAAGUAUAUGAGUUCUGUUUGUCAGUUCUAUAAUGAUGCUAUGAAGGCCAAGAGAUCAUUAAGAGUGCAAUAAUAUAGAUACGUAGGAAAUGAAGCCAUAAACCUAAGCAAUUCCAAUGUAAAAGUUAAAACAAGGAUGUACUUUUGCUCUGCAAGUUAUAAUCGUACUAGGGAGGAUCAGUACAUCAAUAUGUUUAAGCAAAUGAUGAGACUUCAAGAUCUUCUCUUUGCCUUUGUCACAGGGCCUUACUUUUAGUUCUGCUUUGCUAACAUCAGAAUGAUGAAUUACUAUAACCAUCCGACCCGCUAGCAAUAAUAACUCGUUGGGCCCAAACCACCGGUCCAAAAUAUUUAAGCCCAGUUAUUAUACAGAUUGUCCAAAUCCAGAUCACAGACAUACAGAUCAGAAUUACUAGCAAUGUGAGAUUCUAGAGAUAGCUCCUACGGGUUCAAGAGGUGGCUCCCACCAAACCAGUUGGUGUAGCACUUUGUCUCGUAUAGCACUUAGCUCUCACACUUUCGGCUGGUAUUUGGCUUUUCGGCUGGUAUUCGGCUCUGAUACUAAUUGUAACGACCCGACUCGCUAGUAACAAUAACGAGCCGGCCUAAAAUGCUUAAACCCAGUUAUUAUUACUAGCGUACGAGGCCUCAUAUAAACUGAUUGGAAUCAGUAUCCCAUCCGAUGUGGGACUAUUGGGGCGUUACAAUUACAGUCUGUUUUCUGAAUGUAACAAAGUGCCACCAGGGCAUAAGGCCAAAAGUUGUACGGCAUUUCAACCCUCAACAAAACUACCUAAAGGAAUUAUGGCAAGGAUCAAAACAGAUUUUACUUGUCUCACAAGGCCAACACGUAACCCUAAUCACGUACAUAUGAUGCUACACUCAUCUUGACCCGAUCCUUAACCGUUAAGCAUGCAGGCAAUUAAUAUGUUCUCCAAAAAGCAGGCAUCUAUUGAAGUUUCAAUCCCUUAAAAGUUCCUGUUUGAAGCAUCUGUACAGACAAGGAAUACAUGAUGCACUCUUAACAAGUAUAAGUGAAGCAAUAAUAUAUUAACAAGUAACAAAGGUGAUGAUAAUAGUGGUACAGAGACUACAAACAUCGACAGUUAUUAUGCUAUGGUCCGUUUAGUUGAUACAAGAGCGCUUGCUAUCAGUAUAUCUUUGAGUGCAGUAUAUAACUAUACCUACCUCAUAGUUUCUGAGAAUAAACAACACGAGGCCAAAGCCCCAAACAGUAAUAAGUUGACAAUUGAAAAACCUUUCAGAAAAACCUUGAAAAAUUACCACCAUCUACUUUCCUACAUUGAAGAAAAGAGCAAUGCAACAAGAAACAUAAUCAUAAUCAGACUAAUCAAAACAUAAAUGGACCAAAUUUAUAACAAACCCACUUCGAAAUGGAAAGUCAUCAUUCCUGACAACACCAGAAUAUUUAAGCAUAUCAACUUACAAGUGCAAAGAAUUCAGUGUCUUUGCCCCACUUUGAAGAGUAAUUUCGUAAGUCCUGUCACAAAGAUCUUGCAGAAAUAACUCCAAUGCUUUUGCUGCAAUACAAUCAUACAUAAAUAAUCUUAGCAAUUAUCCACUAUUUCAUAUGAUGCACUCCAUCAAAACUCCUGAUAGAAAUAAUGAGCAGAUUUUAAAAGAUCUUAAUAUCUAUGAAAUGUUUGUAUGAAGAGAGCCCCUGUUUCUUCACAUCUAUGCAAUAGUUUUAAUAUGUAUUUAAAGGAAGAAUUUGGGGAGGCUCAUGUUCUUAAGCCAGGAGGCAGAAUAUAUCAUAUUAAGGAUUAUCACAUACAACUGGUAGACAAUGAAAAUCCAGUAAACAUGGAAAUUUAUAGAAGUAAAAGAAACAACUAAAUCGCAAGUUUUGCUUUUAUCCUUCAUUCCAGAGAAUCGGUCGGAGAAAAUUAUUGCCAGUAAAGUAGUGAUGUAAAGGAACAUCGAAUUCAUAGGCACUAACUUAUUUUACAUGUCACCCUGAUUUGUUUUAAUCUUUUGAGAACGAAAGUUUAGAGUAAAACACCAAUUUAAACCUUCGCUAGAAGAGACAUUUAGUUUUCAUCAACUACAGUUCAAACCAGUUGCAAAUGUUAUAUUGGCAUUAAUUAGCUAUUUAUAAAUGAAAUUUGACCAAAAGAAGAAAAUUAGCAAAACAAUUACAAUUAACAAACUUCUACAAGCUUUAUAUUUAUCCUUAAUUUAGAUGAAUCUCUUAACAUUAGCUACACAGAAUUGAGUACAAGCAGCACUUUGUCGGUUUGCAUGAUUCAUUGGCUAUUGCGCUACUUUGCUACUUUGAUCUCCAAACAAAACUGUCUGACUGUUAGUGGAUAGUGAGACCCUAAGGAAACUCUCCUAACAACUCAAACCAGCUCAUAUUUUCUUACUCAUCUUCAUAGAGUUUUCCCUCAUAAAGCAAGUAAUAUAAUUGCAUCUACUUAGGUCAAUUUUCAGUAAUACUAGCUGGGAGCUUUUUUUUAGUCCACUUGAAGGUCCUGAUAAGUACAAUUUCAUAGGAUGAAAGGAUUACACCUACGAGGUGAUACAUCAUAUUCCAAGAAAAAAUGACUUAAAGGUGGUGUACAUAGUUUGGCCUAGCUUUAGCUUUUAGAGAAGUGAUUUCUUCAGAAUUGCUUUUCGUUUGGAAAAGUGAUUUCUACUAAAAGCUAUAGAGCGUUUAGUAGAGUUUAAUAGAAAAGUGAUCUUUCUGAAGUGAUUUUGUAAAAUUGUUUGACAAAUUUGUUUUCGCUUAAGUGAUUUUUCCUUACGUAUAAUGCUAAUAUUACAUCAGUACUCAUGAAUUUAGAGUUGUUUAGUUAAUCUUACUGCUAUUUAUAGAAAAAAGUACAUAAUAAUAUUUGUUAAUAAAUCUAAAGCCACCAUCAACUAUUUAAAAAAAAAUUGCAGUGUUGAAUAAAAAUUAUAAUAGCAAUUUAUCUUAACAUGCUCAUCAACGAUGCAGCAAUGCGACCCUGAGUUUGGGUCAUGAUAUAAUCAUAUGUUAUUCCACUAUUAUUCUAUACCAAAGCACUAAUGUGCAUGCAAUUCAUGUCUCGAUCACAUCUAUAGAACUUUUCAUCUUGUGCCAAACUGAUCCUAAUAAAAUUGCGAGCAAGGAAAAUGAUUAGAUGUUUUUCUUUAAAAAUUUCAAUGUGGUUCUUAUUGGAUAUCAUCUUUUCUUAUCCUUCGUAUAUUUUAUUUGCUCAAAUACUACUUAUAUUAACUGAUAGGGACAAUAAACAAAAUCAAAUUGCAAUACAAUGAAUCCAUCUGAUUAGGCCGAAUACGACCAGAACUAGUCAGAGUCGACAAUCGGAUCUAGCCAAGGCCAUAUUCGACUGGAUUAGAUCUAGUCGGAACCAACCAGAACCGACUGGAUCGGAUCCAGUCGGAACCUCCCUGUUACAGCCGGAUCCAGCCUGAGAGGACUGGACGGGUUGAAUCCAACUGAAAGUCGCUGGAGGCACCAUGAACAUGUGCAAAGGCGCGCGCGCACACGCACAUAGAAAGAGCGAGAGAGUCGGAGAGAGAAGGUGGUCGCAGUCAUUUCCUUGGUUGGAAAGAGGAGGUGGAAGAAAAGAUGGAAGAGAGGGAUUUUACUGGUGGGAGAGAGGUAGAAGACAACAAAGUAGGAGAGAGGGUGUAAGAAAAAUAAAGAAAAAUAAUAAAUGAAUAAAAUAGGAUAUGGGAACAUUUAUAUGAAUUGCUUAGGGGCAAUUUGGGUAUUUUUGUAAAAUUAUCAUAGGGGUGAAACUGAUUGUGCGGGAAUUAGUUUUUGAGAAGUAGCUUUCAGCUGUUUUUGAUUCUGGGGCCCUAAAAAUCACUUUUCUGAUUCUGAUUUUCAUAAUUAGAUUUUAAAAACCAUGUUACCAAACACUAUAUGAGGCCAAAACUCACUUUUGGCCCCUAAAAUCACUUUCCAAAAACUAGGCCAAACACCCUGAUAGACGUAUUAUCAAGACUAGUGUUUAAAAUAGCGGCCAAUAUUGCAGUUUUAAUGGGUAGAGUUUAGGUAAACGCUACACUAUGCUAUUAAAAAUGGAAUAUAGCGCACUAGGAUUGUAGCAGCCGCUAUGGCUCCUAUAGCAGCAGCUAUAACAGGAUAAGAAGCGGGUCAAGUUUAGAUCUCAUUUUUUAAAGAUUCAAUUGAUCAAUUAAGUCCUAAAAUCACUAAAUUUUAAAAAAUAAUUCUAAUAGAAGAAAUAAAGCACUUAGCCACCGUUUGGUUCGGGGUUAAGUAAAAACUUGUUAUUCCAGAUAUAGAGUUAAAGUUCAGGGUUGAGGGGUUAGAGUAAUUUUAUGUUUGGUUGAGAAUUGGGUUUAAUCCAGAUAUAGAUAAAAUAGUGUUUGGUUGGAAUAGGUAGGAUAAGAAGGAUAGUGGGUAAAAUAGUAUUUUGUUUGGUUGGAUUUGUGAGGUGGGGUGGGGUUAGCUACCCCACCCUAAAUGCGCUAUCCCGGGAUAGCCCAUUUGUGGUGGGGUUAGCUAACCCCACCCUCCAAAUUAGGUGUUUGGGAAUAGCUUUGGGGUUAAGGGGUUAUUCCACCCCUUAAUUCCAAACUAAACGGGUGCUUAGUGGGUAUCGAAGGAACUAUUCAAUUUUAUUUCUUACGACAAACAAAUGAGAAAAGUAUGAUUUUAUUUGUGUGGAAAAAAAAGCAAUAUGACAACAACACAAAUGCGACUAUGAAAGUAGAAACACUACUUGGAAUAUAUAAAUGUAAGGAAAUUGAGUUUGUUAUACUUUUAUAUUUGGAACUAAUAGGUUAUUGAUGUUAUUUUAAAUACAAAUACAGUUAAAAAUAUAAGCAUUCGAAUAAUUCAUUAUGAAUCCCGCUAUGAGUUCAUAACUGCUGUAAUCAUGUCCGCUAUCCACUAUCCGCUUUGACACCCCCCAAACACUAUGUACUCACUAUCCACUAUCUACAACUUUGAUCUAGACUCUUUAUCAACCAAUAAUCCAAUGCCACUUGAGUAUACAAAAGCAAUAUGAUGAACAAAAUGUUCAUGCAUCUAAACAAGCACGGAAGGUUUUUUUAAUUAUACAAGAUUUGUGGCCAAAAUUCAGGCAAAAUUCUAUCAGCAGUAUAUUGCUUCCUCAAAGUAAAAAUGUGUCUUGCCAUUACUAACCAUCACUAAAAGAGAGGUGUGAACCAAAAUAUGAUAUCCAGUAAACCAGAAACACAAGAAAUAAAGAUCUCUCUCUCUAAGUUAUUUGUUUCAUAAAAAUAUAUUAGGCACUAUUCGCCUAUGCUUGUGCAUAUUAGUGAUCCUUUUUUUUUCUCUUUCCCCUUGUUUUGCUGCAUAGGUGAACAACUGGGCUGUUUUUGUCAAACGUGUUUUACACCAUUAUUUAUCAAUUUCCUAUUGUACUACUCUGUAGCUUAGGGAACAUAUUAGCAAAGGCAAAAGUAAACAAGUGAAGAGGCUAGGUUGCCAACAAAUUAACAAGAGUAUGGGGUGAUGUCAAGGUUUAGGGGCCUAUAGACAUGUUACAUGUUCAGAAAAACAUGUAUUUUUGCACAAGCUAAUUGUACGGACCCGAUCCGCUAGCAAUAAUAACUCGGUUGGCCCAAACCACCGAUCCAAAAUAUUUAAGCCUAAUUAUUAUUACUAGAGUGCGAGCCUCAUAUAUUCCAACUCAAAAUCCUUUUCCCAUCCGAUGUAGGACUAUUGGGGCAUUACAAAUUCCCCCGUUUAUAAAUACAUCUAUAUAUAUAUAUAUAUAUAUAUAUAUAUAGAGGGAGAGAGAGAGAGAGAGAGAGAGUACGUCUCCUGUGCUUUCGAAAGUACAGAGGCCUCCGUGCUUGUAAGUUGUUUUCGAUGAGAGGACAUCCGAUUUGACGAUCGACUCCGUUAGGCAUAAUCUACGCUACUGGAACUAUUUAGAAACCAAAUUUCAUAAUAUUUCGACAUCAUUUACCAAGUGAUCAAAAGGUCUAAAAAAUAACUAUUUUAACAGUCAAUGUGGCACGUUUUUAAAUUCAACGAUGUAAAACAAUCCAAAUUACAUGAAAUGUUAAUAGUAGAAUAAAUUCUACAACAUCAAUAGCAAGAUCCAUACUUCUGAUUUGAAAUUUGAUUCUUUUAUCACUAUUUUUUAUGAGAUUUUUAUUUUCAGCCAUUCAUUUCGAAGCUACUCGUUCACUAGGCAAAUAAAGUCAAAAAAUUAUGAAAUUUGGUUUCUAAAUAGUUCCAAUAGCGUAGAUCAUGUUUAACGGAAUCGAUCGCCAAAUCGGAUGUCCCAUCAUCGAAAACAACUUACCAGCACGAAAGCCUCUGUACUUUCGAAAGUAUAGGAGCCUAUAUAUAUAUAUAUAUAUAUAUAUAUAUAUAUAUAUAUAUAUAUAUAUAGAGUUGAGCUAGAAUACUCUCGAUAGUAAACGGGGCGUUUUAUAUCGAGUUGUUUCGAUGAUAGAGCUUUCAAAUGACGAUCGGCUCCGUUGAACAUGAUCUAUACCACUUGAAGUGUUUAGAAAUCAAAUUUCAAAUCUUUUCGACAUCAUUUGUCUACAUGAUCAAAGGGUUUCAAAAUUUGUAAUUUAAUGGUGGAUAAGAGACGUUUUCUCGUUUAACGGUGUAAAGAUAUUCAAAUUAAUUGAAUUUUUGUUAGAAAAUUCUUUAAACUAUUUAAAACAAGAUCUAUACUCUUGAUCUUAAUUACAAGACUCCUAUCAUCAUUUUUUAAAGAAUAUUCAUUUUCAGCCAUUCAUUUUUUGUUCACUAGAUGGAUAAAAGAACAAUAUCGAAAGUGCGUGAAAUUUGAUUUCUAGGUAGUUUAAAUGGUUUAGAUCAUAUUUAACGGAGCGAUCGUCAAUUUGGAAGCUCUAUCAUCGAAAACAACUCGAUAGUAAAACACCCCGUUUACUAUCGAGAGUAUUCUAGCUCAACUCUAUAUAUUAUAUAUAUAUAUAUAUAUAUAUAUAUAUAUAUAUAUAUAUAUACUAUCCUCUUAAGAGGAUAGUAGCACUUGUCCUAUCAAGUUGUUUUUUGAUGAUAGAGAUUCUGAAUCGAUGAUCGGAGCCGUUGAGCUUGAUCUAGAGUAUUUGAAAUAUCUAGAAACUAAAUUUCAUAAAUUUUAAAAAUUAUUUACAUGGUGAUCAAAGUGUCGUAAAAUCGACAAAUUUUGACGGCCUAUUAUGAGCCGUUUGCUUGUUUAACGGUGUAGAGCAAUCCAAAUUGCUUGAAUUUUUGAUAGAAAAUUCUUUAUACUAUUUAGAUAAUGUUUGAUAACUCUGAUUAUGAAUUGAGAAAGUCUAACCUCUAUUUUAAGAAGGUUAUUCAUUUAUGACCGUUCAUUUUUCAAACUCUUCGAUAAACUUGAUAAUGAUUUUUAAAUAUUAAAAAAUUUGGUUUCUAAACUUUUCUAAUUGUGUAGAUCAAUUUCAACGGUACCGAUUAUGAAUUUGAAGCUCCGAUCAAUCAAAACGACUUGAUAGGACAAUGUCCUCAAUCCUAUUAAUAUGAUAGUAGAUAGACUAUAUAUAUAUAGAGAGAGAGCUAGGCUGGUAUACUAUCGAUAGCACAGAGGCCUCCGUGCUACCAAGUUGUUUUCAAUGAUGCCGUUUCCAAAUCGACGAUCAGCUCCGUUAGACUUGAUCUACACUAUUGAAAGCAAGGUUUUAAGUGCCCGUCAGCAAGGACCGUAUCCACCGUGCCGUACCGUGCCAACAAGAUACCGGCACGAUACAGACCCCGUGCCGAUGACACAGCUCAAAACCCUCUAUUUUUUAAAUUAGUAAGUAAUUUCCUCAAUAAAGUUCAAAAGAUGUGAUAAAAAGACAAUAAAUAGUUAGAAUAUUUCGUUGCUAAAAAAAAUAAAUAUUUCAUGCUAUUAUGUGUCGGCACACAAGAAUUUUUUUAACCGGCACGCAAGAAUUUUUUUAAUCGGCACGCAUCGGCAUGGCUCGACAUGCACCGUGCCGUACCGUACCGGCAAGUUUCCGACACGACCCCGUGCCACGGCACUUAAAUCCUUGAUUGAAAGUAUUUGAAAACAAAAUUUCAUAAUUUUUCGGUAUCAUUUACCUAUCAAACGAGUAGUCUAAAAUUGAACGGCUGAAAAUAAAAAUCUCAUAAAAAAUGAUGAUAAAAGACUUGAAUUUAAGAUCUCUAAAUAGUAAAAAGAAUUUUCUAUAAAAAUUUCAUAUGAUUUGGAUUGUUUUACACCGUUAAAUUCACAAAUACAUCACAUCUACCAUUAAAAUUGUCAAUUUUGAGACCUUUUGAUCACUAGCGAAAUGAUGCUGAAAAAUUAUGAAAUUUAGUUUCCAAAUACUUUCAAUAGUGUAGAUCAAGUCUAACGGAGCCGAUCAUUGAUUUGGAAGCCGCAUCAUUGAAAACAACUUGGUAGCACGGAGGCCUCCGUGCUACCGAUAGUAUACCGGCCUAGCUCUAUAUAUAUACAUAUAUAUAUAUACACACCUCACAUCCUCGUCAGGUCUAAACCCAAUCACAGAUAUAUAGACCAAAACUACCAGAUGGUGUGAGAUUUUAAAGGUUGCUCCUACGGGUUCAAGUGAUAGCUCCCACCAAGCACGUGGUGUAGCACUUCAUCCUGCAUUAGCACUUAGCUCUCACACUUUCAGCUGGUAUUUGGCUCUGAUACCAAUUGUAAGGACCGGACCCACUAGCAGUAAAAACUAGUUAGGCCCAAAUCACCAGCCCAAAAUGCUUCAGCCCAGUUAUUAUUACUAGGGUGCGAGACAUAUUCCAAAUUAGAAUCUUUUUCCCAUCCGAUGUAGAAUUAUUGGGGCGUUACACUAAUGACACAUUACACACUAGUUUCCCUUUGUUACAUACAUAAAAGAGAAAACUGUAACAUCAUCUUAACGUCUUUUUCAAAUUUCCAUAUAUAAUACACUGCUUUUGAAAUUUGGCCACCAAAUAUUGAUGAAAGCUGCAAGCAACAUACUUGACAGGAUUUCAAAUAUCCAAUACCUAGGUAACUUCCAAAGAUGAGAAGAAGAAAAAAAAAAGCAAUCAAAAGCUAUAAUGAAUUACAAUUAUAUAUAACCAAGUAGGGAAUUAUGUUAAGCACAACAAACUUGGGACAGAAUACCUAAAUAAGUCUAAUCUGAAAGUUUGAGACUUAUCGGAGCAGUGUCUAUGAAACAUGUCACCAAGUAUAUAUCACAUUAAAAUAAGUCCAAUAUGAAGGCGGUAAAACUAUUUAACAACAUGCAGAAUAUAGAGAGGAAAAAGAAAAUUAUUAAGUGGUUUUCAUUGAUAUAGAGAAUUUAUAUGAUAGAUACACUCAUUUACCAAGUGCUAGGAAAGAUUGUAAUUCCCAUUAACUAAUAAAUAUAUUGUUAUGUAUAACAGAGAUGGUCAAUAUUGUAUGAAUUAGUGGCAGUAACACUAGUUAAUGUCAGAAAAAUUGUCAGCCCACGAAUGUGUUUCCGAUCCCUCUGGUGAUGCCAGAAGUCGUUUAGAUAUACGAUUUUAUCCGGUUCCCAUUUUAUUUAGUAUCCCUUAUCCGGAAGUCACCUUUUCUUCUCAUUAGGUUGUAUGUCACGCUCCGGAGCCGCCAAUUUGGUCAGUUUGGGCACGCCGACAGACGCCGAACGGACAGCACCGCCCCUGUCCGCCCAAGGCUUUAAUCAACAAGUAUAAUUCAAGCAAUUCAACAGGAUGAAUGCAAUUAUACUAGGUUUGCUCGAGGGCAAACAAAAACCAUAAUAGCGAAAGCUCUAAGCUACUACUAUAAACAUACAACCCAUACAUGUCAUUUGAUUACAUUUGAAUCAAACACAAGUAAACUAACAUUUACAUUCAUUCUUAUCCAUUCAUUUACAUCACAUUGUCCUUUAACCAAUUAUCCCGGGGUACACAUGGUUCACCCCAAACUCACAAACCAUAAUUCCCGUCUACCGGGGGAGGCUACUAGCAUUACCACCCGAGGGAACAAUGACGGGGCCUCUCCCCGUGGUGUCUACACUCCGGAGUACGCCGCUUGAGAAGGAACUACCUCUCUCAAGCCAAAGCCAGUGUGAGUACGAUCCAAUCCUCAAUUUGAGGAAGUAUUGCCAAACCUGUCUCAAUGCACAAGCCUCAAUGCUAAGGAUAGGUCAUUACCAUAUCACAUUCCCACUAUAUCUGAGCCACAAUGGUCCUAAUGCCAUUCUAGGUUAAACCUUGUUUAGCCGUUCUUAAUCUCGAUGUCAAUCUCGUCACUAAUGUCAAUGUCACCUUUGUUUACUAUUGUCAUAGUCUUUUCUCACAUUCACAUGCACAUAGGAUUUGUCACAUAAAUAGCUUACAUAGUUCUUUGUAAAUUCAUAUAUUCUCUAACAUAUAAUCGAAUCCCAACCAAAUACUCAUUUCACUACCCUAUAUGCAUGAAUGCUACAAUAUCAAGAUGCUCAAUUAAGGUAACAUAGAUAUAGAAGGAAAUUCGGUGUUUCCGGAUAGCACCCACCACCUGUGGGUAUGCUAGGAUGCCGCGGUCCUGAUUUCACGAUUUUUAGACCUCUACGCCGCAAGCUGCGACGAUCUGUACCAAUUUAGCUUCCUUUCUCAAUAUCUCCGCGUACGCUCGUCGUAUCGCGGAACCGAGCGCACCAACGCGUUCGUUGGCCUACCAAUUAGGUUUAAAAAAGAUCAAACCCAAGCUUUGACCUCAAAAUUACAAAACCCUAACUUGAACUUUGCAAACUCACCUUAGAGUCUAAGGUUUUCCUCCAAAAGCUCUUGACCAAGCUUGUCUUCACCUAGAGGAGCUUCUUCUCCAAGCUUUUCUCCUCCCAAGCCCUCCUUGCUCCAAGCUCUAUAGAGAAGGAGAGAGAGAAAGAGGGUUUUUAGAGAAAGAGAGGGAGAUAUUUUGUUUGGGGUUGAGAGGAAAUGAGCCCUACACAUAAGCUCUCUCACCUAUACACCCAACUCAUGUCACAAUUGCCCCUAAGUCCCUCAACUUUCCAUCUUUCACAACAGCCCAACCUGGGCAUUUUUCGCAUGCGGGGACCGGUCUCUCCACCAGGGACCGGUCUCACGGGGACCGGUCUCUCCCCGCAGGGACCGGUCCCCGAGAGCAAAACUCUCAGGACCUAGCUGCUGGGGUAAUUUUCGCUUACGGGGACCGGUCUCUCCCCGCAGGGACCAGUCCCCGAGAGCACACCUCUCAGGACUUAGUCAAUUUUUCACAUUUUUUGGCUGGCUACGCGUACGGAGACUGGUCUCUUACACAGGGACCGGACCCCGAGAGCACAAAUCCUAGGACUUAGCCAAAUUUUCAGAUUUUGCUCUCUAGAGUCCCAUUACCUUAUACAAUGGUUCCAAUGCACUUAGAACCCUUUCCAACUCGUUCCACUCCGCGCUUCGCUCGUUUCGACGAAACUCGGCAUGACUUACGGGGAUGCCAUACGUUACAUUGUACCUCCCAACAAGAUUCUACAAAGGUAUCCUUGACGAUCCUAGACACCAACUCUAGGUCUGGCGCAGCAAGAGCCUUCGGCUUCUCUUUAUUUUGCCCUUUUAUGAUGAUAUUUUUUGAUUGCAAAGGAGUUGUGCCUUUGAAUCUACAGGCUUUUGGAAUAUGUAGAAGUAAAACCAAGCAUAAGAUUGCAGAAGACUACCAAAUAUAAAAGUGCAACUUCGGGCAUGUUUGUUUCACCGAAACUAGACUUUGGGUUGAAGUGGACUUUGGGUUGAACUAAAGUUCGGUGAAAACUACUUCUUUUCCGCUGUUUGUUUCGUAGUUAUGAAAAUGAAGUUCCACCAGUUCUGCUGUUUGUUUGGUAGAAGUGUAUAAUAUAAAACUAUAAUUUAUAUAUAAAUAAUAAAUAUUUUAAUAAAUAAAAAUAAUAUAAUUAUAUUUUUAUAUAAUUAAAAUUUAAUUUAAAACAACUAAAUUAUUUGUUUAUACAUAAAUUAUAGUAAUAAAGAUAAUAAAAUUAUAAAAUAAAAUUAUAAAGAAAAAAAAAUUAAUACUUAAUUAAUCAAUAUUUAUCAUAUUUUAAAUGUACAAACUAAAUAAAGAAAAUAUUAAAAUUUAACUAAUCAAUUUUUAUCAUAUUUUAGAUAUAUUAACUGAAUAAAAAAAAAUUAAUAAUAUAAUUAAAUAUAUUUAAAUAUAACUAGCUUUAUUUAUUAUAUUAUUUUAUUAUUUUUUUUCACCUCUCUUCACCGUAAUUGACUUCGGCCCACGAUGGGCCGAAGUCAAUUACACCAUUUGAGGUUAACUCGAGUUUCGACCGUAACUUUUUUACGGCGAACCAAACAACGGAAGUGGUCGUUUAGGGCGAAAACGACUUCCCUCCUCUCCACUUCCACCCCACUUCCACCCAAACAAACAUGCCUUUAAGUGAAAUGAGAAGGGACGAAGAUUUAUUGCAGAUUGAAGAGUAUGAUAUAUCCAAAGAUGAGAAUGUUCAUAACUCACGUCGACUAUUCAGAAAAACAGAAACUUAAGAAGAAUUCAGAACAAGGAUUAAGUCUUAAUGGAUAUAGUGUAGUAUCGUGGGAGUUUUAUGCUUGACAGAACCUCUAAAUCCAAACCUUAUAGGACAUUAUCACAAAUAAUGUUGAGCCAGUACGAACAAUGGGCACAAGGAUGAGUAAUUGCAAUGAGAAUGCUGAAGCAACUACAUGAUGAUAAAACAGAAGUUAGUAUUGACGAAUAAUGACUUUUACACCAAGGUGGUGGGAGUACGCCCAAUUAAAACAAAAGUGAGGAUGGGCCUUUAAAGCUGGUACAACCAAAUUGAAUAAAGGAAUGUAGUUGCACAGGUCAAAUGCAAGACGAAAUAGAUGGUGACGCCACAAGAGGACAUUAGUAAAGAUAGAGUUGCUAUGAGAUGAUCCAUGUUUACAAGGAAGCGCCUGAAUAUAAGACUGGAAGACAACAGAAAAUAUGAUACUGUUCCUGCUUGAUUUAUUGCAAGUAUCAAAAAGAAAGCCACACUUUAAGAUUUAUUUAAAACAACACAAUAUGUACUACAUAAAAGAUGAUGUACCUUUUUAUGAGUUCUCCCAUGUUAACUAUUUUUACCCCAAAUCAUUCAUAGUUUUCCUAUGGUAUCUAAAUAUCACUGUAAAACUUAAAUGCCGAAAUCAUCAAAACUACUGACUAUGAAAAUAAAGGAAAGCACUAAAUAGAAACCUUGUUAUGAGCCAAACAACGAUACCCAAGUCACCGCAAUUAACAAAUUGUUCACACAUCUACAUUGGCGGGUGGCGGGCAUGAGAAAAGUCCUACAUGUUCUCAGCUCUCUAGAUGGCUUGCUAGUAAAUAACUUUCAUUCCAUAAGACAUAUAUCAAUUGUUGUAUUACUUACAAACUAAGAGAGGCACAGCUAAUGCAAUCUUGCCAACAUCCUCAUCUGCUUGCAUUAUCUUCUUUAUUCGUGCCUGUGACAACAAAAAAUGUUAAAACAAUAUAAGUUAGCCACAUAGUCCCCAUAUUAGCAACACAAGUAGAGCUAUUAUCCAAAUUUAAGGCAUUUGAGACUCUGUUAAGCACUGAACUAUUAGAUCAACAGAUAAACAAACUAGAGAGCUCAACAUCAGAUAAUUAUUAUUCAUAAAAUUGCCAAUUAGCUAGAAAUUAUUUUUCUGUUACUGGAGAAUUUAUAGCUAUAGGAUCUCAACAUUACUUUUUUAUCAUGUGCUAAUCUACAGUGAGAAAUUAGCAUUUGUUCAAAAUUUUCAUAUUCAUAAAUCCUGAUCAAUAGAGUAACUUCUACCUACUGCUACAAAGAUAUACUACCAAUUGUGUUGACCAGAAGAGGGACCAUCAAUCACAGCUCUUCUAAACAAAAGUGUCAUUGGAUAGUGAGUAAUACUUGAUACGGUUUUUAUUAUCCAACAUAAUACCGAACUAUUGGACUGAGAUACAUAUCUAGUCUGUAUAAAGCAAUUGAAUCCUUCAAACUUGUUUUAAUUAUAAAGGAACUGACACCAAUAGCAUAUGUAAUAACAAAUAAAACAUUGUCCAUACAUAGCUAUCAAAAAAAAGGCGUGAGAUAGAUUAUGAGAGAUAGAAACACUAUCCUAAAAUGCAGCAUAUGAACCUACAUAAGUGGCAACGUAUGUAGAUGUGAUUCCUUUAUUGCCUCACAUAGGCCUUAUGUGCCAUGGUUGAUAGGCCUUAGCAGUACAAAAUGAAUCAUCAGCAAGUUGCCUUUGUUUGCUGGUUUUAGAUUGAUAUAAAUGAGUUAUACACAAUGAAUGUAGAUUAUAGAUUCCUGUUCUUUAUAACAGGUUUUCACUUUUAGGAGAGCUAUGGAUGGUACCUGAACCAUAAUGCAUUUUAAAUUGAUUUUCUAAACUCUAAAGGCUGAUUUCAGUUUUGUUAGUUAAUCUUUCGAUAUUUUUCAUUUCUUUCCCUCUCAGUCAGAAUUUAACUGUGGUCUCUGUACAUUGUGACACCAGGCUGUAAGAGUCACUUAAUGGAAGGUCAACCGAAACAUUCAAAGGAAAUAAACUAUCAUAGACUGAAAUAGGUGAACUUCACUUCUCUUGUCAAAACCUUAUAGUGUCUCGCUUCAACAGUCCAUUUGUCUAGCACACGAUAGGUCAAUUCUAGUAACAGUCUUUGUUCUCAGUGUAAAUGAAGAAAUGAUAGGUAAAUUGAUUUAAGUCAAUCUGGUUCCUUUUAUAAAUUGAUCCAACUUUUGAUCAUUCAAAGUUUGUCCUAUAAUCUACAGAGUAAUCCAGCUUGCAGAAAGUUGGAUAUCCAACUACAUCCAACUACAUUAGGAACGUGACCACAUGGUUGACCCAAAGGAAGAGCAUGUCAGCUUCAUAACCUACAAUAGUAGGUUUCCAAGAAAUCAGGUGGGGUGGGUAAUAACAAGCCAUGUCUUUCAUUGAACGAGCACAGACCACACGUAAUUACUGCGUAGAGCGGCAAGAGACUAUACAAACCCUAGAGUAGUGAAGGAUUAGGCUCCAAUCUCAAUAUCUGGAACAAAGUUUAAUUGGUGACUUUGAAGUAAAAUCUGUAAUAGCCUAAGGUAAUAGCGGUAACAGUCAGAAUCAGUCUUAAAUAGGUAAUACCCAUUCACAGAAGUUACCAAUCACUCAAACAAUCAAAAGCUAACAAAAAAUAACUCUAAAAGUUGGGAAACAGAUUGGCACUUGCUUUUAGAGCUAAUUCACUUGGUUCGAGUUAUCUACACAUUAUUUAGUUGUCAGAUAACACUGUUGAUUAAUCCAUAUUUGUUUUUGAAGUUUCUUUUACAGAGAUAAUGUUCUAACGAAAAAAAAAAAAAAAAAAAAAAAAAAAAAAAAAAAAAAACAAAUGUUCCUUCAGAGGAAUAAAAAUCUAGAUCCAUAACCAAGAAGCUGGCUCCUCUACCUAAAUAGGUUUAAAUUGCCCUCCUACUCUAAUAGCCAAAUCGGCGUUCCUAUACCAAAUCACAACCAUAACAUAACAUUUCCUCCGAUCAAUUAACUCUAGGCCAUCAAACAACCCCCGAGAUCACCAAUUAAACACCCAAACUCCCGUUUUAUCACAUGAAUUAGGAUUUCCAAAGCAAUAGUAGCUAAAUCGACACGUAGAAACGCAUGAUCCAUCAAAGAUCUUUAAAAUAUCACCAAAAAGGAUGCAAAAAAACGCGGAUCGGAUCGGAUCGAAUAAACCUAGAAAUAGAAAAGAUAGAGAGGAGGGAAGGAGGAAUCGAACCGCAGGGAAUCGAGUACCGAGCUUCUUCCUCAUCUCCUUCAGAAAAAACGCCGCGUCGCGGUAGAUCUCUUCCACCUCUCACUCUCUCUUCGACCUCUCCCUCUCUCUCCUUCCUCGUUCAAACGCGACUAUCGGAUCGGGGUCUCCACCAGAAAUUUGAUUACCGCUUCAACGAUUUACCUUUCCUUUUCUUUUUCUUUUUGUUAAUCUUUUUCUUUCUGCCAUUGCCAAUUAUUACUGUUAAGAGAGCGCACGUGAGAGCUCUCGUGUGCCUCGUGACGGUAAAAUUCUUACGCGCACCUGGUGCAUACGUAAAUACGUCUACCGUUAACCCAUUAGGGGCGUUUGGGUUAUGGAAUCUUCAAAUCCAACGUACGUAACUCUAGUACACUGAUAUUUAAGGUUUUUCUUAAAUAUAAUUUUUUUUAUUAUUUGUUUUAGGCCUUUUUGCAUAAAAAAUCUAUUUAUUUUGGACUUUUGCAAAACCGGAUCACCUUUUUCGUUUUUGCAGAUUCGGUCCGCUUUUUCAGCAAACUGACCAAAAUACCCUUAUUACAUUUUCUCUUUCCUCUUUCUCUCUCCUCUUCGUUUCUGUCGUUCUUUUUUUUUUUUCUCGCCGAAAAAAAAAAGGCGGACCGUCGCCUUCUUCUUCACCGUCGCCUCUCUCCUCACCAUCCUUCUUCACCGUCGCCCCCCUCCUGACCCUGCUCUCCACCGCCCGCGACCGCCUCCUCCUCUCCUCCGCCGCCGCGGACCCCCAGCCCGAUCCCGUCGCCGCAGCGGCAGCGGCCGCGGCGAACGGGGUCGGGCUAGAUGCGGAGAAGAAGACAACGGCGAAGAAGAAGAAGGGGAGGCCAAGCGGCAGGGCGUAGGAGGGGGAGGCGGAAGCGCAACCGGCACCAGCACCGGCACCAGCGCCGCGCGUGUUCUUCUCCGUCGGCGCUGCCCCUCCUCCCACCGCUGUGCAGAAGCCGCCGACCAGCGCCUCUGCUUCUCCCACGACGACGUCGAGACGCCGCGUCCGCCGCGGACCCCGAGCCCGAUCCCGUAGCCGCAGCGGCAGCGGCCGCGGCGAACGGGGUCGAAUUGUUUUUUAUUUUAAACUGCACAUCUUUAACAGAUAUUUAUACCUCUUCUCCUCUUGUUGUACUGUUUCUCCUCUUGUUGCACUGUUUCUCCUCUUGUUGCACUGUUUCUCCUCUUGUUUCUCCUCUUGUUGCACUGUUUCUCCUCUUGUUGCACUGUUUCUCCUCUUUAAAGAGGAGAAACAGUGCAACAAGAGGAGAAGCAGUAUAAAUAUCUCUUAAAUGGGUGCAGUUUAAGAUAAUUGGGUGCAGUUUUUUUUUCUUGUUGCAUCAUUUUUUCUCUUGUUACACUGUUUUUUAUUUUAAACUACACAUCUUUAACAGAUAUUUAUACUGCUUCUCCUCUUGUUGCACUGUUUCUCCUCUUGUUGCACUGUUUCUCCUCUUUAAAAAGGAGAAACAGUGCAACAAGAGGAGAAACAGUACAACAAGAGGAGAAGCAGUAUAAAUAUCUCUUAAAUGGAUGCAAUUUAAGAUAAAAAAUAGUGUAACAAGAGGAUAAAUGAUGCAACAAGAGGAGAAACGGUGCAACAAGAGGAGAAACAGUGCAACUUUCAUUUAAAGAGUGUAAUUUUUAUCUUAGUGGGUGCAGUNCUUCUCUAUAUGUUGAUCAAAGCAUGGAGAAAACCAUAAUCAAUACCUCUAUACCUUUCUUAUUAUUAUUAUUAUUAUUAUUAUUAUCAUCUAUAAUCUAUAAUCUAUAACCCUAUAUUAAACCUCGAUUUCUUAUCCAACGUGGCGUUACCUCCUUCAUUGGCUCUUUCUCUUCCAAUGGUGAUUUUUUUAGAACUCACCUUGAGAUUAAAUUAAUUAAUUCAUGGUGUAAUAUUUAAUUAGAUACAUUAUAUUCUACUGAUGAGUGGGCUUUAUAACUCCAGUCCACUCCCCUCCUCCGUUAAUCCCGCCCCCCACUAAUGAGUGGGCUUUAUAACUCCUCCAUUAAUGAGUGGGCUUUAUAACUCCAAUCCACUCCCCUUCUCCAUUAAUCACCCCGCCCUCUCUCUUUUGCAUGGCCUGUUAUUUUCCAUGCAACAUUAUCAUCUAAUCUUCUACCACCACACUUAUCUCUCUCUCUCAUUACAUUAAUGAAAAUAAUGAGGACGAUGAAAAAGAAAAAGAAAAAAAAGAAGAAGAAAAGCAUGCAAAGAACGUUGCCUCCUUCGAGAAGGAUCGUCCUGCGAAGCCGAGCCGCGGCCUAUAGAAGUGUCCGCUAGGCCGUCCGCGCCGGGGCCCCCUGUAACACACUGGACUUUCGCAAAUGGCAAGGUUCGAGUGUUUGAUCUGUGUUUCAAGUUUUUUCUAGAUAUCCUGGAGGGUCGUCGACAGUGUUCCGACCUAUGGCUCGUGUUUCGAGAUUUGUGGUUUAAAACUUUGCACCAAAAUCCAAAAAGAUGGAUUUUUGGUUUGCUCUCGGAUUAGCCUCAGUAGGGCUGUGUACCAGUAUAGCCUUGAUGGUUGUACCGGUACAAAUGACUGUUCUCUAUCAACCCGAGGCUCGAGUUUGCGCGUGUAGGAUUUUGUACCGGUACACUCUUCCGUGUACCGGUACACUCUUCCGUGUACCGGUACACUUUGCCAGACUGCGAGCAGACCGAGUUUGAGGGGUGUUUUUGAUAUUGUAGCAACUCUAUAUCUCCACCCACGCCCCUUAGGUUCUCCCCUGAGCUGAGAACCUUGGAGAGGAAGGUAAGGGAGCCCUCCAUCCCUUCUCUUUGUUUUUGUUGGGAUUUUUGAAGUUUAAUUACUUCAUUUUGCUUCUUUUUGCAUUUUGGUGGCUUUUCAACCAUUGUUGAAGUCUUGGAGCCUAAAGAGGAGCUUGUUUGUAAGGAGAACUUCAACCCUAGCUGGUUUGGAGCUUAGUUGGGAGCAUCUUAAGAGGUUAGUGGCUUAAUUCUUGCCUUUAAUCCAUGAUCUAGUUGAGUCUUGAGAUCAAACCCUAGAUUUGAGGAAAUAGGGUUUGAUUUUGGGAUUUUUGAUUGGAGGCUUUUGAAACCUAUUUGAUUGAUUUAGAAUCUUCCUCUAGGUUUGAUUGGAAGGGUUCUAGCUUCCCUUUGGAGCUUCUGAGAGAUUUUCACCACGAUAGCUGAGUUUUGGCCCUUUUAUUGAGUUGGUUAAUAUUUAACCUAUUCGUUGUUCGUAACGUUCGUGUAUCGCUCCUACUUUAACCUUUAGGGAGCUAGAAGGCUCGUGGACACCUUCGUCGGCGCAAACGAAGGCCGCGUGGAACUCUUGGUGGGUUUGGCCUCACCAAAAUGGGAUAAAUCAUCCCUAUGAUGGUUUUUACUUUUCGUAAAAUGAAAAUGCAUGCAUAUUCUUACUAAAUAGAAUAUUUGAGAAUUUUAGAAUGCUUAAUAUGUGCAUGUUAUGUAUAAAGAACAUUGGACCUUUCUUUAGUAGAGAACUGUUCAGGACUGGAACUUUGCAUAUGGUUAGCAUUCUUACAUUUGAUUGAGUCAUGUUGCAUAUAGUGUAUAUGACAUGUAGGUUACACUCUUGGACUUAGAACGUAUGCUUGGCAUGGUUGGACAUAUUGUCAUUAAGUGACAUAGGUUAGAGUGUAUGUAAGUAGUAAGCUAAUGUCAUAAAGCGGCAUUAGGCUUGGGAUGGUUUUGGGGCAUAGUGAGAUAAUGCCAUAAAGAGGCAUUGGACAUAGUGAACUUAGUAAACCUUCACUUGAGGCAUAGACUAGACCCUCGGGGUUACUAGUGAGCAUUUCCAUGUUAGAGACAUGAUGACUGUUGAGUUGCUAUUUCAUAUUAGAGACAUGAUGACUGUUGAGUUGCUAUUCCAUGUUAGAGACAUGAUGACGAGAUCCGUGAUAUGAUGGCUAUGAUUACUUGCCAUUUGUGCUCAUUCGCACAUGCUUGUGAGGGUCGCUCCCUACAAGCCGGCACUCCGAAGUUGGCCUUUUGCGAUGCAGUUCGCGCGUGCGGGAUUGAGACGCCUGUAGGGUCGCAUGGGACAGUCUCAUUCCAGAGUGGGAUGACGAGCUACCACGGGCAGCUAGGCGGCGAGGCGCCUGUAGGGUCGGGUGGGACAGUCUCAUUCCUCGAGNGCGGCGACGCCGCUCUGUCUUCGCCGCUCUCUGGGAAGAGAAAGAAAAAAAAGAACGAGAGAAAAAAGAGAAAAGAAAAAGGUAUAAGGGCACCUCUGCUCCGUCUUCGCCGCUCUCUGGGAAGAAAAAGAAAAAAGAACGAGAGAAAAAAAGAGGAGAGAGAAAGAGGAAAGAGAAAAAGGUAUAAGGGUAUUUUGGUCAGUUUGCUGAAAAAGCGGACGGAAUCUGCAAAAGCCAAAAAGAUGGCCCGAUUUUGCAAAAGCCCAAAAUAAGUGGAUUUUUUAUGCAAAUUGGCCUUUGUUUUAAUAUAACUCAAACAUUCUAAAAAUUAAAUUCACUUAUUAGGGCCAGUUUGGAGAUCAUUGAAAAAAAAAAAAAUAGAGUUUCAUUUUACACUGUAUUUGAUAUGAUGAAAAACUCUAUACUCUAUUAAAAAAAAUACUUUGUUUUGAGUAUUUGGAUUGUCUUAAAAAAAUUAUUCUAUUAUUAUUGUUAUAUAAAAAUAAAUUAAGAAAAAUUGCAUUAAACAAAACUAAGCUUCUCUAUAUGUUGAUCAAAGCAUGGAGAAAACCAUAAUCAAUACCUCUAUACCUUUCUUAUUAUUAUUAUUAUUAUUAUUAUUAUCAUCUAUAAUCUAUAAUCUAUAACCCUAUAUUAAACCUCGAUUUCUUAUCCAACGUGGCGUUACCUCCUUCAUUGGCUCUUUCUCUUCCAAUGGUGAUUUUUUUAGAACUCACCUUGAGAUUAAAUUAAUUAAUUCAUGGUGUAAUAUUUAAUUAGAUACAUUAUAUUCUACUAAUGAGUGGGCUUUAUAACUCCAGUCCACUCCCCUCCUCCGUUAAUCCCGCCCCCCACUAAUGAGUGGGCUUUAUAACUCCUCCAUUAAUGAGUGGGCUUUAUAACUCCAAUCCACUCCCCUUCUCCAUUAAUCACCCCGCCCUCUCUCUUUUGCAUGGCCUGUUAUUUUCCAUGCAACAUUAUCAUCUAAUCUUCUACCACCACACUUAUCUCUCUCUCUCAUUACAUUAAUGAAAAUAAUGAGGACGAUGAAAAAGAAAAAGAAAAAAAAGAAGAAGAAAAGCAUGCAAAGAACGUUGCCUCCUUCGAGAAGGAUCGUCCUGCGAAGCCGAGCCGCGGCCUAUAGAAGUGUCCGCUAGGCCGUCCGCGCCGGGGCCCCCUGUAACACACUGGACUUUCGCAAAUGGCAAGGUUCGAGUGUUUGAUCUGUGUUUCAAGUUUUUUCUAGAUAUCCUGGAGGGUCGUCGACAGUGUUCCGACCUAUGGCUCGUGUUUCGAGAUUUGUGGUUUAAAACUUUGCACCAAAAUCCAAAAAGAUGGAUUUUUGGUUUGCUCUCGGAUUAGCCUCANNNNNNNNNNNNNNNNNNNNNNNNNNNNNNNNNNNNNNNNNNNNNNNNNNNNNNNNNNNNNNNNNNNNNNNNNNNNNNNNNNNNNNNNNNNNNNNNNNNNNNNNNNNNNNNNNNNNNNNNNNNNNNNNNNNNNNNNNNNNNNNNNNNNNNNNNNNNNNNNNNNNNNNNNNNNNNNNNNNNNNNNNNNNNNNNNNNNNNNNNNNNNNNNNNNNNNNNNNNNNNNNNNNNNNNNNNNNNNNNNNNNNNNNNNNNNNNNNNNNNNNNNNNNNNNNNNNNNNNNNNNNNNNNNNNNNNNNNNNNNNNNNNNNNNNNNNNNNNNNNNNNNNNNNNNNNNNNNNNNNNNNNNNNNNNNNNNNNNNNNNNNNNNNNNNNNNNNNNNNNNNNNNNNNNNNNNNNNNNNNNNNNNNNNNNNNNNNNNNNNNNNNNNNNNNNNNNNNNNNNNNNNNNNNNNNNNNNNNNNNNNNNNNNNNNNNNNNNNNNNNNNNNNNNNNNNNNNNNNNNNNNNNNNNNNNNNNNNNNNNNNNNNNNNNNNNNNNNNNNNNNNNNNNNNNNNNNNNNNNNNNNNNNNNNNNNNNNNNNNNNNNNNNNNNNNNNNNNNNNNNNNNNNNNNNNNNNNNNNNNNNNNNNNNNNNNNNNNNNNNNNNNNNNNNNNNNNNNNNNNNNNNNNNNNNNNNNNNNNNNNNNNNNNNNNNNNNNNNNNNNNNNNNNNNNNNNNNNNNNNNNNNNNNNNNNNNNNNNNNNNNNNNNNNNNNNNNNNNNNNNNNNNNNNNNNNNNNNNNNNNNNNNNNNNNNNNNNNNNNNNNNNNNNNNNNNNNNNNNNNNNNNNNNNNNNNNNNNNNNNNNNNNNNNNNNNNNNNNNNNNNNNNNNNNNNNNNNNNNNNNNNNNNNNNNNNNNNNNNNNNNNNNNNNNNNNNNNNNNNNNNNNNNNNNNNNNNNNNNNNNNNNNNNNNNNNNNNNNNNNNNNNNNNNNNNNNNNNNNNNNNNNNNNNNNNNNNNNNNNNNNNNNNNNNNNNNNNNNNNNNNNNNNNNNNNNNNNNNNNNNNNNNNNNNNNNNNNNNNNNNNNNNNNNNNNNNNNNNNNNNNNNNNNNNNNNNNNNNNNNNNNNNNNNNNNNNNNNNNNNNNNNNNNNNNNNNNNNNNNNNNNNNNNNNNNNNNNNNNNNNNNNNNNNNNNNNNNNNNNNNNNNNNNNNNNNNNNNNNNNNNNNNNNNNNNNNNNNNNNNNNNNNNNNNNNNNNNNNNNNNNNNNNNNNNNNNNNNNNNNNNNNNNNNNNNNNNNNNNNNNNNNNNNNNNNNNNNNNNNNNNNNNNNNNNNNNNNNNNNNNNNNNNNNNNNNNNNNNNNNNNNNNNNNNNNNNNNNNNNNNNNNNNNNNNNNNNNNNNNNNNNNNNNNNNNNNNNNNNNNNNNNNNNNNNNNNNNNNNNNNNNNNNNNNNNNNNNNNNNNNNNNNNNNNNNNNNNNNNNNNNNNNNNNNNNNNNNNNNNNNNNNNNNNNNNNNNNNNNNNNNNNNNNNNNNNNNNNNNNNNNNNNNNNNNNNNNNNNNNNNNNNNNNNNNNNNNNNNNNNNNNNNNNNNNNNNNNNNNNNNNNNNNNNNNNNNNNNNNNNNNNNNNNNNNNNNNNNNNNNNNNNNNNNNNNNNNNNNNNNNNNNNNNNNNNNNNNNNNNNNNNNNNNNNNNNNNNNNNNNNNNNNNNNNNNNNNNNNNNNNNNNNNNNNNNNNNNNNNNNNNNNNNNNNNNNNNNNNNNNNNNNNNNNNNNNNNNNNNNNNNNNNNNNNNNNNNNNNNNNNNNNNNNNNNNNNNNNNNNNNNNNNNNNNNNNNNNNNNNNNNNNNNNNNNNNNNNNNNNNNNNNNNNNNNNNNNNNNNNNNNNNNNNNNNNNNNNNNNNNNNNNNNNNNNNNNNNNNNNNNNNNNNNNNNNNNNNNNNNNNNNNNNNNNNNNNNNNNNNNNNNNNNNNNNNNNNNNNNNNNNNNNNNNNNNNNNNNNNNNNNNNNNNNNNNNNNNNNNNNNNNNNNNNNNNNNNNNNNNNNNNNNNNNNNNNNNNNNNNNNNNNNNNNNNNNNNNNNNNNNNNNNNNNNNNNNNNNNNNNNNNNNNNNNNNNNNNNNNNNNNNNNNNNNNNNNNNNNNNNNNNNNNNNNNNNNNNNNNNNNNNNNNNNNNNNNNNNNNNNNNNNNNNNNNNNNNNNNNNNNNNNNNNNNNNNNNNNNNNNNNNNNNNNNNNNNNNNNNNNNNNNNNNNNNNNNNNNNNNNNNNNNNNNNNNNNNNNNNNNNNNNNNNNNNNNNNNNNNNNNNNNNNNNNNNNNNNNNNNNNNNNNNNNNNNNNNNNNNNNNNNNNNNNNNNNNNNNNNNNNNNNNNNNNNNNNNNNNNNNNNNNNNNNNNNNNNNNNNNNNNNNNNNNNNNNNNNNNNNNNNNNNNNNNNNNNNNNNNNNNNNNNNNNNNNNNNNNNNNNNNNNNNNNNNNNNNNNNNNNNNNNNNNNNNNNNNNNNNNNNNNNNNNNNNNNNNNNNNNNNNNNNNNNNNNNNNNNNNNNNNNNNNNNNNNNNNNNNNNNNNNNNNNNNNNNNNNNNNNNNNNNNNNNNNNNNNNNNNNNNNNNNNNNNNNNNNNNNNNNNNNNNNNNNNNNNNNNNNNNNNNNNNNNNNNNNNNNNNNNNNNNNNNNNNNNNNNNNNNNNNNNNNNNNNNNNNNNNNNNNNNNNNNNNNNNNNNNNNNNNNNNNNNNNNNNNNNNNNNNNNNNNNNNNNNNNNNNNNNNNNNNNNNNNNNNNNNNNNNNNNNNNNNNNNNNNNNNNNNNNNNNNNNNNNNNNNNNNNNNNNNNNNNNNNNNNNNNNNNNNNNNNNNNNNNNNNNNNNNNNNNNNNNNNNNNNNNNNNNNNNNNNNNNNNNNNNNNNNNNNNNNNNNNNNNNNNNNNNNNNNNNNNNNNNNNNNNNNNNNNNNNNNNNNNNNNNNNNNNNNNNNNNNNNNNNNNNNNNNNNNNNNNNNNNNNNNNNNNNNNNNNNNNNNNNNNNNNNNNNNNNNNNNNNNNNNNNNNNNNNNNNNNNNNNNNNNNNNNNNNNNNNNNNNNNNNNNNNNNNNNNNNNNNNNNNNNNNNNNNNNNNNNNNNNNNNNNNNNNNNNNNNNNNNNNNNNNNNNNNNNNNNNNNNNNNNNNNNNNNNNNNNNNNNNNNNNNNNNNNNNNNNNNNNNNNNNNNNNNNNNNNNNNNNNNNNNNNNNNNNNNNNNNNNNNNNNNNNNNNNNNNNNNNNNNNNNNNNNNNNNNNNNNNNNNNNNNNNNNNNNNNNNNNNNNNNNNNNNNNNNNNNNNNNNNNNNNNNNNNNNNNNNNNNNNNNNNNNNNNNNNNNNNNNNNNNNNNNNNNNNNNNNNNNNNNNNNNNNNNNNNNNNNNNNNNNNNNNNNNNNNNNNNNNNNNNNNNNNNNNNNNNNNNNNNNNNNNNNNNNNNNNNNNNNNNNNNNNNNNNNNNNNNNNNNNNNNNNNNNNNNNNNNNNNNNNNNNNNNNNNNNNNNNNNNNNNNNNNNNNNNNNNNNNNNNNNNNNNNNNNNNNNNNNNNNNNNNNNNNNNNNNNNNNNNNNNNNNNNNNNNNNNNNNNNNNNNNNNNNNNNNNNNNNNNNNNNNNNNNNNNNNNNNNNNNNNNNNNNNNNNNNNNNNNNNNNNNNNNNNNNNNNNNNNNNNNNNNNNNNNNNNNNNNNNNNNNNNNNNNNNNNNNNNNNNNNNNNNNNNNNNNNNNNNNNNNNNNNNNNNNNNNNNNNNNNNNNNNNNNNNNNNNNNNNNNNNNNNNNNNNNNNNNNNNNNNNNNNNNNNNNNNNNNNNNNNNNNNNNNNNNNNNNNNNNNNNNNNNNNNNNNNNNNNNNNNNNNNNNNNNNNNNNNNNNNNNNNNNNNNNNNNNNNNNNNNNNNNNNNNNNNNNNNNNNNNNNNNNNNNNNNNNNNNNNNNNNNNNNNNNNNNNNNNNNNNNNNNNNNNNNNNNNNNNNNNNNNNNNNNNNNNNNNNNNNNNNNNNNNNNNNNNNNNNNNNNNNNNNNNNNNNNNNNNNNNNNNNNNNNNNNNNNNNNNNNNNNNNNNNNNNNNNNNNNNNNNNNNNNNNNNNNNNNNNNNNNNNNNNNNNNNNNNNNNNNNNNNNNNNNNNNNNNNNNNNNNNNNNNNNNNNNNNNNNNNNNNNNNNNNNNNNNNNNNNNNNNNNNNNNNNNNNNNNNNNNNNNNNNNNNNNNNNNNNNNNNNNNNNNNNNNNNNNNNNNNNNNNNNNNNNNNNNNNNNNNNNNNNNNNNNNNNNNNNNNNNNNNNNNNNNNNNNNNNNNNNNNNNNNNNNNNNNNNNNNNNNNNNNNNNNNNNNNNNNNNNNNNNNNNNNNNNNNNNNNNNNNNNNNNNNNNNNNNNNNNNNNNNNNNNNNNNNNNNNNNNNNNNNNNNNNNNNNNNNNNNNNNNNNNNNNNNNNNNNNNNNNNNNNNNNNNNNNNNNNNNNNNNNNNNNNNNNNNNNNNNNNNNNNNNNNNNNNNNNNNNNNNNNNNNNNNNNNNNNNNNNNNNNNNNNNNNNNNNNNNNNNNNNNNNNNNNNNNNNNNNNNNNNNNNNNNNNNNNNNNNNNNNNNNNNNNNNNNNNNNNNNNNNNNNNNNNNNNNNNNNNNNNNNNNNNNNNNNNNNNNNNNNNNNNNNNNNNNNNNNNNNNNNNNNNNNNNNNNNNNNNNNNNNNNNNNNNNNNNNNNNNNNNNNNNNNNNNNNNNNNNNNNNNNNNNNNNNNNNNNNNNNNNNNNNNNNNNNNNNNNNNNNNNNNNNNNNNNNNNNNNNNNNNNNNNNNNNNNNNNNNNNNNNNNNNNNNNNNNNNNNNNNNNNNNNNNNNNNNNNNNNNNNNNNNNNNNNNNNNNNNNNNNNNNNNNNNNNNNNNNNNNNNNNNNNNNNNNNNNNNNNNNNNNNNNNNNNNNNNNNNNNNNNNNNNNNNNNNNNNNNNNNNNNNNNNNNNNNNNNNNNNNNNNNNNNNNNNNNNNNNNNNNNNNNNNNNNNNNNNNNNNNNNNNNNNNNNNNNNNNNNNNNNNNNNNNNNNNNNNNNNNNNNNNNNNNNNNNNNNNNNNNNNNNNNNNNNNNNNNNNNNNNNNNNNNNNNNNNNNNNNNNNNNNNNNNNNNNNNNNNNNNNNNNNNNNNNNNNNNNNNNNNNNNNNNNNNNNNNNNNNNNNNNNNNNNNNNNNNNNNNNNNNNNNNNNNNNNNNNNNNNNNNNNNNNNNNNNNNNNNNNNNNNNNNNNNNNNNNNNNNNNNNNNNNNNNNNNNNNNNNNNNNNNNNNNNNNNNNNNNNNNNNNNNNNNNNNNNNNNNNNNNNNNNNNNNNNNNNNNNNNNNNNNNNNNNNNNNNNNNNNNNNNNNNNNNNNNNNNNNNNNNNNNNNNNNNNNNNNNNNNNNNNNNNNNNNNNNNNNNNNNNNNNNNNNNNNNNNNNNNNNNNNNNNNNNNNNNNNNNNNNNNNNNNNNNNNNNNNNNNNNNNNNNNNNNNNNNNNNNNNNNNNNNNNNNNNNNNNNNNNNNNNNNNNNNNNNNNNNNNNNNNNNNNNNNNNNNNNNNNNNNNNNNNNNNNNNNNNNNNNNNNNNNNNNNNNNNNNNNNNNNNNNNNNNNNNNNNNNNNNNNNNNNNNNNNNNNNNNNNNNNNNNNNNNNNNNNNNNNNNNNNNNNNNNNNNNNNNNNNNNNNNNNNNNNNNNNNNNNNNNNNNNNNNNNNNNNNNNNNNNNNNNNNNNNNNNNNNNNNNNNNNNNNNNNNNNNNNNNNNNNNNNNNNNNNNNNNNNNNNNNNNNNNNNNNNNNNNNNNNNNNNNNNNNNNNNNNNNNNNNNNNNNNNNNNNNNNNNNNNNNNNNNNNNNNNNNNNNNNNNNNNNNNNNNNNNNNNNNNNNNNNNNNNNNNNNNNNNNNNNNNNNNNNNNNNNNNNNNNNNNNNNNNNNNNNNNNNNNNNNNNNNNNNNNNNNNNNNNNNNNNNNNNNNNNNNNNNNNNNNNNNNNNNNNNNNNNNNNNNNNNNNNNNNNNNNNNNNNNNNNNNNNNNNNNNNNNNNNNNNNNNNNNNNNNNNNNNNNNNNNNNNNNNNNNNNNNNNNNNNNNNNNNNNNNNNNNNNNNNNNNNNNNNNNNNNNNNNNNNNNNNNNNNNNNNNNNNNNNNNNNNNNNNNNNNNNNNNNNNNNNNNNNNNNNNNNNNNNNNNNNNNNNNNNNNNNNNNNNNNNNNNNNNNNNNNNNNNNNNNNNNNNNNNNNNNNNNNNNNNNNNNNNNNNNNNNNNNNNNNNNNNNNNNNNNNNNNNNNNNNNNNNNNNNNNNNNNNNNNNNNNNNNNNNNNNNNNNNNNNNNNNNNNNNNNNNNNNNNNNNNNNNNNNNNNNNNNNNNNNNNNNNNNNNNNNNNNNNNNNNNNNNNNNNNNNNNNNNNNNNNNNNNNNNNNNNNNNNNNNNNNNNNNNNNNNNNNNNNNNNNNNNNNNNNNNNNNNNNNNNNNNNNNNNNNNNNNNNNNNNNNNNNNNNNNNNNNNNNNNNNNNNNNNNNNNNNNNNNNNNNNNNNNNNNNNNNNNNNNNNNNNNNNNNNNNNNNNNNNNNNNNNNNNNNNNNNNNNNNNNNNNNNNNNNNNNNNNNNNNNNNNNNNNNNNNNNNNNNNNNNNNNNNNNNNNNNNNNNNNNNNNNNNNNNNNNNNNNNNNNNNNNNNNNNNNNNNNNNNNNNNNNNNNNNNNNNNNNNNNNNNNNNNNNNNNNNNNNNNNNNNNNNNNNNNNNNNNNNNNNNNNNNNNNNNNNNNNNNNNNNNNNNNNNNNNNNNNNNNNNNNNNNNNNNNNNNNNNNNNNNNNNNNNNNNNNNNNNNNNNNNNNNNNNNNNNNNNNNNNNNNNNNNNNNNNNNNNNNNNNNNNNNNNNNNNNNNNNNNNNNNNNNNNNNNNNNNNNNNNNNNNNNNNNNNNNNNNNNNNNNNNNNNNNNNNNNNNNNNNNNNNNNNNNNNNNNNNNNNNNNNNNNNNNNNNNNNNNNNNNNNNNNNNNNNNNNNNNNNNNNNNNNNNNNNNNNNNNNNNNNNNNNNNNNNNNNNNNNNNNNNNNNNNNNNNNNNNNNNNNNNNNNNNNNNNNNNNNNNNNNNNNNNNNNNNNNNNNNNNNNNNNNNNNNNNNNNNNNNNNNNNNNNNNNNNNNNNNNNNNNNNNNNNNNNNNNNNNNNNNNNNNNNNNNNNNNNNNNNNNNNNNNNNNNNNNNNNNNNNNNNNNNNNNNNNNNNNNNNNNNNNNNNNNNNNNNNNNNNNNNNNNNNNNNNNNNNNNNNNNNNNNNNNNNNNNNNNNNNNNNNNNNNNNNNNNNNNNNNNNNNNNNNNNNNNNNNNNNNNNNNNNNNNNNNNNNNNNNNNNNNNNNNNNNNNNNNNNNNNNNNNNNNNNNNNNNNNNNNNNNNNNNNNNNNNNNNNNNNNNNNNNNNNNNNNNNNNNNNNNNNNNNNNNNNNNNNNNNNNNNNNNNNNNNNNNNNNNNNNNNNNNNNNNNNNNNNNNNNNNNNNNNNNNNNNNNNNNNNNNNNNNNNNNNNNNNNNNNNNNNNNNNNNNNNNNNNNNNNNNNNNNNNNNNNNNNNNNNNNNNNNNNNNNNNNNNNNNNNNNNNNNNNNNNNNNNNNNNNNNNNNNNNNNNNNNNNNNNNNNNNNNNNNNNNNNNNNNNNNNNNNNNNNNNNNNNNNNNNNNNNNNNNNNNNNNNNNNNNNNNNNNNNNNNNNNNNNNNNNNNNNNNNNNNNNNNNNNNNNNNNNNNNNNNNNNNNNNNNNNNNNNNNNNNNNNNNNNNNNNNNNNNNNNNNNNNNNNNNNNNNNNNNNNNNNNNNNNNNNNNNNNNNNNNNNNNNNNNNNNNNNNNNNNNNNNNNNNNNNNNNNNNNNNNNNNNNNNNNNNNNNNNNNNNNNNNNNNNNNNNNNNNNNNNNNNNNNNNNNNNNNNNNNNNNNNNNNNNNNNNNNNNNNNNNNNNNNNNNNNNNNNNNNNNNNNNNNNNNNNNNNNNNNNNNNNNNNNNNNNNNNNNNNNNNNNNNNNNNNNNNNNNNNNNNNNNNNNNNNNNNNNNNNNNNNNNNNNNNNNNNNNNNNNNNNNNNNNNNNNNNNNNNNNNNNNNNNNNNNNNNNNNNNNNNNNNNNNNNNNNNNNNNNNNNNNNNNNNNNNNNNNNNNNNNNNNNNNNNNNNNNNNNNNNNNNNNNNNNNNNNNNNNNNNNNNNNNNNNNNNNNNNNNNNNNNNNNNNNNNNNNNNNNNNNNNNNNNNNNNNNNNNNNNNNNNNNNNNNNNNNNNNNNNNNNNNNNNNNNNNNNNNNNNNNNNNNNNNNNNNNNNNNNNNNNNNNNNNNNNNNNNNNNNNNNNNNNNNNNNNNNNNNNNNNNNNNNNNNNNNNNNNNNNNNNNNNNNNNNNNNNNNNNNNNNNNNNNNNNNNNNNNNNNNNNNNNNNNNNNNNNNNNNNNNNNNNNNNNNNNNNNNNNNNNNNNNNNNNNNNNNNNNNNNNNNNNNNNNNNNNNNNNNNNNNNNNNNNNNNNNNNNNNNNNNNNNNNNNNNNNNNNNNNNNNNNNNNNNNNNNNNNNNNNNNNNNNNNNNNNNNNNNNNNNNNNNNNNNNNNNNNNNNNNNNNNNNNNNNNNNNNNNNNNNNNNNNNNNNNNNNNNNNNNNNNNNNNNNNNNNNNNNNNNNNNNNNNNNNNNNNNNNNNNNNNNNNNNNNNNNNNNNNNNNNNNNNNNNNNNNNNNNNNNNNNNNNNNNNNNNNNNNNNNNNNNNNNNNNNNNNNNNNNNNNNNNNNNNNNNNNNNNNNNNNNNNNNNNNNNNNNNNNNNNNNNNNNNNNNNNNNNNNNNNNNNNNNNNNNNNNNNNNNNNNNNNNNNNNNNNNNNNNNNNNNNNNNNNNNNNNNNNNNNNNNNNNNNNNNNNNNNNNNNNNNNNNNNNNNNNNNNNNNNNNNNNNNNNNNNNNNNNNNNNNNNNNNNNNNNNNNNNNNNNNNNNNNNNNNNNNNNNNNNNNNNNNNNNNNNNNNNNNNNNNNNNNNNNNNNNNNNNNNNNNNNNNNNNNNNNNNNNNNNNNNNNNNNNNNNNNNNNNNNNNNNNNNNNNNNNNNNNNNNNNNNNNNNNNNNNNNNNNNNNNNNNNNNNNNNNNNNNNNNNNNNNNNNNNNNNNNNNNNNNNNNNNNNNNNNNNNNNNNNNNNNNNNNNNNNNNNNNNNNNNNNNNNNNNNNNNNNNNNNNNNNNNNNNNNNNNNNNNNNNNNNNNNNNNNNNNNNNNNNNNNNNNNNNNNNNNNNNNNNNNNNNNNNNNNNNNNNNNNNNNNNNNNNNNNNNNNNNNNNNNNNNNNNNNNNNNNNNNNNNNNNNNNNNNNNNNNNNNNNNNNNNNNNNNNNNNNNNNNNNNNNNNNNNNNNNNNNNNNNNNNNNNNNNNNNNNNNNNNNNNNNNNNNNNNNNNNNNNNNNNNNNNNNNNNNNNNNNNNNNNNNNNNNNNNNNNNNNNNNNNNNNNNNNNNNNNNNNNNNNNNNNNNNNNNNNNNNNNNNNNNNNNNNNNNNNNNNNNNNNNNNNNNNNNNNNNNNNNNNNNNNNNNNNNNNNNNNNNNNNNNNNNNNNNNNNNNNNNNNNNNNNNNNNNNNNNNNNNNNNNNNNNNNNNNNNNNNNNNNNNNNNNNNNNNNNNNNNNNNNNNNNNNNNNNNNNNNNNNNNNNNNNNNNNNNNNNNNNNNNNNNNNNNNNNNNNNNNNNNNNNNNNNNNNNNNNNNNNNNNNNNNNNNNNNNNNNNNNNNNNNNNNNNNNNNNNNNNNNNNNNNNNNNNNNNNNNNNNNNNNNNNNNNNNNNNNNNNNNNNNNNNNNNNNNNNNNNNNNNNNNNNNNNNNNNNNNNNNNNNNNNNNNNNNNNNNNNNNNNNNNNNNNNNNNNNNNNNNNNNNNNNNNNNNNNNNNNNNNNNNNNNNNNNNNNNNNNNNNNNNNNNNNNNNNNNNNNNNNNNNNNNNNNNNNNNNNNNNNNNNNNNNNNNNNNNNNNNNNNNNNNNNNNNNNNNNNNNNNNNNNNNNNNNNNNNNNNNNNNNNNNNNNNNNNNNNNNNNNNNNNNNNNNNNNNNNNNNNNNNNNNNNNNNNNNNNNNNNNNNNNNNNNNNNNNNNNNNNNNNNNNNNNNNNNNNNNNNNNNNNNNNNNNNNNNNNNNNNNNNNNNNNNNNNNNNNNNNNNNNNNNNNNNNNNNNNNNNNNNNNNNNNNNNNNNNNNNNNNNNNNNNNNNNNNNNNNNNNNNNNNNNNNNNNNNNNNNNNNNNNNNNNNNNNNNNNNNNNNNNNNNNNNNNNNNNNNNNNNNNNNNNNNNNNNNNNNNNNNNNNNNNNNNNNNNNNNNNNNNNNNNNNNNNNNNNNNNNNNNNNNNNNNNNNNNNNNNNNNNNNNNNNNNNNNNNNNNNNNNNNNNNNNNNNNNNNNNNNNNNNNNNNNNNNNNNNNNNNNNNNNNNNNNNNNNNNNNNNNNNNNNNNNNNNNNNNNNNNNNNNNNNNNNNNNNNNNNNNNNNNNNNNNNNNNNNNNNNNNNNNNNNNNNNNNNNNNNNNNNNNNNNNNNNNNNNNNNNNNNNNNNNNNNNNNNNNNNNNNNNNNNNNNNNNNNNNNNNNNNNNNNNNNNNNNNNNNNNNNNNNNNNNNNNNNNNNNNNNNNNNNNNNNNNNNNNNNNNNNNNNNNNNNNNNNNNNNNNNNNNNNNNNNNNNNNNNNNNNNNNNNNNNNNNNNNNNNNNNNNNNNNNNNNNNNNNNNNNNNNNNNNNNNNNNNNNNNNNNNNNNNNNNNNNNNNNNNNNNNNNNNNNNNNNNNNNNNNNNNNNNNNNNNNNNNNNNNNNNNNNNNNNNNNNNNNNNNNNNNNNNNNNNNNNNNNNNNNNNNNNNNNNNNNNNNNNNNNNNNNNNNNNNNNNNNNNNNNNNNNNNNNNNNNNNNNNNNNNNNNNNNNNNNNNNNNNNNNNNNNNNNNNNNNNNNNNNNNNNNNNNNNNNNNNNNNNNNNNNNNNNNNNNNNNNNNNNNNNNNNNNNNNNNNNNNNNNNNNNNNNNNNNNNNNNNNNNNNNNNNNNNNNNNNNNNNNNNNNNNNNNNNNNNNNNNNNNNNNNNNNNNNNNNNNNNNNNNNNNNNNNNNNNNNNNNNNNNNNNNNNNNNNNNNNNNNNNNNNNNNNNNNNNNNNNNNNNNNNNNNNNNNNNNNNNNNNNNNNNNNNNNNNNNNNNNNNNNNNNNNNNNNNNNNNNNNNNNNNNNNNNNNNNNNNNNNNNNNNNNNNNNNNNNNNNNNNNNNNNNNNNNNNNNNNNNNNNNNNNNNNNNNNNNNNNNNNNNNNNNNNNNNNNNNNNNNNNNNNNNNNNNNNNNNNNNNNNNNNNNNNNNNNNNNNNNNNNNNNNNNNNNNNNNNNNNNNNNNNNNNNNNNNNNNNNNNNNNNNNNNNNNNNNNNNNNNNNNNNNNNNNNNNNNNNNNNNNNNNNNNNNNNNNNNNNNNNNNNNNNNNNNNNNNNNNNNNNNNNNNNNNNNNNNNNNNNNNNNNNNNNNNNNNNNNNNNNNNNNNNNNNNNNNNNNNNNNNNNNNNNNNNNNNNNNNNNNNNNNNNNNNNNNNNNNNNNNNNNNNNNNNNNNNNNNNNNNNNNNNNNNNNNNNNNNNNNNNNNNNNNNNNNNNNNNNNNNNNNNNNNNNNNNNNNNNNNNNNNNNNNNNNNNNNNNNNNNNNNNNNNNNNNNNNNNNNNNNNNNNNNNNNNNNNNNNNNNNNNNNNNNNNNNNNNNNNNNNNNNNNNNNNNNNNNNNNNNNNNNNNNNNNNNNNNNNNNNNNNNNNNNNNNNNNNNNNNNNNNNNNNNNNNNNNNNNNNNNNNNNNNNNNNNNNNNNNNNNNNNNNNNNNNNNNNNNNNNNNNNNNNNNNNNNNNNNNNNNNNNNNNNNNNNNNNNNNNNNNNNNNNNNNNNNNNNNNNNNNNNNNNNNNNNNNNNNNNNNNNNNNNNNNNNNNNNNNNNNNNNNNNNNNNNNNNNNNNNNNNNNNNNNNNNNNNNNNNNNNNNNNNNNNNNNNNNNNNNNNNNNNNNNNNNNNNNNNNNNNNNNNNNNNNNNNNNNNNNNNNNNNNNNNNNNNNNNNNNNNNNNNNNNNNNNNNNNNNNNNNNNNNNNNNNNNNNNNNNNNNNNNNNNNNNNNNNNNNNNNNNNNNNNNNNNNNNNNNNNNNNNNNNNNNNNNNNNNNNNNNNNNNNNNNNNNNNNNNNNNNNNNNNNNNNNNNNNNNNNNNNNNNNNNNNNNNNNNNNNNNNNNNNNNNNNNNNNNNNNNNNNNNNNNNNNNNNNNNNNNNNNNNNNNNNNNNNNNNNNNNNNNNNNNNNNNNNNNNNNNNNNNNNNNNNNNNNNNNNNNNNNNNNNNNNNNNNNNNNNNNNNNNNNNNNNNNNNNNNNNNNNNNNNNNNNNNNNNNNNNNNNNNNNNNNNNNNNNNNNNNNNNNNNNNNNNNNNNNNNNNNNNNNNNNNNNNNNNNNNNNNNNNNNNNNNNNNNNNNNNNNNNNNNNGAUAGAAUAGAUGUACAUUUUGGUUUACAUCACGCUUUCUUUCAGCAGUUUAUUUACAUGCUCCUUAUUGCUUAUUAUUAUUAUCGUUGCUUACCUUUGUUUUUGGGGCCUAGUGGAGCAGGAGCUGAGGUCAGUAAUUGCCCACUGGGAACUAUAGCUUAUAGUUCUCACGCCCUCUUUUUCUCGAUGUUUUCAGAGCCUUCCACUCAGGGCGAGGCUAGGGACCGCGGGAAGGGAGUUGCUUCGAGCUAGCUUCCUUUGAGGACGAUUCGCUAGGUGGUCUACCUCUCGUUGUGUUUUAUUUUGGAGAGGUUGAGAGUUCUACCAGUGUAUUAGAGACCACCGUUUUUGUACUUUUGAGACAGAUAUUGUACUACUUGUGAUUUCUUUAUUGUCUAGCUUUACUUGCUCUAAUAUCAUUAGUUGCUAGUUAUUUCACCUCGUCAUUUGUUCUAUUCUUGCUUUUACUUCCGCUUUUAUUGUAGACGCCUUAUAUGUGUAGACAUAUGGCGGGUCUGGGCACGCCACCGGGAGGGCCUCCGCCGGUCCCGGGGCGUGACACAUGUGUUGGUCCUGGAUGAGAUUGAAUGAUGAACUUUAAUUAAUUAAAUGACAAUCACUACUUGAUAGUAUAUCGUAGUUGGAUUUAGUUGACACUGGGAUUUGUGGUACCCUUAGUUGCCAUGAUAGUACAUACUAGAUAUGUAUUGAAUUUUGGGACAUAUUGUAUACUUGAUAGUAUUACUUGUUGCAUCACAGCUUACUUGGUAGCCAUGAUAGAGUAUACUUGUUAUGUAUCGGCAUAUUGGAUUCAUGAUAGAGUAGAUGUACUCUAUGUUCAUAUCAUGUAUACUUGUGGCAUAGUAGUAUAGCAUUUCAUUAUAUGCUUUUAUUUCCGCAAUUGUUAUUUCAUUUUCUAUAUCUGCUCAUGACUUGGGCCUAGUGGUGCAUUUUGCUAAGGUCAGUAAUUGCCUACUGGGAACUAUAAAUUAUAGUUCUCACGCCUCAUGUUUUAUGUUUUCUUUCAGAGCCUUCCACUCCGGGAGAGGCUCGGGAUCUCGGGAAAGGUUUCGCCUCGAGUUAGCUAUCGAGGGAUUUGGUGAUAGGUGGUCCACCUCUCUUUUGUUUUCUUUUGGAAAGGUUGUGAGAGUUUUGUACCUGGUUAUAGAGACCACCAUGUUUUGUAUCUUGAGAUUUAUGAUGUAUUAGUUUACUUUAUGCUUUAGUGGUUUAGUUCUCUUUCGACUCUACUUGUUGUUAGAACUUAGUUGUAUAUUCGCUCUGAUAUCUCUAGAUGUUUGUAUCACAGGUUACUUAUCGCUUUUGUUGUAGACGCCUUAUAUGCGCAGGCAUAUGGCGGGUCUGGGCACGCACCGGGCGGGCCUAUGCCAGGUCCCGGGGCGUGACACCCCCACUAGCUGUGAACCACCGCCACCUCGGCCGCCUCCUCACGUGGCUCGCGCCCGCCCACAAUUGGGCGGAGGCGAGCGGCAUCCUGAGAAGGGGACGCUGUGCGAGAGGAAUCACAAGAACUUCCCGGUAUUUCCAAAUUGUUUGAGAAUUAGGGUUUCUAUGGUUGUGAUAGUAAGGCUAUGUCGAUUUAGAUGUUGCAGUUUGGUGAUGCAGAUAAGAUGUUUGUUCAUAGGUCGCAUGAAAUCCAGAAGCGACUCGGCGUGGGGAGCAAUUACCAGCUGAAAAUUAAGAAGAUGUAUGAGGUUUGGAUGAGCAAGCUCGUAUAGAUGAAGAAGUGCUCCAAAAAAUUAUUAUUUUUUUAAAUUUAUGUUUUUGUUUUAUUUUCAUCCCAUGACCACUUUUUUGAGUAGGCACUGUUGUAGGUAAAGUCCCUUUCAUAAACUAAAAAGUAUGAUGUGAAGAUUGGAGCUUGAGAUCUCUCCCAAAAUUUUCUUAAGCCAUAUACGUUAACUUAUUAUUUAUGUGUUUCAUAUUCUCAAUCUGUUUUGAUACUUGGAUAGAGGUGCUUGAUUCAACUAGAGCUAGCUCUUUUUUAUCUUUUACAAUGGAAUGUUCAAGAGGCACAUAAUAUGAUAAAAUUGUAUGUUUCUUACUAUAUUUCAAUAAUUUUUAAAAAUUAUAUAAGCUUCUAGCUAUAAUUUUAUUUUUUUAACAAUUGAAUUCAGUCAUGCAAAUUGGCUGUAUUUAACAUGUAUACUUUCCUAUACAUCAAUAAGCUGUAAAUAUAAAUUUUAUCAAAAUUUUAAAAUUUUGUUUCAAUUAUCUACCCGCGGCAUCGCGCGGGUCUCUACACUAGUAUACAUUAUUCCUUAUAAUCUUGCCACGUGGGAGCAUUGUUGUCACACCCAGAUCCCAGCGGAAGCCUGCCCAGUGCGUGUCCAGACUCGCCAUAUGCCAAGAACAUAUAAGCCAUCUACAACAUCAAGAUAAAAUAAAACAAGAAUAGAACUAUAUCUAACAUGAUAUCAGAGCAUGAUACGUAAUCUAUUCACUAAAGACAAGUAUAGGAAAGUAAAAUAGCUAAACAACUAAAAUCCACAAAAUAGAAUAUACAUCAAGGGAUCCACAUACAAUAGAACUAAAUACAAAAUGGUGGUCUCUAUACAUCGGGUACAAAACAUCUCUCUCCAACUAAAAUAAAAGGAGAGAUGAUCCACCUAGCAGAAUCUCCGAGCUAAGUCUAACUAGACGCGACCCCUUUGUCGCGGUCCCUAGCCUCUCCCGAUAUGGAUGGCUCUGUAAAUAAAAAUAUCAACAAAAUGGGAAUGAGAACUAUUAGUCAAUAGUUCCUAGUGGAUAAGCCGCCGAUAUCAACGAAUUACACCACUAGGUUAUCGAGGCAUAAGUAGUAAAUAAGCAUAACUAAAUAAGCAACAUGAAUAUUGAACAAGUAAUAGUUUACUAAGCUACUAUGCCUCCAUUUAGCAUGAUGUUUAACAUGUAACGAAGCUAUUCUAACAUGAGUAAGUAUGUCCAACUAGUAUGCACUAUCUAGUAGCGAUGGUCACAUUAUACCUUUAAAUGUCAUUGUUCAAAUCAACUAGGACAUACAUAAGUGUAGUCCCGCUUGCGCUGUGUCUAGUGGCCCCGUGGUCGUCAACAUUCCCCUUCUAGGAAUGAGCUUCCCCCACGGCAUCCCACUUCGGCGCCCAAUCCCGCACGGGCGAGCAUGUGUCGCGUAGGCCAACUUCGGAGUGCCGGCUUGUAGGGAGAGACCCUCACAAGCAUGUGCGAAUGAGCACAAUGGCAAGCAAGUAUAAUCAUCUAUAUCGAGUCCUCAAUCAUCAUGUCUAAAAUAUGGUACAAGUACUAGCGACUCAACGGUCGGUCUCUGUGUCACAUUGUAGAGAUUUAGUCAUUUAACUAAGUCAAAUGUCACUACAUGAAGUUCAUAUCAACUAUGUCAUGUAUAAUUUAUUUGUCCAUGAGUAUGUAAAACUUGUCAUUUCACUAAUCAUAGUAUGAUCUCUAACAUGUUAUGAAGGAAUGAGCCUCCCCCACGGCAUCCCACUUCGGCGCCCAAUCCCGCACGGGCGAGCAUGUGUCGCGUAGGCCAACUUCGGAGUGCCGGCUUGUAGGGAGAGACCCUCACAAGCAUGUGCGAAUGAGCACAAUGGCAAGCAAGUAUAAUCAUCUAUAUCGAGUCCUCAAUCAUCAUGUCUAAAAUAUGGUACAAGUACUAGCGACUCAACGGUCGGUCUCUGUGUCACAUUGUAGAGAUUUAGUCAUUUAACUAAGUCAAAUGUCACUACAUGAAGUUCAUAUCAACUAUGUCAUGUAUAAUUUAUUUGUCCAUGAGUAUGUAAAACUUGUCAUUUCACUAAUCAUAGUAUGAUCUCUAACAUGUUAUGAAGGAAUGAGCCUCCUCCACGGCAUCCCACUUCGGCGCCCAAUCCCGCACCGGCGAGCAUAUGUCGCGUAGGCCAACUCCGGAGUGCCGGCUUGUAGGGAAAGACCCCCACAAGCAUUUGCGAAUGAUCACAAUGGCAAGCAAGUAUAAUCAUCCAUAUCGAGUCAUCGGUCAUCAUGUCUAAAACAUGGUACAAGUACUAGCGACCCAACGGUCGGUCUCUGUGUCACAUUGUAGAGAUUUAGUCAUUUAACUAAGUCAAAUGUCACUACAUGAAGUUCAUAUCAACUAUGUCAUGUAUAAUUUAUUUGUCCAUGAGUAUGUAAAACUUGUCAUUUCACUAAUCAUAGUAUGAUCUCUAACAUGUUAUGAAGGAAUGAGCCUCCUCCACGGCAUCCCACUUCGGCGCCCAAUCCCGCACCGGCGAGCAUAUGUCGCGUAGGCCAACUCCGGAGUGCCGGCUUGUAGGGAAAGACCCCCACAAGCAUUUGCGAAUGAUCACAAUGGCAAGCAAGUAUAAUCAUCCAUAUCGAGUCAUCGGUCAUCAUGUCUAAAACAUGGUACAAGUACUAGCGACCCAACGGUCGGUCUCUGUGUCACAUUGUAGAGAUUUAGUCAUUUAACUAAGUCAAAUGUCACUACAUGAAGUUCAUAUCAACUAUGUCAUGUAUAAUUUAUUUGUCCAUGAGCAUGUAAAACUUGUCAUUUCACUAAUCAUAGUAUGAUCUCUAACAUGUUAUGAAGAAUGUCAUUUCAUAUACAAGUUCCAUAUACAAUUCUCACUCUACUAUACAGAAGAUGCAAAACAUGACAUAUAUCAUGCAAAUCUUAGGCAUUCAAAAAUUUAUUUAGGCUACAUCUAGCAUGAAUAUGUAUGAUUUUUUAUUUUACAACAUAGAAAAUGACAUAGGAGGAGUUCACUCAUUUCGGUGAGGUCAAACCCACCGGAUACCCCUCGAAACUCCUUCGUUUACGCGAAUGGUGUUAUCCACUAGCCUCCUAGCACCCUAACAAAAAUUCUAAGGGGGUUAGGAGCUUCGAACGAACACUCCACGAAAAUCCUCAAAAAUCACACCAUAAAUACGUAGAAAAUACCUUAGAUGGUGGUAAACUCUUCCCAACUCCCAAAGGAGGUUAGAAUGCUUCAAAUCCAACCUAAAAGGAAGUAUAGGAACCAACAAUUAAGGCUUAAAGGCUUUACCAAGAGAAAACCCACAGUGAAACCUUAAUUUUCCAAAACUAGGUUAAACUCCAAAAAUCUUUCCAAAAUCACAUCUCAAGAGAGCAAUAAUGCUACUAACCUCUUAUAGAGCUCCAAACCAAGCUAAGAUGAUGCUAGAGUUGGAGAUAUUUCCUCAACUAAGUUCUAUUCCUUAAGUCCAAAGCUUUCCCAAGGUCCAAGAACAACCACCCACGAAGGAGAAGGAAAAAAGAAGAGAUCAAUCCACUAAAAUCUCUAACCAAAAGAGAAGAAAUCUAAAGAGAGGGGAAGAGAAAGAGACUCACCACCCUUCUCUGGUUCCAAAGCACAAGGAACCCCUUAUAGGGGUGUUGGGGUAUUUAUAGAAGUGUACAAUCCUCAAAAAGCCCCUCAAAAAUACUAAACUGCAGAUUACACUGCGUACCGGUACUCGAAGGGGAGUACCGGUACCCAGCAACCAACCCGCAAAACCCGAGCCUCUGUCAAGCGAGUAAACUACGGUGUAUCGGUACCAGCUCAAUGCAGUACCGGUACCCGCCGACUCUGUACCGGUAUUGAGUACCCCUCAACUCAAGCCUGAGAGUAGCCCUCUCGGUUACGCGUCGAGGUACCGGUACCCCACUACGGUACCAAUACUCAACACCCCAAAACCUGCAGUUUGCAGAUUUUGGUGCUAAGUACUCACGCUCGCUUCACAAAAUGCGAGUAAUUGGUCGGUACACACUCUACGACCCUCAAACACACCAGGAAUAGCACCAAAUACUAUUUCGACACUGGAACCUUGCAAUUUGCUAAAGUUCAAUGUGCUACAAUUGUCUUCAUUGUUAAGGUGGGCUCCACCGGCUCCUCUUCUUUGUUUGAACCGAUGCUACCUUGAACCGGCUCAAGUCCUCCAAAUAAUUCCACCUUUCUCUACUUGAACCAAACAUGGUUUCCCUCUGUCUAUGCUUGAAACGAACCAAGCCAACUUGCUUCAUUGGACCGAACCAAAUCACUUGCUCUAUAUGUUUCCAUCUUUGAACCAGAUUUCUCUUUUAAUUGUUUGAACCGAACCAAUAAUGGUUGAGUGAGGCCUCCACCCUGAACAGGCUCAAGUUUCCCUAUUUCUUUUCUUAAACCGAACUAGAUUCCUUUUUCUUUGCUAGAACCAAACCGAUGCCCGCUUUCUUUCUUGAGCCGAGCCGGGUCAAACCUAUACCCUCUUUCUCUUCUUGCUUGAAUCGAUGCCCUCUUUCUCUUCCUCUUUCUCUUUCUUUGGCUGUUACCUUCAUUGAAUUGCAGCAUACUUAGGGCACGAUGCAUCACUUCCCUCACCGCCAUGUUUUCCAUUGUCGUUUUCUCUUUCGUUUUCACAGUUUUCGAUGCUAGAAUCGAAGCAUCCUCCAAAUGAAAUUAGGCACGAUGGCGAAGCAUUUCGUUUUUCUUCGUCGUGGUUUUAGAUUUUGGAUUAAUCCACCAUGGAGAAGAGUUUUGAGCCGUCGAUUCCUAUACCCCCACGACUGUCCAUUCGGCUAUAUAAUGACACCUCUAACAGUCAUUUUACUUGCAUCUGAUGACCCAAUCUUUUUUUACCCGUAAUGUAGCGUCCGGGCUCGAGUGGAAGCCCACUCGGCGCAUGCACAGACCCACCGUGUACACCAAGCACCCCCGGUGCACACUAGGCAUUUACAACAACAAAAGAAAGAAGUAAGAAUAUAUCCUAAACCUAGCGAUCAGAGCAAGCACAUAAUUCUACCACAAAAACAAGUCUAGUACAGUUACAUUCACAAGAUAUCCAAUAAGUUUGUACAAAUGGUACAUUUUGAAAGCUAGGAGAUCUCUAAACAAAAUACAAUUAUAUAUCUUUGAAACUAAAAUCAAAAGAAAGAUGUCAAUGGGUUCAUCUAAAAUGACACCGAGGAGGCUCUAGCUAGUCGCUAACCCGUUGCCACGAUCCCAAGCCUCUCCCACUGUGGAAGGCUCUGAAAUAAAAACAAACAACCAACGGGGGUUAGAACUAUUAAACAAUAGUUUCCAAUGGGUAAGCCGCCAAGAGUGACGAAAUAUACCACUAGGUCAACUGAGGCAAGAUAAUUGAUAAUUGAAAUAUGAAGCAUAAUAGUAGGAACUGAAAUGAAAUGGUUCUACUACUAUCCUGCCUCUAAGUGAUAUUGCAAACCAACAUGAAUGUGAUUCUACCACUAUCAUAUGUAUAAGUAUAAAGAUACAAGUUUACAUGUAUGUCCUUUUUUAUGCUAAGAGCAAUAGUUAAAGGGAACUCUUCUAUUCUUAUCACAUGGCUAAACUACUGUACUAAUCAAUACCAACUACUAUGCAUGUCUCAACUAGUUGUGAUGUACAAUGUAAUAUUUACUUAACUUUUAUCCAAUCAACGAGGGACUUACACAUGGUAACGUCCCGACUUGUGCCGUGCCUAAUGGCCCUGUGGUAAUCAACAUUCCCCUUCUAGGAAUGAACCUUGCACACAAUAAUCCACUUCGGUGCCCAAUCCCGCAUGGGCGAUCAGUCGUCGCAAAGGCUAAUUUCGGAGUGCCGGCUUAUAGGAAGCGACUCUCACAAGCUUGUGCGAAUGAGCACAAAAGCAAGCAAGCGUGAUUAUAUACGUCAUGUCCAAGGCCAAGGGUCUCGAUCAAUCAUGUCUAAAACAUGAAAUUUCAAUCGUCGACUCGAAGGUCGGGUACUAUAGCAUAUAUGUCAAGAUCCUCUUUUCAAUCAAUAUGGGAAUGCAUCCCUACCAAUAUGUAACAUGUUUCAAGUAUGUAAAGAUUUACAACUCUUUAUCCUAAUAAGAAUAGUUCUAUAUAUCAUGCAUAACCAUGGGGGCUACUAGUGUAUACUACUUUCUCUAUAGUAUGUAAGAUAACAACUUACUAAUGCCAUAUUCGAAGAAUACGAGGAUGUCAACCAAGUCCAUGUUUCAUGUCAUGCAUAUGCCUUGCUACAUAAGUCUCUACUAUAUGAAGUAUGAAAUUCAUCAUGCAAGUAAUAACCUCUCUUUUGGCUAAGCAAUUAUGUACAUUUGCCAUUUAUGUCUUAAUCAAGUCAUUCCAUUGAGCUUAUGGUUGUUACAUCACAUGCUAGCCAACAAUAUACACACAUAUUGUAAGAUAUCGAAAUUCGACGAUAUUGGCUAACUUUGGCCAAAUGGACCAAAGUGAGCGAUUAAACGAAUUGGACGAGUUCCAUUCGGUGUUUCAAUAUGUUUGGAAGAGCAAAAAUGAGUUCCAAAAGUGUUGGAAUAGUUUUAGCGUUAUUGGACGCGAAAAGAAAUCAAAACAGAUUGAAAAUCAGCAAUCUGGAGCUGUUGUACCGGUACAAGGGUGAUGGCUGUACCGGUACAACCAUCGCAGCCAGGCUGCGUAAUCUCGGGUUCGAAGGCUUCAGGCGCUGUACCGGUACAAGGCUGGCUUGUACCGGUACAAGCUCUGCGAAACAGGCAAACCCGAGGCUCGGUUUGCGCUCGGUUUAAGGGCCUGUACCGGUACAUUGAGGCGCCGGCAAGCAUGGGUUAAUUGCAAAAUCUGUUAAAAAUGGAGGGCUUUCUUAAGCAUUUUGUUACAAUAGAUGCGUUAUAUCCCUCUUUUACUCUCAGGCCCUUUCCCUCUACUAUCUCACGAGCCCCUCUUUCGAUAUGCUCUCUCUCCUCUCUAUGUUGAGAUGAGAAGAAAUGAAAACGAGAAAAAAAAAGGAAAAAUAAGAAGAAAGGAAGAGAAAGAGAGAAGGUUUUGGAGCUCUUCCUUCACGCCUCAUUCUUGCUAGGGCUUUGCUUAUGAGCAAACCCGAGUAACUUCACCCUUUUCGAUGUAAUUGGUUUGGUAGGUUUGGUGUUUUGAUGGUUAUGAACCUAAUGACUGGAAAUCAUGAUUUACUUCACAAUGAACUAGAACCGGGCCAUUAGCUCUCAUGAUCCUAACCUAGGUUAGAUUUGGGUUUUGAUCUCUUUUGAGGGGUUAGAAACCUAAUUGCUAUGCUUAUAAACGCGUAGGCGAAGACGGUUCGUCGAUCCGACAAGUGGGUGCGAAGAUAUCGCCAUUUGUUGUGCUAAGGGGUUAGAGCUAACCCAACGAAAAUUAAGCGGCGACAAGACUAGCACGAGAACGCGUCUCGGAGUGCUUUCGGCAUCACCCAAGGUGGGGGAGUGCCAUACCGAAGUCAUCGGGCAACCUUCUAUGUCCAAGUUUAAUGUUGAUCUAAUUGCAUCUUGUUAUAUCCAUAUAGGGUUAAGAAAUGAUUAUUGUUGCUUAUACUUGCAUGCUAGUAGUUCAAUAAAUAUAUUUUGCUUGGUUGGUUAUGAUCUAGUAUGCAUGAUGAUUGUUGAUGAAAACUACUUGUUGAGAAUCUAGACCCUAUAUGAGAUGAUUAAUGUUUAUGUUGCUAAAGAACUAGUAUGAUGAAACUAGUGUUAAUAAUGAGUCAAAAUUGAUGAGUGGCAUCUAGUUUAGAAAACUAUGACAAGUGGCAUCUAGUUAGAAAAACUAUGAUGAUUGACAUUGAUGAUGUUUCCUUGAGAUGAUCACAUUAGUGUAGUUGAGACACUAUGAGAUUGGGUACAAGUAUACCUUGAUUCCAUGAUGAUAUUACCCUCAAAGGGGUUGUUGCUGUUGCUCGUGAGAUGAUCUUGCUCACAUUGCCUGUCUGCGCUUGGUGGGGUCGCUCCCCUCAAGUUGUGCGCUCCGGAGUGUGGUCACUAGAGAGGCAGCCCUGCUUGCUGCUCGGAUAGCCGCUUGUUAUCCGCAGGCGUACUCGGGGAUAGUCCAGCUCGACAUCCCUAGGAGAUUGAUAUGUGAGCCUUGCUUGUGAACCUUGUGUUCACUUGAGGAUUGGGUUACCCAUUGAGUCUUACCCAUGAUUGAUGUUCAUAGUAGCUAUUCAUUGUUCAUAUCAGCUUACUUACUUACCUAGUGGCAUGUUUUAUAGUUACUAUGAUAGCUGUUGUAGAUGUUGAUUGUUGCUUACUUACCCAGCUUUGUUUAUUGUUCAUGCAUUCAUGAUUCCAGAUUGAGGCAUAGCUUGAUAUAGUUGUUUACAUACCCGCUUUCCGUUCAGCUUAGUUUUGUAUAUAUAUUGCAUAUAUAUCUCUCUAUGCCUACUUGAGACCUAGUGGGUAGAUCGGCGGAGUUGGCGGCCGAACCCACUGGGAACUAUUCGUAGUUCUCACUCCCGUGUGGUUUUGGGAGUACAAGUGCACAGGACAGCGGGCCUUCGUCGAUGGAUCGCGGUAAGGGCAUAGCGCCCUAGCUUUGAUAGAUAGCUUUCUUCACCUACUUGCAUUAGCUCUAUACCCUGUACUUUUGGUUAUGCUUUGAGAGUAGAUGUUGUAUAGGGUGAGGUUUUUGGAGAGUUCAUGAUGUAUAUUCAUUUGAGAAAAGAAUGCAAGUUGUAUUAAAUGUUUAAAGUUUAAAUGAUAUCGAAAGAGGUUUGAUGUUUUCAAUGAUGUCUCAAAUAGCUAAGUUGCUCUCUUUUGUAUACUUGUAUGAUUUUACUUGUAUCGCUUGCUCUAGUUGGUUGUAGCACUGUUCGUGCUCUCGUUCAUCGUUGUUUGAUUGUGUAUGUAUUCAAGUUGUGUUCCUGGGGACUUGUUGUACACAAUCUGUUGCUUAGCCUUGGGCGGACAGGGAAAACUCCGUCCGUUCGGCGGUCGCGCCACCGCCCUCGAACCGGACCAAAUUGGUACCGUUUUCGGGCCGCGCGGUUGGGGCGUGACACAUAUAGAUUACAAAUAUUAACAUGUGAUGUAUCAUGUUUUCCUUUAAUUAUAGCAAGUAUGAAAUAUUGCCAUUUAAGUCCAAACACAAUAGCUCCACUAGUCAUAUAGUGUCUCAUAUGAUACUACCAUUCAUCUUUAACAUGCAUAUACAUAUAUAUACUUGAACAAGAGAAGGUUAAUAUCUUCAAUACAAUUUCAUAUGUUUUUCCACGCAUGUUAUAGUCACAAGUUCUCUAUUACAUAGAGAAAAUACCAUUUCAUAUGUAACAUGUAUAUGCCAUGUGUCCAAAAAUUCUAUGAUAUCAAGAAUAGCAUGAAAAAUCAUCUAUUAGGUCCUAUAACAAGAUAGGAGAUAUAGAGGGAGUUUACUCAUUUCAGUGAGAUCAAACCUAC